rnacentral:lncRNA from 1 species
GCAGCUUCUCGACGGUGACGGUGAGCACGCCGUCGCGGCACACGGCGGAGACCUUCUCCAUGUCGGCGUUGUCGGGGAGCACGAACUUGCGCAUCAGCUUGCCCAUGCGGCGCUCCAUCCGCAGGUACUUGGCGUCUUCCUUCUCCUCCCUCCUGCGCUCACCGCUGAUGACCAGCACCCGCUCGUCCUCCACCUGCACCUGGAUGUCGCCGGACCCCAGCCCCGGCAUGUCCACCACGAACGCGUACGCGCCCGGCAGCUCCUUCACGUCGGCCGGGGUGGCCGCCAUGGCGCGCGCGUCGCGGACGUAGGCGCGCGUCGGGCCCUGCUUCUCGCCGCCGGCGUUGCCGUGCCCGCCGGCCUCGCCGUCCGGGAUGUCCAGCAGGUGCUGCAGCGCGGUCAUCAUCGGGGCAUCCAAGCCGAACACCAUGCCCGCCAUUCUGGCUCGCUGAUCUCGAGCUCGGUCGAUCUCCUCGGGUUGGGCUUGCCUUGGAUUGUUUGUUGAAUUUUGUGGAAUUUUUCGGUGGUGAUGCGAUGCGAGGAGGAGGGAGCUUAUGUAGGUCGCCCGAGGCGGGGGUCUGGAAGGUAAUGGAAACUUCUGAAAGGUGGUGGAACGAGUGCGAAGCAGUGGGGAGUCCUUCGGGCACCGAUGGAGAAAGUUCUAGAGGUUCGACCUUCAGAAUUGGUUGUGCGGUAGCAUUGGGCCCCACAUGUCAUUCGGGGCAGCAGAGAUAUUUUUUUUAGGAUAGGCAUGGAGUUAUUUUUUGAAAAAAAUGCAUACAGAGAUUUUUUUAGGGUAAUGAUAGGCGCCGGUGCAUCGGCCCAAAUUUGGGCCGGUCGCACCCUGAGCGUCUGAUGCACCACCAUUUAACCGUCCAGAUCGAGCAUCUGCUUCGUUCUUAUCCUCCCGUCGUCUAUCUUUUCCCCCCAAAUAUGCGAGAAAAAAGCAACGGCGAGCGCUACCGGCCAGGCAGCCACCUUCCUCCCAGCCAUGGGUGCGCGCGUCUCGCCGUUGACGGUGCACUUGCGGCCUUCUCCAUCGCCGUUCAGAUCACUCACUAUGGCUACCUCGUCGUGCAGCUCCUGGUCGUGGACGCGUCGAUGCUCCAGUAGCGCCGUUCCUAGCACCGAACGGAGAGAGUUGUAGCUCCCGGCCCCCAUGGUUGCAGCACCGGGUUGCGCCGCCCCCGCCGCCUCUUGCCGUCAAAGCUCGGCGCACCGGUGCCCGUCUGCCGUCCCUCGCCGUCAUCUGGUCAUUGUUCCGGCACAUAACCUUCGCAACAGUACAAAACGCCGGAUGUAGCUUUUGAUGGUGCUGGUUGUAGCCCACCGCGGCGGCGCCCGUCGUUGUCUCAGCACCACUUCGUCGGUUGAAGCAAAACAAAAUACCAGUUCCAUCUUCCGUCGAUAACAGUUCCAGCAUCUACAUCACAUGGUUGUGGCUCCGCUACUAGUCGGUUCCAGCAAAAAUAAGAGGAUUGCGAGUCUUCGUCUCCGUCCACUCUUGCUGCAAAAAAAACCAACGGUUCCAGCAUCCCUGCUGCCCGGUUGUAGCAAAUUGUCGACGAUGGUGUCGCCGCUGCAGCUCUAGUGAGCACGGUUGUAGCACCUGUGAUCAUGGUUGUAGCAAAAAAUCUCCGCGACGGCGUCGCCGUUUACAACUCCGGUGAGCGCGCUUGCAGCUUCUGGGCAAUCUUGUGGCCGGUUGUAGCAAAUUAUGUGGCCGGUUGUAGCACACAAGGAUGCAAGUUCAGCAAAAACUUGUCAUGCCUUGGCGGUGUGCAUCACCAGCGCUCGUUGUGCGGCCCUCGACGGCGGUUGUAGCAAGGCAGUGUGCAGCACCACCACUUGUCGUUGUUGCGGCUUGAUGGACGGUCCCCGUAGCUACGUCGGCGGGACUCGAAGCCGGAGUUUGGCGGAGGACUUCGCUGGGAUCCGCGAGGGUUGUAGGCGGCCAUGGCCUCAGGGAUGGGAGAGGGUCUCGCCGACAACGACGGAGCGACAAGAUUGGGUGCCGAGCAAGCUGUGUAGGUGCACCGGUUCCAGCUUAUCGGGGAAGAUUCCUGUGUUGAGCUGACCAUGGCUGGGAGUUUGGAGGUAGGGGAUUGGGAGCAGAUAGAGACUGGGGACAACGAGUGGCUGCCUUGUGUUGCGGGAAGGGGGGGGGGAGGGGGUAAGACGAAGGAGAAAGCAGUAUGCGUGGGGCCAAAAGUGACGCGGUCGCGUGCACGAGGCCACAAAGUGUGUUACUGAGCGAGGCAUCCGGCGAAACGUUCGGCCGGCACGCCGGAUACAAGCGUUUACCUUUUUCUUAGGGGCAAAGGACUUCUAUUCAGAACUACUAAGUAGUAAAUGUUUUUUUUUGAAAGAUUGCUGAACUAGGAAAUGUUGCUUAGUGCGCCACGCACGUAUUGUGACUAGUAAUCGUGAGGGUGUAGCUAGAUGUCAGGGCGACUGAGAUUUAAAAUAGUAUAUAAGAAGAAAAAAAGCUAAAAAAUGUCUGCAUAAAUCUCGAUGUAAGAUCGUACGAGUAUAGCAUCGACUAAACUUAGCAAUAACAAUGUGAUGACUUGGACAAUGUAGUGAUAUACAAAUAAUUGAACUAUAUAGUACUACCUCCAUUUCAAAAUCUAAGACAUUUUGGUAGGUUGAACUAGCCCACCAAAAUGUCUUAUAUUUCUUAUAUCCUGGAAUGGAGGUAGUAGCUACUUACACAUAGAAGAGAAGGUGUGGUGGGGAGAGGCGUUUUGGCUUCCGGGAGCAUAUGCUCCUGGAUAAAAAGUAACAUAAAAAAUAGUAAAUAUAUUUAAAAAUUUCUGUUUUUUAUGGAUGUCGGUGUUAGUGUUGCAAGUAUGCUUGACAAUUUUCAUGCGAAACGAAUCAGCAGUAUUUCGUCGGUAAAAAAUACAAAUUUGAGGUGACAUUUAGAGGUAACGUUUGGUGUUCAAUUUAUUUUUUCUUUUUGCACAUGCUAAAAUGCUUGAACUUUUUGCCUCUACAAGUAGCAUUUGGAUGUGACUUAUUUGACAUUUCAAAAAUUAUUUUUGCUCCCGGGACCACGUGCUCCCGGGAGCCGUAUUGAAUUUCCGAGGUGUGAUAUUACAAUCUGAAUUACCACAUAGAUAUGUAUAUCUUGGAUGUAGGUUUAUGGGCUACGAUUUAAAAUGUGCUAUUCUAUCUCAUCAUGUGCACCUUUUCUUUUUCUCAUGUCAUACAAUGGAACUUUUGUUGGGGAACGUAGCAGAAAUUCAAAAUUUUCUACGCAUCACUAAGAUCAAUCUAUAGAGAGACUAGCAACGAGAGAGAGAGAGAGAGAGGGAGUGCAUCUUCAUACCCUUGAAGAUUGCUAAGCGGAAGCGUUACAAGAACGCGGUCCGUGGAGUCGUUCACGAAGCGAUUCAGAUCGCGGCCGAAUCCGAUCUAAGCACCGAACAACGGUGCCUCCGCGUUCAACACACGUACAACCCGGGGACGUCUCCUCCUUCUUGAUCCAGCAAGGGGAGAGGAGAAGUUGAGGGAGAACUUCGACAGCACGACGGCAUGGUGGUGAUGGAGCUCGUGGUUCUCCGGCAGGGCUUCGCUAAGCUCUACGGAGGAAGAGGAAGAUAUUGAAGGAGGGAGAGGGCUGUGCCAGGGGAAGGGUGCGGCUUCCCUCUCUCUCCCUCACUAUAUAUAGGGGGAAGGGAGGAGAGGGAGGUGCCCUAGGGUUCCCUAGGGGAGGGGCGGCGGCCACAGGGGAAACCCUGGAUGGGUUUGGGCGCCCCCACCCUCUAGGAAACUUGCCCCCCAAGUCGGGAGGGGCGGCUGCCCUAGGGGUGGCGCCCCCACCUCUCCUGGUUACGUGAGAUGGGAUGGGAGGGGCUCUCAUCCCCUUAGUGGGCUGAUGUACCCUCUCCCCUUGGCCCAUAAGGCCCCCCAACGCUUGCCGGGGCCUCCGAAACCCCUUUCGGACACGCUGGUCAUCACCUGGUACCCCCGGAACAAUUCUGGACUCCAAUACCCUUCGUCCAAUAUACCGAUCUUCACCUUCGGACCAUUCCGGAGCUCCUCGCCAUGUCCGGGAUCUCAUCCGGGACUCCGAACACCCUUCGGUAACCACAUACUAUUUCCCAUAACAACUCUAGCGUCACCAAACCUUAAGUGUGUAGACCCUACGAGUUCGGGAACCAUGCAGACAUGACCGAGACGUUCUUCGGUCAAUAACCAACAACGGGAUCUGGAUACCCAUGUUGGCUCCCACAUGUUCCACGAUGAUCUCAUCGGAUGAACCACGAUGUCAAAAAUUCAAGCAAUCCCGUAUGCAAUUCCCUUUGUCAAUCGGUAUGUUACUUGCCCGAGAUUCGAUCGUCGGUAUCCCAAUACCUCAUUGAAUCUCAUUACCGGCAUGUCACUUUACUCGUUCCGUAAUGCAUGAUCCCGUGACUAACUACUUAGUCACAUUGAGCUCAUUAUGAUGAUGCAUUACCGAGUGGGCCCAGAGAUACCUCUCUGUCAUACGGAGUGACAAAUCCCAGUCUCGAUUCGUGCCAACCCAACAGACACUUUCGGAGAUACCUGUAGUGCACCUUUAUAGCCACCCAGUUACGUUGUGACGUUUGGUACACCCAAAGUACUCCUACGGUAUCAGGGAGUUACACAAUCUCAUGGUCUAAGGAAAUGAUACUUGACAUUAGAAAAGCUUUAGCAAACGAACUACACGAUCUUGUGCUAUGCUUAGGAUUGGGUCUUGUCCAUCACAUCAUUCUCCUAAUGAUGUGAUCUCGUUAUCAAUGACAUCCAAUGUCCAUGGUCAGGAAACCAUGACCAUCUGUUGAUCAACGAGUUAGUCAACUAGAGGCUCACUAGGGACAUGUUGUGGUCUAUGUAUUCACACAUGUAUUGCGGUUUCCGGUCAAUACAAUUAUAGCAUGAAUAAUAGACAAUUAUAAUGAACAAGGAAAUGCAAUAAUAACCAUUUUAUAAUUGCCUAUAGGGCAUAUUUCCAACAGUCUCCCACUUGCACUAGAGUCAAUAAUCUAGUUCACAUCACUAUGUGUUUGUAAUGAAUCAACACCCAUGGGGUUUGAUCAUAUCUCGCUUGUGAGAGAGGUUAUUAGUCAACGGAUCUGAACCUUUCAGAUCCGUGUGUGCUUUGCAAAUCUCUAUGUCAUCUCCUAGAUGCAGCUACCACGCUCUAUUUGGAGCUAUUCCAAAUAACUGUUCUACUAUACGAAUCCGCUUUACUACUCAGAAUAAUCCGUAUUAGUGUCAAAGUUUGCAUCGGCAUAACCCUUUACGACGAACUCUUUUACCACCUCCAUAACCGAGAAAAUUCCUUAGUCCAGUAGUUACUAAGGAUAAGUUUGACCGCUGUCCUGUGAUUCCUGGAUCACUCUUGUACCCCUUGACUGACUCAUGGCAAGGCACACUUCAGGUGUGGUACACAGCAUAGCAUACUAUAGAGCCUACGUCUGAAGCAUAGGGGAUGACCUUCGUCCUUUCUCUCUUUUCUGCCGUGGUCAUGUCUUGAGUCUUACUCAAUAUUCACACCUUAUAACACAGCCAAGAACUCCUUCUUUGCCGAUCUAUUUUGAACUCCUUCAAAAUCUUGUCACGGUAUGUAUUUAUUUGAAAGUACUAUUAAGCAUUUUUGAUCUAUCCUUAUAGAUCUUAAUGCUCAAUGUUCAAGUAGCUUAAUCCAGGUUUUCCAUUGAAAAACACUUUUCAAAUAACCCUAUAUGCUGUCCAGAAAUUCUACAUCAUUUCUGAUCAACAAUAUGUUAAUAACAUAUACUCAUCAGAAAUUCUAUAGUGCUCCCACUCACUUCUUUGGAAAUACAAGUUUCUCAUAAACCUUGUAUAAACCCAAAAUCUUUGAUUAUCUCAUCAAAGCGUAUAUUCCAACUCCGAGAUGCUUACUCCAGUCCUUAGAAGUAUUGCUAGAGCUUUGCAUACUUGUUAGCAUCUUUUAGGAUUGACAAAACCUUCUGGUUGUAUCACAUACAACCUUUCCUCAAGAAUAUCGUCGAGUAAAUAAUGUUUUGACAUCCUAUCUGCAAGAUUUCAUAAAUCAUGCAAUAACUGCUAAUAUAAUUCCGACAAACUCUUUAGCAUCGCUACGAGUGAGAAAGUCUCAUUGCAGUUAACUCCUUGAACUGGUCGGAAAACAUCUUAACGACAAGUCGAGAUUUCUUAAUGGUGACACUUACCAUCAUUGUCCGUCUUCCUUUUAAAAUUCAUCUGUACUCAACAACCUUACGACCAUCGAGUAGUUCUGCCAAAGUCUACACUUUGUUUUCAUACAUGGAUCCUCUCUCGGAUUUUAUGGCCUCGAGCCAUUCAUCGGAAUCCGGGCCCACCAUCGCUUCUCCAUAGGUCGUAGGUUCAUUGUUAUCUAGCAACAUGACCUCCAAGACAGGAUUACAUACCACUCUGAAGCAGUACGCAUCCUUGUCGACCUACGAGGUUUGGUAGUGACUUGAUCCGAAGUUUCAUGAUCACUAUCAUAAGCUUCUACUUCAAUUGGUGUAGGUGCCAUAGGAACAACUUCCUGUGCCCUGCUACACACUAGUUGAAGUGAUGGUUCAACAACCUCAUCAAGUCUCCACCAUCCUCCCACUCAAUUCUUUCAAGAGAAACCUUUCCUCGAGAAAGGACCCGUUUCUAGAAACAGUCACUUUUGCUUCCAGAUCUGAAAUAGGAGGUAUACCCAACAGUUUUGGGUGUCCUAUGAAGAUGUAUUUAUCCUCUUUGGGUUCGAGCUUAUCAGGAUGAAACUUUUUCACAUAAGCGUCGCAGCCCCAAACUUUCAAUAAAUGACAGCUUAGGUUUCUCUAAACCAUAGUUCAUACGGUGUCAUCUCAACGGAAUUACGUGGUGCCCUAUUUAAAGUGAAUGCGGUUGUCUCUAAUGCCUAACCCAUGAACGAUAGUGGUAAUUCGAUAAGAGACAUCAUGGUAUGCCCCAUAUCCAAUAGGGUGCAUCUAUGAUGUUCGGACACACCAUCACACUAUGGUGUUCCAGGCGAUGUUAGUUGUGAAACAAUUUCCACAAUGUCUCAAUUGUGUACCAAACUCGCAACUCAGAUAUUCAUCUCUAUGAUCAUAUCAUAGACAUUUUAUCCUCUUGUCACGAAGAUCUUCAACUUCACUCUGAAAUUACUUGAACCUUUCAAUAAUGCAGACUUGUGUUUCAUCAAGUAAAUAUACUCAACAUCUACUCAAAUCAUCUGUGAAGUAAGAACAUAACGAUAUCAACUGCAUGCCUCAACACUCAUUGGACUGCACACAUCAAAAUGUGUUACUUCCAACAAGUUGCUUUCUUGUUCCAUCUUACUGAAAACGAGGCUUUUCAGUCAUCUAGCCCAUGUGGUAUGAUUUGCAUGUCUCAGGUGAUUCAAAAUCAAGUGAGUCCAAACGAUCCAUCUGCAUGGAGUUUCUUCAUGCGUACAUAAUAAUAGACAUGGUUCACAUGUCUCAAACUUUUCAAAAAACGAGUGAGUCCAAAGAUCCAUCAACAUGGAGCUUCUUCAUGCGUUUUAUACCAAUAUGACUUACAUGGCAGUGCCACAAGUAGGUGGUACUAUCGUUAAUAUCUUAUAUCUUUUGGCAUGAACAUGUGUAUCAUUACGAUCGAGAUUCAAUAAACCAUUCAUUUUAGGUGCAAGACCAUUGAAGGUAUUAUUCAAAUAAACAGAGUAACCAUUAUUCUCCUUAAAUGAAUAAUUGUAUUGCGAUAGACAUAAUCCAAUCAUGUCUAUGCUCAACGCAAACACCAAAUAACAAUUAUUUAGGUUUAACACCGAUCCCGAUGGUAGAGGGAGUGUGCGAUGUUUGAUCACAUCAACCUUGGAAAUACUUCCAACAAAUAUCAUCACCUCGCCUUUAGAUAGUCUCCGUUUAUUCCGUAGCCUUUUAUUUUGAGUUACUAACACUUAGCAACUGAACCGAUAUCUAUUACUAUGGUGCUACUAGGAGUACUAGUAAAGUACACAUCAAUAUAAUGUAUAUCCAAUAUACUCCUGUCGACCUUGCCAGCCUUCUCAUCUACCAAGUAUCUAGGGUAGUUCUGCUUCAGUGACUGUUCCCCUCAUUACAGAAGCACUUAGUCUCGGGUUUGGGUUUGACCUUGGGUUUCUUCACUAGAGCAGCAACUGAUUUGCCAUUUCAUGAAGUAUCCCUUCUUGCCCUUGCCCUUCUUGAAACUAGUGGUUUCACUAACCAUCAACAAUUGAUGCUCCUUCUUGAUUUCUACUUUCGCGGUGUCAAACAUCGUGAAUAUUUCAAGGAUCAUCAUAUCUAUCCUUGAUAUGUUAUAGUUCAUCACGAAGCUCUAGCAGCUUGGUGGCAAUGACUUUGGAGAAACAUCACUAUCUCAUCUGGAAGAUUAACUCCCACUCGAUUCAAGUAAUUGUUGUACUCAGACAAUCUGAGAACAAGCUCAACGAUUGAGCUUUUCUCCCUUAGUUUGCAGUCUAAGAAACUCGUCGGAGGUCUCAUACCUCUUGACGUGGACACGAGCCUGAAAUCCCAAUUUCAGCCCUCGAAACAUCUCAUAUGUUCCGCGACAUUUUGAAAUCAUCUUCGGUGCCUCAAUUCUAAACCGUUUAAUAUCACUGAACUAUCACGUAGUUAUCAAAACGUGUAUGUCAAAUGUUCGCAACAUCCACAGACGACGCUCGAGGUUCAGCACACCGAGUGGUGCAUUAAGGACAUAAGCCUUCUGUGCAGCAAUGAGGACAAUCCUCAGUUUACGGACCCAGUCCGCAUAAUUCCUACUAUUAACUUUCAACUAAAUUUUCUCUAGGAACAUAUCUAAAAUAGUAGAACUAAAGCGCGAGCUACGACAUAAUUUGCAAAAACCUUUUGACUAUGUUCGGGAUAAUUAAGUUCAUCUUAUGAACUCCCACUCAGAUAGACAUCCCUCUAGUCAUCUAAGUGAUACAUGAUCCGAGUCAACUAGGCCGUGUCCGAUCAUCACGUGAGAUGGACUAGCCAUCAUCGGUGAACAUCUUCAUGUUGAUCGUAUCCACUAUACGACUCAUGUUCGACCUUUCAGUCUCUUGUGUUCCGAGGCCAUGUCUGUACAUGCUAGGCUCGUCAAGUCAACCUAAGUGUUUCGCGUGUGUAAAUCUGGCUUACACCCGUUGUAUGUGAACGUUAGAAUCUAUCACACCCGAUCAUCACGUGGUGCUUCGAAACAACGAACUUUCGCAACGGUGCACAGUUAGGGGGAACACUUUCUUUAAAUUAUUAUGAGGGAUCAUCUUAUUUACUACCGUCGUUCUAAGCAAAUAAGAUGCAUAAACAUGAUAAACAUCACAUGCAAUCAAAUAGUGACAUGAUAUGGCCAAUAUCAUUUUGCUCCUUUUGAUCUCCAUCUUCGGGGCUCCAUGAUCAUCAUCGUCACCGGCAUGACACCAUGAUCUCCAUCAUCGUGUCUCCAUGAAGUUGUCUCGCCAAAUAUUACUUCUAAUACUAUGGCUAACGGUUAGCAAUAAAGUAAAGUAAUUACAUGGCGUUUUCAAUGACACGCAGGUCAUACAAUAAAUUAAGACAACUCCUAUGGCUCCUGCCGGUUGUCAUACUCAUCGGCAUGCAAGUCGUGAUUCCUAUACAAGAAUAUGAUAAAUCUCAUACAUCACAUAUAUUUCAUUCAUCACAUCCUCCUUGGCCAUAUCACAUCACACGACAUAUGCUGCAAAAACAAGUUAGACGUCCUCUAAUUGUUGUUGCAAGUUUUUACAUGGCUGCUAUAGGUUUCUAGCAAGAACGCUUCUUACCUACGCCAAAACCACAACGUGAUAUGCCAAUUGCUAUUUACCCUUCAUAAGGACCCUUUUCAUCGAAUCCGAUCCGACUAAAGUGGGAGAGACAGACACCCGCUAGCCACCUUAUGCAACAAGUGCAUGUCAGUCGGUGGAACCUGUAUCACGUAAGUGUACGUGUAAGGUCGGUCCGGGCCGCUUCAUCCCACAAUAUCGUCGAAACAAGAUAGGACUAGUAACGGUAAGCAUAUUGAACAAAAUCAACGCCCACAACAACUUGUGUUCUACUCAUGCAUAGAAACUACUCAUAGACCUAGCUCAUGAUGCCACUGUUGGGGAACAUAGCAGAAAUUCAAAAUUUUCUACGCAUCACCAAGAUCAAUCUAUGGAGAGACUAGCAACGAGAGAGAGAGAGAGGGAGUACAUCUUCAUACCCUUGAAGAUUGCUAAGCGGAAACGUUACAAGAACGCGGUCCGUGGAGUCGUUCACGAAGCGAUUCAGAUCGCGGCCGAAUCUGAUCUAAGCACCGAACAACGGUGCCUCCGCGUUCAACACACGUACAGCCCGGGGACGUCUCCUCCUUCUUGAUCCAGCAAGGGGAGAGGAGAAGUUGAGGGAGAACUCCGACAGAACGACGGCAUGGUGGUGAUGGAGCUCGUGGUUCUCCGGCAGGGCUUCGCCAAGCACUACGGAGGAAGAGGAAGAUAUUGGAGGAGGGAGAGGGCUGUGCCAGGGGAAGGGUGCGGCUGCCCUCUCUCUCCCUCACUAUAUAUAGGGGGAAGGGAGGAGGGGGAGGCGCCCUAGGGUUCCCUAGGGGAGGGGCGGCGGCCACAGGGGAAACCCUAGAUGGGUUUGGGCGCCCCCACCCUCUAGGAAACUUGCCCCCCAAGCUGGGAGGGGCGGCUGCCCUAGGGGUGGCGCCCCCACCUCUCCUGGUUACAUGAGAUGGGGUGGGAGGGGCGCUCAGCCCCUUAGUGGGCUGAUGUGCCCUCUCCCCUUGGCCCAUAAGGCCCCCCAACGCUUGCUGAGCCUCCGAAACCCCUUUCGGACACACUGGUCAUCACCUGGUACCCCCGGAACAAUUCCGGACUCCAAUACCCUUCGUCCAAUAUACCGAUCUUCACCUCCGGACCAUUCCGGAGCUCCUCGUCAUGUCCGGGAUCUCAUCCGGGACUCCGAACAACCUUCGGUAACCACAUACUAUUUCCCAUAACAACUCUAGCGUCACCGAACCAUAAGUGUGUAGACCGUACGGGUUCGGGAACCAUGCAGACAUGACCGAGACGUUCUCCGGUCAAUAACCAACAACGGAAUCUAGAUACCCAUGUUGGCUCCCACAUGUUCCACGAUGAUCUCAUCAGAUGAACCACGAUGUCAAAGAUUCAAGCAAUCCCGUAUGCAAUUCCCUUUGUCAAUCGAUAUGUUACUUGCCCGAGAUUCGAUCGUCGGUAUCCCAAUACCUCAUUCAAUCUCGUUACUGGCAUGUCACUUUACUCGUUCCGUAAUGCAUGAUCCCGUGACUAACUACUUAGUCACAUUGAGCUCAUUAUGAUGAUGCAUUACCGAGUGGGCCCAGAGAUACCUCUCUGUCACACGGAGUGACAAAUCCCAGUCUCGAUUCGUGCCAACCCAACAGACACUUUCGUUGUGACGUUUGGUACACCCAAAGUACUCCUACAGUAUCAGGGAGUUACACAAUCUCAUGGUCUAAGGAAAUGAUACUUGACAUUAGAAAAGCUUUAGCAAACGAACUACACGAUCUUGUGCUAUGCUUAGGAUUGGGUCUUGUCCAUCACAUCAUUCUCCUAAUGAUGUGAUCUCGUUAUCAAUGACAUCCAAUGUCCAUGGUCAGGAAACCAUGACCAUCUGUUGAUCAACGAGUUAGUCAACUAGAGGCUCACUAGGGACAUGUUGUGGUCUAUGUAUUCACACAUGUAUUGCGGUUUCCGGUCAAUACAAUUAUAGCAUGAAUAAUAGACAAUUAUAAUGAACAAGGAAAUGCAAUAAUAACCAUUUUAUAAUUGCCUAUAGGGCAUAUUUCCAACAGUCUCCCACUUGCACUAGAGUCAAUAAUCUAGUUCACAUCACUAUGUGUUUGUAAUGAAUCAACACCCAUGGGGUUUGAUCAUAUCUCGCUUGUGAGAGAGGUUAUUAGUCAACGGAUCUGAACCUUUCAGAUCCGUGUGUGCUUUGCAAAUCUCUAUGUCAUCUCCUAGAUGCAGCUACCACGCUCUAUUUGGAGCUAUUCCAAAUAACUGUUCUACUAUACGAAUCCGCUUUACUACUCAGAAUAAUCCGUAUUAGUGUCAAAGUUUGCAUCGGCAUAACCCUUUACGACGAACUCUUUUACCACCUCCAUAACCGAGAAAAUUCCUUAGUCCAGUAGUUACUAAGGAUAAGUUUGACCGCUGUCCUGUGAUUCCUGGAUCACUCUUGUACCCCUUGACUGACUCAUGGCAAGGCACACUUCAGGUGUGGUACACAGCAUAGCAUACUAUAGAGCCUACGUCUGAAGCAUAGGGGACGACCUUCGUCCUUUCUCUCUUUUCUGCCGUGGUCAUGUCUUGAGUCUUACUCAAUAUUCACACCUUAUAACACAGCCAAGAACUCCUUCUUUGCCGAUCUAUUUUGAACUCCUUCAAAAUCUUGUCACGGUAUGUAUUUAUUUGAAAGUACUAUUAAGCAUUUUUUGAUCUAUCCUUAUAGAUCUUAAUGCUCAAUGUUCAAGUAGCUUAAUCCAGGUUUUCCAUUGAAAAACACUUUUCAAAUAACCCUAUAUGCUGUCCAGAAAUUCUACAUCAUUUCUGAUCAACAAUAUGUUAAUAACAUAUACUCAUCAGAAAUUCUAUAGUGCUCCCACUCACUUCUUUGGAAAUACAAGUUUCUCAUAAACCUUGUAUAAACCCAAAAUCUUUGAUUAUCUCAUCAAAGCGUAUAUUCCAACUCCGAGAUGCUUACUCCAGUCCUUAGAAGUAUUGCUAGAGCUUUGCAUACUUGUUAGCAUCUUUUAGGAUUGACAAAACCUUCUGGUUGUAUCACAUACAACCUUUCCUCAAGAAUAUCGUCGAGUAAAUAAUGUUUUGACAUCCUAUCUGCAAGAUUUCAUAAAUCAUGCAAUAACUGCUAAUAUAAUUCCAACAGACGCUUUAGCAUCGCUACGAGUGAGAAAGUCUCAUUGCAGUUAACUCCUUGAACUGGUCGGAAAACAUCUUAACGACAAGUCGAGAUUUCUUAAUGGUGACACUUACCAUCAUUGUCCGUCUUCCUUUUAAAAUUCAUCUGUACUCAACAGCCUUACGACCAUCGAGUAGUUCUGCCAAAGUCUACACUUUGUUUUCAUACAUGGAUCCUCUCUCGGAUUUUAUGGCCUCGAGCCAUUCAUCGGAAUCCGGGCCCACCAUCGCUUCUCCAUAGGUCGUAGGUUCAUUGUUAUCUAGCAACACGACCUCCAAGACAGGAUUACGUACCACUCUGAAGCAGUACGCAUCCUUGUCGACCUACGAGGUUUGGUAGUGACUUGAUCCGAAGUUUCAUGAUCACUAUCAUAAGCUUCUACUUCAAUUGGUGUAGGUGCCCUAGGAACAACUUCCUGUGCCCUGCUACACACUAGUUGAAGUGAUGGUUCAACAACCUCAUCAAGUCUCCACCAUCCUCCCACUCAAUUCUUUCAAGAGAAACCUUUCCUCGAGAAAGGACCCGUUUCUAGAAACAGUCACUUUUGCUUCCAGAUCUGAAAUAGGAGGUAUACCCAACAGUUUUGGGUGUCCUAUGAAGAUGUAUUUAUCCUCUUUGGGUUCGAGCUUAUCAGGAUGAAACUUUUUCACAUAAGCGUCGCAGCCCCAAACUUUCAAUAAACGACAGCUUAGGUUUCUCUAAACCAUAGUUCAUACGGUGUCAUCUCAACAGAAUUACGUGGUGCCCUAUUUAAAGUGAAUGCGGUUGUCUCUAAUGCCUAACCCAUGAACGAUAGUGGUAAUUCGAUAAGAGACAUCAUGGUAUGCCCCAUAUCCAAUAGGGUGCAUCUAUGAUGUUCGUGUUGGGGAACGUUGCAGAAAAUUAAAAUUUUUCCUAUGGUUUCACCAAGAUCCAUCUAUGAGUUCAUCUAAGCAACGAGUCUAGGGAGAGAGUUUGCAUCUACAUACCACUUGUAGAUCGCGUGCGGAAGCUUGCAAGGUGAUGAUGUAGUCGUACUCGACGUGAUCCAAAUCACCGAUGACCAGCGCCGAACGGACGGCACCUCCGCGUUCAACACACGUACGGGACGGGAGACGUCUCCUCCUUCUUGAUCCAGCAAGGGGAAGGAGAGGUUGAUGAAGAUCCAGCAGCACGACGGCGUGGUGGUGGAUGCAGGGCGUCACAGCAGCAGGGCUUCGCCGAGACUACGAGGGAGAGACGUAACGGGGGGAGGUGGAGGCGCCAGGGGCUGGUGUAUGAAGUCCCUCCUCUCCCCCACUAUAUAUAGGGGUGCCAAGGGGGGCGCCGGCCCUAGUAGAUGAGAUCUACUAGGGGGGCGGCGGCCUAGGGGAGGUUUCCCUCCCCCCCAAGGCACCUAGGGGUGCCUUCCACCACUAGGACUCCUCCUAGGGGGAAACCCUAGGCGCAUGGGCCUAUAGGGGCUGGUGCCCUUGGCCCAUGAUGGCCAAGGCGCACCCCCUACAGCCCAUGUGGCCCCCCGGGACAGGUGGCCCCACCCGGUGGACCCCCGGGACCCUUCCGGUGGUCCCGGUACAAUACCGAUAACCCCGAAACUUGUCCCGAUGCCCGAAAUAGCACUUCCUAUAUAUAAUUCUUUACCUCCGGACCAUUCCGGAACUCCUCGUGACGUCCGGGAUCUCAUCCGGGACUCCGAACAACAUUCGGGUUUCUGCAUAUACAUAUCUUCAUAACCCUAGCGUCACUGAACCUUAAGUGUGUAGACCCUACGGGUUCGGGAGACAUGCAGACAUGACCGAGACGCUCUCAGUCAAUAACCAUCAGCGGGAUCUGGAUACCCAUGAUGGCUCCCACAUGCUCCUCGAUGUUGUCAUCGGAUGAACCACGAUGUCGAGGAUUCGAUCAAACCCUGUAUGCAAUUCCCUUUGUCAAUCGGUACGUUACUUGCCCGAGACUCGAUCGUCGGUAUCCCAAUACCUUGUUCAGUCUCGUUACCGGCAAGUCACUUUACUCGUACCGUAAUGCAUGAUCCCGUGUCCAACACCUUGGUCACAUUGAGCUCAUUAUGAUGAUGCAUUACCGAGUGGGCCCAGAGAUACCUCUCCGUCAUACGGAGUGACAAAUCCCAGUCUUGAUCCGUGUCAACCCAACAGCUACUUUCGGAGAUACCUGUAAUGCACCUUUAUAGUCACCCAGUUACGUUGUGACGUUUGAUACACCCAAGGCACUCUUACGGUAUCCGGGAGUUACAUGAUCUCAUGGUCGAAGGAAGAGAUACUUGACACUUGCAAAGCUCUAGCAAAACGAACUACACGAUCUUUUAUGCUAUGCUUAGGAUUGGGUCUUGUCCAUCACAUCAUUCUCCUAAUGAUGUGAUCCCGUUAUCAACGACAUCCAAUGUCCAUAGUCAGGAAACCAUGACUAUCUGUUGAUCACAACGAGCUGGUCAACUAGAGGCUUACCAGGGACAUAGUGUUGUCUAAGUAUUCACACGUGUAUUACGAUUUCCGGAUAAUACAGUUAUAGCAUGAAUAAAAGACAAUUAUCAUGAACAAUGAAAUAUAAUAAUACUUUUAUUAUUGCCUCUAGGGCAUAUUUCCAACAGUCUCCCACUUGCACUAGAGUCACCAAUCUAGUUACAUUGUGAUGAAUCGAACACCCAUAGAGUUCUAGUGUUGAUCAUGUUUUGCACGCGAGAGAGGUUUAGUCAGCGGAUCUGCGACAUUCAGAUCCGUGUGCACUUUGCAAAUCUCUAUGUCUCCAUCUUGAACAUUUUCACGGAUGGAGUUGAAACGACGCUUGAUGUGCCUGGUCUUCUUGUGAAACCUGGGCUCCUUUGCGAGGGCAAUAGCUCCAGUGUUGUCACAGAAGAGUUUGAUCGGCCCCGACGCAUUGGGUAUGACUCCUAGGUCGGUGAUGAACUCCUUCACCCAAAUCGCUUCAUGUGCUGCCUCCGAGGCUGCCAUGUACUCCGCUUCACACGUAGAUCCUGCCACGACGCUCUGCUUGCAGCUGCACCAGCUUACUGCUCCACCAUUCAACAUAUACACGUAUCCGGUUUGUGACUUAGAGUCAUCCAGAUCUGAGUCGAAGCUAGCGUCGACGUAACCCUUUACGACGAGCUCUUCGUCUCCUCCAUAAACGAGAAACAUGUCCUUCGUCCUUUUCAGGUACUUCAGGAUAUUCUUGACCGCUGUCCAGUGUUCCUUGCCGGGAUUACUUUGGUAUCUUGCUACCAAACUUACGGCAAGGUUUACAUCGGGUCUGGUACACAGCAUGGCAUACAUAAUAGAUCCUAUGGCUGAAGCAUAGGGGAUGACACUCAUCUCUUCUUUAUCUUUUGCCGUGGUCGGUGACUGAGCCGAGCUCAGUCUCACACCUUGUAACAUAGGCAAGAACCCCUUCUUGGACUGAUCCAUUUUGAAUUUCUUCAAAACCUUGUCAAGGUAUGUGCUUUGUGAAAGACCUAUGAGGCGUCUCAAUCUAUCUCUAUAGAUCUUGAUGCCUAAUAUAUAAGCAGCUUAUCCAAGGUCCUUCAUUGAAAAACACUUAUUCAAGUAGGCCUUAAUGCUGUCCAGAAAUUCUAUAUUAUUUCCCAUCAAGAGUAUGUCAUCUACAUAUAAUAUGAGAAAUGCUACAGAGCUCCCACUCACUUUCUUGUAAACGCAGGCUUCUCCAUAAGUCUGCAUAAACCCAAACGCUUUGAUCAUCUCAUCAAAGCGAAUGUUCCAACUCCGAGAUGCUUGCACCAGUCCAUAAAUGGAUCGCUGGAGCUUGCACACUUUGUUAGCGUUCUUAGGAUAGACAAAACCUUCCGGCUGCAUCAUAUACAGCUCUUCCUUAAGAUGCCCGUUAAGGAAUGCCGUUUUGACGUCCAUCUGCCAUAUCUCAUAAUCAUAGUAUGCGGCAAUUGCUAACAUGAUUCGGACGGACUUUAGCUUCGCUACGGGAGAGAAAGUCUCGUCGUAGUCAAUCCCUUGAACUUGUCGAUAACCCUUAGCGACAAGUCGAGCUUUAUAGAUGGUGACAUUACCAUCCGCGUCCGUCUUCUUCUUAAAGAUCCAUUUGUUUUCUAUCGCUCGCCGAUCAUCGGGCAAGUCUGUCAAAGUCCAUACUUUGUUUUCGUACAUGGAUUCUAUCUCGGAUUUCAUGGCUUCAAGCCAUUUGUUGGAAUCUGGGCCCGCCAUCGCUUCUUCAUAGUUCGAAGGUUCACCGUUGUCUAACAACAUGAUUUCCAGGACAGGGUUGCCGUACCACUCUGGUGCGGAACGUGUCCUUGUAGACCUACGAAGUUCAGCAGUAACUUGAUCCGAAGUACCUUGAUCAUCAUCAUUGUUUUUCUCUUCAGUUGGAGUGGGCAUCACAGGAACGGUUUCCUGCGCUGCGCCACUUUCCCGCUCAAGAGGCAGUACUUCAUCGAGUUCUACUUUCCUCCCACUUACUUCUUUCGAGAGAAACUCUUUUUCCAGAAAGCAUCCGUUCUUGGCAACAAAGAUCUUGCCUUCGGAUCUUAAGUAGAAGGUAUACCCGACAGUUUCCUUAGGGUAUCCUAUGAAGACGCAUUUUUCCGACUUGGGUUCGAGCUUUUCAGGUUGAAGUUUCUUGACAUAAGCAUCGCAUCCCCAAACUUUUAGAAAUGACAGCUUAGGUUUCUUUCCAAACCAUAAUUCAUACGGUGUCGUCUCAACGGAUUUAGACGGUGCCCUAUUUAAAGUGAAUGUAGCUGUCUCUAGAGCGUAUCCCCAAAAUGAUAGCGGUAAAUCGGUAAGAGACAUCAUAGACCGCACCAUAUCCAAUAGAGUGCGAUUACGACGUUCGGACACACCGUUUCGUUGAGGUGUUCCAGGCGGCGUGAGUUGUGAAACGAUUCCACAUUUCCUUAAGCGUGUGCCAAAUUCGUGACUUAAAUAUUCUCCUCCACGAUCUGAUCGUAGGAACUUUAUCUUUCGGUCACGUUGAUUCUCCACCUCAUUCUGAAAUUCCUUGAACUUUUCAAAGGUCUCAGACUUGUGUUUCAUUAAGUAGACAUACCCAUAUCUACUUAAGUCAUCAGUGAGAGUGAGAACAUAACGAUAUCCUCCGCGAGCCUCAACGCUCAUUGGACCGCACACAUCGGUAUGUAUGAUUUUCAACAAGUUGGUUGCUCGCUCCAUUGUUCCGGAGAACGGAGUCUUGGUCAUCUUGCCCAAAAGGCAUGGUUCGCAUGUGUCAAAUGAUUCAUAAUCAAGAGACUCCAAAAGUCCAUCGGCAUGGAGCUUCUUCAUGCGCUUGACACCAAUGUGACCAAGGCGGCAGUGCCACAAGUAUGUGGGACUAUCGUUAUCAACUUUAAAUCUUUUGGCAUCUACACUAUGAACAUGUGUAAUAUUACGCUCGAGAUUCAUUAAGAAUAAACCAUUGACCAUCGGAGCAUGACCAUAAAACAUAUCUCUCAUAUAAAUCGAACAACCAUUAUUCUCAGACUUAAAUGAGUAGCCAUCUUGUAUUAAACGAGAUCCAGAUACAAUAUUCAUGCUCAAACUUGGCACUAAAUAACAAUUAUUAAGGUUCAAAACUAAUCCCGUAGGUAAAUGUAGAGGCAGCGUGCCGACGGCGAUCACAUCGACUCUGGAACCAUUCCCGACGCGCAUCGUCACCUCGUCCUUCGCCAGUCUCCGUUUAUUCCGCAGCUCCUGCUGUGAGUUACAAAUAUGAGCAACGGCACCGGUAUCAAAUACCCAGGAGUUACUACGAGUACUGGUAAGGUACACAUCAAUCACAUGUAUAUCAAAUAUACCUUUGGUGUUGCCGGCCUUCUUAUCUGCUAAGUAUUUGGGGCAGUUCCGCUUCCAGUGACCCUUCCCCUUGCAAUAAAAGCACUCAGUCUCAGGCUUGGGUCCAUUCUUUGACUUCUUCCCGGUAACUGGCUUACCAGGCGCGGCAACAUCUUUGCCGUCCUUCUUGAAGUUCUUCUUACCCUUGCCCUUCUUGAACUUAGUGGUCUUAUUGACCAUCAACACUUGAUGUUCUUUCUUGAUUUCAGCCUCUGCUGACUUCAGCAUCGAGAACACUUCAGGAAUGGUCUUUUCCAUCCCCUGCAUGUUGUAGUUCAUUACAAAGCUCUUGUAGCUUGGUGGGAGCGACUGGAGGAUUUUGUCAAUGACCGCCUCAUCUGGGAGGUUAAUGUUCAGCUGGGUCAUACGGUUGUGCAACCCAGACAUCUUUAGGAUGUGCUCACUGACAGAACUGUUUUCCUCCAUCUUACAACUGUAGAACUUGUCGGAGACAUCAUAUCUCUCGACCCGGGCAUGAGCUUGAAAAACUAGUUUCAGCUCUUCGAACAUCUCAUAUGCUCCGUGGUGCUCAAAACGUUUUUGGAGCCCCGGUUCUAAGCUGUAAAGCAUGCCGCACUGAACGAGGGAGUAAUCAUCAGCGCGAGCUUGCCAAGCAUUCAUAAUGUCUUGGUUCUCGGGGACGGGAGCGUCACCUAGCAGUCCUUCUAGGACAUAUUGUUUCCUGGCAGCUAUGAGGAUGAUCCUCAGGUUCCGGACCCAGUCCGUAUAGUUGCUGCCAUCAUCUUUCAGCUUGGUUUUCUCUAGGAACGCGUUGAAGUUCAUGUUGACAUUAGCGUUGGCCAUUGAUCUACAAGACAUAUUUGCAAAGGUUUUAGACUAAGUUCAUGAUAAUAAAGUUCUAAUCAAAUUAUGAACUCCCACUUAGAUUAGACAUCCCUCUAGUCAUCUAAGUGUUACACGAUCUGAGUCGACUAGCCCGUGUCCGAUCAUCACGUGAGACGGACUAGUCAUCGUCGGUGAACAUUCUCAUGUUGAUCGUAUCUUCUAUACGAUUCGUGUUCGACCUUUCGGUCUCCGUGUUCCGAGGCCAUGUCUGCACAUGCUAGGCUCGUCAAGUUAACCCUAAGUGUUUUCGCUGUGUAAAACUGUCUUACACCCGUUGUAUGUGAACGUAAGAAUCCAUCACACCCGAUCAUCACGUGGUGCUUAGAAGCGACGAACUGUAGCAACGGUGCACAGUUAGGGGAGAACACUUCUUGAAAUUUUGUAAGGGAUCAUCUUAUUUACUACCGUCGUCCUAAGUAAACAAGAUGCAUAAACAUAAUAAACAUCACAUGCAAUUAUAUGGUUGUGACAUGAUAUGGCCAAUAUCAUAUAGCUCCAUUGAUCUUCAUCUUCGGGGCUCCAUGAUCAUCUUGUCACCGGCUUGACACCAUGAUCUCCAUCAUCAUGAUCUCCAUCAUCGUGUCUUCAUGAAGUUGUCACGCCAACGACUACUUCUACUUCUAUGACUAACGUUUAGCAAUAAAGUAAAGUAGUUUACAUGGCGUUGUUCAAUGACACGCAGGUCAUACAAAAAAUAAUGACAACUCCUAUGGCUCCAGCCGGUUGUCAUACUCAUCGACAUGCAAGUCGUGAAUCCUAUUACAAAGAACAUGAUCUCAUACAUCACAAUUCAUCAUUCAUCACAACUUCUGGCCAUAUCACAUCACAUGAUCAAUCGCUGCAAAAACAAGUUAGACGUCCUCUAAUUGUUGUUGCAUCUUUUACGUGGCUGCAAUUGGGUUCUAGCAAGAACGUUUUCUUACCUAUGAUUCACCACAACGUGAUUUUGUCAACUUCUAUUUACCCUUCAUAAGGGCCCUGUUCAUCGAUUCCGCUCCAACUAAGGUGGGAGAGACAGACACCCGCCAGCCACCUUAUGCAACUUGUGCAUGUCAGUCGGUGGAACCGGUCUCACGUAAGCGUACGUGUAAGGUUGGUCCGGGCCGCUUCAUCCCACAAUACCGUUGAGCAAGAAAAGACUAGUAGAGGCAAGUAAGAUGACAAAAUCCACGCCCACAACAAAUUGUGUUCUACUCGUGCAUUAGAGAACUACGCAUAGACCUAGCUCAUGAUGCCACUGUUGGGGAACGUUGCAGAAAAUUAAAAUUUUUCCUACGGUUUCACCAAGAUCCAUCUAUGAGUUCAUCUAAGCAACGAGUCUAGGGAGAGAGUUUGCAUCUACAUACCACUUGUAGAUCGCGUGCGGAAGCUUGCAAGGUGAUGAUGUAGUCGUACUCGACGUGAUCCAAAUCACCGAUGACCAGCGCUGAACGGACGGCACCUCCGCGUUCAACACACGUACGGGACGGGAGACGUCUCCUCCUUCUUGAUCCAGCAAGGGGGAAGGAGAGGUUGAUGAAGAUCCAGCAGCACGACGGCGUGGUGGUGGAUGCAGGGCGUCACAGCAGCAGGGCUUCGCCGAGACUACGAGGGAGAGACGUAACGGGGGGAGAUGGAGGCGCCAGGGGCUGGUGUAUCAAGUCCCUCCUCUCCCCCACUAUAUAUAGGGGUGCCAGGGGGGGCGCCGGCCCUAGUAGAUGAGAUCUACUAGGGGGGGCGGCGGCCUAGGGGAGGUUUCCCUCCCCCCCAAGGCACCUAGGGGUGCCUUCCACCACUAGGACUCCUCCUAGGGGGAAACCCUAGGCGCAUGGGCCUAUAGGGGCUGGUGCCCUUGGCCCAUGAUGGCCAAGGCGCACCCCCUACAGCCCAUGUGGCCCCCCGGGACAGGUGGCCCCACCCGGUGGACCCCCGGGACCCUUCAGGUGGUCCCGGUACAAUACCGAUAACCCCGAAACUUGUCCCGAUGCCCGAAAUAGCACUUCCUAUAUAUAAUUCUUUACCUCCGGACCAUUCCGGAACUCCUCGUGACGUCCGGGAUCUCAUACGGGACUCCGAACAACAUUCGGGUUUCUGCAUAUACAUAUCUUCAUAACCCUAGCGUCACCGAACCUUAAGUGUGUAGACCCUACGGGUUCGGGAGAGAUGCAGACAUGACCGAGACGCUCUCAGUCAAUAACCAUCAGCGGGAUCUGGAUACCCAUGAUGGCUCCCACAUGCUCCUCGAUGUUGUCAUCGGAUGAACCACGAUGUCGAGGAUUCGAUCAAACCCUGUAUGCAAUUCCCUUUGUCAAUCGGUACGUUACUUGCCCGAGACUCGAUCGUCGGUAUCCCAAUACCUUGUUCAGUCUCGUUACCGGCAAGUCACUUUACUCGUACCGUAAUGCAUGAUCCCGUGUCCAACACCUUGGUCACAUUGAGCUCAUUAUGAUGAUGCAUUACCGAGUGGGCCCAGAGAUACCUCUCCGUCAUACGGAGUGACAAAUCCCAGUCUCGAUCCGUGUCAACCCAACAACUACUUUCGGAGAUACCUGUAAUGCACCUUUAUAGUCACCCAGUUAUGUUGUGACGUUUGAUACACCCAAGGCACUCUUACGGUAUCCGGGAGUUACACGAUCUCAUGGUCGAAGGAAGAGAUACUUGACACUUGCAAAGCUCUAGCAAAACGAACUACACGAUCUUUUAUGCUAUGCUUAGGAUUGGGUCUUGUCCAUCACAUCAUUCUCCUAAUGAUGUGAUCCCGUUAUCAACGACAUCCAAUGUCCAUAGUCAGGAAACCAUGACUAUCUGUUGAUCACAACGAGCUGGUCAACUAGAGGCUUACCAGGGACAUAGUGUGGUCUAAGUAUUCACACGUGUAUUACGAUUUCCGGAUAAUACAGUUAUAGCAUGAAUAAAAGACAAUUAUCAUGAACAAUGAAAUAUAAUAAUACUUUUAUUAUUGCCUCUAGGGCAUAUUUCCAACAGUUCGGACACACCAUCACACUAUGGUGUUCCAGGCGAUGUUAGUUGUGAAACAAUUUCCACAAUGUCUCAAUUGUGUACCAAACUCGCAACUCAGAUAUUCAUCUCUAUGAUCAUAUCAUAGACAUUUUAUCCUCUUGUCACGAAGAUCUUCAACUUCACUCUGAAAUUACUUGAACCUUUCAAUAAUGCAGACUUGUGUUUCAUCAAGUAAAUAUACUCAACAUCUACUCAAAUCAUCUGUGAAGUAAGAACAUAACGAUAUCAACUGCAUGCCUCAACACUCAUUGGACUGCACACAUCAAAAUGUGUUACUUCCAACAAGUUGCUUUCUUGUUCCAUCUUACUGAAAACGAGGCUUUUCAGUCAUCUAGCCCAUGUGGUAUGAUUUGCAUGUCUCAGGUGAUUCAAAAUCAAGUGAGUCCAAACGAUCCAUCUGCAUGGAGUUUCUUCAUGCGUACAUACUAAUAGACAUGGUUCACAUGUCUCAAACUUUUCAAAAAACGAGUGAGUCCAAAGAUCCAUCAACAUGGAGCUUCUUCAUGCGUUUUAUACCAAUAUGACUUACAUGGCAGUGCCACAAGUAGGUGGUACUAUCAUUACUAUCUUAUAUCUUUUGGCAUGAACAUGUGUAUCACUACGAUCGAGAUUCAAUAAACCAUUCAUUUUAGGUGUAAGACCAUUGAAGGUAUUAUUCAAAUAAACAGAGUAACCAUUAUUCUCCUUAAAUGAAUAAUUGUAUUGCGAUAGACAUAAUCCAAUCAUGUCUAUGCUCAACGCAAACACCAAAUAACAAUUAUUUAGGUUUAACACCGAUCCCGAUGAUAGAGGGAGUGUGCGAUGUUUGAUCACAUCAACCUUGGAAAUACUUCCAACAAAUAUCAUCACCUCGCCUUUAGCUAGUCUCCGUUUAUUCCGUAGCCUUUUAUUUUGAGUUACUAACACUUAGCAACUGAACCGAUAUCUAUUACUAUGGUGCUACCAGGAGUACUAGUAAAGUACACAUCAAUAUAAUGUAUAUUCAAUAUACUCCUGUCGACCUUGCCAGCCUUCUCAUCUACCAAGUAUCUAGGGUAGUUCUGCUUCAGUGACUGUUCCCCUCAUUACAGAAGCACUUAGUCUCGGGUUUGGGUUUGACCUUGGGUUUCUUCACUAGAGCAGAAACUGAUUUGCCAUUUCAUGAAGUAUCCCUUCUUGCCCUUGCCCUUCUUGAAACUAGUGGUUUCACUAACCAUCAACAAUUGAUGCUCCUUCUUGAUUUCUACUUUCGUGGUGUCAAACAUCGUGAAUAUUUCAAGGAUCAUCAUAUCUAUCCUUGAUAUGUUAUAGUUCAUCACGAAGCUCUAGCAGCUUGGUGGCAAUGACUUUGGAGAAACAUCACUAUCUCAUCUGGAAGAUUAACUCCCACUCGAUUCAAGUAAUUGUUGUACUCAGACAAUCCAAGAACAAGCUCAACGAUUGAGCUUUUCUCCCUUAGUUUGCAGUCUAAGAAACUCGUCGGAGGUCUCAUACCUCUUGACGUGGACACGAGCCUAAAAUCCCAAUUUCAGCCCUCGAAACAUCUCAUAUGUUCCGCGACAUUUUGAAAUCAUCUUCGGUGCCUCAAUUCUAAACCGUUUAAUAUCACUGAACUAUCACGUAGUUAUCAAAACGUGUAUGUCAAAUGUUCGCAACAUCCACAGACGACGCUCGAGAUUCAGCACACCGAGCGGUGCAUUAAGGACAUAAGCCUUCUGUGCAGCAACGAGGACAAUCCUCAGUUUACGGACCCAGUCCGCAUAAUUCCUACUAUUAACUUUCAACUAAAUUUUCUCUAGGAACAUAUCUAAAAUAGUAGAACUAAAGCGCGAGCUACGACAUAAUUUGCAAAAACCUUUUGACUAUGUUCGGGAUAAUUAAGUUCAUCUUAUGAACUCCCAUUCAGAUAGACAUCCCUCUAGUCAUCUAAGUGAUACAUGAUCCGAGUCAACUAGGCCGUGUCCGAUCAUCACGUGAGAUGGACUAGCCAUCAUCGGUGAACAUCUUCAUGUUGAUCGUAUCCACUAUACGACUCAUGUUCGACCUUUCAGUCUCUUGUGUUCCGAGGCCAUGUCUGUACAUGCUAGGCUCGUCAAGUCAACCUAAGUGUUUCGCGUGUGUAAAUCUGGCUUACACCCGUUGUAUGUGAACGUUAGAAUCUAUCACACCCGAUCAUCACGUGGUGCUUCGAAACAACGAACUUUCGCAACGGUGCACAGUUAGGGGGAACACUUUCUUUAAAUUAUUAUGAGGGAUCAUCUUAUUUACUACCGUCGUUCUAAGCAAAUAAGAUGCAUAAACAUGAUAAACAUCACAUGCAAUCAAAUAGUGACAUGAUAUGGCCAAUAUCAUUUUGCUCCUUUUGAUCUCCAUCUUCGGGGCUCCAUGAUCAUCAUCGUCACCGGCAUGACACCAUGAUCUCCAUCAUCGUGUCUCCAUGAAGUUGUCUCGCCAAAUAUUACUUCUACUACUAUGGCUAACGGUUAGCAAUAAAGUAAAGUAAUUAUAUGGUGUUUUCAAUGACACGCAGGUCAUACAAUAAAUUAAGACAACUCCUAUGGCUCCUGCCGGUUGUCAUACUCAUCGGCAUGCAAGUCGUGAUUCCUAUUACAAGAAUAUGAUAAAUCUCAUACAUCACAUAUAUUUCAUUCAUCACAUCCUUCUUGGCCAUAUCACAUCACACGACAUAUGCUGCAAAAACAAGUUAGACGUCCUCUAAUUGUUGUUGCAAGUUUUUACAUGGCUGCUAUAGGUUUCUAGCAAGAACGCUUCUUACCUACGCCAAAACCACAACGUGAUAUGCCAAUUGCUAUUUACCCUUCAUAAGGACCCUUUUCAUCGAAUCCGAUCCGACUAAAGUGGGAGAGACAGACACCCGCUAGCCACCUUAUGCAACAAGUGCAUGUCAGUCGGUGGAACCUGUAUCACGUAAGUGUACGUGUAAGGUCGGUCCGGGCCGCUUCAUCCCACAAUACCGUCGAAACAAGAUAGGACUAGUAACGGUAAGCAUAUUGAACAAAAUCAACGCCCACAACAACUUGUGUUCUACUCAUGCAUAGAAACUACUCAUAGACCUAGCUCAUGAUGCCACUGUUGGGGAACCUAGCAGAAAUUCAAAAUUUUCUACGCAUCACCAAGAUCAAUCUAUGGAGAGACUAGCAACGAGAGAGAGAGAGAGGGAGUACAUCUUCACACCCUUGAAGAUUGCUAAGCGGAAACGUUACAAGAACGCGGUCCGUGGAGUCGUUCACGAAGCGAUUCAGAUCGCGGCCGAAUCCGAUCUAAGCACCGAACAACGGUGCCUCCGCGUUCAACACACGUACAGCCCGGGGACGUCUCCUCCUUCUUGAUCCAGCAAGGGGAGAGGAGAAGUUGAGGGAGAACUCCGACAGAACGACGGCAUGGUGGUGAUGGAGCUCGUGGUUCUCCGGCAGGGCUUCGCCAAGCACUACGGAGGAAGAGGAAGAUAUUGGAGGAGGGAGAGGGCUGUGCCAGGGGAAGGGUGCGGCUGCCCUCUCUCUCCCUCACUAUAUAUAGGGGGAAGGGAGGAGGGGGAGGCGCCCUAGGGUUCCCUAGGGGAGGGGCGGCGGCCACAGGGGAAACCCUAGAUGGGUUUGGGCGCCCCCACCCUCUAGGAAACUUGCCCCCCAAGCUGGGAGGGGCGGCUGCCCUAGGGGUGGCGCCCCCACCUCUCCUGGUUACAUGAGAUGGGGUGGGAGGGGCGCUCAGCCCCUUAGUGGGCUGAUGUGCCCUCUCCCCUUGGCCCAUAAGGCCCCCAACGCUUGCCGAGCCUCCGAAACCCCUUUCGGACACACUGGUCAUCACCUGGUACCCCCGGAACAAUUCCGGACUCCAAUACCCUUCGUCCAAUAUACCGAUCUUCACCUCCGGACCAUUCCGGAGCUCCUCGUCAUGUACGGGAUCUCAUCCGGGACUCCGAACAACCUUCGGUAACCACAUACUAUUUCCCAUAACAACUCUAGCGCCACCGAACCUUAAGUGUGUAGACCCUACGGGUUCGGGAACCAUGCAGACAUGACCGAGACGUUCUCCGGUCAAUAACCAACAACGGGAUCUAGAUACCCAUGUUGGCUCCCACAUGUUCCACGAUGAUCUCAUCAGAUGAACCACGAUGUCAAAGAUUCAAGCAAUCCUGUAUGCAAUUCCCUUUGUCAAUCGAUAUGUUACUUGCCCGAGAUUCGAUCGUCGGUAUCCCAAUACCUCAUUCAAUCUCGUUACCGGCAUGUCACUUUACUCGUUCCAUAAUGCAUGAUCCCGUGACUAACUACUUAGUCACAUUGAGCUCAUUAUGAUGAUGCAUUACCGAGUGGGCCCAGAGAUACCUCUCUGUCAUACAGAGUGACAAAUCCCAGUCUCGAUUCGUGCCAACCCAACAGACACUUUUGGAGAUACCCGUAGUGCACCUUUAUAGCCACCCAGUUACGUUGUGACGUUUGGUACACCCAAAGUACUCCUACAGUAUCAGGGAGUUACACAAUGUCAUGGUCUAAGGAAAUGAUACUUGACAUUAGAAAAGCUUUAGCAAACGAACUACACGAUCUUGUGCUAUGCUUAGGAUUGAGUCUUGUCCAUCACAUCAUUCUCCUAAUGAUGUGAUCCCGUUAUCAAUGACAUCCAAUGUCCAUGGUCAGGAAACCAUGACCAUCUGUUGAUCAACGAGGUAGUCAACUAGAGGCUCACUAGGGACAUGUUGUGGUCUAUGUAUUCACACAUGUAUUGCAGUUUCCGGUCAAUACAAUUAUAGCAUGAAUAAUAGACAAUUAUCAUGAACAAGAAAAUACAAUAAUAACCUUUUUAUUAUUGCCUCUAGGGCAUAUUUCCAACAACUUUAUUUCUUCAAAAUCCAUACGAAGACGUGUGGAAUGAAGGUCUUCAAGAUAGAGUAACAAAGGCCUUAAAGUUUCCAGGAAAAACGUAGUCAUACAACACACAUGCAACUCUCUUCAAAACCGUGUCAAGUUUCUAUUGUUACAAUUGAGAGCGACUACUUCAGGCUUGAAAAGAUUUCUCUUCAGUCAGCUUUCCCUCCACCGUUCGAUAUGCAUCCAACGGGCCCAUAAACUUCUUCUUCCUCCAGGACCAAUGCCAUCACACACGAACGCCCACACUGCAGCCUCGCCGCCGCCACUGUCACCAGUCAUUCCUCUAACACACCUCCACCGAACCCCACAACCCGCCACAUCCUACAUGUCAUGCGUCGACGAUGCCAUGGCAAUUUGCGUCGUCCAUGCCUCCGUCUAGGUCCAAGCUCUGCAUAUUGGAGACAGUCGCGACAUGCAGUGUCACCUCCAUCUCGGCCUUAGCGUCGUCUCACCUACUUCUUAGUCACAUGUCGACUAACAUGGUUGAAAAUUCCAGUCAGCUGUUAAAUAGCAAACACAGUUAUAAUUACAGGAAAUAACUUCACUUAUAAGGGGAAGGGUCUCAAAAGAAUUUAAUGACACCCUCGCUGUCCAAUUUGUCGAUCGGGAUGUUGACUCUUCCAAGGGUUGAUUAUGAACCAAAAGUUUCAUGUAGAAACAGGAGAUUACAACCAAGAACCAAGAAAAAAGAGCAUACAAAACUUCGUCCCUUUUGGGGAGAUGUCAAAUUACCAAGUCCCUCAUUAUAUCCUUCGGCUUAGGACGCAUACAAAACUAUAGAGUUAUACAUUCUAGGCAAAAAGGGGUUAAAUCAAAUAAAGCCACUCAGGAGAAAGGCCAUGAAAAGAUUUCACGUCCACUAAGAAAAGGUAAAUGAAUUAAAACAAUUUUCUUAAGGUACAACUUGCUAUUAAUAAGACAAUUCUUGUUUCUAUUAGCAGAGAAAAAAAAGGUAACAUAGUUUGAGGCUAAGCUUCAUUUACAAAAAACUUUGCCUUUUGUGGGGAGAGAUGAAAAAACCCGUCAGUCGUCAUCAUAUUGGACUACCAUAGCAAAAGCUAGCUCAGACAUGCAUAAACUCCUUAAUUUUGUAAAUAUCAUUUUUAGUCGGGAGAAAUACCUUUUGGAUCUCGGGUGUAGGUGCAACCUAUAUGGGAAAAUAGUAAUUCCAAGAAAGGUGAAGAAGUUAUGAAACAUUUUCAGAAACAAACUUGACCAUCAAUUGUAUUCGUAUAAAAAAUUUCAUUAAGAAAAACUCCCAUCGCCUUUAGUGCAAAAAAAUAUAUCAAGGAUAAAAAGCAUGAAUAUUAACUUGUAUAUAGUGCUGAUUUUUUCCCCACCUAGAACAGCAUGAAAGUCAUUCAUUGACCCAAACAUAAUUUUAUAACUUUUUCUAGAAUUGCUAUUUUUUCCCCAUAUAUGGUGCUCCUACACCCGAGAGCCAAAGUUGCCUUCUAUUGUAUUAAAAUGUCAAAUGAAGGCCUUAAUUUGAAAACUAUGAAAUUCAAACUUUCUAGUUUUAAAAAAGUAUGAAAAAAUACACAUAUACCUAGAGACAAAAUGUACAUGCGUGUAAAUUUUCAUGUCAAAAUACGAGGGCUGCAGAAAGACAAUUUUGUGCAUUUUUAGCAUAUGUACUGUUAAUCCUCAAAGUCCACAAUUUUGUGCAGCUCAAAUUUUAAGGUAUUUCAUCCUAUAAUUUUACACACAUGCACAUUAUAUCCUUGUAAACAUGUAUAUUGAAUUUUAGUUUUUUAAUUAAAAAUUUGAUUUUUUUAUAAAAUUAAGCCCUAUAUGAAAUCCGGUCCCCAAAAUGCCAUACUCUCUGUUGUUUUUUUAGAAAAGGAGAAUGACCCCGGCCUCUGCAUCUGGACGAUGCAUACAGCCAUUUUAUUAGUUAUUCUUACAAGACCUUACAAAGUAAUACCACAGUAAGACUAAAGCCGCCGUCUAAGCAACAAACUGUCGCUACAUCUAUCCAGCUGAUGAAGGGGCGCAGAUAGCCUGUGCCUAAUACCAAACAGACAUCGCAGCUAAACCUAACAUCUAAGACUUGAAAACCCAUCCAAGACGCCUGCCGGGCAUGGAUCUCGCCGGUCCGGCGUGCUCACAGAGGCCGCCGCCGCCAACUGCCACCGCUCCAUCUUCAAAACUGUACUGAUGCAUUAACCUUGGUCGGUCUAGCUAUCGUCGACGCCACCACGGCGCCCAACGGCACCUUCUCCCUGCGUGCAAACAGCUAUGCACGUCGCGGUCGCCACUGAUACACCUCAGCACCAUGCUGCCAAGUACCACCAGCCGACACAACUUGAAGUCUUUAGAAAAUCUGUCGUGCGUAGCACCUGCCGACCAUGCAUGACAAAGCGUAGCACCUGUCGGUCAGGCAUGACUUGACAUCUUCACCGAAGCUCCGUGCAAGACGAAGCCGCUACACCUCCUGCAUCUGACUUCCAGCGCUGCUCCACAAACGAUGCUCUCAACAGAGAAACGACACCGCAAUGCCGCCAUCGUCCGAUCUGGAACACCAGAUCCUAGGGUUUCCCCCAGAGCAGCACGAGUGGGUCGACAGUAGUUACACGACAAUGCCUCUAUCAAGGUAACGACGUAGAACGCCGCCAUCGCCUGCAACGGCUCGGUUUUCAUCGGCAACCAUGUCUCCCCAACUCGCAGUCGGGACUAGAUGAUGGAUCUCGAGAUCUGAUCACCAAGCCUCUGGCCGGCCAUCUUUGACGACGAAGAUGACCACCACCAUUGACCAACGAGACGACGCGAGAUGAAGUAGGGCGCUGCCAGCGUGCGUCCUGGCCAGCACCACCGGCGCUAGGCCCAUCCCGGAUCACGCCUCAUGGCCGAGGGCAACGGCAAGCGCUGCCACGACGAGGACGCAGACCGGAAGCUCAGAUCCGGGCCCACCCGCGCGCCGCCACGUGGCCACCACUAAGCGCCGUUCAGGGGCAGCCCCCGCUGCCGUGAGGGACGCCGGCUCACGGGCAGGAGGCGCGAGCCCCCAGCGGAACACCGUCGCGCGCCACCGGCCGCAGCGAGAUCGCCACCGGCCGCCGCGAGAUCUGCGCGAGAACGGCGAGUACGCCCCACCGCCACCUUCCCUGGGGACCACACGGGCUUCGUCGGUGUCCCGUCCGGCGGCGGCGAAGCGGGGGAGGAGCAUGGAGGGGCGGCUGGCGGCGCGGUUAGGGUUAGGGGCGAGGAGGGGCAGCGCCAUACUCUCUGUUGUACUUGUAUAAAAACUUUGACCAAUAAAUCACUGUUGUGUUGUAUUUGUAUAAAAACUUUGACCAAUAAAUUACUUUCACGGGAAAUGACUUCCACGGUAUUUUUGGUGAAAAAUAUCAACAAUAUAUACAAGUAAUCAUUCACGUUUUUCGUCGUCUGAUUUUUAUUUUCCAAAGUCGACGGGACAUUUUUUUCUUGGCAUAACAAAAGGUCAAAUUUGUUUUCGAAAAUGUUUCAGAACUUAUGUUUUUUUGGAAUUACUUCCCACAUAUGUGCUCACACCCGAGAGUACCACGGCAUUUCCCAAGCUCUGUCGAGAUAAAACAGGUUUGUGCAUAAAACACGUCACUCUUUUAGCCCCCACACAAUCAUGGUUGCUUUAUUUUUCGUUGUGUCAAAAUAAAUGCAUUUGAAAAUCAGUUCAUAAUACACUGAAUCGGUCAUCUCAUAUAUCCUCAUAUAUGAAAAUGCCAAGACAUCCAGGAAUUUUCUCCCUGCUGAAAAAAGCACUUCAGAACUAGUUCAUUUUCCACCUAAUUUUGCUAGUUCCACAUGUUCUGAUCUUAUCCAGUUUUCCGUUAAGUUACAAACACAACUUUCUGAAUUUUCAGAACACUGAGCACGAACGAACAUCUUGGAUUUUUCAAUGGAAAAUGUGGCCAAAAGAUUCGCAUGUUUUAUUGAGGCGAUGACGGAGAACAUCCCCAUUUCCAUUAACGAAACAUCAAACCAUCACUCGUCACACGGAACUCGCUACCAAGUACCAACUCACACUCUGCUUCGAUUCGACGCGCACACGACGCAUCUCAGGCGACCUGGACCUGGAUGGUCUUGGGCUUCUUGGGCUCGGGCGGGGGCAGCUUGUCGACGGUCACGGUGAGCACGCCGUCGCGGCACACGGCGGAGAUCUUCUCCAUGUCGGCGUUCUCGGGGAGCACGAACUUGCGCAUCAGCUUGCCCAUGCGGCGCUCCAUCCGCAGGUACUUGGCGUCUUCCUUCUCCUCCCUCCUGCGCUCGCCGCUGAUCACCAGCACCCGCUCGUCCUCCACCUGCACCUUGAUGUCGCCGGACCCGAGACCUGGCAUGUCCACCACAAACGCGUACGCGCCCGGCAGCUCCUUCACGUCGGCGGGGGUUGCCGCCAUGGCUCGCGCGUCACGGACGUAAGCGCGCGUCGGGCCCUGCUUCUCGCCGCCGGCGGUGUUGCCGGCCUCGCCGUCUGGGAUGUCCAGCAGGUGCUGCAGCGCCGUCAUCAUCGGGUUCUCCAAGCCGAACACCAUGCCCGCCAUUGUCCCUCGCUGAUCUCGAGCUCGAUCGAUCUCCUCGGGUUGGACUUGGGAUUGCUUGUUGAAUUUUGUGGAAUUUGGUGGGGAUGCGAUGGCGAGGAGGAGGAAGUCUAUGUAGGUCUCCGGAGGCGGGGGUCUGGACGGUGAUGGAAACUUCUGAAAGGUGGUGGAACGAGCGCGGAGCAGUGGGGAGUCCUUCGGGCACCGAUGGAGAAAAUUCUAGAGGAUCGACCUUCAGAAUUGGUAGUGCGGUAGCUUUGUGCCCCACAUGUCAUUCGGGGCAGCAGAGAGAUUUUUUUUUUCUUUCUAUAGGAUACGCACAGAGAGAUUUUCCUUUUGAAAGAAAAACGCAGAGUUUUUUCUAGGCAAUGAUAGGCGCCAGUGCGCCGUCCUAAAUUUGGGCCGGUCGCACCCUGAGCGUCCGAUGCACUGCCCUUUAACCGUUCAGAUCGACCGUCUGCUUCGUUCUCAUCCUCCCGUCGUCUAUCUUCUUCCCCCCAAAUACGCGAGAAAAAAGCGACGGCGAGCGCCGCCGGCCAGGCGGCCACCUUCCUCCCAGCCAUGGGCACGCGCCUCUCGCCGUUGACGGUGCGCUUGGCCUUCCCCAUCGCCGUUCAAAUCGCUCACCAUGGCUACCUCGUCGUGCAGCUCCUGGUCGUGGACGCGUCGCUGCUCCAGCAACGCCGUUCCUAGCACUGGCCGGAGAGGGUUGUAGCUCCCGGCCCCCAUGGUUGCAGCACCGGGUUGCGCCGCCCCCGCCGCCUCUCGCCGUCAACGCUCGGUGUCGUGGUUCUAAGUCUGACAGUAAUGUAGGGGGGUAGGUAUGGAGAGGCAAGAUCCUAGCUAUCGAGUAGUUGUAUACGCAAGGGAUUUACGAGUUCAGGUCCUUCUCGGAGGAAGUAACAACCCUACGUCUCGGAGCCCGGAGGCAGUCGACUGGAUUAUAUGCGUAUGAGUUACAGGGGUGCGANNNNNNNNNNNNNNNNNNNNNNNNNNNNNNNNNNNNNNNNNNNNNNNNNNNNNNNNNNNNNNNNNNNNNNNNNNNNNNNNNNNNNNNNNNNNNNNNNNNNNNNNNNNNNNNNNNNNNNNNNNNNNNNNNNNNNNNNNNNNNNNNNNNNNNNNNNNNNNNNNNNNNNNNNNNNNNNNNNNNNNNNNNNNNNNNNNNNNNNNNNNNNNNNNNNNNNNNNNNNNNNNNNNNNNNNNNNNNNNNNNNNNNNNNNNNNNNNNNNNNNNCAGACCCCUCCGGCCCUCAGUUAUGCAGGGUUGAAGCUACAUUAAGAUUGAGCGUUACUGGUAACGCUACACAUAAAGUGCUAUGAUGACUAUAAAAGCUACUUAAUGACUGUCCGUUGGCGUGCAGAGUGACUUUAGGCCUCAUGACUGUCGAGUGGAUGGCUUUAUGGUCGAGUGGUUGGCUUCAUGGUCGAGUGUCUUCGAGUCUGUCGAGUGGAACACUUCUGAAUCGAUUGAAAGGUGGUUUCUUCUAGAGAUGUCCUUGGGUAGGGUAGUUUGGAUAGGUCCAUGACCCUACCCUAGGUACAUAGCUUCAUCAUUAGCCCCCGAAUGGAUCGGGGUUUGAGUGGGGAAGGAGUUGAGAACUCUUCCGACCCAUUUUUCGUGCUAUGAGUAUGCCUUGUUGUGGAUCAAUGAGCUUUAGGUGACGGCACCAACUUCUUUUUCAGUCGCCUUGACCCAUUCUUUGUAUCCGUCGAGUGAAUUUCUUUACUUGAAAAACUCCGAGUGACGAUGUGGAGGGGAUCCUCCGUUUGACAAGUUGUUCUGCUGCUCGCGGAUUUCACGGGAUUUGAAUUUCGGGAAGUGCGCGGGGCGGGGGAGGCCGCUGUAAUCGGAUGGGAUAAGGCAGUGACGCCUCGAUCUCUGUGCCACAUUUUUCGCCACGUAUCGUGCGCGCGAGUGUUGCGGGAUUUGACAGGAUCGCCCGGGCCUACCAGCCAGCCACUCGGAAGCAACCUUAUAUAAGGCGCCGGACGGGUUUUUUUGAACAAUGCGUUCUCAUUUCCUCCUCUCUUCCCCAGGGUCAUCCGCCUCGUUCGCUUCCAUCUCAGUGCCGCUGCCUCGUGCGCGUCCCGCCGGCGACGAUGGUGAAAGAGAAGACGGCGGCCCUGGAGCGGGCGAAGAAGGCGACGACGAAGGCAAAGGGAAGGGCGACCAGUCGGGGUGGGGGAUCUUCAUCGAGGGCCGGCCUGCCGCAGGGCUGGAUCCAGGGCGACUGGAUCUGCUUGACGAUCCGUCAAGCGGAUCUUGACGACCUGGCCGAUGGAGGACUGAUCCCCCACGGAUCGGCGCGGCUCCCGGGGAAGGAGUCCGAGCCGCAACCUCAGGAGGGUGAGUGCGUUCUCUUGGCCACCCAUGUCGACCGUGGGUUUUCUUUGCCGCCUCACCCUUUCUUUCGGGGAUUUCUGAAUUUCUUUGGGGCGCAACUCCACCACUUCACACCCAACACCAUCGUGUACCUCGCUGCUUUCGUGUCUUUGUGCGAGAAUUUCUUGGGUUGCCGGCCUCAUUGGGGUCUUUUCAAGCACAUCUUCACCUGUCGCUCACAGACGGUGAAAAAGGCCAAUCCAAGUGACGAGAGAACAUAAGUGAUUUAGAUGUGUGGGGGUCUUGGGGUUCAGUUGAGAGGAAAAAGUUCCUUUCCGACCAUGAUCCUACCUAACUCGGUCCAUGGAUGGCAGUCGACCUGGUUCUACUGCAAAGACCAGCCGACGCCAGGGCAGUCGACUGGGCUCCCUCCUUUUUCCAUGGAACGAGUGCGGAAGCCUUCCUCUUUGAAGGUGGUCCCGGAAGAGAAGGCGCAAGUUAAUUUGCUGGUUGAGCGUGUCGUCCAGCUUAUCCGUGACGGGGUGACCGGCAUGGACCUCUUGGAGGUCUUCCUCCGAUGACGAAUCCAGCCGCUUCAAGCUCGAGACCAUCCGAUGUGGUUGUAUUCUGGCAUUGAGGACACCACUCGGAUCCACCCGGAGGAGAUUGACGAUGCCACGUUGGAGCGGUGGCUGCCGAGCAUCACAGGGAACAAAGACAACCCCCGAGGAGCUAGGAGGAUCCCUCCACUCGACCAGUCAUACAAAGUAGACAAGGUACAAUUCUGCAUUUCUGAAUGUGAUUCUGCUUUCUUCAUUCUGUUUGCUUAAAAUCAGUCGACUGACGUUUGUCUUGUUUGUUGUCUUCUAGGCCACGACUAAGAUGUACUCGACGCCCAACGGAGCGCAAGAACAUGCCGAGGAGGGAGAGGCGAGCGGAGGUGAAAGUGGGGAGGAGUGGCAAUCCGAUGGUGAGGGGGAAGAGGAUGACGACGGCUCCAGCGAAGAGGAGGAGGAGGAGGAGGAGGAGGAGGAGGAGGAGGAAGUCGAUCCUCCUCGCACGGAAAGGCGAUCGAAGCUCAUCCACGACCCCGCGAGUGAGCGUUGCAAAGCGAUUGCAACCAUUGGGCAAUCGACAAAGUGCCCUCGGGCGGCUUCUCCGACGCCGACUGAGAAAACGCUGAAGCAUCCACGAGCGGCACCAUCAAAGCCGCCGAAGGCCUUGCCCAAGAUGAGAAUGGCCAUUCCCACUAUCUCCGGGUAACAUCAGAACUUGUGUUUUCUCGUUUAGCAUGGACGAACUCUUGGUCGACUCAUCGACUAACCGACUUGUUUCUGAAAUCCGCAGUGCUGCUACCUCCGAGACCUCCGCCAAGAACGAAGACCAGGAAAUGGAAGACGCUGCCGCCUCCAACCUUGGUACGCUCUUUGAGGUUUUACUUUUGGUCGAUUGGAUUUCGAUUUCAACUUUGGAUUUUUCCUGCAGCUCCUCCCCACGUCAUUGAUCUCCCUGAUGAUGACGACGAGGUGCCCCUGAGGGCAAGGAGGAAUAAAAAGGCGCCGGCUGGCAAGACCACUCAGACUGCAUCAGCGCCUGAGGCAUCGGUUCAAGGGGGUGACGAUGUCACUCGGCAUUCUGUGUCCUUCGCUGUGCCGCUGACGAGUGUCCGGCCUUCAACAUCGACUGUUGACCCGCCCUCCCUUUUCGCCACACACCUCGUCCUAGAGGACCAAGCGGGUGCUGCUAAGGAGGCUAUACGCCAGGCGGGGAUCAUGAUGGAGCAGGUGAAGGCGAUCCGGGAAGCCAGCCAAGCGGCCUAUGAUGCUAGCUCAGCCCUUCAGAGCAACGUCCAGGUUAGUUGGUCACUGCUUGUUCUGUUAGGAUAUGCUAUCUGAAGACUUUCUUUCCGAAGAUCUUUGCGUCUGUACACCCACUGGGUGUGUCGAUUGAAUAUUUGAACCGGUGGGGCCACGCUGAGUGUACCCACUGGGUGUAGUCCUCGAGACUAUGGUGGACUGCUGGCAGUUGACUGUAGUCUUGUAUCUUGAAUUUCUUCACUCUAACUUGUUCACUCGGUCUGGUCGGGCCAUGUCGAAUGGAAUUUUGGAACGAGUCGGUAGAACCGGUGGGGGCACGCUGAGUGCACCCUCUGGGUGUAGUCCUCGAGACUAUGGUGGACUGCUGGCAGUCGACUGUAGUCUGAAGAACCUUUUGUUUUUGGUAGAUCAUGAUGAGACCAAGACUAACUGCUGGCAGUUUGCUAUAGAGCUACAGUUUUAGGAUCAUAACCUCUUUGUCUCUUUCGGCCGACUGGUCGGACCGAGUCGGUAGAACCAGUGGGGGCACGCUGAGUGCACCCACUGGGUGUAGUCCCCGAGACUACUGUUGAAUAUUUUGAUUCGGCUGUAGUCUUAGAAAUGCUAUGAGUUUUCUCUUAGUCACUCGAAAGCAACCUAUCUUUGAUGUCUGUCGACUGAUCCUUCACAGAAAUCUUGCGAACUUGUGGCUCGCUAUACUGAGUUGGAAAACAAACAUAUCCAGCUCGACCUUGACUUGAAGCUUGUUCAGGAGAACUUUCAGAAGGCGAAGGACGAAGCAAAAGGUAUGAUUGGUGAGAACUUGACGAAUGUUUGUAUCUUUCUGCCCAUUCCUGAUUCUGAUCUCACUAUCAUUUUGCAGAUAAACUGAAGGAGGCUCUGAAGAAGAAGGACCAUGACCUUGCCGAGGCAUAGAAGGCGGCUUUGGACAAAACGAAGCUUGCGGAAGAAAAAAUGGCUUCAGUCGGUAAACUUGAAGAGGAGAACGCCAAUCUGAAGGCUGCUCUCGACGCAGCCAACAAGGAAGUCAGCCGUCUGAAGAAUGACAAGAUAGCUCUGAAUGACAAGGCUGGUGAGCUGGUGGGGAAGAAGAAUGAUGUGGAGGCUUAUUUGGGAGGGCUCGCCAAGAAGCUAUUCAUCAUGCUUGAGGGUAAUCUCUCUUACCCGACUGAUUUGUAAUCAUCGACUUAUCGUAAAACUGCUGGUUCACCUUUGAAUUGUGUUCACAGAAUUCUGCCAAAACUUCGAGGAGGAACAGUCGAGUGGAGACAGGCUUGGACCCCAUUAACUCUCUCGUGAAGGAUGAAGCUGCCAUGAACGUGCUCCGACUGGAGUCUCGUGUUGCUGGUGUGGUCGACUACCUUGCUCGACUGAAGGUUGCGGCGUCGCGAAUCGACACGACACUCUAGCCGAGAGAGACGCUUCAAAAUGACCUCGAGUCUCUAAUGACUCGAUUGAAUGAAGUUCCAGGUCGAGUGAAAGAAUGGAAGAAGUCUUCUGCCAGGUGUGGUGCUGAUGUUGCUCUGUCCCCGGUUCGCGUUCACUGCAAGGAUGCGCGAGAGGACAAGCUGGCAUCCCUCAAAGUGGCCAAUACCAAGAAGCAUGACUUCCAAUCUUUCAUGGAGACCUUCAUUGCUGCUGCCACUCGGAUUGCUGAUGGAAUCGACCUGGACCAGUUUGUCACGCCUUCCAGUCCUCCACCUGAGGAGUAAGAAAAACUGUUGUGCUUCACCUUAAAUUUGCCUCGGAAUGCCGAGUGGUUUUGUAACCGAUAAACUUUAACAGGCUUGUUAUCUGAGCACUUCUGAAUCCGUAGGAUGCUAUCUGAACUUGGCUUAUCAUUGAAUAUGCUUGCAUUUGCCUUCGAGCGAACUUUGUUCUUCACUCGGAAUUCACUUUAGCGCUUGAGACGCAGCCCUGAGGUGGAGGAUCCAGUCGACCUGCUCUUCAUCGCUCUUGCAGGUAAGGAUGGAGCAUAGAUCGCAGUCGACCUGCGCCCUUGCGGAUUGGGAUGGAGCGCAUGUUGUAUUUGUGACGUAGCUCCGAAGGAGAAGGUAGCAGUCGACCUGCACCUCGUCGUCCUUGUAGAGCGCACAUUGUAUUUGUGGCGUAGCUUCGAAGGAGAAGGUAGCAGUCGACCUGCACCUUGUCGUCCUUGCAGAGCGCACAUUGUAUUUGUGGCGUAGCUCUAAAGGAGAAGGUAGCACUCGACCUGCACCUCGUCGUCCUUGCGGAUCGAAAUACUUAGGCGAGUACUGGACUGCAGCUAAGCCCCCGAGUGGGAGGUUUGCUCUCCACUCGGUAGGAUUUUCAAAUACUUAGGCGAGUACUGGACUGCAGCUAAGCCCCCGAGUGGGAGGUUUGCUCUCCACUCGGUAGGAUUUCAAAUACUUAGGCGAGUACUGGACUGCAGCUAAGCCCCCGAGUGGGAGGUUUGCUCUCCACUCGGUAGGAUUUCAAAUNNNNNNNNNNNNNNNNNNNNNNNNNNNNNNNNNNNNNNNNNNNNNNNNNNNNNNNNNNNNNNNNNNNNNNNNNNNNNNNNNNNNNNNNNNNNNNNNNNNNNNNNNNNNNNNNNNNNNNNNNNNNNNNNNNNNNNNNNNNNNNNNNNNNNNNNNNNNNNNNNNNNNNNNNNNNNNNNNNNNNNNNNNNNNNNNNNNNNNNNNNNNNNNNNNNNNNNNNNNNNNNNGGACUGCAGCUAAGCCUCCGAGUGGGAGGUUUGCUCUCCACUCGGUAGGAUUUUCAAAUACUUAGGAGAGUACUGGACUACAGCUAAGCCCCUGAGUGGGAGGUUUGCUCUCCACUCGGUAGGAUUUUCAAAUACUUAGGUGAGUACUGGACUGCAGCUAAGCCCCCGAGUGGGAGGUUUGCUCUCCACUCAGUAGGAUUUUCAAAUACUUAAGCGAGUACUCGACUGCAGCUAAGCCCCCGAGUGGGAGGUUUGCUCUCCACUCGAUAGGAUUUUCAAAUACUUAGGUGAGUACUGGACUGNNNNNNNNNNNNNNNNNNNNNNNNNNNNNNNNNNNNNNNNNNNNNNNNNNNNNNNNNNNNNNNNNNNNNNNNNNNNNNNNNNNNNNNNNNNNNNNNNNNNNNNNNNNNNNNNNNNNNNNNNNNNNNNNNNNNNNNNNNNNNNNNNNNNNNNNNNNNNNNNNNNNNNNNNNNNNNNNNNNNNNNNNNNNNNNNNNNNNNNNNNNNNNNNNNNNNNNNNNNNNNNNNNNNNNNNNNNNNNNNNNNNNNNNNNNNNNNNNNNNNNNNNNNNNNNNNNNNNNNNNNNNCAAGUACUGGAAUGCAGCUAAGCCCCCGAGUGAGAGGCUUGCCUCCACUCAGUAGGAUUUUCAAAUACUUAGGCGAGUACUGGACUGCAGCUAAGCCCCCGAGUGGGAGGUUUGCUCUCCACUCGGUAGGAUUUUCAAAUACUUAGGUGAGUGCUAGACUGCAGCUAAGCCCCCGAGUGGGAGGUUUGCUCUCCACUCGGUAGGAUUUCAAAUACUUAGGCGAGUACUGGACUGCAGCUAAGCCCCUGAGUGGGAGGUUUGCUCUCCACUCGGUAGGAUUUUCAAAUACUUAGGCGAAACGGAUUUGCAGCUAAGCCCCCGAGUGAGAGGCUUGCUCGUCACUCGGUAGGAUUUUUUUACAAACUUAGGCGAAACGGAUUCGCAGCUAAGCCACCCACUGGGGGAUUUCUCACAUAAACAAAAGCAACAACAAUCAAUGGGAAAAUUAUAACACUUUUGUCUUUGAUGAACAAACUACAUGAGUACUUUUUAUUACAUCUCACCCGAGUGAGUACUUAAGUGUAAAAGGGGCGGAGCAGCUCCGCAUUCCAAGCUCGUGGCUCAUCAAUCUGGCGACCAACAUUGUAAAGAUGGUAUGCUCCAUUGUGGAGAACUUUGGUGACGAUGAAGGGGCCUUCCCAAGUAGGGGCGAGUUUAUGUGGCUUCUGUUGAUCCACUCGGAGGACCAAGUCUCGUUCUUGGAAGGCUCGACUCUUCACGUUUCUGGCAUGGAAUCGACGCAAGUCUUGCUGAUAGAUGGUUGAUCAGACCAUGGCCAUCUAUCUUUCUUCUUCUAGAAGGUCGACUGCGUCCUGCCGGGCUUGUUCUGCUUCAUCUUCUGAGUAGAGCUCGACUCGGGGUGCAUUGUGAAGCAGGUCACUCGGUAGAACUGCUUCAACUCCAUAGACCAGUAAGAAUGGAGUUCGCCCAGUCGACCGAUUAGGAGUAGUCCUCAAUCCCCAAAGAACUGAUGGAAGUUCGUCGACCCAUGCGCCUGCUGCGUGUUUGAGAUCACGCAUCAACCGGGGUUUCAGUCCUUUGAGAAUUAGGCCGUUUGCUCUUUCUGCCUGUCCAUUCGACUGGGGGUGAGCGACGGAAGCAUAGUCGACUCGCGUGCCUUGAGAAGCGCAAAAGGCUUUGAAUUGGCCGGAAUCGAAGUUUGACCCAUUAUCAGUGAUGAUGCUAUGCGGAACUCCAUAUCUGAAUAUCAACUCUCUGAUGAAGCUGAUAGCAGUGCCGACAUCAAGAUUCUUGAUAGGCUUGGCUUCGAUCCACUUAGUGAACUUGUCGACUACCACCAGUACAUGGGUGAAGCCGCUCCUGCCAGUUCUCAGUGGUCCAACCAUAUCUAAUCCCCAAACAGCGAAGGGCCAGACGAUUGGAAUGGUAUUCAAGGCUGAGGCGGGCUUGUGCGACAUAUUGGAAUAGAACUGACAUCCUUCACACUUGUCGACUAUCUCUUUCGCCAUUUCAUUUGCUCUGGGCCAGUAAAACCCCGCUCGGUAUGCUUUAGCCACAAUAGUCCGAGAGGACGCAUGAUGGCCACAGGUCCCCGAGUGGAUAUCGUCGAGAAUUAUCCGACCUUCUUCUGGCGUUAUACAUUUCUGACUGGCUCCACUCGCGCUUUCCCUGUACAACUGUCCCCUUAUCACAGUAAAGGCCUUGGAUCGACGGACGAUCUACCGAGCCUCUUCUUCGUUCUCUGGGAGUUCUUUACUUAGGAUAUACGCAAUGUACGACACUGUCCAUUCGGGAGUGAUAACCAAAACUUCCAUGAUCAAGUCGACCACAACUGGGACCUCAACUUCAGUCGGAUCCGUGGCACUUUUAGGCUACGGGGCUUCUUCGGUGAAAGGAUCCUCUUGUACUGAUGGCGUGUGGAUGUGUUCCAAAAACACAUCACUGGGAAUGGCUUCUCUCUUGGAACCUAUUUUUGCCAAAUCAUCAGCUGCUUGAUUUUUCAGUCGGGGUAUAUGAUGAAGCUCUAACCCCUCGAAUUUCUUCUCUAGCUUUCUCACUGCAUUGUAGUAACCAGUCAUGGCUGGGCUUCUGACGUCCCAUUCCUUCAUCACUUGGUUAACCACCAAAUCAGAGUCGCCAUAGACCAUGAGGCGACGGACGCCGAGUGAAAUGGCCAUGCGCAACCCAUACAAAAGUGCUUCGUAUUCUGCUUCAUUAUUGGAGGAAUCAAAGUGAAUCUGGAGCACAUAUUUGAGCUUAUCUCCUCGAGGGGAAACCAACACUACCCCAGCACUGGAUCCAUUCAGCAUCUUAGAACCAUCAAAGAACAUGGUCCAGUGCUCCGAGUGAACUUGAGUUGGCAGUUGCUGUUCAGUCCACUCGACGAUGAAAUCUGCUAUUGCUUGGGACUUGAUGGCUUUCUUUGCCUCAAAUCUGAUAUCUAGGGGAAGGAGUUCAAUCGCCCAUUUUGCCACUCGACCGGUUGCAUCUCUGUUGUGCAAAAUCUCUGACAAUGGAGCGUCGCUGACGACUGUAAUGGAAUGGUCAGAGAAGUAAUGGGCAACCUUCUUUGUGGUCAUAUAAAUCCCAUAUACAAGCUUCUCAUAAUGAGGGUAUCUUUGCUUUGAUGGGGUCAAAACUUCAGAAAUAUAAUACACUGGGCGCUGAACUUUAAAGGCUUUUCCUUCUUCUUCCCGCUCGACCGUAAGUACUGUACUGACGACUUGUCCUGUGGCUGCAAUGUAGAGCAGCAAAGGCUCUUUGCUGAUCGGGGCAGCAAGCACCGGCUGGGUGGAAAGCAGGGUUUUUAGCUAUGCAAAUGCUGCAUCAGCUUCAGGAGUCCACUCGAACUUGUCUUACUUCUUCAUCAGUCGGUAAAGAGGCAAUGCCUUUUCACCAAGACGAGAGAUGAAUCGACUUAACGCGGCCAAGCAACCAGUAAGCUUCUGGACAUCGUGCACAUGCACAGGACGUUUCAUUCAGAGUAUAGUGCCAACUUUUUCUGGAUUGGCAUCGAUUCCUCGUUCGAAAACGAGAAAACCGAGUAACUUUCCGCCAGGAACUCCGAAUGUGCACUUUGAUGGAUUAAUCUUGAUAUCAUACCUCUGAGGUUGGCAAAUGUCUCUGCAAGAUCAGUCAGCAGGUCAGAACCUUUCCGUGACUUGACCACAAUAUCAUCCUUGUACGCUUCCACAUUCCGACUGAUUUGAGUGAGCAAACACUUCUGAAUCAUCCUCAUGAAUGUGGCUCUGGCAUUCUUGAGGCUGAAUGGCAUGGUGACAUAACAGAAGCACCCGAAUGGGGUGAUGAAAGCUGUUUUGAUCUCAUCGGGUCCAUACAGACGGAUCUGAUGGUAACCGGAAUAAGCAUCUAAGAAAGACAGGCGCUCACAUCUAGCAGUCGAGUCGACUAUUUGGUCAAUGUGGGGGAGAGGAAAAUGAUCUUUCGGGCAGGCCCGAUUGAUAUGUUUGAAGUCAAUGCACAUGCGAAGUGACUUGUCCUUCUUGGGGACCAUGACGACAUUGGCAAGCCACUCGAAGUGGUAAAUCUCUCGGAUAAACUCUGCUGCUAAGAGCCGAGCCACCUCCUCGCCAAUGACCUUUCUUUUCUGGACGGCGGACCGUCGAAGAUGUUCUUUAACAGGUUUCACUUUUGAGUCGACUCGUAGACGGUGCUCAGCCAGCCCCCUGGGAACACCCGACAUGGCAGAAGGUUUCCAUGCGAAGAUGUCCCAGUUCUCACGGAGGAACUGGAUGAGCGCUUCUUCCUAUUUGGAGUCGAGCGUUGUAGAGAUAUGAGUCGGAGCAGCAUUGGGGUCGGUCGGGUGAAUGUGAAUCGGUUUCGUUUCACCAGACGACUGAAACGCUGAUUCCGUAGCGGGCUUCUUGGUUCACAACAAAUCACUCGGGUCUACGGUUUUCUGGUAUUCCUGCCACUCUUCCGCUGCCAUCUGAGCAUCGGCGAUCUUUGAGCCUUUCUGAAAGCACUCUUCCACCUUCUUUCGAUUGCCAGUAAUAGUGAUCACACCUUUGGGGCCAAGCAUCUUCAAUUUGAGGUACACAUAACAUGGUCGAGCCAUAAAACGUGCAUAAGCUGGCCUGCCUAAAAUAGCGUGAUAGGCACUCUGGAAAUCUACAACUUCAAAUGUCAACUUUUCUUUGCGGUAAUUUUUGGAAUCACCGAAAACCACAUCAAGAGCAAUCUGACCGAGUGACGCAGCCUUGUUUCCAGGAAUAACUCCAUAGAAACUCAUGUUGCUGGUACUGAGUCUGGACAUCAGAAUGCCCAUCCCCUUCAACGUCUCUACGUAUAGAAUGUUCAGGCUACUGCCACCAUCCAUCAAAACUUUAGUCAAAUGAGUGCCUUCGACGACUGGGUCGACCACCAGAGCUUGCCUCCCAGGGGUGGCUAUGUGUGUCGGGUGAUCAGACUGGUCGAAUGUGAUGGCAGUCUGAGACCAUUUCAGAUAACUGGGUGUCUCCGGAGCAACCAUAUUCACUUCUCGGUUGAUAACUUUCAAUCGACUUUUGCUCUCAAUGUCAGCAAAAAUCACCAGAGUGAAAUUGACCUGAGGAUAUCCAUCAUCACUAUCCUCCUUGUCCUCAACUUUGUCCGACUCCUUUUCCUUAUCAUUGGGCUGUUUCCCUUGGAAUUGCUGGAUCAAGAGCCGACGCCGUCGAGUGGUAUGUUUCAGGUAAAUGAAUUUACCCUCCUCAUCUUUUUUUGUGUGGAUGUGGCACGGCAAAUCCAUCACGUCAUUUCCUUCCUUGUCUUUCACCUUCUUAGGGUUCCAAGACCCUUUAGGCUUCCCUCUAAACUUUCCUUGAGUCACGGCCAAGGUUUCUCCAGGAGAGGCUGGCUCGGCUUUCCGCUUCUGCUUCCGACUAGAGUUCCCUCCUCCGGUUUCGUGGGUGACUGACUUGUGCUUGCCACUCCGGAGACGAUCCUCUUCUUCACCAUUGGCAUACUUGGUGGCUAUCUUCAUCAUUCGACUCAGAGACAUGUCUCCGGUUCGACCAAAUUUCAGGUUUAGCUCUCUGUACUUAACACCUUCCUUGAAGGCACAGACUGCCUGGUGAUCAGAUACAUUCUCUACCGUGUGAUGCAAUGUGAUCCAUCUCUGGAUGUAAUCUCUCAAAGUCUCAUUCGACUUCUGCACACAAGAUUGCAGCUCUGUCAGUCCUGCUGGUCACUUGCAAGUUCCUUCAAACGUUCUGACAAACACUUGGGAAAGAUCUUCCCAAGUGUAUAUGCUGAUGGGUGCUAACUGAUUCAACCAUGCUCUGGCCGAGCCCUCCAACAUAAGAGGCAGAUGUUUCAUGGCCACCUCAUCAUUGCCACCGCCAAUCUGAAGAGCCACUCAGUAGUCUUCAAGCCAAGUAUCAGGCUUGGACUCACCAGUGAACUUACUGACUCCAGUCGCCAACCUGAAGUUGGGAGGAAUCACCGUGGCCCUGAUGGCUCUGCUGAAACACUCUGGUCCUGAGACGUGCACUCUGCUGCUGGUGGGUACAUCUCUGUCAUGACCCUCUCGGUGAGCUCUGUUCCUGUCGACCAGACCUUGAACGAUAAUGGAUCUCGCAUCAAAGCCUGGUUCCUUGGGGUCGACUAGGAUCCUUCGCCCAACACUGUGCUGGCAUCUAUCAUCCUGUUGUCGAGGCGCGAACGAUCCACCCCUUGGGGGAGGGGUGGGCACUCGAUGUCGAUCAUCGCAAUCGAUUCAGUGAUCAUACUGCUCACGGUUCUUGUACUGAUCGUGCCGGUCUCCACGCCCUUCAUGCCUCGGGGGCGAUCUGGGGCUAUGAGCCGACUGGACUAUAUUUGCAGCUACGGAUCUGCUGUGAAUCCUAUUCCGCGACUGCGAUACAGCUGAAUUUUGAUCUCCUGCUGCCCAGAGUAAAUCUCUGAUCUGCAACAAGCCUCUGCCAGCCUCUGACUAGGAAGGCUGAAUUGACUCUGCUAUACGGGCCGCAGCUGCUAAAUUCUGAAUCGGAGUUCGAUAUACCUGAGUCGGUUGUGGAAAGAGCUGACGUCGACUGGAAUCCGGAACCCGUUGCUGCGCACGCUCGUCGAGUGCUCACUGGAGGUUCUCCAGUCAAGUGCGCUCAGCCAAGUUGGCCAAGCGCGUGUCCUCUAAGGCAUGAGCCUCGGGGGUCUCUCCAACGAUAGGAGUGUGUAGCGCAUCCAUGUUCCGGCGGCGAAGUUCUUCCCUUUGCAGCGAAGUGAGGGGCUCGGGGAGAUACUCCUCAUGGGCAUGCGACGGAUCGCCUCCGCCGUCGCCUUCGUCGGCGCUGGGAAAACCGGGAGGACCGCGUGGUCCGUCGACCAUUAGGACCUCCGCCGCUGGAUCAUUGCUGUCGCACUCGGAUGCAGUCUCUGCGGAGCCAGUCGACAUGUCGAACAAGCCGUAGAGAGAUUCGUCGGGCUCGAUUCUCGCGACUUGGGGGGUGACCGAUUGGCGAGCCACCACGUGUCUCACCCACCGCUGAAGCCUCGACCGACCGGAGCGCUUGCACCGGCGGGAAACGGGGGAGGAGGACGACACAAAGACCGACCGAUACUGGGUCGACGGCUGCCGCAGGAGGACGCCGCGGACGCACGCGCGAAAGUGCGUCGCUCCGCGGACUGGGAGCGCGUCGAUGUCGAGCGGAGCCUCCUGAAGCCAAGCAGAGUCGUCGGUGACGAACGUGAGCGCGCCGAGACGGAUCACGCGGCCCUCAACCAAAACUCCGCCUGAAACCAUGAUGAAGGAGAUAGGAAAAAAUGCAACUUCUCCAGUAAGUCGCUAAGACACCUGCCCCACGGUGGGCGCCAACUGUCGUGGUUCUAAGUCUGACAGUAAUGUAGGGGGGUAGGUAUGGAGAGGCAAGAUCCUAGCUAUGGAGUAGUUGUAUAUGCAAGGGAUUUACGAGUUCAGGCCCUUCUCGGAGGAAGUAACAGCCCUACGUCUCGGACCCCGGAGGCGGUCGACUAGAUUAUAUGCGUAUGAGUUACAGGGGUGCGAACCCUUUACACUGAGGAGGGGGGUGGCUAUAUAGAGUUCGCCAGACCCCUCCGACCCUCAGUUAUGCAGGGUUGAAGAUACAUUAAGAUUGGGCAUUACUGGUAACGCUACACAUAAAGUGCUAUGAUGACCAUAAAAGCUACUUAAUGACCGACCGUUGGCGUGCAGAGUGACUUUAGGCCUCCUGACUAUCGAGUGGAUGGCUUUAUGGUCGAGUGGUUGGCUUCAUGGUCGAGUGUCUUCGAGUCUGUCGAGUGGAACACUUCUGAAUCGAUUGAAAGGUGGUUUCUUCUAGAGAUGUCCUUGGGUAGGGUAGUUUGGACAGGUCCAUGACCCUACCCUAGGUACAUAGCUUCAUCACUCGGUGCAUCGGUGCCCGUCCGCCGUCCCUCGCCAUCAUCUCUUGGGUCAUUGUUUCGGCACAUAACCUUCACAACAAUACAAACCGCAAGAUAUAGCUUUUGAUUGGGGAAAACUUUGUUUUUGCCACUCUAGUUUUUGCCAACUUUACUUAUGCCACUCUAAAAUUUGACAUCUUACUUUUGCCACUCUUAGUUUUUGACAAUGUAUCACAAAUGCCAUUUUGUUACGCUUCCGUGAGUUGACCAUUUCUUUUACCCAGUUGACCCAGAAAAAACCUGUCAGUAUUUCCAAAAAUGACAUAAGUUGCCCCUACUGACUUGUGGGGCCACUUUGGAAGUGACCCAGACCCUAAUCUGUACACUCACCCACCCAGGCGUCCUAGCUCCUAGCCGCACCACACACACCCGCAUCCAGUCACCGCCGCCAACUCCGGCCGCCGCCUUGCCACCUUCGGCCGUGUCCCCGCUCGCCACCGCAGCCAGCCGCCUCCAUCCCAACGCUCGGUGCUCCACCCCUACCGUCCGGCGCGGCCCCUGCCGGAGCUGCCACCUGAUCGCGCACGAGGCCUGGCCGCUGCUUGCGCUUCUCAUGGAGGAGCUCGCCUUCGAGGCAUAUCUCCUUGCUCCGCGCCGCUCUCCUCAUUCCGAAGCGCUGGCAACAAUCCACCUUCGUCCUCCCCUACCUCCUCUCGUCCAGGAUGGGGACGCAGUCCCUGCUCACCCGGGAUCUGGGACCCCAUGGGCCUGCGUGCCUCUAUCGUCAGCAACGCCGGCUAUACACCUCCGACACGCCGCCUCAUCACUAGCACCGACUAGGUGCACGCCUCUGCCUCGUCACCAGUGUAUGGUGGUGCUCGCGGCCGUAGGCAUCCUACCGAGCUCCGUGCAUCAAGGUGGCAGCGCUCACGACCGUGCAUGAGCCCAAGUCGUCUCCAGCUCCUGCUCUUCUCCAUGGCUGAGACGUACUACUCUCUUGUCCAUGGCGCUGCCUCCAUUGGAGAUGCAUAUGUAUGUGUUGUGCCUUGCACGCCUGAUGUAUGUGUGUGAAAGUGUGGUGAAUCGGAGAUGUAUGAAUGGAUGCGCGACUGCUUAAUCUGUUUGCAUUUUUUUCUUAUUAGUAGAUGAACUCGGUCGAAUCAACGCAUCUGCUGUGUUUGUCAAGUAUCAGUAAAAUUUCAACGAAAACUUUAGUGGCAAAAGCAAAACAAAAAACCAAGGGCAAUAUUGUCUUUGCCCUGCUUCAUUUGGUCAAACCGUGCCUUGACCUGACAGAAUGGCAUUUGUGAUACAUUGCCAAAUUUUAGAGUGGCAAAAAUGAGGUGUCAAAUUUUAGAGUGGCAUAAGUAAAAUUGGCAAAAAUUAGAGUGGCAAAAACAAAGUUUUCCCUUUUGAUUGUGCUGGUUUUAGCCCACGGCGGCGGCGCCCGUCGUUGUCUCAGCACCACUUCGUCAGCUGAAGCAAAACAAAACACUGGUUCCAGCUUUUGUCAAUAACUGUUCCAACAUCUACAUCACAUGGUUGUAGCUCUGCUACUAGUCGGUUCCAGCAAAAAUAAGAGGAUUGCGAGUCUUCGUCUCCGUCCACUCUUGCUGCAAAAAAACAAUGGUUCCAGCAUCCUGCUGCCCGGUUGUAGCAAAUUGUCGACGAUGGUGUCGCCGCUGCAGCUCUGGUGAGCACGGUUGUAGCACCUGCGAUCAAGGUUGUAGCAAAAAAUGUCGACGACGGCGUUGCCGUUUGCAACUCUGGUUAGCGUGGUUGCAGCUUCUAGGCAAUGCCCUGGCGGGUUGUAGCAAAUUAUGUAGCUGGUUGUAGCACACAAGGAUGCCGGUUCAGCAAAAACUCGUCAUGCCUUGGCCGGUGUGCACCACCACCACCGCUCGUUGUGCAGCCGUCGACGAUGAUUGUAGCAAGGCUGUGUGCAGCACCGCCACUCGCAGUCAUUGCGUCUUGAUGGACGGUUCCCGUAGCUACGUUGGAGGGACUCGAAGCCGGACUUAGGCGGAGGACUUCGCUGGUAUCUGCGAGGGUUCUAGGUGGCCAUGGCCUCGGGGAUGGGAGAGGGUCUUGCCCGCAAUGAUGGAGCGACGAUAUUGGGCGCUGAGCAAGCCGUGUAGGUGCACCGGUUCCAACUUAUCGGGGAGUCACUCGUCGGGGAAGAUUCCUGUGUUGGGCUGACCAGGGAUGGGAGUUUGGAGGUAGGGGAUUGGGAGCAAACAGAGACCGAGGACAACGAGUGGCUGCGCUGUGUUGCAGGGGGAUAAGACAGAAGGAGAAAGCAGUGUGCGUGUGGCCAAGAGCGAGGUGGUCGCGUGCACGAGUCCACAAAGUGUGUUAGCGAGCGAGGUGUCCGGUGGAAUGUUCGGCCAGCGCGCCGGAUACAAGCGUUUACCUUUUUUAGGGGCAAAGGACUUCUAUUCAGAACUACUACCCCAUCCUGGUUUAUUGGUCCCCAUUGUAUUUUGUGUCAAAUUUUGACCAUAAAAUUUAAUUAAAAAAUAUUCACGCAUGUCACAAAAAGUUAUGUCAUUGGAAACUAUGUUCAAAUAAGAAUCCAAUGAUAUAAUUUUUGUUGACAUGCAUUAAUAUUUUGUUAGUUAAAUAUUUGGUCAAAAUUUGGCACAAAUUACAAAGGGGACCAAUAAACCAGGACGGAGGUAGUACUGAACUAGUAAAUGUUUUUUUUGCAAGAUUGCUGAACUAGUAAGGCCUCAUUCAGUUUGGAGGAUUUUCAUAGGAAAAACAUAGGAACAAGGAUUCCAGAGGAAACUUUCCUAUAGAUGCAUUUGGUUUGUAGGAAGUGCGUACAUGAAUUUCGUAGGAACACUACUCAUUUCCUGUGUUUUGAAGGAAACUAGACAUCACUCAAAACUCAUUUUGCGCCUAAGAAUGAGGCAGGUCAAUUCCUUAGAAUGGCAAGUGCCAUCCUAUCAAAUUCCUAUACUAAUCCUAAUUCCUACGUUUUAGUUUUCUCUAAACCGAAUGAGCCCUAAAUGUUGCUUAGUGCGCCACGCACGUGUUGACACCAAUAAUCUGAAGGAAAUAUGCCCUAGAGGCAAUAAUAAAGUUGUUAUUUUAUAUUUCCUUAUUUAUGAUAAAGGUUUAUUAUUGAUGCUAGAAUUAUAUUGAUUGGAAACUUAAAUACAUGUGUGGAUACAUAAACAAAUACCGUGUCCCUAGAACGAAUGAUGCAAUGGACAAGACCCAUCCGUUAGCUUAACAUAUCAUCGUUCAGUUUAUUGCUAUUGCUUUCUUAAAUGUAAAAUAAAUAUUCCUUCAACUAUGAGAUCAUGCAAUUCCCGGAUACCAAAGGAAUACCUUGUGUGCUAUCAAACGUCACAAUGUAACUGGGUGAUCAUAAAGAUGCUCUACAGGUAUCUCCGAAGGUGUCUAUUGAGUUGGCAUGGAUCGAGAUUAGGAUUUGUCACUCCGUGUAUCGGAGAGGUAUCUCUGGGCCCUCUCGGUGAUACACAUCACAAGAAGCUUGCAAGCAAAGUGACUAAGGAUUUAGUUACGAUAUGAUGUAUUAUAGAAUGAGUAAAGAGACUUACUAGUAACAAGAUUGAAGUAGGUAUGAAGAUACCAACGAUCGAAUCUCAGGAAAGUAACAUACCGACAAAGGGAAUUACGUAUAUUGUCAUAAGCUUCGACCAAUAAAGAUCUUUGUAGAAUAUGUAGGAACCAAUAUGGGCAUCCAGGUUCCGCUAUUGGUUAUUGAUCAAAGAGGUGUCUCGGUCAUGUCUACAUAGUUCUCGAACCCGUAGGGUCCGCACGCUUAACGUUCGUUGACGAUAUAGUGUUAUAUGAGUUAUGUGAUUUGGUGACCGAAUGUUGUUCGGAGUCCAGGAUGAGAUCACGGACAUGACAAGGAGCUCCGAAAUGGUUCGGAGGUAAAGAUUGAUAUAUAAGACGAUGCUAUUCGGACACCGGAAAGGUUUCGGAGCGUAUCAGGUAGUCACCGGAUCACCAGAAGGGGUUCCGGGUAGCCCUAGAAUAGGGAUGGCAAUGGGUACCCAUUACCCAUGUACCCUGCGGGUAAAACCCCUAUUAGGGUAAGGGUAUGGGACAAAAAUACAUCCAUGGGUAUAUGAAUAGGGAAAUGUUAAACCCAUCGGGUAGAGUGGGUACGGGUAUGGGAUCAUGUAACCCAUACCCACAUACCCAUGUACCCAUAUGAAACCUAUAUGAAUUCAAAAUUAUCUCUACACUUUAUCAUGAAUUUGUGAACUCAAAAUAUACGACUAUGUGAUGAUGUUUUGAUGUGUUGUUGUUUACGAGAAAGUGAUGUUGUUUAUUAGAUAUGAUGUUGUUUACGAUGUGUUGUUGUUUAAAAGUGUGUUGUUGUUGUUAUAAUCUAUUACUGUUUAUAAAUUAUAAUUAUAUGUUGUUUUUAUGACUAUGAAUAGUUCAAACUGAUGCUUUCCAAACAUGGGUAAUUUUACCCAUGGGUACCUAUCGGUGUCAAAACCGGCGGAUCUCGGGUAGGGGGUCCCGAACUGUGUGUCUAGGCGGAUGGUAAUAGGAGACAAGGGACACGAUGUUUUUACCCAGGUUCGGGCCCUCUCGAUGGAGGUAAAACCCUACUCCUGCUUGAUUAAUAUUGAUGAUAUGGCUAGUACAAGAGUAGAUCUACCACGAGAUCGGAGUGGCUAAACCCUAGAAGCUAGCCUAUGGUAUGAUUGUUGUUCGUCCUAUGGACUAAAACUCUCCGGUUUAUAUAGACACCGGAGAGGGCUAGGGUUACACAGAGUCGGUUACAAUGGGAGGAGAUCUUCAUAUCGUAUCGCCAAGCUUGCCUUCCACGCCAAGGAAAGUCCCAUCCGGACACGGGACAGAGUCUUCAAUCUUGUAUCUUCAUAGUCCAGGAGUCCGACCAAAGGUCUUAGUCCGGCCAUCCGGACACCCCCUAAUCCAGGACUCCCUCAGUAGCCCCUGAACCAGGCUUCAAUGACGACGAGUCCGGUGCCCAAGUUGUCUUCGGCAUUGCAAGGCAGGUUCUCCUGCAAAUUCUCUGUAUCCGUCGAAUAGUGUCCGGCUUCUAGUGCGUGCUGUCCUCCUCGGCUUCUAUGCCCCAUAAUGACCAUCUUCCACGCGUCAAAUGAAUGCGAAAAGCUAGGGGGUUUUCUUUUCACUUACCCCCCGGUUGCGUUAAUGAGCCUCCCAUAAAAGAGACGGGGAUUUAGAUCCAAUUCGCACCAUCUUCCCUCCGCGAGUCUUCAUCAGAGCGCCUCUGACAGAGAUCCAUUCCAUCAUGGACAGUCGGUGCCGCUCCUCCUCUCACCCCUCCAGCCCUCAGCCCGGAGAUUGGGGGCGGUGUUCUGUCCCGCAUAGCAAAUUAGUAGUGCUUCAGUCCAAGGGGCUUCUCCCCCCAGCAUAUAUGGUCCCAGUUCGAGCUGGGAUUGCUUCCUAUAGCGGCAGAGAGCAGGCGGAGGGCAUUCCCAAUCCCUCUCAAGGAGAGAGGGUAUGCUUAGUCCCUUAUUUGAUGAGAGGACUAGGAUUUCCAAUUCAUCCGUUUCUCCGAGGGUUGCUGGAGUUCUACGGCCUCCAGCUACAUAACCUCACGCCCGCCUCCAUUUUGCACAUCGCGGGCUUCGUGGCCCUCUGCGAACUGUUCUUGGGUGUCGAGGCCCAUUUCGUGCUGUGGAAGAGGUUGUUUUGCCUUGUGCCCCGUUCUCAGGAGGGGUCUAUUUAUCAGGUGGGCGGAGCCGAACUAUGGCGCAUCGCCGGGACCGGAUAUCUAUCCGGCACCCCAAAGGGGGCGUCCAAAGACUGGCCCUCAGAGUGGUUUUAUAUAGAUGACGCCCCCCUGCCGGACCCUGUACGGAUCGGCCUCCCCGAGUUCAAUAAUGCCCCGUUGAAGAAGCGCCUGAGUUGGCGCCCACGGAACCCUCAGAGGGAAGCUGACAUGGACGUCCUGUACCUGAUGAGCCGGAUAAGGUUGUUGGCUCAUUCCGGACUGACCAUGAUUAAGGUCAUGGCCAUAUGCAUUACACGAGGGGUGCAACCGCUUCAAUACAGAGGCCACCCCAUGUGGGAUUUCAACGGGGAGGAUGACGCUACCCGGUGCGGUCGCAAGGGGCCAGAUUCGGCCGUCACUUUAACGAGAAUCUUAUCCGCUUUGUACAAGGGGGAAGAAGAAGAAUUCCUCCGUGUCAACCCGGAAGGCGGACUCUCCAUGUACAAUCCUCCUAGUUGGGUGAGCGGACACUUUCACUUGCCUAUCCGUUUUUGAAAUUCCCGUAGUUGAGUACUUAGACUAGUAAUGUUUAAACGCAGGAGCUGUGCCAGGCUGUGAAGGAAAUAAACAGCCCUGCUCCACAACCAGAGGACCCGGAACGGUCCCUCGAUCCGGACUCCCAAGAAGAUACGGACAUAUGCUUGGAGUUGAUUGAUGGAGUAUUUCAUCAAUUGAGCAAGGAUAACUCCUUAGUGGCCAUCACGGCCGACUAUCUCGGACUACUUCCAGCCUCCAAGGUAACUAAGACCGAAGUCCCAGUACUCUCAUGCUUUAUCUUGCAUGCCGUGUACUAACAUUGUUUCGCAGGGUAAAUCCUUGAGGCGGAAGGCCGAGCCCACGGUGGGCAGCCAACAAGGGCCGCUGAAGCCAGGCGGGCCAAAAAGAAGUGCGGACCAGAUCGAGAUUCUGGCGCAACGGUAUGGCGUGCGAAUUUAACGCCUAGGGUUUAUGCCCUUGAGUCUUACUAAUGCUCAUGAUUUUCUUAGAAAGAAGAGAGCCCGCCGGACUAUGUCCGCCGGCCAAGGUUCGAGGCCGGGUCCAGAAGCGGAGGCGGACACGGGACGCGCCUUGGGCGCUCCUUCGACAGAGGGCGCCGAUGGGCUAUCUGCCACUAAUUCAGAGGUGGAGAGUGCCCUGAACCACAGGCGUCGCCAGACUGUUCUUCGUGACGCGUGUUUUUCCCCAGAGGCGUUGGACGCCUUUAAUACAGGAGAUGCGUAUCUCCGUGCUGCUCAAAAUGGUCUAGCCAGAGCCACGAAGUAGUAUGUGAAAGACAUACAGGUGAGUAGAAUUGAAGGUUAUAUAUGUCAGUAGCCCCCGAGACUUGAAACAGUGAGAUAACUGUUUGAAGGAUCAUGUGCUAUGCAGUGUCUUACAAAGAAGAACAUGCAAUUGUCCCAGGAGCUCGAAGAGUGCAAGGCCCAGCUCGAGGCCGCAUUGGCCACUUCAGAAAAUGUCAAGGGGACGCCCGCAGGUAAUAUAUGCUUCGAAAGGUACUUCCGUUUUGAAAUGCAGCAGGCGUGCAACCCUGACGAUAAUAAUGCAGAUGAGGCCGGAGUAAAUCCAGACAAGCAACAACUCCUACGCCAACUAAAGGCUGGCGAGAGCGUGCUGACGAGGGUGAGGCAAGAGAAGAACAAGCUUCAAGACGCCAAUACCCAGCUGAGCGAGGAACUGAAAGAUGUUCGUAUUCAGCUGUCUUCUGCCGUGAAGGAGAAUCGGUGACUUCGACGCGGCAUUUUUAGUAAGUGCUUGAACGAAUCUUCGAAAAAAGAAUUCGGUGAGGAAGUCGAUUGACAAAGCUAUGUCUGUAGGUCUGCUGAUGGGUCGUCCUACGGAGGAAAUGCCCGGUUCAUCGGGAGACCUUCUUCCCGAGCUGUUGCAACUACACGAACGAGUUCGACAGGCAAUGCAAAGCGUCAUCUAGGCUAUGUGGCCAUCCCUCUCCAUGCCCGAAGGCCUUGAGGAGCUCACCAAGAAGCUGGAGGGAGUGCGACAGCGCUUCCAGUUGUGGAAGAUAUCGGCUUGCCGUCAAGGUGCCAGGGAGGCCUGGGCCAUGGUGAAGACUCGGUACACGAAGGCUGACCCAAACCACAUGGCCGAGGUCGGCCCUAUAGGUCCGGACGGAAAGGAGAUCCCGGUCAGCUUAGCAUAUGGCCAGGUGGAGCUGGCUGCAAAGUAUUCCCAACAUGACUGUAAAUUAGACCGCCUGGUGGAUGGUAUUGAAGAAGAAUAUGCUGAGUCGGAUUGACUCUGUAAAAAUGACAUAAAAAAUGCCUUCUAGCCGGAUUGUAGAUCGUUUGUCAUUACGGACCGUUUCGCUUCGACGUCUGGACCAUAUAGUCCGGAGUGUGUCCAAAUACCCUCUCGAUUAUGUAAGAACCGGGGCAUGCAUGGAGACAAGGCAUAGGGGUCAUAAGUGCUUUAGCAGACAAGUGCCCAACUAGUUAUGUUAUAUUACAUGGUUAGUAAGAAACAUCUUCCAGGGAUAAUAGUUUCGUUAGGGGUUCCUUUCCCUGGGAGGCAUGCCCUAAAGUGCAUGUCCGAACUGCCAGAAAGAGCAGAAAAGCAUCUGGGGGCAAAUGAAUAAAUACGAAAGAUCAUCUUUUAGUUCACCGACCGAAUAUUCCCUUAAGAACGCUAGCUUUCGGCUUCACCCAGUCCGAGGUACACAUCCGGCUGACCCGGCAGUAACAAUCGCAGAGGUGCUCCCUUUACCACCUAGCCGAACGAACGGGAAUGUAGGGGUAAGCACAGGAGCCAGGCAAUCCAGCUUGGCCAAAACUUAAGUCAUAUCGAUGCAUAUAACGGUGUAUAAAAGGUUCAUGCGGAAGCAUCGCACAUGUUUUGGGCAUGAGGCCCGUUUUAUAUAAACUUCUUGGUAAAGAAGCCCUCAGGUAUUAUGAGCGCAGGUACCGCAUCGGGUAUGUGCGAAUAAUGCACCGGCAAGCCCCUAAGGGCUUGUGAGAAAAAAAGGUAGGGAGAAGGAACAAAAUCCCGGACUGCCAAUAAAAAAUAAAAAAUAAAACAAAGGGAUGGAGGAAGGAAACGAACACGGAGUCCGGCGCUAGGUGUAGAACCUUCGUAGGCGUGCUGCAUUCCAUGGGUUCGGCUCGAGUCGGUUAUCCGAUGCGUUUCGCAGACGGUACGCUCCGCCGGUCAGUACUUGGUCGAUUAUGAAGGGGCCCUCCCAUUUGGGCUUUAAUUUAUCCUUUUUCUUGUCCGGCAGGCGUAGAACUAGUUCGCCAACGUUAUAGGUUUUGGCCCGUACUUCUCUGCUUUGGUAUCUUCGAGCCUGCUGUUGAUAGAAUGCGGAACGAGCUUUUGCCACAUCGCGCUCCUCUUCCAAUGCGUCCAAGCUGUCCUGCCGAUCGAGCUCGGCUUCUCUUUCUUCGUACAUGCGCACUCGAGGUGAGUCAUGGAUUAUGUCGCAUGGCAGUACUGCCUCUGCGCCGUAUACCAUAAAAAAUGGUGUGAAUCCGGUAGUGCGAUGCGGCAUGGUCCGCAGCCCCCAGAGUACGGAGUCAAGCUCCUCUGCCCAGUGCGUGUUAGAUUCCUUGAGGGAUCGCACUAGUCUGGGUUUGAUGCCGCUCAUAAUGAGACCAUUGGCCCGUUCGACUUGACCGUUAGUUUGAGGGUGAUAGACUGAAGCAUAGUCGAGCUUGAUGCCCAUGUUUUUGCACCAAAGUUUGACUUCAUCGGCCGUGAAGUUUGUGCAGUUGUCGGUUAUGAUGCUGUGGGAGACGCCGUAACGGUGUACAACCCCGGAUAUGAAGUCUAUCACUGGUCCGGAUUCGUCCGUCUUUACAGGCUUGGCUUCUAUCCAUUUGGUGAAUUUGUCCACCAUGACCAGUAGAUAUUUUUGCUUGUGGGUUCCUCCUUUAAGGGAUCCGACCAUGUCAAGCCCCCAGACCGCGAAAGGCCAGGUAAUGGGUAUAGUUUGUAGGGCGGUAGGCGGCAUGUGGCUUUGGCUGGCGAAUAAUUGGCAACCAACACAUCGUUGCACUAAGUCCUGAGCGUUUGCCCGGGCCGUUGGCCAAUAAAAUCUGGUACGGAAGGCCUUGCUUACAAGGGCCCGGGCUGCGGCAUGGUGCCUGCCGAGUCCGGCAUGAAUUUCAGCCAAAAGGUCUCGCCCUUCCUCUUCGGAGAUACACCUUUGAAGGACUCCGGUUGUGCUUUUCUUGUAAAGCUCUCCCUCGUGGACUUUGUAGGCUUUAGAUCACUGCACUAUGCAGCGGGCCUCGUUUUGGUCCUCGGGAAGUUCCUGCCUAGUUAGGUAGGCUAGGAAUGGUUCUGUCCAAGGUGCAAUGACUACCAUUAUUGCGUGGGUUGACGGCGUUGUUUCGUUGGCGGAGCCCCCAACUGUGUCAGAAUGUUCAGUGAGGGGCGGUGUAGUUGUGUCCAGGCUAUUGUUUCUGGAUUAUCCUUCCCCUGAUACGGAUGGCUUGAACAGCCUUUCUAGGAAGAUGUUGGGAGGGACGGCCUCGCGCUUGGCGCCAAUGCGUGCCAGCACGUCUGCUGCUUGGUUAUUUUCCCGGGCUAUGUGAUGAAAUUCAAGCCCCUCAAAGCGAGCUGACAUCUUUAAGAUGGCGUUGCGGUAAGCUGCCAUUUUCGGAUCCUUGGCGUCGAAGUCUCCAUUUAUUUGGGAUAUUGCGAGGUUUGAAUCCCCGCGGACCUCUAGGCGCUGAAUGACCAUGGAGACUGCCAUCCAGAGGCCAUGUAAAAGGGCCUCAUAUUCGGCUGCGUUGUUGGAAUCCGUGUACAUUAUCUGAAGUACGUAUUGGACUGUGUCUCCGGUUGGGGACGUCAGAACGACGCCAGCCCCCAGGCCAGCCAACAUUUUGGAGCCGUCGAAGUGCAUGAUCCAGUUGGAGUAUGCGCCGUACUCUUUAGGGAGUUCGGCUUCAGUCCAUUCGGCGAUGAAGUCGUCCAAAACCUGCGACUUAAUUGCUUGCCUUGGCUUGUAGGUUAUGUCGAACGGGAGGAGCUCGAUGGCCCAUUUGGCAAUCCGUCCCGUUGCGUCGCGGUUGUUUAUAAUAUCAUUAAGGGGUACUUCGGAUGCCACUGUUAUGGAGCACUAUUGAAAGUAGUGUCGCAGCUUCCGGGAUGCCAUGAACACCGCAUACGCUAUCUUUUGAUAAUGCGGGUACUGUGACUUGCAUGGAGUUAGUACAGUGGACACAUAGUACACUGGUUUUUGGAGGGGGAACUUGUGUCCGUCCGCUUCUCCUUUGACGACGAGCACCACGCGUACAACUUGAUGGGUUGCCGCGAUGUAUAAUAGCAUUGGUUCACCCGUGUUGGGCGCGGCCAGGACCGGAUUUGUUGCCAGUAUGGCUUUUAUUUCUUCGAGUCCGGUCAUGGAGGCAUCCGUCCACUCGAAGUGGUCGGUGCGCCGCAGGAGGCGAUAGAGGGGUAAUGCCUUUUCUCCUAAGCGGGAGAUAAAGCGGCUUAGAGCUGCCACGCAUCCUGUCAGCUUUUGUAUCUGUUUGAGGUCCUUUGGGGUAUCCAAUUGUGACAGAGCUCGGAUCUUGGCUGGGUUUGCUUCAAUUCCUCUACCGGAUACGAUGAAGCCCAAGAGCUUUCCGGCUGGUACGCCAAAAACCCAUUUUUCCGGGUUGAGCUUAAUGUCAUAUGUUCGGAGAUUAUCGAACGUGAGCCUCAAGUCGUCUACUAGAGUAUCGACGUGUUUUGUUUUGACGACCACAUCAUCUAUGUAUGCUUCAACUAUUUUGCCGAUCUGGUUGGCCAGACAUGUCUGAAUCAUGCGCUGAUAUGUUGCGCCGGCGUUUUUGAGCCUGAAGGGCAUUGUGUUGAAGCAGAAUGGGCCGUAUGGGGUGAUGAAUGCCGUUGCAGCUUGGUCUGACUCUGCCAUCUUGAUUUGAUGGUAGCCAGAGUAUGCAUCGAGGAAACACAAUGAGUCAUGUCCUGCGGUGGCGUCGAUGAUUUGAUCAAUUCGGGGGAGUGGGAAAGGGUCCUUUGGACAUGCCUUGUUUAGGUCUUUGAAAUCGACACAUAGGCGCCAAGAUUUGUCCUUCUUUGGUACCAUCACCAGGUUUGCUAGCCAGUCCAGAUGUUUUAUGUCUCUGAUGAAUCCGGCUUCCAGCAGUUUUGCUAGCUCCUCUCCCAUGGCUUGUCUCUUGGGUUCGGAAAAACGCCGUAGAGUCUGCUUGACGGGUUUAAACCCUUUUAGGAUGUUCAGGCUGUGCUCAGCCAGCCUGCGUGGGAUUCCUGGCAUAUCUGAGGGGUGCCAGGCGAAAAUGUCCCAAUUUUCUCGCAGGAAGUCUCUGAGUGCGGCGUCUGCAUCGGGUUUUAGUUGUGCCCCGAUGGAGGCCGUUUUUGUAGGGUCUGUUGGAUGGACUUGGAAUUUGACUAUCUCAUCCGCUGGUUUAAAAGAGGUGGACUUGGAUCUCUUGUCUAGUAUCACAUCGUCCCUGUCCAUCGUAGAGCGCAACACAGUUAAUUCCUCGGCCGCUAGGGCCUCGGAUAAUGCCUCCAGGGCCAGUGCGGCUGUCUUGUUUUCAGCGCGGAGCGCUAUGUCCGGAUCACUUGCGAGAGUGAUGAUUCCAUUGGGUCCGGGCAUUUUGAGCUUCAUGUACCCGUAAUGGGGUAUGGCUUGGAAAAUUGUAAAGGCUUCUCGCCCUAGCAGAGCGUGGUAUCCGCUGCUGAAUGGGACCACUUGAAACGUGACCUCCUCGAAUCUGUAAUUAUCCGGCGUGCCGAACACCACAUCCAGUGUGAUUUUUCCUGAACAGCAUGCUUCCUGGCUUGGAAUUAUUCCCCUAAAAGUUGUGUUGCUUCGCUCAAUGCGGCUCCAGUCAAUUUCCAUUUUUCGCAGGGUUUCCUCGUAGAUGAGGUUGAAUUCACUGCCGCCGUCCAUGAGUACCUUUGUAAGUCGGAAGCCGUCCACUAUUGGACUGAGGACCAAUGCGGCUGGUGCUCGGGUUGUCCGGAAUUUAGGUUCAUCACUGGCAUUAAAAGUGAUAGCCGUGUCACUCCAUGGGUUUAUUGUUGCUACUUGGUAGACUUCGGCAAGGUUGCAGAGCGUUCGUUUCGUUGCAUUGUUUGAUGUGAAGGUCUCAAAGACUGUCGACACCGUACUGGGGAGGUAUUCUUCGAGUGCUGGAGUUAAAAGCUCCUUGCCACUUCGGGCUACCUGCCGUAGUAUCCAACAUGCUCUAAGGCUGUGCGUUGGUGUGGCUUCCCCUGAAUUAUGAAUUUUAUAGGGUCCAUUGAGCCAUCCUUCCAGUACGGUCCCGUACCCUGUAGAGGGUUUUUGUUUUUUAAUGUUUGGCUCAGAUGCCUGGCGAUGAUGCGCCCUUUUGUAUCGGACUGGUGUUGUAUUCGGGGCCGGAUUGUCCCAGAAUUUAUCUUCAGUUUUCCGAACGCUUUCAGUCGCACAGUACUUUCGUACGAUGGAUGUCAAGUCGGCGAAUCGUGUAAUUUCGCGGUGACUUAUGGCGUUGCGGAUUCCGAUGUCCGUGCAGUUGUUACAGAAGAGUGAAAUUGCUUCUUUCUCGCGGCAGUACUUUAUCCUAUUCAUAACCAGGAGGAAUCUGGCCCAAUAGUGGUGUACUGUUUCUCCGGGCUCUUGCCGUAUUAGGGAUAAAUCCCGUGUAGUUGGGUGGGCGGGUGGAAUUAAAUCCGGAACCCUGCCCGAUGUAAGAUUCAGGGGCCAAGCGGUUUCCGAAUUCGGAAGCUUGCUUUCUUGGAUAUUAUUCAAUGAAUCGGGCCUGCUGCCUGACUUUAGGUUCAGGGUUUGGGCGACAUCCUCCCCUCCGCGGGUAUCCGGCUUGGAGGGAUCGGGAAUCCGGACACAUCUGGUCCUUAGGGCGGGCGAAGACUCGCUGCAUUGUUCUUCCACCACUUCGACAUGAUGGGUGAUCUGGGGAGAGUCAAUCUCUCUCUGCUCAGGUUUAAGCCCAAUUUGGUCGUAAUCAGUAGCGACUCCCAGGGCCAAGAUGCGAUCCAAGAGCUCAUUCAGGGAGAGGAGCUCCAUUGGAUCUAACUGCUCGGCAAGCUCCGAGCGGAUGUGAAGAUUGCUUUCGAUGGCCCGAGAGGUCAUCGUCGGCGCGGCGGCCGGACAGGCGGUCAUCAAAAACCUGCCUAGCCAGAGAGUUUGGUCGACAGCCAAAGCUCCUUUAGCAACGACGCCGUCUUUAAAGACGGGAUGUGGCAUCCUUCCUGAUGGUGACGACAUAGCGGAACUCUCAAUGAAAGCACCAAUGUCGGUGUCAAAACCGGCGGAUCUCGGGUAGGGGGUCCCGAACUGUGCGUCUAGGCGGAUGGUAACAGGAGACAAGGGACACGAUGUUUUUACCCAGGUUCGGGCCCUCUCGAUGGAGGUAAAAUCCUACUCCUGCUUGAUUAAUAUUGAUGAUAUGGGUAGUACAAGAGUAGAUCUACCACGAGAUCGGAGUGGCUAAACCCAAGAAGCUAGCCUAUGGUAUGAUUGUUGUUCGUCCUACGGACUAAAACUCUCCGGUUUAUAUAGACACCGGAGAGGGCUAGGGUUACACAGAGUCGGUUACAAUGGGAGGAGAUCUUCAUGUUAUAUCGCCAAGCUUGCCUUCCACGCCAAGGAAAGUCCCAUCCGAACACGGGACGGAGUCUUCAAUCUUGUAUCUUCAUAGUCCAGGAGUCCGGCCAAAGGUCUUAGUCCGGCCAUCCGGACACCCCCUAAUCCAGGACUCCCUUAGUACCCAUAUACCCUGUCGGGUAAUGGGUAUGGGAAAAAUUAUAUGCAUUGAUGGGUAUGGGUAAGGGUGAUGGGUAAGCUCAAAAGGGAUGGGUAAGGGUAUGGGGUGGCUCCACCCGUAUCCAAACCUUGCGGGUGCCAACCCUACCCUGGAAGGUUAAUGGGCCUUAUAGGCCAAGAGGGCGAACACACCAGCCCACAAGGGGCUGGUGCGCCCCUUCCCUUGGGUUUUGGCCCUAUGGAUGUAAAGGAGGGAGGGCUAGCCCAUAUUUCAUUCCCUCCACCUAGGAGGAAGGAAGGGGGGGGUGUCGGUGUCAAAACCGGUGGAGCUCGGUAGGGGGCCCCGAACUAUGCGUCUAGGUGGAUGGUAAUAGGAGACAAGGGACACGAUGUUUUUACCCAGGUUCGGGCCCUCUCGAUGGAGGUAAAACCCUACUCCUGCUUGAUUAAUAUUGAUGAUAUGGGUAGUACUAGAGUAGAUCUACCAUGAUAUCGGAGUGGCUAACCCUAGAAGCUAGCCUAUGGUAUGAUUGUUUUUCGUCCUACGGACUAAAACUUUAUAGACACCGGAGAGGGCUUGGGUUACACAGAGUCGGUUACAAUGGGAGGAGAUCUUCAUAUCGUAUCGCCAAGCUUGCCUUCCACGCCAAGGAAAGUCCCAUCCGGACACGGGACGGAGUCUUCAAUCUUGUAUCUUCAUAGUCCGGGAGUCCGGCCAAAGGUCUUAGUCCAGCCAUCCGGACACCCCCUAAUCCAGGACUCCCUCAGUAGCCCCUGAACCAGGCUUCAAUAACAACGAGUCUGGCGUGCAAGUUGUCUUCGGCAUUGCAAGGCGGGUUCCUCCUCCGAAUAUUUCAUAGAAGAUGUUGAACACCAGGGUAGUGUCCGGCUCUGCAAAAUAAGUUCCACAUUUCACCGUAGAGAGAAUAUUAUUUGCAUUAAUCGGAUCUGCUGACGUAUUUCGCGGCGUGACAUCAUGCCACGGCCAGGCUUUUAUUCAUUUUAUUGUUCCACCUCAGUGCGUUUAGCAAGGCAGUUUCCUUGGCACGUCUUGUCAAAGCAGAGAUCGUGUCCCCUUAUUCCGGGAUUCUCAUCAAUACGGGUGUGGGUAACCCAACCACGUCAUUAACCGCGGCGCUUGGGAGAUAAGCGAGUUUUAUCAAGCCGGUGGGGGGCUCGUAGUUUUCACCGCCCAUAUAAGGGGAUAAGAAUCCGUCCUUUCCAUUCAUGCCUUCUUCUUCCUCUUCUUAUCCAUCCCUGCGCGCUCGAGCUCCAGCGCCCAAGCCCGCACUUCCCACCUCAACCUUCUCCAACCAUGUCCGGAGCGGGAGGUAGAUGGAUGGCCUCCUCCGUCACGGAGGGGCAACUCAAAAAACUGACGAAGGCCGGAUACUUGUCUAACGACAUCGCGCACCGGCUUCCAAAUGUGGGGCAACUCAUCCCCACCCCCAGGCCCCAUGAGAGGGUUGUUUUUCUUCCCCAUUUCCUCCGCGGACUGGGUUUUCCUCUUCACCCGUUCGUCCGGGGGCUCAUGUUCUACUACGGCCUGAACUUCCACGAUCUGGCCCCGAACUUCAUCCUCAAUAUCUCAGCGUUUAUCGUCGUGUGUGAGGCCUUCUUCCGCAUCCAACCCCACUUUGGCCUAUGGCUGAAGAUCUUCAGCGUCAAGCCGAAGGUCGUGAAAGGCCGACAAGCAGAAUGCGGAGGUGCUAUGGUGGGAAAGAUGGCCAACGUCACUUGGCUCGAGGGUGCCUUCGUGGAAACCAUCAAAGGGUGGCAAUCGGGGUGGUUUUAUAUCACCGAGCCGCGUGACCCAAAGUGGGCAGCGGCCCCGGAAUUUCGAUCCGGCAUCCCCACCCGGCUCACAUCUUGGAAAGAGACGGGCCUGUCGUGGGGCAAUCCGGAAGAGGUGACCGUACUCCAAACCUGCGUCCGAGACCUGGUGACCAAGAAGGUCAAGCUUGUCAACGUGGUCCAGGUCAUGCUCUUCCGCCGGAUCCUCCCGUGUCAAUGACGGGACUUCAAUUUGUGGGAGUUCGACCUGGCCCAGCACCAGACUCUAUCCCGGCUCUUCGAAACGAAGCACGAGGACGCUUGGAAGGUGCUUUUCAAGAGUUCCGAGGUCUCCCCUCCCGUCACCGAGGAUCCCGGAUUCUGCGCCAAACGUCAAGCCUCUGAAGUAAGCUUACAUUUAGUCCCUUACGGGAUACCCAAAUUUCAUAGUGUGACUUUAUGUGGGAUCUAAACUCCCGUUCCUUUGAUAGGACUGGAAGAGGACAUCCGGACAGUUUGGCUGUCCGGCUCCUUUGCCCGAAGGCCCAGCAGAUGCGCAAUUAGCAAAGCUACUGGUUCUGGCACCUCACGUGGUGCCGGAGAAGAAGGCCAAGGAGAAGGCCACGGGGACCCGAAAGAGUUCCCGGUGCCCGGUGGCGUCGGAUUUGCCCGACAACCCCAAUGCACCCUCCGCCUCCGAAGACGAGGAGGAGGAGGAGGAAGAAGAAGCCUCUCCCCCUCCAACGGGAGGGAGGAACAAAAAGAAAGGCCGCCCCAACUGGGGAAGCCAGAGGGUCCAAGAAGGGGAAGACCCUUCUGCCGGACUACGCCCCCAACGCCAAAGACGACAGGGGGGAAUGGCCAUCCAGGGUCAAGCCCCUGGCAAAAUCGUGAGUGUCCGGCUACCCGAAUGACUUAUUGCACUCCUUUAUUAUUCGAUAGCUUCUAAUGCCGAAUCUAAUUAUGCAGUCCACCCAGAGCUCAGCUUGGCGACUCGUCGAGCGGCUCUCUGAAUUCGUCGGACGUGAAUAGCGCUUCACUUCCGACGGCCUCCUCCCCUCUCCCUACAGACGACACUGAGGUGGAGUCCCAAAGGGGACAAAACCAGGAGGAGGUGGUCCUGGAGGCGCCACAAUGUUGGAGAACGUUGCAGAAAACAAAAAUUUUCCUACAGUUUCACCAAGAUCCAUCUAUGAGUUCAUCUAGCAACGAGUGAUUAGAUGCAUCUACGUACCUUGUAGAUCGCGAGCGGAAGCGUUCAAUGGAACGGGGUUGAUGGAGUCGUACUCGCCGUGAUUCAGAUCACCGAUGAUCUAGUGCCGAACGAACAGCACCUCCGUGUUCAACACACGUACGGAACAGCCACGUCUCCUCCUUCUUGAUCCAGCAAGGGGGGAGGAGAGGUCGAGGGAGAUGGCACCAGCAGCAGCACGGCGGCGUGGUGUUGAUGGAGCUGCAGUACUCCGGCAGGGCUACGCCAAGCACUAUGGAGGAGGAGGAGGUGUUGGAGAGGGAGAAGGAGACAACCAAAGGCCUGGGGUCGGUUUGCUCCUCCUUUUCCCCACUAUAUAUAGGGCCAAGGGAGAGGGGGAGGCGCAGCCCUUGCCCCUUCCUCCAAGGAAGGGUGCGGCCAAGGGGGGAGGAGUCCAUCCUCCCCAAGGCACCUCGGAGGUGCCUUCCCCCUUUAGGACUCUCCCCUUUUUUUCUUCUCUUGGCGCAUGGGCCUCUUGGGGCUGGUGCCCUUGGCCCAUGUAGGCCAAGGCACACCCCCUACAGCCCAUGUGGCCCCUGGGGAUGGGUGGCCCCACCCGGUGGGCCCCCGGGACCCUUCCGGUGGUCCCGGUACAAUACCGAUAACCCCGAAACUUGUCCCGAUGCCCGAAACAGGACUUCCCAUAUAUAAAUCUUUACCUCCAGACCAUUCCGGAACUCCUCGUGACGUCCGGGAUCUCAUCCGGGACUCCGAACAACAUUCGGGUUACUGCAUAUACAUAUCCCUACAACCCUAGCGUCACUGAACCUUAAGUGUGUAGACCCUACGGGUUCGGGAGACAUGUAGACAUGACCGAGAUUGCUCUCCGGUCAAUAACCAACAGCGGGAUCUGGAUACCCAUGUUGGCUCCCACAUGCUCCAUGAUGAUCUCAUCGGAUGAACCACGAUGUCGAGGAUUUAAUCAACCCCGUAUGCAAUUCCCUUUGUCAAUCGGUAUGUUACGUGCCCGAGACUCGAUCGUCGGUAUCCCAAUACCUUGUUCAAUCUCGUUACCGGCAAGUCACUUUACUCGUACCGCAAUGCAUGAUCCCGUGACCAGACACUUGGUCACUUUGAGCUCAUAAUGAUGAUGCAUUACCGAGUGGGCCCAGUGAUACCUCUCCGUUAUCCGGAGUGACAAAUCCCAGUCUCAAUCCGCAUAAAACAAUAGAUACUUUCGGAGAUACCUGUAAUGCACCUUUAUAGUCACCCAGUUACGUUGUGACGUUUGAUACACCCAAAGCAAUCCUACGGUAUCCAGGAGUUACACGCUCUCAUGGUCAAAGGAAGAGAUACUUGACAUUGGCAAAGCUCUAGCAAACGAACUACACGAUCUUUGUACUAUGCUUAGGAUUGGGUCUUGUCCAUCACAUCAUUCUCCUAAUGAUGUGAUCCCAUUAUCAAUGACAUCCAAUGUCCAUAGCCAGGAAAUCAUGACUAUCUGUUGAUCAAUGAGCUAGUCAACUAGAGGCUUACUAGGGACAUAUUAUGGUCUAUGUAUUCACACGUGUAUUACGACUUCCGGAUAAUACAGUUAUAGCAUGAAUAAAGACAAUUAUCAUGAACAAAGAAAUAUAAUAAUAAUGCUUUUAUUAUUGCCUCUAGGGCAUAUUUCCAACACACAAGGCGACCUUCCAGACUCCAGGCCCAAAGGGGGUAAAGCCCCGGAGGGAUCUAAGUCCGGCCUCGGGCCGGACACUGCUCCGGAACCAUCAGCGGUUCCAGAGUCCGACAGGCGGCUUAUGAGUGCGGUGAUUCAGAAGGUUUAGUCCGCCAAGAGCGGGCUGACAGAAGCCUGUACAAGCCUGUUAACGGGCUUUGAGGUAUGUGUUCAAAAACAUAUAUAUAAAAUAUAACUGCAUAGACAGUAGCCCCUGAUGCUCAGUUCGGUGUUCGGAAAGAAAAGCCAAGCUGAGGAUCUAAAAAGAUAUACACAGGAGUCUAAUAGAAAUAUGUCAAUAUGGGAAUGCAGGCUACGCUGCUGACCUCUGCCGCACUGACUGCGGAGGUCAAUGCAUUGAAGGAAAGCCUCGAGCGGUUCGAGAGAGAGCUCGGCCGUGCCAAGAAGUAGCUCGAGGAUAAAGAGGGUACAUAGUACCUCCUGUAAAUGUAUAUAGAAAUACUUGGUUGCAAAAUAAGAACAGGACCAAUGUUAAUGUUGCAGGAGCCACGACCGAGGUGGCGACCCUGAAAGAGGCGGUCUCCAAGGCCGAAAAGAGUGCGGGCUUGGAGCACACCGAGCGAGAGAAGCAGGAGGCGCGGGUGGCGGAGGUGCGGCAAGAGCUCCAGGCCCUUGUGGAAAAACACGAGAGUUUGGAGCGUGACUCGAAGACUCGAGAGUCCGAGCUUGCCUUGGCUCUUGAGAGUGCCAAGACCGCCAAGGCCGAAGCCCAGAAGGCCCUUCAAGAGAUCGAGGCGAUGAAGAAGAUAGCGGUGGGUAAGGCAUUCUUUAUGCAAAACAAAGACAUAAAAGUUAAUUAUCUGCUACUUACCUGAAUCCGGAGCUCUCCAGGAGCAUUCGCCGAUCUGCCCCGUAGUGUGUCUGAUGCCGCCGCAUACUACCGAGCCGAAGAGGGGAGCUCGACGGAAAAAGUGUUCUGGUCUCAGUAUGCUGAGGCCGAACAUCCGGUGCCCCUGAGUGACCAGCUGAAGCAGCUGGUCGAGCUCCACAAGGUGGCCGAACAGGCCAUGAAGGGCCUCAUAGCUCGGCUGUGGCCUGGAGAAGUCAUACCUAGGAGCUACUUCGGUCUGGUGCGGCGGCUGGUGGACGCGUGUCCGUGGAUUGAGGUCGUCAAGCGCUCCGUUUGUAUUGAAGGUGCCCGUCGGGCCCUUGCCCGUGCUAAGGUGCACUGGGGCAAGCUAGAUGUGGAGAAGCUAUUGACGGACGCGCCACCGCCGGGCAAGGAGUAUCAUACGCCCGAGAUGUAUUAUAAUGGCGUUCUGAAGGGUGCCCGCCGUAUAGCGGAUGAGUGCUCCAAAGAUGUAAUUUUUGAGUAGACUCGCAUUUGUUAUCCUGUACGCUGAAGCUUUGUUCAUAUGCGUUAAGCAACACUUGUUAAUUUAAAAUAUUACCUUCUGUGCGGCCGUUUAUCAAAUCUGAGAGAUGCAAGUCGUCGGCUUCGACCCCCAUGCCACGAGUGUUGGGGUGUUCGGGAUAAACCUGAGCGCUCUUGUUCCCAUUCUUGGGUCCAUCUAGGGAGGCGUUCAACACAAUGAACCAGGCCGUCAGACUUAUAAUGCUUUAUCACUCUCACUUAGCCACAGAAAUCUAUAAUUUUAAAUUUCGGCGUAGCCCCUAGUAUUCGGAAGACCGAGUUCGGGGCGCUAUCCACGCCUAGGCCGGAUAAGUCCGGUUCCUCGCUCGAAGCGGCAUAAGUCUUUAAGGACUCGAAGAAACCUCGCGAACAGCGACCGGUCUCUCACAUUAUCAUGAUAGUCAGUUUUAGCUUUCUCUACUGAGGUGUUAACCCAGCUCAACUGGGGCACAAUCGCAGUAGUUCUCCCAGCGCUACCUUAGCCAACAAUGCGGAACGUAAGGUACCAAAACAUGGGAGCCGUGCAAACCCAACUAUUGACCAAAGACAUGAUUCGGAGCCGAUGCAUAUAGUGCUAUAAGUUCGGGGUGCCGCACUCGUGAGAGUGUUCGGUCUUCUCACACCAUGUUAUGGGGUGUUGUAAGCCCCUGGUGUAUUGUCCGCACCAAAGUGUACGGUUGCAGAAUGUCAUGACUGAACAUAUUUGUAUAUAAAAAUAGAUAUGUACAAUAAUAGGUAAGAACUAUAUAUUGUUUAUUAAAAAAGGGCUGCUGCGAAAGCAAAACGAUACAAGAAGUGCGGUAAGCAAGAGAUGGGAGUAUUUGACAUAUUCCCCUCCAGGGGAAAGCUGCGGGAUUGUAAGUAAAACAUGUAUUAAACUCGUUAUAGAGACCACCUAGACUUUUGGCGUGGCUUGCUCCCUCCCUCCCUGGCUGUUGCAUCGUGGGUUCGGCGAGUGUAUUGCCGGACGGGCCUUCCGAAUAGUUGGGUCCUGAAAGUGUGUAAAAAGGAAAAUGGCGAAAUAGGGAGCCCCUUAGUGCGCUUGAGCCGCAUUCUGGGCGUGCCAUUGUUGUGCCCCUACCCUUAUGCCCAUGGUAUCUCUAAGGCGUAAUUAUGUACGCGUGGUACCAGUAUCGCCAUUUGGCGGGGGCUGGGGUUGGGGCCGCACUGCUAUGCUUGCUCAGAACGUGCCAGCCGGAUUUGUUGUAGGUUACGAGGUCCUGGCAUCUUGAGCUUGAGAUAUGCGUAGUGCGGCACCGCAUUGAAUUUUGCAAAUGCAGUUCGGCCAAGCAGGGCGUGAUAGCCGCUGCGGAAUGGGACUAUGUCGAAGAUUAACUCCUCGCUCCGGAAGUUAUUCGGGGAUCCGAAGACCACUUCGAGUGUAACCGAGCCUGUACAGCUGGCCUCUACCCCUGGUAUGACACCUUUGAAGGUUGUCUUUGUGGGUUUAAUCCUUUAAGGAUCGAUGCCCAUUUUUCGCACUGUGUCCUGGUAAAGCAGGUUCAGGCUACUGCCGCCAUCCAUUAGGACUCUGGUAAGGUGAAAUCAAUCGAUAAUUGGGUCUAGGACCAGUGCGGCGAAUCCGCCAUGAUGGAUGUUGGUGGGAUGGUCCCUUCGAUCGAAGGUGAUCGGGCAGGAGGACCAUGGGUUGAACUUUGGGGCGACUGGCUCCAGCGCAUAGACGUCCUUGAGAGCAUGCUUCCGCUCCCUUUUGGGGAUGUGGGUUGCGUAUAUCAUGUUCAUCGUCCGAACUUGCGGGGGAAAUCCCUUCCGUCCUUUGUUGUUCGGCGACUGGGGCCCCUCCUCGUCAUCGCUAUGUAGCCCCUUGUCUCUGGUCUCGGCACUUAACUUGCCUGCCUGCUUGAACACCCAACAAUCCCUGUUGGUGUGAUUGGCUGGCUGUUCGGGGGUGCCGUGUAUCUGGCAUGAGCGAUCGAGUAUCCGGUCUAAGCUGGAUGGGCCCUGAGGGUUUCUUUUGAAUGGCUUCUUCCACUGACCCGGUUUAGAGCCUCUGAAUCCGGCAUUGACUGUCGUAUCUUCAGUAUUGUCACCGUUAAUGCGGCGCUUAUGCUUGUUGCGACGUGACCUGCCAUUGUUAUCCUUGGUAUCCGAAUUGCCGGGGCUCUUGGUUAUGUUAUUGCUACGAGCUAGCCAGCUGUCUUCUUCCGCACAGAAGCAGGUCAUGAGUGUCAUGAGGGCUGCCAUAGAUUUCAGCUUUUCCUGUCCUAGGUGCCGGGCAAGCCAUUCAUCUCGGAUGUUGUGCCUGAAGGCUGCAAGGGCCUCGGCGUCCGGACAAUCAACUAUUUGGUUUUUCUUGGUUAGGAACCGUGUCCAGAAUUGUCUGGCCGAUUCCUCUGGCUGCUGGAUUAUGUGGCUUAGGUCAUCGGCGUCUGGUGGUCGCACAUACGUGCCCUGGAAGUUGUCAAGGAAUGCGGAUUCCAGGUCCUCCCAACAACUAAUUGACUCUGCUGGCAGGCUGUUAAGCCAAUGUCGAGCUGGUCCUUUAAGCUUGAGCGGGAGGUAUUUGAUGGCGUGUAGAUCAUCACCACGGGCCAUGUGGAUAUGAAGGAGAUAAUCCUCGAUCCAUACCGCAGGAUCUGUUGUGCCAUCGUAUGAUUCAAUGUUUACGGGUUUGAAGCCCUCGGGGAUUUGAUGAUCCAUUACUUCGUCUGUGAAGCAUAGUGGGUGUGCGGUGCCCCUGUACUAGGCUAUAUCACGACGCAGCUCGGACGAGCUUGGUCUGUUGUAUUCGGCCGGGCCAUACUUAUUAUGUCUGGCGUGACGGCUAGCGUCACGUGAAGCGGGGCGCCCAUGCGAUCCGUAGAUCGAUCUUGUUUGCUUUGCCUUAUUCUCCAAGAUGUCUCGCAGGUCUGUUGCGUCUCCCCGUACUCUGGUAUGUUUUGAGCGGUGUCGGGGUGCGGCUUGGGUUGAGGGCCUGAAGGCCUCUCUAUCGCGGCCAUAGGGUGGCCGAUCGGGCGCAUCAUACGCUGGUGAUGUAGGUUUAGUUGCUUCCUCCUCAAGUUUGGGUAGUAGCCUGCGCUUUGGGUAGCUCUUGGAUGGGCGUUCUAGUUUAUACUCUUUGGCCGCCAGGACUUCGGUCCAUCUGUCGGCUAGCAAGUCUUGGUCAGCUCUAAGCUGCUGCUGUUUCUUCUUGAGGCUGCUUGCCAUGGCUACGAGCCUGCGUUUGAAACGCUCUUGUUCGACGGGAUCCUCUGGCACGACGAAUUCGUCGUCGUCGAGGCUUGCCUCGUCUUCGAAGGGAGGCAUGUAAUUGUCGUCCUCAUCCUCUUUGUCGGCCGCUCGCUCAUGAGGGCUGGCUCCUUCGUCCUCCUGCACUGAAUCGUGAUGGAGGGGGUUGUCUUCGGCACUGUCCGGCGUGUUGUUAUCUCCAGUGCCGGAAUCACCGUUUUUGCUUUGGCGGGACUUAGUGCGGCGCCGCUGACGUUGGCGCUUGGGUUGCUUCUUGGAGGGGUCAUCCUCCGUUUUCUCCUCGCCAUCCCCCGCUUUAGGGGUGUCCACCUUGUAUAUGUCAUAUGACGAGGUGGCUUUCCAGUUCCCUAUAGGUGCUGGUUCUUGAUUGUCUCCUUCAUCGGCGUCCAUGCCGUCGAUGUCUUCGGAGUCAAAGUCGAGCAUGCCGGUUAAAUCGUCGACAGUGGCUACGAAGUGGGUGGUGGGUGGGCUUCGAAUUUCUUCAUCGUCCGCAUCCCAACUGUGUUGGCCGUAGUUCGGCCAGGGCUCUCCUGACAAAGAGAGAGACUUUAAUGAAUUCGGGAUAUUGCCGAAAGGCGAGUGCUGAAAGACGUCCGCGGCGGUGAACUCCAUGACCGGAGCCCAAUCGGGCUUAAUCGGAAGAGGUGCGGGAUUUACGGAGUCCGGAUCGGAGUCUGACACCUUGGAGUCACGGGCCUUGCGAGGGACUAGGCUGGUAUCCGGCUCUAUCGCCGUAGAGGUUGCAGUUUUCGGGGCGGCGUCCAACGGUCCGUCCCCGACUGGUGUAGUGGGCUCCGAGCUAAUGGUCGGAGCGGACACUUGAGCAACGCUCUGGGUGUUGUCCGAUGACAGAGCUAAAUCAUGCCCAUCGUGACAGUGCGGCGUGCCCGGUCGUGGCUCGAAUCCAUCGAAGAUCAAGUUCCCGCGGAUGUCGGUCGUGUAGUUUAAGCUUCCAAACCUGACUUGAUGGCUAGGGGCGUAGCUUUCGAUCUGCUCCAGAUGGCCGAACGAGUCGGCCCGCAGUGCGAAGCCGCCGAAUACGAAGAUCUGUUCGGGGAGAAAAGUCUCAUCCCGGACUGCAUCACAAUUGACGAGCGAACAAACUAUCGGGCCUAAAGGCGACGACACAGAGGAACUCUCAAUGAAAGCACCAAUGUCGGUGUCAAAACCGGCGGAUCUCGGGUAGGGGGUCCCUAACUGUGCGUCUAGGCGGAUGGUAACAGGAGACAAGGGACACGAUGUUUUUACCCAGGUUCGGGCCCUCUCGAUGGAGGUAAAACCCUACUCCUGCUUGAUUAAUAUUGAUGAUAUGGGUAGUACAAGAGUAGAUCUACCACGAGAUCGGAGUGGCUAACCCUAGAAGCUAGCCUAUGGUAUGAUUGUUUUUCGUCCUACGGACUAAAACUCUCCGGUUUAUAUAGACAACGAAGAGGGCUAGGGUUACACAGAGUCGAUUACAAUGGGAGGAUAUCUUCAUAUCGUAUCUCCAAGCUUGCCUUCCACGCCAAGGAAAGUCCCAUCCGGACACGGGACGGAGUCUUCAAUCUUGUAUCUUCAUAGUCCGGGAGUCCGGCCAAAGGUCUUAGUCCGGCCAUCCGGACACCCCCUAAUCCAGGACUCCCUCAGGGGGGCUCCACCUCCUGCUUCCUUCCCCCCGCAGGCAAAUAAGGAAGUGGGGGUGGGGGGGGGGUGGCUAGGGCAGGAGCCCAAGGAGGAUUGGCUUCCUUGUGGCGCCUCCUGGCUGCUUCCCCUCUCCCCCACCUAUAUAUAUGAGGGAGGGGGCGCCACACAACCCCAGGAGAAUCUCUUAGCCGUGUGCGGCGCCCCUCUCCAUAGUUUCGUCCCUCGGUCAUAUUUUCGGAGUGCUUAGGAGAAGCCCUGCGGAGAUUACAUCACCACCACAGUCACCACGCCGUCGCGCUGCCGGAACUCAUCUACUACUUCGCUCAUCUUGCUGGAUCAAGAAGGCGAGGACUUCACCGAGCUGAACGUGUGCUGAACGCGGAGGUGCCGUAUGUUCGGUACUUGAUCUGUUGGAUCGCAAAGAAGUUCGACUAUGUCAACUGCAUUACUAAAACUUCAGCUUAUGGUCUACGAGAGUACAUAGACACACUCUCCCCUCUCGUUGGUAUGCAUCUCCAUGGAUAGAUCUUGUGUGUGCAUAGAUUUUUUUUCUUUUCCAUGCAACAUUCCCCAACAGUGGCAUCAUGAGGCAGGUCUAUGCGUAGAUGAUAUGCACGAGUAGAACACAAAGAGUUGUGGGUGGUGAUGGUCAUACUGCUUACCACCAACGUCUUAUUUUGAUUCGGCGGACCAGCCUUACACGUCCACGUACAUGAGACCGGUUCCACCGAAAUACAUGCAACUUGUUUUGCAUAAAGGUGGCUGGCGGGUGUCUGUUUCUCCUACUUUAGUUGAAUCGAAUUUGACUACGGCCGGUCCUUGAAGAAGGUUAAAACAAAAAACUUGAUAAAUCGUCAUUGUGGUUUUUGCCGUAGGUAAGAACGGUUCUUGCUAGAAGCCCGUAGCAGCCACGUAAAACUUGCAACAACAAAGUAGAGGACAUCUAACUUGUUUUUGCAGGGCAUGUUGUGAUGUGAUAUGGUAAGGACGUGAUGUGAUAUGCAUUGUAUGAGAGGAUCAUGUUUUGUAAUGUCUACUACCGGCAGGAGCCUUAGGGUUGUCUCUUAAUUAUUUUAUGAAAUGCAAGCACCAUGUAAUUGCUUUACUUUAUCGCUAUGCGUUAGCAAUAGUUGUAGAAGCAAUAGUUGGCGAGACAACCCCGACGCAAGGAUGGAGAUCAAGGUGUCGAGCCGGUGAUGAUGGAGACCAUGACGAUGCUUUGGAGAUGGAGAUCAAAAUCACAAGAUGAUGAUGGCCAUAUCAUGUCACAUAUUUUGAUUGUAUGUGAUGUUUAUCCUUUAUGCAUCUUAUUUUGCUUAGAACGGCGGUAGCAUUAUAAGAUGAUCGCUUCACUAAAUUUUAAGAUAAAAGUGUUCUUCCCGAGUAUGCACCAUUGCCAAAGUUCGACGUUUCGAAGCACCUUGUGAUGAUCGAGCAUGAUAGACUCUACAUUCACAUACGAUGGGUGUAAGACAGUUUUGCACAUACAGAAUACUUGGGUUAAACUUGACGAGCCUAACAUGUACAGACAUGGUCUCGGAACACUGGAGACCGAAAGGUCGAACAGGAAUCAUAUAGUAGAUAUGAUCAACAUAGAGAUGUUCACCAUUGAUGACUACCCCAUCUCACGUGAUGAUCGGACAUGAGUUAGUUGAUUUGGAUCAUGUAUCACUUAGAUAACUUAAGGGAAAUUUAUUUAAGUGGAGUUCAUUAUUAGUAUUUUGAUUAGUUAAACUUAAUUUAUCAUGAACUUAGUCUUAAUAGUUUUGCAUAUCUAUGUUGUAGAUCAAUGGCCCAUGCUACCGUUCCCCUAAAAUUUAAUGCGUUCCUUGAGAAAGCUAAGUUGAAAGAUGAUGGUAGCAACUACAUGGACUGGGUCCGUAACUUGAGGAUUAUCCUCACUGCUGCACAUAAGAAUUAUGUCCUUGAUGCACCGCUAGGUGACAGAACUGCUGCAGGAGCUACUCUAGAUGUUAUGAACGUCUGGCAGGCUCGAUUUGAUGACUACUCAAUAGUUCAGUGGGCCAUGCUUUACGACUCAGAACCGGGACUUCAAAGAUGUUUUGAACGUCAUGGAGCAUAUGAGAUGUUCCAAGAGUUGAAGUUAAUAUUUCAAGCAAAUGCCCGCAUUGAGAGAUAUGAAGUCUCCAACAAGUUCUAUAGUUGCAAGAUGGAGGAGAAUAGUUUUGUCAGUGAAUACAUACUCAAAAUGUCUGGGUAUCAUAACCACUUCACUCAGCUGGGGUACAAACUUCCAGUUGAUAGUGUUAUUGAUGGAGUUCUUCAAUCACUGCCACCAAGCUACAAAGGCUUCAUGAUGAACUAUAAUAUGCAAGGGAUGACGAAAACAAUUCCCGAGCUCUUCAUGAUGCUUAAGGCCACGUAGGUAGACAUCAAGAAGGAGCACCAAGUGUUGAUGGUUAACAAGACCACUAGUUUCAAGAAAAAGGGCAAAGGAAAGAAAGGGAACUUCAAGAAGAAUGGAAAGGAAGUUGCCGCUCCCGGGAAGAAUCCCAAAGCUGAACCCAAGCCUGAAACUGAGUGCUUCUACUGCAAAGGGAAUGGUUGAGGGAGUCUUGGAUUAGGGGGUAUCCGGACAGCCGGACUAUAUACUUUGUCCGGACUGUUGGACUAUGAAGAUACAAGAUUGAAGACUUUGUUCUGUGUCCGGAUGGGACUCUCCUUUGCGUGGAAGGCAAGUUUGGCAAUUCGGAUGUUAGAUCUCCUUCUCUGUAACCGACUCUGUGUAAGCCUAGCCCCCUCCAAUGUCUAUAUAAACCAGAGAGUUUAGUCCGUAGGACAACAACAAUCAUAAUCACAGGCUAGCUCCUAGGGUUUAGCCUCUACGAUCUCGUGGUAGAUAAACUCUUGUAAUACUCAUAUCAUCAAGAUCAAUCAAGCAGGAAGUAGGGUAUUACCUCCAUCGAGAGGGCCCAAACCUGGGUAAAACAUCGUGUCCCCUGUCUCCUGUUACCAUUAGACUUAGACGCACAGUUCGGGACCCCCUACCCGAGAUCCGCUGGUUUUGACACCGACAUUGGUGCUUUCAUUGAGAGUUCCUCUGUGCCAUCACUGCAAGGCUCGAUGGCUCGUCUUGUUGUCAAGGACAACAUCACCUCUAGGGGAGCCCUGGCUCUAGGCUAGACUCUCUGGCUGGGCGGCUUCGUCAUGACCGCUCGGUCGGUGGCCACGCUGACGAUGGCCUCUCAGGUCAUCAAAAAUAGCUUCCACGUUGAUUCGGAACUUGCCAAAUAGAUGAAUCCAACGGAGCUCUCCUCCCUUAAUGAGCUCUUGGAUUGCAUCGCCGCUCUGGGCGUCGCUACGGACUAUGACCGGAUCGGGCUUAAACCCGACCAAAGGGAGAUUUACUCUCCGCCGGUCACCCAUGAGAUAGCGGUAGUGGAAGAGCAUCGUGCGAAUUCUCCCUCUAUCUUGGGGACGAACUAUGUCUGAAUUCCCGAGCUCUGCGAGCCGGAUACCCGCCCGCGGGAGGACAUGACCCAAACCCCGAACUUAUAAUCGGGCGGCGGGCCGAAAAAAUUGGGCAACAUCCCGGAGCCUGAGCCGCCAAGCUCGGAAGCUUCUCUACCCCUGGGUCUCAGAUUGGGUCAGGAUUCGGAUUUAAUUCCACCCACCCACCCAGACUUAUGCAAUCUUUCCCAUAUCAGACAAGAGCCCCAAGAGACAAUACAUCAUUACUGGGCCAGAUUCCUCCUUGUGAUAAACAAGGUCAAUGACUGUCGCGAGGAAGACGCAAUCUCACUCUUUUCCAAAAAUUGCACGAACAAAGGGAUCCUCAACGCUAUAAGUCGCCGUGACAUAGUACACUUUGUUGACUUAGCGGCCAUAGUACAGAAGUACUGUGCGAUGGAAAGCACCUGGAAAACCCAAACAGACUUCUGGGAUAAUCCGGCUCUCACUAAACCCUUCGUCCGAACUAAAAGGGUAAACUCUCGCAAGUCACCUAAUUCAAUUACCAAAAAACCAAAGCCCGCCGCAGGGCGUGGAACCAUAUUGGAGGAAUGGUUCAAUGGGCCAUGCAAAAUUCACAGCACACCGGAUACCAUGCCAACGCAUAGCCUUAGAGCAUGUUGGAUACUCCGACAGGUAGCAAAGAGCGGCGAGGAUCUCCUUGUAAACCAUACAGCAGAGCAACAUCCCGCCGAAGACAACAAUGCGGUACUGACAGUCUUUGAGACUUUCGCCUCAAAUAAUAGGCACAAGCGAGCUCAUCGCAGUUUUGCUGAAGUUUGCCACGUGGCAAAAAUAAAUCCGUGGAGUGACACUGCUAUAACAUUCAAUGCCAGUGACAAACCUCAAUUCUGGACAGUCCGGGCACCAGCUGCUUUGGUCCUUAGCCCAAUCGUGGACGGCUUCCGGCUCACUAAAGUGCUCAUGGACAGCAGAAGCGGAUUAAACCUCAUCUACGAGGAAACCCUCAACAAGAUGGAAAUUGACAAAAGCCGCAUUGAGCAAAGCAGCACGACCUUCAGGGGAAUCAUCCCUAGUCAGGUGGCACGGUGUGCGGAAAAAAUCACACUAGAUGUGGUAUUCGACUCGCCGGAGAAUUACAGGUCUGAAGAAAUCACGUUCCAAGUGGCCCCUUCAGCAGCGGAUACCACGCCCUCUUAGGGCGGGACGCAUUCACGAGCUUUCAAGCUAUACCCAAUUACGGGUACAUGAAGCUCAAAAUACCCGACCCAAUGGAAUCAUCACUCUAGCUAGUGAUUCGGACGUCGCACUCCGUGCCGAAAAUAAAACUGCCGCACUAGCCCUGGAGGCAUUAUCCAAAGCCCUCAUGGCCGAAGAACUAACAACGUUGCAUGCCACAGUGGACAGAGACGAUGUGAUACUCGACAAGCGACCCAAGUCCACCUCUUUCAAGCCCGCGGACAAGAUAGUCAAAUUCCAGGUCCACCCAACGGACCCACAAAGACAGCUUCCAUUGGGACACAGUUGAACCCCACAAUGGACGCCGCACUGCGAGAUUUCCUACAUGAGAAUUGGGAUAUUUUCGCCUGGCAUCCUUCAGACAUGUCGGGCACCCCACGCAGGCUGGCCGAACACAACCUCAAUAUAUUGAAAGGAUACAAGCCAGUCAAGCAAACUCUUAGGCGCUUUUCAGAACCUAAGCGGCAAGCCAUGGGAGAAGAACUAGCCAAGCUACUCGAGACUGGAUUCAUCAGAGAUAUAAAACAUCCGGAUUGGCUAGCAAACCUGGUAAUGGUACCAAAGAAGGACAAAUCCUGGCGCCUAUUUGUCGAUUUCAAAGACCUCAAUAAGGCUUGCUGUCGGUGUCAAAACCGGCGGAUCUCGGGUAGGGGGUCCCGAACUGUGCGUCUAGGCGGAUGGUAAUAGGAGACAAGGGACACGAUGUUUUUACCCAGGUUCGGGCCCUCUUGGUGGAGGUAAAACCCUACUCCUGCUUGAUUAAUAUUGAUGAUAUGGGUAGUACAAGAGUAGAUCUACCACGAGAUCGGAGUGGCUAAACCCUAGAAGCUAGCCUAUGGUAUGAUUGUUGUUCAUCCUACGGACUAAAACUCUCCGGUUUAUAUAGACACCGGAGAGGGCUAGGGUUACACAGAGUCGGUUACAAUGGGAGGAGAUCUUCAUAUCGUAUCGCCAAGCUUACCUUCCACGCCAAGGAAAAAGUCCCAUCCGGACACGGGACAGAGUCUUCAAUCUUGUAUCUUCAUAGUCCAGGAGUCCGACCAAAGGUCUUAGUCCGGCCAUCCGGACACCCCCUAAUCUAGGACUCCCUCAGUAGCCCCUGAACCAGGCUUCAAUGACGACGAGGCCGGCGCCCAAGUUGUCUUCGUCAUUGCAAGGCGGGUUCUCCUGCAAAUUCUCUGUAUCCGUCGAAUAGUGUUCGGCUUCUAGUGCAUGCUGUCCUCCUCGGCUUCUAUGCCCCAUAAUGACCAUCUUCCAUGCGUCAAACGAAUGUGAAAAGACAGGGGGUUUUCUUUUCACUUACCCCCCUGGUUGCGUUAAUGAGCCGCCCAUAAAAGAGACGGGGAUUUAGAUCCAAUUCACACCAUCUUCCCUCCGCGAGUCUUCAUCAGAGCGGCUCUGACAGAGAUCCAUUCCAUCAUGGCCAGUCGGUGCCGCUCCUCCUCUCACCCCUCCAGCCCUCGGCCCGGAGAUCGGGGGCGGUGUUCCGUCCCGCAUAGCAAAUUAGUAGUGCUUCAGUCCAAGGGGCUUCUCCCCCCAGCAUAUAUGGUCCCAGUUCGAGCUGGGAUUGCUGCCUAUAGCGGCGGAGAGCAGGCGGAGGGCAUUCCCAAUCCCUCUAAAGGAGAGCGGGUAUGCUUAGUCCCUUAUUUGAUGAGAGGACUAGGAUUUCCAAUUCAUCCAUUUCUCUGAGGGUUGCUAGAGUUCUACGGCCUCCAGCUACAUAACCUCACGCCGGCCUCCAUUUUGCACAUCACGGGCUUCGUGGCCCUCUGCGAACUGUUCUUGGGUGUCGAGGCCCAUUUCGCGCUAUGGAAGAGGUUGUUUUUCCUUUGCCCCGUUCUCAGGAGGGGUCUAUUUAUCAGGUGGGCGGAGCCAAACUAUGGCGCAUCGCCGGGACCGGAUAUCUAUCCGGCACCCCAAAGAGGGCGUCCGAAGACUGGCCCUCGAAGUGGUUUUAUAUAGAUGACGUCCCCCUACCGGACCUUGUACGGAUCGGCCUCCCCGAGUUCAAUAAUGCCCCGUUGAAGAAGCGUCUGAGUUGGCGCCCACGGAACCCUCAGAGGGAAGCUGACAGGGACGUCCUGUACCUGAUGAGCCGGAUAAGGUUGUUGGCUCAUUCUGGACUGACCAUGAUUAAGGUCAUGGCCAUAUGCAUUACGCGAGGGGUGCAGCUGCUUCAAUACAGAGGCCACCCCAUGUGGGAUUUCAACGGGGAGGAUCACGCUACCCGGUGCGGUCGCAAGGGGCGAGAUUCGGCCGUCACUUUAACGAGAAUCUUAUCCGCUUUGUACAAGGGGGAAGAGGAAGAAUUCCUCCGUGUCAACCCGGAAGGCGGAUUCUCCAUGUACAAUCCUCCUAGUUGGGUGAGCGGACACUUUCACUUGCCUACUCGUUUUUGAAAUUCCCGUAGUUGAGUACUUAGACUAGUAAUGUUUAAACGCAGGAGCUGCACCAGGUUGUGAAGGAAAUAAACAGCCCUGCUCCACAACCCGAGGACCCGAAACGGUCCCUCGAUCCGGACUCCCAAGAAGAUCCGGACUUAUGCAUGGAGUUGAUUGAUGGAGUAUUUCAUCAAUUGAGCAAGGAUAACUCCUUAGUGGCCAUCACGGCUGACUAUCCCGGACUACUUCCAGCCUCCAAGGUAACUAAGACCGAAGUCCCAGUACUCUCAUGCUUUAUCUUGCAUGCCGUGUACUAACAGCGUUUCGCAGGGUAAAUCCUUGAGGCGGAAGGCCGAGCCCACGGUGGGCAGCCAACAAGGGCCGCUAAAGCCAGACGGGCCAAAAAGAAGUGCAGACUAGAUCGUGAUUCCGGCGCAACGGUAUGGCGUGCGAAUUUAACGCCUAGGGUUUAUGCCCUUGAGUCCUACUAAUGCUCAUGAUUUUCUUAGAAAGAAGAGAGCUCGCAGGGCUAUGUCCGCCGGCCAAGGUUCGAGGCCGGGUCUGGAAGAGGAGGCGGACACGGGACGCGCCUCGGGCUCUCCUCCGACAAAGGGCGCCGACGGGCUAUCUGCCACUAAUUCAGAGGUGGAGAGUGCCCUGAACCACAGGCGUCGCCGGACUGUUCUUCGUGACGCAUGUUUUUCCCUAGAGGCGUUGGACGCCUUUAAUACAGGAGAUGCGUAUCUCCGUGCUGCUCAAAAUGGUCUAGCCAGAGCCACGGAGCAGUAUGUGAAAGACGUACAUGUGAGUAGAAUUGAAGGUUAUAUAUGUCAGUAGCCCGCGAGACUUGAAACAGUGAAGAUAACUGUUUGAAGGAUCAUGUGCUAUGCAGUGUCUUACAAAGAAGAACACGCAAUUUUCCCAGGAGCUCGAAGAGUGCAAGGCCCAGCUCAAGGCCGCAUUGUCCACUUCAGAAAAUGUCAAGGGGACGCCCGCAGGUAAUAUAUGCUUCGAAGGUACUUCCGUUUUGAAAUGCGGCAGGCGUGCAACCCUGACGAUAAUAAUGCAGAUGAGGCCAGAGUAAAUCCGGACAAGCAACAACUCCUACGCCAACUAAAGGCUGGCGAGAGCGUGCUGACGAGGGUGAGGCAAGAGAAGAACAAGCUUCAAGACGCCAAUACCCAGCUGGGCGAGGAACUGAAAGAUGUUCGUAUUCAGCUGUCUUCUGCCGUGAAGGAGAAUCGGCGACUUCGACGCGACAUUUUUAGUAAGUGCUUGAACGAAUCUUCGAAAAAAGAAUUCGGCGAGGAAGUCGAUUAACAGAGCUAUGUCUGUAGGUCUGCUGACGGGUCAUCCUGCGGAGGAAAUGCCCAGUUCAUCGGGAGACCUUCUUCCCGAGCUGUUGCAACUACACGAACAAGUUCGGCAGGCAAUGCAAAGCGUCAUCCUGGCUAUGUGGCCAUCCCUCUCCGUGGCCGAAGGUCUUGAGGAGCUUACCAAGAAGCUGGAGGGAGUGCGGCAGCGCUUCCGGUUGUGGAAGAUAUCAGCUUGCCGUCAAGGUGCCAGGGAGGCCUGGGCCAUGGUGAAGACUCAGUACACGAAGGCUUACCCAAACCACAUGGCCGAGGUCGGCCCUAUAGGUCCGGAUGGAAAGGAGAUCCCGGUCAGCUUAGCAUAUGGCCUGGUGUAGCUGGCUGCAAAGUAUUCCCAACAGGACUGUAAAUUAGACCACCUGUUGGAUGGUAUUGAAGAAGAAUAUGUUGAGUCGGAUUGACUCUGUAAAAAUGACAUAAAAAAUGCCUUCUAGCCGGAUUGUAGAUCGUUUGUCAUUGCGGACCUUUUCGCUUCGACCUCUGGACCCUACAGUCCGGAGUGUGUCCGUAUACCCUCUCGAUUAUGUAAGAACCGGGGCAUGCAUGGAGACAAGGCAUAGGGGUCAUAAGUGCUUUAGCAGACAAGUGCCCAACUAGUUAUGUUAUAUUACAUGGUUAGUAAGAAACAUCUUCCAGGGAGAAUAGUUCCGUUAGGGUUUCCUUUCCCUGGGAGGCAUGCCCUAAAGUGCAUAUCCGAACUGCCAGGAAGAGCAGAAAAGCAUCUGGGGGCAAAUGAAUAAAUACAAAAGAUCAUCUUUUAGAUCACCGACCGAAUAUUCCCUUAAGAACGCUAGAUUUUGGCUUCACCCAGUCUGAGGUACACAUCCGGCUGACCCGGCAGUAAAAAUCGCAGAGGUGCUCCCUUUACCACCUAGCCGAACGAACGGGAACGUAGGGGUAAGCACAGGAGCCAGGAAACCCAGCUUGGCCAAAACUUAAGUCAUAUCGAUGCAUAUAAUGGUGUAUAAAAGGUUCAUGUGGAAGCAUCACACAUGUUUUGGGCAUGAGGCCCGUUUUAUAUAAACUUCUUGGUAAAGAAGCCCUCAGGUAUUAUGAGCGCAGGUAGCGCGUCGGGUAUGUGCGAAUAAUGCAGCGGCAAGCCCCUAAGGGCUUGUGAGAAAAAAGGGUAGGGAGAAGGAACAAAAUCCCGGACUGCCAAUAAAAAAUAAAAAUAAGACAAAGGGACGGAGGAAGGAAACGAACACGGAGUCCGGCGCUAGGCGUAGAACCUUCGUAGGCGUGCUGCGUUCCAUGGGUUCGGCUCGAGUCGGUUAUCCGAUGCGUUUCGCAGACGGUACGCUCCGCCGGUCAGUACUUGGUCGAUUAUGAAGGGGCCCUCCCAUUUGGGCUUUAAUUUAUCCUUUUUCUUGUCUGGCAGGCAUAGAACUAGUUCGCCAACGUUAUAGGUUUUGGCCCGUACUUCUCUGCUUUGGUAUCUUCGAGCCUGCUGUUGAUAGAAUGCGGAACAAGCUUUUGCCACGUCGCGCUCCUCUUCCAAUGCGUCCAAGCUGUCCUGCCGAUCGAGCUCGGCUUCUCUUUCUUCGUACAUGCGCACUCGAGGUGAGUCAUGGAUUAUGUUGCAUGGCAGUACUGCCUCUGCGCCGUAUACCAUAAAAAAUGGUGUGAAGGUCUCAAAGACUGUCGACACCGUACUGGGGAGGUAUUCUUCGGGUGCUGGAGUUAAAAGCUCCUUGCCACUUCGGGCUACCUACCAUAGUAUCCAAGAUGCUCUAAGGCUGUGCGUUGGUGUGGCUUCCCCUAAAUUAUGAAUUUUACAGGGUCCAUUGAGCCACCCUUCCAGUACGGUCCCGUACCCUGUACAGGGUUUUUGUUUUUUGAUGUUUGGCUCAGAUGCCUGGCGAUGGUGUGCCCUUUUGUAUCGGACUGGUGUUGUAUUCGGGGCCGAAUUGUCCCAGAAUUUAUCUUCGGUUUUCCGAACGCUUUCAGUCGCACAAUACUUUCAUACUAUGGAUGUCAAGUUGGCGAAUCAUGUAAUUUUGCGGCGACUUAUGGCGUUCAGGAUUCUGAUGUUUGUGCAGUUGUUACAGAAGAGUGAAAUUGCUUCUUUCUCGCGGCAGUCCUUUAUCCUGUUCAUAACCAGGAGGAAUCUGGCCCAGUAGUGGUGUAAUGUUUCUCCGGGCUCUUGCCGUAUUAGGGAUAAAUCCCGUGUAGUUGGGUGGGCUGGUGGAAUUAAAUCCGGAACCCUGCCCGAUGUAAGAUUCAGGGGCCAAGCGGUUUCCGAAUUCGGAAGCUAGCUUUCUUGGAUAUUAUUCAAUGAAUCGGGCCUGCUGCCUGACUUUAGGUUCAGGGUUUGGGCGACAUCCUCCUCUCCGCGGGUAUCCGGCUUGGAGGGAUCGGGAAUCCGGACACAUCUGGUCCUUAGGGCGGGCGAAGACUCGCCGCAUUGUUCUUCCACCACUUCGACAUGAUGGGUGAUCUGGGGAGAGUCAAUCUCUCUCUGAUCGGGUUUAAGCCCAAUCUGGUCGUAAUUAGUAGCGACUCCCAGGGCCGUGAUGCGAUCCAAGAGCUCGUUCAGGGAGAGGAGCUCCAUCGGAUCUAACUGCUCAGCAAGCUCCAAGCGGAUGUGAAGAUUGCUUUCGAUGGCCCGAGAGGUCAUCGUCGGCGCGACGGCCGGACAGGCGGUCAUCAAAAACCUGCCUAGCCGGAGAGUUUGGCCGACAGCCAAAGCUCCUUUAGCAGCGACGCCGUAUUUAAAGACGGGAUGCGGCAUCCUUCCUGAUGGUGACGACACAACGAAACUCUCAAUGAAAGCACCAAUGUCGGUGUCAAAACCGGCGGAUCUCUGGUAGUGGGUCCCAAACUGUGCGUCUAGGCGGAUGGUAACAGGAGACAAGGGACACGAUGUUUUUACCCAGGUUCGGGCCCUCUCGAUGGAGGUAAAACCCUACUCCUGCUUGAUUAAUAUUGAUGAUAUGGGUAGUACAAGAGUAGAUCUACCACGAGAUCGGAGUGGCUAAACCCUAGAAGCUAGCCUAUGGUAUGAUUGUUGUUCGUCCUACGGACUAAAACUCUCCGGUUUAUAUAGACACCGGAGAGGGCUAGGGUUACACAGAGUCGGUUACAAUGGGUGGAGAUCUUCAUAUCGUAUCGCCAAGCUUGCCUUCCACACCAAGGAAAGUCCCAUCCGGACACGGGACGGAGUCUUCAAUCUUGUAUCUUCAUAGUCCAGGAGUCCGGCCAAAGGUCUUAGUCUGGCCAUCCGGACACCCCCUAAUCUAGGACUCCCUCACUUGCCCUAAGGAUCCCUUCCCCCUCCCUCGCAUUGACCAAAUCAUUGACACCACCGCAGGACACGACUCACUAUGUUUCCUCGACACAUACUCCAGAUACCAUCAGAUAAAGAUGGCGGAAUCCGACCAAGCCGCAACGGCCUUCAUAACGCCAUAUGGCUCCUUCUGUUUCAACACUAUGCCUUUCGGGCUCAAGAACGCUGGCGCAACCUAUCAACGAAUGAUUCAGAUAUGCCUGGAGAAGCAAGUCGGCAAAACAGUGGAGGCAUACAUGGACGACGUGGUCAUCAAAACAAGACACGUUGAAACUUUAAUAGAUGACUUGAGACUCACGUUCGACAACCUCCGAACAUACAACAUCAAGCUCAACCCAGAAAAAUGUGUCUUCGGCGUACCCUCCGAGAAGUUGCUCGGUUUCAUCGUUUCCAAUAGAGGAAUCAAAGCAAAUCCAGCAAAAAUCCAAGCUCUGUCACAGUUGGCUAUCCCAACAGACCUCAAGCAGAUCCAGAAACUAACUGGAUUUGUGGCUGCCUUAAGCCGCUUUAUCUCCCGAUUAGGAGAAACGACACUACCUCUUUAUCGCCUUAUUCGAUGCACCGAACACUUCGAGUGGACGGAUGCGGCCACGACCAGACUGCAAGAAAUAAAUGCCCUAUUGGCCAGCAAUCCAGUCCUGACCGCGCCAAAUACUGGCGAACCUAUGCUAUUAUACAUAGCCGCAACACACCAGGUUGUAAGCGCAGUGCUCGUCGUUGAACGAGAAGCAGACAGACACAAGUUCCCGCUCCAAAAGCCGGUAUAUUAUGUGUCCACUGUCCUCACUCCAUGCAAAUCCCGAUACCCACACUAUCAAAAGAUAGCACACGCGGUCUUCAUGGCAUCCCGAAAUCUACAACACUACUUCCAAGAGUGUUCGAUUACGGUGGCCUCCGAAGUACCACUCAAUGACAUCAUAAAUAACCAUGACGCCACGGGCAAGAUUGCCAAAUGGGCUAUCAAGCUCCUUCCGUUCGACAUAACAUACAAACCAUGGCGAGCCAUUAAGUUGCAAGUACUGGCUGACUUUGUCGCCGAAUGGACAGAAGCUGAACUCCCUAAAGAGUACGACGCGUACUCCAAUUGGAUCAUGCACUUCGACAACUCUAAAAUGCUGGCCGGAUUGGGAGCGGGUGUUGUCCUAACAUCUCCCACCGGAGACACGGUCCAAUACGUACUCCAAAUAUUAUACACAGACUCCAACAAUGCAGCCGAAUAUGAGGCUCUGUUGCAUGGUCUUCGAAUGACAGUCUCUAUGGGCAUUCAACGCCAAGAAGUGCGCGGGGACUCGAACCUUGCAAUAUCACAAAUAAAUGGAGACUUCUAUGCCAAGGAUCCGAAAAUGGCGGCCUACCGUAAUGCCGUCCUCAAAAUGUCAGCUCGGUUCGAGGGGCUCGAAUUCCACCAUGUGGUCCCAGAAAACAAUCAAGUAGCAAAUAUCCUCCCCCGCAUCGGAGCUAAAUGCGACCCCGUCCCACCUAAUAUCUUCUUGGAAAGGCUGUUCAAGCCAUGCAUGGUAUGGAAAGGGGAGACAGGCAAUACCAGUCCGGCCCCGAACACAACCCUAGAUUCCGAACCAUCUGACAUAAUCAGAGACUCUGCCACCGAAAUAACACCUUCAGCCCAUGAAAUCAUGGCUGUCAUCGCCCCAUGGACCGAGCCCUUCUUGGCCUACCUAAAUAGGCAAGAGCUCCCCGAGGAUCAAAAUGAGGCACGUUGUAUUGUGUGGCGUUCUAGGGCCUACAAAGUCCACGAGGGAGAGCUCUAUAAGAAAAGUGCCACCGGAGUGCUCCAAAGAUGCAUUUCCGAAGAGGAAGGGCGGCAGCUCUUGGCCGAAAUCCAUGCCGGACUCGGCGGGCACCAAGCUGCAGCUCGGGCACUUGUAAGCGAGGCCUUCCGUACAUGUUUUUACUGGCCGACAGCCCGGGCAGAUGCACAAGACCUUGUCCAACAGUGCGACGGUUGCGAACUCUUCAUCAAUCAGAGCCAUAUGCCCCCUACCGCUCUCCAAACAAUCCCCAUAAUUUUCCCUUCGCGGUCUGGGGGAUGGAUAUGGUCGGACCUCUUAAAGGGGGAAGCCAUAAGAAAAAAAAUACUUAUUGGUCAUGGUGGACAAGUUCACCAAAUGGAUAGAAGCCAAACCAGUUAAAACGGCCGAAUCCGGACCAGUGAUAGACUUCAUAUCAGGGGUUGUACACCGUUACAGUGUCCCCCAUAACAUCAUCACUGACAGUGGCUCAAAUUUCAGAGUCGAUAAGGUGAAAACUUGGUGCGGCAACAUGGGCAUUAAGCUCGAUUACGCCUCUGUCUAUCACCCCCAAACAAACGGUCAAGUCGAACGCGCAAAUGGUCUCAUCAUGAGCGGCAUCAAACCCAGACUAGUGCGAUCCUUGAAGGAAUCAGACACGCACUAGGUCGAGGAGCUCGACUCCGUACUCUGGGGGCUGCGGACCAUGCCGAAUAGUACCACCAGAUACACACCAUUUUUAUGGUGUACGACACAGAAGCAGUGCUACCCUACGACAUAAUCCAUGACUCACCUUGCGUGUGCAUGUACGAAGAGAAGGAAGCCGAGCUAGAUCGGCAGGACAACUUAGAUGCCCUGGAGGAGGAGCGUGACGUUGCAAAGGCCCGUUCUGCAUUCUAUCAGUAGCAGGCUCGAAGGUAUCAAAGCAGAGAAGUACGGGCCAAAACUUAUAACGUUGGCGAACUCGUUCUACGCCUACCAGAGAAGAAGAAGGACAAGCUCAAACCCAAGUGGGAGGGUCCCUUCAUCAUUGAUAAAGUUCUCACCGGAGGAGCGUACCGUCUGCGCAAUACAUCAGAUAACAGACUCGAGCUGAUCCCAUGGAACGCGGCCAGACUCCGAAGAUUCUACGCCUAGCGCUGAACUCAGUGUUCGUCUCCUUACCUCCCCCCUUUCAAUUAUGUCCUCCUUCUUCCUUUCUCACCCUCUUUAUUUUUUCACAUAAAGCCUUAAAUGAUGUACGGAUGCUUCGGUCGCUCCAGCCGCACUAUGCGUUCUCACUAUACCUGGGGGCUUCCUAUACGGAAGCUUAAUAUAAUUACUUUCAUGGCUUCCUGCCUACCACAUACGCAUCUUCUUUCCAUAUGUGCCUUUUCUUCACCAUUAUAUGCAUCGAUAGGACUUAAGUUUUGGCCAUGCUGGGUUGCCUGGCUCUUGUGUUUAUGCCCUACGUUCCCGUUAUUUCGGCUAGGGCAUAAGGGGAGCACCUCUGUGAUUGUUACCGCUGGUUCAACCGGAUGUGUAGCUCAGACUGUGUGAAGCCGAAAGCUAGCGUUCUUAAGGGAAUAUUCGGUCGGUGAACAAAAGAUGUUUUUCAUUUAUUACAACGUGAAUCCCCAGAUGUUUUGUAUCCCGCGCUUCUGUUCGCAGUUCGGACAUGCACAUCGAUGCAUGCGUACCCAGGGAAAGGAACCCCUAACGGAACUGUUCUCUCUGGAAGAUGUUUCUUACUAUCCAUGUAAUAUAACAUAACUAGUUGGGUACUUGUCCGUUCAAGCACUUAUGACCCCUACGCCCGAUUUCCACGCAUACCCCUGUUUUACAUAAUUGAGCGGGUAUUCGGAUACACUUCGGACUGUCGGGUCCGGGGGCUGAAGCGAAAAGGUCCGCCAUGACAAAUGAUUUUCAAUCUGGCUAGGGACUACAUAUGUCCAUUGAAUUACAUAGUCACUUGGACUGGCUAUAUUCUUCCUCUAUACCAUCCAACAGGCUGUCUAGCCUACAAGCCUGUUGGGAAUACUUUGCGGCUAAUGCUACUUGUUCAUACACCAGACUUACGGGAAUCUCUUGCCCAUCUGGCCCCACCGGUCCGACUUCGGCCAUAUGGUUUGGGUCAGCCUUGGCGUAUCGUGUAUUCACCAUGGCCCAGGCUUCCCUUGCACCUUGUCGGCAAGCUGAUAUCUUCCAUAACUAGAAGCGCCGCCGUUCUCCUUUGAGCAUCUUCACAAGCUCGCCCAUGCCUCCGGGCAGGGAAGCGGAUGGCCACAGGGCCUGGGCAAUACCCUGCAUCACCUGCCGAGCUUGUUUGUGCAGUUGUGAGAGAUCUUGCAACAUAUCGCUUGUGGAUCCAAGCAUCUCCUCUUCGGGACGGCCUGUUAGCAUACCUAUAGACAUAACUCUGUUAACACGCUUUCUCGCCAAACUGUACUAUAGUUCAUUUAAGCACUUACAAUAAAUGCCAUGUCGAAGCCUCCUGUUGUCCUUCACGGAGUCCGCAAGCUGAGCUCGAACAUCUGAUAAUUCGACGCCCAGUCGAACAUUGGCACCUUGGAGAUUAUUCUUCUCUUACCUAACCUGCGUGAGCACGCGCUCGCCAGCCUUUAGCUGUCUUCAGACAUGAGACUCAUCGUCUUUAAUGAUCUUUGGAUUCUCUCCGGGAUUGUCUGCACAAUAUUUUGUUAAAGUUUGUAAACCAUGCGGAAUAACAACUGGUAUAUGUCCUUAAAAUUUUCUUCCUCAAGGCAAGUAUUACCAGUGGAGGCCUUCUGGGAUUCCUCCCGUUCGGCAACUGCGGCCCUUAGCUGGGUCUUGCAUUCUUCCAGCUCUUGAGUUAAGUGGGUAUUCUUAUCUACAAGAACCUAUGCAUACAAUGAUCCUUAAAUCAGUUGUGCCAACUGUUUCAAGUCUUAGGGGCUACUGAUACACAUGCUUAUCAAAUUUUCUUACCCGUAUAUCUUUUGCAUACUGGUCCGUUGCUCUGGCAAGUCCAUCUUGAGUAGCGCGGAUGUAUGCGUCUCCUGAGUUGAAGGCAUUGAACGCCUCCUCGGAGAAAAUACCAUCGCGGAGUAUGGCCCGUCUGCGCCAGUGAUUCAUGGCACUCUCCACUUCUGACUUUGUAGCGGAAAGCCUGUCCGCAUCCUCUGUAGGAGGACAAUUCGGUGUUGUCCCCACAUCAGUCUCCAUGGGUGAGUCCGGUUCUGGAAUCCGGCUGGCGAAAGCGUGGCUGGCAAGGUCUCCAGAUAUAGUCUGGCGGCUACUCUUUCUGCCAGGACAUAAUGACCGCUGCCACAUUUCAACAAUGAUAAUCACAAAGGAAGUUUAAAUUGUACCUCUGCAGUGGUGCCUCAGCCCUGACCGCCUUCCUCUUAAGCCUGCCUGGCCGGGACGCCCUUUGCUGAUGAGUCCCUAUGGGCUCUGCGCGGCAUUCCGAGCGCCGUUUCUAUAAAAGUGUCACAUAUGCACAUAAGGUAUGGCAUAGCGAAGGAAUCCUUUUCGGAAGUUAGGACCCCGGCUUUACUUACAUGAGACACGGGGAGCAACCCGGGGUAAUCGGCGACGAUGGCCACUAAGGUGCCGUCACAGCUUGCCUGGUAGAAUGUCCCGUCGACAAGCUCCAUAGAUAUGUCCGGAUCUUCUUCAAGUCCGGGGUCGAGAGCCCGGCCAGGAUCCUUUGGCUGUGGAGAUGGGCUGUUGAACUCUUUCACGGCCUUUUCCAGUUCCUGCUUUGAAAUAGCUAGGUAAAUGAUUGUGACAAAAGGAGACAAGGAUGAAUCGAGUUGAGUAAAGAAUGACAGUUACCCAUCUUGGGGGAUUGUACAUGGAAAAUCUGUCCCGCGGUUUUAUGCAGAGGAACUCCUCUUCUUCUCCUUUAUAUAAAUCAGAAAAUAUUCUCGCCAGAGCAGUGGCAGAGUCCGGACCUUUACGACUACAACGGGUGGCAUCGUCUUCUCCAUUCAAGUGCCACAUGGGUUUCCCCCGAUAUUGAAGUGGCUGCACUCCCCGCAUUAUGCAUAUUGACAUAACUUCGGUUAUUGUCAGUCCCGAUUGGGUCAAUAUUUUUAUCCUGUUCAUCAGGUAGAGGACUUCUCUAUUGUCUUCCUCCUGGGGGCUCCGGGGGCGCAAACUUUGGCGUUUCUUUAGUGGAGUGUUGAUAAACUCAGGAAGGCCUGUCAGGACUGGGUCCGGAAGGGGAACGUCAUCAACAUAAAACCACUCCGAAGGCCAGUCUUCGGAUGCCUUCUUUGGAGUGCCGGAUAGGUAUCCGGUUUGGGCGACGCGCCAUAUUUAGGCUCCGCCCACUUGAUAUACAUAUCCCUCCUGAUUACGGGGGACGAGGUAGAAUAACCUCUUCCAUAACUCGAUGUGAGCCUCGCAGCCCAGGAAUAGCUCGCAAAGGGCAACGUAUCCUGCGAUGUGCAGCAUAGAGGCUGGGGUAAAGUUAUGCAGCUGGAGGCCGUAGAACUCCAGGAGCCCGCGGAGGAAUGAGUAGAUUGGAAAACCGACGCCUCUUAGCAAAUAUGGGACGAGGCAUACCCGCUCCCCCUGAGAUGGGUUAGGAAAUCUCUCUGCUUGCUCCCCGCCAUUAUAGGUGGCUAGUCUGGCUCGAACGGGGACCAUGUAUGCGGGUGGAAGAAAUCCUUGGGUCUGCAACUCUACUAAAUAGCUGUGGGGGACAGAACACUUUUCCCAAUCCCCUGGCUUAGAGCUGAGGGAGCGAGAAGAGGAGCUGCGAUGACUGGCCAUGAUGGAAUGGUUUUUCCAGAUGCGCUCUGUUGAACGCUUGCUUGGGAGAACAUGGUAAGAUUUGGAUCUGAUGAUCCCCGUCUCUUCAAAUAGAUGGUUUGUUUGCAGGGUCGGGGUGGCAAAUGUAAGAAUGCCCCGGCUCCUCGUAUUCGCUCGACAUGUGGAGAUAACCAUUACUGAAGCACAGAAGCCUAGGAGUACAACAUUGACGGGAGGCCAGACACUGUUCGCCUCGACAGGUACUCUGGAUUCGGAGAAGAACCCACCUUGCAAUGCCGAAGACAAUCUGCGCGCCAGACUAAUCGUCAUUGAAGCCUGGUUCAGGGGCUACUGAGGGAGUCCUGGAUUAGGGGUUAUCCGGACAGCCGAACUAUAUACUUUGGCCGGACUGUUGGACUAUGAAGAUACAAGAUUGAAGACUUCGUUCCGUGUCCGGAUGGGACUCCUCUUUGUGUGGAAGGCAAGCUUGGCGAUUCGGAUGUUAGAUCUCCUUCUCUGUAACCGACUCUGUGUAACCCUAGCCCCCUCCGAUGUCUAUAUAAACCUGAGGGUUUAGUCUGUAGGACAACAACAAUCAUAAUCACAGGCUAUCUCCUAGGGUUUAGCCUCUAUGAUCUCGUGGUAGAUCAACUCUUGUAAUACACAUAUCAUGAAGGUCAAUCAAGCAGGAAGUAGGGUAUUACCUCCAUCGAGAGGGCCCAAACCUGGGUAAAACAUCGUGUCCCCUGCCUCCUGUUACCAUUAGCCUUAGACGCACAGUUCGUGACCCCCUACCUGAGAUCCGCCGGUUUUGACACCGACAAUGGUCACUAGAAGCGGAACUGCCCCAAAUACUUGGUGGAUAAGAAGGAUGACAAAGUGAACAAAGGUAUAUUUGAUAUACAUGUUAUUGAUAUUUACCUUACUAAUGCUCAUAGUAGCGCCUGGGUAUUUGAUACUGGUCCGGUUGCUCAUAUUUGUAACUCGAAGCAGGAGCUACGACAUAAAUGAAGAUUGGCUAAGGAUGAGGUGACAAUGCGCGUCGGGAAUUGUUCCAAGGUCGAUGUGAUCGCCGUCGGCACGCUACCUCUACAUCUACCUUCGGGAUUAGUUUUAUACCGCAAUAAUUGUUAUUUGGUGCCAGCGUUGAGCAUGAACAUUAUAUCUGGAUCUUUUUUAUUGCGAGACGGUUAUUCAUUUAAAUCGGAGAAUAAUGGUUGUUCUAUUUAUAUGAGUAAUAUCUUUUAUAGUCAUGCACCCCUGAUGAAUGGUCUAUUCUUGUUGAAUCUCGAUCGUAGUGAUACACAUGUUCAUAAUAUUGAUGCCAAAAGAUGCAAAGUUGAUAAUGAUAGUGCAACAUACUUGUGGCACUGCCGUUUAGGUCAUAUUGGUGUAAAGCGCAUGAAGAAACUCUAUACGGAUAGACUUUUGGAAUCACUUGAUUAUGAAUCAUUUGAUACUUGCGAACCAUGGCUCAUGGGCAAGAUGACUAGAAGUCCAUUCUCUGGAACAAUGGAGCGAGCUAAUGACUUAUUGGAAAUAAUACAUACCGAUGUAUGCGGUUGAAUGAGUGUCGAGGUACGCGCCGGGUAUCGUUAUUUUCUGACCUUCACAGAUGAUUUGAGUAGGUAUGGAUAUAUCUACUUGAUGAAACAUAAGUCUGAAACAUUUGAAAAGUUCAAAGAAUUUCAGAGUGAAGUGGUGAAUCAUCAUAACAAGAAAAUAAAGUUUCUAUGAUCUGAUCGCGGAGGCGAAUAUUUGAGUUACGAGUUUGGCCUUCAUUUAAAACAAUGUGGAAUUAUUUCACAACUCACGCCACCUAGAGCACCACAGCGCAAUGGUGUGUCCGAACGUCAUAACCGCACUUUAUUAGAUAUGGUGCACUCUAUGAUGUCUCUUACUGAUUUACCACUAUCAUUUUGGGGUUAUGCAUUAGAGACAGCCGCAUUCACGUUAAAUAGGGCAUAGUCUAAAUCCGUUGAGACGACACCGUAUGAACUGUAGUUUGGCAAGAAACCUAAGCCAUUGUUUCUUAAAGUUUGGGGAUGCGACACUUAUGUCAAAAGGCUACAACAUGAUAAUCUCGAACCCAAGUCGGAGAAGUGCGUCUUCAUAGGAUACCCUAAGGAAACAAUUGGGUACACCUUCUACCACAUAUCUGAAGGCAAGAUAUUUUUUUGCCAAGAAUGGAUCCUUUCUAGAGAAGGAGUUUCUCGCGAAAGAAGUGAGUGGGAGGAAAGUAGAACUUAAUGAGGUAAUUGCACCUUCUCUCGAAUUGUAAAGUAGCACAUCACAGAAAACCAUUCCCGUGAUGCCUACACCAACUGAAGAGGAAGCUAAUGACGAUGAUCAUGAAACUUCAGAUCAAGUUACUACUAGGCCUCGUAGGUCGAUCAGAGCAUGUUCCGCACCAGAGUGGUACGGUAAUCUUGUCCUGGAAGUCAUGUUAUUAGACCAUGGCGGACCUACAAACUAAGAAGAGCCCAUAUCCGAUAAAUGGCUUGAGGCCAUGAAAUCUGAGAUAGGAUCCAUGUAUGAGAACAAAGUAUGGACUCUGGUGGACUUACCGAUGAUCUAUUGAGAAUAAAUGGAUCUUCAAGAAGAAGACUAAAAUUGGUGGUAAUGUUACUGUCUACAAAGCUUGACUUGUCACAAAAUAUUUUCGACAAGUUCAAGGGGUUGACUACGAUUAGACUUUAUCACCCAUAGUGAUGCUUAUGUCUGUCUGAAUCAUUUUAGCAAUUGCCGCAUUUUAUAAUUAUGAAAUCUGGCAAAUGGACAUCAAAACUGCACUCCUUAAUCGAUUUCUUUAAGAAGAGUUGUAUAUGAUGCAACCAGAAGGUUUUGUCGAUCCUAAUGGUGCUAAAAAAGUGUGCAAGCUCUAGCGAUCCAUCUAUGGACUGGUGCGACCAUCUUGAAGUUGGAAUAUACGCUUUGAUGAGGUGAUCAAAGCACAUGGUUUUAUACAGACUUACAGCGAAGACUGUAUUUACAAGAAAGUGAGUGGGAGGUCUGUAGCAUUUCUUAUAUUAUAUGUGGAUGACAUAUUGUUGAUUGGAAAUGAUAUAGAAUUUCUGGAUAGCAUGAAAGGAUACUUGAAUAAGAAUUUUUCAAUGAAAGACCUCAAAGAAGCUGCUUAUAUCAAUGUUGGGGAUAUCGCUUGUCGGGAACUUAUCGGCCGACCCAUGAUAAGGGGUAAAUUGGCCAGUUUAUCGGCAUAUCGGCCGAUUUAUCGCCAUAUCGGCUGAAUUACCGGCCGAUUUAUCUUAUCGGUUAGACAACAAUAAGCGAUAAAUCGGCCGAUUUAUCAGAAUAUCGGAAGAUAUCUUGAACAGUGGCUUAUAUAUUGGGCAUCAAGAUCUAUAGGGAUAGAUCGAGACGCUUAAUAGGACUUUCGCAAAUCACAUACCUUGACAAAGUUUUGAACAAUUUCAAAAUGGAGCAGUCAAAGAAAGGGUUCUUUCCUGUAUUACAAGGUGUGAAAUUGAGUCAGACUCAAAGUCCGGCCACUGUAGAAGAUAGAGAGAAGAUGAAAGUCAUUCCCUAUGCCUUAGCCAUAGGUUCUAUCAUGUAUGCUAUGCUGUGUACCAGACCUGAUGUGUGCCUUGCCAUAAGUUUAGCAGGGAGGUACCAAAGUAAUCUAGGAGUGGAUCACUGGACAACGGUCAAGAACAUCCUGAAGUACCUGAAAAGGACCAAGGAUAUGUUUCUUGUUUAUGGAGGUGACGAAGAGCUCAUCAUAAAUGGUUACGUCGAUGCAAGCUUCAACACUGAUCCAGAUGACUCCAAGUCACAAACCGGACACAUAUUUAAAUUUAAUGGUGGAGCUGUCAGUUGGUUCAGUUCCAAGCAGAGUGUCAUGGCGGGAUCUACGUGUGAAGCGGAGUACAUAGCUGCUUCGGAAGCAGCACAUGAAGGAGUCUGGAUGAAGGAGUUCAUAUCCGAUCUGGGUGUAAUACCUAGUGGAUCGGGUCCAACGAAAUAUUUUGUGAGAAACAUUGGAGCAAUUGCCUUGGCGAAGGAAUCCAGGUUUCACAAGAGAACCAAACGCAUCAAGAAACACUUCAACUCCAUCCGUGAAAAGUUCAAGGAUGGAGACAUAGAGAUUUGCAAAAUACAUACAGAUCUGAAGGUAGCAUACCCGUUGACUAAGCCUCUUCUGCGAGCAAAACGUGAUCGACACUAAGACUCCAUGAGUGUUAGAAUCGUUACAAUGUAAUCUAGAUUAUUGACUCUAGUGCAAGUGGGAGACUGAAAGAAAUAUGCCCAAGAGGCAAUAAUAAACUUAUUAUUUUGUAUUACCUUAUUCAUGAUAAAGGUUUAUUACUCAUGCUAGAAUUGUAUUGAUGGGAAUCUUAAAUACAUGCGUGGAUACAUAAACAAAUACCGUGUCCCUAGUGAGCCUCUACUAGACUAGCUCAUUGGUCAAAGAUGGUUAAGGUUUCCUAACCAUAGACAUGUGUUGUCACUUGGUAACAGGAUCACAUCAUUAGGAGAAUGAUGUGAUGGACAAGACCCAUCCGUUAGCUUAGCAUAUGAUCGUUUAGUUUAUUGCUAUUGCUUUCUUAAAUGUUAAAUACAUAUUCCUUUGACUAGGAGAUCAUGCAACUCCCGGAUAUUGGAGGAAUACCUUGUGUGCUAUCAAAUGUCACAACGUAACUGGGUGAUCAUAAAGAAGCUCUACAGGUAUCUCCGAAGGUGUCUGUUGAGUUGGCAUGGAUCGAGAUUAGGAUUUGUCACUCCGUGUAUAAGUGAGGUAUCUCUGGGCCCUCUCGGUAAUACACAUCACAAGAAGCUUGCAAGAAAAGUGACUAAGGAGUUAGUUACAAGAUGGUGUAUUACGGAACGAGUAAAGAGACUUGCAGGUAACGAGAUUGAACCAGGUAUGAAGAUACCGACGAUCGAAUCUUGGGCAAGUAACAUACCGACAAACAAAGGGAAUUACGUAUAUGAAGGAAAUAAGCCCUAGAGGCAACCGUAAAGUUGUUAUUUUAUAUUUCCUUAUUUAUGAUAAAUGUUUAUUGUUCAUGCUAGAAUUGUAUUAACCGGAAUCUUGAUACAUGCGUGAAUACAUAGACAAAACACCGUGUCCCUAGUAUGCCUCUCCUAGACUAGCUUGUUGAUCAAAGAUGGUUAAGUUUCCCAGCCAUGGACAUCUGUUGUCAUUUGAUGAACGGGAUCACAUCAUUAGGAGAAUGAUGUGAUGGAAAAGACCCAUCCGUUAGCUUAGCAUAAACGAUCGUUCAGUUUAUUGCUACUGCUUUCUUCAUGUCAAAUAUAUAUUCCUCUGACUAUGAUAUUAUGCAACUCCCGGACACCGGAGGAAUGCCUUAUGUGCUAUCAAACGUCACAACGUAAAUGGGUGAUUAUAAAGAUGCUCUACAAGUAUCUCCAAAGGUGUUUCUUGGGUUGGCAUAGAUCGAGAUUAGGAUUUGUCACUCCGAGUAACGGAGAGGUAUCUCUGGGCCCUCUUGGUAAUACACAUCAUAUGAAGCCUUGCAAGUAAUGUGACUAAUGAGUUAGUUGCAGGAUGAUGCGUUACGGAACGAGUAAAGAGACUUGCAGGUAACGAGAUUGAACUAGGUAUGAAGAUACCGACGAUCGAAUCUCGGGCAAGUAACAUAUCAAUGACAAAGGGAAUAACGUAUGUUGACAUUGUGGUUCGACAGAUAAAGAUCUUCGUAGAAUAUGUGGGAACCAAUAUGAGCAUCCAGGUUCCACUAUUGGUUAUUGAACGGAGAGGUGUCUCGGUCAUGUCUGCAUAGUUCUCGAACCCGUAGGGUCCGCACGCUUAACGUUUGAUGACGAUAUGUAUUAUAUGAGUUAUGUGUUUUGGUGACCGAAGGUUGUUCAGAGUCCCGGAUGAGAUCAAGGACAUGACGAGGAGUCUCGAAAUGGUCGAGAGGUAAAGAUUGAUAUAUUUGAAGGUAGUAUUCGGACAUCGGAAGGGUUCCGGAGUGUAUCAGGUACAUACAGGGGUAUAAAAGGGAUUACCGGAACCCCCGGUGAAAGAUAUGGGUCAUAUGGGCCAUAGGAGGGAGGCACACCAGCCCACAAGGGGCUAGCGCGCCCCCCACAAGGGAGGAGGCCGAAUUGGACUAGGGAAGGGGGCGCCACCCCCCUUUCCUUCUCCCUCUCCUACUCCUCCCCCUCCCCCCCUCCGAAAAAAGGAAGGGGGGGGGGGGCGAAUCCGACUAGGAGUCCAAGUGGGACUCCUUCCCACUUGGGGCACACCUUGUUGGGGAACAUUGCAUAAAAUAAAAUUUUUCCUACAUUCACCAAGAUCAAUCUAUGAGUUCAUCUAGCAACGAGAGAGAGAGAGAUGCAUCUACAUACCCUUGUAGAUCGCGUGCGGAAGCGUUCAAGAGAACGGGGUUGAGGGAGUCGUUCUCGUCGUGAUCCAAAUCACCGUAGAUCCUAGCGCCGAAUGGACGGCACCUCCGCGUUCAACACACGUACGGUCAGCGUGACGUCUCCUCCUUGAUCCAGCAAGGGGGAGGAGAGGUUGACGAAGAUCCAGCAGCACGACGACGUGGUGGUGGAUGCAGCAGGGCUCCGGCAGGGCUUCGCCAAGCAACUACGGGAGGAGGAGGAGGUGUAGCAGGGGAGAGGGAGGCGCCAAGACUUCAGGUGCGGCUGCCCUCCCUCCCCCCUCAUUUAUAUAGGCCCCCUGGGGUGGGGGGGCGCCGGCCCUGGAGAUCAGAUCUCCUAAGGGGGCGGCGGCCAGGGGGGUGGAGUGCCCCCCAAGGCAAGUGGGGCGCGCCCCCACCCUAGGGUUUCCAACCCUAGGCGCAGGGGGCCCAAGGGGGGGGGGGGCGCACCAGCCCUCUAGGGGCUGGUCCCCUCCCCACUUCAGCCCACGGGGCCCUCCGGGAUAGGUGGCCCCACCCGGUGGACCCCCAGGACCCUUCCAGUGGUCCCGGUACAAUAUCAGUGACCCCCGAAACUCUCCCGAUGGCCGAAACAACACUUCCUAUAUAUAAUUAUUUACCUCCGGACCAUUGCGGAACUCCUCGUGACGCCCGGGAUCUCAUCCGGGACUCCGAACAACUUUCGGUUUGCUGCAUACUCAUAUUCAUACAACCCUAGCAUCACCGAACCUUAAGUGUGUAGACCCUACGGGUUCGGGAGACAUGUAGACAUGACCGAGACGACUCUCCGGUCAAUAACCAACAGCGGGAUCUGGAUACCAAUGUUGGCUCCCACAUACUCCUCGAUGAUCUCAUCGGAUGAACCAUGAUGUCGAGGAUUUAAGCAACCCCGUAUACAAUUCCCUUUGUUAAUCGGUACGUUACUUGCCCGAGAUUUGAUCGUCGGUAUCGCAAUACCUCGUUCAAUCUCGUUACCGGCAAGUCACUUUACUCGUACCGUAAUGCAUGAUCGCGUGACCAAACACUUGGUCACUUUGAGCUCAUUAUGAUGAUGCAUUACUGAGUGGGCCCAGAGAUACCUCUCCGUCAUACGGAGUGACAAAUCCCAGUCUCGAUCCGUGUCAACCCAACAGACACUUUCGGAGAUACCUGUAGUGCACCUUUAUAGUCACCCAGUUACGUUGUGACGUUUGGUACACCCAAAGCACUCCUAUGGUAUCCGGGAGUUACACGAUCUCAUGGUCUAAGGAAAAGAUACUUGACAUUGGAAAAUAUCUAGCAAAUGAACUACACUCUUUGUGCUAUGCUUAGGAUUGGGUCUUGUCCAUCACAUCAUUCUCCUAAUGAUGUGAUCCCGUUAUCAACGACAUCCAAUGUCCAUAGUGAGGAAACCAUGACUAUCUGUUGAUCAACGAGCUAGUCAACUAGAGGCUCACUAGGGACAUAUUGUGGUCUAUGUAUUCACAUGUGUGUUACGAUUUCCGGAUAAUACAAUUAUAGCAUGAAUAAAAGAAAAUUAUCAUGAACGAGGAAAUAUAAUAAUAAUCAUUUUAUUAUUGCCUCUAGGGCAUAUUUCCAACAGUCUCCCACUUGCACUAGAGUCAAUAAUCUAGUUACAUUGUGAUGAAUCGAACACCCAUAGAGUUCUGGUGUUGAUCAUGUUUUGCUCGCGGAAGAGGUUUAGUCAACGGAUCUGCGACGUUCAGAUCCGUAUGUACUUUGCAAAUAUCUAUGUCUCCAUCUUGAACAUUUUCACUGAUGGAGUUGAAACGACGCUUGAUGUGCCUGGUCUUCUUGUGAAACCUAGGCUCCUUCGCAAGGGCAAUAGCUCCAGUGUUGUCACAGAAGAGAGUGAUUGGCCCCGACGCAUUGGGUAUGACUUCUAGGUCAGUGAUGAACUCCUUCAUCCAUAUUGCUUCAUGUGCUGCCUCCGAGGCUGCCAUGUACUCCGCUUCACAUGUAGAUCCCGCCACGACGCUCUGCUUGCAACUGCACCAGCUUACUGCUCCACGAUUCAACAUAUACACAUAUCCGGUUUGCGACUUAGAGUCAUCCAGAUCUGUGUCGAAGCUAGCAUCGAUGUAACCCUUUACGACGAGCUCUUCGUCACCUCCAUAAACGAGAAACAUGUCCUUUGUCCUUUUCAGGUACUUCAGGAUAUUCUUGACCGCUGUCCAGUGUUCCUUGCCGGGAUUACUUUGGUACCUUCCUACCAAACUUACGGCAAGGUUUACAUCAGGUCUGGUACACAGCAUGGCAUACAUAAUAGAUCCUAUGGCUGAGGCAUAGGGGAUGACACUCAUCUCUUCUUUAUCUUUUGCCAUGGUCGGGCAUUGAGCCGAGCUCAAUCUCACACCUUGCAAUACAGGCAAGAACCCUUUCUUGGGCUGAUCCAUUCUGAACUUCUUCAAAAUCUUAUCAAGGUAUGUGCUUUGUGAAAGACCUAUGAGGUGUCUCGAUCUAUCCCUAUAGAUCUUGAUGCCUAAUAUGUAAGCAGCUUCUCCAAGGUCCUUCAUUGAAAAACACUUAUUCAAGUAGGCCUUAAUGCUACCAAAAGUUCUAUAUCAUUUCCCAUCAAAAGUAUGUCAUCUACAUAUAAUAUGAGAAAUGCUACAGAGCUCCCACUCACUUUCUUGUAAAUGUAGGCUUCUCCAUAAGUCUGCAUAAACCCAAACGCUUUGAUCAUCUCAUCAAAGCGAAUGUUCCAACUCCGAGAUGCUUGCACCAGCCCAUAAAUGGAUCGCUGGAGCAUGCAUACCUUGUUAGCAUUUUUAGGAUCAACAAAACCUUCCGGCUGCAUCAUAUACAGUUCUUCCUUAAGAUAGCCGUUAAGGAAUGCCGUUUUGACGUCCAUCUGCCAUAUCUCAUAAUCAUAGUAUGCGGCAAUUGCUAACAUGAUUCAGACGGACUUCAGCUUCGCUACGGGAGAGAAAGUCUCAUCGUAGUCAACCCCUUGAAUUUGCCGAUAACCCUUAGCGACAAGUCGAGCUUUAUAGAUGGUAAUAUUACCAUCCGCGCCCGUCUUCUUCUUAAAGAUCCAUUUGUUUUCUAUCGCUCGCUGAUCAUUGGGUAAGUCUGUCAAAGUCCAUACUUUAUAUUCAUACAUGGAUUCUAUCUUGGAUUGCAUGGCUUCAAGCCAUUUGUUGGAAUCUGGGCCCGCCAUCGCUUCUUCAUAGUUCGAAGGUUCACCGUUGUCUAACAACAUGAUUUCCAGGACAGGGUUGCCAUACCACUCUGGUGUGGAACGUGUCCUUGUGGACCUACGAAGUUCAGUAGCAACUUGAUCCGAAGUACCUUGAUCAUCAUCAUUAAUUUCCUCUCCAGUCGGUGUAGGCACCACAGGAACAUUUUCCUGAGCUGCACUACUUUCCGGUACAAGAGGUAGUACUUCAUCGAGUUCUACUUUCCUCCCGCUUACUCCUUUCGAGAGAAACUCUUUUUCCAGAAAGGAUCCGUUCUUGGCAACAAAGAUCUUGCCUUCGGAUCUAAGGUAGAAGGUAUACCCAAUGGUUUCCUUAGGGUAUCCUAUGAAGACGCAUUUUUCCGACUUGGGUUUGAGCUUUUCAGGUUGUAGUUUCUUGACAUAAGCAUAGCAUCCCCAAACUUUUAGAAACGACAGCUUAGGUUUCUUCCCAAACCACAAUUCAUACGGUGUCGUCUCAACGGAUUUAGACGGAGCCCUAUUUAAAGUGAAUGUAGCUGUCUCUAGAGCGCAUCCCCAAAAUGAUAGCGGUAAAUCGGUAAGAGACAUCAUAGAUCGCACCAUAUCCAAUAGAGUGCGAUUACGAUGUUCGGACACACCAUUACGCUGAGGUGUUCCAGGCGGCGUGAGUUGUGAAACGAUUCCACAUUUUCUUAAGUGCGUACCAAAUUCAUGACUUAAAUAUUCUCCUCCACGAUCUGAUCGUAAGAAUUUUAUCUUUCGGUCACGUUGAUUCUCUACUUCAUUCUGAAAUUCGUUGAACUUUUCAAAGGUUUCAGACUUGUGUUUCAUCAAGUAGACAUACCCAUAUCUACUUAAGUCAUCAGUGAGAGUGAGAACAUAACGAUAUCCUCCGCGAGCCUGAACGCUCAUUGGACCACACACAUCAGUAUGUAUGAUUUCCAAUAAGUUGCUUGCUCGCUCCAUUGUUCCGGAGUACAGAGUCUUGGUCAUUUUGCCCAUGAGGCAUGGUUCGCAUGUGUCAAAUGAUUCAUAAUCGAGAGACUCUAAAAGUCCAUCAUCAUGGAGCUUCUUCAUGCGCUUGACACCAAUGUGACCAAGGCGGCAGUGCCACAAGUAUGUGGGACUAUCGUUAUCAACUUUACAUCUUUUGGUAUUCACACUAUGAAUAUGUGUAACAUUACGUUUGAGAUUCAUUAAGAAUAAACCAUUGACCAUCGGGGCAUGACCAUAAAACAUAUCUCUCAUAUAAAUAGAACAACCAUUAUUCUCGGAUUUAAAUGAGUAGCCAUCUCGCAUUAAACGAGAUCAUGAUACAAUGUUCAUGCUCAAACAUGGCACUAAAUAACAAUUAUUGAGGUUUAAAACUAAUCCCGUAGGUAAAUGUAGAGGUAGCGUGCCGACGGCGAUCACAUCGACCUUGGAACCAUUCCCGACGCGCAUCAUCACCUCGUCCUUCGCCAGUCUCCGCUUAUUCCAUAGCUCUUGCUGUGAGUUAUAAAUAUGAGCAACGACACCGGUAUCAAAUACCCAGGAGUUACUAUGAGUACUGGUAAGGUACACAUCAAUUACAUGUAUAUAACAUAUACCUUUAGUGUUGCCGGCCUUCUUGUCCGCUAAGUAUUUGGGGCAGUUCCGCUUCCAGUGACCCUUCCCUUUGCAAUAAAAGCACUCAGUCUCAGGCCUGGGUCCAUUCCUUGACUUCUUGCCGGCAGCUGGCUUACCGGGCGCGGCGACAUCUUUGCCGUCCUUCUUGAAGUUCUUCUUACCCUUGCCCUUCUUGAACUUGGUGGUUUUAUUGACCAUCAACACUUGAUGUUCUUUCUUGAUUUCUACCUCUGCUGACUUCAGCAUUGAAAAUACUUCAGGAAUAGUUUUCACCAUCCCCUGCAUAUUGUAGUUCAUCACAAAGCUCUUGUAGCUGGGUGGGAGCGACUGAAGGAUUCUUUCAAUGACCGCCUCGUCCGGGAGGUUAAUGUCCAGCUGGGACAGGCAGUUGUGCAACCCAGACAUUUUGAGUAUGUGCUCACUGAUAGAACUAUUUUCCUCCAUCUUACAACUGUAGAACUUGUCGGAGACUUCAUAUCUCUCAACCCGGGCAUGAGCUUGGAAAACCAAUUUCAGCUCCUCGAACAUCUCAUAUGCUCCGUGUUGCUCAAAACGCUUUGGAGCCCCGGUUCUAAGCUGUAAAGCAUGCCGCACUGAACGAGGGAGUAAUCAUCAACACGUGACUGCCAAGCAUUCAUAACGUCUUGGUUCUCUGGGAUGGGUGCUUCACCUAGCGGUCCUUCUAGGACAUAUGCUUUCUUGGCAGCUAUGAGGAUGAUCCUCAGGUUCCGGACCCAGUCCGAAUAGUUGCUGCCAUCAUCUUUCAGCUUGGUUUUCUCUAGGAACGCGUUGAAGUUCAUGUUGACAGGAGCGUUGGCCAUUUGAUCUACAAGACAUAUUUUGCAAAGAUUUUAUAGUAAGUUCAUGAUAAUUAAGUUCAUCUAAUCAAAUUAUUUAGUGAACUCCCACUCAGAUUAGACAUCCCUCUAGUCAUCUAAGUGUUACACGAUCCGAGUCGACUAGGCCGUGUCCGAUCAUCACGUGAGACAGACUAGUCAUCAUCAGUGAACAUCUCCAUGUUGAUCGUGUCUUCCAUACGACUCAUGUUCGACCUUUCGGUCUCUGUGUUGCGAGGCCAUGUCUGUACAUGCUAGGCUCGUCAAGUUAACCCUAAGUGUUUUUGCAUGUGUAAAACUGUCUUACACCCGUUGUAUGUGAACGUAAGGAUCUAUCACACCCGAUCAUCACGUGGUGCUUCGAAACGACGAACUUUAGCAACGGCGCACAGUUAGGGGGAACACUUUCUUGAAAUUAUUAUAAGGGAUCAUCUUAUUUACUACCGUCGUUCUAAGUAAACAAGAUGCAUAAACAUAAUAAACAUCACAUGCAAUUAUAUAGUAGUGACAUGAUAUGGCCAAUAUCAUAUAGCUUCUUUGAUCUCCAUCUUCGGGGCUCCAUGAUCAUCUUCGUCACCGGCAUGACACCAUGAUCUCCAUCAUCAUGAUCUCCAUCAUCGUGUCUCCAUGAAGUUGCUCGCCAACUAUUACUUCUACUACUAUGGCUAACGGUUUAGCAAUAAAGUAAAGUAAUUACAUGGCGUUAAAUCAUUGACAUGUAGGUCAUACAAUAAUUAAGACAACUCCUAUGGCUCCUCCCGGUUGUCAUACUCAUCGACAUGCAAGUCGUGAUUCCUAUUACAAGAACAUGAUCUCAUACAUCACAAUAUAUCAUUCAUCAUACAUCACAACUUUUGGCCAUAUCACAUCACAUAGCAAUUGCUGCAAAAACAAGUUAGACGUCCUCUAAUUGUUGUUGCAUCUUUUACGUGGCUGCAAUUGGGUUCUAGCAAGAACGUUUUCUUACCUAUGAAUGACCACAACGUGAUUUUGUCAACUUCUAUUUACCCUUCAUAAGGACCCUUUUCAUCGAAUCCGCUCCAACUAAAGUGGGAGAGACAGACACCCGCUAGCCACCUUAUGCAACUAGUGCAUGUCAGUUAGUGGAACCUGUCUCACGUAAGCGUACGUGUAAGUCCGGGCCGCUUCAUCCCACAAUACCGCUGAAGAAAAAUAAGACCAGUAGUGGCAAGCAAGUUGACAAGAUCUACGCCCACAACAGAUUCGUGUUCUACUCAUGCAAUAGAGAACUACACAUAGACCUAGCUCAUGAUGCCACUGUUGGGGAACGUUGCAUAAAAUAAAAAAAUUCCUACGUUCACCAAGAUCAAUCUAUGAGUUCAUCUAGCAACGAGAUAGAGAGAUGCAUCUACAUACCCUUGUAGAUCGCGUGCGGAAGCGUUCAAGAGAACGGGGUUGAGGGAGUCGUUCUCGUCGUGAUCCAAAUCACCGGAGAUCCUAGCGCCGAACGGAUGGCACCUCCGCGUUCAACACACGUACGGUCAUCGUGACGUCUCCUCCUUCUUGAUCCAGCAAGGGGGGAGGAGAGGUUGAUGAAGAUCCAGCAGCACAACGGCGUGGUGGUGGAUGCAGCAGGGCUCCGGCAGGGCUUCGCCAAGCAACUACGGGAGGAGGAGGAGGUGUAGCAGGGGAGAGGGAGGCGCCAAGACUUCAGGUGCGGCUGCCCUCCCUCCCCCCUGCUUUAUAUAGCCCCCCUGGGGGGGCGCCGGCCCUGGAGAUCAGAUCUCCCUAGGGGGCGGCGGCCAGGGGGGUGGAGUGCCCCCCAAGGCAAGUGGGGCGCGCCCCCACCCUAGGGUUUCCAACCCUAGGUGCAGGGAGGCCCAAGGGGGGGGGGAGCACCAGCCCACUAGGGGCUGGUCCCCUCCCCACUUCAGCCCACGGGGCCCUCCGGGAUAGGUGGCCCCACCCGGUGGACCCCCGGGACCCUUCCAGUGGUCCCGGUACAAUACCGGUGACCCCCGAAACUCUCCCGAUGGCCGAAACAUUACUUCCUAUAUAUAAUUCUUUACCUCUGGACCAUUCCCGAACUCCUCGUGACGUCCGGGAUCUCAUCCGGGACUCCGAACAACUUUCGGUUUGCUGCAUACUCAUACUCAUACAACCCUAGCGUCACCGAACCUUAAGUGUGUAGACCCUACGGGUUCGGGAGACAUGUAGACAUGACCGAGACGACUCUCCGGUCAAUAACCAACAGCGGGAUCUGGAUACCCAUGUUGGCUCCCACAUACUCCUCGAUGAUCUCAUCGGAUGAACCACGAUGUCGAGGAUUUAAGCAACCCCGUAUACAAUUCCCUUUGUCAAUCGGUAUGUUACUUGCCCGAGAUUCGAUCGUCGGUAUCCCAAUACCUCGUUCAAUCUCGUUACCGGCAAGUCACUUUACUCGUACCGUAAUGCAUGAUCCCGUGACCAGACACUUGGUCACUUUGAGCUCAUUAUGAUGAUGCAUUACCGAGUGGACCCAGAGAUACCUCUCCGUCAUACGGAGUGACAAAUCCCAGUCUCGAUCCGUGUCAACCCAACAGACACUUUCAGAGAUACCUGUAGUGCACCUUUAUAGUCACCCAGUUAUGUUGUGACGUUUGGUACACCCAAAGCACUCCUACGGUAUCCGGGAGUUACACGAUCUCAUGGUCUAAGGAAAAGAUACUUGACAUUGGAAAAGCUGUAGCAAACGAACUACACGAUCUUUGUGCUAUGCUUAGGAUUGGGUCUUGUCCAUCACAUCAUUCUCCUAAUGAUGUGAUCCCAUUAUCAACGGCAUCCAAUGUCCAUAGUCAGGAAACCAUGACUAUCUGUUGAUCAAUGAGCUAGUCAACUAGAGGCUCACUAGGGACAUAUUGUGGUCUAUGUAUUCACACGUGUAUUACGAUUUCCGGAUAAUACAAUUAUAGCAUGAAUAAAAGACAAUUAUCAUGAAAGAGGAAAUAUAAUAAUAAUCAUUUUAUUAUUGCCUCUAGGGCAUAUUUCCAACACACCGAGGCCGGCCUCCUCUCCCUCCCUCCUUUAUAUACGGAGGGGGAGCGCCCCUAUGAGACACACCAAUUGCUCUAAGCCGUGUGCGGUGCCCCCCUCCAUAGUUUAGCCUCCAGUCAUAUUCUCGCGGUGCUUAGGCGAAGCCCUGUGCAGAUCACAUCACCAUCACCGUCAGCAUGCCGUCGUGCUAACAGAACUCAUCUACUUCCUCGAACCUUUGCUGGAUCAAGAGCUCGAGGGACGUCAUCGCACUGAACGUGUGCAUAACCCAGAGAUGCCAUAUGUUCGGUACUCGAUCGGUCGGAACGAUAAGACGUUUGACUGCAUCAACCGUGUUAAGUAAACGCUUCCACUUUCGUUAUACGAGCAUAUGUGGACACACUCUCCCCCUCUCAUUGCUAUGCAUAUCCUAGAUAGAUCUUGCGUGAGCGUAGGAUUUUUUUUGAAAUUGCAUGCUACAUUUCCCAACCGUAUAUUGUCAUAUGGUUCGACCGAUAAAGAUCUUUGUAAAAUAUGUAGGAACCAAUAUGGGCAUCCAGGUUCCGCCAUUGGUUAUUGAUCGGGUAUCUCGGUCAUGUCUACAUAGUUCUUGAACCCGUAGGGACCGCAUGCUUAACGUUUAUUGACGAUAUAAUGUUAUAUGAGUUAUGUGAUUUGGUGACCGAAUGUUGUUCAGAGUCCCGAAUGAGAUCACGGACAUGACAAGGAGCUCCAGAAUGGUCCAGAGGUAAAGAUUGAUAUAUAGGAUGAUGCUAUUCGGACACCAGAAAGGUUUUCGAGCGUAUCGGGUAGUCAUCGGAUCACCGGAAGGGGUUCCGGGAAGCCCCGGGAGGUUAAUGGGCCUUAUGGGCCAAGACGGGGAACACACCAGCCCACAAGGGGCUGGCGCGUCCCUUCCCUUGGAAUUCGUCCCUAUGGAGGGAAAGGAGGGAGGUCUAGCCCCUCUUUCCUUUCCUCCACCUAGGAGGAAGGAAGGGGGGGGGGGGCGCCACGUCCUCCUGCCUUCCUCUCGCAGGCAAACAAGGAAGGGGGGCGCAACUAGGGCAGGAGCUCAAGGAGGAUUCACCUCCGUGGAGGUGCCUCCUUGCCGUCUCCCCUCUCCCCCACCUAUAUAUAUGGGGGAGGGGGCACCGCACAACCCCACGACAAUCUCUUAGCCGUGUGCGGUGCCCCUCUCCAUAGUUUUGUCCCUCGGUCAUAUUUUCGGAGUGCUUAGGUGAAGCCCUACAGAGAUAGCAUCACCACCACCAUCAACACACCGUCGUGCUACCGAAACUCAUGUACUACUUCGUCCAUCUUGCUGGAUCAAGAAGGCGAGGACAUCACCGAGCUGAACGUGUGUUGAACGCGGAGGUGUCGUAAGUUCGGUACUUGAUCGGUUGGAUCACGAAGAAGUUCGACUACAUCAACUGUGUUUCUAAACGCUUCUGCUUACGAUCUACGAGGGUACGAAGACACACUCUCCUCUUUCGUUGCUACGCAUCUCCAUGGGUAUAUCUUGUGUGUGCAUAUAAUUUUUUUUGUUUUCCAUGCAAUGUUCCCCAACAUAAUCAUGAGGGCGUGGCUAUAUGUAAGGCGACUGAGAUUUAACAUAGUAUAUAAGAAGAAAAAAGCUAAAAAGAAAAUUUUGCAUAAAUCUCCAUGUAAGAUCAUACGAGUAUAUCAUCAACUGAGAUUUAGCAAUAACAAUGUGAUGACUUUGACAAUGUAGUGAUACACAAAUAAUUAAACUAUAUAGUGCUACCUCCAUUUCAAAAUCUCAGAAAUUUUGGUAGGUUGAACUAGCCUACCAAAAUGUGUUAUAUUUCCUAUAUCGUGGAAUGGAGGUUGUCAGCGUUCUGGAUACGGGGGUACCCAGACUUGCCUGCCUGCGGCCCACGGCGUGGCUCCAUCGAUGGCCUGGUACGACCCAGCUCCAACAUCAACAACUCAAGGGUCACCAAGGCCUUCGAAGGGAUCCGCCUCCUCAGGAUGGCUCCUGAGGAGCGGAGAUUUAUAUGCAAAGCUCACCUCAUGAGGUGUGGAUGACGUGAGCCAUGACGAUCAAGGCCAGGCGGGCGCCAGUGGGCGCAGUGUACCUGUUUCCUCUUUGGUACAAGGGAGGCAAGAAGCAGGCACGGAGUCCCGAGGAAUCAACCAAAUGUUUCCAUUCUUGUGCAACAAGACCAAGACCGCCAGGAGAGGGGUCGUCAUCGAGCCCACCGCAGCAUCACAACCAGAGGCUUUUGCAGGCGAAGACCACUUUAGUCAGGAUAAGAUGUACUAGCUGUCUCCCUUCAAAUUUGGACGUUGUGGGAUCCCUUCCCGCAUCCAUUCGGGAAGAGGACCAAGGUCACUAUAAAUAGGACCUAGCCACCACUACGGAGGGGGAGAGAGUCUGAUCAGAUCCAUUCCACCCUCACCAGCUCACCAGCUCACUUGAGCCCAAGGCCGACCUCACCUUCAGCUCAGAAGAUCACCCUGCUACGACGGCGGGUCAGGCAUACUCCCGAUGCUCUACACCCCCACCAUCUGCAACAUGGCGGUCACCAAGACUCUCAUUGACGAUGGAGCCAGCCUAUAUGUUCUCUCCGUGGAGGCAUUCGGCUUGCUCCACGCGCCCCACGGCCGGCUCCGCCCCACCAAGCCUUUCUCUGGGGUCGGCAUUGGCUCUACCAGCCCCCCGGGGCAAAUCUACCUUCCUGUCACCUUCGGGACCCGCGACAGCUACCGCACCGAGCUCAUCGACUUCGACAUCGCCCGGAUCGGCCUACCAUACAACACCAUCCUUGGGUACCCAACCCUAUCCAAGUUCAUGGCAGCAACUCAUCCAGCCUACAACCUCAUGAAGAUGCCAUGUAGCAGCGGUGUCCUCAUGGUAGCAGUGGAUACCAAGGACGCGCUACUGGCCCUUAAGCUCGCCUUCAUGUCUGCUUGUCCACGCAACCGUGCAAGAAAGGGGUCCCUGAGGCUCCAGGGGCCGCGCCAGCCAAGAAGAAGCAGUUGUUUUCCCAAGACCGAGCCGAGACGAAGCAAGUUCCAAUCGAUGAGGAUGGGUUGUUAGGCGCCACCUUCACCAUAGGAGCUGGCCUUGCCUUGGACCAAGAGAGAGCGUUGGUCAGCUUCUUAUGUGCCAAAAAGGAAGUGUUUGCAUGGGAGCCGAAGGACCUGGUUGGGAUCCCAAGGGGAAUAAUCAAGCACCACUUGAGGGUGUGCCCAAAUGUACGCCCAGUAAAGCAGAUGGCACGACGACAGUCCACGGAGAAGCAGAGGUUCAUCGUCCAAGAAACCCGCAAGCUGUAGGAUGCUGGUGUCAUCCAGGAGGUGCGGUACCCGGAGUGGCUGGCAAACCCAGUUAUUGUCCCCAAGAAGGGGGGAAGGAGCGCAUGUGCGUCGACUUCACCAACCUAAACAAGGCUUUCCCCCAGGACCCCUUCCCGCUCCCGUGCAUCGACCAGAUCGUCGACUCCACCGCCAAGUGUGACAUGUCAUGCUUUUUAGACGCCUUUUCAGGCUACCACCAGAUCAAGACGGUUGUGCAAGAUGUGGAGAAAACGGCGUUCUAGACCCCCUGUGGGGUGUACUACUACACCUGCAUGCCUUUCGGGCUGUGUAAUGCUGGAGCCACCUUUCAGCGGUUAAUGCACACUGCUUUGGGCCAAUAGCUCGGGAGGAACGCUAAGUCUUAUGUUGAUGACAUAGUGGUGAAGUCUCGGGAGGCAAAGACCCUGAUCGAGGACCUGAAGGAAACAUUUGCCAGCCCGCGCAAGGUGGACCUGUGGCUCAACCCCGAGAAGUGUGUGUUCGGAGUCCCAUCUGGCAAGCUGCUGGGUUUCCUGAUGUUGCAUAGAGGAAUCGAGGCCAACCCGGGAGAAAGUCAAUGCUAUAUAAGACAUGAGCCUGCCACAGACACCCAAGGAGAUGCAGAAGCUUGCGGGCUGCAUGACCUCGCUGGGGCGUUUCAUCUCCAAGCUGGAGGAACGUGCCCUCCCAUUCUUCAAGCUGAUGAAGAGGAAAGGGCCGUUUGAGUGGACCCCUGAGGCUGACGCGGCCUUCCAAGACCUCAAUAAAUACCUCACCAGCCCACCAGUGAUGGUGGCGCCACACCCCCUCGAGCCCUUGGUGCUCUAUUUGGCCGCCACGCCUCACUCUGCCAGUGCCGCCCUGGUAGCGCUAAGGGAAGAGCGCCCGACCAAGGAUCCUCAGCAGGGCGCCUCGUCACCAAGCAUGGCACAGCAGCCUCGGGAUGGCGCUCCUGAGGCUUUAGCUGACCCAACAACCAAUGUCCUUCCUGAGGCCCAAGCCGACCCUUUAGCUGGCGGGGCUCCUGAGGCUAAGGCUCAUGAGGCCGCGGCUAAUGUGGUAGGUGACGAGACCCCUAAAGGCUAGCAUCCUCAAAAGAUACAAGACCCCGCCAAUACCUCCUCUCUCAUCGAGCAUCUGGUCUACUUCGUCAGCAUGGUGCUACGAGAGGCAUGAGCGCGCUACCCCAUGCCUCAAAAGCUUUUGCUCGCACUCCUGGUCACCUCCCAAAAGCUGCGCCACUACUUCCAGGGCCACCCCAUCAAGGUCUUUUCAGCCUACCCACUAGAGAGGGUACUCCGGAGCCCUAACGCUGCCGGAAGGGUCGCAGAGUGGAACAUCGAGCUUCAGGCGUUCCAGCUGGAGUUCAGCACCACCAGAGUCAUCAAGGGCGCGACCCUCACAGAUUUUGUGGCAGAAUGGACCGAUGUCCCUGACCGCGGAAUAUGCGAGGAUCGCUCCCUCUUGCCCGGAGACGAGGCGCCGGAUGGAUGGAUCAUGUACUUCGACAACGCAUUCACACAUCAGGGCGCAGGGUCUGGAGUCGUCCUCAUCUCACCGACCAAGGACAAGCUCUACUACGAUGUACAACUCUGCUUCCAGCAGAGCGAAAAGGUCUCCGACAACAUCGUAGAGUAUGAAGGCCUACUCGCCAGCCUUAGAGCUGCGGCAGCGCUGGGGGUGAAGCAUCUCACCAUCAGGGGCGAUUCCCAGCUCCUCAUCAACUUCUCCAACAAAGAGUACAUCCCAAAGGACGAGCACAUGGAGGCAUACCUAGAAGAGGUAUGCAAAAUGGAAAAAUGAUUCUUGGGCUUGGAAUUACAGCAUGUGCCACGAGGUACAAACAAGGAGGCGGACGACAUCGCCAAGAGGGCAUCCCUGUGGCUACCUCAGGAGCCAGGAGUUUUUGAGGAACGGCUCUUCACGCCAUCGGCAGCUCCCCCCGCUGUGGCACCAGCACCACCUUAGGAGGACCUACCCCGAGCCCCAACAACAGGCGCCCCGGCUUGCAGCCCAACCUCAGGGGUCCGCCUACUCCUCCCACUCGAGCCUCAGGAGGGGGGCUAGACCAAGGAUUUCAAGAUGUACCUGCUUCAGGGGACCUUCUCAGAGAUGGAAGAGGAUGCCAAGCGCAUGGCUCGCCAGGCCACCGCAUACUGCAUCCAGGACGGUGAGCUGUACCGCAAAAGGCCUAAUGAUUGUCGAUGUCAAAACCGGCGGAUCUCGGGUAGGGGCCCCCGAACUGUGCGUCUAAGGCUAAUGGUAAUAGGAGGCAGGGGACACAAUGUUUACCCAUGUUCAGGCCCUCUCUAUGGAGGUAAUACCCUACUUCCUGCUUGACUGAUCUUGAUGAAUAUGAGUAUUACAAGAGUUGAUCUACCACGAGAUCGUAAUGGCUAAACCCUAGAAGCUAGCCUAUGAUUAUGAUUGUUCUUGUCCUACGGACUAACCCCUCCGGUUUAUAUAGACACUGGAGGGGGCUAGGGUUACACAGAGUCGGUUACAGAGAAAGGAAUCUUCAUAUCCGAAUCGCCAAGCUUGCCUUCCAUGCAAUGGAGAGUCCCAUACGGACACGGGAUGAAGUCUUCUAUCUUGUAUCUUCAUAGCCCAGCAGUCCGAACCACGUAUAUAGUCCGGCUGUCCAAGGACCCCUUAAUCCAGGACUCCCUCAGUAGCCCCUGAACCAGGCUUCAAUGAUGAUGAGUCUGGCAUUGCAAGGCAGGUUCCUCCUCUGAAUACUUCAAGGUAGAUCUUGAACACCAGAAUCCUGUCCGGCUCUGCAAAACAAAUCCCACAUACCAUUGGAGAAAGUAUAACAUCCCACGAGUCCAAUCUGCUGACAACUCACAAUGUGAUAUCACGCCACGGCCCGGUCUUUAUUCGAACCGUUUUUAUCCCGCCCUUCCGUAUUUCGAGGUGUGGUUUCAUUGGCACGUCUUGUCAAAGCAGAGAUCGUGUCCCCUUAUCAUGACAUUCUCAUCAAUGCGGGUAUGGGUAACCCAAUCGUGCCAUCAGCAUGACGCUUGGGGGAAUAAGCGAGUUUUAGGGAAAAUGGGGAGGCGCAUGAUUUCUACUUCCUUUAUAAAGGGAUAAGGAUUGCUUGUUUCACCCACGCCUUCUCCUUCCUCUGCUCAUUCACUCUCGAGCUCCAGCACCCAAGCUCUCGCCUUCUUUGCCAAAAAAAAGCAUUCCGAAGAUGUCCGGAUCUGGAGCAGGAGGCAAGUGGAUGGCCUCCUCCGUCAUGGAGAAGGACAUAAAGAAGCUCCGGGAGGCCGGAUACCUAUCCAAGGAGAUCAACCAUAGGCUUCCGGCCAAGGGGCAUAUCAUCCCCACCCCAGAACCCCAGGAAAGGGUAGUAUUCGUCUCUCACUUCGUCCGCGGGCUGGGAUUCCCCCUCCACCCAUUUGUCCGCGGAUUGAUGCAUUAUUACGGGUUCGACUUCCAUGAUGUGGCCCCCAACUCCAUCCUCAACAUAUCAGCAUUUAUCAUUGUGUGUGAGGCCUUUCUCCGCAUCCCACCUCAUUUUGGGUUAUGGCUGAAGACUUUCAAUGUGAAGCCAAAGGUGGUGAGCGGCCAGCAAGCGGAGUGUGGAGGCGCUAUGGUGGGCAAGAUGCCCAAUGUCACCUGGCCCGAAGGAUCCUUUGUGGAGAUGGUAAAGGGGUGGCAAUCGGGGUGGUUCUACAUCACCGAGCUGCGCGACACCAACUGGGCGGCGGCCCCCGCAUUCCGAUCCGGAGUCCCAAUGCGGCUCACCUCCUGGCAAGAGAAGGGCCUAGCCUGGGGCUCUUUGGACGAGCUUACCGGGCUCCAGACGUGCGUCCAGAACAUGAUAAGAAAGAGAAUCAAGCUCGUCAACGUGAUAUAGGUCAUGCUCAUCUGCUGGAUCCUUCCAUGCCAACGCCGGACUCACAAUUUGUGGGAGUUUGAUCCAGCCAAGCACCAGACGCUACUAGAGCUCUUCAGCAGAACACAUGAAGAUAUCUGGAAGGUGCUUUUUAAGUCCAGCAAGGCACCACCGCCCACGACCGAGGAUCAUGGGCUUAGCUCCAAGCGCCAGACUAAUCCGGUAAGUUUUUACAUGUUUUCCAAGGUAUACCUUUCACUAGCAUAUUAGAGGAAGGAGUCUAAGCUUCCCCCUCGAUAGAAAUAGCGGAGCAGAUUGACUGUCCGGCUCCGCUGCCUGAAGGCCCAGAAACCCCACUUCUGACGAAGAUGCUGUUUCCGGCACCUUAUGAGGUACCGGAGAAAAAGGCCAAGACGAAGGCCAAGGGGACCCAAGAUGGUCUCCGUUGCAAUGGCGCUUCGGACACAAUGUCCGAAGACGCUGAGGAUCGCUCCUCCACCGCUGAAGAUGAUGCGGAAGAUGAGGAGGAAGAAUAAAUCCGCGCCCCCUACAGGGGGGAUAAAAAAGAGGGUGGCCUCCACUCAUUUGGAGGCCAAGGCGUCCAAGAAGGGGAAAGCUUCUCCUCCGGACAGUCCAGGACAACCACCGACAGCAGCCCGGAGUGGGAGCCCAGGGUCAAGCCCCUGGCUAAAUCGUAAGUAUCUGAACAAAAUAAUGUAUCCGACCUUUUUACUGUAUUGUUUUUAACGUGUUAGGUCAUGCGCUUGCAGUCCGGAUUGGUUAAACAUCGAGCCGUCCUCCUCUUCGGAGGGGUCGCUGGACCUGUCGGCGAUGGACAAUGGGUCCCUUCCGAUGGCCUCCUCACCCAAGGCCGCGGUCAACACCGAAGUGUUGUCUCAAAGGAUCCCGAGCCAGGGAGAGGCUCAGGAGGCCGUCCCGGUGGUGCCGGAGGGUGGAACCUCGCCCGCCGAACAUAUGGGGGAGCAAGUCCCUGCAAAGACUGACGGUGGGGGCUAUAUUCAAUCCGGCCCCCAACCGAAUACUAUUCCGGAGACCCAUACGACUCCGGAUUCAGGAGAGCAACCCUUAAAGGAAGGGGUGUGCCUAUUCCACCGGUGGCCCCCGUCUAUCCGGAGGCGCUGGACGAUUUGCUGGAAGCGCUGGGAGGCGCUUCCAUUGUAGAAGAACACCGCGCCCUCAUGGGUGUGGUGAUUGGGAGAAUUCGGUCCGCGAAAAGUGGACUGACCGAAGCAUGCACGAGCCUUCUAACAAGCUCCGAGGUAAACCACGCGACUUUAAAAGGAAUGUCACAGUAUAGAUAGUAGCCCCUGAUACUCUGUCCGGUGUUCGGAAAGAAAAACCGAACAGAGGAUCAAAAAACUUCGCAGGAGACUAAUAAAAAAUGUUUAUGUGAACAAGCAGGCAUCGCUGCUAGCUGCAUCUGAUCAUACCGCGGAAGUCUCCGUACUGUAGAAGAGUCUGGAGCAGGCCGAGGAAGAGCUCGGCCACGUAAGGGAGUAGUUAAAUAAAGCAAAGGUAUGUGUUGAUUUUUAUCUAAAUUUAGAUACAGUGAACGAUUUGUUCUAACUAAAGUGUCAUUUAUAUUUAUUAGGGGCCAUGACUGAAGUAAGGGCCCUUACAAAGGCGCUGGCCAAGGCCAAGGACAAGGCGGCCAAGGAGUAGACCGCAUGCGAGAAGCAUGAUGCCCGGGUCAAGGAGGUCCAGCAAGAGCUCUAGGACGCAGUCAAAAGAUGCGAGUCCUUGGAGCAUGAUUUUAAGGAGCAAGAGUCUGAGCUUGCCAAGGCCCGCUAGGGCGCACAAGAUGCCCGAGCCGAAGCCCAGGGUGCCCUCCAGGAAAUCCAGGCGGCCAGAAAGAUCGCGGCGGGUAAGGCUUUUAUAAUGUGGAGCAAAUAUGUGAGGGAAAGGUUCCUUCUACUGACCCGGAUUUGGAGCUCUCCAAGGGCAUUUGCGCAUCUGCCGCCCAGUAUAUCAGAUGCUGCGGAAUUCCAUCGAACCAAAGAGGGAAGCUCUACGGAGAAGCUAUUCUGGUCGUAGUACCUUGCACCAUAACAUCCGGUGCCUUUUAGCGACCAGCUGAAGCAACUGGUCGAGCUGCAUAAGGCGGCCGAACUAACCAUGAAGGAUAUGAUAAUCAGGCUAUGGCCUGUCGAAGCUAUUCCUAGCAGCUACUUCAGACUCGUGAAGCGGCUGGUCAGUGCAUGUCCUUGGCUUGAUGCCAUUAAGCGGUCUAUCUGCAUUGAAGGUGCACGGAUGGCCUUCGCCCGCGCCAAGACGCACUGGGCGAAGGUGGAUGCCGCGAAGUUGAUGACCGAAGGACAGCCCGAAGGCAAGGAGCACCGCAAGCCCGAGUUGUAUUAUAAUAGUGUCAUGGAGGGGUCCCGCCUUGUGGCGGAGCAAUGUGCUAAGGAUAUCAUAUCCCCAUGAGUACACUCAUGUUUAUCCUGCCCUGUAAUAUGAAACAGUUCAGUUAUGUAGUGUAAAGUUUGUUUAAAGCUACACCUCCCGUGCAGCCAUUUUAAUAAAUCUGAGAAAUGCCAGUCGUCGGCUUCUGCCCCCAUGUGGGUAGUACGGGGGUGUUCGGGAUAAAUAUAAACACUCUUUAUCCAAGGUUUUGGUCCUUUAAGGAGGUGUUUAGCGCAACGAACUAGGCAAUCAGACUAUUUAGCUUUAUGUUUCUCACUUAGCCAUAGGAGUUUGACGAGACAAACUUGGGCGUAGCCCCUGGUGUUCGGAAGACCAAAUUUGGGGCGCUAUAUACGCUUAAUCGGAUAAAAACCGAUUCAUCGCGUGAUGCGGAAAAAAAUCACUAAAGAUUUGUAACCUCUCGAACAGCUCACCAGCUCUCGCCGCAUCAUGACAGUCAGUUUUCGGCUUUCUCUACUGAGGUGUCCAUCUAGAAGAACUAGGACACAAUCGCAGUAGUUCUCCCUUUACUACCCUAGCCUAUAUAGCGGAAUGUAGGGUAGCAAGCACAGGAGUCGGGCAACCCAACUAUUGACCCAAGACAUGAUUCGGAGCUGAUGCAUAUAAUGCUACAGUUCGGGGUGCCGAAAUACCGUAAAAGUAUUCGGACUUUCUUGCCGUGUUAUGGGGCAUAACAAAGCCCCUGGCGAAUUAAGUCGUACCAGAGUGCACGGGUGCAAAUGAUAAAAAUAUAUACAAAGAAAAGGAAAAAAAUUAAGUAAUAAGCUGAUGCUGCAAAUAUAGAGCCGCAAAUUAUUUUCCAUUAUAUUUUAACUAAUACAUCAAGGCGUACUUGUACAAGUAGUGCAAUAAGCAAUAGGGCUAUUUGACAUGCCAUGACCAAGGGCAGGUUGUGUGCAGGUUUUAAGAUAGGUAUACCAAUCAUUAGCAGAGACCACCUGCGAAAUCCCUUGCACGUUUAAGCCUUUUGCCUUCUUGGUGUAUACCUCUUCCUGAUAGGUCCGAUGAUCAGGUUGUCCGGGAAAGAGGACAGAAGAAAGAAACCUAAAAAGAAAAGGAAAUAGUGAAAGUAUUUGGAUCCAGGAGCGGUUGAGCCGUAUUGUGGACCCUGGUCUAGCUGCGCCUCCGUCCAUGGCCACGGUAUUUUGAGUGUGUAAUUAUGUACGCGCGACACAAAUGUCGCCGCGUGGUUGAGACUGGGACGGAGGCUGAAUUGCUAGUCAAGCUCUGGACGAGCCGGACAGUCCUUCUGCAGGGUAGUUCGGACUCGCUUGACGGUGUCUGGGGGAUUUAUUGCCGACUUGAGGUUCUGCCUAAAAAGGCUACUCUGUACUUCUGUUGCAAGGGCCGUGGUGUGCUCCUCAGUAUGGAGGGGGUGUUCUGUAUUUCUGUUGAUCGUUAUGACACCGUGUGGUCCAGGCAUCUUGAGCUUGAGAUAGGCAUAGUGCGACACUGCAUUGAAUCAAGCGAAUGCGGUUCGUCCGAGCAGUGCGUGAUAGCCACUGCGGAAGGGGACGAUAUCGAAGAUCGAUUCUUCGCUUCAGAAGUUAUCCGGGGAUCCGAAGACCCUAGUCUGACACCUUUAAAGGUGGUUUUUGUGGGCUUGAUCCUUGAGGAAUCGAUACCCAUUUAGCGCACUGUAUCCUGAUAGAGCAGGUUCAGGCUGCUUCCACCGUCCAUGAGGACGCGUGUUAGGUGGAAUCCGUCAAUGAUCGAGCACUAGUGCGGCUGAACCGCCACAAUGGAUGCUGGUCGGAUGGUCCCUUCAAUCAAAACUGAUCAAACAGGAGGACCACGGGUUGUAUUUUGGAGUGACUGGCUCCAUCGCGUAGAUGUCCCUUAGCGCGCGCUUCCGCUCCCUUUUGAGGAUAUGGGUAGCAUAUAUCAUGUUCACCAUUUUAACUUGGGGAGGAAACUUCUUCUAUCCCCCUGUGUUCGGUGGCCGGGGUUCCUUGUCAUCAUCGCUUUGCGACCCCUUUUCCUUGUUUUCGGCAUUUAACUUGCCGGCCUGUUUAAAGACCCAACAUUCUCUGUUGGUAUGAUUGGCUGGUUUAUCGGGGGUGCCGUGGAUUUGACAUGGACGAUCGAGUAUACGGUCCAAACUAGACGGGCCCGAAUUGUUUCUCUUAAAUGGAUUUUUCCAUUGAUCGGACUUGGAGCCACUAAAUCCAGCAUUGACGACCGUGUCUUCGGUGUUGUCGCCAUUAUUUUGAUGCUUAUGUCUGUUGCGUCGGGGCUUGCCAUUGCUAUCUCUGGCUUUAGAUGUGCCAGAUUUACUUGAGGUGCUGUAGCUACGAGCUAGCCAGCUAUCCUCGCCCGCACAGAAGCGGGUCAUGAGCGUCGGCUGCCAUGGACUUCGGCUUCUUUUGGUCGAGGUGUCGGGCAAGCCAUUCGUCACAUAUGUUAUGCAUAAAGAACGCGAGGGCUUUGGCAUCCGGAUAGUCGACGAUCUGGUUCUUUUUAGUUAAGAACUGGAUCCAGAAUUUCUUGGCUGACUCUCCGGGCUGUUGGAUUAUAUGACUUAAGUCAUCGGCAUCUGGAGUUUGGACAUAGGUGCCUUGGACGUUGUCAAGGAAUGCAUCUUCCAGGUUCUCCCAACUGCCAAUAGAGCUUUCGGGUAGACUGUUCAACCAGUGUCGAGCUGGUCCCUUGAGUUUUAGCGGGAGAUACUUGAUGGCAUGGAGAUCAUCAGCUCGGGCCAUAUGAAUAUGGAGAAGGAAGUCCUCAAUCCAUACCGUGAGAUCUUUUUUCCCAUCAUAUGAUUCAGUGUUUACGUGUUUAAACCUUUCUGGGAAUUCAUGUUCCAUUACUUCAUCAGUGAAGCAUAGGGGGUGUGCGGUGCCUCUAUGUCGGGCCACGUUGCGACGCAGCUCGGAUGAAGCUGGUCUGCGGUAUUUGGCCGGACGGGUUUGUAUUUGUUAUAUCCGGCAUGGUGGUUGUCGUCACAUAUUGGGGCACACCCCCGCGAUCCAUAGAUCGAUCUGGUCUGGCCUGCUUUGUUCUCCAAGUCGUACCGCAGGUCAUGUGUGUAUCCCCGAGCUGUUGUGUUUCUAUUUGUUCGGCGAGGUAGUGUGGCUGGUGUUCGGGCUGAGUUGCCGCUUUAUCUCGGCCACGUGGUGGUCGGUCAGCCGUAUUAUGCACUGGUGGUACAGGCUCCAGCGCCUCACCAUCGAAUUGAGGUAGUAGUUUAUGCUUCGGGUAACUUUUGGUUGGGCGUUCGAGUCCAUAUUCCUUGGCUGCCAGGACCUCAGUCCAUCUAUCAGUGAGCAAAUCUUGGUCAGCUUGAAGCUGCUUCUUCUUCUUCUUCAGGCUCUUUGCAGUGGCUAUUAGCCGACGCUUAAAACGCUCCUGCUCGACAAGAUCCUCAAGCACGAUAAAUUCUUCGUCACCGAGGCUCACCUCAUCCUCAGAGAGAGGCAUGUAAUUGCUGUCCUCCGAGUCUUCGUUCAUGGCCUGUUCAUCAGGGGUGUCUCGCCCGUCUUCCCAUUCGGCCUGCUCAAAACUUGGCCUGGCGGGGUCUUCGAUGCCUUUGGCAUCAUCCGGAGUGCUAUUUUCUCUUGUGCUAGUAUCACUGUUUUUUACCAAGGCAUGGUUUGGAGCAGUGCCGCUGACGUUGGUGCUUCGGCUAAUUCUCAGGAAGUUUAUCCUCAACUGGAUCCUUUUUGUCAUCGCCAUUGUCUUAUUUGGGUGUAUCCACCAUGUAUAUGUCUUAUGAGGAGGUAGUUGUCCAGCGCCCUGUGGGCGGUGGUUCCUGUUCUUCUCCGGCAUCGUCGUCCAUACCGUCGAUGUCUUCAUAGUCAAAAUCAAGCAUGUUGGUUAAGUCGUCGACAGUGGCUAUCAAGUGGGUGGUGGGUGGGUAACGAAGUUCCUCGUCGUCCGCUUACCACUCAAGCCGGACAUAGUUCGACCAGGAAUCUCCUAACAAGGAGAGGGACUUCAAUGAGUUUAGCACAUCACCUAGGGGUGAGUGUUGGAAGAAGUCCGCGGAGCUGAACUCCAAGAUUGGCACCCAGUCGAAUUCACUAGGCGCGGAUACACGCGGUUCGGAACCUAUGGCCGGAGACGAGUCUGAAGUUCUGAUGACACAUGCCUCGUUGGAGGUAAGAUCUGUGUUCGGCUCUAGCGCCGUUGAGUCUUCGGUCUCCGUGGUGGGGUUGAGCCUCCCGUCCUCGGAUGGUGCGAUCUACACUGGAUCUAGGGCUAGAGUGGUUACAGGCGCUAUCUCCUAAGCACGGCCCGAUGACAGAUCUAGGUCGUGUUCAUCGUGGUCGCAGGGUGCGACCGUCAUGGUGUCGAAUCUGUCGAUGAUCAAGUCUCUGCGGACAUCGGCGAUGUAGUUCAAGUUUCCAAACCUGACCUGAUGGCUAGGGGCGUAGCUGACGAUCUGCUCCAGAUGGCCAAGCGAGUUGGCCUGCAGUGCGAAGCCGCCGAAUACGAAGAACUGUCCGGGGAGGCAGUCCUCACCCUAGACUGUGUUAUUGUAGAUGAUUGAAGGAGCCAUCAAGCCUUAUGAUGACGAUGCAGUGGAACUCUCAAUGAAAGCACCAAUGUCGGUGUCAAAACCGGCGGAUCUCGGGUAGGGGGUCCCGAACUGUGCGUCUAAGGCUAAUGGUAAUAGGAGGCGGGGGACACAAUGUUUACCCAGGUUCGGGACCUCUCUAUGGAGGUAAUACCCUACUUCUUGCUUGAUUGAUCUUGAUGAAUAUGAGUAUUACAAGAGUUGAUCUACCACGAGAUCGUAAUGGCUAAACCCUAGAAGCUAGCCUAUGAUUAUGAUUGUUCUUGUCCUACAGACUAACCCCUCCGGUUUAUAUAGACACCGGAGGGGGCUAGGAUUACACAGAGUCGGUUACAGAUAAAGGAAUCUUCAUAUACGAAUUGCCAAACUUUCCUUCCAUGCAAAGGAGAGUCUGCUACGUCUUGACCUUGCGUUGGUUUUCCUUGAAGAGGAAAGGGUGAUGAAGCACAGUAGCAUAAGUAUUUCCCUUAGUUUUUGAGAACCAAUGUAUCAAUCCAGUAGGAGGCUCCUCACAAGUCCCUCGCACCUACACAAACAAACAAAGAACUCACAACCAACGCAAUAAAGGGGUUGUCAAUCCCUUCAUGGCCACUUGCGAAAGUGAGAUCUGAUAGAGAUAAUAUGAUAAGAUAAAUAUAUUUUUGGUAUUUUAUAAUAUAGAUUGGAAAAGUAAAGAUGCAAAUAAAAGUAGAUUGAAAUCUUAUAUGAUAAAAGAUAGACCCGGGGGCCAUAGGUUUCACUAGUGGCUUCUCUCGAGAUAGCAUAAGUAUUACGGUGGGUGAACAUAUUACUGUCGAGCAAUUGAUAGAAAAGCGAAUAAUUAUGAGAUUAUCUAGGCAUGAUCAUGUAUAUAGGCAUCACGUUCGUGACAAGUAGACCGACUCCUGCCUGCAUCUACUACUAUUACUCCACAUGUCGGUGUCAAAACCGGCGGAUCUCGGGUAGGGGGUCCCGAACUGUGCGUCUAGGCGGAUGGUAACAAGAGACAAGGGACACGAUGUUUUUACCCAGGUUCGGGCCCUCUCAAUGGAGGUAAAACCCUACUCAUGCUUGAUUAAUAUUGAUGAUAUGGGUAGUACAAGAGUAGAUCUACCACGAGAUCGGAGUGGCUAACCGUAGAAGCUAGCCUAUGGUAUGAUUGUUGUUCGUCCUACGGACUAAAACUCUCCGGUUUAUAUAGACACUGGAGAGGGCUAGGGUUACACAGAGUCGGUUACAAUGGGAGGAGAUCUUCAUAUCGUAUCGCGAAGCUUGCCUUCCAUGCCAAGGAAAGUCCCAUCGGACACGGGACGGAGUCUUCAAUCUUGUAUCUUCAUAGUCCGGGAGUCCGGCCAAAGGUCUUAGUCCGGCCAUCCGGACACCCCCUAAUCCAGGACUCCCUCAGUAGCCCCUGAACCAGGCUUCAAUGACGACGAGUCCGACGGGCAAGUUGUCUUCGGCAUUGCAAGGCGGGUUCCUCCUCCGAAUAUUUCAUAGAAGAUGUUGAACACCAGGGUAGUGUCCGGCUCUGCAAAAUAAGUUCCACAUUCCACUGUAGAGAGAAUAUUAUUUGCGUUAAUUGGAUCUGCUGACGUAUUCCGUGGCAUGACAUCAUGCCACGGCCAGGUUUUUAUUCAUUUUAUUGUUCCACCUCAGCGCGUUUAGCGAGGCGGUUUCCUUGGCACGUCUUGUCAAAGCAGAGAUCGUGUCCCCUUAUUCCGGGAUUCUCAUCAAUACGGGUGUGGGUAACCCAACCGCGUCAUUAACCGCGUCGCUUGGGAGAUAAGCGAGUUUUAUCAGGCCGGUGGGGGGGCUCGUAGUUUUGGCCGCCCAUAUAAGGGGAUAAGAAUCCGCCCUUUCCAUUCACGCCUUCUUCCUCCUCUGCUUAUCCGUCCCUGCGCGCUCAAGCUCCAGCGCCCAAGCCCACACUUCCCACCUCAACCUUCUCCAACCAUGUCCGGAGCGGGAGGUAGAUGGAUUGCCUCCUCCGUUACGGAGGGGAAAAUCAAAAAAAUGAGGAAGGCCGGAUACUUGUCUAACGACAUCGCGCACCGGCUUCCAGAUGUGGGGCAACUCAUCCCACCCCCAUGCCCCAUGAGAGGGUUGUUUUUCUUCUCCAUUUCCUCCGCGAACUGGGUUUUCCUCUUCACCCGUUCGUCCAGGGGCUCAUGUUCUACUACGGCCUGGACUUCCACGAUCCGGCCCCGAACUUCAUCCUCAAUAUCUCGGCAUAUAGCGUCAUGUGUGAGGCCUUGUUCCGCAUCCAUCCCCACUUUGGCCUAUGGCUGAAGAUCUUCAGCGUCAAGCCGUAGGUCAUGAAAGGCCGACAAGCGGAAUGCGGAGGUGCUAUGGUGGGCAAGAUGGCCAACGUCACUUGGCUUGAGGGUGCCUUUGUGGAAACCAUCAAAGGGUGGCAAUCGGGGUGGUUUUAUAUCACCGAGCCGCGUGACCCUAAGUGGGCAGCGGCCCCCGAAUUUUGAUCCGGCAUCCCCACCCGGCUCACAUCUUGGAAAGAGAUGGGCCUGUCGUGGGGAAAUCCGGAAGAGGUGACCGGACUCCAAACCUGCGUCCGAGACCUGGUGACCAAGAAGCCCAAGCUUGUCAACGUGGUCCAGGUCAUGCUCUUCCGCCGGAUCCUCCCGUGUCAACGACGGUACUUCAAUUUGUGGGUGUUCGACCCGGCCCAGCACCAGACUCUAUCCCGGCUCCUCGAAAUGAAGCACGAGGAUGCCUGGAAGGUGCUUUUCAAGAGUUCCGAGGUCUCCCCUCCCGUCACCGAGGAUCGCGGAUUCUGCGCCAAACGUCAAGCCUCUGAAGUAAGCUUACAUUUAGUCCCUUACGGGAUACCCGAAUUUCAUAGUGUGACUUUAUGUGGGAUCUAAACUCCCGUCCUUUGAUAGGACUGGAAGAGGACAUCUGGACAGUUUGACUGUCCGGCUCCUUUGCCCGAAGGCCCAGCAGACACACAAUUAGCAAAGCUACUGGUUCCAGCACCUCGCGUGGUGCCGGAGAAGAAGGCGAAGGAUAAGGCCACGGGGACCCGAAAGAGUUCCCGGUGCCUGAUGGCGUCGGAUUUGCCCGACAACCCCAACGCACCCUCCGCCUCCGAAGACGAGGAGGAGUAAGAAGAAGAAGAAGCCUCUCCCCCUCCAACGGGGGGAGGAACAAAAAGAAAGGCCGCCCCAACUGGGGAAGCCGGAGGGUCCAAGAAGGGGAAGACCCUUCUGCCGGACUACGCCCCCGACGUCAAAGACGGCGGGGGGGAAUGGCCAUCCAGGGUCAAGCCCCUGGCAAAAUCGUGAGUGUCCGGCUACCGAAUGACUUAUUGCACUCCUUUAUUUUUUGAUAGCUUCUAAUGCCGAAUCUAAUUAUGCAGUCCGCCCAGAGCUCAGCUUGGCGACUCGUCGAGCGGCUCUCUGAAUUCAUCGGACAUGAAUAGCGCUUCACUUCCGAUGACCUCCUCCCCUCUCCCUACAGAUGACGCUGAGGUGGAGUCCCGUAGGGGACAAAACCAGGAGGAGGUGGUCCUGGAGGCGCCACAAGGCGACCUUCCGGACUCCAGGCCCAAAGGGGGUAAAUCCCCAGAGGGAUCUAAGUCCGGCCCUGGGCCGGACACUGCUCCGGAACCAUUAGCGGUUCCAGAGUCCGACAGGCGGCGCCUUCAUAAGAAGGGCAAGCCUGCGACGCCGGCGACUUCCGUCCACCCGGAGGCAUCGGACAAUUUGCUGGAGGCGCUUAACGGCGCUUCCAUCAACGAGGAACACCACACUGUUAUGAGUGCGGUGAUUCAGAAGGUUCAGUCCGCCAAGAGCGGGCUGACGGAAGCCUGCACAAGCCUGUUAACAGGCUUUGAGGUAUGUGUUCAAAAACAUAUAUAAAAAAUAUAACCGCAUAGACAGUAGCCCCUGAUGCUCAGUUCGUUGUUCGGAAAGAAAAGCCGAGCUGAGGAUCUAAAAAGAUAUACGCAGGAGUCUAAUAGAAAUAUGUCAAUAUGGGAAUGCGGGCUGCGCUGCUGACCUCUGCAGCACUGACUGCGGAGGUCAAUGCAUUGAAGGAAAGCCUCGAGCAGUCCGAGAGCGAGCUCGGCCGUGCCAAGAAGCAGCUCGAGGACAAAGAGGGUACAUAGUACCUCCUGUAAAUGUAUAUAGAAAUACUUGGUUGCAAAAUAAGAACAGGACCAACGUUAAUGUUGUAGGAGCCACGACCGAGGUGACCACCCUGAAAGAGGCGGUCUCCAAGGCCGAAAAGAGUGCGGCCUUGGUGCGCACUGAGCGAGAGAAGCAGGAGGCGCGGGUGGCGGAGGUGCGGCAAGAGCUCCAGGCUCUCGUGGAAAAACACGAGAGUUUGGAGCGUGACUCGAAGACUCGAGAGUCCGAGCUUGCCUUGGCUCUUGAGAGUGCCAAGACUGCUAAGGCCGAAGCCCAGAAGGCCCUUCAGGAGAUCGAGGCGAUGAAGAAGAUAGCGGCGGGUAAGGCAUUCUUUAUGCAAAGCAAAAAUAUAAAAGUUAAUUAUGUGCUACUUACCCGAAUCCGGAGCUCUCCAGGAGCGUUCGCCGAUCUGCCCCGUAGUGUGUCUGAUGCCGCCGCAUACUACCGAGCCGAAGAGGGGAGCUCGACGGAAAAAGUGUUCUGGUCUCAGUAUGCUGAGGCCGAACAUCCGGUGCCCCUGAGCGACCAGCUGAAGCAGCUGGUCGAGCUCCACAAGGUGGCCGAACAGGCCAUGAAGGGCCUCAUAGCUCGGUUGUGGCCUGGAGAAGUCAUGCCUAGGAGGUACUUCAGUCUGGUACGGCGGCUGGUGGACGCGUGUCUGUGGAUUGAGGUCGUCAAGCGCUCCGUUUGUAUUGAAGGUACCCGUCGGUCCCUUGCCCGUGCUAAGGUGCACUGGGGCAAGCUAGAUGCGGAGAAGCUGUUGACGGACGCGCUACCGCCGGGCAAGGAGUAUCGUACGCCCGAGAUGUAUUAUAAUGGCAUUCUGAAGGGUGCCCGCCGUAUAGCGGAUGAGUGUUCCAAAGAUGUAAUUUUUGAGUAGACUCGCAUUUGUUAUCAUGUACGCUGAAGCUUUGUUCAUAUGCGUUAAGCAACGCUUGUUAAUUUAAAAUAUUACCUUAUGUGCGGCCGUUUAUCAAAUCUGAGAGAUGCAAGUCGUCGGCUUCGACCCCCAUGCCACGAGUGCUGGGGUGUUUGGGAUAAACCUGAGCGCUCUUGUUCCCAUUCUUGGGUCCAUCUAGGGAGGCGUUCAGCACAACAAACGAGGCCGUCGGACUUAUAAUGCUUUAUCACUCUCACUUAGCCAUAGAAUUCUAUAAUUUUAAAUUUCGGCGAAGCCCCUAGUAUUCGGAAGACCGAGUUCGGGGCGCUAUCCACGCCUAGGCUGGAUAAGUCCGGUUCCUUGCUCGAAACGGCAUAAGUCUUUAAGGACUCGAAGAAACCUCGCGAACAGCGACCGGUCUCUCGCAUUAUCAUGACAGUCAGUUUUAGCUUUCUCUACUGAGGUGUUAACCCAGCUCAACUGGGGCACAAUCACAAUAGUUCUCCCAACGCUACCUUAGCCAACAAUGCGGAACGUAAGGUACCAAAACAUGGGAGCCGGGCAAACCCAACUAUUGACAAAAGACAUGAUUCGGAGACGAUGCAUAUAGUGCUAUAAGUUCGGGGUGCCGCACUCGUGAGAGUGUUCGGUGUUCUCACACCAUGUUAUGGGGUGUUGUAAGCCCCUGGUGUAUUGUCCGCACCAAAGUGUACGGUUGUAGAAUGUCAUGACUGAACAUUUUUGUAUAUAAAAUAGAUAAGUACAAUAAUAGGUAAGAGCUAUAUAUUGUUUAUUAAAAAAGGGCUGCUACGAAAGCAGAACGAUACAAGAAGUGCGGUAAGCAAGAGAUGGGAGUAUUUGACAUAUUCCCCUCCAGGGGCAAGCUGCGGGAUUGUAAGUAAAACAGGUAUUAAACUCGUUAUAGAGACCACCUUGACUUUUGGCGUGGCUUGCUCCCUCCCUGGCUGUUGCAUCGUGGGUUCGGCGAGUGUAUUGCCGGACGGGCCUUCCGAAUAGUUGGGUCCUGAAAGUGUGUAAAAAGGAAAACGGCGAAAUAGGGAGCCCCUUAGUGUGGUUGAGCCGCAUUCUGGGCGUGCCGUUGUUGUGCCCCUCCCCUUAUGCCCAUGGUAUCUCUAAGGCGUAAUUAUGUACGCGUGGUACCAGUAUCACCGUUUGGCGGGGGCUAGGGUUGGGGCCACACUGCUAUGCUUGCUCGGAAUGUGCCAGCCGGAUUUGUUGUAGGUUACUUCAGGCUCGCUUGGCGUUGUCUGGACGUUUGACGCCUGGAUUAGAGAACUGCCUUGAGAGGCUACACUGUACUUCCGCCGCCAGGGCCGCCGUGUGCUCCUCCGUUCGGAGAGAGCGUUCGGUGUUUCCGUUUACCGUGAUGACUCCGCGAGGUCCUGGCAUCUUGAGAUUGAGAUAUGCGUAGUGCGGCACCGCAUUGAAUUUUGCAAAUGCAGUUCGUCCAAGCAGGGCGUGAUAGCCGCUGCGGAAUGGGACUAUGUCGAAGAUUAACUCCUCGCUCUGGAAGUUAUCCAGGGAUCCGAAGACCACUUCGAGUGUAACCGAGCCUGUAUAGCUGGCCUCUACCCCUGGUAUGACACCUUUGAAGGUUGUCUUUGUGGGUUUAAUCCUUGAAGGAUCGAUGCCCAUUUUUCGCACUGUGUCCUGGUAAAGCAGGUUCAAGCUACUGCCGCCGUCCAUUAGGACUCUGGUAAGGUGAAAUCCGUCGAUAAUUGGGUCUAGGACCAGUGCGGCGAAUCCGCCGUGACGGAUGCGGGUGGGAUGGUCCCUUCGAUCGAAGGUGAUCGGGCAGGAGGACCAUGGGUUGAACUUUGGGGCGACUGGCUCCAGCGCAUAGACGUCCUUGAGAGCACGCUUCCGCUCCCUUUUGGGGAUGUGGGUUGCGUAUAUCAUGUUCACCAUCCGAACUUGCGGGGGAAAUCCCUUCUGUCCUUUGUUGUUCGGUGGCCGGGGCCCCUCCUCGUCAUAGCUAUGUAGCCCCUUGUCUCUGGUCUCGGCACUUAACUUGCCUGCCUGCUUGAACACCCAACAAUCCCUGUUGGUGUGAUUGGCUGGCUGUUCCGGGGUGCCGUGUAUCUGGAAUGAGCGAUCGAGUAUCCGAUCUAAGCUGGAUGGGCCCUGAGGGUUUCUUUUGAAUGGCUUCUUCCGCUGACCCGGUUUAGAGCCUCUGAAUCCGGCAUUGACUGCCGUAUCUUCAGUAUUGUCACCGUUAAUGCGGCGCUUAUGCUUGUUGCGACGUGACCUGCCGUUGUUAUCCUUGGUAUCCGAAUUGCCGGGGCUCUUGGUUAUGUUAUUGCUACGAGCUAGCCAGCUGUCUUCUCCCGCACAGAAGCGGGUCAUGAGUGUCGUGAGCGCUGCCAUAGAUUUCGGCUUUUCCUGUCCUAGGUGCCGGGCAAGCCAUUUGUCUCGGAUGUUGUGCCUGAAGGAUGCAAGGGCCUCGGCGUCCGGACAAUCGACUAUUUGGUUUUUCUUGGUUAGGAACCGUGUCCAGAAUUGUCUGGCUGAUUCCUUUGGCUUCCAUAUUAUGUGGCUUAGGUCAUCGGCAUCUGGUGGUCGCACAUACGUGCCCUGGAAGUUGUCAAGGAAUGCGGAUUCCAGGUCCUCCCAACAACUAAUUGACUCUGCUGGCAGGCUGUUAAGCCAAUGUCGAGCUGGUCCUUUAAACUUGAGCGGGAGGUAUUUGAUGGCGUGUAGAUCAUCACCACGGGCCAUGUGGAUAUGAAGGAGAUAAUCCUCGAUCCAUACCGCAGGAUCUGUUGUGCCAUCGUAUUAUUCGAUGUUUACGGGUUUGAAGCCCUCGGGGAUUCGAUGAUCCAUUACUUCGUCUGUGAAGCAUAGUGGGUGUGCGGCGCCCCUGUACUGGGCUAUAUCAUGACGCAGCUCGGACGAGCUUGGUCUGUUGUAUUCGGCCGGGCCAUACUUAUUAUGUCCGGCGUGAUGGCUAGUGUCACGUGAAGCGAGGCGCCCAUGCGAUCCGUAGAUCAAUCUUGUUUGCUUUGCCUUAUUCUCCAAGAUGUCUCGCAGGUCUGUUGCGUCUCCCCAUACUCUGGUAUGUUUUGAGCGGUGUCGGGGUGUGGCUUGGGUUGAGGGCCUGAAGGCCUCUCUAUCGCGGCCACGGGGUGGCCGAUCGGGCGCAUCGUACGCUGGUGAUGUAGGUUUAGUUGCUUCCUCCUCAAGUUCGGGUAGCAGCCUGUGCUUUGGGUAGCUCUUGGAUGGGCAUUCUAGUUUAUACUCUUCGGCCGCCAGGACUUCGGUCCAUCUGUCGGCUAGCAAGUCUUGGUCAGCUCUAAGCUGCUGCUGUUUCUUCUUGAGGCUGCUUGCCGUGGCUAUGAGCCUGCGUUUGAAACACUCUUGUUCGACGGGAUCCUCUGGCACGACGAAUUCAUCAUCGUCGAGGCUUGCCUUGUCUUCGGAGGGAGGCAUGUAAUUAUCGUCCUCAUCCUCUUUGUCAGCCGCUCUCUCAUGAGGGCUGGCUCCUUCGUCCUCCUGCACUGAAUCGUGCUGGAGGGGGUUGUCUUCGGCAUUGUCCGGCGUGUUGUUAUCUCUGGUGCCGGAAUCGCCGUUUUUGCUUUGGCGGGACUUAGUGCGGCGCCGCUGACGUCGGCGCUUGGGUUGCUUCUUGGAGGGGUCAUCCUCCGUUUUCUCCUCGCCAUCCCCCGCUUUAGGGGUGUCCACCUUGUAUAUGUCAUAUGACGAGGUGGCUUUCCAGUUCCCUAUAGGUGCUGGUUCUUGAUUGUCUCCUUCAUCGGCGUCCAUGCCGUCGAUGUCUUCGGAGUCAAAGUCGAGCAUGUCGGUUAAAUCGUCGACAGUGCCUACGAAGUGGGUGGUGGGUGGGCUUCGAAUUUCUUCGUCGUCCGCAUCCCAACCGUGUUAGCCGUAGUUCGGCCAGGGCUCUCCUGACAAAGAGAGAGACUUUAAUGAAUUCGGGAUAUUGCCAAAAGGCGAGUGCUGAAAGAUGUCCGCGGGGGUGAACUCCAUGACGGGAGCCCAAUCGGGCUUAAUCGGAAGAGGUGCGAGAUUUACGGAGUCCGAAUCGGAGUCUAACACCUUGGAGUCACGGGCCUUGCGAGGGACUAGGCUGGUAUCCGGCUCUAUCGCCGUAGAGGUUGUAGUUUCCGGGGCGGUGUCCAACCGUCCGUCCCCGACUGGCGUAGUGGGCUCCGAGCUAAUGGUCGGAGCGGACACUUGAGCGACGCUCUGGGUGUUGUCCGAUGACAGAGCUAAAUCAUGCCCAUCGUGACAGUGCGGCGUGCCCGGUCGUUGCUCGAAUCCGUCGAAGAUCAAGUCCCCGCGGAUGUCGGCCGUGUAGUUUAAGCUUCCAAACCUGACCUGAUGGCUAGGGGCGUAGCUUUCGAUCUGCUCCAGAUGGCCGAACGAGUCGGCCCGCAGUGCGAAGCCGCCGAAUAUGAAGAUCUGUCCGGGGAGAAAAGUCUCAUCCUGGACCGCAUCGCAAUUGACGAGCGAAGAAACCAUCGGGCCUAAAGGCGACGACACAGAGGAACUCUCAACGAAAGCACCAAUGUCGGUGUCAAAACCGGCGGAUCUCGGGUAGGGGGUCCCGAACUGUGCGUCUAGGCGGAUGGUAACAGGAGACAAGGGACACGAUGUUUUUACCCAGGUUCGGGCCCUCUCGAUGGAGGUAAAACCCUACUCCUGCUUGAUUAAUAUUGAUGAUAUGGGUAGUACAAGAGUAGAUCUACCAUGAGAUCGGAGUGGCUAACCCUAGAAGCUAGCCUAUGGUAUGAUUGUUGUUCGUCCUACGGACUAAAACUCUCUGGUUUAUAUAGACACCGGAGAGGGCUAGGGUUACACAGAGUCGGUUACAAUGGGAGGAGAUCUUCAUAUCGUAUCGCCAAGCUUGCCUUCCACGCCAAGGAAAGUCCCAUCGGACAUGGGACGGAGUCUUCAAUCUUGUAUCUUCAUAGUCCGGGAGUCCAGCCAAAGGUCUUAGUCCGGCCAUCCGGACACCCCCUAAUCCAGGACUCCCUCACCACACAUCGACCGCUAUCCAGCAUGCAUCUAGAGUAUUAAGUUCAUAAGAACAGAGUAACGCAUUAAGAAAGAUGACAUGAUGUAGAGGGAUAAACUUAUGCAAUAUGAUAUAAACCCCAUCUUUUUAUCCUCGAUGGCAACAAUACAAUACGUGCCUUGCUGCCCCUGCUGUCACUGGGAAAGGACACCGCAAGAUUGAACCCAAAGCUAAGCACUUCUCCCAUUGCAAGAAAGAUCAAUCUAGUAGGCCAAACCAAACUAAUAAUUAUAAAAGACUUGCAAAGAUAACUUAAUCAUACAUAAAAGAAUUCAGAGGAGAUUCAAAUAUUUCUCAUAGAUAAACUUGAUCAUAAACCCACAAUUCAUCGGAUCUCAACAAACACACCGCAAAAAGAGUCACAUCGAAUAGAUCUCCAAGAAGAUCGAGGAGAACAUGGUAUUGAGAUUCAAAGAGAGAGAAGAAGCCAUCUAGCUAAUAACUAUGGACCCGAAGGUCUGUGGUAAACUACUCACAACUCAUCGGAGAGGCUAUGGUGUUGAUGUAGAAGCCCUCCGUGGUCGAUUCCCCCUACGGCGGAGCGCCGGCGAAGGCUCCAAGACGAGAUCUCGCGGAUACAGAAGGUUACGGUGGUGUAAAUAGCUUUUCGUGGUCGCCCCUGAUGUUUUCGGGGUACGUGGGUAUAUAUAGGAGUUAGAAGUACGUCGGUGGACGCCCGAGGGGCCCACGAGAUAGGGGUCGCGCCCAGUUGGGGGGACGCGCCCUCCACCCUCGUGGCCGCCUUAGAAGCUUCUUGACUUGCACUCCAAGUUCUAUGGAUCACGUUCGUUCCAAAAAUCACGCUCACGAAGGUUUCAUUCCGUUUGGACUCCGUUUGAUAUUCCUUUUCUUCGAAACACUGAAAUAGGCAAAAAACCGCAAUACGGGCUGGGCCUCUGGUUAGUAGGUUAGUCCCAAAAAUGAUAUAAAAGUGUAAAGUAAAGCCCGUAAACAUCCAAAACGGGUAAUAUAAUAGCAUGGAACAAUCAAAAAUUAUAGAUACGUUGGAGACGUAUCAAGCAUCCCCAAGCUUAAUUCCUGCUCGUCCUCGAGUAGGUAAAUGAUAAAAACAGAAUUUUUGAUGUGGAAUGCUACCUAGCAUAUUUCUCCAUGUAUUUUUUUUAUUGUGGCAUGAAUGUUCAGAUCCAAAUGAUUCAAAAUAAAAGUUAAUAUUGACAUAAGAAAUAGUAAUACUUCAAGCAUACUAAUAAAAGCAAUCAUGUCUUCUCAAAAUAACAUGGCUAAAGAAAGUUAUCCCUACAAAAUCAUAUAGUCUGGCUAUUGCUCUAUCUUCAUCACACAAAGUAUUAAUCAUGCACAACCCCGAUGACAAGACAAUCAAUUGUUUCAUACUUUAGUAAUCUCAAACUUUUUCAAUUUUCACGCAAUACAUGAGCAGGAGCCAUGGACAUAGCACUAUAUGUGGAAUAGAAUGGUGGUUGUGGAGAAAAAAAGGAGAAGAUAGUCUCACAUCAACUAGGCAUAUCAGCAGGCUAUGGAGAUGCCCAUUAAUAGAUAUCAAUGUGAGUGAGUAGGGAUUACCAUGCAAGGGAUGCACUAGAGCUAUAAAUGUAUGAAAGCUCAACAAAAGAAACUAAGUGGGUGUGCAUCCAACUUGCUUGCUCACGAAGACCUAGGGCAUUUAGAGGAAGCCCAUCAUUGGAAUAUACAAGCCAAGUUCUAUAAUGAAAAAUUCCCAAUAGUAUAUGAAAGUGACAACAUAAGAGACUCUCUAUCAUGAAGACCAUGGUGCUAUUUUGAAGCACAAGUGUGGAAAAAGAGAUAGUUGCAUUGUCCCUUCUCUCUUUUUCUCUCAUUAUUAUUUUUCUUUCUCUCUUUUUUUCUUCUCUUUUUUUAUUUUUGGUGGGAUUCUUUGGCCUUUUUUUCAUGGGCUUAUUUGGCCUCUUUUAUUUUUAGAAAGUCCGAAGUCUCAUCCCGACUUGUGGGGGAAUCAUAGUCUUCAUCAUCCUUUCCUCACUGGGACAAUGCUCUAAUAAUGAAGAUCAUCACACUUUUAUUUAUUUACAACUCAAGAUUACAAAUCGAUACUUAGAACAAGAUAUGACUCUAUAUAGAUGCCUCCGGUGAUGUACCGGGAUAUGCAAUGAAUCAAUAGUGACAUGUAUGAAAAAUUAUGAGGUGGCUUUGCCACAAAUACAAUGUCAACUACAUGAUCAUGCAAAGACCAAUAUGACAAUAAUGAUGCGUGUCAUAAUAAAUGGAACGGUGGAAAGUUGCAUGGCAAUAUAUCUCGGAAUGGCUAUGGAAAUGCCAUAAUAGGUAGGUAUGGUGGCUGUUUUGAGGAAGGAAUAUGGUGGGUGUAUGGUACCGGCGAUAGUUGCGCGGCACAAGAGAGGCUAGCAAUGGUGGAAGGUUGAGAGUGCGUAUCAUCCAUGGACUCAACAAUAGUCAUAUAGAACUCAUAUACUUAUUGCAAAAAUCUACAAGCCAUUGAAAACAAAGUACUAUGUGCAUGCUCCUAGGGGGAUAGAUUGGUAGGAAAAGACCAUCACUCGUCCCCGACCGCCACUCAUAAGGAAGACAAUCAAUAAAUAAAAUUGUGCUCCAACUUCAUCACAAAGUGGUUCACCAUACGUGCAUGCUACGGGAAUCACAAACUUCAACACAAGUAUUCUUUAAAUUCACAAUUACCCAACUAGCAUGACUCUAAUAUCACCACCUCUAUAUCUCAGAACAAUUAUCAAGUAUCAAAUUGAUCAUAGCAUCCAAUUCACUUUCUAUGAUAGUUUUUAUUAUACCGAACUUGGAUGCCCAUCAUUCUAGGACCAAUUUUAUAACCAUAGCAAAUACCAUGCUGUUCUAAGAGACUCUCAAAAUAAUAUAAGUGAAGCAAGAGAGAUCAACAAUUUCUACAAAAUUAAGCCAUCGCCGUGCUCUAAAAGAUAUAAGUGAAGCACUAGAGCAAGAAUUAUCUAGCUCAAAAGAUAUAAGUGAAGCACAUAGAGUGUUAUAAUAAAUUCCAAUAAAGUGGUCUUCUACAAAAAGGUGUGUACAGCAAGGAUUAUUGUGGUAAACUAAAAGGCAAAGACUAAUAUCAUACAAGACGCUCCAAGCAAAACACAUAUCAUCUGGUGAAUACAAAUAUAGUUCCAAGUAAAGUUACCAAUGAACAAAGACGAAAGAGGGGAUGCCUUCCUGGGGCAUCCCCAAGCUUAGGCUUUUGGCUAUUCUUGAAUAUCUUGGGGUUCCAUGGGCAUCCCGAAGCUUAGGAUCUUGCCACUCCUUAUUCCAUAGUCCAUCAAAUCUUUACCCAAAACUUGAAACCUUCACAACACAAAACUCAACAAGAAAUCUCAUAAGCUCCGUUAGUGAAAGAAAGAAAAACCACCACAUAAGGUACUGUAAUGAACUCAUUCUUUAUUUAUAUUGGUGUUAAACCUACUGUAUUCCAAGUUCUCUAUGGUUCAUACCCUUACAUACUAGCCAUAGAUGCAUCAAAAUAAGUAAGCAACACACGAAAGGCAGAAUCUGUCAAAAACAGAACAGUCUGUAGCAAUCUGUAACUUUAGAAUACUUCUGGAACUCCAAAAAUCCUACCAAAAUAGGACGUCUUAGGCAAUUUGUCUAUUGAUCUACAGCAAAAUGAUUCAGCGCAAAAGCACGUUUCUGUGAUUUAUUGAAUUUUUUCUCGUGAGCGCUAAGUUUCUGUUCUUCAGCAGAAUCAAAUUAACUAUCACCAUAGGUUAUCCUAUAGGUUCUACUUGGCACAAACACUAAAUAAAACAUGAAAACACAUCUAAACAGAAGGUAGAUGCAAAAUUUAUUACUAAACAGGAAGAAAAACAAAAAACACAAAUAAAAUUGGGUUGCCUCCCAACUAGCGCUAUCGUUUAACGCCCCUAGCUAGGCAUAAAAGCGAGGAUAGAUCUAAGUAGUGCCAUCUUUGACACUUGAUUCAUAAGUAGCUCGCAUGAUAGAUUCAUAAGGUAAUUUAAUUUUAUUUCUUGGAAAGUGCUCCAUGAAUUUCCUUAAUGUAAAUUGGAAUCUAAUAUUCCCUUCCUUCAUAUCAAUAAUCGCGCCAAUCGUUCUAAGGAAAGGUCUACCAAGAAUAAUAGGACAAGAAAGAUUGCAAUCUAUAUCAAGAAUGAUAAAAUCUACGGGCACCAAAUUUCUAUUGCAACAAUGAGAACAUCAUUGAUCCUUCCCAUUGGCUUUUUAAUGGUGGAAUCCACAAGGUGCAAAUUUAAAGAGCAAUCAUCAAGAUCAUGGAAACCUAGAAUAUCACAUAACGUUUUCGGAAUCAUGGAAACACUAGCACCCAAAUCACAUAAAGCAUAACACUCAUGAUCUUUAAUUUUAAUCUUUAUAGUAGGUUCGCACUCAUCAUUAAGAUUUCUAGGCAUAGAAACUUCCAAAUUAAGUUUUUCAUCAAAAGAUUGCAUCAAGGCAUCAACAAUAUGUUUGGUAAAAGCUUUAUUUUGACAAUAAGCAUGAGGAGAAUUCACAACGGAUUGCAACAAGGAAAUACAACAUUCUAAAGAACAAUUAUCAUAAUCAAAUUCCUUGAAAUCCAAGAUAGUGGGUUCAAUGCUAUUUAAAGUCUUGACCUCUCCAAUCCCAAUUUAGCAUCAAGAUCUAAAAACUCCGAAUUAUUGGGAUGCCUUUUAACUAAAGUUGACUCAUCUCCAGUCCCAUCAUUAUUAAGAUUCAUAUUGCAAAACAAAGGUCUAAUAGGGGACACAUCAAUAACUUUAAGAUCUUUGUCGGUGUCAAAACCGGUGGAUCUCGGGUAGGGGGUCCCGAACUGUGCGUCUAGGCGGAUGGUAACAGGAGACAAGGGACACGAUGUUUUUACCCAGGUUCGGGCCCUCUCGAUGGAGGUAAAACCCUACUCCUGCUUGAUUAAUAUUGAUGAUAUGGGUAGUACAAGAGUAGAUCUACCACGAGAUCGGAGUGGCUAAACCCAAGAAUCUAGCCUAUGGUAUGAUUGUUGUUCGUUCUACGGACUAAAACUCUCCGGUUUAUAUAGACACCGGAGAGGGCUAGGGUUACACAGAGUCGGUUACAAUGGGAGGAGAUCUUCAUAUCGUAUCGCCAAGCUUGCCUUCCAUGCCAAGGAAAGUCCCAUGUGGACACGGCACGGAGUCUUCAAUCUUGUAUCUUCAUAGUCCAGGAGUCCGGCCAUCCGGACACCCCCUAAUCCAGGACUCCCUCAGUAGCCCCUGAACCAGGCUUCAAUGACGACGAGUCCGGCGCGCAAGUUGUCUUCGGCAUUGCAAGGCGGGUUCCUCCUCCGAAUAUUUCACAGAAGAUGUUGAACACCAGGGUAGUGUCCGGCUCUGCAAAAUAAGUUCCACAUUCCUUCAUAGAGAGAAUAAUAUUUGUCUUAAUCGGAUCUGCUGACGUAUUCCGUGGUGUGACAUCAUGCCACAGCCAGGAUCUCUAUUUAUUUCAUUGUUCCACCUCAGCGCGUUUAGCGAGGCGGUUUCCUUGGCACAUCUUGUCAUAGCAGAGAUCGUGUCCCCUUAUUCUGGGAUUCUCAUCAAUACGGGUGUGGGUAACCCAACCGUGCCUUUGGUAUGACUCCCUAAUUGAAAGCGAGUCUCAAACGGUUACGGGGAGGGCUCUUGGUAUUCAACUCCUUUAUAAAGGGACUAGGGCUCGGCUCCCUUCUUUUCAAUCCAAUCGAAUCCGCCCCUUGCUUCGAGCUCCAACACCCAAAGCUCUAGUUUUAGGCGCUUCAGACCUUCGACGAUGUCCGUCUCUGACCUUGAAGGCCGGUGGAUGCCUUCCUCCGUUAUGAAGAAGAUGUGCGAAAGCUGAGAGAUGCCAGGUAUCUAACCGACGAGAUCUCGCAUAGGCUGCCUGCUCAAGGGCAGGCCAUGCCCACUCCCUAGCCCGGUGAGAGCGUGGUGUUCGCAUCUCACUUCCUUCGGGGGCUAAGCUUCCCGAUUGAUCCCUUCGUGAGGGGGCUCAUGUUUUAUUACGGGCUAGAGUUCCACGACUUAGCUCCGGAGUCCAUCCUCCAAAUCUCAUCAUUCAUUGUCGUGUGUGAGGCCUUCCUCCAUAUCACUCCUCACUUCGGAUUGUGGCUAAAAACCUUCAAGGUGGAACCAAAGAUGAUCGAGGGGCAGCACGCUGAGUGCGGAGGAGCUAUAAUAAGCAAGAUGGCCGACGCUCCAUGGCCCGAAGGCUCUUUUCAAGAGGAGCUCAGCUUAUGGCAAUGGGACUGGUUUUACAUCACAGCCCCUAGGGGCACCACAUGGGUGGCACCGCCUACUUUUCGCUCGGGUCCCCCACCACGGCUGGCAUCAUGGGUUAAUGAAGGACUUAUCUGGGGGCCGUCGAAAGACGUGCCCUUGCUGCAGGGCCGUAUUCGAGAUCUCCUAGAAAGAGAUAUCAAUCUGACCGUGGUGGCGCAAGUCAUGGUGAUUCGCCGCACACUGCCCUGCAAACAUCGACCUCUCCGCCUGUGGGAAUUCAAUCCCGAGGGACCACGGGUCCUACAACACUUCAUGGGAAUGACGCCCAUGGAGAUGUACAAAUUGUUCUUUGUAUCACAAGCAAGGUGUCCGGAUCUGUCCGAGGACGCUGGUCUGAGCUGCAACUGCCCAGAUGCUAAAGUAAGUAGCUCCAUAUUUGCACAUACCAUCCAUAUUUUUAUCAAAUCUACCCUUUAGCAGAGUUUCCUUUGAACAGGAGUGGAUAGAAAAGGCUAAGCUUAUCAGGUGUCCAGCCCCCUUGCCCGAGACCGUGCCGAAUCCUAUGCUGACCAGGAUGCUGGAGGCUGCGCCGUUGGCGGAGGGAAAAGGGGGGGACCAAGGAGCUACCGCCUCCAUGAAGGAGGCCGUCAGGAAGGGAAGAAUCGAAAAUUCUCCCGACCAGGGGAAGAAAAGGACUGCCUCUGAAGACCCGGAGGUGAUAACCUCAAAACAGGGAAAUACAUUUUCGUCAGAGGGUUCGGCACCGGUGGAUGCUUCAGCCGAAUCGCCCCCUAAAGGGGACCCGCUCUCCCCCGAGGCGUAAGUGAGGGGAGGGGUUCCAUAAUGAAUCACAUUCAUGUUUUAUUCCCGAGGAAAAUAACCGAAGCAUUAUCUUGCAGUUCGGAUCUCAACCCUUCUCAGCAGAGCUCAUCUUCAGGGGAUCUUCGUCCAGAGAUGAUAGAGAGCGAAACGCCUCCCCUUGUUCCCCCGUCCUACAAGGCUGGUGACCCUGAGGUAUCGUCCCGGAGGGCUUUUUCAAGUCCGGACCCUGGGAAAGGUCGUCAGACUAGUCCGACACCCUCUUGCGCGCCGGAGGAGGUGCUCAAGGAUCUGCUUGGUAGGGCGUCCAUCUCGGAAGAACAUCGUAUGUUGAUGGAUACGGUGAUUGUAAGGAUUUCAUCCGCAGAACGCGGAUAGUACGAAGCUGCCAGGAGUUUACUAACAGGCUUUGAGGUAUGUAAAAAGGUGUACCUUUUGGUAGAGCCGCAUAUUAAAUGUGCCCUGUAUGAAUGGUAGCCCCUGAGACUCUGUGUGUCGUCACGAGUGACGGCGCAUAGAGGAUCAUAAUCCCAGGUAUAAUAAGUCGCUUAUUCCAUGAAGGUGGCGAGGCGCUCGGUGGCUAGCCGGACUGGUUAAUCUGCCGAACUAAAGCGGCAACUUGACGUGGCCGAUGCCGACAUCGCGCUUGUGAAUAAGCGGCUAGACGAGGCUCAAGGUAUGUUCAAAAGACACCCAGGAAUAGGAGCUUGAUGCUCGGGCCUUAUAUAUAUACUUGAUGUAGAUGGUGCUGCUGCCGUGGAGAACCUUCGGGCGGAACUUGCCCGAGCCAAGGAGCAAGCAAGGAAAAGUGAUGCGGCUGUCGUGAAAGCGGCUGAAGAGCUAAAAGCCGAACAGGCUGUUCACUGCCAGAGCAAGAAGGAAAUGGCCGAGAUGUCCAUAGAAUUGAGGGAUGCUACCAACCGCUGUAGAUUGCUUGAGCAAGAAGAUAGGGCGGCACAGAAGGAUCUUGAAAAGAUCACGGCCAAAUCCAAGGAUACUCGCUCUGCCAUGAGAGCGAUGAAGGAGGAGUUGCGUCAGGCCAGAGAUAUCACGGCUGGAAAGCCUUAUAUGCCGCGGAUGAAGUUCGGAGACCCUAAGUAUGCUCCAUUAGACCAGCAGUGGAGUUCGGACAACGCUUAUCUGGAUUUGGCCGCAAGUGCGGCGGACGCGACCGAACACUUCCGCAGCCGAGGUGACCAUAAAUUGGAAGAGCUUUUUUGGUCGCAGUACCACAAUCCAGAGCGCCCACUGUCAGUCUCCGACCGUUUAGCCGCCUGGGCGGAGCUGAACAGAUUAUCUGGACUCGCCAUGAAAUUUGUUGCGAGUCGUCUGUGGCCGGAGAAGCCAGAGCCGAAGAGAUAUUUUGGCUUGGUGCAGCAAUUUCUUGGUUCGGUGCCGCAUGCUGAUGCAAUGAAGAGGUCGGCGUGCAUAGAGGGAGCACAAAUGGCUCUUGCCCAUGUCAAGACAUACUGGGCAGAUAUGAAGGCCAGUAUUGUUGCGUCCCAAGAUUCGGACGAAAGCCGAGUACCUGCCAAGCACUAUUUUGAGGAAGUUCUUCCUGGCGCUUGUAUAAUAGAGUCGCAUUGCUUGAAGGAUGUUGUGUUCGAAUAGCUUAUACUAUUUGUAAGACGAAUUGUGUUUUUAUGAAAAAAACUUUUUUAUACUUGUGCUUGCAAGAAUCAUGAUACCUCCUGUGCGGCCGUUUAAUGUAUAUAUUUGUAUGUAAACUGAAAGAUGGCAGUCGUUGGCUUCAGCCCCCAUGCAUAGAAUGCGGGGGUGUUCACAAAAAGGCGUCUGUUCACACUUAAUCCAACGUCUUGGUCCUAUAAAGGAGGUGGUAGCGCGGCGAACUAGGCAACCGGACUAUAAUGCUUUAUCACUUUCACUUAGCCAUAGGAGUUUGACAGUGGGACUACUGAAUAGCCCCUAGGGGCACCGCGCUCGCCCGAAUUCGGGGCGCGAGUGUGCCUGACCGGGAAGCGGCCCUUCGUUAAUGCGGGGGAAUCCUAAAGAUUCCGAAAGUCAUCGAGUGGUUUACUAGUCUCUCGCUAUAUCAUGACAGUCAGUUUUCGGCUUUCUCUACUGAGGUGCUCACCCGGCUGAACCGGGGCACAAUCGCAGUAGUUCUCCUGGUGCCACGUUAGCCGAUAUAACGGAACGUAAGGCAGCAAAACACAAGAGUUCGGCAAACCCAACAUUUGACCAAAGACAUGAUUCAGAGCUAGUGCAUAUAGGGCCAAACUUGCGACGCCGAACACCCCCUAAGGUGUUCGGUCUUUAUGAAGACGGGCCGAAAUAGAGCCCUUGGUAAAAAAGCCCCUAGUGUCCAGGUACAUGCAAAAAAAUUCUGACGUGGCCACAUGCCAAGACGCCAGCCUCCUCCUCGGCUAUAGAGAAAACCGGGGGAUGUUAUCAACAAGAGACCGUAAAAAAGGUUUAUGCAGGGUCUUAAUCUGAAGAGAAUCCUUGGAACGGGUCCCUGCUGCACGUCUGCGCCCGUGUCUCCGUCUUGCCGUAUCCUGGACGGGCGUAGCACGAUGCUUGUCUGUGAAAGAGAGGAACUUAGUAAAAAAAAUAAGCGUGCGAGAAAUCUAUAUCGAAAUAAACAAAAUAUAGUUGGAGCCAGAGUUGGGCCGUAUUGUCUCCGGGCGUGAGCACACGGAGCCCCUUGCACUAGGGUAUGCGGUAAUUUAAGCAUGUUGACGCCGGACUCGUCGAGGCGUGUCCGGGGUAGUAGGGCUGGAUUUGUGGGCGGCUGCCUAGGCAACCGCACCCCUGCCCGUACUUUGGGGGUCAAUUUAUGUUCCCUUGUAAUGAGAUGAUGCCCUUUGGACCGGGCAUUUUAAGUGUAAGGGAUGCGUAGUGCGGUAUUGUGUUAAAGCGGGCGAAAGCUUCACGUCCCAGUAGCGCUUGAUAGCGACUUACGAAUGGGGCGAUGUGGAAUGUUAGCUUUUCGCUUCGGAAGUUGUCGGGUGAUCCGAACGUGACUUCUAAUGUAAGGGAACCCAUACUUGGGGUAUCCGAACCUGGCGUUACUCCUUGAAAGGAAGUGUUGCCGAGGUGGAUUGCGACUGGGUGUACCCUGAGUUUGCGGACUGUGUCCUGAUACAACAGGUUCAAGUCGCUGCCGCCGUCCAUAAGGACGUUUGUAAAUUGGAGUCCGUUAAUGAUUGGAUUUAAGACCAAGGCAGUGCAGCCUGCGUUAUGGUCUCCUCUAGAGUAAUUCAGAUGAUCAAAGGUGAUUGUUUGUAACAAGCAGUGGGGUUGCUGCUCUGGGGCUGGCUGUACGGCGCAUCUCGUUGUAGGUGCCGUUCUAUUCUUCUUUGUCGCAUGAAGUAGAUUUACUGUCUUGACUUCUUGUGGGAACUUCUUUUGUUCUCUGGUGAUCUGCUCGUGGGGUGCAUUGUCAUCUUCGCUUGAUGUGUUGAGCCCCUUGUGUUCGGCAUUGAGCUUGCUGGACUACUUAAAGACCCAACAAUCUCGGUGGGUAUGGUUUGCAGGUCUCCCCGGAGUGCUGUGGAUUUGACAUAUUUUGUCCAAAAUUUUGUUGAGGUUGGAUAGCUCGUCUCUAUCUUCUUUGGGGGGCAUCUUUUUCUGAUUUUGCCGAGGGCUUUUGAAUCCGGCGUUUACUGCCGUGCUCAUCGGGCUUUUGUCCUUUAUCCGGCGUGGUUCUUUGUUACGGCGCGGCUUCCCGUUCCCAUCUCUGAGUUCGGACGUAUUCGGGUCGCUGGUGCUGCUUCUUGCCAACCAGCUAUCCUCUCCUGCACAGAAGCGGGUCAUGAGGCUUGUUAACGCGGCCAUUGUUCGCGGCUUUUCUUGGCCGAGGUGUCUGGCGAGUCAUUCGUCUCGGAUGCUAUGUUUGAAAGCUGCUAGGGCCUCCGCGUCUGGACAGUCGACUAUCUGAUUCUUUUUGAUAUAGAAUCUGUUCCAGAGCUUCCGCACUGACUCUCCGGGCUGCUGAGUUAUAUGGCUCAGAUCGUCUACAUCUAGGGGCCGGACAUAGGUCCCUUGAAAAUUUGCCCGGAAAGCAUCCUCAAGCACUGCCCAACUUCCCAUGGUGUUCUCGGGGAGGCUUUUAAGCCAAUGCCGGGCUGUCCCUUUGAGCUUAAGGGGUAAGUAUUUUAUGGCGUGGAGGUCGUCUCCUCUGGCCAUGUGUAUGUGGAGGAUGUAGUCCUCGAUCCAGACUCCAGGGUCUGUUGUUCUGUCGUACGGUUCUAUGUUCACUGGCUUGAAUCCGGCUGGGAAUUCAUGAUCCAGCACCUCAUCAGUAAAACAUAGGGGGUGUGCGGCGCCCCUGUAUUUAGGCGUGCCGCGAUUUUCGGGUAUUUUUUUGCGUUGCAUCACUUAUUGGAGCUUGCUUUCUUGGCCUAUAGAUGGAUCUGGUAGGGCCAGUCUUGGACCGAUCGCGUGCUAUAUUGAGUGUGGCAUCUUUUGACGCGUGAGAUUGAUCGUAGGGUCAUCUAUCCGACCUUGUCGCGUCCUUAUUUUUUGACUGUGGGGGCUUUAUGGCCUCUUCGUCAAAUUCCGGUAGUAGUUUCCGCUUCGGAUAGCUCUUGGUGUGGCGACUAUUGCCGUACUUGUGUGCGGUAUUGAGUACCUUGCCCCAUCUGAUCCUGAGUGCAUCCUUCGCUGUCUUGAGCCUUCGCUUCUGCUUUUUCAGGCUACAUGCAGUGGCGAUGAGCCUUUGGUGGAGGUUCUGAUGUUCCAGCAAUUUGUCUGGUGUGAGGUCGUCCGGGCUAUUAUCCUUCCCGGGGGUUGGUUGUUCGGAUUGUCCGCCCUGCUUGGACGGAUGCUCGACGGCAUGUUCAUCGCUCGUUGAGUCGCCCUGCUCUAUGCAUGGGUUUUUGUCGAGGUGGGGCUUGGCCUUGCGCUUACGCCGCCGCUUUGAUUGUUUCUCGGGGGAGCGAUCUCUGGCCGCAUCCUUUUGGUCCUCGUAAUCGUUUCUGUUGCGUGUGUCCACCAUGUAUACAUCGCAUGAUGAGGUGUUUUUCCGGAGCCCUAUAGGUGCUGGUUCUUGAUCAUCUCCGUAUCGGCAUUCAUACCGUUGAUAUCUUCGAAGUCGAAGUCUAGCAUGUCGGUUAAAUCGUCGACAGUGGCUACGAAGUGGGUGCUGGGUGGGCUACAAAUUUCUUCGCCGUCCGCAUCCCAACCGUGUGGGCCGUAGUUCGGCAAAGGCCCUCUUGACAAAGAGAUAGAUUUUAAUGAAUUCAGGAUGUUACCGAAAGGUGAGUGCUGAAAGACAUCCGCGGCGGUGAACUCCAUGACCGGAGCCCAAUCGGGCUUAACCGGGAGAGGUGCAGGAUUUACGGAGUCCGGAUCGGAGUCCGGGACCUCGGAGUCACGGGCCUUGCGAGGGACUAGGCUGGUAUCCGUCUCUAUCGCAGUAGAGAUUGUAGUUUCCGGGGUGGCGUCUAACCGUUCGUCCCCUACUGGCGUAGUGGGCUCCGAGCUAAUGGUCGGAGCGGACACCUGAGCGACGCUCUGGGCGUUGUUCGAUGACAGAGCUAAAUCAUGCCCAUCAUGACAGUGCGGCACGCCCGGUUGUGGCUCGAAUCCGUCGAAGAUCAAGUCCCCGCGGAUGUCGGCCGUGUAGUUCAAGAUUCCAAACCUGACCUGAUGGCCAGGGGCAUAGCUCUCAAUCUGCUCCAGAUGGCCGAACGAGUCAGCCCGCAGUGUGAAGCCUUCGAAUACCAAGAUCUAUCCGGGGAGAAAAGUCUCAUCCCGGACCGCGUCGCAGUUGACGAGCGAAGAAGCCAUCGGGCCUAAAAGGCGACGACACAGAGGAACUCUCAAUGAAAGCACCAAUGUCGGUGUCAAAACCGAUGGAUCUCGGGUAGGGGGUCUCGAACUGUGCGUCUAGGCGGAUGGUAACAGGAGACAAGGGACACGAUGUUUUUACCCAGGUAUGGGCCCUCUCGAUGGAGGUAAAACCCUACUCCUGCUUGAUUAAUAUUGAUGAUAUGGGUAGUACAAGAGUAGAUCUACCAUGAGAUCGGAGUGGCUAAACCCUAGAAUCUAGCCUAUGGUAUGAUUGUUGUUCGUUCUACGGACUAAAACUCUCUGGUUUAUAUAGACACCGGAGAGGGCUAGGGUUACACAGAGUCAGUUACAAUGGGAGGAGAUCUUCAUAUCGUAUCGCCAAGCUUGCCUUCCACGCCAAGGAAAGUCCCAUCCGGACACGGGACGGAGUCUUCAAUCUUGUAUCUUCAUAGUCCAGGAGUCCGGCCAAAGGUCUUAGUCCGGCCAUCCGGACACCCCCUAAUCCAGGACUCCCUCAAUCUUCAUCAUUAUUUUCAUGGAAACUAGAAGAACACGCCUUUAUAAAGCAAUCUUUCUUAGCACACAAUCUAGCAGUUCUUUCUUCGCACUCGUCAAUGGAACUUCUCAUAGCUUUGAGAGACCCAUUGAUAUGAUGCUUAGGAGGGGUAGAUCUAAGUUUCAAAGAAUCAACAUCAAGCGAGAGUCUAUCAAUGUUGCUAGUUAAAUCAUCAACUUUAAGCAAUUUUUCUUCAAGCAAGGCAUUAAAAUUCUUUUGAGAGAUCAUAAAUUCUUUCACGCUAUUCUCAAAAUCAGAGGGCAAUCUAUUAAAAUUACCAUAAGAAUUAUUGUAGGAAUUUCCAUAAUUAUUAGAGGAAUUACUAGGGAACGGUCUAGGAUUAAAGUUUCCUCUAUAAGCAUUGUUGCCAAAAUUAUUCCUACCAACAAAAUUUACAUCCAUAGAUAAAUCAUUAUUCUCAAUAAAGGUAGAUAAAGGCAUAUCAUUGGGAUCAAUAGAAGCACUCUUAGUAGCAAACAAUCUCAUAAGGUCAUCCAUCUUUCCACUCAAAACAUUAAUUUCUUCUAUAGCAUGCACUUUUUUACUAGUAGAUCGUUCGGUGUGCCAUUGAGAAUAAUUAGCCAUGAUAUUAUCAAGGAGUUUUUUAGCUUCUCCUAAGGUGAUUUCCAUAAAAUUGCCUCCCAUGGCCAAAUCUAAAAGAUUUCUAGAAGCAAAUUCAAUCCGGCAUAAAUUUUUUGUAUGAUCAUCCAUAAAUUCAAACCAUGAGUAGGGCAACAGUGAAUCAUCAAUUUCAUUCUUUCCCAAGAUUGGGCAACAUGCUCAUGAUCAAGUUGUUUAAAAUUCAUAAUAUCGUUUCUAAGAGUGAUGAUCUUAGCGGGAGGAAAAUACUUAGAGAUAAAAGCAUCUUUGCACUUGUUCCAAGAAUCAAUACUAUUUUUUGGCAAAGACGAAAAUCAAACUUUAGCACGAUCUCUAAGUGAAAAUGGAAAUAACUUCAAUUUAACAAUAUUAUUAUUGAUAUCUUUUUUCUUUUGCAUCUCACACAAAUCAACAAAGUUGUUUAGAUGGGUAGUGGCAUCUUCACUAGGAAGGCCGGAGAAUUGAUCUUUCAUAACAAGAUUCAGCAAAGCAGCAUUGAUUUCACAAGACUCAACAUCAUUAAGAGGAGCAAUCGGAGUACUAAGGAAAUCAUUAUUAUUGGUAUUGGAGAAAUCACACAAUUUGGUAUUAUCUUGCGCCAUGGCAACAAUUAAUCCAACACACAAGCAAACAGAAAAAGGCAAGCAAAAGAGAGAGAAGAUGAUUGGGAAAGAGAGGGCGAAUAAAACGGUAAGGGUGAAGUGGCGGAGAGGAAAACGAGAGGCAAAUGGCAAAUAAUGUAAAUGCGAGGGAGAUGAGUUUGUGAUGGGUACUUGGUAUGUCUUGACUUGAGCGAAGACCUCCCUGGCAACGGCGCCAGAAAUCCUUCUUGCUACGUCUUGAGCUUGCAUUGGUUUUCCUUGAAGAGGAAAGGGUGAUGCAGCACAGUAGCAUAAGUAUUUCCCUCAGUUUUUGAGAACCAUGGUAUCAAUCCAGUAGGAGGCUCCUCACAAGGCCCACACACCUACACAAACAAACAAAGAACUCGCAACCAACGCAAUAAAGGGGUUGUCAAUCCCUUCACGGCCACUUGCGAAAGUGAGAUCUGAUAGAGAUAAUAUGAUAAGAUAAAUAUAUUUUUGGUAUUUUAUAAUAUAGAUUGGAAAAGUAAAGAUGCAAAUAAAAUUAGAUUGAAAGCUUAUAUGAUAAAAGAUAGACCCGGGGGUCAUAGGUUUCACUAGUGGCUUCUCUCGAGAUAGCAUUAGUAUUACGGUGGGUGAACAAAUUACCGUCGAGCAAUUGAUAGAAAAGGGAACAAUUAUGAGAUUAUCUAUGCAUGAUCAUGUAUAUAGGCAUCACGUCCGUGACAAGUAGACCGACUCCUGCUUGCAUCUACUACUAUUACUCCACACAUCGACCGCUACCCAGCAUGCAUCUAGAGUAUUAAGUUCAUAAGAACAGAGUAACACAUUAAGAAAGAUGACAUGAUGUAGAGGGAUAAACUCAUGCAAUAUGAUAUAAACCCCAUCUUUUUAUCCUUGAUGGCAACAAUACAAUACGUGCCUUGCUGCCCCUGCUGUCACUGGGAAAGGACACCGCAAGAUUGAACCCAAAGCUAAGCACUUCUCCCAUUGCAAGAAAGAUCAAUCUAGUAGGCCAAACCAAACUGACAAUUCGAAGAGACUUGCAAAGAUAACUUAAUCAUACAUAAAAGAAUUCGGAGGAGAUUCAAAUAUUUCUCAUAGAUAAACUUGAUCAUAAACCCACAAUUCAUCGGAUCUCGACAAACACAACGCAAAAAGAGUUACAUCGAAUAGAUCUCCAAGAAGAUCGAGGAGAACAUGGUAUUGAGGUUCAAAGAGAGAGAAGAAGCCAUCUAGCUAAUAACUAUGGACCCGAAGGUCUAUGGUAAACUACUCACAACUCAUCGGAGAGGCUAUGGUGUUGAUGUAGAAGCCCUCCGUGGUCGAUUUCCCCUCCGACGGAGCACUGAUGAAGGCUCCAAGAUGGGAUCUCGUGAAUACAGAAGGUUACGGUGGUGGAAAUAGCUUUUCGUGGUCGCCCCUGAUGUUUUCGGGGUACGUGGGUAUAUAUAGGAGGAAGAAGUACGUUGGUGGACGCCCGAGGGGCCCACGAGAUAGGGGGCCAUGCACAGUAGGGGGCGCGCCCUCCACCCUCGUGGCCGCCUCGGAAGCUUCUUGACUUGCACUCCAAGUCCUCUGGAUCACGUUCGUUCCAAAAAUCACGCUCCCGAAGGUUUCAUUCCGUUUGGACUCCGUUUGAUAUUCGUUUUCUUUGAAACACUGAAAUAGGCAAAAAAACAGCAAUACGGGCUGGUCCUCCGGUUAGUAGGUUAGUCCCGAAAAUGAUAUAAAAGUGUAAAGUAAAGCCCAUAAACAUCCAAAAUAGGUAAUAUAAUAGCAUGGAAUAAUCGAAAAUUAUAGAUACGUUGGAGACGUAUCAGAGUCCUAUCCGGACACGAUACGAAGUCUUCUAUCUUGUAUCUUGAUAGCCCAACAGUCCAGACCAUGUAUAUAGUCCGGCUCUCUGAGGACCCCUUAAUCCAGGACUCUCUCAAUGAUGUUUCUUUGCGAUGCAUCUCCAGGGUGUAGGGGCUCGAGCUGCUGACCGACAUACAUGGUGGGGACAACGGACACCACUCUUCGUCAUGCACCCUCGUGGGCAAGGUGUUCUGCAGUGAGUUCUAUUGGCCCACAACACUCAACGACGCCACCGAACUGGUGCGGUCCUGCGAGGCCUGCCAGUUCCAUGCCAAGCAGAUCCACCAGCCCGCGCAAGGCCUCCAGACUAUCCCGCUCACGUGGAUGUUCGUGGUCUAGGGGAUGGACAUCUUGGGGCCAUUCCCCCGAGUGCCAGUGGGCUACCGCUACCUCUAUGUCACCAUCAACAAGUUCACCAAGUGGCGGAGGUAGAAGCUGUCCACACCAUCCCGGCCAGCUCAGCCGCCAAGUUCAUCAAGGUCCUCGUGAGCCGGUUUGGAGUUCCUAAUCACAUCAUCACCAACAAUGGCUCACAGUUCACUAGCAACCUUUUCAAACGAUACUGUGCUAACCUUGGAAUGCAGAUUUGCUACGCCUCAGUGGUAGACCCCAGGAGAAACAGUCAGACUGAGCACGCCAAUGCAGAGGUCUUAAGAGGCCUCAACGCAAUCACCUUCAAGAAGAAGCUCGAGGCCCGCGGCAGGGGCUGGCUCGACGAGCUCCAGUCCGUGUUGUGGUCCAUCCACACCACAACGACCGAGCCGACAAGCGAGACACCGUUCUUCCUCGUCUACAGAGCUGAAGCGGUUCUCCCACAUGAGGUCAAGCAUCACUCCACACGGGUCCUGGCGUUCGACGAUGCAUGCCAGGAUGCCACGCGGGGGAUGGAUCUCGUGCUGGGGGAGGAAUGCCGCCGUCAAGCUUCACUCCAAGCGGCAAGGUACCAGUAGGCGCUGUGGCGGUACCAUUGGCGCAGCGUCCACCCCAGGACGCUCGAGGCGGGUGAUCUCGUCCGGAGGCAGGUGCUCUCCAAGGAAGGGCCGCACAAGGUCUCUCCGAUGUGGGAGGGCCCGUUUAGGAUUGCCCGUGUCUCUAGGCCCAGUGCCCGCGCCUGGAGACACAGGACGGGAUCCCCAUCCAUAACUCCUGGAACAUCCAACACCUCCAGAAGUUCUACCCAUGAAGCAAGGCUCCGGCCUGUGAAGGUCUCCGCUCGUGACGCUCUCAUGUAAUAAUUGUCGGUGUCAAAACUGGUGGAUCUCGGGUAGGGGGUCCCAAACUGUGCGUCUAAGGUUGAUGGUAACAGGAAGCGGGGGACAUGAUGUUUACCCAGGUUCGGGCCCUCUCUAUGGAGGUAAUACCCUACUUCCUGCUUGAUUGAUCUUGAUGAAUAUGAGUAUUACAAGAGUUGAUCUACCACGAGAUCAUAAUGGCUAAAACCCUAGAAGUCUAGCCUGUAUGAUUAUGAUUGUGAUUGCCUCUAUGGACUAAGACCUCCAGUUUGUAUAGACACCGGAGGGGACUAGGGUUGUACAAAGUCGGUUACAGAGAAAGGAAUCUUCAUAUCCGGUCGCCAAGCUUGCCUUCCACGCCAUGGAGAGUCCCAUCUGGACACGGGAGAGAGUCUUCGGUCUUGUAUCUUCACAGCCCAACAGUCUGGCCCAUGCUACAUAGUCCGGCCGUCCGAGGACCCCUUAAUCCAGGACUCCCUCAGUAGCCCCUGAACCAGGCUUCAAUGAUGAGGUGUCCGGUGCACAGAUUGUCUUCGGCAUUGCAAGAUGGGUUCCUUCUCCGAAUACUCCAAAAUAGUCUUCGAACACAAGAAUCGUGUCUAGCUCUGCAAAACAAAUUCCACACACAACCGUAGAGAGUACAAUAUUUCACGAGUCCAAUCCGCUGAUUUUUUUAGUGUGACAUCACGUCGCCGCCCGACCAUUAUUUUGAACCGUUUUCUAGCAUGUCACCCCAUAUUUCGAGAUGCGGUUUCAUUGGUACAUCUUGUCAAAGCAGAGAUCAUGUCCCCUUAUUGCGGGAUUCUCAUCAAUACGGGCGUGGGUAAUCCUACCGUAUUGUUUGCAUGGCCCUUGGGAAUAAGCGAGUUUUUAGGGCGAUUCGGGAGGCGUUUGAUAUUCACUGCCUUUAUAAAGGUAUAAGGAUUCACCCCAUUCACCCAUGCCUUCUCUCUCUACUUCCCCCAUUCUCGAGCUCUAGCGCCCAAGUUCUCAUCUUUUCCGCCCCAAGAAAGCACUCCAACCAUGUCCGGAUCUGGAGUGCAGGGCAAGUGGAUGGCAUCCUCCAUUAAGGAGAAGGACACUAUGAAGCUCCGGGAGGCCGGAUAUUUGGCCAAGGAAAUCGCCCAUCGGCUUCCGGCCAAGGGAUAGAUCGUCCCCACCCCGGAGCCCCAUGAGAGGGUAGUAUUCAUCUCUCACUUUGUACGCGGGCUGGGAUUUCCUCCCCACCCAUUCAUCCGUGAACUCAUGUUCUACUACAUGCUAGAUUUUCAUGAUCUAGCCCCAAAUUCUUUCCUCAACAUCUCGGCAUUCAUUGUCGUGUGCGAGGCUUUCCUCCACAUCCCACCCCACUUCGGAUUGUGGCUGAACAUCUUCAAUGUGAAGCCGAAGGUGGUGGGUAGCCAACAUGCAGAGUGCGGAGGUGCCAUGGUGAGCAAGAUGCCCAACGUCACAUGGCCAAUAGGUACCUUCAUGGAGACCUUCAAAGGGUGGCAACAGCAGUGGUUCUACGUCACAGAGCCGCGCAACACCACCUGGGCCGCGGCUCCCGAAUUCCGGUCCGGACCCCCAAUGCGGCUCACCUCCUGGCCAGAGAAGCACCUGGACUGGUCUUUGUUGGACGAGCUGACAGUGCUUCAGACGCGCAUCAGGAGCAUGGUGGACAAGAACAUCAAGCUUGUCAGUGUGAUCUAGGUGAUGCUAGUUCGCCGGAUCCUUCCAUGCCAAAGCCGGGCUUGCCAUUUGUGGGAGUUUGAUCCGGCUAAGUACCAGACCUUGCUGCAGUUCUUAGGCACUACACACGAAGACAUCUGGAAGGUGCUUUUCAAGUCCAGCAAGACAUGGCCGGACACGGCCGAGGACCGUGGGCACGACUUGGCCCAUCCGCUAGUCCGGUAAGUUUUUUCAUGUUUUCAAGGUAUAUCCUUUACUUGCAUAUUCAAGGAAGAAGCCUAAGCCUCCCUACUGAUUCUCUCAGGGCUGGACAAAGAAGGUGGAGCGGAUUCACUGCCCGGCUCCACUGCCCGAAGACCCAACAAUUCCACUUCUGACGAAGAUGCUGAUUUUGGCGCCCUAUCAAGCACCAGAGAAGAAGGCCAAGGGGACCAGAGGUGACCCCCGUCAUAAGGGUGCUUCAGACGUGACGUCCGGAGACGCCGAGACUCAUUCCUCAGCCGCCGAGGAUGACGAGGAAGUGGAGGAAGAAGAAAUCCAUGCCCCCCUGAUACGUCCAUUUUGCAUCAUGCUUUUAUAUCGAUAUUUAUUGUAUUAUGGGCUGUUGUUACACUUUAUAUCACAAUACUUAUGCCCAUUCUCUCUUAUUUUACAAGGUUUGCAUGAAGAGGGGGAAUGCCGGCAACUGGGAUUCUGGGCUGGAAAAGGAGAAAAUAUUAGAGACCUAUUCUGCACAACUCCAAAAGUUCUGAAACUCCACGAAAGUCAUUUUUGGAAUUAAUAAAAAAUACUAGCGAAAGAAUCAACGCCAGGGCGCCCACAGCCUGUCCACGAGGGUGGGGGGCGCGGCCCCCCUGGGGCGCGCCCCCUGCCUCGUGGGCCCCCUGGCAGCCCUCCGGUGGCCAUCUUGUGCUAUAUGAAGUCUUUUACCCUGGAAAAAAAUCAUAAGCAAGCUUAUGGGACGAAACUCCGCCGCCACGAGGCGGAACCUUGGCGGAACCAAUCUAGGGCUUCGGUCGAGCUGUUCUGCCAGGGAAACUUCCCUCCGGGAGGGGAAAAUCAUCACCAUCGAUCCUCUCAUCGGAAGGGGGUCAAUCUCCAUCAACAUCUUCACCAGCACCAUCUCCUCUCAAACCCUAGUUCAUCUCUUGUAUGAAAUAUUUGUACCAAAACCUCAUAUUGGUACCUGAGGGUUGCUAGUAGUGUUGAUUACUCCUUGUAGUUGAUGCUAGUUGGUUUAUUCGGUGGAAGAUCAUAUAUUCAAAUCCUUAAUGCAUAUCAAUACCCCUCUGAUUAUGAACAUGAAUAUGAUUUGUGAGUAGUUACGUUUGUUCCCGAGGACAUGGGAGAAGUCUUGCUAUAAGUAGUCAUGUGAAUUUGGUAUUCGCUCAAUAUUUUGAUGAGAUGUAUGUUGUCUCUCCUCUAGUGGUGUUAUAUGAACGUCGACUACACAACACUUCACCAUUGUUUGAACCUAGAGGAAGGCAUUGGGAAGUAAUAAGUAGAUGAUGGGUUGCUAGAGUGACAGAAGCUUAAACCCUAGUUUAUGUGUUGCUUCGUAAGGGGAUGAUUUGGAUCCAUAUGUUUCAUGCUAUGGUUAGGUUUACCUUAAUACUUCUUUUGUAGUUGCGGAUGCUUGCAAUAGGGGUUAAUCAUAAGUGAGAUGCUUGUCCAAGAAAGGGCAGUACCCAAGCACCGGUCCACCAACAUACCAAAUUAUCAAAGUAACGAACGCGAAUCAUAUGAGCGUGAUGAAAACUAGCUUGACGAUAAUACCCAUGUGUUCUCGGGAGAGCUUUUAUCAUAUAAGAACUUGUCCAGGCUUGUACUUUGCUACAAAAAGGAUUGGGCCAUCUUUCUGCACCUUAUUUACUUUCAUUGCUUGUUACCCAUUACAAAUUACCUUAUCACAAAACUAUCUAUUACCGAUAAUUUCAGUGCUUGCAGAGAAUACCUUACUGAAAACCGCUUGUCAUUUCCUUCUGCUCCUCUUUGGGUUCGACACUCUUACUUAUCUAAAGGACUACGAUAGAUCCCAUAAACUUGUGGGUAAUCAAGUCUCUUUACUGGUGCCGUUGCCGGGGAGCGCAUCGCUUUUGGUAAGUGGAACUUGGUAAGGAAAAAUUUAUAUAGUGUGCUGAAAUUUACUGUCACUUGUUACUAUGGAAAAUAAUCCUUUGAGGGGCUUGUUCUGGGUAUCUUCACCCCGACCAGUAGAGCAAAGAGUUGAUCCUCAACCUACUGAAAAUCUUUACUUUGAAAUUCCUACAGGUAUGGUAGAGAAACUGCUAGCUAAUCCUUUUACAGGAGAUGGAACAUUGCAUCCCGACUUGCACCUAAUCUAUGUGGAUGAAGUUUGUGGAUUAUUUAAGUUUGCAGGUAUGCCCGAAGAUGUUAUCAAGAAGAAGGUCUUCCCUUUAUCUUUGAAGGGAGAGGCAUUGACAUGGUUUAGGCUAUGUGAUGAAAUGGGAUCAUGGAACUACAACCGAUUGAAAUUGGAAUUUCAUCAGAAGUUUUAUCCUAUGCUUCUUGUUCAUCGUGAUCGUAAUUACAUAUAUAAUUUUUGGCCCCACUAAGGAGAAAGCAUUGCUCAAGCUUGGGGGAGGCUUUAGUAAAUGUUAUAUUCAUGCCCUAAUCAUGAGCUCUCAAGAGAAAUGAUUAUUCAAAACUUUUAUGCUUGGCUUUCUCUCAACAAUCGCUCCAUGCUCGAUACUUAUUGUGUUGGGUCUUUUAUGAUGGAGACUAUUGAAUUCAAAUGGGAUUUAUUGGAAAGAAUUUAACGCAACUCUGAAGAUUUGGAUUUCAACAAAGGUAAGGAGUUAGGUAUGACACCCAAGUUUGGUUGUGUUAAAUGUUUUAUGGAUACCAAUGUCUUCCGUGAAUUUAGCACUAAAUAUGGACUUGACUCUGAGAUAGUAGCUUCUUUCUAUGAAUCAUUUGCUACUCAUGUUGACCUCCCUAAGGAGAAAUGGUUUAAAUAUAAUCCUCCUACUGAAGUAAAAGUAGUUGCACCUAUUAAAGUUGAAGAAAAGACUAUCACUUAUAAUGAUCCUAUUGUCCCUACUACUUAUAUUGAGAAACCACCUUUCCCUGUUAGGAUAAAAGAUCAUGCUAAAGCUUAAACUGUGGUUCGUAAGAGUAAUACUAAAACACCUACACCACCUGAGCAAAUUAAAGUUGAACCUAGCAUUUGUAUGGUUAAAGAUCUCUUGGCUGAUAAUAUUGAUGGGCAUGUUAUUUACUUCUGUGAUGAAGCUGCUAGAAUUGCUAGACCAGAUUCUAAGAAUAAACAUAGACCUGUUGUAGGCAUGCCUGUUAUUUUUGUUAAAAUAGGAGAUCAUUGUUAUCACGGCUUAUGUGAUAUGGGUGCUAGUGCUAGUGCAAUACCUUAUUCCUUGUAUACAGAAAUUAUGCAUGAUAUUGCACCUGCUGGGAUAGAAGAAAUAGAUGUCACAAUUAAGCUUGCCAAUAGAGAUACUAUAUCACCAGUUGGGAUUGUUAGAGAUGUUGAAGUCUAGUGUGGGAAAGUUAAAUAUCCUGCUUAUUUUCUUGUUCUUGGUUCCCCACAAGAUAGCUUUUGUCCCAUUAUAUUUGGUAGACCCUUCUUGAGUACUGUUAAUGCUAAGAUAGAUUGCGAAAAGGAUAUUGUUAGAAUUGGUUUGGAUGAUAUGACUCAUGAGUUUAAUUUUGCUAAAUUUUGUAGACAACCCCAUGAUAAAGAACUGCCUAGUAAGGAUGCAAUUAUUGGUCUUGCUUCUAUUGCCGUGCCUCCUAAUGAUCCUUUAGAACAAUACUUGCUAGACCAUGAAAAUGAUAUGUUCAUGAAUGAAAGAAGGGAAAUAGAUGAAGUAUUCUUUAAACAGGGACCAAUUUUAAAACACAACUUGCCAGUUGAAAUUAUAGGGGAUCCUCCUCCACCCAAGGGUGAUCCCGUGUUUGAGCUCAAACCAUUACCUAAUACUCUUAAAUAUGCUUAUCUUGAUGAAAAGAAGAUAUAUCCUGUUAUUAUUAGUGCUAACCUUUUAGAGUAGGAAGAGGAGAGAUUAGUGAAAACUCUGAAGAAGCACCGUGCUGCUAUUGGAUAUACUCUUGAUGAUCUUAAGGGUAUUAGUCCCACUCUACGUCAACACAAAAUAAAAUUGGAGGAAUACACCAAACCCGUUAUUGAUCACCAACGAUGAUUAAAUCUUAAGAUGAAGGAAGUGGUAAGAAAGGAAUUACUAAUGCUCCUAGAGGCAGGUAUAAUUUAUCUCGUUGCUGAUAGUAAGUGAAGAUGCGAAGACACUAGUCUUGUCUUGAAUUGGGAAAAGUGCCACUUUAUGGUAAAUGAAGGCAUUGUUUUGGGACACAAAAUUUCUGAGAGAGGUAUUGAAGUUGAUAAAGCUAAAGUUGAUUCUAUUGAAAAGAUGUCGUGUCCCAAGGACAUUCCUUGGUCAUGCUGGUUUUUAUAGGAGGUUCAUUAAGGACUUUUCUAAAAUCUCUAGGCCUCUGAUCAAUCUAUUACAAAAAGAUAUUCCUUUUGUCUUUGAUGAUGAUUGUGUGGAAGCAUUUGAAAUACUUAAGAAAGCUUUGGUUUCUGCACCUAUUGUUCAGCCACCUGAUUGGAAUUUACCCUUUGAAAUUAUGUGUGAUGCUAGUGAUUAUGCCAUAGGUGCUGUUCUAGGACAAAGAGUUGAUAAGAAACUAAAUGGUAUUCAAUAUGCUAGUAAAACUCUAGACAAUGCUCAGAAAAAUUAUGCUACUACUGAAAAGAAUUUUUAGCAGUUGUAUUUGCUUGUGAUAAGUUUAGACCUUAUAUUGUUGAUUCUAAAGUGACUAUUCACACUCAUCAUGCUGAUAUUAAAUAUCUUAUGGAAAAGAAAGAUGCUAAACCUAGACUUAUGAUAUGGGUUCUCUUUCUACAAGAAUUUGAUUUACAUAUUGUUGAUAGAAAGGAAGCUGAGAACCCCAUUGCAGACAACUUGUCUAGGUUAGAAUAUUCUUGAUGACCCACUACCUAUUGAUGAUAGCUUUCCUGAUGAACAAUUAGCUGUCAUAAAUGCUUCCUGUACUGCUCCAUGGUAUGCUGAUUAUGCUAAUUAUAUUGUUGCUAAAUUCAUACCACCUAGUUUCACAUAUCAGCAAAAGAAAAAGUUUUUCUAUGAUUUAAGACAUUACUUCUGGGAUGACCCGCACUUUUAUAAAGGAGUAAAUGGUGUUAUUAGACGUUAUGUACCUGAGCAUGGACAUGAACAGAUCCUACGCAAGUGUUACUCCGAGGUAUAUGGAGGACACCACGCUGGAGAUAUAACUGCACAUAAGGUAUUGCAAUUUGGUUUUUAUUGGCCUACUCUCUUUAAGGACGCCCGUAAGUUUGUCCUGUCUUGUGAUGAAUGUCAAAGAAUUGGUAACAUUAGUAGACGUCAAGAAAUGCCUAUGAAUUAUUCUCUUGUUAUUGAACCAUUUGAUGUUUGGGGCUUUGAUUAUAUGGGACCAUUUCCUCCCUCUAAUGGGUAUACACACAUUUUAGUUGUUGUUGAUUACGUUACUAAGUGGGUAGAAGCUAUUCCAACUAGUAGUGCUGAUCAUAACACCUCUAUUAAGAUGCUUAAAGAAGUUAUUUUCCAAGGUUUGGAGUCCCUAGAUACUUAAUGACUGAUGGUGGUUCACAUUUUAUUCAUGGUGCUUUUCGUAAAAUGAUUGCUAAGUAUGAUGUUAAUCAUAGAAUUGCAUCUCCUUAUCACCCACAGUCUAGUGGCCAAGUAGAGCUGAGUAACAGAGAGCUUAAAUUAAUUUUGCAAAAUACUAUUAAUAGAUCUAGAAAUAAUUGGUCCAAGAAACUUGAUGAUGCAUUAUGGGCUUACAGAACUGCAUAUAAGAAUCCUAUGGGUAUGUCUCCAUAUAAAAUGGUUUACGGAAAAACAUGUCACUUACCUCUUGAACUAGAACAUAAGGCAUAUUGGGCUAUUAAAGAGCUCAAUUAUGAUUUUCAACUUGUCGGUGAGAAGAGGUUAUUUGACAUUACCUCACUUGAUGAAUGGAGAACUCAAGCCUAUGAGAAUGCCAAACUAUUUAAGGAAAAAGUUAAAAUAUGGCAUGACAAAAGGAUACACAAGCGUGAGUUUAAUAUAGGUGAUUAUGUGUUGCUUUUCAACUCUCUUGAAGAUUUUUUGCAGGAAAACUUCUCUUUAAAUGGGAAGGCCCUUACGUUAUCGAGGAAGUCUAUCGUUCUGGUGCCAUAAAAAUCAACAAUUUCAAAGGCACGAAUCAAAAGGUGGUGAAUGGCCAAAGAAUCAAACAUUAUAUCUCAGGUAAUCCAAUAAAUGUUGGAACUAAUGUUAUUGAAACCGUAACCCUGGAGGAAUACAUAAGGGACACUUUCCAGAAUGUUCUAGACUCUGAAAAGGAAUAGGUACGUGGUACGGUAAGUAAACCGACUUCAAAACAGUUCUAACAACAAUUUUUCUCCAUUUUGGAAUAUUUAAGAAAAUCGGAAAAUAAGAAGUAGUCCGGGAAGGACACUAGGCAUCCACGAGGGUGGAGGGCACACCCUACCCCCUGGGCGCGCCCCCUGCCUCGUGGGCACCUUGUAUGCCCUCUAGACUCCGUUUUCUUGCACGAUACUUCUUUUGGUUGGUAAGAAUUCAUUAUAUAAUCUCCCAAAGGUUUUGACCAUCGUAUCACGCAAAUAUCCUCUAUCUUUGUUUCGAGCCGUUUUCUAUCAGAUUUGUCAAGGCUAGGCAUCAUGUCGUCACCCUUCUCCAACAAUGAGGGCAAUGAUGCUUGGCUGAUGAAGAUGGAGCUGAAGAGGGAAGGACCCAGAGAGACCAACAAGGAGGAUAGGAUCAAGAUGAUUAUGGAGGAUCAAGCUCCGACGGAAGUAGAAGAAGACAUCCAACCUCUUCCCGACCUCUUUACCCCAACUGAGAUUGAAGCUUUCAAGAUGAUUGAGUUAGCUCGCAUAUAAAACAAGUAUCUCACACGUGAAAAUAUUUUGUUGAAGGAUCAUAUCAUCGCACUCAAGGGCAUUAUCCGCAAACUGGAAGAGCUCCUACGCUCGAUGUGCGACUAUCCAUCCUCAUCACCACCCUCUUCACCAGCAAAGGAGACAUAAUCACAUGGGUAUGGGCAAUCCCCUUGGCAACUGCCAAGCUUGAGGGAGGUGCCCCGGUAUCGUAUCACCAUCACACUCCUAUCUUUACCAUUUCAGUUAGUUCGAUCUGUUUAGAAAUAUCUUGAUCUAGUAGAAUAAAGCUUUGGUAUGAUUUAGUUUUGAGUUUUGCUUUAUGAUUCCUCUAUGUAAUCGAGUCCGUGAGCUAUAUAUAAUAAAGAUUAGUGUUGAGUCAAGGGCUUUGCUGUUUUGCUAUGAUCUUGAGGGAAUUAGAAGAAAAAGAAAUAGUAAAACGAAAUAAAGAGAUCAUAUUGAUCUUAUGAAGAGUGAUGACUUCACAUAUAAAGAGUAGGAUGAAUAAAGUUGUUGGGAGUUGGCAAACAUACUUUUGGUCAUCGUUGCAAUUAAUAGGAAGUGAUAAAGAAAGAGAGGUUCUCACAUAUAAAUACACUAUCUUGGACAUCUUUUAUGAUUGUGAGCACUCAUUAAAAUAUGACAUGCUAAAGAGUUGACGUUGGACAAGGAAGCCAACAUAAUGGGUUAUGUUUUCUGAUAUCCGAAAUAAAUCAUAUUGUCAUGGAUCAUCCAACAUGCUGAGCUUGCCUUUUCCCUCUCAUGCUAGCCAAAUUUCUUGCCACAAGUAGAAUUACUACUUGUGUUUCUGAAUACCCUUAAAACCAGUUUUGCCAUGAGAGUCCACCAUAUCUACCUAUGGAUUGAGUAAGAUCCUUCAAGUAAGUUGUCAUGUUGCAUGCAAUAAAAAUUGCUCUCUAAAUAUGUAUGACUUAUUAGUGUGGAGAAAAUAAGCUUUAUACGAUCUUGCAACAUGGAAGUAAUAAAAGCGACGGACUGCAUAAUAAAGGUCUCUAUCACAAGUGGCAAUAUAAAGUGACGUUCUUUUGCAUUAAGAUUUCAUGCAUCCAACCAUAAAAGCACAUGAUAACCUAUGCUUCCCUUUGCGAAGGGCCUAUCUUUUAUUUUUGUCUAUACAUUAUGUAAGAGUCAUGGUGAUCUUCACCUUUCCUUUUUAUACUUUAUCCUUUGGCAAGCACCUUAUGUUGGAAAGAUCCUAAUAUAUAUAUCCAAUUGGAUGUAAGUUAGCAUGAACUAUUAUUGUUGACAUUACCCUUGAGGUAAAAGGUUGGGAGGCAACACUAUAAGCCCCUAUUUUUCUCUAUGUCCAAUUAAAACUUCAUACCCAUAAGUAUUGCGUGAGUGUUAGCAAUUGUGAAAGACUAAGUGAUAUUUGAGUAUGUGGACUUGCUGAAAAGCUCUUAUAUUGACUCUUUCCGAUGUUAUGAUAAAUUGCAAUUUCUUCAAUGACCAAGAUUAUAGUUUGUUAGUUUUCAAUGAAGUUUAUUAUUCAUACUUGACAUUGUGAAUAGAUUGUUACUUGAGCAUAAGAAAUCAUGUGACAAUAUAUAUAUAUGUUGCUCUUAUAAGAAUGAUCAUGAUGCCCUCAUGUCCGUAUUUUAUUUUAUCGACACGUCUAUCUCUAAGCACGUGAACAUAUUUUUCGAUAUCGGCUUCCGCUUGAGGACAAGCGAGGUCUAAGCUUGGGGGAGUUGAUACGUCCAUUUUGCAUCAUGCUUUAUAUUGAUAUUUAUUGCAUUAUGGGCUGUUGUUUCACUUUAUAUCACAAUACUUCUGCCUAUUCUCUCUUAUUUUACAAGGUUUACAUGAAUAGGGGGAAUGCCGACAACUGGGAUUCUGGGCUGGAAAAUGAGAAAAUAUUAGAGAUCUAUUCUGCACAACUCCAAAAGUCCUGAAACUCCAUGGAAGUCAUUUUUGGAAUUAAUAAAAAAUACUCCAAAAAUACUAGCCAACCCCUGUCCACGAGGGUGGGGGCGCCCCCCGAGGGCGCGCCCCCUACCUCAUGGGCCCUUUGGAAGCCCUCCAGUGGCCAUCUUCUGCUAUAUGAAGUCUUUUGCCCUGGAAAAAAUCAUAAUCAAGCUUACGGGAUGAAAAUCCGCCGCCACAAGGCGGAAUCUUGGCAAAACCAAUCUAGGGCUCUGGUGGAGCUGUUCUGCCGGGGAAACUUCCCUCCGGGAGGGGGAAAUCAUCACCAUCAUCAUCACCAUCGAUCCUCUUGUCAGGAGGGGGUCAAUAUCCAUCAACAUCUUCACCAGCACCAUAUCCUCUCAAACCCUAGUUCAUCUCUUGUAUCCAAUCUUUGUACCAAAACCUCAUAUUGGUACCUGAGGGUUGCUAGUAGUCUUGAUUACUCCUUGUAGUUGAUGCUAGUUGGUUUAUUCAGUGGAAGAUCAUAUGUUCAGAUCCUUAAUGCAUAUCAAUACCCCUCUAAUUAUGAACAUGAAUAUGAUUUGUGAGUAGUUAAAUUUGUUCCUGAGGACAUGGGAGAAGUCUUGCUAUAAGUAGUCAUGUGAAUUUGGUAUUCGUUCGAUAUUUUGAUGAGAUGUAUAUUGUUUCUCCUCUAGUGGUGUUAUGUGAACGUCGACUACAUGACACUUCACCAUUGUUUGGGCCUAGAGGAAGGCAUUGGGAAGUAAUAAGUAGAUGAUGGGUUGCUAGAGUGACAGAAGCUUAAACCCUACUUUAUGCGUUGCUUCGUAAGGGGCUGAUUUGGAUCCAUAUGUUUCAUGCUUUGGUUAGGUUUACCUUAAUACUUCUUUUGUAAUUGCGGAUGCUUGCAAUAGGGGUUAAUCCUAAGUGGGAUGCUUGUCCAAGAAAGGGCAGUACCCAGGCACCGGUCCACCCACAUAACAAAUUAUCAAAGUAACGAACACGAAUCAUAUGAGCGUGAUGAAAACUAGCUUGACGAUAAUUCCCAUGUGUCCUCGGGAGCGCUUUUCUCAUAUAAGAACUUGUCCAGGCUUGUCCUUUGCUAAAAAAAGGAUUGGGACAUCUUGCUGCACCUUAUUUACUUUCAUUGCUUGUUACCCGUUACAAAUUACCUUAUCACAAAGCUAUGUGUUACCGAUAAUUUCAGUGCUUGCAGAGAAUACCUUACUGAAAACCGCUCCUCAUCAAUGGUGAAUUCGCUGGACCCGAGGUGAUGGUUAGCGGGUCCCUUCCGACGGCCUCCUCUCCCAAGGCCGUGGAUGACACCGAGGUGUUGUCCCGAAGGACCCCAUGCCAGGGAGAGACACAUGAGGCCGUCAAGGCUGUGCCAGAGGGUGAAACCUCAGCCCUCGGACAAACGGGGGAGAAUAUCCCCAUGGAUACUGGCAAUGGGGGCCAUAUACAAUUCGGCCCCCAGCUAAAUACAAUUCCGGAGACCUAUACGGCUCCCGAAUCAGGCAAGCAGCCUUUCUCAAAAGAAGGAGGUGCACCUAUUCCACCGGUGACCUCUAUCCACCCAGAGGCACCAGACAAUUUGCUGGAAGCGCUGCAAGGAUCUUCCAUUGUUGCGGAACACCGUACACUUAUGGGUGCGGUGAUUGAGAGGAUUCAGUCUGCGAAGAGCGGGCUGGCCGAAGCCUGCAUAAGCCUUCUAACAGGCUUUGAGGUAAGCAACGCAAUUAUGUAAGAAGAAUGUCACUGUACAGAUAGUAGCUCCUGAGACAUUGUCCGGUGUUCGAAAAGAAAAGCCGGACAGAGGAUCAAACAAGUUUCGCAGGAGAAAAACCAGAUGAGUCAACGUGAACAAGCAAGCGUCAUUACUGGCUGUGACCUCACAUACUGCCGAGGUUUCGGACUGAAGCAGAGUCUGGAGCAGGCCGAGGAAGAGCUCGGCCGUGUGAAGAAGCAGCUAGAAGACAAUCUAGGUAUGCAAUAAUCUUGUCUAUAUUCAAGAAAAAUGAAUGAUUUGUGCUGACUAAAGUGCCAUGAUAUUUUUUUAGGUGCGGCAACCUAGGUGGAAACCCUCAAGAAGGCACUGGCCGAGGCCGAUGAGAGAGCAGCCAAGGAACAAGCCGCCCGUGAAGAGCAUGAGGCCAGGGUCGUUGAGGUCCAGCAGGAGCUCCAGGAUGCCGUGAAGAAAUGUGAGUCCUUGGAGCGCAAUAUUGCGGAUCAAGAAUACGAACUUGCCAAGGCCCGCCAAAGCACACAUGAUGCCCGGGUUGAAGCCCAGGGCGCCCUCCAGGAGGUACAGGAGGCCAGAAAAAUCGCGGCGGGUAAGGCCUUUAUUAUGCAGAGCAAAUAUGUGAAGAAAAGGUUCCUCUUACUAACCCGGAUUUGGAGUUCUCCAGGGGCGUUUGCGGAUCUGCCGCACAGCGUUUUAGAUGCUGCGGAGUUCUUCCCAGCCGAAGAGGGGAGCUCUACGGAGAAGCUGUUUUGGUCACAAUACCUUGCGCCAGAACAUCCGAUGCCCUUUAGUGAUCAGCUAAAACAGCUGGCCAUACUGCAUAGGGUGGCCAAACUAGCCAUGAAGGAUUUAAUAAUUUGGCAAUGGCCUGCUGAAGCCAUACCCAGCAGUUACUUCGGGCUCGUGAAGCGGCUGGUCAAAGCCUGCCCUCGGCUUGAUGCAAUCAAGCGGUCGGUCUGCAUCGAAGGCGCGCGAAUGGCCUUCGCCCGAGUCAAGAUACAGUGGGCAAAGAUGGACGGCGUGAAGCUUGUGACCGAGGGACCGCCCGUGGGCAAGGAACACAGCACACCCGAGCGGUAUUUUGAAGAUGUCCUGAAGGGAUCCAGCAUUGUAGCAGACCAAUGUAUGAAGGAUAUUAUCUUUGAAUGAAUACAUUCAUGUUAUCCUGUCUUGUACUAUGAAAUAGAAUCGUUAUGUAAUAUAAUGCCUGUUAUUUAAAAUUUUACCUCCUGUGCGGCUGUUUUAUUAAAUCUGAGAGUUGGCCAGUCGUCGGCUUCCGCCCCCACGUAGGAAGUACGAGGGUGUUAAGGAUGAAUCUAAACACUCUUUACUCUAGAGUUUGGUCCUUGAAGGAGGUGUUUAGCACCACGAACCAGGCCAUCAGACUAUGUGGCUUUAUCACCCUCACUUAGCCAUAGGAGUUUAACAAUAAAAAAAUUAGGUGCAACCCCUAGUAUUCGUAAAUCCGAACUUGAGGUACUGUAAACACCUGAUCAGAUAAAAACCGACUCAUCGCAUAAUGCGGAAAAAAUCGCAAAUGAUUUGGAACCUCUCGAACAUCCAGCUCACGCGGCAUCAUGACAGUCACUUUUCGGCUUUCUCUACUGAGGUGCUCAUCCGGAUGAACCAGGACACAAUCACAGUAGUUCUCCCUUUACUAUCGUAGCCGAUAUAACGGAACGUAAGGUAGUAAGCACAGGAGCCGGGCAACCCAAAUAUUGACCAAAGACAUGAUUCGGAGCCGAUGCAUAUAAUGCUACAAUUCGGGGUGCCGAACUAUAUUGUAAAAUUGUUCGGACUUUGUUGCCGUAUUAUGGGGCGUAAUGAAGCCCCCGGUGAAUUAAUGCGUACCAGAUUGUACGGGUGCAAUUGAUAAGAAUAAAAAAUUUAAAUGAAAUAGCAAGGUAAUGCCACAUAAAUUGGGCCGCAAAAUAUUUUUAUUGUAAUUUGAUUUAAGACGUCGAAGCGUAUUUAUACAAAUAGUGCGAUAACCUGCCAAGACCAGGGGGAGCUGUGUGCGAUUCCCAAAGACAGGUAGAUCAUUGAGAAGAACAUCUAGAGAUUCCCUCACGUGUCCAUACUGCUUCCUGCCUUGGUAUAUCCAUCCCCUGAUGGGUCUGACAAUCAGGCCACCAGGAAAAGCCUGGCAAAAGAGAAUCCUGAAAAUAAAAAAUAAAAGGUGAAGGUAUGCUGGUCCAGGGGAGGUUGAGCCGUAUUGUGGACCACGAUCUAGCUGUGCCUCCGUCUAUGCCCAUGGUAUUUUAAGUGCGUAGUUAUGUAUGCGUUGUACGUACGCUACCAUUUGGUCGGGAUUGAGACGGAGGCCAAAUUGCUAGUCAAGCUCUUGACGAGCUGGACCGUCCUGCUGCAGAGUAGUCCGGACUCGUUUGACGAUGUCCGGGAGCCUGGGCGCCGAAUUAAAGUUGUGCUUGAAAAGGCCGCUCUGUGCUUCUGCUGCGAGGGCAGUGGUGUGCUGCUUGGUACGGAGGGAGCGUUCCGUGUUUCCAUUGACUGUUAUGACACCUCGCGGUCCGGGCAUCUUGAACUUGAGAUAAGCGUAGUGUGGCACCGCAUUGAAUCGACCGAAUGCGGUUCGUUCGAGCAGUGCGUGUUAGCCACUGCGGAAGGGGACGAUAUCAAAGAUCAACUCUUCGCUUUGGAAGUUGUCCGAGGAUCCGAAGACCACCUCCAGUGUGAUUGAGCCCGUACAGCGGGCCUCUACACCUGGUAUGACCCCUUUAAAGGUGGUUUUGGUGGGCUUGAUCCUUGAGGGAUCAAUACCCAUUUUGCGCUCUGUAUCCUGAUAAAGCAGGUCCAGGCUGCUGCCAUCGUCCAUGAGGACUCGCAUAAGAUGGAAUCCAUCAAUGAUUGGGUCGAGGACCAGUGCGGCCGAACCGCCAUGAUGGAUACUGGUCGGAUGGUCCCUGCGAUCGAAGGUGAUCGGACAGGACGACCAUGGGUUGAACUUUGGGGCGACUGGCUCUAUCGCGUAGAUGUCCCUGAGCGCACGCUUGCGCACCCUCUUGGGGAUAUGAGUAGUGUAUAUCAUGUUCACCAUUUUAACUUGGGGGGAAACUUCUUCUGUCCCCCAGUGUUCGGUGGCCGGGGCUCCUCGUCAUCAUCCUCUCUUUGCGACCCCUUUUCCUUGUUCUCGGUGUUUAAAUUGCCGGCCUGUUUAAAAACCCAACGUUCUCUAUUGGUAUGAUUGGCUGGUUUAUCAGGAGUGCCGUGGAUUUGACAUGGACGAUCGAGUAUGCGGUCCAAGCUGGACGAGCCUGGAUUGUUUCUCUUAUAUGGCUUCUUCCGCUGACCGGACUUAGAGCCACUGAAUCCGGCGUUGACCGCCGUGUCUUAGGUGCUGUCACCGUUGCUUCGACGCUUGUGUCUGUUGCGUCGGGGUUUGCCGUUGCUGUUUCUGGCUUCAGAAGUGACAUGUUCGCUUGAAUUGUUAUUGCUACGGGCUAGCCGACUAUCCUCACCCGCGCAGAAGAGGGUCAUAAGCGUCAUGAGGGCUGGCAUAGGCUUCGGCUUUUCUUGGCCGAGGUGUUGGGCGAGCCAUUCAUCGCGGGUGCUAUGUUUAAAGGCUGCUAGGGCUUCGGCAUCCAGGCAAUCGACGAUUUGGUUCUUUUUAGUUAAGAACCUAGUCUAGAAUUUCCUGGCUGACUCUCCGGGCUGUUGAACUAUGUGACUUAAGUCGUCGGCAUCUGGAGGUCGGACAUAUGUACCCUGGAAGUUGUCUAGGAAGGUGACUUCCAAGUCUUCCCAGCCGCCAAUUGAGUUUUCUGGCAAACUGUUUAACCAGUGCCGAGCAGGUCCCUUGAUUUUUAGUGGGAGGUAUUUGAUGGCGUGAAGGUCAUCACUGCAAGCCAUAUGAAUAUGGAGGAGAAAAAUCCUCGAUCCAUAUCGCGGGGUCUGUUGUCCCAUCAUAUGAUUCGAUGUUUACGGGUUUAAACCCUUCCGGGAACUCAUGUUCCAUUACUUCAUCAGUGAGGCAGAGGGGGUGUGCGGCGCCUCUAUAUCGGGCCAAGUCAUGACGUAGCUCAGAUGGAGUUUGUCUGUGGUUUUCGGCCCGGGCGUGGCUAUGUUUGUCACGUCCGGCCGGAUGCCAUCAUCGCGCAUCAAGGCACGCCCCCGUGAUCAAUAGAUUGAUCUGGUCUGACCUGCUUUGUUUUCCAGGUCAUGUCGCGGGUCAUAUGUAUAUCCCCGAGCUGUUGUGUUUUUGUUGUUUCGGCGAGAUAGUGCGGGCUGGUGUUCAGCUUGAGUUGCCACUUUAUCUCUGCCACGUGGUGGUCAGUCAGCCGCAUUAUGCGCUGGUAGGAUGGGCUCCAUUGCCUCGUCAUCAAAUUGGGGUAAUAAUUUGUGCUUAGGUAACUUUUGGUUGGGCGCUUGAGGUCGUAUUCCUUGGUUACCAGGACAUUAGUCCAUCUGUCAUUGAGUAUAUUUUGAUCAGCUUGAAGCUGAUGCUGCUUCUUCUUCAGGCUUCUUAUAGUGGCUAUUAGCUGGCGCUGAAAGCGCUCCUGCUCGACGGGCUCCUCAGGCACGAUAAAGUCUUCGUUGCCGAGGCUUGCCUCAUCCUUGGAGUGUGGAAGAUAAUUACUGUCCUCCGAGUCUUUGGUAAUGGCCUGUUCAUUAGGGCUGACUCGCCCAUCCUCCCGUUCAUCUUGUUUGGCAGUUGGUUCAACGGGGUCUUCAUUGUCUUCGGCAUCGUCGAGAGUAUGAUUUUCUCCUGUGCCGGUAUUGAUGUUUUUUCCACGGCAUGGUCUAGAGCGGCACCGCCGACGAUGGCGAUUUGGCUGUGUCUCAGGAGGCUUAUCCUCGACUGGAUCUUUUUUAUUGUUGCCAUUGUUCUCUUUGGGUGUAUCCACCAUGUAUACGUCAUAUGAGGAGGUGGCUGUCCAGCACCCUGUAAGCGGUGGUUGUUGUGCCUGCUCCUCUCCGGCAUCGUCGUCCAUACCGUUGAUGUCUUCGGAGUCGAAAUCGAGCAUGUCGGUUAAGUCCUCGAUAGUGGCUAUGAAGUGGGUGGUGGGUGGGAAGCGGAAUUCUCCGCCAUCAGCUUCCAAUCCAAAAUGGAUAUAGUUCGGCUGAGAGUCCCCUAAUAAGGAGAGGUUUUUUAAUGAGUUCAGCACAUCACCUAAAGGUGAGUGCCGAAAGAUGUUGGCGGAGCUGAACUCAACAAUCAGGUUCGACGGGCGCGGAUACACGUGGUUCGGAACCUAUGGCCGGAGACAAAUCCGAGGUUCCUAUGACACAGGCCUCGCUCGAGGUCGGAUUUGUGUGCGGCUCUAACGCCGCUGAGUAUGCGGCUUCCACGGUGGGGUUGAGCUUCCUGUCCUCGGAUGGCGCAAUCCGCUCCGGAUCCAGGGCCAGAGCAGUUACAUGCACUAUCUCCUGGGCAUGGUCCGAUGAAAGAUUUAGGUCAUAUUCAUCGUAGUGGCAGGGACCGGCUGUCAUGGUCUCGAAUCCGUUGAAGAUCAAGUCUCCGCGGAUAUCGACAACGUAAUUCAGGCUUCCAAACCUGACCUGAUGGCCAGGGGCGUAGCUGUCGAUCUGCUUUAGAUGGCCAAGCGAGUUGGCCCGCAGUGCGAAGCCGCAAAAUACGAAGAUCUAUCCGGGGAGGAAAACCUCCCCCUGGAGUGCAUUGUUCUGGAUGUUUGAUAGAGCCAUCAAUCCUGUCUUGGACGUCACAGCGGAACUCUCAAUGAAAGCACCAAUGUCGGUGUCAAAACCGGCGGAUCUCGGGUAGGGGGUCCCGAACUAUGCAUGAAAGGUUGAUGGUAACAGGAGGUGGGGGACACGAUGUUUACCCAGGUUUAGGCCCUCUCUAUGGAGGUAAUACCCUACUUCCUGCUUGAAUGAUCUUGAUGAAUAUGAGUAUUACAAGAGUUGAUCUACCACGAGAUCGUAAUGGCUAAAACCCAAGAAGUCUAGCCUGUAUGAUUAUGAUUGUGAUUGCCUCUACAGACUAAGCCCUCCGGUUUAAAUAAACACCGAAGGGGACUAGGGUUGUACAAAGUCAGUUACAGAGAAAGGAAUCUUCAUAUCCGGUCGCCAAGCUUGCCUUCCACGCCAUGGAGACUCCCAUCCGGACACGGGAGAGAGUCUUCGCUCUUGUAUCUUCAUAGCCCAAUAGUCUGGCCCAUGCUACAUAGUCCGGCCGUCCGAGGACCCCUUAAUCCAGGACUCCCUCAAUAAUGAGUGGGGCUGUACACGCCCCAGAGUCUCCUGAGUGCCGCCUUGGGCCCUCACGGGGGCUCCCUCCCAUGUCCUAGUGGCAGGACUUAACUCCGCGCUGGUGAGAAGACUAUACUAGGUGCCGGACACGGCUGUUCAGUUGCUUGCUUUCCGUAGUUGUUUUGCAAUCUUUUAAUGGAAUUCAGAGUUUUCGCAUUUUGGUUCGCCAAGUUGGAUUUUCUCUCCUCUCGUUUCGCUCAUUCUUCGCCUGGGCCAGGAAAGGGAGAUAGUUGCUUGACGCUCUUCCUUGCGCGCCCCACGCGUGGGGGCUAGGCAGGUGUGUGCAUGGGUCCACCCUCGCACAAGCACACCUCGCCGAACCCUGUUGCCCUAGUGCUUUCUAAUCCUCGCGAGACGCCCUCGAUCGAGCUUGUGCGCAUCAGCGCCCUCUCCUGUCUGUGCCCGUCGGGCAGCGUGAUGUGGUGCAUUAAGCCACAACUAAACCUAUGGCAGGGGCCUCGCACAAAUAAGAAUGAGGUGCCCCGUUAAGGUUUCUUUUCCUUUAAACAGCUCUGCAGCAGCUCUACGGCAUCUACCUGGCCCCCUACCUGGCCCCCUGAGUCAUCAGACCUACAAUACCUUCCGAGAUCAGUAGCCCCCUACCUGGCCCCCGAGUCAUCAGGAAGGGGGGCUCCGCCAGGCAUCAAGGGCCGCGCCCCCGUGAGGUGGGAAGCUACCGCAAGCAUGUCAAGCUAAGUUACCCUACCCGUGCCUAUCCAGAAUACAAAUAUCACGGCACAACAUUAAGAUAAUAAGCAUAGUAUAAAGGGCAUAACUGCCAUAGUUCAUUACACACCCCGGCGGGGCACCCUACUUUUUUCAAACUCUAGAAGAAAGGAAAGGUUAAAAAAAAGUGGCCUGCAAGGCCGCAGCGGUCCUGAAGCCAAGCUCGGCAGCCCCAAGCUUAGAUCAUGCCUCCCUCUUGCUUCACUGGGGCGCCGCGGCGAGACGAUCCACCACCUUACUUGAUGCAAGCUCGGCGGCGCGGAGGAUGGUUAAAGCCGCCGCUGCUGGAGCUCCCGCCCGAAGAAGAGCUGCCGUCGCGGGAGGAAGUGUGGACGUCAUCAAGGCCAAGCUCACCCUCGUCGCCGGCGCGACCGAAGUCAAGGCCAAGCUCAUCGUCGCGGCAGCCAUCUUCUGGGCAGCACCCCACAUGGCGGCCGUCUUCCCCGAACACCCUCACGAAGAGGGUCGCAAGUCCAUCGUACUUGAAGUGGAGGGUGCACCUCCCGCUCAGGCCUCACGCGCGGGCAAAUGCCUGCCAGCCAUGGGCCAGGACCACGCUGCUCGCAGCAGUAACAUUGAUCCCAACCCACGAGGCCCUGCUGUCAGUGUCAAAACCGGCGGAUCUCGGGUAGGGCUCCCGAUCUGUGCGUCUUAGGCUGAUGGUAACAAGAAGCAAGGGACACAAUGUUUACCCAGGUUCGGGCCCUCUCGAUGGAGGUAAAACCCUACUUCCUGCUUGAUUAAUAUUGAAGAUGUGUCGAAUACAAGAGUAGAUCUACCACGAGAUCGUAGAGGCUAAACCCUAAGAGCUAGCCUACGAUGGUAUGAUUGUAAUUGUGAUCGGCCUUCUAAGGACCAUCCUCUCCGGUUUAUAUAGACACCGGAGAGCUAGGGUUUACAUGGAGUCAGUUACAAGGAAGGAAACAUAAUAUCCAGAUUGCUAAGCUUGUCUUCCACGCAAAGGAGAGUCCCAUCCGGACACGAGCCGAAGUCUUGAGUCUUGUAUCUUGACGCUUCUAUAGUCCGGACGAUGAAUAUAGUCCGGCGGUCCGGAUACCCCCUUAUCCAGGACUCCCUCAGUAGCCCCUGAACCAGGCUUCAAUGACGAUGAGUCCGGCGCGCAGUCUUGUCUUCGGCAUUGCAAGGCGGGUUCCUCCUCCGAAUACUCCAAGGUUAUUAUUGAACACAUAGACCAUGUCCGGAUCUACAAAAUGACCUUCACAUACCAUCGUAGAGGGAAUGAUACUCCAACUGACAAUUUUUAGACGACGUGACAUGCCAUUAGGGCCAAGUCAUUGCUCGAACCGUUUUUUCCACAACUAGCCAUAGCAUAUUGCGAGGCAGUUUCCUGAGCACGUCUUGUCGAAGCCAAGAUCAUGUCCCCUUAUCACGGGAUUCUCAUAAAUGCGGGUAUGGGUAACCCAACCAUACCGCUAAUCACGGCAAGCGGUAGGCGAGCAGUCUCCACCAGGCAAGUGGGGAGGUACAAAAAAGCUCUUACCUUCUCUUAUAAAGAGAUAGGGCAUCUUCCUCUUUUACCCAUGCCUUCUCCUUCCGCUAACUCACUUCCCUCUGCUCGAGCCCUAACGCCCGAGCGCCUUUCUUUUCCAUCAAAGAGAGGGUUUCCAAAGAUGUCCGGGUCUGGAGCAGGAGGCAAAUGGAUGGCCUCUACCAUCCGAGAGAAGGAUAUCAAGAAGCUCCGGGAAGCCGGGUAUCUGGCCAAGGAGAUUGGCCACCGUCUCCCACCAGCGGGACAGGUUGUCCCUACUCCGGAGCCCCACGAGAGAGUCAUGUUCCUUCCCCAUUUUGUCCGCGGGCUCGGGUUUCCCCUCCACCCAUUUGUACGUGGAGUCAUGUAUUACUAUGGGGUUGAUUUUCAUGAUCUUUUCCCCAACUCUUUUCUCAAUAUCUCGACGUUCAUCGUCGCAUGUGAGGCCUUCCUCCGGAUUCCACCUCACUUUGGCCUGUGGUUGAAGAUUUUCAAUGUGAAGCCCAAGGUGGUGAGUGGCGAACACGCCGAGUGCGGCGGCGCCAUGGUGAGAAAGAUGCCCAAGGUCGUUUGGCCGAAGGGCACUUUUAAUGACUCCGUCAAGGAAUGGCACCAGCAGUGGUUUUAUAUCACCGAACCACGCGGCGAAGAAUGGGCAGCAGCUCCUGAGUUCAGAUCCGGAGCUCCAUUGCGGCUUACGUCCUGGCCCAAGAAGGGCCCAAACUGGUGCUCGUCCGAUGAGCUGUCACUGCUCCUAACGCGUGUUCGGAACAUGGUCGACAAGGACGUCAAGCUUGUUGACGUGGUCCAGGAGAUGCUAGUUCGCCUGGUUCUCCCUUGCCAGCGUCAAGCCUAUACUUUAUGGGAAUUCGACCCAUCCGAGCACCAAACCCUCCGGGAGCUCCAUGAUUCCUCCCAUGAGGAUAUCUGGAAGGUGCUCUUUAAGUCCAGCAAAUCAUGGACGGACUCUUCUGAGGACCGGGGGUAUCAAUUAUCCCAUUCUGCAUGCCCGGUAAGUUAUAGCCACUCCCCGUCCGUCCAGGCUUCAGCUGGCGUAUCAUGAGGGGGGCAUUAUAAUCGUGCUUCAUUGUGGCUUUAGGGAUGGAUAAAAAGAGUGGAGCAGAUACAAUGUCUGGCCCCACUGCCGGAGGAACCGGCCGGACCUCUUCUGACGAAGAUGCUGGUCCCUGCACCUUACAAAGCGCCCAAGAAGGAGGCCCCCAAGCAGGUCAAGAAGACCUGGAGUGGACUCCGUCGUCGCGAGGCUCUGGACACCCGGUCUGAAGGCUCUAGCGACGCUCCUUCUUCCGAAGACGAAGAGGAGGGGGCAGAGGAGGUCGAGCCUCACUCUGCAGGCAGGAGGAAGCGUGAAGCUUCCCCAACCCUGGAGGCUGAAUCUCCCAAGAGAGGGCGAGGUUCCUCUCCAGAGGCAUCCACCCUGGCUGCCGAUGACAGCCCAGAGUGGGAUCCCGAGGCCCAGCUCCUGGGAAAAUCAUAAGUAACCGAAAUCUGAAUACGCCUAUGUAUCCAGGGUCGUCUGGGCAUAGUAGUUUUAACUGUCGCCACAUUUGAUACAGCCCGGUGGGGUCUCCUGUCGGACAGUCCUCAUCGGAGGAUUCGUUGAGCUCGAAUGCUGUGGCGAACGAGAUGCCUCUGGGGACACCUUUUCUGAAGUCUGGGCACAACACUGAGGUGUCGUCUCAAAGAGGCUCAGAGCCGGAUAAGGUUCUGGAGGCCUCUAAGGCUCCAGGAUCGGGCGAACAACCACCUUCCAUUAGGGGAGGUUUGACCACUCUGCCGGCAACCUCUAUCUACGUAGAGCUGCCGGGUGAUUUAUUGAUAGCAUUAAAGAACGCAUUUGUUGUCGAUGAACAUUGGACCCUUAUGGGUACGGUGGUUGGAAAGAUUCAGGCUACCGAAGCGGGCUGAAUGAGUCCUGUCUUGGCCUUAUAAAGGCCUUUGAGGUAUGGUUUCUAAGGAACCUUUAAAGAAUUAGUAUGAUAUGAGGAGUAUCCCCUGAUACACUGUCCAAAAAAAGAAAACUGGGGAGGGUAUCAAAUCCUCAGUUGUAAUGGGAACUUUUUAAUGUUGUAUACCCAUGUUUUUGAAAACAGGCGUCUGUGGAGAGGACGGCCGCUCAUGAUGCGAAGUGUCCGAGCUAAAAGAGAGCCUCAGACGGGCCGAAGAAGAACUUGGCCGUGUGAAGAAGCAAUUGGAGGAGAGGCAAGGUAUGUUUGGACAUUGUCUUGCGAUGGGCACAAAUCAAUAAGUGUGCCUAUUUGAAAAGUGUUUAUGUUAUGUGCCCUAGGAGCGAGUGCCGAAUAUGAGGCGCUAAAGAAAGCGGCGGCUGAUGCCCAAGAGAGGGCUGCCGCCGAACAGGCUCUGCGUGAGAAACACGAGGCCAGGGUCGUCAUGGCUGAGCAGGAGCUGCAGGAUGCUGUGACGAAAAGCGAGAGCUUGGGGUAGAGUUUAGUAGGGAAAGAAUCCGAACUCGCCCAAGCUCUCCAAGCCACGGAAGAUGCUCGGGAAGAGGCCUGAUGUGCUGGACGGGACAUUCAGGAGGCCCGGAAAGUUGCGGCUGGUAAGGCCCGUUGUAUUUAUGGCCGUUAUGAUGCUAUGAUAUGGAGAACUCUAAGCGGCAAGCUGGAUUCUUGAUUUUGCAGGGCGUUUGUGGAUCUGCCUCGUAGCAUAUCAGAUGCGGCCCAAUUUUACCGAUCCGAGGAGAGGGAGUCUGCGGGGAGGAACUUCUGGUCGUAGUAUCUAGCGCCGAACUAUCCGAUGCAUUUUAUCGAUCAGCUGAAGAAGCUAGUCGAACUGCAUCAGGCGGCCGAAGUAGCCAUGAAGGACUUGGUCAUCCGGCUGUGAUGUGCAGAGCCAAUUCCCAGCAGUUUCUUCAGACUUGUCAAGCGGAUUGUGGGCGCCUGUCCUCGGCUUGAUAUUAUCAACCAAUCAGUCUGUAUAGAAGGUGCACGAAUGGCGCUUGCCCAUGCAAAAGUGCAUUGGGGGAAGCUUGACGCAGAAAAGCUGAUAACUAAGGGGCCACCAGAGGGUAAGGAGCAUCGCAAGCCCGAACUGUAUUAUGAAGGUGUAAUCAAGGGUGCCCGCCUGGCGGCGGACAAGUGCGCCAAAGACAUUAUAUUUCCCUGAGGGCAUUGUUGCCAUCGUUUGUAAUAUGGGAUAAUGGCAUUUUUAUUAUAUGUUGCCUAUUUGGUAUGAACAUAUGUUCUUCCUUUGCGGCUGUUCAUUGUAUAAGUUCUGAGAGUUGGCCAGUCGUCGGCUUCGGCCCCCUCGAGAGAAGUACGGGGGUGUUCGGGGUAUUUAGGAACACUCUUUAUCCCAUUGUUGGGUCCUUAUAAGGAGGCGUUUCUCACCACGAACCAGACAAUUGGACUAUAGGGCUUUACUACUCUCACUUAGCCAUAGGAAUACGAGUAUGGUCGGCGCAGCCCCUAGUCUCCGGAAGGCUGGACUAGGGGCGCUAUUGGCGCCUGAUCAGUAGAUCGAUCCGUCACAAUCUGCAUUUUAUAGUGGCGUUAUGUGGAAUGAAUCUUUAAGGAUUUUGCAACCUCUCGAACAGCUGACCAGCUCUCGCCGCAUCAUGACAGUCGGUUUUCAGCUUUCUCUACUAAGGUGCUCGUCCAGCAGACCCGGGACACAAUUCUAGUAGUUCUCCCAGUGCUACCUUAGCCAACAGAAUGGAACGUAAGGUACCAAAACAUGGGAGCCGGGCAAACCCAACCAAUGACCCAAGGCAUGAUUCGGAGCUGAUGCAUAUAGUGCUAUAAGUUCGGGGUGCCGAGCGACCGAGAAGGUGGUCGUACUUUAUUGCCAUAAUGUGGAGCCCCUGGCUUAACCGGGCAUAACGCGAACCGUGGCUGCCACUUUUAUGGCAAAGAGGCGUCGAUGAUAAACGAAAACCAGUGCAUGUUUAGUUAAGUCUACGCAUUGCAGUAAUAUGAUAUGUCCAUGCAUAUGAAAUGCGAUUUAUGAUUAUGAAAAAGAGAUGGUUUUCUGGCAGAACCUAUGGUUGCCGGAAUGGAGGGGGCUGUGAAUGGAUCGAAAGUGAAUCCGAACUGUCGUCUACCUGCAUGGUCCUGUCCUUGUGUGUCCGGGCCGACUUCACGCCGCCGAACCUGUUCUGCAUAAGAGGUAGCUUGUGAAGGUAAGUGAGCGGAGGGCGCCGAACGUCCUCCUGUGGUUGGUCCAAAUGUUCCUGAUCGGACACUGAUCGAGAAGCAACCCAGACUCCUUAGUUGGUAUCCGGAUAGUUGGAUGUCAUAUCAAGAUAUUGACAGGCAUGCGCGACUUGCUACUCUUGCAGCUGUAUGAUCCCCGCUUCUGAGGGUGGGGUUUGGCUCUGCACGCAGGUGUGAGUGUAUUACCGGUGCUGGUCUAAUGAGUUACCACGUGGAAUCGAGCCAACGUGGUUCAUCUUGUUAGCAUACGGUGUGAUACCGUAUAAGGGAAUGCGCCGAUGGUGCAUCCUUUAUUUGGUUGUUUGAAAACAUCCGUGAGAGCAGCGGGCCCAUGACCCCGGCCUCUGUGCGUGGCACCUUGUAGAAGGUGUUUAUUUGCAUGCCCGCUUGGACUUUUAUUAUUUGAGGAGACCCUGGACUGUUAGGUCUGGGGGUAUGCAAUUGAAUUGCUGUGGUUUGUAUGGUAGGGGGCGAUCGGCCGUACUGUUGUGCUGGGGGCUUUUGACUAAGCGCCUCUCCUCAAUGUUUCCGGCACACACCCGGUUGCUUUACUUUGGAGAUCCGGCAUUCUAUAUUAGUAUGUUUUGCCAUUCUUUUGGGAGUACCAUGGAUUUCUCACGGCUGAUCGAGUUCGUGGCUUGGGCCAAAUAGGCUUGAGUUGUUCCUUGUCCGUUGACCGGACUGGGAUUUGCUGAACUUGAUACUAGCUUCCUUGAUUUGCCGUUUAUGACCGUUGCGCUGGGGCAUGAGGCUGCUUCUUCGUGUAUCCUUCUUGUUGGUUUAAAGCUUAGUGGUGUUCGGACGUCGGGUUGUGUGCCUUUGAUUUCCCUGCUUAGGUUGAGGUAGCCAAUUGUGCCGCGUGUGCCCUUUGUUAGGGCGGUCGAGUCCGUACUUCUCGGUGGCCAGGAUCUUGGUCCCCCGUUCUAUUAGCAAAUCAUGUUCGGCCUUAAGCUGCUCUUCCUUCCUUUGCAGACUCUUUGCGGUGGCUAUAAGUCCUCGCCUAAAGCGAACUUGUUCCACUGGGUCUACAGGCGCGCCGAAUUCGUCAUUGUCAAGGCUUACCUCGUCUUCGGAGGGAGGUGUAUAGUUGUUUGUCUCCAAGUAUCCCACCGUGGCCUGUAUGGCCUGCUUGAUGGUCGGCUGGUCAGGACUGUAUUCCUCUUCGGUACUGUCCGGAUCAUCUCCGGGACCGGUAUUGAUGUGGCAGGGCUUGGAGUGGCGUCGGAGAUGCCCAUAUGUUGCUUUUCCUCCGGGGGGGUUGUCCUCCCCUGCCUCGUCGCCGUUGGUUUCUUUCGGAGUGUCCACCGUGUAUAUAUCAUUAGAAGGGGUGGCUGUCCACCGCCCUGUGAGCGGUGGCUCUUGUAUGUCUCCUGCAUCGUCGUCCAUACCGUCGAUGUCUUCGAAGUCGAAGUCGAGCACGUCGGUUAAAUCGUUGAUCGUGGCGACAAAGUGGGUGGUGGGUGGGUAGCAAAUUCCUUCGUCGCUGCUUCCCACUCCAGCCGAACAUAGUUCGGCCCAGAGUCUCUUGACAAAGAGAGAGACUUCAAUGAGUUCAUCAUGUCGCCAAAGGGUGAGUGCUGAAAGAUGUCCGCAGCGGUAAACUCCAUUACCGGAGCCCAACCUGGCUCGGCUGCCUCGAGAGUGAGCGGACCAGGACCAACAACCAGAUAUGAGUCCGAGGGUCCGGGGUUACACGCCUACACAGCGGUGGGACCCAUGUUCGGCUCCACCGCCGAUAAGUGUGCGGCCUACAGAGCGGGGUCUAGCCCUCCGUCCAUAGGCAACGUGACUUGCCCUAGAUUUAGAUCCAAGGCUGCUUUGGGAAUGAUGUCCCGGACACUGUCCGACAGCAGGUCUAGGCCGUGCUCGUCGUGGCUGUCCGGCGCUCCUGGCGCAGGCUUGAAUCCGUCGAAGCUCAAGUCUCCGAACCUGAUUUUGUGGCCAAGGGCGAAGCUGUCGAUCUUCUCCAUCCGGCCAAGCGAAUUGGCGCGCAGUGCGAAGCCGCCGAACACAAAGAUCUGUCCGGGGUGAAAAGUCUCGCCCUGGAGCGUGUUGUCGACGAUUGAAGACACCAUCAAGCCUCGAAGCGACGACACAGAGGAACUCUCAAUGAAAUCACCAAUGUCGGUGUCAAAACCGGCGGAUCUCAGGUAGGGGGUCCUGAUCUAUGCGUCUUAGGCUGAUGGUAACAGGAAGCAAGGGACACAAUGUUUACCCAGGUUCGGGCCCUCUCGAUGGAGGUAAAACCCUACUUCCUGCUUGAUUAAUAUUGAAGAUGUGUGGAAUACAAGAGUAGAUCUACCACGAGAUCGUAGAGGCUAAACCCUAAGAGCUAGCCUAUGAUGGUAUGAUUGUAAUUGUGAUCAGCCUUCUAAGGACCAUCCUCUCCGGUUUAUAUAGACACCGGAGAGCUAGGGUUUACAUGGAGUCGGUUACAAGGAAGGAAACAUAAUAUCCGGAUUGCUAAGCUUGUCUUCCACGCAAAGGAGAGUCCCAUCCGGACACGAGCCGAAGUCUUGAGUCUUGUAUCUUGACGCUUCUAUAGUCCGGACAAUGAAUAUAGUCCGGUGGUCUGGAUACCCCCUUAUCCAGGACUCCCUCAGCUGCUGCAGCAGCCGUCAGCCUGGAGCCAGAGGCCGUCGAGCCCUGAGGCCGGCAGCUAGCCAGUGAAGAAGUGUGGAAGCCGGAGCAACGUGUUGACGGGCUUCUCCGACCACACAACAAACUCUAGGAGUGUGUCCAUCAAGGGGAAACGCGGGCGAGGAGGACGGGUGACCAUGGCGCGCCUCCCCUCAUCGCAAGGGCUGCUCCGUGGCCGAUGGCCCUCACCAUGAGAAGAAGCGCCACCGCGUACGUCAAGGGAGACGCCAGCUCCUGGAGAAGCAUGCCUGCGCCCCCUGGAGGCCAUCACUGGGGUCGCAACAUGCUUGCAGGGACGGCCGCGACCCCUCUUGGGUGGCGGUGAAGCUGUCCCCUCCUUGGGGGCCUUGCCUUUUUCCGAAGUCGUGAACCUCCUCGCCGGCACCAUGAGCCUCGCAACUAUGGCAAGGUGGAAAAGAAGAAGGGAUGGGAAGCAAGAAGAUGAAGAUAGAGAUGAGUGAAGGGGGAUCCGCCCCUCCCCUCAUUUAUAGCCAGAGGGAGGCCCGCCGACCUCCAUGAUCCCACGCAAUGAUGUCUUCUCUGCAUGCAGCAUCGACUCGUCAAGUCGGGCAGUUGCCGAGGUAGCGUAGGGAAGCGGAGACGCCCAUGUCUCAUCAAUCGCCAUGUGUCCUUCAAGGCCGCAGGCGGUUAGGGCUUGUGGUGCUCCGCACUUGCCCUUUGGCUUCACCUAGAAUCCAAGUCCGAGCGCGUCUUGGGCCCGGGGGCUAUUGUUGGUGUUCUGGAUAUGGGGGUACCCAGACUUGCCUUCCCAUGGCCUACGGCGUGGCUCCAUCGACGGCCUGGUAUGAGCCAGCUCCAACAUCAACAACUCAAGACCCUUGCGAGGUGAAUGACACCAAGGCCUCCAAAGGGAUAGGUCUCCUCAGGUGGCUCCUAGGGAGUAGAGCUUUCUAUGCAAAUCUCACCUCGCGAGGUGCAGAUGACGUGAGCCAUGACGAUCAAGGCCAGGUGGGCGCCAGACGGGUGCCAGCGGGCGCAGUGUACCUGUUUCCUCUUUUGUGCAAGAGAGGCAAGCAGCAGGUGCGGAGUCCCGAGGAAUCAACCAAAUGUUUCCAUUCUUGUGCAACAAGACCAAGACCGCCAGGACGGCAGGACGAAGGUCAUCACCGAGCCCACCGAUGCGUCACAACUAGAGGCUUUUGCAGGCGAAGACCACUUUAGUUAGGAUAAGAUGUACUAGCUGUCUCCCUUUAAAUUUGGCCGUUAUGGGAUCCCUUCCCACCUCCAUUCGGGAAGAGGACCAAGGUCACUAUAAAUAGGACCUAGCCACCACUACGGAGGGGGAGAGAGGUCAAUCGGAUCCAUUCCACCCUCACCAGCUCACCAGCUCACUUGAGCCCAAGAACACGCCUCCUGAGGUUGUUCUCCUAUAUACUAGUUUGUCCUCAGCCCCUUGAGGCAAAUCGAACACAAAGCAGGAGUAGGGUUUUACACUGCAAGGUGGCCCAAACUUCAGUAAACUGAUGUGUCUUUCUUUCCCCUCAAGCUCGACGCGCUAGGCUGUGAGGUUGGCUACUCGGCAGUAUGUGUAGGUUGAGAUCUCCGCAUGCACCCAGAGUUCGAACCUCUCAAGGGUUUGCGGAAACCAAAAUCCAACAGAGGUAGUAGCUACUUACAGAUAGAAGAGAAGGUGUGGUGGGGAGAGGCGUUUUGGCUUCCGGGAGCACAUGCUACCGGAUGAAUAGUAACAUGAAAAAAUAGUAAAUAUAUUUAAAAAAAUUCUAUUUUCUUUUAUGGAUGUUGAAAGCAUGAGUGCUCCCUGGGUGAUUUUGGUAAUUAAUGUCAACAUAUCUCUUGUUGGACUAACAUUUUCAUCUGGUAUAUUUCAGAUGAGUUCAACAAUGGAGUGGAAGGACAAGAGGAUGUGGAACCCCUUCAAGAUUUUAAGGUCAAAUAUUGGCAAAAGCUCAAGAUUCUUCAUUUCUAUUUUAGUGAUACAAGAUCACAUUGAGUCCAUAGGAAAAGCCAAUACUAUUUAAAGGGGAUGAGGUGUUGCUUAAUGGUCCACUUGCUUAAAGUGCUUAGUGAUAUGCCCCAAAGCCCUCAACCACUUUCUCAUAUCCAAAUAUGUCCAAAACCUAAAGUCAAACUCAGCCCCACCACUUUGAUUCAUCCGGCGCCAUUGAUUUCACUGUCAUAGCCACUCCCAGAAACCACAAUUAUUUCGGUCUCACCAAGAUGUCUAAUCGGUCACACCGAGUUUGCUUGACCAAGUCUCUAUUUGCAUAUUGCUGAAAUCGGUCUCACCGAGUUCAUGCGAUCGGUCUCACUGAGAUAAGGUUUUGACCUAACCAUAGCACAUCGGUCCCACCGAGUUGAUCAUAUCGGUCCCACCGAAAAUCCUAACAUUCACAUUUUGAACCAGAUCGGUCCCACCGAGUUUCACUAUUCGGUCUCACCGAGUUUGGUAAAUAGUGUGUAACGACUAGAUUUUGUGUGGAGGCUAUAUAUACCCCUCCACACCCUUUCCCAGUUGAGAGAGAGCCAUCAGAACAUGCAUACACUUCCACUACUCAUUUUCUGAGAGAGAACCACCUACUCAUGUGUUGAGACCAAGACAUUCCAAUACUAUCACAAGAAUUUUGAUCUCUAUCCUUCCCCAACUUGCUUUCCACUCAAAUCAUCUUUCCACCAUAUUCAAAUCCAUGAGAGAGAGUUGAGUGUUGGGGAGACUAUCAUUUCAAGCACAAGAGAAAGGAGUUCAUCAUGAACACACCAUCUAUUACCUUGUGGAGAGUGGUAUCUCCUAGAUUGGCUAGGUGGCACUUGGGAGCCUCCGUCAAGAUUGUGGAGUUGAACCAAGAAGUUUGUAAGGGCAAGGAGAUUGCCUACUUCGUGAAGAUCUACUCAACUGAGGCAAGUCCUUCUUGGGCGAUGGCCAUGCUGGGAUAGACAAGGUUGCUUAUUCAUGGACUCUUCGUGGGUGGAGCCCUCCAUGGACUCGCGCAAUCGUUACCCUUCGUGGGUGGAAGUCUCCACCAACGUGGAUGUACGAUAGCACCACCUAUUAGAACCACGCCAAAAAUAUCCGUGUCUUCAAUUGCGUUUGCACACUCGAAUCCCAUCCCAUUACUUUCUUGCCAAUUGCAUGCUGUACUUUCUGCUGCUCAUAUACUCUUGCCAUGCAUGCUUGAAAUGUAUUGUGAAUGUUUAAAAUUGUGCUAUUCUCCAACCUUAACUUGAAGAACUUAAAAAUUGCUACCUUUACUUGUUCAGGUUCUAAUCACCCCCCCCCUUUAGACACCUCUUCUUGAUCCUUUCAAUUGGUAUUAGAGCAUUGGUCUCCAUUUCUUUGGUUUAAGCACCAUUGGAGGAAUAUGGACGAGUCUAUGAUUGGGAGUAUUAGACGUAGAGUGCAUAUGCUUGAUGGAGAGUUCUAUAAUGCUUGGAAAAAUGAGAUGCUUGAGAUUUUCAAUGAAUAUCAAUUGAACAAGUACAUUACUACCCCUUGUGCGUCCCUUGUUGAUCCAUUACAUCCUACCCCCGAUGAGUCUCUCGACAUGAUUCGCAAUCUUAGGACUAUCAAUCUUAUCACUAGAGCAUUGCCUAGAAAUUUGAUUACAUGCUUGCCAACUCUUUAAUGUGCUUACAACAUAUGGAGAUAUCUUGAGGAACGCUUUCCAGACUAUUCCUUGAAAAAUUUAGAUGAGAUUUUUCAUAAGUCCAUUGCUCUAAAUAAGAUGAAUCCUAAUGAUCCUCAGUUUGGUGAUUUUCUAUUUGAACUUUGUGAUCUUAUGCGUGCCAAAGGAGAUGUUGGAAUCAUUAGUAACAUCCUCUUUGAAGUCAUUAGAAUACAUAAAGAUGCAAAUUGUCAUGAUCAUAAAUCUAAUGAAUCACUCUCUCUAGGCAAUGAUCAAUCACAAGAUGAUGUUGAACAUGGAUACUAUGAUGAGGAUGAGGAUAGUGACUUUGAUCUUGAUGAGUCUAUGAGACACUUUGGUCUUAUGGCUAACCUUUGCUGCUACAUGGCUGGAGGAAAGGAAUGGGUUCUUGAUAGUGGAUGUACCGAUUAGAUGACCAGAGACAAGGAUAUGUUUUGUGAGCUUGCUGAAAACAACGACCCUUGAAAGUAUGUCACUUUUGGUGGUAACUAGAAGGGUAAGGUGGUUGGCCUUGGUAAGGUGGCCAUCUCACAUGACAACUCCAUACAAAAUGUUAUACUCGUUGAAUCUCUUGGCUAUAAUUUACUUUCCGUAUCUAGACUAGCCGAUUUCGGUUUCAAUGUCUUAUUUACUGAAGUAGAUUGCCAAGUGUUUCAAAGAGAUAAUCAUAAUAUGGUCUUUACUGGUAUACAUAGAGGCGAUCUAUACAUUGUUAAUUUCACUAAAAAGGCUCAACCUAAAACUUUCUUAAUUGCUAAAUCUUCCAAAGGUUGGUUGUGGCAUAGACAGUUAAGUCAUGUGGGCAUGCGAAAUCUUGACAAGCUUAUUAAAGGUGAUCAUAUCCUUGGUGUUAAAGAUGUUAUAUUUGACAAGGAUAGACUUUGGAGUGCUUGCCAAGCAGGAAAACAAGUUGCAGGAAGUCAUCCCGUGAAGAACAUCAUGACCACGAGAAGACCACUCGAGCUACUUCACAUGGAUCUUUUUGGUCCCAACGCCUACAAGAGUCUUGGUGGUAACUCGUUCGGAUUGGUCAUUGUUGAUGAUUUUUCAAGAUUUACCUGGGUAUUCUUUCUUGAUGAUAAAUCACAUGUCCAAAAGAUCUUCAAGAACUUUGCUAGGAAGGCCCAAAAUCAAUUUGAAGUGAAGAUCAAGAAGGUUCGUAGUGACAACAUAACGGAGUUCAAGAAUGCCAAUGUGGACACCUUUCUUGACGACGAAGGGAUUUCACAUGAGUUCUCGGCUAUGUACACGCCUCAACAAAAUGGAGUUGUUGAGAGUAAGAACCGGACUCUUAUUGAGAUGGCGAGAACGAUGCUUGAUGAGUACAAGACACCACAACACUUUUGAGCGAAAGCGGUCGAGACAACUUGUCAUGCAACAAAUCUCCUAUAUCUUCACAAGCUACUCGGCAAGACGGCAUACGAGCUUCUCACCGGUAACAAACCCCAAGUUGGAUACUUUCGAGUAUUCGGCUCAAAGUGCUAUAUUCUUGAUAAGCAUCGUCGUUCGAAGUUUGCUCCUAAAUCUCAUGAAUGUUUCCUAGUCGGUUAUGGCUGAAACUCUCACAGUUACCGUGUCUACAACAAUUUCACCCAAAAGGUUGAGACUGUAGAUGUGAAGUUUGAUGAAUCUAACGGCUCACAAGUAGAGCAAUUGCCAAUUGAUGUAGGUGACAAAGACCCUUCUGAAGAAAUACAAGACUUGUCUAUUGGCGAGAUUCGUCCAACGGAGGUGAAGGAGAGUACCUCGUCCGUCCAAGUGGAAGCCUCAACUUCACGCCAUGGCGAACCACAAGUUGACUUGGAGGCAUUCACAAGUGGAACACAUCAAGAUGAUGGAAACAAGGAUGUACAACAAGAUGAACCUCAUCGACCUCCUUCUCCACCUCCACAAGAGAACAACAACGCCAACGACAAUGAAGAAAGAGAAGAGGAAGAACAAGACAAUGAAGAGGAUGUUCCACCCCAACCCAAACAAAAGCUCUCACGAGUUCGAGCAAGAGUCUCAAGAGAUCACCCCAUCGAACAAAUCUUUGAUGAUAUACAAACCGGGAGAAUUACUCGCUCUAAAACUCGUUUGGCUAACUUUUGUGAACAAUACUCAUUCAUUUCUAGUAUUGUACCUAUGAAGGUUGAAGAUGCCCUUGAUGAUCUGGAUUGGGUGAACGCUAUGCAUGAAGAGAUACACAAUUUCGAGAGGAACCAAGUGUGGACGUUGGUUGAAAAGCCCGAUGAGAAGCGCAAUGUCAUUGGAACCAAAUGGGUGUUUUAGAAUAAGCAAGAUGAAGAUGGAUGAGUUGUACGCAACAAGGCUCGUCUCGUUGCUCAAGGCUACACUCAAGUUGAAGGUAUGGACUAUGGUGAGACAUAUGUGAUAACCCACAAGUAUAGGGCAUCGCUAUAGUUUUCGAGGGUAGAGUAGUCAACCCAAAUUUAUUGAUUCGACACAAGGGGAGGAGCCAAAGAAUAUGCUCAAGUAUUAGCAGCUGAGUUGUCAAUUCAACCACACUUGAAAGACUUAAUAUCUGCAGCAAAGUAUUUAGUAGCAAAGUAGUAUGGAAGUAAGGGUAACAAUGGCAAAAGUAAUAGUAGCAGUUUUGUAGCAAUCAUAAUAGUGGCAACGGAAUAGUAACUUAGCAAAGAUCAAUAUGAAACAAGCUCAUAGGCAAUGGAUCAAUGAGAACUGGACCAAAGCAUUAACACUUAGUGAAUACAUGAACUCCUCAAACUAUGGUCAUCAUCGAGAAGUGUCCCGACAAUUGUCACUCCGGGGUUUACCGGAUCAUAACACAUAGUAGGUGACUAUAACUUGCAAGAUAAGAUCAAGAACACUCAAUAUUCAUGAAAAGACAAUAGGUUCAGAUCUGAAAUCAUGGCACUAGGGCCCUAGUGACAAGCAUUAAGCAUGACAAAGUCAUUACAACAUCAAUCUUAGAACAUAAUGGAUACUAGGGAUCAAACCCUAACAAAACUAACUCGAUUACAUGGUAAAUCUCAUCCAACCCAUCACCGUCCAACAAGACUACAAUGGAAUUACUCACGCAGGGCGGUGAGCAUCAUGAAAUUGGUGAUGGUGGAUGGUUGAUGAUGAAGAUGGCGACAGAUUCCCCUCUCCGGAGCCUCGAACGGACUCCAUAUUAGCCCUCCAAAGGAAGAAUAGGGCUUGGCGGCGGCUCCGUAUCGUAAAACGCGAUGAAUCCUUCUCUCUAUUUUUUUCUCCCCGAACGUGAAUAUAUGGAGUUGGAGUUGAGGUCGGUGGAGGUCCAGGGGGCCCACGAGGUAGGAGGGCACGCCCAGGGGGUAGGGUGCGCCCCCACCCUCAUGGCCAGGGUGUGGGGCCCCUUCGGUUGAUUCUUUCACCAGUAUUUUUUUAAUUCCAAAAAGUGUCUCCGUGAAGUUUUAGGUCAUUCCGAGAACUUUUAUUUCUCCACAAAAAUAACACCAUGUCAAUUCUGCUGUAAACACCGUCAGUCCGGGUUAGUUCCAUCCAAAUCAUGCAAAUUAGAGUCCAAAACAAGGGCAAAAGAGUUUGGAAAAGUAGAUACGUUGGAGAUGUAUCAACUCCCCCAAGCUUAACCCAUUGCUUGUCCUCAAGCAAUGCAGUUGACAAACUGGAAGUGAUAAAUAAAAACUUUUACAAACUCUAUUUGAUCUUGUUGUUGCAAAUAUGUAAAACCAACAUUCAAGUUUUCAGCAAAGAUUAUGAACUAACCAUAUUCACAAUAACAUUUAGGUCUCAUGUUUACCCAUAUCAAUGUCAUAAUCAACUAGCGAGUAGUAAUAAUAAAUCUCGGAUGACAACACUUUCUCAAAACAAUCAUGAUAUGAUAUAACAGGAUGGUAUCUCGCUAGCCCUUUCUAACACCGCAAACCAUAAAUGCAGAGCACCCCUGAAGAUCAAGGACUGACUAGACAUUGUAAUUCAUGGCAAAAGAGAUCCAGUCACAGUCAUACUGAAUAUUAAUUAAUAACAAUGAAUAUAAAUGAAAGUGGUGCUCUCCAACUGGUGCUUCUUAUUAGAGGAUGAUGACUCAACAUAAAAGUAAAUAGAUAGGCCCUUCAUAGAGGGAAACAUGGAUUUGCAUAGGUGCUAGAGCUCGAGGUUUGUAACAGAGAUAAAUAAUAUUUUGAGUGGCGUACUUUCAUUGUAAAAUCAAGAGAUCUCGAUAUCUUCCAUGCUACAUACAUUAUAGGCGGUUUCCAAACAGAAUGGUAAAGUUUAUACUCCCCCACCACCAACAAGCACAUUCAACUGCUGGUCCGAAACAGCGGGUACCGUCCAACUAACAACAAUCCUGGGGAGUUUUGUUUUCAAUUAUUUUGAUUUGAUUUGAGCAUGGGAUUGGGCAUCCCAGUUACCAGCCAUUUUCUCAUGAAUGAUGAGCGGAGUCCACUCAUCGUGAGAAUAACCCAACUAGGAUGGAAGAUAUAGACAUCUCUAGUUGUUACAUGAGCGAUUUGAGCAUACAAAACAGAAUUUCAUUUGAAGGUUUAGAGUUUGGCACAUGAAAAUUUACUUGGAACGGCAGGUAAAUACCGCAUAUAGGUAGGUAUGGUGGACUCUUAUGGAAUAACUUUGGGGUUUAUGGAAGUGGGUGCACAAGCAGUAUUCCCGCUUAGUACAGGUGAAGGCUAGAAAGAGACAGGGAAGCAACCAACUAGAGAGCGACACAGUCGUAAACAUGCAUUAGGAUUAACCAACAAUGAGUGCAAGCAUGAGUAGGAUAUAAAUCACCAUGAACAUACAUUUCAUGGAGGCUAUGUUGAUUUUGUUUCAACUACAUGCAUGAACAUGUGCCAAGACAAGUCACUCGAAUCAUUCAAAGGAGGAUACCAUCCUAUCAUACUACAUCACAACCAUUUUAAUAGCAUGUUGCACGCAAGGUAAACCAUUAUAAACUCCUAGCUAAUUAAGCAUGGCACGAGUAACUAUAAUCUCUAAUGGUCAUUGCAAACAUGUUUCAUUCAUAAUAGGCUGAAUCAGGAAUGAUUAACUAAUUGUAUUUACAAAAACAAGAUAGGUCGAGUUCAUACCAGCUUUUCCUCAUCUCAAUCAUUUCAUCAUAUAUUGUCAUUAUUGCCUUUCACUUGCACGACCGAACAGUGUGGAUAACAAUAAUAGUGCAUGUGCAUUGGACUAAGCUGGAAUCUGCAAACAUUUAAUUCAAAGGAGAAGACAAGGUAAUGUGGGCUCUUUGUUAGAUCAACAAUAAUGCAUAUGAUAGCCACUCAUCAUUUUCAUCAUGGUCUUCUCCUCUCGGCCCCCAAAGAAAAGAAAAGAAUUUCAAAGAAUGAGAAAAACUAUUUACAUGUGAAAGCUCCCAACAAACGGAAGAAGAACGAGAAAUCUUUUUGGGUUUUCUUAUUGAUACUACUACUACAAGCAUGCAAAGUAAACUAGCUAAAAGCUAUUACUAUUUUUUUGGUUUUUCUCAAAGUUUUUCAAACACACAAGAAGAAAGCAGGAAAAGAAAAUAAACUAGCAUGGAUAGUACAAUGAAAAAGUAUGAACACCGACAACUAGAAUGAGUGUGUGAACAUGAAUGUAAUGUCGGUGAGAAAUACGCACCCCCCAAGCUUAGGAUUUUGGCCUAAGUUGGUCUAAGGACACCACUGGCCCAGAUGAUAUCUGUCAUCUUAGUUGAGGUCGUACUGUGCUGCGGCAGCUGCCGCCUGACAAGCUGCUUCCCAGAGACGAGCGGCCUCUACUGAUCUCUCAUGCUCGUUUGCCUCCUCUUUGGUUAUAACAUAUCUCUCAUUUGCCUAAAAGUUAAAGAAUAAAGGAGCAAGCAGGGUAAUAAUGACAACAUGCCGUCUGUGAAAGAUUAGUUGGUACUGGAGGGACUGAUCAUUCCUCUCAAGAAACUGGUAGCGGACCAUAGCAUUAUAAUCUAGAAAAGCAGGUGGCAACUCAAUAUCAUUUUCUCUUAUGGAUACCCCAAGAUAAUCAGCUAAAUGAGUUGCACAAAUCCCACCAAAUAAAUCUCCAUAUUUAGCAUUAAGAUGUAACCCUAACGCAACAAUGGCCCCCAAGUUAUGUCUCUUAUCACCUAAUACUGCACUCUUGAGGACACUAAGAUCUAGGACACAAAUGUGGCUAUGCUCAUGCUUACCGUUAAUGCAUCUUCCUAUAAAGAGAGCAAAGUAAUGUAUGGCACAAAAAUGAAUGCUCCCUAUGGUAGCUUGUGUGAUAUUUCUAGUUUCCCCCACAGUGAUCCAAGCAAGGAAAUCAUUAUAUUCAAAUUUGUGAGGUUCACUAAAGAUGCCCCACUGUGGGAUUUUGCAAGCAGUAUUAAAAUCUUCAAGGUCCAUGGUAUAUGAUGUAUCAUAGAGGUCAAAUAUAACAGUCUGAGUGUUGCGCUUAGAUGAAAAGUGAAACCUCCGCACAAAGGAAACAAUGAGGUAAUAAUAUUAUCGGCACUUAUCUGAUAUUAAGUCCUCAAGAUCAUCAUUCUGCACAUACGCAUCGAAUUCAUCCUUGAAGCCUGCUUGGACCAUAGAUUCAUCAAAUGACCAUUCAUAAGGCCGCACUUGAGCUUCCCUUCAUGAUUCGAGGUCCAACUCACGUACCGCAAGCCUCGGUGCUUGCUUCCUUGAAGAACCACCUUGAUAUAUUUUCCUAAACAUUUUUCUUCCUCUAAAAAUGUCUGAAUAUUUAGUGACUCAAAAUAAAAGUGAAGCAAACUCAACAAGAUUGAUAGCAACUACUCCCACAAGUGCAUAGAGACUAUAUCAUGCAUUCAAACUACUUUGGACCAUAUAAAUUUGACAUGCAAGCUCAAGAACAAGGUUACCACAGCAGCAAAAAUUUGCAAUAGAUAAAGCACUAGAACAAAAACUAAUUGGGCCAUUGGAGGAGUCACAUACCAAAGAACAACCCCCCAAAGCAGUUUUGUGAAUGGAGCUUUGAGCAAGGAGAUCGAAAAUGGCAGCAAAAUGAGCAAGAACAUGAGUUUGAGCUACAGGAUGAUUUUUCUGGAGGAAGACGAAACGGAUGGGUGCUGGAAUAAGUGGAGGGGGCCACGUGGGGUGCACAAGGUAGGGGGCACGCCCUCCACCCUCGUGGCUCGCUGGUGCAUCCCCCUAGUGUGUUCUAAGUGCCAGAAAUUCUCAAAUAUUCUAUAAAAAAGCAUACUAAAUUUUCAGGGCAUUUGGAUUACUUUUAUUUUCGGGGUGUUUUUUAUUGCAUGGAUAAUUCAAAAAAUAGACAGAAAAUACUAUUUUUGCUUUAUUUAAACUAAAUAGCAGAAAGUAAAAUGAGGGUACAGAAGGUUGUGCUUUCUAACUUCAUCCAUCUCAUGCUCGUCAAAAGGAAUCCACUAACAAGGUUGAUCAAGUCUUGUUAACAAACUUCUUUCGAAUGACAUGAAACCGGAGAAUUUUUGAAUAACACUAGGUUACCUCAACGGGGAUAUGCAUGUCCCCAACAAUAAGAAUAUCAUAUUUCUUUUUGACAGUAGGAAUAUGGAAUUGGAAACCUCCAAUAGUAAUAGUUGGAAAUUUUCCAAUAGAAUUUAUACUAUGAACUUGAGGUUGUUUCUUCGGAAAGUGUAUCAUAUGCUCAUUACCAUUAACAUGAAAAGUGACAUUGCCCUUGUUGCAAUCAAUAACAACCCCUGCAGUAUUCAAAAAGGGUCUACCAAGGAUGAUCGACAUACUGUUGUCCUAGGGAAUAUCAAGAAUAACAAAGUCCCUUAAGAUAGUAACGUUUGCAACCACAACAGGAACAUCCUCACAAAUACCAAUGGGAUAGCAUUUUAUUUAUCAGCCAUUUGCAAAGAGAUUUCAGUAGGUGUCAACCUAUUCAAAUCAAGUCUAUGAUAUAAAGAGAAAGGCAUAACACUAACACCAACUCCAAGAUCACAUAAAUCAGUUUUAACAUAGUUUCUUUUAAUGGAGCAUGAUAUAGUUGGUACUCCUGGAUCUCCAAGUUUCUUUGGUAUUCCACCCUUAAAAGUAUAAUUAGCAAGCAUCGUGGAAAUUUCAGCUUCCGGUAUCUUUCUUUUAUUUGUAACAAUAUCUUUCAUAUACUUACCAUAAGGAUGCAUUUGAAGCAUAUCAGUCAAACGCAUACGCAAAAAGAUAGGUCUAAUCAUUUCAGCGAAGUGCUCAAAAUCCUCAUCAUCCUUCUUCUUUGAUGGCUUAGGAGGAAAAGACAUGGGUUUCUAAACCCGUGGUUCUCUUUCUUUACCAUGCUUCCUAGCAACAAAGUCUCUCUUAUCAUAAUGUUGAUUCUUUGAUUGUGGGUUAUCAAGAUCAACACUAGGUUCAACUUCCACAUCAUUAUCAUUACUAGGUUGAGUAUCAAGAUGAACAUCAUAAUUAACAUUAUCACUAGGUUCAUGUUUUUUGCCAGAUUGUGUUUCAUCAUGAGAAAUAGAAAUAUCAUUGGGAUUCUCAGGUGUGUCAAUAACAGGUUCACUAUAAGCAUGCAAAGUCCUAUCAUUAUUCUUUUUCUUUUUAUUAGAAGGACUAGGUGUAUCAGUAUUAAUUCUCUAAGAGUCUUGCUCAAAUCUCUUAGGAUGCCCUCGGGAUACAAAGGUUCCUAGGUCAUUUUUCCACCUAUAGUCAUGACUCUAACAACAUUAUCAUUAUUCUUAUUAUUCAACUCAUUGAUCAAAUCAUCUUGUGCCUUAAGUACUUGUUCUACUUGUGUUGUAACCAUGGAAGCAUGUUUACUAAUAAGCUAAAGCUCACUUUUAACUCCAGACAUAUAAUCACUCAAGUGUUUAACCAUAUAAGCAUUACGUUUCAAUUGUUACCAACAUAAGCAUUGAAGUUUUCUUGUUUAACAAUAAAAUUAUCAAACUCAUCCAAGCAUUGGCUAGCAGACUUAUUAUGAGGAAUAUCACCUUCCUCAAAUCUAUAGAGAGAAUUUACCUUUACUACCUAUGUCGGGUUAUCAAGACCAUGUAUUUAUUCAAUAGGCAGUAAAUUCUUAACAUCUUCAACUUUAAUACCUUUUUCUUUCAUAGAUUUCUUUGCGUCUUGCAUAUCUCCAGGACUGAGAAAUAGAAUACCCCUUUUCUUUGGAGUUGGCUUAGGAGUUGGUUCAGGAAGUGUCCAAUCAUUGUCAUUACUCAAUAUAUUAUUCAAUAGCAAUUCAGCUUGCUCGAUAGUUCUUUCCCUAAAAACACAACGAACACAACUAUCCAGGUGGUCUCUGGAAGCAUCAGCUAGUCCAUUAUAAAAGAUAUCAAGUAUUUCAUUUUUCUUGAGAGGAUGAUCAGGCAAAGCAUUAAGUAAUUGGAUAUGCCUCCCCCAAGCUUGUGGGAGACUCUCUUCUUCAACUUGCACAAAGUUAAAUAUUUCCCUUAAGGCAACUUGUUUCUUAUGAGAGGGAAAAUAUUUUGCAGCGAAGUAAUAAACCAUAUCCUGGGGACUACACACACAACCAGGAGCAAGAGAAUUAAACCAUAUCUUAACAUCACCAUUUAAUGAGAAAGGAAACAAUUUAAGAAUUAGCAAAUUUUUUCCUCAUGAGUAAAUAGGGUGGCUAUAUCAUUCAAUUUAGUAAGAUGUGCCACAACAAUUUCAGAUUCAUAGCCAUAGAAAGGAUCAGAUUCAAACAAAGUAAUUAACUCAGGAUCGACAGAGAAUUCAUAAUCCUUAUCAGUAACACGGAUAGGUGAAGUAGCAAACGCAGGGUCAUAUUUCAUUCUAGCAUUCAAAGACUUUUCUUCCAGCUUAGCUAACAGUUUCUUAAGAUCAUAUCUAUCAUUGCAAGCAAAGAAGUCUCUAGCAGUUUCUUCAUCCAUAACAUAACCCUCAGGCACAAUAGGCAAUUCAUAUCUAGGGGGAGAAUCUUCAUCAUCACUUUCAUUAAUAUCAUCAGUUUCAGUAAUUUCAUUCUCUCUAACCCUAGCAAGUUUUUCAUCAAGAAAUUCACCUAGUGGCACAUUAUUAUCAAGCAGAGAAGUAGUAUCAUCAUAAGCAUCAUGCAUAGCAUAAGUGGCAUCAUCAAUAACAUGCGACAUAUCGGAAUCAAUAGCAUGUGUAGGUGUCGCAAGUUUACUCAAAACAGAAGGUGAAUCAAGUGCAGUGCUAGAUGGCAGUUCCUUACCUCCCCUCGUAGUUUACUCAAAACAUAAGGUAUCUUGGUUUUGUUGUCUUUCAGAUUCCUCAUAGUGAUCAAUAUAUAUAAAUCUCAUGUAACUCAGAGAAUAGAGCUAUGCUCCCCGGCAACGGUGCCAUAAAAAGGUCAUGAUAACCCACAACUAUAGGGGAUCGCAACAGUUUUCGAGGGUAGAGUAUUCAACCCAAAUUUAUUAAUUUGACACAAUGGGAGCCAAAGAAUAUUCUCAAGUAUUAGCAGCUGAGUUGUAAAUUCAACCACACCUGAAAGAAUUAAUAUCUACAACAAAGAAUUUAGUAGCAAAGUAGUAUGGAAGUAACGGUAACAACGACAAAAGUAGUAGUAGCAGUUUUGUAGCAAUCGUAACAGUGACAACAGAAUAGUAACUUAGCAAAGAUCAAUAUGAAACGGGCUCGUAGGCAAUGGACCAAUGAUGGAUAAUUAUGUUGGACGACAUUCAUCAUGCAACAGUUAUAACAUAGGGUGAUACAGAACUAGCUCCAAUUCAUCAAUAUAAUGUAGGCAUGUAAUCCAAAUAUAGUCAUACAUGCUUAUGGAAAAGAACUUGCAUGCCAUCUUUUGUCCUACCUUCCCGUCACUCCAGGGUCCUAAUGGAAACUAAGGUAUAUUAAGGCCUCCUUUUAAUAGAGAACUGGACCAAAGCAUUAACACUUAGUGAAUACAUGAACUCCUCAAACUACGAUCAUCACCGGGAAGUGCCCUGACUAUUGUCACUCCACGGUUUGCUGGAUCAUAAGACAUAGUAGGUGGCCAUAUCUUUCAAGAUAGGAUCAAGAACACUCAUAUAUUCAUGAAAACAUAAUAGCUUCAGAUCUAAAAUCAUGGCACUCGGGCCCUAGUGACAGGCAUUAAGCAUGGAAAAGUCAAAGCAACAUCAAUCUUAGAACAUAAUGGAUACUAGGGAUCAAACCCUAACAAAACUAACUCGAUUACAUGGUAAAUCUCAUCCAACCCAUCACCAUCUAGCAAGCCUAUGAUGGAAUUACUCAUGCACGGCGGUGAGCAUCAUGAAAUUGGUGAUGGAGGAUGAUUGAUGAUGACGAUGGCGACGGAUUCCCCUCUCCGGAGCCCCGAAUGGUCUCCAGAUCAGCCCUCCCGAGGAAGAACAGGGCUUGGCGGCGGCUCCGUAUUGUAAAAUGCGAUGAAUCCUUCUCUCUGAUUUUUUUUCUCCCCGAACGUGAAUAUAUGGAGUUGGAGUUGAGGUAGGUGGAAGUCCAGGGGGGCCAUGAGGUAGGAGAGCGCGCCCAGGGGGGUAGAGUGCGCCCCCACCCUUGUGGCCAGGGUGUGGGCUGAUGUCUACUACACAACCUUCUUCUUGUAGACGUUGUUGGGCCUCCAAGUGCGGAGGUUUGUAGGAUAGUAGCAAAUUUACCUCAAGUGGAUGACCUAAGGUUUAUCAAUCCAUGGGAGGCGUAGGAUCAAGAUGGUCUCUCUCAAACAACCCUGCAACCAAAUAACAAAAAGUCUCUUGUGUCCCCAACACACCCAAUACAAUGGUAAAUUGUAUAGGUGCACUAGUUUGGCGAAGAGAUGGUGAUACAAGUGCAAUAUGGAUGGUAGAUAUAGGUUUUUGUAAUCUGAAAUUAUAAAAAUAGCAAGGUACCAAUUGGUAAAUGUGAGCGAAAAUGGUAUUGCAAUGCUUAGAAACAAGGCCUAUGGUUAAUAGUUUCACUAGUGCAAGUUUUGUCAACAAUAAUAACAUAAUUAGAUCAUAUAACGAUCCCUCAAGAUGCAACAAAGAGUUACUCCAAAGUCACUAAUAGUGAAGAACAAACGAAGAGAUUAUUGUAGGGUACGAAACCACCUCAAAGUUCUUCUUUCUGAUCAAUCCAUUGGGCUAUUCCUAUAAGCGUCACAAACAUCCCUAGAGUUCAUAGUAAAAUAACACCUUAAGACACACAUUAACCAAAACCCUAAUGUCACCUAGAUACUCCAAUGUCACCUCAAGUAUCUGUGGGUAUGAUUAUAUGAUAUGCAUCACACAAUCUCAGAUUCAUCUAUUCAACCAACACAAAGAACUUCAAAGAGUGCCCCAAAGUUUCUACCGGAGAGUCAAGACGAAAACGUGUGCCAACCCAUAUGCAUAGAUUCCCAAGGUCACGGAACCCGCAAGUUGAUCACCAAAACAUACAUCAAGUGAAUCAAUAGAAUACCCCAUUGUCACCAUAGGUAUCCCAUGCAAGACAUACAUCAAGUGUUCUCAAAUCCUUAAAGAGUCAAUCUGAUAAGAUAACUUCAAAGGGAAAACUCAAUCCAUUACAAGAGGGUAGAGGGGGAGAAACAUCAUAAGAUCCAACUAUAAUAGUAAAGCUCAUGGUACAUCAAGAUUGUGCCAAAUCAAGAAAACGAGAGAGAGAGAGAGAGAGAGAGAGAUCAAACACAUAGCUACUGGUACAUACCCUCAGCCCCGAGGGUGAACUACUCCCUCCUCGUCAUUGAGAGCGCUAGGAUGAUGAAGAUGGCCACCAGUGAUGGUUCCCCACUCCGGCAGGGUGCCGGAACAGGGUCCCGAUUGGUUUUUGGUGGCUACAGAGGCUUGCGGCGGCAGAACUCCCGAUCUAGGUUAUGUUCUGGAGGUUUGGGGAUUUAUAGGAGAGGUUGACGUCGAGAACAAGUUAGGGGGCCCCACGGAGAGUCCACAAGGCAGGGGCACCCUAGGGGGCGCCCUCUACCCUCGUGGGGCCCAUGGGACUCCCCUCCGGUAACUCUUCAAUCCAGUAUUUUUUAUAUUUUCCAUAAAAAAUCUCUGUUGAUUUUCAGCGCAUUCCGAGAACUUUUAUUUCUGCACAAAAACAACACCACGAUAGUUCUGCUGAAAACAACGUUAGUGCGGGUUAGUUCUAACCAAAUCAUACCAAAUUCAUGUAAAAAUAUUAUAAACAUGUCAUGAAUACAUCAAAAAUCCUAGAUACGUUGGAGACGUAUCAAGCAUCCCUAAUCUUAAUUCUUGCUUGUCCUCGAGUAGGUAAAUGAUAAAAACAAUUUUUUUGAUGUGGAAUGCUACCUAACAUAUUUAUCAAUGUAAUCUUCUUUAUUGUGGCAAGAAUAUUCAGAUCCAUAAGAUUCAAAACAAAAGUUUAAUAUUGACAUAAAAACUAUAAUAUCAAGCAUACUAACAAAGCAAUCAUGUCUUCUCAAAAUAACAUGGCCAAAGAAAGCCAUUCCUACAAAAUCAUAGAGUCUGGCUAUGCUCUAUCUUCAUCACACAAAAUAUUUAAAUCAUGCACAACCCUGAUGACAAGCCAAGCAAUUGUUUCAUACUUUUGAUGUUCUAAAACUGUUGGGGAUAUAACUAUUAGGUAUAACCCGCCCAGGACGGGCCGGGUCACACCUAAGAUGAAGCCCACGAAGACACUUGAAGAUGACGACUCACUUAAAGGCCCAAGUCCCAGAGGCGAUUUAAGGCCUAUAGAGAUAAUCCGCCAUGCAUGCAUAACUUGUAUUGUAAGGAAGGAAUAGAGAGAGACCGAGCCGGACACUGUUUAUGAACCGGCCGGGACUCUUUGAGCCGCUGGGCAUCGACCUCUGUAUAUAAAGAGAUGACCGGACGACGGUUCAGGGCAGGUAACAUCAGAUCGAGAACUAGGUCAGCGGAUUCUCUCCCUGGUUAUCGAUUCAUAAGCAAUCCUACCCAAAACUGGAUCGUAGGCUUUUACCUUCACUACAAGGGGCCGAACCAGUAUGAACCUCGUGUCCUUUGUCCCGUUUAACCCCUUUAAGCUUCCUAGUUGCGAUGGCUCCACGACUAAGUCCUUACACUAGGACAUCUGACGUGACAAUUCCACGACAGUUGGCGCCCACCAUGGGGCCAGCGCANNNNNNNNNNGUUGGAUUUGUGUUCUUGAAGGGCAACUUCAAAGGGCUCAAGGGAUACGCUGUGGGCCAGAUGACCAAGACUCAUCGCGGCAAGCUCUACAUCGACGAUGCAGGCUGGGGCCCCGACACCGGCUCAAUUGAGUACGGGUACCGGGUCCCCUUCGGCGGAAUCCACGUCUUCAUCGGCAAGAUUGGUGAGCCGGGCCCUGAGCUGGACAUCUGCAUCGACAUCAUCGAGACGGCUCAACGUGCGAAACCCGCCCAGGCUCAACCUGCCGUGAGGCGUGCCUUCGUGGGAUGCAUCCAUGGAGGAGAAUUUUUUGAAGGAUCUGUCUCUGGCGGUGAGACGGCCAUCUACUUUGAAAGUGAGUCGUCCAUAGGUGAGACGGAUUCGUUGUAUCAACUGCAAGACGGCGGGCUUGGGGGCUGUUCUGAUGGCGGCAGUAUUCUGGACCCCUUUGAGCUGCCGAGUAGAGUUAGAAUCUUCAUGCCAGGUACCCAACCUACGUUAAAUUCAUCAACUGCAGCGACAAUGACCUCCGGGAUAGCAGCAGCCGGGGUAGGAGGCCCUGUGCGCCCACCGGCUCAGGUGUUGAUGGAUCUCACAGACAAGUUGAUGACCCUAUUAACCGCCGCGAUCAACCUGGCAGAUCAGGCUCAACAUGAUGCAAAGGUAGCACAAUUAAAGCUUGAUAUAGUGCAAGCUAAAGAAAACUUGGCGGCGGAAGACGUCAGGAUGGCCAUGGAGCAGGCGACUCUGGAUGCCCGAGCACAGCAGAUUCAGUCACAGGCUUUCCAGCUCAAGAUGGAUCAGAAUAUGUCAAAUGAGGUUAUGAGGAGAAGGUACCAGAAGACUCAAUCUCGUCUACCUCCGGUUUAUGAUCCAAGGAACCUUUUUCAGACGUUUGGGGCAGGCCCCAGUAACCCGCUGGAGGUAAACCGGGUUGCAGCUCCCAUGACCAAUACACCGGUUCAGCCACAAGUUAUGGCCCCCCGUGUUUGAAUACUGCCCCCCCUCCUUAUGUGCCGACACCACCGGGUCAUUAUUCUAACCCGCUGGAGAACAUGAUCGUGGCGUCGGCACGACUGGCGGCUCUCCCAUCUGAUGGCGAUUCUCCAGCGGCGGUUGAGACACGAAGGAUUAGAGAUCUUCUCCAGACAGCCUUAGCACAGNNNNNNNNNNNNNNNNNNNNNNNNNNNNNNNNNNNNNNNNNNNNNNNNNNNNNNNNNNNNNNNNNNNNNNNNNNNNNNNNNNNNNNNNNNNNNNNNNNNNNNNNNNNNNNNNNNNNNNNNNNNNNNNNNNNNNNNNNNNNNNNNNNNNNNNNNNNNNNNNNNNNNNNNNNNNNNNNNNNNNNNNNNNNNNNNNNNNNNNNNNNNNNNNNNNNNNNNNNAGGAGGCAUACUCUUACAGUAGAGACAUGAAUCAUUCAACCCCACGUCCGAGCCGGAGCAAGAGUUAUAGCAGGCAUCUGGACUCGCUGGCCGUUUCAAGCAACGCCCAGCAUCGCGAUCAGCCACGCAGGUACGACCCUACUCAGGGUGGGGCUCCUAAUGUGCAUAAUCAGGACAGAGUGCGCCAGCAAAUUGAGUAGGCGGCUCAGCAGGUAGCACAACUGGCGGCUCAAUAGGCAACAGAAAUAGCAGCUCAGCAGGCGGCUGAUCAGCCCCUGCCGGUUUAUCCGACGAUGUCAGUUGAGGCAGGUGUGGUCACCAGGACCGGGGGCGUGCCUUGUUUGGUGCCGGCUCUGCGUAACAAGCGUUUGCCCAAGGAUUUUAAGGGGCCUCGUAAGGUACCUAAUUACACAGCCGAUUUACAGCCUGCGGCAUGGAUCGAGAGUUAUGAGAUGGCCAUGGAAUUACUGGAGGUUAGUGAUGUCGCAAUGGCCAAGUACUUCACCAUGAUGCUGGAUGGAACGGCUCAUAAUUGGUUGAAGGCGUUGCCACCUAAUUCCGUUAGUUCCUGGGCGGAGUUAAAGGAGAAGUUUAUCCAGAACUUUAAAGAUACAUGUAAGCAGCCCAUGUUGAUUGUGGACUUGACUAGUUGCAAGCAACAGGAGGGUGAGUCCACGACCCAUUGGGUGCGCCGGGUUAAGGAGAUAAUACAUUCCUCUGAUAAGAUGGAUGCCGGUUCUGUAGUAUUGAUGUCAGAGCAAAAUUGCCGUUUUGAGCCUCGGAAGAUGAAGCUGGGAUGACUCAAGCGCGAGUGUUCUGACAUGGGCCAACUGAUGGUGGCUCUCGUCAAAUAUGUUGACUCUGAUAGUACCAAGGAUCCCGAGNNNNNNNNNNNNNNNNNNNNNNNNNNNNNNNNNNNNNNNNNNNNNNNNNNNNNNNNNNNNNNNNNNNNNNNNNNNNNNNNNNNNNNNNNNNNNNNNNNNNNNNNNNNNNNNNNNNNNNNNNNNNNNNNNNNNNNNNNNNNNNNNNNNNNNNNNNNNNNNNNNNNNNNNNNNNNNNNNNNNNNNNNNNNNNNNNNNNNNNNNNNNNNNNNNNNNNNNNNNNNNNNNNNNNNNNNNNNNNNNNNNNNNNNNNNNNNNNNNNNNNNNNNNNNNNNNNNNNNNNNNNNNNNNNNNNNNNNNNNNNNNNNNNNNNNNNNNNNNNNNNNNNNNNNNNNNNNNNNNNNNNNNNNNNNNNNNNNNNNNNNNNNNNNNNNNNNNNNNNNNNNNNNNNNNNNNNNNNNNNNNNNNNNNNNNNNNNNNNNNNNNNNNNNNNNNNNNNNNNNNNNNNNNNNNNNNNNNNNNNNNNNNNNNNNNNNNNNNNNNNNNNNNNNNNNNNNNNNNNNNNNNNNNNNNNNNNNNNNNNNNNNNNNNNNNNNNNNNNNNNNNNNNNNNNNNNNNNNNNNNNNNNNNNNNNNNNNNNNNNNNNNNNNNNNNNNNNNNNNNNNNNNNNNNNNNNNNNNNNNNNNNNNNNNNNNNNNNNNNNNNNNNNNNNNNNNNNNNNNNNNNNNNNNNNNNNNNNNNNNNNNNNNNNNNNNNNNNNNNNNNNNNNNNNNNNNNNNNNNNNNNNNNNNNNNNNNNNNNNNNNNNNNNNNNNNNNNNNNNNNNNNNNNNNNNNNNNNNNNNNNNNNNNNNNNNNNNNNNNNNNNNNNNNNNNNNNNNNNNNNNNNNNNNNNNNNNNNNNNNNNNNNNNNNNNNNNNNNNNNNNNNNNNNNNNNNNNNNNNNNNNNNNNNNNNNNNNNNNNNNNNNNNNNNNNNNNNNNNNNNNNNNNNNNNNNNNNNNNNNNNNNNNNNNNNNNNNNNNNNNNNNNNNNNNNNNNNNNNNNNNNNNNNNNNNNNNNNNNNNNNNNNNNNNNNNNNNNNNNNNNNNNNNNNNNNNNNNNNNNNNNNNNNNNNNNNNNNNNNNNNNNNNNNNNNNNNNNNNNNNNNNNNNNNNNNNNNNNNNNNNNNNNNNNNNNNNNNNNNNNNNNNNNNNNNNNNGCAAUCAGAGUCAUCCAAAGCAAUUGAACAGUGGGCAGUAUCAUGUUUUCACCACAAGUUUAUGUAAGCGGGACCAGAAGCUUCACAAGAGGGCAGUGAACGCCGUUGAGCCGGCAGUUCCUCGAUACUUGCGAUGGUUUGAGCAGCCCAUUACGUGGAGUCGGGAGGAUCACCCGCCCCGGGUUGAUAAUCCGAGUCACUUGGCUUUGGUGGUAGCACCUCAAGUUGGGGGGUACAAGUUCACCAAGGUACUCAUGGAUGGAGGUAGCAGCAUCAAUAUCCUUUAUUAUGAGACCUUCCGUCGUAUGGGGUUAACAGAUAAAAAUCUUAAGCAGUCCAGUGUAGUUCCUAGUAAGUCAUCAUACCUAGUGGGCAAGAUCGAGAUGGAAGUAGCCUUUGGAAAUGAGUUUCCAGGGCCGAGAAAUUAACUUUUGAGGUGGUCAAGAUCAGGAGCACGUAUCAUGCUCUGUUUGGGCAACCGGCUUACGCCAAGUUUAUGGCACGACCGUGUUAUGUUUAUCUACAGCUGAAGAUGCCGGGUCAUAAAGGGACCAUUACGGUUCAUGGCAGUCGAAAGGUGGCUCUGGAGUGCGAGGAAGGCGACGCGGCUUAUGCUGAGUUGGUCUGUGCCGCUGAAGAGUUAAAGUAUUAUAAGGACAAUGUUGACCUGGCAGACAUGACAUCCUUGAAGAAUCCCACCAUAGAGCAUGGACUGGAGAUGAAGUUUAAAUCGGCUGAGGACACCAAGAUGGUUGAUUUUGUUCCGAGCUCUUCAUAUAAACAGUGCAGUAUCAGUGCCAAUCUGGAUCCCAAAUAGGAAAGCACGCUCAUCGAGUUCAUCCAUGACAAUCAGGACAUCUUUGCAUGGAAGCCUUCUGACAUGCCGAGUGUACCGAGAGAACUCGUGGAGCACACUCUCAAUAUUGAUCCUAAGUAUAAGCCAGUCAAGAAAUUUCUUCGGCGGUUUAACAAGGAGAGGCGCAAGGCCAUUGGUGAGGAGGUGGCCCGGCUCUUGGCGGCCGGGUUCAUUAUUAAAGUAUUCCAUCCUGAAUGGUUGGCCAACCCGGUGCUAGUGCUCAAGAAGAAUGGCACUUGGCGCAUGUGUGUGGAUUACAUGGACUUGAACAAGGCUUGUCCGGCUGAUCCCUUUGCUCUCCCGCAUAUUGAUUAAAUCAUUGAUGCUACAAUGGGAUGUGAGCGUCUGAGUUUUUUGGAUGCUUAUUCUGGAUAUCAUCAGAUCAAGAUGGUGGUUAAGGACCAGGAGAAGACGGCUUUCAUGACUCCCUUUGGAGCUUUCUGCUAUGUUUCUAUGCCUUUUGGGCUCAAGAGUGCCUAGGCGACUUAUCAGCGUUGCGUGCAGAAUUUCCUUCAUACUCAGAUUGGCCGUAAUGUGCAUGCUUAUGUGGAUGAUAUUGUGGUGAAGUCCAGAGAAAAGGAAACACUGAUAGAUGAUCUCAAGGAGACCUUUGAUAACCUCUGGGUCUACAAUAUGAUGCUUAACCUGGCAAUGUGUGUCUUUGGUGUGCCAGCAGGCAAACUUUUGGGAUUUCUGGUUUCUAACAGAUGCAUCGAAGAUAACCCGGUGAAGGUCAAAGCUAUCACCUCUUUGGCAAAACCCAAGUGUAUCAAUGAUGUUCAACAUUUGGCGGGUCGUAUUGCUGCUUUAAGCCGGUUCAUAAGCCGGUUAGGUGAGAAGGCCAUACCACUGUAUCAGAUGUUGAAGAAGACAAAUGACUUUGUCUGGAGUGAUGCUGAUAACGUUGCCUUUGAGGAUUUGAAGAGACAAUUGGCUGAGACGCCAGUCCUUGCUGCUCCCAUUGAUAAGGAGCCAUUGAUGUUAUAUGUGGCUGCUAAUGCGCGUGCUGUCAGUGUGUCCAUUGUGGUGGAGCGUAAGGAGUCUGGUAAGGAAUAUCAGGUUCAACGACCGGUUUACUACAUAAGUGAGGUGCUUAAUGAGUCCAAACAGAGGUAUCCACAUUGGCAUAAGCUUGUUUAUGGGGUGUUCAUGGCCAGCCGGAAGCUUAAGCAAUAUUUCCUGGGUCAUCCCAUCACUGUGGUCAGUUCUACUGCUUUGGGGGAUAUCAUCCAGAACAGAGAGGCUAUAGGACGAGUCGCCAAGUGGGCCAUUGAGCUUGCGCCUCAUGGUUUAAAAUAUGCGCCUCGUACUGCUAUCAAGUCUCAAGCACUGGUGGAUUUCAUCAACAAUUGGACAGAGUUGCAGGCGCCUGAAGAGAAGCCGGAUAACACAUACUAGACAGUUCACUUUGAUGGAUCCAGGCAAUUGGAAGGCUCGGGGGCUGGAGUUAUUUUGGCUUCCCCUCGAGGUGACAAAUUUUGUUAUGUGCUAAGGUUGAAGUUUCCCUGUACUAACAAUGCAGCUGAGUAUGAGGCCUUGCUCCAUGGUCUUCGGAUGGCUAAAGAGAUGAACUUAAGUCGGGUAAGGUGCUUCGGCGACACAGAUUUGGUAGCUCAACAAGUCUCAGGCAAGUGCGAUUCCAUAGAUCGUCUCAUGGCGGCUUAUCAUUGUGAGUUUGAUGCUGUGGCUGGACACUUCAAGGGUUAUCAAGUGGAGCACAUUGAUCGCAGGAAGAAUGAGGCGACUGAUGCUCUAAGCCAGCUUGGAUCUUAGCGUAGACCGGUACCCCCGAAUACUUUCUUGGAUGUUUUGCAUAAUCGUUCUCUCAAGUUACCUACAGAGGAAGACUUGGUUGUGCCUGACCCAGAAGCACAGUUGGUGGCGCCUCUUCAUGUCAUCCCAGAUUGGACAGUGCCAUACUUGGCUUACAUGACCCGGGGAGAAUUUCCUGAGGAUGAAACCUUGGCUAGACAGAUAACCCGACGGUCUAAGUCAAUGGCAAUUACCAUUGGCGAGUUACACCAUUGCAGUGUCACUGGGGCGUUUCAACAUUGUGUAUCUCCUGAAGAAGGCCAAGAGAUUCUUUGUGAGAUUCAUGAAGGAGAUUGUGGCCAUCACGCCGGUUCAAAGUCCCUUGUGGCCAAAGCUUUCUGUCACGAAUUUUAUUGGCUAAUGGCUCAUGCUAAUGCAGAAGAUCUAGUCAGUAAAUGUGACGGGUGUUUGAAAUUUUCACGACGAGCUCAUGUGCUUCCUCAAGAGUUGAGGAUGAUACUGAUUACUUGGCCGUUUGCUAUGUGGGGGCUUGACAUGGUUCGGCCUUUCAAAAGAUCCAAGGAUAAAAAGACUCACCUUUUGGUGGCAGUGGAUAAAUUCACAAAGUGGGUGGAAGCAGAGUUGGUCAGUAAGUGUGACGCGGCGACGGCGGUUCAAUUCAUGAAAAAGGUGAUUUUCUGUUUUGGUUUCCCCCAUAGCAUCAUAAUUGGUAAUGGCACUAACUUGUCCAAGGGGGCUAUGGAGGAGUUCUGUCAACGUGAGCAUAUCCGGCUUGAUGUCUCAUCAGUAGAUCACCCCCAAUCCAAUGGUCAAGCAGAAAGAGCCAAUCAGGAGAUUUUGAAGGUUAUCAAGCCCCGGCUUUUAGUUCAUUUAUAAGAAACACCGGGUUGUUGGGUGGAGGAGUUACCAUCAGUGUUAUGGAGCAUCAAUACUACCCCCAAUAGAUCUACGGGUUAUACCCCUUUCUUCAUGGUUUAUGGAGCAGAGGCGGUUCUUCCUAGCGACAUCCGUCAUGACUCGCCCUGAGUGGCGGCUUACGUAGAAGCUAACAAUGAGCAAGCACGUUGGGAGGCACUUGACCUAUUGGAUGUAAAACAUGACUUGGCAGCAGCCCGCUCGGCGAUUUACCAACAGGACCUGCGGCGUUACCACAGCCGCCGGGUUAAAUCUAGAACCUUUCAGGAAGGCAACUUGGUGCUCUGGCUCAUCCAGGAUCAGACUGAUGCACACAAGUUAUCCCCACCUUGGGAAGGGCCCUUUGUGGUCAGCAAGAAUUUAAAUAACGGGUCAUACUACCUUAUCGAUGUUUGAGAGCACAAAGACUGACGUAAGUCGGAGGAGGAGACCCGCCGGCCGUGGAAUAUAGCUCAUCUUCGACCUUACUACACUUGAGCCACCGGCUCUCAUGAUGUACAUAUCUUGGUGAUGUAUAUAUUAUCAAUAAUAAAGCAGGACCUCUGUCCUUUUUCAUCCCCAAAGAUCAUAUGUCUUCACUGUCAUUAUUUCAAAAAGACCAUUGGGGGCUGAUCAUAUUCGAAUCUAGCUUAACCCCUUUGGUACAACUUCCUGAUCGUAUUCGAAUCAUAGUUGUUCAAGCAAACUUGAUCACUUGGGGGCUGGGUCGUAUUCGAAUCAUAGCUUAACCCCUUUUGGUACGACUUAGAUCGUAUUCGAAUCAGAGUCGUUAAAUAUUCUCAAGGCCAUUUGGGGGCUUCCUGUUCAAACAUAGGUCGUAUUCGAACGAAAGAAAACAUAGUUGUCGGUACCCACUUGAUCGACGCAAUGCCAAAACCCAAUUCGGGGCUUCUUGAUCGUAUUCGAAUCAUAGCUUAACCCCUCUUGGGUCUGACCCAGAUUGUAUUCGAAUCAGAGUUGUUAAAUAUUCUUAAGGUCAUUAUGGGGCGUAAUGAAGCCCCCGGUGAAUUAAUGCGUACCAGAUUGUACGGGUGCAAUUGAUAAGAAUAAAAAAUUUAAAUGAAAUAGCAAGGUAAUGCCACAUAAAUUGGGCCGCAAAAUAUUUUUAUUGUAAUUUGAUUUAAGACGUCGAAGCAUAUUUAUGCAAAUAGUGCGAUAACCUGCCAAGACCAGGGGGAGCUGUGUGCGAUUCCCAAAGACAGGUAGAUCAUUGAGAAGAACAUCUAGAGAUUCCCUCACGUGUCCAUACUGCUUCCUGCCUUGGUAUAUCCAUCCCCUGAUGGGUCUGACAAUCAGGCCACCAGGAAAAGCCUGGCAAAAGAGAAUCCUGAAAAUAAAAAAUAAAAGGUGAAGGUAUGCUGGUCCAGGGGAGGUUGAGCCGUAUUGUGGACCACGAUCUAGCUGUGCCUCCGUCUAUGCCCAUGGUAUUUUAAGUGCGUAGUUAUGUAUGCGUUGUACGUACGCUACCAUUUGGUCGGGAUUGAGACGGAGGCCAAAUUGCUAGUCAAGCUCUUGACGAGCUGGACCGUCCUGCUGCAGAGUAGUCCGGACUCGUUUGACGGUGUCCGGGAGCCUGGGCGCCGAAUUAAAGUUGUGCUUGAAAAGGCCGCUCUGUGCUUCUGCUGCGAGGGCAGUGGUGUGCUGCUCGGUACGGAGGGAGCGUUCCGUGUUUCCAUUGACUGUUAUGACACCUCGCGGUCCGGGCAUCUUGAACUUGAGAUAAGCGUAGUGUGGCACCGCAUUGAAUCGACCGAAUGCGGUUCGUUCGAGCAGUGCGUGUUAGCCACUGCGGAAGGGGACGAUAUCAAAGAUCAACUCUUCGCUUUGGAAGUUGUCCGAGGAUCCGAAGACCACCUCCAGUGUGAUUGAGCCCGUACAGCGGGCCUCUACACCUGGUAUGACCCCUUUAAAGGUGGUUUUGGUGGGCUUGAUCCUUGAGGGAUCAAUACCCAUUUUGCGCUCUGUAUCCUGAUAGAGAAGGUCCAGGCUGCUGCCAUCGUCCAUGAGGACUCGCAUAAGAUGGAAUCCAUCAAUGAUUGGGUCGAGGACCAGUGCGGCCGAACCGCCAUGAUGGAUACUGGUCGGAUGGUCCCUGCGAUCGAAGGUGAUCGGACAGGACGACCAUGGGUUGAACUUUGGGGCGACUGGCUCUAUCGCGUAGAUGUCCCUGAGCGCACGCUUGCGCACCCUCUUGGGGAUAUGAGUAGUGUAUAUCAUGUUCACCAUUUUAACUUGGGGGGAAACUUCUUCUGUCCCCCAGUGUUCGGUGGCCGGGGCUCCUCGUCAUCAUCCUCUCUUUGCGACCCCUUUUCCUUGUUCUCGGUGUUUAAAUUGCCGGCCUGUUUAAAAACCCAACGUUCUCUAUUGGUAUGAUUGGCUGGUUUAUCAGGAGUGCCGUGGAUUUGACAUGGACGAUCGAGUAUGCGGUCCAAGCUGGACGAGCCUGGAUUGUUUCUCUUAUAUGGCUUCUUCCGCUGACCGGACUUAGAGCCACUGAAUCCGGCGUUGACCGCCGUGUCUUAGGUGCUGUCACCGUUGCUUCGACGCUUGUGUCUGUUGCGUCGGGGUUUGCCGUUGCUAUUUCUGGCUUCAGAAGUGACAUGUUCGCUUGAAUUGUUAUUGCUACGGGCUAGCCGACUAUCCUCACCCGCGCAGAAGAGGGUCAUAAGCGUCAUGAGGGCUGGCAUAGGCUUCGGCUUUUCUUGGCCGAGGUGUUGGGCGAGCCAUUCAUCGCGGAUGCUAUGUUUAAAGGCUGCUAGGGCUUCGGCAUCCAGGCAAUCGACGAUUUGGUUCUUUUUAGUUAAGAACCUAGUCUAGAAUUUCCUGGCUGACUCUCCGGGCUGUUGAACUAUGUGACUUAAGUCGUCGGCAUCUGGAGGUCGGACAUAUGUACCCUGGAAGUUGUCUAGGAAGGUGACUUCCAAGUCUUCCCAGCCGCCAAUUGAGUUUUCUGGCAAACUGUUUAACCAGUGCCGAGCAGGUCCCUUGAUUUUUAGUGGGAGGUAUUUGAUGGCGUGAAGGUCAUCACUGCAGGCCAUAUGAAUAUGGAGGAGAAAAAUCCUCGAUCCAUAUCGCGGGGUCUGUUGUCCCAUCAUAUGAUUCGAUGUUUACGGGUUUAAACCCUUCCGGGAACUCAUGUUCCAUUACUUCAUCAGUGAGGCAGAGGGGGUGUGCGGCGCCUCUAUAUCGGGCCAAGUCAUGACGUAGCUCAGAUGGAGUUUGUCUGUGGUUUUCGGCCCGGGCGUGGCUAUGUUUGUCACGUCCGGCCGGAUGCCAUCAUCGCGCAUCAAGGCACGCCCCCGUGAUCAAUAGAUUGAUCUGGUCUGACCUGCUUUGUUUUCCAGGUCAUGUCGCGGGUCAUAUGUAUAUCCCCGAGCUGUUGUGUUUUUGUUGUUUCGGCGAGAUAGUGCGGGCUGGUGUUCAGCUUGAGUUGCCACUUUAUCUCUGCCACGUGGUGGUCAGUCAGCCGCAUUAUGCGCUGGUAGGAUGGGCUCCAUUGCCUCGUCAUCAAAUUGGGGUAAUAAUUUGUGCUUAGGUAACUUUUGGUUGGGCGCUUGAGGUCGUAUUCCUUGGUUACCAGGACAUUAGUCCAUCUGUCAUUGAGUAUAUUUUGAUCAGCUUGAAGCUGAUGCUGCUUCUUCUUCAGGCUUCUUAUAGUGGCUAUUAGCUGGCGCUGAAAGCGCUCCUGCUCGACGGGCUCCUCAGGCACGAUAAAGUCUUCGUUGCCGAGGCUUGCCUCAUCCUUGGAGUGUGGAAGAUAAUUACUGUCCUCCGAGUCUUUGGUAAUGGCCUGUUCAUUAGGGCUGACUCGCCCAUCCUCCCGUUCAUCUUGUUUGGCAGUUGGUUCAACGGGGUCUUCAUUGUCUUCGGCAUCGUCGAGAGUAUGAUUUUCUCCUGUGCCGGUAUUGAUGUUUUUUCCACGGCAUGGUCUAGAGUGGCACCGCCGACGAUGGCGAUUUGGCUGUGUCUCAGGAGGCUUAUCCUCGACUGGAUCUUUUUUAUUGUUGCCAUUGUUCUCUUUGGGUGUAUCCACCAUGUAUACGUCAUAUGAGGAGGUGGCUGUCCAGCACCCUGUAAGCGGUGGUUGUUGUGCCUGCUCCUCUCCGGCAUCGUCGUCCAUACCGUCGAUGUCUUCGGAGUCGAAAUCGAGCAUGUCGGUUAAGUCCUCGAUAGUGGCUAUGAAGUGGGUGGUGGGUGGGAAGCGGAAUUCUCCGCCAUCAGCUUCCAAUCCAAAAUGGAUAUAGUUCGGCUGAGAGUCCCCUAAUAAGGAGAGGUUUUUUAAUGAGUUCAGCACAUCACCUAAAGGUGAGUGCCGAAAGAUGUUGGCGGAGCUGAACUCAACAAUCAGGUUCGACGGGCGCGGAUACACGUGGUUCGGAACCUAUGGCCGGAGACAAAUUCGAGGUUCCUAUGACACAGGCCUCGCUCGAGGUCGGAUUUGUGUGCGGCUCUAACGCCGCUGAGUAUGCGGCUUCCACGGUGGGGUUGAGCUUCCUGUCCUCGGAUGGCGCAAUCCGCUCCGGAUCCAGGGCCAGAGCAGUUACAUGCACUAUCUCCUGGGCAUGGUCCGAUGAAAGAUUUAGGUCAUAUUCAUCGUAGUGGCAGGGACCGGCUGUCAUGGGCUCGAAUCCGUUGAAGAUCAAGUCUCCGCGGAUAUCGACAACGUAAUUCAGGCUUCCAAACCUGACCUGAUGGCCAGGGGCGUAGCUGUCGAUCUGCUUUAGAUGGCCAAGCGAGUUGGCCCGCAGUGCGAAGCCGCAAAAUACGAAGAUCUAUCCGGGGAGGAAAACCUCCCCCUGGAGUGCAUUGUUCUGGAUGUUUGAUUGAGCCAUCAAUCCUGUCUUGGACGUCACAGCGGAACUCUCAAUGAAAGCACCAAUGUCGGUGUCAAAACCGGCGGAUCUCGGGUAGGGGGUCCCGAACUGUGCAUGAAAGGUUGAUGGUAACAGGAGGUGGGGGACACGAUGUUUACCCAGGUUUAGGCCCUCUCUAUGGAGGUAAUACCCUACUUCCUGCUUGAAUGAUCUUGAUGAAUAUGAGUAUUACAAGAGUUGAUCUACCACGAGAUCGUAAUGGCUAAAACCCAAGAAGUCUAGCCUGUAUGAUUAUGAUUGUGAUUGCCUCUACAGACUAAGCCCUCCGGUUUAAAUAAACACCGAAGGGGACUAGGGUUGUACAAAGUCAGUUACAGAGAAAGGAAUCUUCAUAUCCGGUCGCCAAGCUUGCCUUCCACGCCAUGGAGACUCCCAUCCGGACACGGGAGAGAGUCUUCGCUCUUGUAUCUUCAUAGCCCAAUAGUCUGGCCCAUGCUACAUAGUCCGGCCGUCCGAGGACCCCUUAAUCCAGGACUCCCUCAAUAAUGAGUGGGGCUGUACACGCCCCAGAGUCUCCUGAGUGCCGCCUUGGGCCCUCACGGGGGCUCCCUCCCAUGUCCUAGUGGCAGGACUUAACUCCGCGCUGGUGAGAAGACUAUACUAGGUGCCGGACACGGCUGUUCAGUUGCUUGCUUUCCGUAGUUGUUUUGCAAUCUUUUAAUGGAAUUCAGAGUUUUCGCAUUUUGGUUCGCCAAGUUGGAUUUUCUCUCCUCUCGUUUCGCUCAUUCUUCGCCUGGGCCAGGAAAGGGAGAUAGUUGCUUGACGCUCUUCCUUGCGCGCCCCACGCGUGGGGGCUAGGCAGGUGUGUGCAUGGGUCCACCCUCGCACAAGCACACCUCGCCGAACCCUGUUGCCCUAGUGCUUUCUAAUCCUCGCGAGACGCCCUCGAUCGAGCUUGUGCGCAUCAGCGCCCUCUCCUGUCUGUGCCCGUCGGGCAGCGUGAUGUGGUGCAUUAAGCCACAACUAAACCUAUGGCAGGGGCCUCGCACAAAGAAGAAUGAGGUGCCCUGUUAAGGUUUCUUUUCCUUUAAACAGCUCUGCAGCAGCUCUACGGCAUCUACCUGGCCCCCUACCUGGCCCCCUGAGUCAUCAGACCUACAAUACCUUCCGAGAUCAGUAGCCCCCUACCUGGCCCCCGAGUCAUCAGGAAGGGGGGCUCCGCCAGGCAUCAAGGGCCGCGCCCCCGUGAGGUGGGAAGCUACCGCAAGCAUGUCAAGCUAAGUUACCCUACCCGUGCCUACCCAGAAUACAAAUAUCACGGCACAACAUUAAGAUAAUAAGCAUAGUAUAAAGGGCAUAACUGCCAUAGUUCAUUACACACCCCGGCGGGGCACCCUACUUUUUUCAAACUCUAGAAGAAAGGAAAGGUUAAAAAAAAGUGGCCUGCAAGGCCGCAGCGGUCCUGAAGCCAAGCUCGGCAGCCCCAAGCUUAGAUCAUGCCUCCCUCUUGCUUCACUGGGGCGCCGCGGCGAGACGAUCCACCACCUUACUUGAUGCAAGCUCGGCGGCGCGGAGGAUGGUUAAAGCCGCCGCUGCUGGAGCUCCCGCCCGAAGAAGAGCUGCCGUCGCGGGAGGAAGUGUGGACGUCAUCAAGGCCAAGCUCACCCUCGUCGCCGGCGCGACCGAAGUCAAGGCCAAGCUCAUCGUCGCGGCAGCCAUCUUCUGGGCAGCACCCCACAUGGCGGCCGUCUUCCCCGAACACCCUCACGAAGAGGGUCGCAAGUCCAUCGUACUUGAAGUGGAGAGUGCACCUCCCGCUCAGGCCUCACGCGCGGGCAAAUGCCUGCCAGCCAUGGGCCAGGACCACGCUGCUCGCAGCAGUAACAUUGAUCCCAACCCACGAGGCCCUGCUGUCAGUGUCAAAACCGGCGGAUCUCGGGUAGGGCUCCCGAUCUGUGCGUCUUAGGCUGAUGGUAACAAGAAGCAAGGGACACAAUGUUUACCCAGGUUCGGGCCCUCUCGAUGGAGGUAAAACCCUACUUCCUGCUUGAUUAAUAUUGAAGAUGUGUCGAAUACAAGAGUAGAUCUACCACGAGAUCGUAGAGGCUAAACCCUAAGAGCUAGCCUACGAUGGUAUGAUUGUAAUUGUGAUCGGCCUUCUAAGGACCAUCCUCUCCGGUUUAUAUAGACACCGGAGAGCUAGGGUUUACAUGGAGUCAGUUACAAGGAAGGAAACAUAAUAUCCAGAUUGCUAAGCUUGUCUUCCACGCAAAGGAGAGUCCCAUCCGGACACGAGCCGAAGUCUUGAGUCUUGUAUCUUGACGCUUCUAUAGUCCGGACGAUGAAUAUAGUCCGGCGGUCCGGAUACCCCCUUAUCCAAGACUCCCUCAGUAGCCCCUGAACCAGGCUUCAAUGACGAUGAGUCCGGUGCGCAGUCUUGUCUUCGGCAUUGCAAGGCGGGUUCCUCCUCCGAAUACUCCAAGGUUAUUAUUGAACACAUAGACCAUGUCCGGAUCUACAAAAUGACCUUCACAUACCAUCGUAGAGAGAAUGAUACUCCAACUGACAAUUUUUAGACGACGUGACAUGCCAUUAGGGCCAAGUCAUUGCUCGAACCGUUUUUUCCACAACUAGCCAUAGCAUAUUGCGAGGCAGUUUCCUGAGCACGUCUUGUCGAAGCCAAGAUCAUGUCCCCUUAUCACGGGAUUCUCAUAAAUGCGGGUAUGGGUAACCCAACCAUACCGCUAAUCACGGCAAGCGGUAGGCGAGCAGUCUCCACCAGGCAAGUGGGGAGGCACAAAAAAGCUCUUACCUUCUCUUAUAAAGAGAUAGGGCAUCUUCCUCUUUUACCCAUGCCUUCUCCUUCCGCUAACUCACUUCCCUCUGCUCGAGCCCUAACGCCCGAGCGCCUUUCUUUUCCAUCAAAGAGAGGGUUUCCAAAGAUGUCCGGGUCUGGAGCAGGAGGCAAAUGGAUGGCCUCUACCAUCCGAGAGAAGGAUAUCAAGAAGCUCCGGGAAGCCGGGUAUCUGGCCAAGGAGAUUGGCCACCGUCUCCCACCAGCGGGACAGGUUGUCCCUACUCCGGAGCCCCACGAGAGAGUCAUGUUCCUUCCCCAUUUUGUCCGCGGGCUCGGGUUUCCCCUCCACCCAUUUGUACGUGGAGUCAUGUAUUACUAUGGGGUUGAUUUUCAUGAUCUUUUCCCCAACUCUUUUCUCAAUAUCUCGACGUUCAUCGUCGCAUGUGAGGCCUUCCUCCGGAUUCCACCUCACUUUGGCCUGUGGUUGAAGAUUUUCAAUGUGAAGCCCAAGGUGGUGAGUGGCGAACACGCCGAGUGCGGCGGCGCCAUGGUGAGAAAGAUGCCCAAGGUCGUUUGGCCGAAGGGCACUUUUAAUGACUCCGUCAAGGAAUGGCACCAGCAGUGGUUUUAUAUCACCGAACCACGCGGCGAAGAAUGGGCAGCAGCUCCUGAGUUCAGAUCCGGAGCUCCAUUGCGGCUUACGUCCUGGCCCAAGAAGGGCCCAAACUGGUGCUCGUCCGAUGAGCUGUCACUGCUCCUAACGCGUGUUCGGAACAUGGUCGACAAGGACGUCAAGCUUGUUGACGUGGUCCAGGAGAUGCUAGUUCGCCUGGUUCUCCCUUGCCAGCGUCAAGCCUAUACUUUAUGGGAAUUCGACCCAUCCGAGCACCAAACCCUCCGGGAGCUCCAUGAUUCCUCCCAUGAGGAUAUCUGGAAGGUGCUCUUUAAGUCCAGCAAAUCAUGGACGGACUCUUCUGAGGACCGGGGGUAUCAAUUAUCCCAUUCUGCAUGCCCGGUAAGUUAUAGCCACUCCCCGUCCGUCCAGGCUUCAGCUGGCGUAUCAUGAGGGGGGCAUUAUAAUCGUGCUUCAUUGUGGCUUUAGGGAUGGAUAAAAAGAGUGGAGCAGAUACAAUGUCUGGCCCCACUGCCGGAGGAACCGGCCGGACCUCUUCUGACGAAGAUGCUGGUCCCUGCACCUUACAAAGCGCCCAAGAAGGAGGCCCCCAAGCAGGUCAAGAAGACCUGGAGUGGACUCCGUCGUCGCGAGGCUCUGGACACCCGGUCUGAAGGCUCUAGCGACGCUCCUUCUUCCGAAGACGAAGAGGAGGGGGCAGAGGAGGUCGAGCCUCACUCUGCAGGCAGGAGGAAGCGUGCAGCUUCCCCAACCCUGGAGGCUGAAUCUCCCAAGAGAGGGCGAGGUUCCUCUCCAGAGGCAUCCACCCUGGCUGCCGAUGACAGCCCAGAGUGGGAUCCCGAGGCCCAGCUCCUGGGAAAAUCAUAAGUAACCGAAAUCUGAAUACGCCUAUGUAUCGAGGGUCGUCUGGGCAUAGUAGUUUUAACUGUCGCCACAUUUGAUACAGCCCGGCGGGGUCUCCUGUCGGACAGUCCUCAUCGGAGGAUUCGUUGAGCUCGAAUGCUGUGGCGAACGAGAUGCCUCUGGGGACACCUUUUCUGAAGUCUGGGCACAACACUGAGGUGUCGUCUCAAAGAGGCUCAGAGCCGGAUAAGGUUCUGGAGGCCUCUAAGGCUCCAGGAUCGGGCGAACAACCACCUUCCAUUAGGGGAGGUUUGACCACUCUGCCGGCAACCUCUAUCUACGUAGAGCUGCCGGGUGAUUUAUUGAUAGCAUUAAAGAACACAUUUGUUGUCGAUGAACAUUGGACCCUUAUGGGUACGGUGGUUGGAAAGAUUCAGGCUACCGAAGCGGGCUGAAUGAGUCCUGUCUUGGCCUUAUAAAGGCCUUUGAGGUAUGGUUUCUAAGGAACCUUUAAAGAAUUAGUAUGAUAUGAGGAGUAUCCCCUGAUACACUGUCCAAAAAAAGAAAACUGGGGAGGGUAUCAAAUCCUCAGUUGUAAUGGGAACUUUUUAAUGUUGUAUACCCAUGUUUUCGAAAACAGGCGUCUGUGGAGAGGACGGCCGCUCAUGAUGCGAAGUGUCCGAGCUGAAAGAGAGCCUCAGACGGGCCGAAGAAGAACUUGGCCGUGUGAAGAAGCAAUUGGAGGAGAGGCAAGGUAUGUUUGGACAUUGUCUUGCGAUGGGCACAAAUCAAUAAGUGUGCCUAUUUGAAAAGUGUUUAUGUUAUGUGCCCUAGGAGCAAGUGCCGAAUAUGAGGCGCUAAAGAAAGCGGCGGCUGAUGCCCAAGAGAGGGCUGCCGCCGAACAGGCUCUGCGUGAGAAACACGAGGCCAGGGUCGUCAUGGCUGAGCGGGAGCUGCAGGAUGCUGUGACGAAAAGCGAGAGCUUGGGGUAGAGUUUAGUAGGGAAAGAAUCCGAACUCGCCCAAGCUCUCCAAGCCACGGAAGAUGCUCGGGAAGAGGCCCGAUGUGCUGGACGGGACAUUCAGGAGGCCCGGAAAGUUGCGGCUGGUAAGGCCCGUUGUAUUUAUGGCCGUUAUGAUGCUAUGAUAUGGAGAACUCUAAGCGGCAAGCUGGAUUCUUGAUUUUGCAGGGCGUUUGUGGAUCUGCCUCGUAGCAUAUCAGAUGCGGCCCAAUUUUACCGAUCCGAGGAGAGGGAGUCUACGGGGAGGAACUUCUGGUCGUAGUAUCUAGCGCCGAACUAUCCGAUGCAUUUUAUCGAUCAGCUGAAGAAGCUAGUCGAACUGCAUCAGGCGGCCGAAGUAGCCAUGAAGGACUUGGUCAUCCGGCUGUGAUGUGCAGAGCCAAUUCCCAGCAGUUUCUUCAGACUUGUCAAGCGGAUUGUGGGCGCCUGUCCUCGGCUUGAUAUUAUCAACCAAUCAGUCUGUAUAGAAGGUGCACGAAUGGCGCUUGCCCAUGCAAAAGUGCAUUGGGGGAAGCUUGACGCAGAAAAGCUGAUAACUAAGGGGCCACCAGAGGGUAAGGAGCAUCGCAAGCCCGAACUGUAUUAUGAAGGUGUAAUCAAGGGUGCCCGCCUGGCGGCGGACAAGUGCGCCAAAGACAUUAUAUUUCCCUGAGGGCAUUGUUGCCAUCGUUUGUAAUAUGGGAUAAUGGCAUUUUUAUUAUAUGUUGCCUAUUUGGUAUGAACAUAUGUUCUUCCUUUGCGGCUGUUCAUUGUAUAAGUUCUGAGAGUUGGCCAGUCGUCGGCUUCGGCCCCCUCGAGAGAAGUACGGGGGUGUUCGGGGUAUUUAGGAACACUCUUUAUCCCAUUGUUGGGUCCUUAUAAGGAGGCGUUUCUCACCACGAACCAGACAAUUGGACUAUAGGGCUUUACUACUCUCACUUAGCCAUAGGAAUACGAGUAUGGUCGGCGCAGCCCCUAGUCUCCGGAAGGCUGGACUAGGGGCGCUAUUGGCGCCUGAUCAGUAGAUCGAUCCGUCACAAUCUGCAUUUUAUAGUGGCGUUAUGUGGAAUGAAUCUUUAAGGAUUUUGCAACCUCUCGAACAGCUGACCAGCUCUCGCCGCAUCAUGACAGUCGGUUUUCAGCUUUCUCUACUAAGGUGCUCGUCCAGCAGACCCGGGACACAAUUCUAGUAGUUCUCCCAGUGCUACCUUAGCCAACAGAAUGGAACGUAAGGUACCAAAACAUGGGAGCCGGGCAAACCCAACCAAUGACCCAAGGCAUGAUUCGGAGCUGAUGCAUAUAGUGCUAUAAGUUCGGGGUGCCGAGCGACCGAGAAGGUGGUCGUACUUUAUUGCCAUAAUGUGGAGCCCCUGGCUUAACCGGGCAUAACGCGAACCGUGGCUGCCACUUUUAUGGCAAAGAGGCGUCGAUGAUAAACGAAAACCAGUGCAUGUUUAGUUAAGUCUACGCAUUGCAGUAAUAUGAUAUGUCCAUGCAUAUGAAAUGCGAUUUAUGAUUAUGAAAAAGAGAUGGUUUUCUGGCAGAACCUAUGGUUGCCGGAAUGGAGGGGGCUGUGAAUGGAUCGAAAGUGAAUCCGAACUGUCGUCUACCUGCAUGGUCCUGUCCUUGUGUGUCCGGGCCGACUUCACGCCGCCGAACCUGUUCUGCAUAAGAGGUAGCUUGUGAAGGUAAGUGAGCGGAGGGCGCCGAACGUCCUCCUGUGGUUGGUCCAAAUGUUCCUGAUCGGACACUGAUCGAGAAGCAACCCAGACUCCUUAGUUGGUAUCCGGAUAGUUGGAUGUCAUAUCAAGAUAUUGACAGGCAUGCGCGACUUGCUACUCUUGCAGCUGUAUGAUCCCCGCUUCUAAGGGUGGGGUUUGGCUCUGCACGCAGGUGUGAGUGUAUUACCGGUGCUGGUCUAAUGAGUUACCACGUGGAAUCGAGCCAACGUGGUUCAUCUUGUUAGCAUACGGUGUGAUACCGUAUAAGGGAAUGCGCCGAUGGCGCAUCCUUUAUUUGGUUGUUUGAAAACAUCCGUGAGAGCAGCGGGCCCAUGACCCCGGCCUCUGUGCGUGGCACCUUGUAGAAGGUGUUUAUUUGCAUGCCCGCUUGGACUUUUAUUAUUUGAGGAGACCCUGGACUGUUAGGUCUGGGGGUAUGCAAUUGAAUUGCUGUGGUUUGUAUGGUAGGGGGCGAUCGGCCGUACUGUUGUGCUGGGGGCUUUUGACUAAGCGCCUCUCCUCAAUGUUUCCGGCACACACCCGGUUGCUUUACUUUGGAGAUCCGGCAUUCUAUAUUAGUAUGUUUUGCCAUUCUUUUGGGAGUACCGUGGAUUUCUCACGGCUGAUCGAGUUCGUGGCUUGGGCCAAAUAGGCUUGAGUUGUUCCUUGUCCGUUGACCGGACUGGGAUUUGCUGAACUUGAUACUAGCUUCCUUGAUUUGCCGUUUAUGACCGUUGCGCUGGGGCAUGAGGCUGCUUCUUCGUGUAUCCUUCUUGCUGGUUUAAAGCUUAGUGGUGUUCGGACGUCGGGUUGUGUGCCUUUGAUUUCCCUGCUUAGGUUGAGGUAGCCAAUUGUGCCGCGUGUGCCCUUUGUUAGGGCGGUCGAGUCCGUACUUCUCGGUGGCCAGGAUCUUGGUCCCCCGUUCUAUUAGCAAAUCAUGUUCGGCCUUAAGCUGCUCUUCCUUCCUUUGCAGACUCUUUGCGGUGGCUAUAAGUCCUCGCCUAAAGCGAACUUGUUCCACUGGGUCUACAGGCGCGCCGAAUUCGUCAUUGUCAAGGCUUACCUCGUCUUCGGAGGGAGGUGUAUAGUUGUUUGUCUCCAAGUAUCCCACCGUGGCCUGUAUGGCCUGCUUGAUGGUCAGCUGGUCAGGACUGUAUUCCUCUUCGGUACUGUCCGGAUCAUCUCCGGGACCGGUAUUGAUGUGGCAGGGCUUGGAGUGGCGUCGGAGAUGCCCAUAUGUUGCUUUUCCUCCGGGGGGGUUGUCCUCCCCUGCCUCGUCGCCGUUGGUUUCUUUCGGAGUGUCCACCGUGUAUAUAUCAUUAGAAGGGGUGGCUGUCCACCGCCCUGUGAGCGGUGGCUCUUGUAUGUCUCCUGCAUCGUCGUCCAUACCGUCGAUGUCUUCGAAGUCGAAGUCGAGCACGUCGGUUAAAUCGUUGAUCGUGGCGACAAAGUGGGUGGUGGGUGGGUAGCAAAUUCCUUCGUCGCUGCUUCCCACUCCAGCCGAACAUAGUUCGGCCCAGAGUCUCUUGACAAAGAGAGAGACUUCAAUGAGUUCAUCAUGUCGCCAAAGGGUGAGUGCUGAAAGAUGUCCGCAGCGGUAAACUCCAUUACCGGAGCCCAACCUGGCUCGGCUGCCUCGAGAGUGAGCGGACCAGGACCAACAACCAGAUAUGAGUCCGAGGGUCCGGGGUUACACGCCUACACAGCGGUGGGACCCAUGUUCGGCUCCACCGCCGAUAAGUGUGCGGCCUACAGAGCGGGGUCUAGCCCUCCGUCCAUAGGCAACGUGACUUGCCCUAGAUUUAGAUCCAAGGCUGCUUUGGGAAUGAUGUCCCGGACACUGUCCGACAGCAGGUCUAGGCCGUGCUCGUCGUGGCUGUCCGGCGCUCCUGGCGCAGGCUUGAAUCCGUCGAAGCUCAAGUCUCCGAACCUGAUUUUGUGGCCAAGGGCGAAGCUGUCGAUCUUCUCCAUCCGGCCAAGCGAAUUGGCNNNNNNNNNNNNNNNNNNNNNNNNNNNNNNNNNNNNNNNNNNNNNNNNNNNNNNNNNNNNNNNNNNNNCCAUCAAGCCUCGAAGCGACGACACAGAGGAACUCUCAAUGAAAUCACCAAUGUCGGUGUCAAAACCGGCGGAUCUCAGGUAGGGGGUCCUGAUCUAUGCGUCUUAGGCUGAUGGUAACAGGAAGCAAGGGACACAAUGUUUACCCAGGUUCGGGCCCUCUCGAUGGAGGUAAAACCCUACUUCCUGCUUGAUUAAUAUUGAAGAUGUGUGGAAUACAAGAGUAGAUCUACCACGAGAUCGUAGAGGCUAAACCCUAAGAGCUAGCCUAUGAUGGUAUGAUUGUAAUUGUGAUCAGCCUUCUAAGGACCAUCCUCUCCGGUUUAUAUAGACACCGGAGAGCUAGGGUUUACAUGGAGUCGGUUACAAGGAAGGAAACAUAAUAUCCGGAUUGCUAAGCUUGUCUUCCACGCAAAGGAGAGUCCCAUCCGGACACGAGCCGAAGUCUUGAGUCUUGUAUCUUGACGCUUCUAUAGUCCGGACAAUGAAUAUAGUCCGGUGGUCUGGAUACCCCCUUAUCCAGGACUCCCUCAGCUGCUGCAGCAGCCGUCAGCCUGGAGCCAGAGGCCGUCGAGCCCUAAGGCCGGCAGCUAGCCAGUGAAGAAGUGUGGAAGCCGGAGCAACGUGUCGACGGGCUUCUCCGACCACACAACAAACUCUAGGAGUGUGUCCAUCAAGGGGAAACGCGGGCGAGGAGGACGGGUGACCAUGGCGCGCCUCCCCUCAUCGCAGGGGCUGCUCCGUGGCCGAUGGCCCCCACCAUGAGAAGAAGCGCCACCGCGUACGUCAAGGGAGACGCCAGCUCCUGGAGAAGCAUGCCUGCGCCCCCUGGAGGCCAUCACUGGGGUCGCAACAUGCUUGCAGGGACGGCCGCGACCCCUCUUGGGUGGCGGUGAAGCUGUCCCCUCCUUGGGGGCCUUGCCUUUUUCCGAAGUCGUGAACCUCCUCGCCGGCACCAUGAGCCUCGCAACUAUGGCAAGGUGGAAAAGAAGAAGGGAUGGGAAGCAAGAAGAUGAAGAUAGAGAUGAGUGAAGGGGGAUCCGCCCCUCCCCUCAUUUAUAGCCAGAGGGAGGCCCGCCGACCUCCAUGAUCCCACGCAAUGAUGUCUUCUCUGCAUGCAGCAUCGACUCGUCAAGUCGGGCAGUUGCUGAGGUAGCGUAGGGAAGCGGAGACGCCCAUGUCUCAUCAAUCGCCAUGUGUCCUUCAAGGCCGCAGGCGGUUAGGGCUUGUGGUGCUCCGCACUUGCCCUUUGGCUUCACCUAGAAUCCAAGUCCGAGCGCGUCUUGGGCCCGGGGGCUAUUGUUGGUGUUCUGGAUAUGGGGGUACCCAGACUUGCCUUCCCGUGGCCUACGGCGUGGCUCCAUCGACGGCCUGGUAUGAGCCAGCUCCAACAUCAACAACUCAAGACCCUUGCGAGGUGAAUGACACCAAGGCCUCCAAAGGGAUAGGUCUCCUCAGGUGGCUCCUAAGGAGUAGAGAUUUCUAUGCAAAUCUCACCUCGCGAGGUGCAGAUGACGUGAGCCAUGACGAUCAAGGCCAGGUGGGCGCCAGACGGGUGCCAGCGGGCGCAGUGUACCUGUUUCCUCUUUUGUGCAAGAGAGGCAAGCAGCAGGUGCGGAGUCCCGAGGAAUCAACCAAAUGUUUCCAUUCUUGUGCAACAAGACCAAGACCGCCAGGACGGCAGGACGAAGGUCAUCACCGAGCCCACCGAUGCGUCACAACUAGAGGCUUUUGCAGGCGAAGACCACUUUAGUUAGGAUAAGAUGUACUAGCUGUCUCCCUUUAAAUUUGGCCGUUAUGGGAUCCCUUCCCACCUCCAUUCGGGAAGAGGACCAAGGUCACUAUAAGUAGGACCUAGCCACCACUACGGAGGGGGAGAGAGGUCAAUCGGAUCCAUUCCACCCUCACCAGCUCACCAGCUCACUUGAGCCCAAGAACACGCCUCCUGAGGUUGUUCUCCUAUAUACUAGUUUGUCCUCAGCCCCUUGAGGCAAAUCGAACACAAAGCAGGAGUAGGGUUUUACACUGCAAGGUGGCCCAAACUUCAGUAAACUGAUGUGUCUUUCUUUCCCCUCAAGCUCGACGCGCUAGGCUGUGAGGUUGGCUACUCGGCAGUAUGUGUAGGUUGAGAUCUCCGCAUGCACCCAGAGUUCGAACCUCUCAAGGGUUUGCGGAAACCAAAAUCCAACAGAGGUAGUAGCUACUUACAGAUAGAAGAGAAGGUGUGGUGGGGAGAGGCGUUUUGGCUUCCGGGAGCACAUGCUACCGGAUGAAUAGUAACAUGAAAAAAUAGUAAAUAUAUUUAAAAAANNNNNNNNNNNNNNNNNNNNNNNNNNNNNNNNNNNNNNNNNNNNNNNNNNNNNNNNNNNNNNNNNNNNNNNNNNNNNNNNNNNNNNNNNNNNNNNNNNNNNNNNNNNNNNNNNNNNNNNNNNNNNNNNNNNNNNNNNNNNNNNNNNNNNNNNNNNNNNNNNNNNNNNNNNNNNNNNNNNNNNNNNNNNNNNNNNNNNNNNNNNNNNNNNNNNNNNNNNNNNNNNNNNNNNNNNNNNNNNNNNNNNNNNNNNNNNNNNNNNNNNNNNNNNNNNNNNNNNNNNNNNNNNNNNNNNNNNNNNNNNNNNNNNNNNNNNNNNNNNNNNNNNNNNNNNNNNNNNNNNNNNNNNNNNNNNNNNNNNNNNNNNNNNNNNNNNNNNNNNNNNNNNNNNNNNNNNNNNNNNNNNNNNNNNNNNNNNNNNNNNNNNNNNNNNNNNNNNNNNNNNNNNNNNNNNNNNNNNNNNNNNNNNNNNNNNNNNNNNNNNNNNNNNNNNNNNNNNNNNNNNNNNNNNNNNNNNNNNNNNNNNNNNNNNNNNNNNNNNNNNNNNNNNNNNNNNNNNNAAAAAAUUCUAUUUUCUUUUAUGGAUGUUGAAAGCAUGAGUGCUCCCUGGGUGAUUUUGGUAAUUAAUGUCAACAUAUCUCUUGUUGGACUAACAUUUUCAUCUGGUAUAUUUCAGAUGAGUUCAACAAUGGAGUGGAAGGACAAGAGGAUGUGGAACCCCUUCAAGAUUUUAAGGUCAAAUAUUGGCAAAAGCUCAAGAUUCUUCAUUUCUAUUUUAGUGAUACAAGAUCACAUUGAGUCCAUAGGAAAAGCCAAUACUAUUUAAAGGGGAUGAGGUGUUGCUUAAUGGUCCACUUGCUUAAAGUGCUUAGUGAUAUGCCCCAAAGCCCUCAACCACUUUCUCAUAUCCAAAUAUGUCCAAAACCUAAAGUCAAACUCAGCCCCACCACUUUGAUUCAUCCGGCGCCAUUGAUUUCACUGUCAUAGCCACUCCCAGAAACCACAAUUAUUUCGGUCUCACCAAGAUGUCUAAUCGGUCACACCGAGUUUGCUUGACCAAGUCUCUAUUUGCAUAUUGCUGAAAUCGGUCUCACCGAGUUCAUGCGAUCGGUCUCACUGAGAUAAGGUUUUGACCUAACCAUAGCACAUCGGUCCCACCGAGUUGAUCAUAUCGGUCCCACCGAAAAUCCUAACAUUCACAUUUUGAACCAGAUCGGUCCCACCGAGUUUCACUAUUCGGUCUCACCGAGUUUGGUAAAUNNNNNNNNNNNNNNNNNNNNNNNNNNNNNNNNNNNNNNNNNNNNNNNNNNNNNNNNNNNNNNNNNNNNNNNNNNNNNNNNNNNNNNNNNNNNNNNNNNNNNNNNNNNNNNNNNNNNNNNNNNNNNNNNNNNNNNNNNNNNNNNNNNNNNNNNNNNNNNNNNNNNNNNNNNNNNNNNNNNNNNNNNNNNNNNNNNNNNNNNNNNNNNNNNNNNNNNNNNNNNNNNNNNNNNNNNNNNNNNNNNNNNNNNNNNNNNNNNNNNNNNNNNNNNNNNNNNNNNNNNNNNNNNNNNNNNNNNNNNNNNNNNNNNNNNNNNNNNNNNNNNNNNNNNNNNNNNNNNNNNNNNNNNNNNNNNNNNNNNNNNNNNNNNNNNNNNNNNNNNNNNNNNNNNNNNNNNNNNNNNNNNNNNNNNNNNNNNNNNNNNNNNNNNNNNNNNNNNNNNNNNNNNNNNNNNNNNNNNNNNNNNNNNNNNNNNNNNNNNNNNNNNNNNNNNNNNNNNNNNNNNNNNNNNNNNNNNNNNNNNNNNNNNNNNNNNNNNNNNNNNNNNNNNUGAGAGAGAGUUGAGUGUUGGGGAGACUAUCAUUUCAAGCACAAGAGAAAGGAGUUCAUCAUGAACACACCAUCUAUUACCUUGUGGAGAGUGGUAUCUCCUAGAUUGGCUAGGUGGCACUUGGGAGCCUCCGUCAAGAUUGUGGAGUUGAACCAAGAAGUUUGUAAGGGCAAGGAGAUUGCCUACUUCGUGAAGAUCUACUCAACUGAGGCAAGUCCUUCUUGGGCGAUGGCCAUGCUGGGAUAGACAAGGUUGCUUAUUCAUGGACUCUUCGUGGGUGGAGCCCUCCAUGGACUCGCGCAAUCGUUACCCUUCGUGGGUGGAAGUCUCCACCAACGUGGAUGUACGAUAGCACCACCUAUUAGAACCACGCCAAAAAUAUCCGUGUCUUCAAUUGCGUUUGCACACUCGAAUCCCAUCCCAUUACUUUCUUGCCAAUUGCAUGCUGUACUUUCUGCUGCUCAUAUACUCUUGCCAUGCAUGCUUGAAAUGUAUUGUGAAUGUUUAAAAUUGUGCUAUUCUCCAACCUUAACUUGAAGAACUUAAAAAUUGCUACCUUUACUUGUUCAGGUUCUAAUCACCCCCCCNNNNNNNNNNCCCCCCCUUUAGACACCUCUUCUUGAUCCUUUCAAUUGGUAUUAGAGCAUUGGUCUCCAUUUCUUUGGUUUAAGCACCAUUGGAGGAAUAUGGACGAGUCUAUGAUUGGGAGUAUUAGACGUAGAGUGCAUAUGCUUGAUGGAGAGUUCUAUAAUGCUUGGAAAAAUGAGAUGCUUGAGAUUUUCAAUGAAUAUCAAUUGAACAAGUACAUUACUACCCCUUGUGCGUCCCUUGUUGAUCCAUUACAUCCUACCCCCGAUGAGUCUCUCGACAUGAUUCGCAAUCUUAGGACUAUCAAUCUUAUCACUAGAGCAUUGCCUAGAAAUUUGAUUACAUGCUUGCCAACUCUUUAAUGUGCUUACAACAUAUGGAGAUAUCUUGAGGAACGCUUUCCAGACUAUUCCUUGAAAAAUUUAGAUGAGAUUUUUCAUAAGUCCAUUGCUCUAAAUAAGAUGAAUCCUAAUGAUCCUCAGUUUGGUGAUUUUCUAUUUGAACUUUGUGAUCUUAUGCGUGCCAAAGGAGAUGUUGGAAUCAUUAGUAACAUCCUCUUUGAAGUCAUUAGAAUACAUAAAGAUGCAAAUUGUCAUGAUCAUAAAUCUAAUGAAUCACUCUCUCUAGGCAAUGAUCAAUCACAAGAUGAUGUUGAACAUGGAUACUAUGAUGAGGAUGAGGAUAGUGACUUUGAUCUUGAUGAGUCUAUGAGACACUUUGGUCUUAUGGCUAACCUUUGCUGCUACAUGGCUGGAGGAAAGGAAUGGGUUCUUGAUAGUGGAUGUACCGAUUAGAUGACCAGAGACAAGGAUAUGUUUUGUGAGCUUGCUGAAAACAACGACCCUUGAAAGUAUGUCACUUUUGGUGGUAACUAGAAGGGUAAGGUGGUUGGCCUUGGUAAGGUGGCCAUCUCACAUGACAACUCCAUACAAAAUGUUAUACUCGUUGAAUCUCUUGGCUAUAAUUUACUUUCCGUAUCUAGACUAGCCGAUUUCGGUUUCAAUGUCUUAUUUACUGAAGUAGAUUGCCAAGUGUUUCAAAGAGAUAAUCAUAAUAUGGUNNNNNNNNNNNNNNNNNNNNNNNNNNNNNNNNNNNNNNNNNNNNNNNNNNNNNNNNNNNNNNNNNNNNNNNNNNNNNNNNNNNNNNNNNNNNNNNNNNNNNNNNNNNNNNNNNNNNNNNNNNNNNNNNNNNNNNNNNNNNNNNNNNNNNNNNNNNNNNNNNNNNNNNNNNNNNNNNNNNNNNNNNNNNNNNNNNNNNNNNNNNNNNNNNNNNNNNNNNNNNNNNNNNNNNNNNNNNNNNNNNNNNNNNNNNNNNNNNNNNNNNNNNNNNNNNNNNNNNNNNNNNNNNNNNNNNNNNNNNNNNNNNNNNAACAUAACGGAGUUCAAGAAUGCCAAUGUGGACACCUUUCUUGACGACGAAGGGAUUUCACAUGAGUUCUCGGCUAUGUACACGCCUCAACAAAAUGGAGUUGUUGAGAGUAAGAACCGGACUCUUAUUGAGAUGGCGAGAACGAUGCUUGAUGAGUACAAGACACCACAACACUUUUGAGCGAAAGCGGUCGAGACAACUUGUCAUGCAACAAAUCUCCUAUAUCUUCACAAGCUACUCGGCAAGACGGCAUACGAGCUUCUCACCGGUAACAAACCCCAAGUUGGAUACUUUCGAGUAUUCGGCUCAAAGUGCUAUAUUCUUGAUAAGCAUCGUCGUUCGAAGUUUGCUCCUAAAUCUCAUGAAUGUUUCCUAGUCGGUUAUGGCUGAAACUCUCACAGUUACCGUGUCUACAACAAUUUCACCCAAAAGGUUGAGACUGUAGAUGUGAAGUUUGAUGAAUCUAACGGCUCACAAGUAGAGCAAUUGCCAAUUGAUGUAGGUGACAAAGACCCUUCUGAAGAAAUACAAGACUUGUCUAUUGGCGAGAUUCGUCCAACGGAGGUGAAGGAGAGUACCUCGUCCGUCCAAGUGGAAGCCUCAACUUCACGCCAUGGCGAACCACAAGUUGACUUGGAGGCAUUCACAAGUGGAACACAUCAAGAUGAUGGAAACAAGGAUGUACAACAAGAUGAACCUCAUCGACCUCCUUCUCCACCUCCACAAGAGAACAACAACGCCAACGACAAUGAAGAAAGAGAAGAGGAAGAACAAGACAAUGAAGAGGAUGUUCCACCCCAACCCAAACAAAAGCUCUCACGAGUUCGAGCAAGAGUCUCAAGAGAUCACCCCAUCGAACAAAUCUUUGAUGAUAUACAAACCGGGAGAAUUACUCGCUCUAAAACUCGUUUGGCUAACUUUUGUGAACAAUACUCAUUCAUUUCUAGUAUUGUACCUAUGAAGGUUGAAGAUGCCCUUGAUGAUCUGGAUUGGGUGAACGCUAUGCAUGAAGAGAUACACAAUUUCGAGAGGAACCAAGUGUGGACGUUGGUUGAAAAGCCCGAUGAGAAGCGCAAUGUCAUUGGAACCAAAUGGGUGUUUUAGAAUAAGCAAGAUGAAGAUGGAUGAGUUGUACGCAACAAGGCUCGUCUCGUUGCUCAAGGCUACACUCAAGUUGAAGGUAUGGACUAUGGUGAGACAUAUGUGAUAACCCACAAGUAUAGGGCAUCGCUAUAGUUUUCGAGGGUAGAGUAGUCAACCCAAAUUUAUUGAUUCGACACAAGGGGAGGAGCCAAAGAAUAUGCUCAAGUAUUAGCAGCUGAGUUGUCAAUUCAACCACACUUGAAAGACUUAAUAUCUGCAGCAAAGUAUUUAGUAGCAAAGUAGUAUGGAAGUAAGGGUAACAAUGGCAAAAGUAAUAGUAGCAGUUUUGUAGCAAUCAUAAUAGUGGCAACGGAAUAGUAACUUAGCAAAGAUCAAUAUGAAACAAGCUCAUAGGCAAUGGAUCAAUGAUGGAUAACUAUGUCAGAUGGCAUUCAUCAUGCAACAGUUAUAACAUAGGGUGACACAGAACUAGUUCCAAUUCAUCAAUAUAAUGUAGGCAUGUAUUCCAAAUAUAGUCAUAUGUGCUUUUGUAAAAGAACUUGCAUGACAUCUUUUGUCCUACCCUCCCGUGGCAGCGGGGUCCUAAUGGAAACUAAGGGAUAUAAAGGCCUCCUUUUAAUAGAGAACUGGACCAAAGCAUUAACACUUAGUGAAUACAUGAACUCCUCAAACUAUGGUCAUCAUCGAGAAGUGUCCCGACAAUUGUCACUCCGGGGUUUACCGGAUCAUAACACGUAGUAGGUGACUAUAACUUGCAAGAUAAGAUCAAGAACACUCAAUAUUCAUGAAAAGACAAUAGGUUCAGAUCUGAAAUCAUGGCACUAGGGCCCUAGUGACAAGCAUUAAGCAUGACAAAGUCAUUACAACAUCAAUCUUAGAACAUAAUGGAUACUAGGGAUCAAACCCUAACAAAACUAACUCGAUUACAUGGUAAAUCUCAUCCAACCCAUCACCGUCCAACAAGCCUACAAUGGAAUUACUCACGCAGGGCGGUGAGCAUCAUGAAAUUGGUGAUGGUGGAUGGUUGAUGAUGAAGAUGGCGACAGAUUCCCCUCUCCGGAGCCUCGAACGGACUCCAUAUUAGCCCUCCAAAGGAAGAAUAGGGCUUGGCGGCGGCUCCGUAUCGUAAAACGCGAUGAAUCCUUCUCUCUAUUUUUUUCUCCCCGAACGUGAAUAUAUGGAGUUGGAGUUGAGGUCGGUGGAGGUCCAGGGGGCCCACGAGGUAGGAGGGCACGCCCAGGGGGUAGGGUGCGCCCCCACCCUCAUGGCCAGGGUGUGGGGCCCCUUCGGUUGAUUCUUUCACCAGUAUUUUUUUAAUUCCAAAAAGUGUCUCCGUGAAGUUUUAGGUCAUUCCGAGAACUUUUAUUUCUCCACAAAAAUAACACCAUGUCAAUUCUGCUGUAAACACCGUCAGUCCGGGUUAGUUCCAUCCAAAUCAUGCAAAUUAGAGUCCAAAACAAGGGCAAAAGAGUUUGGAAAAGUAGAUACGUUGGAGAUGUAUCAACUCCCCCAAGCUUAACCCAUUGCUUGUCCUCAAGCAAUGCAGUUGACAAACUGGAAGUGAUAAAUAAAAACUUUUACAAACUCUAUUUGAUCUUGUUGUUGCAAAUAUGUAAAACCAACAUUCAAGUUUUCAGCAAAGAUUAUGAACUAACCAUAUUCACAAUAACAUUUAGGUCUCAUGUUUACCCAUAUCAAUGUCAUAAUCAACUAGCGAGUAGUAAUAAUAAAUCUCGGAUGACAACACUUUCUCAAAACAAUCAUGAUAUGAUAUAACAGGAUGGUAUCUCGCUAGCCCUUUCUAACACCGCAAACCAUAAAUGCAGAGCACCCCUGAAGAUCAAGGACUGACUAGACAUUGUAAUUCAUGGCAAAAGAGAUCCAGUCACAGUCAUACUGAAUAUUAAUUAAUAACAAUGAAUAUAAAUGAAAGUGGUGCUCUCCAACUNNNNNNNNNNGCUGGUCAGGACUGUAUUCCUCUUCGGUACUGUCCGGAUCAUCUCCGGGACCGGUAUUGAUGUGGCAGGGCUUGGAGUGGCGUCGGAGAUGCCCAUAUGUUGCUUUUCCUCCGGGGGGGUUGUCCUCCCCUGCCUCGUCGCCGUUGGUUUCUUUCGGAGUGUCCACCGUGUAUAUAUCAUUAGAAGGGGUGGCUGUCCACCGCCCUGUGAGCGGUGGCUCUUGUAUGUCUCCUGCAUCGUCGUCCAUACCGUCGAUGUCUUCGAAGUCGAAGUCGAGCACGUCGGUUAAAUCGUUGAUCGUGGCGACAAAGUGGGUGGUGGGUGGGUAGCAAAUUCCUUCGUCGCUGCUUCCCACUCCAGCCGAACAUAGUUCGGCCCAGAGUCUCUUGACAAAGAGAGAGACUUCAAUGAGUUCAUCAUGUCGCCAAAGGGUGAGUGCUGAAAGAUGUCCGCAGCGGUAAACUCCAUUACCGGAGCCCAACCUGGCUCGGCUGCCUCGAGAGUGAGCGGACCAGGACCAACAACCAGAUAUGAGUCCGAGGGUCCGGGGUUACACGCCUACACAGCGGUGGGACCCAUGUUCGGCUCCACCGCCGAUAAGUGUGCGGCCUACAGAGCGGGGUCUAGCCCUCCGUCCAUAGGCAACGUGACUUGCCCUAGAUUUAGAUCCAAGGCUGCUUUGGGAAUGAUGUCCCGGACACUGUCCGACAGCAGGUCUAGGCCGUGCUCGUCGUGGCUGUCCGGCGCUCCUGGCGCAGGCUUGAAUCCGUCGAAGCUCAAGUCUCCGAACCUGAUUUUGUGGCCAAGGGCGAAGCUGUCGAUCUUCUCCAUCCGGCCAAGCGAAUUGGCCCGCAGUGCGAAGCCGCCGAACACAAAGAUCUGUCCGGGGUGAAAAGUCUCGCCCUGGAGCGUGUUGUCGACGAUUGAAGACGCCAUCAAGCCUCGAAGCGACGACACAGAGGAACUCUCAAUGAAAUCACCAAUGUCGGUGUCAAAACCGGCGGAUCUCAGGUAGGGGGUCCUGAUCUAUGCGUCUUAGGCUGAUGGUAACAGGAAGCAAGGGACACAAUGUUUACCCAGGUUCGGGCCCUCUCGAUGGAGGUAAAACCCUACUUCCUGCUUGAUUAAUAUUGAAGAUGUGUGGAAUACAAGAGUAGAUCUACCACGAGAUCGUAGAGGCUAAACCCUAAGAGCUAGCCUAUGAUGGUAUGAUUGUAAUUGUGAUCAGCCUUCUAAGGACCAUCCUCUCCGGUUUAUAUAGACACCGGAGAGCUAGGGUUUACAUGGAGUCGGUUACAAGGAAGGAAACAUAAUAUCCGGAUUGCUAAGCUUGUCUUCCACGCAAAGGAGAGUCCCAUCCGGACACGAGCCGAAGUCUUGAGUCUUGUAUCUUGACGCUUCUAUAGUCCGGACAAUGAAUAUAGUCCGGUGGUCUGGAUACCCCCUUAUCCAGGACUCCCUCAGCUGCUGCAGCAGCCGUCAGCCUGGAGCCAGAGGCCGUCGAGCCCUNNNNNNNNNNNNNNNNNNNNNNNNNNNNNNNNNNNNNNNNNNNNNNNNNNNNNNNNNNNNNNNNNNNNNNNNNNNNNNNNNNNNNNNNNNNNNNNNNNNNNNNNNNNNNNNNNNNNNNNNNNNNNNNNNNNNNNNNNNNNNNNNNNNNNNNNNNNNNNNNNNNNNNNNNNNNNNNNNNNNNNNNNNNNNNNNNNNNNNNNNNNNNNNNNNNNNNNNNNNNNNNNNNNNNNNNNNNNNNNNNNNNNNNNNNNNNNNNNNNNNNNNNNNNNNNNNNNNNNNNNNNNNNNNNNNNNNNNNNNNNNNNNNNNNNNNNNNNNNNNNNNNNNNNNNNNNNNNNNNNNNNNNNNNNNNNNNNNNNNNNNNNNNNNNNNNNNNNNNNNNNNNNNNNNNNNNNNNNNNNNNNNNNNNNNNNNNNNNNNNNNNNNNNNNNNNNNNNNNNNNNNNNNNNNNNNNNNNNNNNNNNNNNNNNNNNNNNNNNNNNNNNNNNNNNNNNNNNNNNNNNNNNNNNNNNNNNNNNNNNNNNNNNNNNNNNNNNNNNNNNNNNNNNNNNNNNNNNNNNNNNNNNNNNNNNNNNNNNNNNNNNNNNNNNNNNNNNNNNNNNNNNNNNNNNNNNNNNNNNNNNNNNNNNNNNNNNNNNNNNNNNNNNNNNNNNNNNNNNNNNNNNNNNNNNNNNNNNNNNNNNNNNNNNNNNNNNNNNNNNNNNNNNNNNNNNNNNNNNNNNNNNNNNNNNNNNNNNNNNNNNNNNNNNNNNNNNNNNNNNNNNNNNNNNNNNNNNNNNNNNNNNNNNNNNNNNNNNNNNNNNNNNNNNNNNNNNNNNNNNNNNNNNNNNNNNNNNNNNNNNNNNNNNNNNNNNNNNNNNNNNNNNNNNNNNNNNNNNNNNNNNNNNNNNNNNNNNNNNNNNNNNNNNNNNNNNNNNNNNNNNNNNNNNNNNNNNNNNNNNNNNNNNNNNNNNNNNNNNNNNNNNNNNNNNNNNNNNNNNNNNNNNNNNNNNNNNNNNNNNNNNNNNNNNNNNNNNNNNNNNNNNNNNNNNNNNNNNNNNNNNNNNNNNNNNNNNNNNNNNNNNNNNNNNNNNNNNNNNNNNNNNNNNNNNNNNNNNNNNNNNNNNNNNNNNNNNNNNNNNNNNNNNNNNNNNNNNNNNNNNNNNNNNNNNNNNNNNNNNNNNNNNNNNNNNNNNNNNNNNNNNNNNNNNNNNNNNNNNNNNNNNNNNNNNNNNNNNNNNNNNNNNNNNNNNNNNNNNNNNNNNNNNNNNNNNNNNNNNNNNNNNNNNNNNNNNNNNNNNNNNNNNNNNNNNNNNNNNNNNNNNNNNNNNNNNNNNNNNNNNNNNNNNNNNNNNNNNNNNNNNNNNNNNNNNNNNNNNNNNNNNNNNNNNNNNNNNNNNNNNNNNNNNNNNNNNNNNNNNNNNNNNNNNNNNNNNNNNNNNNNNNNNNNNNNNNNNNNNNNNNNNNNNNNNNNNNNNNNNNNNNNNNNNNNNNNNNNNNNNNNNNNNNNNNNNNNNNNNNNNNNNNNNNNNNNNNNNNNNNNNNNNNNNNNNNNNNNNNNNNNNNNNNNNNNNNNNNNNNNNNNNNNNNNNNNNNNNNNNNNNNNNNNNNNNNNNNNNNNNNNNNNNNNNNNNNNNNNNNNNNNNNNNNNNNNNNNNNNNNNNNNNNNNNNNNNNNNNNNNNNNNNNNNNNNNNNNNNNNNNNNNNNNNNNNNNNNNNNNNNNNNNNNNNNNNNNNNNNNNNNNNNNNNNNNNNNNNNNNNNNNNNNNNNNNNNNNNNNNNNNNNNNNNNNNNNNNNNNNNNNNNNNNNNNNNNNNNNNNNNNNNNNNAAAAAAUUCUAUUUUCUUUUAUGGAUGUUGAAAGCAUGAGUGCUCCCUGGGUGAUUUUGGUAAUUAAUGUCAACAUAUCUCUUGUUGGACUAACAUUUUCAUCUGGUAUAUUUCAGAUGAGUUCAACAAUGGAGUGGAAGGACAAGAGGAUGUGGAACCCCUUCAAGAUUUUAAGGUCAAAUAUUGGCAAAAGCUCAAGAUUCUUCAUUUCUAUUUUAGUGAUACAAGAUCACAUUGAGUCCAUAGGAAAAGCCAAUACUAUUUAAAGGGGAUGAGGUGUUGCUUAAUGGUCCACUUGCUUAAAGUGCUUAGUGAUAUGCCCCAAAGCCCUCAACCACUUUCUCAUAUCCAAAUAUGUCCAAAACCUAAAGUCAAACUCAGCCCCACCACUUUGAUUCAUCCGGCGCCAUUGAUUUCACUGUCAUAGCCACUCCCAGAAACCACAAUUAUUUCGGUCUCACCAAGAUGUCUAAUCGGUCACACCGAGUUUGCUUGACCAAGUCUCUAUUUGCAUAUUGCUGAAAUCGGUCUCACCGAGUUCAUGCGAUCGGUCUCACUGAGAUAAGGUUUUGACCUAACCAUAGCACAUCGGUCCCACCGAGUUGAUCAUAUCGGUCCCACCGAAAAUCCUAACAUUCACAUUUUGAACCAGAUCGGUCCCACCGAGUUUCACUAUUCGGUCUCACCGAGUUUGGUAAAUUGUGUGUAACGACUAGAUUUUGUGUGGAGGCUAUAUAUACCCCUCCACACCCUUUCCCAGUUGAGAGAGAGCCAUCAGAACAUGCAUACACUUCCACUACUCAUUUUCUGAGAGAGAACCACCUACUCAUGUGUUGAGACCAAGACAUUCCAAUACUAUCACAAGAAUUUUGAUCUCUAUCCUUCCCCAACUUGCUUUCCACUCAAAUCAUCUUUCCACCAUAUUCAAAUCCGUGAGAGAGAGUUGAGUGUUGGGGAGACUAUCAUUUCAAGCACAAGAGAAAGGAGUUCAUCAUGAACACACCAUCUAUUACCUUGUGGAGAGUGGUAUCUCCUAGAUUGGCUAGGUGGCACUUGGGAGCCUCCGUCAAGAUUGUGGAGUUGAACCAAGAAGUUUGUAAGGGCAAGGAGAUUGCCUACUUCGUGAAGAUCUACUCAACUGAGGCAAGUCCUUCUUGGGCGAUGGCCAUGCUGGGAUAGACAAGGUUGCUUAUUCAUGGACUCUUCGUGGGUGGAGCCCUCCAUGGACUCGCGCAAUCGUUACCCUUCGUGGGUGGAAGUCUCCACCAACGUGGAUGUACGAUAGCACCACCUAUUAGAACCACGCCAAAAAUAUCCGUGUCUUCAAUUGCGUUUGCACACUCGAAUCCCAUCCCAUUACUUUCUUGCCAAUUGCAUGCUGUACUUUCUGCUGCUCAUAUACUCUUGCCAUGCAUGCUUGAAAUGUAUUGUGAAUGUUUAAAAUUGUGCUAUUCUCCAACCUUAACUUGAAGAACUUAAAAAUUGCUACCUUUACUUGUUCAGGUUCUAAUCACCCCCCCUUUAGACACCUCUUCUUGAUCCUUUCAAUUGGUAUUAGAGCAUUGGUCUCCAUUUCUUUGGUUUAAGCACCAUUGGAGGAAUAUGGACGAGUCUAUGAUUGGGAGUAUUAGACGUAGAGUGCAUAUGCUUGAUGGAGAGUUCUAUAAUGCUUGGAAAAAUGAGAUGCUUGAGAUUUUCAAUGAAUAUCAAUUGAACAAGUACAUUACUACCCCUUGUGCGUCCCUUGUUGAUCCAUUACAUCCUACCCCCGAUGAGUCUCUCGACAUGAUUCGCAAUCUUAGGACUAUCAAUCUUAUCACUAGAGCAUUGCCUAGAAAUUUGAUUACAUGCUUGCCAACUCUUUAAUGUGCUUACAACAUAUGGAGAUAUCUUGAGGAACGCUUUCCAGACUAUUCCUUGAAAAAUUUAGAUGAGAUUUUUCAUAAGUCCAUUGCUCUAAAUAAGAUGAAUCCUAAUGAUCCUCAGUUUGGUGAUUUUCUAUUUGAACUUUGUGAUCUUAUGCGUGCCAAAGGAGAUGUUGGAAUCAUUAGUAACAUCCUCUUUGAAGUCAUUAGAAUACAUAAAGAUGCAAAUUGUCAUGAUCAUAAAUCUAAUGAAUCACUCUCUCUAGGCAAUGAUCAAUCACAAGAUGAUGUUGAACAUGGAUACUAUGAUGAGGAUGAGGAUAGUGACUUUGAUCUUGAUGAGUCUAUGAGACACUUUGGUCUUAUGGCUAACCUUUGCUGCUACAUGGCUGGAGGAAAGGAAUGGGUUCUUGAUAGUGGAUGUACCGAUUAGAUGACCAGAGACAAGGAUAUGUUUUGUGAGCUUGCUGAAAACAACGACCCUUGAAAGUAUGUCACUUUUGGUGGUAACUAGAAGGGUAAGGUGGUUGGCCUUGGUAAGGUGGCCAUCUCACAUGACAACUCCAUACAAAAUGUUAUACUCGUUGAAUCUCUUGGCUAUAAUUUACUUUCCGUAUCUAGACUAGCCGAUUUCGGUUUCAAUGUCUUAUUUACUGAAGUAGAUUGCCAAGUGUUUCAAAGAGAUAAUCAUAAUAUGGUAUUUACUGGUAUACAUAGAGGCGAUCUAUACAUUGUUAAUUUCACUAAAAAGGCUCAACCUAAAACUUUCUUAAUUGCUAAAUCUUCCAAAGGUUGGUUGUGGCAUAGACAGUUAGGUCAUGUGGGCAUGCGAAAUCUUGACAAGCUUAUUAAAGGUGAUCAUAUCCUUGGUGUUAAAGAUGUUAUAUUUGACAAGGAUAGACUUUGGAGUGCUUGCCAAGCAGGAAAACAAGUUGCAGGAAGUCAUCCCGUGAAGAACAUCAUGACCACGAGAAGACCACUCGAGCUACUUCACAUGGAUCUUUUUGGUCCCAACGCCUACAAGAGUCUUGGUGGUAACUCGUUCGGAUUGGUCAUUGUUGAUGAUUUUUCAAGAUUUACCUGGGUAUUCUUUCUUGAUGAUAAAUCACAUGUCCAAAAGAUCUUCAAGAACUUUGCUAGGAAGGCCCAAAAUCAAUUUGAAGUGAAGAUCAAGAAGGUUCGUAGUGAUAACAUAACGGAGUUCAAGAAUGCCAAUGUGGACACCUUUCUUGACGACGAAGGGAUUUCACAUGAGUUCUCGGCUAUGUACACGCCUCAACAAAAUGGAGUUGUUGAGAGUAAGAACCGGACUCUUAUUGAGAUGGCGAGAACGAUGCUUGAUGAGUACAAGACACCACAACACUUUUGAGCGAAAGCGGUCGAGACAACUUGUCAUGCAACAAAUCUCCUAUAUCUUCACAAGCUACUCGGCAAGACGGCAUACGAGCUUCUCACCGGUAACAAACCCCAAGUUGGAUACUUUCGAGUAUUCGGCUCAAAGUGCUAUAUUCUUGAUAAGCAUCGUCGUUCGAAGUUUGCUCCUAAAUCUCAUGAAUGUUUCCUAGUCGGUUAUGGCUGAAACUCUCACAGUUACCGUGUCUACAACAAUUUCACCCAAAAGGUUGAGACUGUAGAUGUGAAGUUUGAUGAAUCUAACGGCUCACAAGUAGAGCAAUUGCCAAUUGAUGUAGGUGACAAAGACCCUUCUGAAGAAAUACAAGACUUGUCUAUUGGCGAGAUUCGUCCAACGGAGGUGAAGGAGAGUACCUCGUCCGUCCAAGUGGAAGCCUCAACUUCACGCCAUGGCGAACCACAAGUUGACUUGGAGGCAUUCACAAGUGGAACACAUCAAGAUGAUGGAAACAAGGAUGUACAACAAGAUGAACCUCAUCGACCUCCUUCUCCACCUCCACAAGAGAACAACAACGCCAACGACAAUGAAGAAAGAGAAGAGGAAGAACAAGACAAUGAAGAGGAUGUUCCACCCCAACCCAAACAAAAGCUCUCACGAGUUCGAGCAAGAGUCUCAAGAGAUCACCCCAUCGAACAAAUCUUUGAUGAUAUACAAACCGGGAGAAUUACUCGCUCUAAAACUCGUUUGGCUAACUUUUGUGAACAAUACUCAUUCAUUUCUAGUAUUGUACCUAUGAAGGUUGAAGAUGCCCUUGAUGAUCUGGAUUGGGUGAACGCUAUGCAUGAAGAGAUACACAAUUUCGAGAGGAACCAAGUGUGGACGUUGGUUGAAAAGCCCGAUGAGAAGCGCAAUGUCAUUGGAACCAAAUGGGUGUUUUAGAAUAAGCAAGAUGAAGAUGGAUGAGUUGUACGCAACAAGGCUCGUCUCGUUGCUCAAGGCUACACUCAAGUUGAAGGUAUGGACUAUGGUGAGACAUAUGUGAUAACCCACAAGUAUAGGGCAUCGCUAUAGUUUUCGAGGGUAGAGUAGUCAACCCAAAUUUAUUGAUUCGACACAAGGGGAGGAGCCAAAGAAUAUGCUCAAGUAUUAGCAGCUGAGUUGUCAAUUCAACCACACUUGAAAGACUUAAUAUCUGCAGCAAAGUAUUUAGUAGCAAAGUAGUAUGGAAGUAAGGGUAACAAUGGCAAAAGUAAUAGUAGCAGUUUUGUAGCAAUCAUAAUAGUGGCAACGGAAUAGUAACUUAGCAAAGAUCAAUAUGAAACAAGCUCAUAGGCAAUGGAUCAAUGANNNNNNNNNNCUACAAUGGAAUUACUCACGCAGGGCGGUGAGCAUCAUGAAAUUGGUGAUGGUGGAUGGUUGAUGAUGAAGAUGGCGACAGAUUCCCCUCUCCGGAGCCUCGAACGGACUCCAUAUUAGCCCUCCAAAGGAAGAAUAGGGCUUGGCGGCGGCUCCGUAUCGUAAAACGCGAUGAAUCCUUCUCUCUAUUUUUUUCUCCCCGAACGUGAAUAUAUGGAGUUGGAGUUGAGGUCGGUGGAGGUCCAGGGGGCCCACGAGGUAGGAGGGCACGCCCAGGGGGUAGGGUGCGCCCCCACCCUCAUGGCCAGGGUGUGGGGCCCCUUCGGUUGAUUCUUUCACCAGUAUUUUUUUAAUUCCAAAAAGUGUCUCCGUGAAGUUUUAGGUCAUUCCGAGAACUUUUAUUUCUCCACAAAAAUAACACCAUGUCAAUUCUGCUGUAAACACCGUCAGUCCGGGUUAGUUCCAUCCAAAUCAUGCAAAUUAGAGUCCAAAACAAGGGCAAAAGAGUUUGGAAAAGUAGAUACGUUGGAGAUGUAUCAACUCCCCCAAGCUUAACCCAUUGCUUGUCCUCAAGCAAUGCAGUUGACAAACUGGAAGUGAUAAAUAAAAACUUUUACAAACUCUAUUUGAUCUUGUUGUUGCAAAUAUGUAAAACCAACAUUCAAGUUUUCAGCAAAGAUUAUGAACUAACCAUAUUCACAAUAACAUUUAGGUCUCAUGUUUACCCAUAUCAAUGUCAUAAUCAACUAGCGAGUAGUAAUAAUAAAUCUCGGAUGACAACACUUUCUCAAAACAAUCAUGAUAUGAUAUAACAGGAUGGUAUCUCGCUAGCCCUUUCUAACACCGCAAACCAUAAAUGCAGAGCACCCCUGAAGAUCAAGGACUGACUAGACAUUGUAAUUCAUGGCAAAAGAGAUCCAGUCACAGUCAUACUGAAUAUUAAUUAAUAACAAUGAAUAUAAAUGAAAGUGGUGCUCUCCAACUAGUGCUUCUUAUUAGAGGAUGAUGACUCAACAUAAAAGUAAAUAGAUAGGCCCUUCAUAGAGGGAAACAUGGAUUUGCAUAGGUGCUAGAGCUCGAGGUUUGUAACAGAGAUAAAUAAUAUUUUGAGUGGCGUACUUUCAUUGUAAAAUCAAGAGAUCUCGAUAUCUUCCAUGCUACAUACAUUAUAGGCGGUUUCCAAACAGAAUGGUAAAGUUUAUACUCCCCCACCACCAACAAGCACAUUCAACUGCUGGUCCGAAACAGCGGGUACCGUCCAACUAACAACAAUCCUGGGGGAGUUUUGUUUUCAAUUAUUUUGAUUUGAUUUGAGCAUGGGAUUGGGCAUCCCAGUUACCAGCCAUUUUCUCAUGAAUGAUGAGCGGAGUCCACUCAUCGUGAGAAUAACCCAACUAGGAUGGAAGAUAUAGACAUCUCUAGUUGUUACAUGAGCGAUUUGAGCAUACAAAACAGAAUUUCAUUUGAAGGUUUAGAGUUUGGCACAUGAAAAUUUACUUGGAACGGCAGGUAAAUACCGCAUAUAGGUAGGUAUGGUGGACUCUUAUGGAAUAACUUUGGGGUUUAUGGAAGUGGGUGCACAAGCAGUAUUCCCGCUUAGUACAGGUGAAGGCUAGAAAGAGACAGGGAAGCAACCAACUAGAGAGCGACACAGUCGUAAACAUGCAUUAGGAUUAACCAACAAUGAGUGCAAGCAUGAGUAGGAUAUAAAUCACCAUGAACAUACAUUUCAUGGAGGCUAUGUUGAUUUUGUUUCAACUACAUGCAUGAACAUGUGCCAAGACAAGUCACUCGAAUCAUUCAAAGGAGGAUACCAUCCUAUCAUACUACAUCACAACCAUUUUAAUAGCAUGUUGCACGCAAGGUAAACCAUUAUAAACUCCUAGCUAAUUAAGCAUGGCACGAGUAACUAUAAUCUCUAAUGGUCAUUGCAAACAUGUUUCAUUCAUAAUAGGCUGAAUCAGGAAUGAUUAACUAAUUGUAUUUACAAAAACAAGAUAGGUCGAGUUCAUACCAGCUUUUCCUCAUCUCAAUCAUUUCAUCAUAUAUUGUCAUUAUUGCCUUUCACUUGCACGACCGAACAGUGUGGAUAACAAUAAUAGUGCAUGUGCAUUGGACUAAGCUGGAAUCUGCAAACAUUUAAUUCAAAGGAGAAGACAAGGUAAUGUGGGCUCUUUGUUAGAUCAACAAUAAUGCAUAUGAUAGCCACUCAUCAUUUUCAUCAUGGUCUUCUCCUCUCGGCCCCCAAAGAAAAGAAAAGAAUUUCAAAGAAUGAGAAAAACUAUUUACAUGUGAAAGCUCCCAACAAACGGAAGAAGAACGAGAAAUCUUUUUGGGUUUUCUUAUUGAUACUACUACUACAAGCAUGCAAAGUAAACUAGCUAAAAGCUAUUACUAUUUUUUUUGGUUUUUCUCAAAGUUUUUCAAACACACAAGAAGAAAGCAGGAAAAGAAAAUAAACUAGCAUGGAUAGUACAAUGAAAAAGUAUGAACACCGACAACUAGAAUGAGUGUGUGAACAUGAAUGUAAUGUCGGUGAGAAAUACGCACCCCCCAAGCUUAGGAUUUUGGCCUAAGUUGGUCUAAGAACACCACUGGCCCAGAUGAUAUCUGUCAUCUUAGUUGAGGUCGUACUGUGCUGCGGCAGCUGCCGCCUGACAAGCUGCUUCCCAGAGACGAGCGGCCUCUACUGAUCACUCAUGCUCGUUUGCCUCCUCUUUGGUUAUAACAUAUCUCUCAUUUGCCUAAAAGUUAAAGAAUAAAGGAGCAAGCAGGGUAAUAAUGACAACAUGCCGUCUGUGAAAGAUUAGUUGGUACUGGAGGGACUGAUCAUUCCUCUCAAGAAACUGGUAGCGGACCAUAGCAUUAUAAUCUAGAAAAGCAGGUGGCAACUCAAUAUCAUUUUCUCUUAUGGAUACCCCAAGAUAAUCAGCUAAAUGAGUUGCACAAAUCCCACCAAAUAAAUCUCCAUCUUUAGCAUUAAGAUGUAACCCUAACGCAACAAUGGCCCCCAAGUUAUGUCUCUUAUCACCUAAUACUGCACUCUUGAGGACACUAAGAUCUAGGACACAAAUGUGGCUAUGCUCAUGCUUACCGUUAAUGCAUCUUCCUAUAAAGAGAGCAAAGUAAUGUAUGGCACAAAAAUGAAUGCUCCCUAUGGUAGCUUGUGUGAUAUUUCUAGUUUCCCCCACAGUGAUCCAAGCAAGGAAAUCAUUAUAUUCAAAUUUGUGAGGUUCACUAAAGAUGCCCCACUGUGGGAUUUUGCAAGCAGUAUUAAAAUCUUCAAGGUCCAUGGUAUAUGAUGUAUCAUAGAGGUCAAAUAUAACAGUCUGAGUGUUGCGCUUAGAUGAAAAGUGAAACCUCCGCACAAAGGAAACAAUGAGGUAAUAAUAUUAUCGGCACUUAUCUGAUAUUAAGUCCUCAAGAUCAUCAUUCUGCACAUACGCAUCGAAUUCAUCCUUGAAGCCUGCUUGGACCAUAGAUUCAUCAAAUGACCAUUCAUAAGGCCGCACUUGAGCUUCCCUUCAUGAUUCGAGGUCCAACUCACGUACCGCAAGCCUUGGUGCUUGCUUCCUUGAAGAACCACCUUGAUAUAUUUUCCUAAACAUUUUUCUUCCUCUAAAAAUGUCUGAAUAUUUAGUGACUCAAAAUAAAAGUGAAGCAAACUCAACAAGAUUGAUAGCAACUACUCCCACAAGUGCAUAGAGACUAUAUCAUGCAUUCAAACUACUUUGGACCAUAUAAAUUUGACAUGCAAGCUCAAGAACAAGGUCACCACAGCAGCAAAAAUUUGCAAUAGAUAAAGCACUAGAACAAAAACUAAUUGGGCCAUUGGAGGAGUCACAUACCAAAGAACAACCCCCCAAAGCAGUUUUGUGAAUGGAGCUUUGAGAAAGGAGAUCGAAAAUGGCAGCAAAAUGAGCAAGAACAUGAGUUUGAGCUACAGGAUGAUUUUUCUGGAGGAAGACGAAGCGGAUGGGUGCUGGAAUAAGUGGAGGGGGCCACGUGGGGUGCACAAGGUAGGGGGCACGCCCUCCACCCUCGUGGCUCACUGGUGCAUCCCCCUAGUGUGUUCUAAGUGCCAGAAAUUCUCAAAUAUUCUAUAAAAAAGCAUACUAAAUUUUCAGGGCAUUUGGAUUACUUUUAUUUUCGGGGUGUUUUUUAUUGCAUGGAUAAUUCAAAAAAUAGACAGAAAAUACUAUUUUUGCUUUAUUUAAACUAAAUAGCAGAAAGUAAAAUGAGGGUACAGAAGGUUGUGCUUUCUAACUUCAUCCAUCUCAUGCUCGUCAAAAGGAAUCCACUAACAAGGUUGAUCAAGUCUUGUUAACAAACUUCUUUCGAAUGACAUGAAACCGGAGAAUUUUUGAAUAACACUAGGUUACCUCAACGGGGAUAUGCAUGUCCCCAACAAUAAGAAUAUCAUAUUUCUUUUUGACAGUAGGAAUAUGGAAUUGGAAACCUCCAAUAGUAAUAGUUGGAAAUUUUCCAAUAGAAUUUAUACUAUGAACUUGAGGUUGUUUCUUCGGAAAGUGUAUCAUAUGCUCAUUACCAUUAACAUGAAAAGUGACAUUGCCCUUGUUGCAAUCAAUAACAACCCCUGCAGUAUUCAAAAAGGGUCUACCAAGGAUGAUCGACAUACUGUUGUCCUAGGGAAUAUCAAGAAUAACAAAGUCCCUUAAGAUAGUAACGUUUGCAACCACAACAGGAACAUCCUCACAAAUACCAAUGGGAUAGCAUUUUAUUUAUCAGCCAUUUGCAAAGAGAUUUCAGUAGGUGUCAACCUAUUCAAAUCAAGUCUAUGAUAUAAAGAGAAAGGCAUAACACUAACACCAACUCCAAGAUCACAUAAAUCAGUUUUAACAUAGUUUCUUUUAAUGGAGCAUGAUAUAGUUGGUACUCCUGGAUCUCCAAGUUUCUUUGGUAUUCCACCCUUAAAAGUAUAAUUAGCAAGCAUCGUGGAAAUUUCAGCUUCCGGUAUCUUUCUUUUAUUUGUAACAAUAUCUUUCAUAUACUUACCAUAAGGAUGCAUUUGAAGCAUAUCAGUCAAACGCAUACGCAAAAAGAUAGGUCUAAUCAUUUCAGCGAAGUGCUCAAAAUCCUCAUCAUCCUUCUUCUUUGAUGGCUUAGGAGGAAAAGACAUGGGUUUCUAAACCCGUGGUUCUCUUUCUUUACCAUGCUUCCUAGCAACAAAGUCUCUCUUAUCAUAAUGUUGAUUCUUUGAUUGUGGGUUAUCAAGAUCAACACUAGGUUCAACUUCCACAUCAUUAUCAUUACUAGGUUGAGUAUCAAGAUGAACAUCAUAAUUAACAUUAUCACUAGGUUCAUGUUUUUUGCCAGAUUGUGUUUCAUCAUGAGAAAUAGAAAUAUCAUUGGGAUUCUCAGGUGUGUCAAUAACAGGUUCACUAUAAGCAUGCAAAGUCCUAUCAUUAUUCUUUUUCUUUUUAUUAGAAGGACUAGGUGUAUCAGUAUUAAUUCUCUAAGAGUCUUGCUCAAAUCUCUUAGGAUGCCCUCGGGAUACAAAGGUUCCUAGGUCAUUUUUCCACCUAUAGUCAUGACUCUAACAACAUUAUCAUUAUUCUUAUUAUUCAACUCAUUGAUCAAAUCAUCUUGUGCCUUAAGUACUUGUUCUACUUGUGUUGUAACCAUGGAAGCAUGUUUACUAAUAAGCUAAAGCUCACUUUUAACUCCAGACAUAUAAUCACUCAAGUGUUUAACCAUAUAAGCAUUAGUUUCAAUUGUUACCAACAUAAGCAUUGAAGUUUUCUUGUUUAACAAUAAAAUUAUCAAACUCAUCCAAGCAUUGGCUAGCAGACUUAUUAUGAGGAAUAUCACCUUCCUCAAAUCUAUAGAGAGAAUUUACCUUUACUACCUAUGUCGGGUUAUCAAGACCAUGUAUUUAUUCAAUAGGCAGUAAAUUCUUAACAUCUUCAACUUUAAUACCUUUUUCUUUCAUAGAUUUCUUUGCUUCUUGCAUAUCUCCAGGACUGAGAAAUAGAAUACCCCUUUUCUUUGGAGUUGGCUUAGGAGUUGGUUCAGGAAGUGUCCAAUCAUUGUCAUUACUCAAUAUAUUAUUCAAUAGCAAUUCAGCUUGCUCGAUAGUUCUUUCCCUAAAAACACAACGAACACAACUAUCCAGGUGGUCUCUGGAAGCAUCAGCUAGUCCAUUAUAAAAGAUAUCAAGUAUUUCAUUUUUCUUGAGAGGAUGAUCAGGCAAAGCAUUAAGUAAUUGGAUAUGCCUCCCCCAAGCUUGUGGGAGACUCUCUUCUUCAACUUGCACAAAGUUAAAUAUUUCCCUUAAGGCAACUUGUUUCUUAUGAGAGGGAAAAUAUUUUGCAGCGAAGUAAUAAACCAUAUCCUGGGGACUACACACACAACCAGGAGCAAGAGAAUUAAACCAUAUCUUAACAUCACCAUUUAAUGAGAAAGGAAACAAUUUAAGAACUAGCAAAUUUUUUCCUCAUGAGUAAAUAGGGUGGCUAUAUCAUUCAAUUUAGUAAGAUGUGCCACAACAAUUUCAGAUUCAUAGCCAUAGAAAGGAUCAGAUUCAAACAAAGUAAUUAACUCAGGAUCGACAGAGAAUUCAUAAUCCUUAUCAGUAACACGGAUAGGUGAAGUAGCAAACGCAGGGUCAUAUUUCAUUCUAGCAUUCAAAGACUUUUCUUCCAGCUUAGCUAACAGUUUCUUAAGAUCAUAUCUAUCAUUGCAAGCAAAGAAGUCUCUAGCAGUUUCUUCAUCCAUAACAUAACCCUCAGGCACAAUAGGCAAUUCAUAUCUAGGGGGAGAAUCUUCAUCAUCACUUUCAUUAAUAUCAUCAGUUUCAGUAAUUUCAUUCUCUCUAACCCUAGCAAGUUUUUCAUCAAGAAAUUCACCUAGUGGCACAUUAUUAUCAAGCAGAGAAGUAGUAUCAUCAUAAGCAUCAUGCAUAGCAUAAGUGGCAUCAUCAAUAACAUGCGACAUAUCGGAAUCAAUAGCAUGUGUAGGUGUCGCAAGUUUACUCAAAACAGAAGGUGAAUCAAGUGCAGUGCUAGAUGGCAAUUCCUUACCUCCCCUCGUAGUUUACUCAAAACAUAAGGUAUCUUGGUUUUGUUGUCUUUCAGAUUCCUCAUAGUGAUCAAUAUAUAUAAAUCUCAUGUAACUCAGAGAAUAGAGCUAUGCUCCCCGGCAACGGUGCCAUAAAAAGGUCAUGAUAACCCACAACUAUAGGGGAUCGCAACAGUUUUCGAGGGUAGAGUAUUCAACCCAAAUUUAUUAAUUUGACACAACGGGAGCCAAAGAAUAUUCUCAAGUAUUAGCAGCUGAGUUGUAAAUUCAACCACACCUGAAAGAAUUAAUAUCUACAACAAAGAAUUUAGUAGCAAAGUAGUAUGGAAGUAACGGUAACAACGACGAAAGUAGUAGUAGCAGUUUUGUAGCAAUCGUAACAGUGACAACAGAAUAGUAACUUAGCAAAGAUCAAUAUGAAACGGGCUCGUAGGCAAUGGACCAAUGAUGGAUAAUUAUGUUGGACGACAUUCAUCAUGCAACAGUUAUAACAUAGGGUGAUACAGAACUAGCUCCAAUUCAUCAAUAUAAUGUAGGCAUGUAAUCCAAAUAUAGUCAUACAUGCUUAUGGAAAAGAACUUGCAUGCCAUCUUUUGUCCUACCUUCCCGUCACUCCAGGGUCCUAAUGGAAACUAAGGUAUAUUAAGGCCUCCUUUUAAUAGAGAACUGGACCAAAGCAUUAACACUUAGUGAAUACAUGAACUCCUCAAACUACGAUCAUCACCGGGAAGUGCCCUGACUAUUGUCACUCCAGGGUUUGCUGGAUCAUAAGACAUAGUAGGUGGCCAUAUCUUUCAAGAUAGGAUCAAGAACACUCAUAUAUUCAUGAAAACAUAAUAGCUUCAGAUCUAAAAUCAUGGCACUCGGGCCCUAGUGACAGGCAUUAAGCAUGGAAAAGUCAAAGCAACAUCAAUCUUAGAACAUAAUGGAUACUAGGGAUCAAACCCUAACAAAACUAACUCGAUUACAUGGUAAAUCUCAUCCAACCCAUCACCAUCUAGCAAGCCUAUGAUGGAAUUACUCAUGCACGGCGGUGAGCAUCAUGAAAUUGGUGAUGGAGGAUGAUUGAUGAUGACGAUGGCGACGGAUUCCCCUCUCCGGAGCCCCGAAUGGUCUCCAGAUCAGCCCUCCCGAGGAAGAACAGGGCUUGGCGGCGGCUCCGUAUUGUAAAAUGCGAUGAAUCCUUCUCUCUGAUUUUUUUUCUCCCCGAACGUGAAUAUAUGGAGUUGGAGUUGAGGUAGGUGGAAGUCCAGGGGGGCCAUGAGGUAGGAGNNNNNNNNNNNNNNNNNNNNNNNNNNNNNNNNNNNNNNNNNNNNNNNNNNNNNNNNNNNNNNNNNNNNNNNNNNNNNNNNNNNNNNNNNNNNNNNNNNNNNNNNNNNNNNNNNNNNNNNNNNNNNNNNNNNNNNNNNNNNNNNNNNNNNNNNNNNNNNNNNNNNNNNNNNNNNNNNNNNNNNNNNNNNNNNNNNNNNNNNNNNNNNNNNNNNNNNNNNNNNNNNNNNNNNNNNNNNNNNNNNNNNNNNNNNNNNNNNNNNNNNNNNNNNNNNNNNNNNNNNNNNNNNNNNNNNNNNNNNNNNNNNNNNNNNNNNNNNNNNNNNNNNNNNNNNNNNNNNNNNNNNNNNNNNNNNNNNNNNNNNNNNNNNNNNNNNNNNNNNNNNNNNNNNNNNNNNNNNNNNNNNNNNNNNNNNNNNNNNNNNNNNNNNNNNNNNNNNNNNNNNNNNNNNNNNNNNNNNNNNNNNNNNNNNNNNNNNNNNNNNNNNNNNNNNNNNNNNNNNNNNNNNNNNNNNNNNNNNNNNNNNNNNNNNNNNNNNNNNNNNNNNNNNNNNNNNNNNNNNNNNNNNNNNNNNNNNNNNNNNNNNNNNNNNNNNNNNNNNNNNNNNNNNNNNNNNNNNNNNNNNNNNNNNNNNNNNNNNNNNNNNNNNNNNNNNNNNNNNNNNNNNNNNNNNNNNNNNNNNNNNNNNNNNNNNNNNNNNNNNNNNNNNNNNNNNNNNNNNNNNNNNNNNNNNNNNNNNNNNNNNNNNNNNNNNNNNNNNNNNNNNNNNNNNNNNNNNNNNNNNNNNNNNNNNNNNNNNNNNNNNNNNNNNNNNNNNNNNNNNNNNNNNNNNNNNNNNNNNNNNNNNNNNNNNNNNNNNNNNNNNNNNNNNNNNNNNNNNNNNNNNNNNNNNNNNNNNNNNNNNNNNNNNNNNNNNNNNNNNNNNNNNNNNNNNNNNNNNNNNNNNNNNNNNNNNNNNNNNNNNNNNNNNNNNNNNNNNNNNNNNNNNNNNNNNNNNNNNNNNNNNNNNNNNNNNNNNNNNNNNNNNNNNNNNNNNNNNNNNNNNNNNNNNNNNNNNNNNNNNNNNNNNNNNNNNNNNNNNNNNNNNNNNNNNNNNNNNNNNNNNNNNNNNNNNNNNNNNNNNNNNNNNNNNNNNNNNNNNNNNNNNNNNNNNNNNNNNNNNNNNNNNNNNNNNNNNNNNNNNNNNNNNNNCUCCGGCAGGGUGCCGGAACAGGGUCCCGAUUGGUUUUUGGUGGCUACAGAGGCUUGCGGCGGCAGAACUCCCGAUCUAGGUUAUGUUCUGGAGGUUUGGGGAUUUAUAGGAGAGGUUGACGUCGAGAACAAGUUAGGGGGCCCCACGGAGAGUCCACAAGGCAGGGGCACCCUAGGGGGCGCCCUCUACCCUCGUGGGGCCCAUGGGACUCCCCUCCGGUAACUCUUCAAUCCAGUAUUUUUUAUAUUUUCCAUAAAAAAUCUCUGUUGAUUUUCAGCGCAUUCCGAGAACUUUUAUUUCUGCACAAAAACAACACCACGAUAGUUCUGCUGAAAACAACGUUAGUGCGGGUUAGUUCUAACCAAAUCAUACCAAAUUCAUGUAAAAAUAUUAUAAACAUGUCAUGAAUACAUCAAAAAUCCUAGAUACGUUGGAGACGUAUCAAGCAUCCCUAAUCUUAAUUCUUGCUUGUCCUCGAGUAGGUAAAUGAUAAAAACAAUUUUUUUGAUGUGGAAUGCUACCUAACAUAUUUAUCAAUGUAAUCUUCUUUAUUGUGGCAAGAAUAUUCAGAUCCAUAAGAUUCAAAACAAAAGUUUAAUAUUGACAUAAAAACUAUAAUAUCAAGCAUACUAACAAAGCAAUCAUGUCUUCUCAAAAUAACAUGGCCAAAGAAAGCCAUUCCUACAAAAUCAUAGAGUCUGGCUAUGCUCUAUCUUCAUCACACAAAAUAUUUAAAUCAUGCACAACCCUGAUGACAAGCCAAGCAAUUGUUUCAUACUUUUGAUGUUCUAAAACUGUUGGGGAUAUAACUAUUAGGUAUAACCCGCCCAGGACGGGCCGGGUCACACCUAAGAUGAAGCCCACGAAGACACUUGAAGAUGACGACUCACUUAAAGGCCCAAGUCCCAGAGGCGAUUUAAGGCCUAUAGAGAUAAUCCGCCAUGCAUGCAUAACUUGUAUUGUAAGGAAGGAAUAGAGAGAGACCGAGCCGGACACUGUUUAUGAACCGGCCGGGACUCUUUGAGCCGCUGGGCAUCGACCUCUGUAUAUAAAGAGAUGACCGGACGACGGUUCAGGGCAGGUAACAUCAGAUCGAGAACUAGGUCAGCGGAUUCUCUCCCUGGUUAUCGAUUCAUAAGCAAUCCUACCCAAAACUGGAUCGUAGGCUUUUACCUUCACUACAAGGGGCCGAACCAGUAUGAACCUCGUGUCCUUUGUCCCGUUUAACCCCUUUAAGCUUCCUAGUUGCGAUGGCUCCACGACUAAGUCCUUACACUAGGACAUCUGACGUGACAAUUCCACGACAGUUGGCGCCCACCAUGGGGCCAGCGCANNNNNNNNNNNNNNNNNNNNNNNNNNNNNNNNNNNNNNNNNNNNNNNNNNNNNNNNNNNNNNNNNNNNNNNNNNNNNNNNNNNNNNNNNNNNNNNNNNNNNNNNNNNNNNNNNNNNNNNNNNNNNNNNNNNNNNNNNNNNNNNNNNNNNNNNNNNNNNNNNNNNNNNNNNNNNNNNNNNNNNNNNNNNNNNNNNNNNNNNNNNNNNNNNNNNNNNNNNNNNNNNNNNNNNNNNNNNNNNNNNNNNNNNNNNNNNNNNNNNNNNNNNNNNNNNNNNNNNNNNNNNNNNNNNNNNNNNNNNNNNNNNNNNNNNNNNNNNNNNNNNNNNNNNNNNNNNNNNNNNNNNNNNNNNNNNNNNNNNNNNNNNNNNNNNNNNNNNNNNNNNNNNNNNNNNNNNNNNNNNNNNNNNNNNNNNNNNNNNNNNNNNNNNNNNNNNNNNNNNNNNNNNNNNNNNNNNNNNNNNNNNNNNNNNNNNNNNNNNNNNNNNNNNNNNNNNNNNNNNNNNNNNNNNNNNNNNNNNNNNNNNNNNNNNNNNNNNNNNNNNNNNNNNNNNNNNNNNNNNNNNNNNNNNNNNNNNNNNNNNNNNNNNNNNNNNNNNNNNNNNNNNNNNNNNNNNNNNNNNNNNNNNNNNNNNNNNNNNNNNNNNNNNNNNNNNNNNNNNNNNNNNNNNNNNNNNNNNNNNNNNNNNNNNNNNNNNNNNNNNNNNNNNNNNNNNNNNNNNNNNNNNNNNNNNNNNNNNNNNNNNNNNNNNNNNNNNNNNNNNNNNNNNNNNNNNNNNNNNNNNNNNNNNNNNNNNNNNNNNNNNNNNNNNNNNNNNNNNNNNNNNNNNNNNNNNNNNNNNNNNNNNNNNNNNNNNNNNNNNNNNNNNNNNNNNNNNNNNNNNNNNNNNNNNNNNNNNNNNNNNNNNNNNNNNNNNNNNNNNNNNNNNNNNNNNNNNNNNNNNNNNNNNNNNNNNNNNNNNNNNNNNNNNNNNNNNNNNNNNNNNNNNNNNNNNNNNNNNNNNNNNNNNNNNNNNNNNNNNNNNNNNNNNNNNNNNNNNNNNNNNNNNNNNNNNNNNNNNNNNNNNNNNNNNNNNNNNNNNNNNNNNNNNNNNNNNNNNNNNNNNNNNNNNNNNNNNNNNNNNNNNNNNNNNNNNNNNNNNNNNNNNNNNNNNNNNNNNNNNNNNNNNNNNNNNNNNNNNNNNNNNNNNNNNNNNNNNNNNNNNNNNNNNNNNNNNNNNNNNNNNNNNNNNNNNNNNNNNNNNNNNNNNNNNNNNNNNNNNNNNNNNNNNNNNNNNNNNNNNNNNNNNNNNNNNNNNNNNNNNNNNNNNNNNNNNNNNNNNNNNNNNNNNNNNNNNNNNNNNNNNNNNNNNNNNNNNNNNNNNNNNNNNNNNNNNAGGAGGCAUACUCUUACAGUAGAGACAUGAAUCAUUCAACCCCACGUCCGAGCCGGAGCAAGAGUUAUAGCAGGCAUCUGGACUCGCUGGCCGUUUCAAGCAACGCCCAGCAUCGCGAUCAGCCACGCAGGUACGACCCUACUCAGGGUGGGGCUCCUAAUGUGCAUAAUCAGGACAGAGUGCGCCAGCAAAUUGAGUAGGCGGCUCAGCAGGUAGCACAACUGGCGGCUCAAUAGGCAACAGAAAUAGCAGCUCAGCAGGCGGCUGAUCAGCCCCUGCCGGUUUAUCCGACGAUGUCAGUUGAGGCAGGUGUGGUCACCAGGACCGGGGGCGUGCCUUGUUUGGUGCCGGCUCUGCGUAACAAGCGUUUGCCCAAGGAUUUUAAGGGGCCUCGUAAGGUACCUAAUUACACAGCCGAUUUACAGCCUGCGGCAUGGAUCGAGAGUUAUGAGAUGGCCAUGGAAUUACUGGAGGUUAGUGAUGUCGCAAUGGCCAAGUACUUCACCAUGAUGCUGGAUGGAACGGCUCAUAAUUGGUUGAAGGCGUUGCCACCUAAUUCCGUUAGUUCCUGGGCGGAGUUAAAGGAGAAGUUUAUCCAGAACUUUAAAGAUACAUGUAAGCAGCCCAUGUUGAUUGUGGACUUGACUAGUUGCAAGCAACAGGAGGGUGAGUCCACGACCCAUUGGGUGCGCCGGGUUAAGGAGAUAAUACAUUCCUCUGAUAAGAUGGAUGCCGGUUCUGUAGUAUUGAUGUCAGAGCAAAAUUGCCGUUUUGAGCCUCGGAAGAUGAAGCUGGGAUGACUCAAGCGCGAGUGUUCUGACAUGGGCCAACUGAUGGUGGCUCUCGUCAAAUAUGUUGACUCUGAUAGUACCAAGGAUCCCGAGUCUGACAAUGAGAAGGCAGGGAAGGGAAAGAAGAGCAGCAACGCUAAGGGUCCUCAGCCUAGCCAGGCAAAUCAAGGCGGCAACAAUAAACAUAAGGUGGAUGGUAGCUCAGAGUUUGUGGCUAACACCAAUGCACAGGGCAACAAUCAGCGGCGUAAGGGGAGGCCACCUCCUCGAUCUGGCGGUCAGGUCCUACUCUCGAGCAGUUGUUAAAUGAACCCUGCCCAAAGCACGGUACUUAAGAGAAGCCGGCUACUCACAUGUGGAAGGAUUGCACUAUCAUGAGGGCUUUCAAGAAUUCUAACAUGUUCAAUGGUAAUCACGGGCAGGGCGGCGGUUCAGGAGGCGGUAACUUUCAUGGCCGGAACAAUGGAAGUGGUGGUUCUGGUUCCGGCUUUCAAGGCAACCAGAAUAAUCAAGGCAAUUUCAAUCAAGGUGGUCAAGGCAGCUACAAUCAACAAUCUGGCCAAGGGGGUUAGCAGCAGCAGCAGUAGUCCNNNNNNNNNNNNNNNNNNNNNNNNNNNNNNNNNNNNNNNNNNNNNNNNNNNNNNNNNNNNNNNNNNNNNNNNNNNNNNNNNNNNNNNNNNNNNNNNNNNNNNNNNNNNNNNNNNNNNNNNNNNNNNNNNNNNNNNNNNNNNNNNNNNNNNNNNNNNNNNNNNNNNNNNNNNNNNNNNNNNNGCAAUCAGAGUCAUCCAAAGCAAUUGAACAGUGGGCAGUAUCAUGUUUUCACCACAAGUUUAUGUAAGCGGGACCAGAAGCUUCACAAGAGGGCAGUGAACGCCGUUGAGCCGGCAGUUCCUCGAUACUUGCGAUGGUUUGAGCAGCCCAUUACGUGGAGUCGGGAGGAUCACCCGCCCCGGGUUGAUAAUCCGAGUCACUUGGCUUUGGUGGUAGCACCUCAAGUUGGGGGGUACAAGUUCACCAAGGUACUCAUGGAUGGAGGUAGCAGCAUCAAUAUCCUUUAUUAUGAGACCUUCCGUCGUAUGGGGUUAACAGAUAAAAAUCUUAAGCAGUCCAGUGUAGUUCCUAGUAAGUCAUCAUACCUAGUGGGCAAGAUCGAGAUGGAAGUAGCCUUUGGAAAUGAGUUUCCAGGGCCGAGAAAUUAACUUUUGAGGUGGUCAAGAUCAGGAGCACGUAUCAUGCUCUGUUUGGGCAACCGGCUUACGCCAAGUUUAUGGCACGACCGUGUUAUGUUUAUCUACAGCUGAAGAUGCCGGGUCAUAAAGGGACCAUUACGGUUCAUGGCAGUCGAAAGGUGGCUCUGGAGUGCGAGGAAGGCGACGCGGCUUAUGCUGAGUUGGUCUGUGCCGCUGAAGAGUUAAAGUAUUAUAAGGACAAUGUUGACCUGGCAGACAUGACAUCCUUGAAGAAUCCCACCAUAGAGCAUGGACUGGAGAUGAAGUUUAAAUCGGCUGAGGACACCAAGAUGGUUGAUUUUGUUCCGAGCUCUUCAUAUAAACAGUNNNNNNNNNNNNNNNNNNNNNNNNNNNNNNNNNNNNNNNNNNNNNNNNNNNNNNNNNNNNNNNNNNNNNNNNNNNNNNNNNNNNNNNNNNNNNNNNNNNNNNNNNNNNNNNNNNNNNNNNNNNNNNNNNNNNNNNNNNNNNNNNNNNNNNNNNNNNNNNNNNNNNNNNNNNNNNNNNNNNNNNNNNNNNNNNNNNNNNNNNNNNNNNNNNNNNNNNNNNNNNNNNNNNNNNNNNNNNNNNNNNNNNNNNNNNNNNNNNNNNNNNNNNNNNNNNNNNNNNNNNNNNNNNNNNNNNNNNNNNNNNNNNNNNNNNNNNNNNNNNNNNNNNNNNNNNNNNNNNNNNNNNNNNNNNNNNNNNNNNNNNNNNNNNNNNNNNNNNNNNNNNNNNNNNNNNNNNNNNNNNNNNNNNNNNNNNNNNNNNNNNNNNNNNNNNNNNNNNNNNNNNNNNNNNNNNNNNNNNNNNNNNNNNNNNNNNNNNNNNNNNNNNNNNNNNNNNNNNNNNNNNNNNNNNNNNNNNNNNNNNNNNNNNNNNNNNNNNNNNNNNNNNNNNNNNNNNNNNNNNNNNNNNNNNNNNNNNNNNNNNNNNNNNNNNNNNNNNNNNNNNNNNNNNNNNNNNNNNNNNNNNNNNNNNNNNNNNNNNNNNNNNNNNNNNNNNNNNNNNNNNNNNNNNNNNNNNNNNNNNNNNNNNNNNNNNNNNNNNNNNNNNNNNNNNNNNNNNNNNNNNNNNNNNNNNNNNNNNNNNNNNNNNNNNNNNNNNNNNNNNNNNNNNNNNNNNNNNNNNNNNNNNNNNNNNNNNNNNNNNNNNNNNNNNNNNNNNNNNNNNNNNNNNNNNNNNNNNNNNNNNNNNNNNNNNNNNNNNNNNNNNNNNNNNNNNNNNNNNNNNNNNNNNNNNNNNNNNNNNNNNNNNNNNNNNNNNNNNNNNNNNNNNNNNNNNNNNNNNNNNNNNNNNNNNNNNNNNNNNNNNNNNNNNNNNNNNNNNNNNNNNNNNNNNNNNNNNNNNNNNNNNNNNNNNNNNNNNNNNNNNNNNNNNNNNNNNNNNNNNNNNNNNNNNNNNNNNNNNNNNNNNNNNNNNNNNNNNNNNNNNNNNNNNNNNNNNNNNNNNNNNNNNNNNNNNNNNNNNNNNNNNNNNNNNNNNNNNNNNNNNNNNNNNNNNNNNNNNNNNNNNNNNNNNNNNNNNNNNNNNNNNNNNNNNNNNNNNNNNNNNNNNNNNNNNNNNNNNNNNNNNNNNNNNNNNNNNNNNNNNNNNNNNNNNNNNNNNNNNNNNNNNNNNNNNNNNNNNNNNNNNNNNNNNNNNNNNNNNNNNNNNNNNNNNNNNNNNNNNNNNNNNNNNNNNNNNNNNNNNNNNNNNNNNNNNNNNNNNNNNNNNNNNNNNNNNNNNNNNNNNNNNNNNNNNNNNNNNNNNNNNNNNNNNNNNNNNNNNNNNNNNNNNNNNNNNNNNNNNNNNNNNNNNNNNNNNNNNNNNNNNNNNNNNNNNNNNNNNNNNNNNNNNNNNNNNNNNNNNNNNNNNNNNNNNNNNNNNNNNNNNNNNNNNNNNNNNNNNNNNNNNNNNNNNNNNNNNNNNNNNNNNNNNNNNNNNNNNNNNNNNNNNNNNNNNNNNNNNNNNNNNNNNNNNNNNNNNNNNNNNNNNNNNNNNNNNNNNNNNNNNNNNNNNNNNNNNNNNNNNNNNNNNNNNNNNNNNNNNNNNNNNNNNNNNNNNNNNNNNNNNNNNNNNNNNNNNNNNNNNNNNNNNNNNNNNNNNNNNNNNNNNNNNNNNNNNNNNNNNNNNNNNNNNNNNNNNNNNNNNNNNNNNNNNNNNNNNNNNNNNNNNNNNNNNNNNNNNNNNNNNNNNNNNNNNNNNNNNNNNNNNNNNNNNNNNNNNNNNNNNNNNNNNNNNNNNNNNNNNNNNNNNNNNNNNNNNNNNNNNNNNNNNNNNNNNNNNNNNNNNNNNNNNNNNNNNNNNNNNNNNNNNNNNNNNNNAGCGUAGACCGGUACCCCCGAAUACUUUCUUGGAUGUUUUGCAUAAUCGUUCUCUCAAGUUACCUACAGAGGAAGACUUGGUUGUGCCUGACCCAGAAGCACAGUUGGUGGCGCCUCUUCAUGUCAUCCCAGAUUGGACAGUGCCAUACUUGGCUUACAUGACCCGGGGAGAAUUUCCUGAGGAUGAAACCUUGGCUAGACAGAUAACCCGACGGUCUAAGUCAAUGGCAAUUACCAUUGGCGAGUUACACCAUUGCAGUGUCACUGGGGCGUUUCAACAUUGUGUAUCUCCUGAAGAAGGCCAAGAGAUUCUUUGUGAGAUUCAUGAAGGAGAUUGUGGCCAUCACGCCGGUUCAAAGUCCCUUGUGGCCAAAGCUUUCUGUCACGAAUUUUAUUGGCUAAUGGCUCAUGCUAAUGCAGAAGAUCUAGUCAGUAAAUGUGACGGGUGUUUGAAAUUUUCACGACGAGCUCAUGUGCUUCCUCAAGAGUUGAGGAUGAUACUGAUUACUUGGCCGUUUGCUAUGUGGGGGCUUGACAUGGUUCGGCCUUUCAAAAGAUCCAAGGAUAAAAAGACUCACCUUUUGGUGGCAGUGGAUAAAUUCACAAAGUGGGUGGAAGCAGAGUUGGUCAGUAAGUGUGACGCGGCGACGGCGGUUCAAUUCAUGAAAAAGGUGAUUUUCUGUUUUGGUUUCCCCCAUAGCAUCAUAAUUGGUAAUGGCACUAACUUGUCCAAGGGGGCUAUGGAGGAGUUCUGUCAACGUGAGCAUAUCCGGCUUGAUGUCUCAUCAGUGGAUCACCCCCAAUCCAAUGGUCAAGCAGAAAGAGCCAAUCAGGAGAUUUUGAAGGUUAUCAAGCCCCGGCUUUUAGUUCAUUUAUAAGAAACACCGGGUUGUUGGGUGGAGGAGUUACCAUCAGUGUUAUGGAGCAUCAAUACUACCCCCAACAGAUCUACGGGUUAUACCCCUUUCUUCAUGGUUUAUGGAGCAGAGGCGGUUCUUCCUAGCGACAUCCGUCAUGACUCGCCCUGAGUGGCGGCUUACGUAGAAGCUAACAAUGAGCAAGCACGUUGGGAGGCACUUGACCUAUUGGAUGUAAAACAUGACUUGGCAGCAGCCCGCUCGGCGAUUUACCAACAGGACCUGCGGCGUUACCACAGCCGCCGGGUUAAAUCUAGAACCUUUCAGGAAGGCAACUUGGUGCUCUGGCUCAUCCAGGAUCAGACUGAUGCACACAAGUUAUCCCCACCUUGGGAAGGGCCCUUUGUGGUCAGCAAGAAUUUAAAUAACGGGUCAUACUACCUUAUCGAUGUUUGAGAGCACAAAGACUCACGUAAGUCGGAGGAGGAGACCCGCCGGCCGUGGAAUAUAGCUCAUCUUCGACCUUACUACACUUGAGCCACCGGCUCUCAUGAUGUACAUAUCUUGGUGAUGUAUAUAUUAUCAAUAAUAAAGCAGGACCUCUGUCCUUUUUCAUCCCCAAAGAUCAUAUGUCUUCACUGUCAUUAUUUCAAAAAGACCAUUGGGGGCUGAUCAUAUUCGAAUCUAGCUUAACCCCUUUGGUACAACUUCCUGAUCGUAUUCGAAUCAUAGUUGUUCAAGCAAACUUGAUCACUUGGGGGCUGGGUCGUAUUCGAAUCAUAGCUUAACCCCUUUUGGUACGACUCAGAUCGUAUUCGAAUCAGAGUUGUUAAAUAUUCUCAAGGCCAUUUGGGGGCUUCCUGUUCAAACAUAGGUCGUAUUCGAACCAAAGAAAACAUAGUUGUCGGUACCCACUUGAUCGACGCAAUGCCAAAACCCAAUUCGGGGCUUCUUGAUCGUAUUCGAAUCAUAGCUUAACCCCUCUUGGGUCUGACCCAGAUUGUAUUCGAAUCAGAGUUGUUAAAUAUUCUUAAGGUCAUUUGGGGGCUUCCUGUUCAAACAUAGGUCGUAUUCGAACCAAAGAGAACAUAGCUGUUGGUACCCUCUUGAUCGGCGCAAUGCCAAAGCCACUGGGGGCUACAUGGUUGUAUUCGAACCCUAGCUUAACCCCUUUGGGACGGUUUACUUAUCGUAUUCGAAUCAGAAGCCUUAAAUUUUUCUUUCUAUUCUUUUUGCUUAAGUCUUUUCUGAAAGCACUCUUUGGAUUUGUCUUGAGACCUUUUUUGUGUCCAUGAUUUAAGCCAUAUAAGGUUUUUGGUUUGAGCCGGCUUAACUUUGAGCAAUCAGUCGCCCGGCGUGUGACAAAUUCCAAGUGAAGUCAUGGUUUCUAAACCGGGUCAUCACCCGUACUGUACAGGUCAUUUAAACCGGAAGUAGAAAUUUGAUAUCUCAGGUAUGAUGUUACCACAGUUAUAUUGAAAGUUCUGAUUCUCAUCAGAAUUAUUUAUAAUUCAUGUUCCACAUUUAUAAUUAUCUGGUAUAAUUAUGACCCGCCCUACGGUAAGCCGCCGAGGGUCUCUGUUUAUCUACCUCUUUGUGUAGGACAGAUUACAAGAUUUCUUAUGCACAAGGAAAAUAGAAAAGCAUAAGACGGAGUAAUAUAUAAUGGCGGGUUAAACAGUGUUAAGGCAUCAAAACAUGCACGAAGGCACGGCACAACAAAGUCAUUUCUACUUCUAUUACAUGAAUCCCCGAGUCAAAAUGAUUAAUCAUUGUUUUUCAGCAAGGCUACAAAUAUGAGCCGCCCAACGGAUUUGUUCUCUUGAUUGCCCAAAGCUUCCGGAUAAACCCUUUCCACUUCUUCAUCCUGUUCCUGGGCCUGGAAGGUUGAUGACGACCAGUCAAUGCCACUGAAAGCUUUAAAUUCAGCUUUGUCAUCAACUAGCCUGGCCGGAUCAAUUACAGGAGCGAAGGUAUGCUUACGAGUUGGUGGAAUCAGACUUGUCAGGGUAUAUUGUGGUGUUGGGAUUCUCCGGUUCUCGGCAUCAUAACCCGCCUGGUACUUGGAGAGAUCCGCUUCUUCAGCAAUCAAAGUGGCCACAGGGCGUAUGGCCUUCACGCAAGCAGCGAAAUCUUCCCGUUCAAAGGGUGCACUGUCUUCUUUUAAGCUCGAAUAACAAAUAGCAAUGUCAGCCAGGUCUAGUUCCGGAAGCCAAGCUUUGGCCCGGCUCAACGCGGCUACAGCUCUGGCUCUCGCAGACGAUUGCUUCAGUUCAGUAAUCCGUUGGGGCAACACAGAAAGCUUCCUUAGCACACCCUCCAAAAGUGUGGGAACUUCAUUGGACAGGGCCACGGUGGCUAAGGCGCGCUUAGACCCGGUGUAGAGUUGCUCCACCAGUGUAUAAACCGCCUUCAACUUUACCAAAAAGUCCUGGUUCAGAUUUGAGCUCCUGGGGCCUGCAUAGCAAUGUCAGGUGCGUUAAAGAACAAAUUUAUAUGAUCAUUGAAAAGUAUACAGUAUUUAUAACUUGCAGGGCGACUUACCAAAGAUUGCGGUAACCAUCUGGGACAUCUGGCGUUUCAAGCCAGACAAUUCAUUGGUUGCCUUUUGAAGAGCCGCCUCUAAAUUGUCAGCUCGUUGGGUUAAGGCAUUCUUUUCGUCAGCCCAAAUCUUUCUCUCCGCCUCAAAGUUGGCCUUCAGCUUCUCUUGUUCAGAUACACUGAAUUCAAACUUGGAGUUGGCCCUUUGGGUUUCUGUUUCUUGAGAUUGCAGAUGGUUCUUUAAAUCAGCGAUUUCUGUUUGCAAUUGACUGGUGGCAACCUGCACAAAUACCGGAUUGAAGUCAUGAUUAUUAGUAUAUAAUAUUGAAGUCCCAAGCACCUUGCAAGCAAGACUACUUGGCACUUGGGGGCUAAUGUCUACCGCGGAAGUCUAUUUAUAGUGGCGGUUCAUAAGGUUGGCAAUUCACAAAAUUAAAGUCCCAAGCACUUUGCAAGCAAGACUACUUGGCACUUGGGAGCUAAUGCAUAUUGCAGUUCAAACUAUGAAGUUAAUAUGUUCUACACAAGCAUGUGAAGGACCGGCUCAUUCACUUUGAUUAAACCGGCCCUUGGGGGCUAUGGAUUAAGCCGGAUUUUUAUAGGUUUUUAAUCUAAAGGCAUUGAUAUAUAAUACUUGUCUGACGUUUUCUAUGUCCACAACAUAUUCAUCAUAAGCAAUAGACUUGGGGGAUGGCGUGAUAAGAAUGAUUCAGGGGAAAGAGGAGAUCAUACCUCAAACUUAUGGUACAUCUGCAUCACCAUGUCGAUGUCAACAUCACAGCUACUGUGCACUUGGCUGAGAUAGCCUGAUAAAACAUCUCCGACAUCAUGUGUGAGUAAUCCGUAAGGUUAAAUCUGACCUUACGGCGUUCCAGGAGUCCUUCUUUGGCAGUGCAUUUGGCAAGCACAUUAGGCCUUCCCGGCUCAGUGUAACUAGUCUUGGUAAUUUCAACUUCAGCUUCUUGAGGGUCUUUUGUCUUAACUGGGCUUGAGACUUCAGGAUUGUCAGAGCCAUCAAAAGCUUGUUCGACAGGUGGGUCAGCGGCUGAUGUAGGCGGUUCAUGCACUGGCUCAGGCGGCGGCUUAGUAUCAGAGGUUUCCGAUAUAACCGUCUGAAGUGCCGGUUCAUUGAGAGUUGGCUCAUCAACCGGCUUGUCCUUCUUGGCCUUCUUGUUAACCUUUGCUUUGCUGCUGCAUAAAGAUCAAAAGGUUGGUAUAAGCAUAAAAAUUCAAAGUACAAGAUAAUUAAAGUCAUCAUUACCCUGGAGCAGUCUUGAAAGCCGGCAUGUUGGAUUGAAUUGAGUCGCCGGAAGAAGGAGAGGUUUCCUGGUAAUUCGAAUCAGAAGGAUUCAGUGGCUGACGAGUGAGACCCGCCAAAGGAUAAGAGGAAUCUAAGAUGGAGAUGACCUCAUUCUGACGCUUUCUUGGUGUAUUGGGUAGAUCGGAGGAGAGUUCCACGUCUUUCAUGGUCCAGAUCUGUCUCCGGUUCUCAAGAAUCUGUCGCUUCAAAAGAAAUUGAGGAUGUUGAUAAGCUAAGGGAUGUGAAAAUCUUACUUUCUAGGUUACUUGGCGGAGUUUUUGGAGCGGCAAAGGCUCUGAGUUGGAGGAAAUAAUAGUUACCUCUGCUUCCACCCCGUGGCUCGUGCCCGUGUUAUCCUGAUCAUAAUCAGUAUCAAUAAGGUAAUUAAAAAAUGAGCCAAGGGAGUCAAGGGCUACCUCCGACAUAGAAGAAUCAUCUAGCCGAAGCUGCUCAGAAGCACUGGGUUUCUUUCCGUGUCUCUUUGUGGCGGCUCUCCGGGUGGCUCUCUUGGCUUUCCUGUCUCUUUUUGCAGCCUCAUGAUCAUAUUUGACUUUCCAUAAUUUGUCAUUAGCCUGCAAAGUCAGCAAAAAUUUGAGCACAGAUAAAAUAGCAACAUUGGAAAUGAUUUGUUCAGAUUGGCGACUUACCGCUGGAGCCGGGUUGGUUGCGCAGAAAGGGCUUAAGCCCACCUUGCCACAAUCUAUUAAGCUUUCAUUAAGUAGACACUUGGUCAUAUCAUUGACGACAUGGUCAGGAAGAUUGUCAGGGCUGUGUCGCUAAGGGUCAUCUUUCUUGCUUGAGUAAUUGCACAUUAAACCAGGGUGGCGGCUUAGUGGAAUAAUCCACCAGGCGCGCCAGACCCGGACCAAGUCAAUGUUGCUUAACCCGUUCCCCAGAAGAGCUUUGAUUUUGGCCAAAGUGGGGGCGAGUGUUUUGCGUUCGGCGGGUGAUAUCUUGCCAGGCAGUGGGUGAUUGGAGUCCAGAUGCAAGGCGCGAAAACCGGGCAGAGGAUUCUCAUCACCUGGGGAGGUGUCUUGGCAAUAAAACCACGUUUGAUUCCAGUCCUUUGGAUGGAUCGGCGGAUUAGCAUAAGGAAAAAUGACGUCUCUCCGCUGCUGGAUUGAGACGCCACCAAGUUCCAAGCUCUGUCCGCUGGCACAUUCAUUCUGGCGGUUCAAGUAAAAUAACUCCCUGAAGAGUAACAGAUUGGGUUCUUCUCCAAGAUACAACUUGCUGAACACUUGAAAAUUGCAGAUAUUAGACACGAAAUUGGGUCUAAUGUCUUGAGGGCGGGGAUCGAAGAAAUGUAGGACGUCUCUAAAGAAUUUUGAGCCAGGUGGUGAGAAACCCCGGUUCAUAUGAUCCGAGAAAACAAUCACCUCCACUUCCUUGGGUUGAGGUCUCUCUUCUGUCGGGUCAGGAGGACGGUGAGACAUGACAUCCCUUUUUGGCAGAUAACCAACUUUCACAAAGUCUUCGAGAGUCUGCUCGUAACGAUGGAUGGGACCCAGUUGCAUGAGGUGCUUGUCUUAGGUGCCAUGGUGAUGGAAGCCUAUGAAAGGAUAAAAUUUCCGAUUCAAAUUUAAGCCGAAGGAAAUGUCAAUAUUCAAGAUGGUGGCUUAUCUAGGGGCCUAAUGGUAUGAGGAUAAUUACGACAGAUUCUUUAAGUCGCCAUAAGCAUCAUUGAUAGUUCAGUUAAAUAAGCCACCGUGGGCGGUCAAGAUUAUCAACUAAAGCAUUAUCUUCUAAGUCGGUGAUAAGAGUCGGCAUGGCUAGGGGGAUCUAACAGAUACAUAUUUUUGCCUAAGUAUGGCAUAAACAAGUUUCACAAAGUGCAGUUGCUAUUUUGGAUCAAAUAGUUGUUCAGAAAAGAAAAUAUUCUAGACCUAAAAAUAGAGUACAGAUGAGUUCAUCAGUUCUAAGAAGGCCUCUUUGCAAUAUAAAGGGAUCUCCUGAUAUCAAAAAUGCGUGUGAAACAGUUAUCGCGUAAAGUUUUACACUAUUCUUGGAUCAGAGGAGGCUGCAGUAUAGAGCUAUGAAGAACCGAGAUGAAUAGCAAAGAACACAGGAAGAACCUAUGAACCCUAAUGCAGAUCUGGAGUAGGAGAAGAAGAAAGCUUACGGCUGUAGGGGUGUUGCGGAGGUUCGCCGCCGUUCUCUGGACAGACUCAGGUCGAUGCAUCGGCCAAGGUCGACGAAGACGAGGGGCGCGGCGGCGGCGGCGGAGCUCGAGAAGCUGUAGGGUGCCGAUGAAGAAGAUGCGAAAAGGAGAAGAAUGAGAAAGGACCCGGUUGGGUCUAUUUAUAAGAGAAAACUGAUGACUGGGCACGAAAAACGAGGAGGCCAAAGACAUAACUUAUCUAACUACAAGGACGCCUCAAUUUUCGGGAUGGUCUUUAAGAUAAGGAUCCAUUGAGAUAUAUUGGAUAAAGCAUAAAUUGAUGACAAAUGACGUCACGGUGGGUUAUCCCAAAUCCAGACGAUGACGUCACGAUGGGUUAGGUUAUCACACAAGCAGGGAGAACAAGAUUUUUGCUUAAGUGUUGAAGAUUGACAUGAACCAGUUCAAAUCAAUCUGGGGCCUAAUGUUGGUGAUAUAACUAUUAGGUAUAACCCGCCCAGGAGGGGCCGGGUCACACCUACGAUGAAGCCCACGAAGACACUUGAAGAUGAUGGCUCACUUAAAGGCCCAAGUCCCAGAGGCGAUUUAAGGCAUGUAGAGAUAAACCGCCAUGUAUGCAUAACUUGUAUUGUAAGAAAGGAAUAGAGAGAGACCGAGCCGAACACUGUUUAUGAACCGGCCAGGAGUCUGUGAGCCGCUGUGUGUCGACCUCUAUAUAUAAAGGGACGACCCUGUGGCGGUUCAGGGCAGGUAACAUCAGAUUGAGAACUAGGUCAGCGGACUUGCUCCCUGGUUAUCGAUUUAUAAGAAAUCCCACCCAAAACUGGAUCGGAGGCUUUUACCUUCACCGCAUGGGGCCGAACAGUAUAAACCUUGUGUCCUUUGUCCCGUUUAACCCCUUUAAGCUUCCUAAUUGCGAUGGCUCCACGACUAAGUCCUUACGCUAGGACAUCUGACAUGACAAUUCCAUGACAAAAACUUUUUUCAAUCUUCACGCAAUACAUGAGCGUGAGCCAUGGAUAUAGCACUAAGGUGGAAUAGAAUAUGGUGGUUGUGGAGAAGAGAAAAAGAAGGAGAUAGUCUCACAUCAACUAGGCGUAUCAACGGGCUAUGGAGAUGCCCAUCAAUAGAUAUCAAUGUGAGUGAGUAGGGAUUUUUUCACGCCCAAUAUGCGAUGCUAUCCUAAAGAGACUCGAAGGUCCCACCAAGGAUAGAACCGCAUAUUGAAACGCUUUUGCAAGGUGGAUAUCAUUACAUCAACAUUACAUAAUAGAUGGGGAUACAUACAAGAGGCAAACAAUGCGACAUGAAUACAACAUCACAAUACAUAAGAGCAACAUCCGGCUACGGAUGGAACACGAACAGAAACUCAAACGACGUCCACCUUGCUAGCCCAGGCUGCCGACCUGGGACCUAUCCCCAGAUCGAAGAAGAAGCAGAAGAAGAACUCCAAAACAAGUAAACAUCGCUCUCGCGUCAUGAUCAUCGCAUAACCUGUACCUGCAACUGUUGUUGUAGUAAUCAUGGAGCCACGAGGACUCAGCAAUCCCAUUACCAUGGGUAUCAAGACUAGCAAAGCUUAAAGGGAAAGGAAGGGGUAAAGUGGUGAGGUUGCAGCAGCGACUAAGCAUAUAUGGUGGCUAACAUACGCAAAUAAGAGCGAGAAGAGAAGCAAAGGAACGGUCGUGAAGCUAGCAAUGAUCAAGAGGUGAUCCUGAACACCUACUUACGUCAACCAUAACCCAAAACCGUGUUCACUUCCCGGACUCCGCUGAAAAGAGACCAUCACGGCUACACACAUGGUUGAUGCAUUUUAAUUCGGAUCUGGUGUCAAGUUAUCUACAACCGGACAUUAACAAAUUCCCAUCUACCACAUAACCGCGGGCACGACUUUCGAAAGUUUAUACCCUGCAGGGGUGUCCCAACUUAGCCCAUGAUAAGCUCUCGCGAUCAACGAAGGAUAUACCUUCUCCCAGGAAGACCCGAUCAGACUCGGAAUCUCGGUUUACAAGACAUUUAGACAAUGGUAAAACAAGACCAGCAAAGCCGCCCGGAUGUGCCGACAAAUCCCGAUAGGAGCUGCACAUAUCUCGUUCUCAGGGCACACCGGAUGAGCAAGACGACGGGUUGGCAUAGACCCUGGUUGCCCAGGGGGCGCCAUACAUCGCUCGGUUUGGACCAACACUUAGACAAGCAUUGACCCGGGGGGCUAAAAUAAAGAUGACCCUCGAGCUCCGGAAACCCAAGGAAAAAAGGGCUAGGUGAGGCAAAUGGUAAAACCAAGGUUGGGCCUUCCUGGAGGAGUUUUAUUCAAAGCGAACUAUCAAGGGGGUCCCAUAAAUCACCCAACCGCGUAAGGAACGCAAAAUACGGGAACAUAACACCGGUAUGACGGAAACUAGGGCGGCAAGAGUGGAACAAAACACCAGGCAUAAGGCCGAGUCUUCCACCCUUUACCAAGUAUAUAGAUGCAUUAAUUAAAUAAGAGAUAUUGUGAUAUCCCAACAUAAUCCUGUCCACCAUGGAGCAAUCUUCAACUUCACCUGCAACUAACAACACUAUAAGAGAGGCUGAGCAAAAGCGGUAACAUAGCCAAACAACGGUUUGCUAGGAAGGUUGAAAAGGUUAGAGGCUGACAUGGCAAUUUGGGAGGCUUGAAGAACAAGUCAUAGGUAGCGCAGCAUAGCGAUAGAACGAAUCAACUAGCAUAGCAAUGAUAGUAAUGAGAUCCAAGGUGACAGUAAUCUUGCUUGAAAUCCUGCAAGGAAGAAGAACGAGUCCAUGAAGAAGAUGAACAGAUGAAGCCGAACCAAGCGUAGACGAACGAAUCCUCACGAUCGCAACGAAACGGGAAGUAUCGAGAAGAAGCACACAACAUGGUAAACACACCACGCAUAAACAUGACAUGAUGCACAACAAGCAUGAUGCAUGACAAAGCUACAUGAAGCUACUCAUGGCAAGAGAUGAUGCAUACAAGAGCAACACAUCAAAACAAGUUUAAAUGAGGCCGGGAACAACAUAUAACAAUUCCGGUAAGUCCUCAUAUGCAAAUUUCGAAAUAGGUCCAGAUCUGAAUAAACCUUAUGUUCAAGUUGUUAAACAGCAAGUUAAAGAUCACCAAGAAGAUCUACACGAGAUUCUAGUCAAGUUACAUAUAAAGUUCAUUUAGUUCGGAGCUACGGCCUAUAAGAUAUGAGCAAAACAAGUUAAACCUGGCAUUGAUGCAAAAUGCACACAAACAUCAAGAAAACACUCUCAUAACAUGGAUGCAACAAUAUAAUAUAAAACUACAUGCAAUUCUAAGCAAGUUUCAUAUAGAGCACACUCAAAACGGAGCAACAGUUCAACACAUACACGCUAUACAAGUUUAAAGGACAAGCUGUCCAAAACAGCAACUAGGCAUAAUGCAAGCACCAAAACAACAUGCUACAGUACCACAAUAUGAAAACAAAAGGCAUGGACAUGCUGUACAGGUAAAGCAUAACAAAACAUGAACACUGAGCUAUCUCCAGAAAUCACUAGAACAUUGCUCAAAAAGACAUGGCAAGAUUGCAAAUAACAACAGUUUACAGGCUUAGCAGAAAUAACAUCAGGUUGCAAUAUUUAGAGCUAUCAAAUGACAUGCUACAGGAACUUAUCAUGGCAAAUAAAGGCAUGGCAUGCUACUACUAAAUUCAUAGAACAAAAGUCCCUUACUGACCAUGAGCCAAAAGGACACAGAAAAUAUGAUGGCACCCAUGUAAACAUGGCAAAUUAUAUGACAGAUUCAUACAUGGCAGGAACAACAAUAAGUAGGCAUGUUGGUGAGCUUGUACCACUCACCACAGAGCAUUACAUGGCAUUAAAAGGUGACCAACCGUAAGCAUACAUGUUUAUGAAGCUAAGAAUGGCAAGAUAAAGUUCAUAGGGUGCAUGGAUCACUAGCAAAGCUCAUGGCACAAACUGAACUUCAUGUUAACAGGCUGACAGCAACAUUAUUUAGCAACUUUAGAGCAUGAUAACAGCAAGCUAAAGCAGGCUAUAAAUGCAACCAGGGGCAUGGAUAGAUAGAGCAUGACAUGUAUAACAAAAUAUCCUAAGUGAACAUCUCCAGAUUCUGCACAGUAUGACUUGUAGCAGCAAGUUCACAUGGCAACAAAAUAUAACAGAAACAGCAUAGCAAAACAGUAACAACAAGUACCCUACUUAACAAGCUUGAUGCACUCACUACAAGACUCACAAAAAAUACAUGGAUUGCACAUCUAUAAAGAUGGCAUGAUGUAGCACAAAACACAUGUAGAGCUCAUGCUCAUAGGAUGCACACAUCAAAUGCAACAAAAAUGACAAAUCACCAAGUUAUAACAGUUUCAGCAGAUUAACAUCAUAUAGAACUAUUGCAACGAUGAUUCAGGCAUCAAGCUGAACUCAAACAAGCAUUGCACAAUGGAAUGAAAUGAAGAGAAGCUCAUCACGAACAUUUUGAUAUAUUAUACGCUCAAAACGAAGCAGUGUGCAUUGAGUUAUGAUGCGUUGAACAGGGCAUGAAAAUGUCAAAAAAUCAGGGACUGGGAAAUUUGGACCUCGGGGAAAGUUGGACGGGGCGGACCGGGGACGAGCGGAUUCGGGGACGGGGUGGCCGUUUGGUUCGGGACCGGGUGGAUCUCAUCCCAGCCGGCCGGAUCUGGGACGGGGCGGCUGCCGACGGCGGCGAGGUCGCCGGAGGCGUGGGAGACGGCGGCGGAGGGGAGGAGAGAGAGGAGGCGCGGGGACACGUGGCAGGCGACGAUAGGUGCGGGGCGGCGGCGCGAUUUUUGUUCGGUGGCGGCGGACGUGUCCGGUGGCGGCUGAGGGCGAUUUUUUACGGUUUGGGGGGAUUCAUCCGUGAAUUUCGACGAGGAGAACAUAUUUAUAGGUAGAGGGAACUAGGAGACUUCAAAUGAGGUGCGGUUUUCGCCCACACGAUCGUGAUCGAACGACCGAGAGCAUGGAUAGGGUUUGGAUGGGUUUUGGGCCACUUUGGACGGGUGUUGGGCUGCAACACAAAGAAGGCUUUUGUAGUUACCCGGUUAACCGUAGGAGUAUCAAACGACCUCCAAAUGGAAAGAAACUUGACAGGCGGUCUAUCGGCGCUAUACCAAGGCCGCUUGGCAAACCUCGGGCCACUCCGAGAAAGUUUCACACCCGCUCACAAUAGGAGACAAAAGGGGGGCACUGGAGGACAUAGGAGUGCCGGAUUGCAAAAUGGACAACGGGGAAAAUGCUCGGAUGCAUGAGACGAACACGUAUGUAAUGCAAUGCAAUGCACAUGAUGACACAAUGCAAAUGAUGACAUGGCAAAAAUGCAACACGCAAGCAAAUGACAUGGCAACGACGGCGAAUAAAUGGCAGACACCUGGCGCAUCGAAUCCGGGGCGUUACAACACUCCUCCACUAACAAGAGAUCUCGUCCCGAGAUCUUAGGACCGAGACGGAAGGGAAAAGGGAUGAGGUGAAACAAGAACUCAAGAGAAGAAGCAAAGAAUCGAGAGCACUCGAGAAGAAGAGAGGAACGAUGAGAAUGACGAGAAUCGAAAGCUCACGGAAUUAGGUAGACUAUGAAACCACUCCGGUUAGAACGAGAUAAGAAACGAAUAAGACUGAAAGGAUUUCGGUAGCACCCCGGCUGAAACAUGGAGGAAUAGACCACGAACUUCACAAGAUGGGAUGACACUUGACGAGAUGAACAAUGCAAUGCAUCCGGAAGAAUUUAAAAAAAAAUUGAAAGAAAAGAAUGGAGAAGAAGACGACAUCUUCUACCAGGAAUGAAAUAGAAAGCAACCUUAGAAGAAAUGAUUGAACAAAGUUGUUGAGAAAAUCAACACCAAAAAGAAUAAGCUUGUUGUGGACUUAUCGGUAACAUCUCAAGAUCAUAAGGUGAUAACCGGCCACAAACGGAAAUGAUUGGAUAGCUGCAAAGAACGAAGAAAUGCAAACCUCCACUUCAAAAGAAAAUGAAGAAUUAUUUGCUCUUCAAGACGGGAGAAGAAAAGAUACUUGAACUCCAUCAACAAAAUCUUGAUGAAUUCUUGAAGAAUGAAUUUAAUCAUGAAGAACCACCAUGAAGAACUCCGGUGACAAAAGGACAACGAGAUAGAAUUGAAGGAUGAAAAGAAAAAGAUUAAAGCUUGCGAUACUUUAGAUGGAGGUUCCGACGAGAUGGCCGAGGAAAUUUGAACUCCGGAAAAGAAAAGCUGAAAACACUUGGAACUAGAAUUUAUUCAUCAAGAACAAACUCCGAAGGAAGGGAUUACUCACUUGGGUGAAAUAAGAAUAAGAUUUAUUGUAUGCUUAUCCUUCAUCAAAUUAAAUUGAUGACAAGCAAUGGAUUUUGCCUACUACUUAUUCUUCUUGAAAAGGAUUAAGGGGGGGGGUAUAGCACAAAACCCUAGAAAGUCUUCAUGAACCACCGGUAGAAUUGGAAAGAACGAAUGGAUAUAUGUGAAAAGAACGGAAAUAAAUCUUGAACGAACCACCAAUCAAAUGACAAUGAACAAAGAAAAGAGAAAGAAUCGCCGGGAAGAAUUAGAGCAAUCAUGAAGAUACUUGAGGGAAUUUAGACAAAAGAGAACGAAGAGAUCGUGAAGUGAUUGAAGAAUACCUGAACGAAGCACCGGAAGAAUAUUGAGACGACCGAAGGGGCACAGACGUAGAAUAAUUGGAGAACAAAUUCGAAACCAUAAAACGAAGAAAUAUUCCAAAAAGAUGGCCUCCGGAUGAUCGAGAGGGAAAGUAACUCCCGAAAUGCAUCGAAUGAUUGAAAAGAAUUUUCACGAUUGAAACAAUUUGAUGGGAUGACAUCGAGCUGGCACCGCGAAUCUCUGGGAGAUCAGACAAGAUUUAGAAGGAACUCUUCUUCGAUCUUCAAAUGACGACGAGAAACAGCACCAAAAUUACUGAGAUACUCCGGGAGAAUGAAAAAGAGGAAGGGUUGAACCAAAGAUGAAAAGAAUUUGAAAGCGAUCUUGGAGAUGGCAUCUGACUGAUGGGAUCCAUUCUUAUGUCACACUUGAAAAGAAUUGAGAAUAACUCCGGAAUAAUUAUAAGAGUCAGGUAAGAUCCUGGGAAAAACCUGUGGGUUAGGACCCGCUAAAGAAAACACCGUUGGAAAGGAUUGUUGAAGAGAUAGAUGAUGCACCGAAAUGAUUAAAAUAUUUGAAUGAGGUGACAACCUCGAAUUAAUUGGAACACAGACGAAUCUCCUGAGAUGUCUUGCACACUCCAGAAGGAUAAACUGGCGAGAGGCGAACGAACAAGGAGAACACUUGAUCCAAGGAAAAGAAUGUGAUCAACCCGAAAAAAAACUUGAGUUGAGUGCACCAGAAAAAGAAAGGGAUGAAGAAUGACAAACGAGACAAGAAUUCACCGGUUGAAAUAAUUUACGAAAGACUGAAGAGGUUCUGCACGAUUGAGAUAGAUGGUCGAGAGAGAGUCAGACUCCGGGAAGAAAAAAAGGUGGGAGGGUGGGAAAACAAAGGAAACUUGGAAGGGGAACCGACGAAUAACUUGAAGAGAAAAACAUCGGUUGAAAUCAUUGAGGAAAGAAAGCAAAGACUUGACACGAGUAGGAUGGAUACUCGAUUACGGACUCCGACUUCGAGAUGAAAAAGGGGUGGGUGGGUGGGAAAAAUAAAACAACCGAGGAUUGAACUUGCAAAAAUGGAGAGGGUCGAAUCAACUUGACGAGAAAUGCACUGGAUGAAAAGAGCUGAGAACAAACGAUCGGAAAACCAACUGCGUGAUCCUAAAGAAAAUUUGAAAGGGAAGAGAAGUAAUUCAAAACACCUACGUCAAGAUUCCUCACCAGAGCGAUGAAGGUUCUGAGGAGUAAAAAGAAUUCCUACUCUCCGAUAUAACUAGACUCCAAAAAUAGUUUUCUUCUAGACUCAACAAAGGGCAAACUACACGAUCAAUCAAGGGGGAUCCUAGGGUGGGUCGAGGCUCUGAUACCAACUUGUCACACCCAAUAUGCGAGGCUAUCCUAAAGAGACUCGAAGGUCCCACCAAGGAUAGAACCGCAUAUUGAAAUGCUUUUGCAAGGUGGAUAUCAUUACAUCAACAUUACAUAAUAGAUGGGGAUACAUACAAGAGGAAAACAAUGCGACAUGAAUACUACAUCACAAUACAUAAGAGCAACAUCCGGCUACGGAUGGAACACGAACAGAAACUCAAACGACAUCCACCCUGCUAGCCCAGGCUGCCGACCUGGGACCUAUCCCCUGAUCGAAGAAGAAGCAGAAGAAGAACUCCAAAACAUGUAAACAUCGCUGUCGCGUCAUGAUCAUCGCAUAACCUGUACCUGCAACUGUUGUUGUAGUAAUCUGUGAGCCACGAGGACUUAGCAAUCCCAUUACCAUGGGUAUCAAGACUAGCAAAGCUUAAAGGGAAAGGAAGGGGUAAAGUGGUGAGGUUGCAGCAGCGACUAAGCAUAUAUGGUGGCUAACAUACGCAAAUAAGAGCGAGAAGAGAAGCAAAGGAACGGUCGUGAAACUAGCAAUGAUCAAGAGGUGAUCCUGAACACCUACUUACGUCAACCAUAACCCAAAACCGUGUUCACUUCCCGGACUCCGCCGAAAAGAGACCAUCACGGCUACACACACGGUUGAUGCGUUUUAGUUCGGAUCUGGCAAGUCAUCUACAACCGGACAUUAACAAAUUCCCAUCUGCCACAUAACCGCGGGCACGGCUUUCGAAAGUUUAUACCCUGCAAGGGUGUCCCAACUUAGCCCAUGAUAAGCUCUUACGAUCAACGAAGGAUAUACCUUCUCCUAGGAAGACCCGAUCAGACUCGGAAUCCCGGUUUAUAAGACAUUUCGACAAUGGUAAAACAAGACCAUCAAAGCCACCCAGAUGUGCCAAAAAAUCUGGAUAGGAGCUGCACAUAUCUCGUUCUCAGGGCACACCGGAUGAGCAAGACGACGGGUUGGCAUAGAGCCUGGUUGCCCAGGGGGCGCCGGACAUCGCUCGGUUUGGACCAACACUUAGAAAAGCAUUGGCCAAGGGGGGCUAAAAUAAAGAUGACCCUCGGGCUCCGGAAACCCAAGGGAAAAAGGGCUAGGUGAUGCAAAUGGUAAAACCAAGGUUGGGCCUUGCUGGAGGAGUUUUAUUCAAAGCGAACUGUCAAGGGGGUCCCAUAAAUCACCCAACCGCGUAAGGAACGCAAAAUCCGGGAACAUAACACUGGUAUGAUAGAAACUAGGGUGGCUAGAGUGGAACAAAACACUAGGCAUAAGGCCGAGUCUUCCACCCUUUACCAAGUAUAUAGAUGCAUUAAUUAAAUAAGAGAUAUUGUGAUAUCCCAACAUAAUCCUGUCCACCAUGGAGCAAUCUUCAACUUCACCUGCAACUAACAAUGCUAUAAGAGGGGCUGAGAAAAAGCGGUAACAUAGCCAAACAACGGUUUGCUAGGAAGGGUGAAAAGGUUAAAGGCUGACAUGGCAAUUUGGGAGGCUUGAAGAACAAGUGAUAGGUAGCGCAGCAUAGCGAUAGAAUGAAGCAACUAGCAUAGCAAUGAUAGUAAUGAGAUCCAAGGUGACGGUCAUCUUGCUUGAAAUCCCGCAAGGAAGAAGAACGAGUCCAUGAAGAAGAUGAACGGAUGAAGCCGAACCAAGCGUAGACGAACGAAUCCUCACGAUCGCAACGAAACGUGAACUAUCGAGAAGCACACAACAUGGUAAAUACACCACACAUAAACAUGACAUGAUGCACAACAAGCAUGAUGCAUGACAAAGCUACAUGAAGCUACUCAUGGCAAGAGAUGAUGCAUACAAAAGCAACACAUCAAAGCAAGUUUAAAUGAGGUCGGGAACAACAUAUAACAAUUCUGGUAAGUCCUCAUAUGCAAAUUUCGAAAUAGGUCCAGAUCUGAAUAAACCUUAUGUUCAAAUUGUUAAACAGCAAGUUAAAGAGCACCAAGAAGAUCUGCACGAGAUUCUAGUCAAGUUACAUAUAAAGUUCAUUUAGUUCGGAGCUACGGCCUAGAAGAUAUGAGCAAAACAAGUUAAACAUGGCAUUGAUGCAAAAUGCACACAAACAUCAAGCAAACACUCUCAAAACAUGGAUGCAACAUGACAAUAUGAAACUACAUGCAAUUCUAAGCAAGUUUCAUAUAUAGCACACUCAAAACGGAGCAACGGUUCAACACAUACACGCUAUACAAGUUUAAAGGACAAGCCGUCCAAAAUAGCAACUAGGCAUAAUGCAAGCACCAAAACAACAUGCUACAGUACCACAAUAUGAAAACAAAAGGCAUGGACAUGCUGUACAGGUAAAGCAUAACAAAACAUGAACACUGAGGUAUCUCCAGAAAUCACUAGAACAUGCUCAAAAAGACAUGGCAAGAUUGGAAAUAACAACAGUUUACAGGCUUAGCAGAAAUAACAUCAGGUUGCAAUGUUUAGAGCUAUCAAACAACAUGCUACAGGAACUUAUCAUGGCAAAAAAAGGCAUGGCAUGCUACUACUAAAUGCAUAGAACAAAAGUCCCUUACUGACCAUGAGCUAAAAGGGCACAGAAAAUAUGAUGGCACCCAUGUAAACAUGGACAAAUAUAUGACAGAUUCAUACAUGGCAGGAACAACAAUAAGUAGGCAUGUUGGUGAGCUUGUACCACUCACCACAUAGCAUUACAUGGCAUGAAAAGGUGAGCAACCGUAAGCAUACAUGUUUAUCAAGCUAAGCAUGGCAAGAGCAAGUUCAUAGGCUUCAUGUAUCACUAGCAAAGCUCAUGGCACAAACUGAACUUCAUGUUAACAGGCUGACAGAAACAUUAUUUAGCAACUUUAGAGCAUGAUAACAACAAGCUACAGCAGGCUAUAAAUUCAACCAGGGGAAUGGAUGGAUAUAUCAUGACAUGUAUAACAAAACAUCCUUAGUGAAUAUCUCCAGAUUAUGCAUAGUAUAACUUGUAGCAGCAGGUUUACAUGGCAACAAAAUAUAAGAGAAACAGCCUAGCAAAACAGUAACAGCAAGUACCCUACUUAACAAGCUUUAUGCACUCACUACAAGACUCACAAAAAAUACAUGUAUUGCACCUAUGUAAAGAUGGCAUGAUGUAGCACAAAACACAUGUAGAGCUCAUGCUCAUAGGAUGCACACAUCAAAUGCAACAAAAAUGACAAAUCACCAAGUUAUAACAGUUUCAGCAGAUUAACAUCAUAUAGCACUCUUGCAACGAUGAUUCUGGCAUCAAGAUGAACUCACACAAGCAUGGCACGAUGGAAUGAAAUGAAGAGCAUCUCAUGACGAACGUUUUGAUAUAUUAUACGCUCAAAACGGAGCAAUAUGCAUGGAGUUAUGAUGCGUUGAACAGGGCAUGAAAAUGUCAAAAAAAUCAGGGACUUAGGGAAAUUUGGACCUCGGGGAAAGUUGGACGGGGCGGACCCGAGACGAGCGGAUCCGGGGACGGGGCGGCCGUUUGGUUCGGGACCGGGUGGAUCUCAUCCCAGCCGGCCGGCUCUGGGACGGGGCGGCUGCCGGCGGCGGCGAGGUCGCCGGAGGCGUGGGAGACGGCGGCGGAGGGGAGGAGAGAGAGGAGGCGCGGGGACACGUGGCAGGCGAUGAUAGGCGCAGGGCAGCGACGCGAUUUUUGUUCGGUGGCGGCGGACGUGUCCGAUGGCGGCGGAGGGUGAUUUUUUAUGGUUUGGGGGGAUUCAUCCGCGAAUUUGGACGAGGAGCACAUAUUUAUAGGUAGAGGGAGCUAGGAGACUCCAAAUGAGGUGCGGUUUUCACCCACACGAUGGUGAUCGAACAACUGGGAGCAUGGAUGGGGUUUGGAUGGGGUUUCGGCCACUUUAGAGGGGUGUUGGGCUGCAACACAAAGAGGGCUUUUGCGGUUACCCGGUUAACCAUAGGAGUAUCAAACGACCUCCAAAUGGAACGAAACUUGACAGGCGGUCUACUGGCGCUAUACCAAGGCCGCUUGGGAAACCUCGGUCCACUCCGAGAAAGUUUAACACCCGCUCACAACGGGAGACAAAAGGGGGAGCCGAAGGACAUAGGAGUGCCGGAUUGCAAAACGGACAACGGGGAAAAUGCUCGGAUGCAUGAGACGAACACGUAUGCAAUGCAAUGCAAUGCACAUGAUGACACAAUGCAAAUGAUGACAUGGAAAAAAUGCAACAUGCAAGCAAAUGACAUGGCAACGACGGCGAAUAAAUGGCAGACACCUGGCACAUCGUAUCCGGGGCAUUACAGAUUUCCAUGCAACGGAUGCACUAGAGCUGUAAGUGUAUGAAAGCUCAAAAAGAAACUAAGUGGUUGUGCAUCCAACUCUCUUGCUCACGAAGACCUAGGGCAUUUAAGGAAGCCCAUCAUUGGAACAUACAAGCCAAGUUCUAUAAUGAAAAAUUCCCACUAGUAUACGAAAGUGUCAACAUAGGAGACUCUCUAUCAUGAAGAUCGUGGUGCUACCCUUAAUCACAAGUGUGGUAAAAUGAUAGUAGCAUUGCCCCUUCUCUCUUUUUCUCUCAUUUUUUUAUUUUUUGGGCCUUCUCUUCUUUUUGGCCUAUUUUUUUUAUCAUUUUUCAUCCGUAGUCUCAUCCCGACUUGUGGGGGAAUCAUAGUCUUCAUCAUCCUUUCCUCACAUGGGACAAUGCUCUAACAAUGAAGAUCAUCACACUUUUAUUUACUUUACAACUCAAGAAUUUGAUGCUCAGAACAAAAUAUGACUCUAUAUGAAUGCCUCCGGCAGUGUACGGAGAUGCGCAAUAACUCAUGAGUGACAGGUAUGAAAUAAUUAUGAAAGGUGGCUUUGCCACAAAUAUGAUGUCAACUACAUGAUCAUGCAAAGCAAUAUGACAAUGAUGAUGCGUGUGAUAAUAAACAGAAAGGUGGAAAGUUGCAUGGCAAUAUAUCUCGGAAUGGCUAUGGAAUUGCCAUAAUAAGUAGGUAUGGUGGUUGUUUUGAGGAAGGUAUAUGGUGGGUGUAUGGUACCGGCGAAAAUUGCGCGGCAUAAGAGAGGCUAGCAAUGGUGGAAGGGUGAGAGUGCGUAUAAUCCAUGGACUCAACAUUAGUCAUAAAGAACUCACAUACUUAUUGGAGAAAUCUAUUAGUUAUCAAAAUGAAGUACUACGCGCAUGCUCCUAGGGGGAUAGAUUGGUAGGAAAAGACCAUCACUCAUCCCCGACCGCCACUCAUAAGGAAGACAAUAAAUAAAUAAAUCAUGCUCCAACUUAAUACAUAACGUUUCACCAUACGUGCAUGCUACGGGAAUCACAAACUUUAACACAAGUAUCUCUCAAAUUCACAACUACUCUAAUAGCAUGACUCUAAUAUCACCAUGUUCAUAUCUCAAAACAAUCAUAAAGAAUCAAACUUCUCAUAGUAUUCAAUGCACUUUUAUGAAAGUUUUUAUUAUAUCUCUCUUGGAUGCCCAUCAUAUUAGGACUAAAUUCAUAACCAAAGCAAAUUACCAUGAUGUUCUAAAACACUCUCGAAAUAAUAUAAGUGAAACAUGGGAGUUCAUCAAUUUCUUCAAAAAUAAAACCCCCACCAUGCUCUAAAAGAUGUAAGUGAAGCACUAGAGCAAACGACAAACUACUUCAAAAGAUAUAAGUGAAGAUCAAUGAGUAGUCGAAUAAUUAUGCAACUAUGUGAAGACUCUCUAACAUUUAACAAUUUCAUAUCUUGAGAUAUUAUUCAAGCAGCAAGCAAAACAAAAUAAAAUGCUAUGAUGCUCCAAGAAAAACACAUAUCAUGUGGUGAAUAAAAAUAUAGCUCCAAGUAAGGUUACCGAUGAACGAAGACGAAAGAGGGGAUGCCAUCCGGGGCAUCCCCAAGCUUAGGCUCUUGGUUGUCCUUGAAUAUUACCUUGUGGUGCCUUGGUCAUCCCCAAGCUUAGGCUCUUGCCACUCCUUAUUCCAUAGUCCAACGAAUCUUUCCCCAAAACUUGAAAAGUUCACAACACAAAACUCAACAGAAAACUCGUAAGCUCCAUUAGUAUAAGAAAAUAAAUCAACACUUUUGGUACUAUUAAACUCCUUGUAAAUUCAUAUUGUUGUAAUAUCUACUGUAUUCCAACUUAUCUAUGGUUCAUACCCUUCGAUACUACUCAUAGAUUCAUCAAAAAUAAGCAAACGACACAUAAAAAACAGAAUCUGUCAAAAACAGACCAGUCUGUAGUAAUCUGUAACUCUCUAAUACUUCUGUAACACCAAAAAUCCAGAAAAAUAGGAAAACCUGAGAAAUGUGUGUACCAAUCCAGAGCAAAAAGAAUCAGACCAAAAUCAUGUUUCUAUGAAUCAUCAAAACUAAUUUACUGGGUGCAAAAGUUUCUGAUUUUUAGCAGGAUCAACACAACUAUCACCGUAAGCUAUCCUAAAGGUCUUACUUGGCACUUCAUUGAAACAAAAGCUAUAAAACAUGAUUACUACAGUAGCAUAAUCAUGUGAACACACAAAAAAAUUAGGGUUAAAUAUUGGUUUGUCUCCCAACAAGCGCUUUUCUUUAAUGCCUUUUUAGCUAGGCAUGAUAAUUUCAAUGAUGCUCACAUAAAAGAUAAGAAUUCAAACACAAAGAGAGCAUCAUGAAGAAUAUGACUAGCACAUCUAAGUCUAACCACUUCCUAUGCCUAGGGAUUUUGUGAGAAAACAACUUAUGGGAACAAGAAUCAACUAGCAUAGGAAAGCAAAACAAGCAUAACUUCAAGAUUUUCAACACAUAGAGAGGAAACUUGAUAUUAUUGCAAUUCAUACAAGCAUAUAUUCCUCCCUCAUAAUAAUUUUCAGUAGCAUCAUGAAUGAAUUCAACAAAAUAACCAUCACAUAAAGCAUUCUUUUCAUGAUCCCCAAGCAUAUAAAUUUUAUUACUCUCCACAUAAUCAAAAUUCUUCUCAUUCGGAAUAGUGGGAGUAAACUCAACAAAAUAACUAUCAUGGGAUUGAAAACUAAGAUCAAGAUGACAAGUUUCAUGGUAAUAAUUAUUUUUUAUAGCAUACAUGUCAUCACAAUAAUCAUCAUAGAUAGUAACUUUGUUCUCAUAAUCAAUUGGAACCUCUUCCGAAAUAGUGGAUUCAUCACUAAAUAAAGUCAUGACCUCUCCAAAUCCACUUUUAUCAAUAUUGUGAAAAGAUUCAACACCCUACAAAAUAGUGGGAUCAAUACUACCUAAAGUUGACACUAUUCCAAACCCACUUUCAUCAAUAUAAUCAUCAUAGAUAGGAGGCAUGCAUUCAUCAUAAUAAAUUUCCUCAUCAAAACUUGGGGGACUAAAAAUAUCAUAUUCAUCAAACAUAGCAUCCCCAAGCUUGUGGCUUUGCAUAUCAUUAGCAUCAUGGACUUUCAAGAAAUUCAUACUAACAACAUUGCAAUCAUGCUCAUCAUACAAAUAUUAAGUGCCAAACAUUUUAAUGCAUUCUUCUUCUAACACUUGAGUACAAUUUUCCUUUCCAUCAUUUUCACGAAAGACAUUAAAAAGAUGAAGCAUAUGUGGCACCCUCAAUUCCAUUUUUUGUAGUUUUCUUUUAUAAACUAAACUAGUGAUAAAACAAGAAACUAAAAGAUUCAGUUGCAAGAUCUAAAGAUAUACCUUCAAGCACUAACCUCCCCGGCAACGGCGCCAGAAAAGAGCUUAAUGUCUACUACACAACCUUCUUCUUGUAGACCUUGUUGGGCAUCCAAGUGCAGAGGUUUGUAGGACAGUAGAAAAUUUCCCUCAAGUGGAUGACCUAAGGUUUAUCAAUCCGUGGGAGGCAUAGGAUAAAUAUGGUCUCUCUCAAACAACCCUGCAACCAAAUAACAAAGAGUCUCUUGUGUCCCCAACACACCCAAUCACUACAAAAAAAUACACUUCCGUGAUGAUACGUGUUUGUCACAGUAGGUCGCGUUUUUUGUCAUGCAUGUACAUCCAUGACAAAUUUAUGACAGCAUGAAGAUAGUCAUACCUGUGCUAUCGUAGAAGUGUUCCAUGACAUUACCAAAAUUAUCAUCACGGAAGUGUCCACUUCCAUGAUGAUAAAUCGCGCAUCACAGAAGUGCUUUCGUCAAGGGUAACCAACACGUGGAAUCCACCGUAACGAAACACCGCUAAGCUAUCGGGUCGGAUUUUGGAUCCGGUAACCCGUUAAGAGCCACGACCAAUGCCGAUUUUCCACGUGAAAAAUUCUCAUUGGCUUACGGAUCCACAUGUCAGCUCCGUGUUGACACAGGUGUCACUAAUCCAACGGUCGAGAUGGGCCUAUGAUAUGUUGACACAUGGACCGGCCCAAAAGUGGCCCACAGAGUUUAAAUGGGCCGGCCCAACCAAAGGCCCAUAAGAUUUAGCAGACCAUAAUGGGCUGGCCCAGCUAAAGGCCCACAAGAUUUUGCGGACCACAAUGGGCCGACCCAGCUAAAGGCCCACAAGAUUAUGCAGACCAUAAUGGGUCGGCCCAGCUAAAGGCCCAACAUUCUCUGCAAAUUGGCCCGUCAAUGGCCUGGUCUAAACUUGUCAUCAAUGCGGCCCAUGGUCACUUCUGGCCCGUUAACAGUCCGCUAAGUAAUUGGGCCGAAUUACAGCCCGGUGUAUUUCCGUUCUGUUAAAGGUCCGGCUUCAUUUGGGCCCAUUUACAGGCCAUCAAAACUUUCGGCCCAUAAAUGAUCAUGAAGGAUUUGGGUCAUAUUCGGCCAUGUCUGUCAUUCGGCCUGUUAGAGGCCCACUAUAGAUUUGGGCCACUUUCGGCCUGUUGUCAUUUUCGGCCUAUUAACACCGGAUGUAAACCAUGGGCCAUAUGUGGCCCAACGUCAUAUCGGGCCCAUUAACGGCCAAUAUAAAAAUGACGAUAAUAUAGCCCGACCGAAGCUCUGGCCUGUUAAAGGCCCGUGUAUUAGGUCGGCGCAUUUACGGCCCGUCUGAAUUUCGGCCUGUCAAAUAUCUGCUUCAUAAAUGGGCCACCAUUUCGGCCUGCUAAGUCCAGUGGGUUAUUUGGCACAAUCAGGGCCCAAAAAAAUAUCUCACUUUCAGUGUAUUAAAGGCCCAUGUUUUUUAUGGGCUCGAGAUAUUUACACCUGUAAAUGGCCUAUUUUUACUGAGGGCCCAAAUUAUGUUUAGUCCUGUUAAAGGCCCACUAUGGCCACAGGCCUACCAGAAAAAAUUGAAAGCUUUUGCUAAUUUAUAAGCCCAGAUAUUUUUAGUGGGCUACAUGCCAAUUUCGGCCCAUAAUCAUUUUUAGCCCAAUUGGAAUGGGCCUGACGAAUGGUGGCAUGUUGGGCUCCUACGAAGCUUUCGGCCGAAUACAUUACUAAGAUAAACCUACGCUAUACAAAAAUAUCGUCGUAAUUACUGCAGCCUAUGGCAGCAUCAUAAAUGUUGUAUCACAACAAAAUAAAUUCCAAUCAUACAACAAAAGGCCUGUUGGCAUAAAGUUUACAGUCCUUCCAGAUAAAGGCACCAUCAGAUGUAUAGAAGAACAGAUCAUUUGACCUGAGUGCUAAUGUUUCAGGCUGUAGAAUCUGAUGGAGUAGCACGAUCUCCACCUUUUUUCUCCCAUUGCUCUUCAACAGCGAAGUGAAUGUCUGAUAGUCUAGUUUCAAAACCAUUCAUAUCUUGAUGACAUUUCUCAACCACUAUUCUUGUUUCCUAAACAACGUCCAUUAGGGAUUGGACUUGUGUCUGGAGCACAGAUAUAUCACUCUGUCUAGCAGGAAGAUUUUGUUCAGUAGGCGAUUUGGACGAGGUUACCUUGACAACCAACCCAGAAUUACGCAGGAAGGUGCUUUUUGCACUGUUAGUGGAGAGAUACUGACGCACUGCAGCAAUAGGUGACAUUGUGCCUGUAGUAGCCUCGUCACCUUCAGGUGGUUGUGGUUGCUCAAUCAUUUGUUCCAUAGCUUCCUGAAAGUUUGAACUUGUAGAUUAGUGUACCAGAUAAGUUACUAAUGAGACAAAAAACAAACAAAGUAGGUUAAAUGUUUAUACAUAACUUAUUUUGGUGAACUAUUGUAAUACAUUAGCAUGUAUUGUAGUGCCAACUACAUAAUAAAAUCACUUUCGGAACAUAUGUCCAUGUAGCAUGCCUACUGCAUUGUCUAUUUCCUCACAUUCGUUGAGAUCUAAGAAUAAAGAGACAUGGUUUAAAGUAGGAUGAACAUAGUAUGACAUCAUUCAUAUCAUGGGCAAACAGAUAUGAAACAAACAGGCUAUUUUAUCAUUAUGUGCGCACCUGAACAUAACAACUAGAUUACAGAUCAAGACCAAAAGAAUAUCCUUCAUCUCUUUUAAACCAUGUACGGUGAAAUGAUACAUUAAGACAACUGUGUAUAAAAGUGAACAGAGUAACUGACAUUGGCUGCAAACCAAGUAGUUAAAUGAACACAUCACAGUACCAAUCAGUUCAAGGCGGGAGGAGUAAGGACUUACAACAGCGGCUUGAGCUGGUGUGCUCAUGCCCUUCAUCUUGCUGGUGUGGCAAUCCUUGAAGAUUUGCACUGCAUUCGGUUCAGGUUCUUUUUGGUCCGCACGGGCUUUCCUUUGUAUUUGGAACAAGUCAAUAUAGAUACAAUAAUAUGGCACAAAAAAAGAAGGAAGUAGCAGCUAUUUACAAGAGCCUCGUAGUGUGCAAUAUAGCUACGAGAUCCUGUUGUCUGUUGGAAUUUCACUUUAGAACGGUUGGUUUUGUUCUUCAAACAGUUAGCCUAGAAGAAGAUACACUUGUAAGGCACAUACAUAAAUACAAGUUCAAUAUGUGGUCUGAUCAAAUACAUAUAGCCUGCCUGAUACUUUGGAUCAGACCAGUGUUUAACAAGGGCUGUCCAGUCUUCAUCUGUAUUAUAUUCCACUAGAGAUGUUUGGGCGAUUUCAUUGUUAGCCUUGCCUUCAAAGUGAGAUUUUCUAAGGUGGUACCGAUACUGUCGCAGAGUAGACUGAAAAACAUGAGUGCAUGCUUGUUUAGUUGCAUCAUCUUUCGGAUCCAACUUGAACCUCAUAUGGUGAAAAAAGAAUGUGAGUCUUAUUAGGAGGAAGCUAGAAAGUAUGGGACAGAGCAAGACAAUAUUACUAAUUGUGAUGAAUAACAUUACUUACGGAUAAAUGGUCAAGGAAGGUGUUAAACUGGGUAUUGUCUUUCUCAUUCCUGUAUUGGAUCCACGUUGGGAGGAUACGCGCAUGACACCUAACGGCAACGGCUGCCUCUGAUACUAACUUGGCUGACUUUGUAGCAUCACGUGGCCUUUUUAAACCUGCCUCAAAAUGGAUCUCCAUUCUUCCUCCUUUAGAUUUUGUUAAUCUGUCAAGCAUUAUCCCUGAUGUCUGUUUCUGCUUGCACCGUGGUGCUAGUUCAAUAACGAAUAUGGAAAGUGUUAGUGUGCAUCAAACUGUGAGAGUACAUAUAAAGGAGCAUGCAACUGCAACUUGACUCGGUCAGGUACCAUCUUGGUGUUGAUGCUCAUGAGGUUCAUCUGACCUUGCCAAGUCCUGUUGUGUUAGCAGUCCUUCGGAAGUAGUGUUAGGUGUGAAGGCAGCUUAGGAACUGGCCAGUUCCGGAGCAAACAAACGAGUAACUGGUUGAGAUGCUGGUAUAGUUGAAGCGGAUGCUGCAGCUGGUGGAGCAGGUGAUACUAUGUUUGUAGAUUUAGCCGGUGGACUUGGACCUUCUACUGCACUAUAAGUACCAACAGAAUCUCGAUGGCAGAACCUUUUCCAUUUCACCCGAUGAGUAACAACACUCCCUACUAUAUUAUUUUCCUUGCUCUUUUUUGACUUUGCCAUGUCAAGCUGCACCCACAACACAAAAGAAUAAAAUCACUCUUCAGAACUCAUUGAUGCAUGAUACAGACAAGCAAUACUUUGAUGUAAGACAACCGUAUGAGGAUGGAAUAUGUAAGAAAAACAGUACGGCAUGACAUAUUCACAGCUACGAUGUGCAAACUAAGCAGAAGGAUUUUCAAGAAAAUAGAAGUAAUGCAACCUAGACACCAUAUGAAAGAUGCAACCAAUAUUACUCUGCCAAGUUAAAAGUGUCUUGUCAUAAGUGGCAAUUCGAAAAAUUAGAAGUAGUACAACGUAGAAAUCAAUGCAAGAUGCAACCAUUAUCAAACUGCCAUGUUAAAAGCGUCCAAUCAUGAGUUACUGAUGCGGGAUACACAACAGCAGUACUUUGAUGUAAAAACAUUGUAUGAUAGAUAGAUACAGUGUAUUCUAGACACAGAAAGCCAUGUCAUAUGCACAUGUAUAACAUAUAAACUCAGUAGGUGCAAUUUAAUCAAAUAGAAGAAAUACAGGCUAGACAACAUAUGCAACAGGAAACCAAUUAUCACACUGUCAACUUAGAGCAAGCACCUGCGAUGGUGGAGUGCGGGAGAUGAACUCAUCAUGUAGACUUGGGACUUCAACUUCAUUAGCAGUAGCAGUGGCAAAUCUAGAGAGUCUCGGUUUGCGUCGGUGCGGAGUACCACCAACAUCCCCUAACGUACUCUUUUCCUUCCUAAUUUCUGAUAUUGCCUUAUGAAGUCAAAAACACAAGAAGAUGAAUAAAAUUAGCUCUGCAUAACUAGUUGAUGCAUGAUACAGACGAACACUACUUUGAUGUAAGGCAAGCGCAGGAUAGGAGGAUGGAAUAUAUACAAAAAAAUAUAGCAUUUCAUAUUCACACGUACGAUAGGAGGAUGGAAUAUGUAUAUAAAAACAGUAAGCGGAAGGCAUUUCAAUGAAAUUAGAAGAAAUGAAAGCUAGGCACCAUAUGAACAUGCAACCAAUAUCACUCUAUCAGGGAAAAAGUGUCUCGUCGUAAGUGCCAUUUCAAGAAAUUAGAAGCAGUACAAGCUAGAAGACAAUGCAAGAUGCAACCUACAUCACAGUCCCAAGUUAAAUGUGUCUUAUGGGUAAGUGAACGUUGCAGGUAUAAGUUGUAAGCUACACUGAUGCAAUUCUACAUAAUGAGAAGCAAUACAAAGUAGACAUCAUAUGGAAAACGCAACCACGUAUAACAGUUCCAAGUAAGAGCAAGCACCUGUGAUGGUGGAGUAGGGGAGAUGUGCUCAUCAUGUACACGUAUGUUCAAGAAACAGGAACACGUGUCAUAUUCAUAGGCAUUAUGUGUGAAGUAAGCAGAUGCAAUUCAAGUUAGAAGCAAUACAAGCUAGACAUCAUACGCAACAUGCAACCACAUAUAAUAGUGUCAAGUUAGAGCAAGCACCUGUGAUGGUGGAGUAGGGGAGAUGUGCUCAUCAUCUACACAGCUACGUUGACUGUCCAACCUUGUGUUGUCUUGCGAAUCUUGUUGGGAGGAUGGCGGAGUAGAAUCUUUAGAGACCCCCUGUUUGAGUUGCUCUGAAGGACCACCAUCAUGCACUCCCGGACUAAUUUCCUUCAGCUGUAAUGAUUUUGCAUUGUGAAGUCAAACCGAUGAGAAAAAGGAAUAACAUUCGCUCUUCAGAACUCAUUCAUGCAUGAUACUAACGAACACUACUCAGAUGAAAGACAAACACGUGAUGCAAGGAUGGAAUAUGUAUGAAAAACAGGAUGGUGUGACAUAUUCACACCUAUGAUGUGGUAACUAAGCAGAAGGCAUUUCAACAAAUUAGAAGCACUGCAAGCUAGACACCAUAUGAAAGAUGCAACCAAUAUCACUCUGCCAAGUUCAAACUGUAUGGCGUUUCAACAAAUUAGAAGUAGUAUAUGCUAGAAAUCAUAUGCAAGACACAACCAAUAUCAAAGUGGCGACUUAAAGGUGCCUUAUCAUAAGUGACUGAUGUGGGAUAUGCAAGAAUAGUAGUUUGAUGUAGAAUCAGGAACACAUGUCAUAUUCACAGGCAUUAUGUGUAAAGUAAGCAGAUGCAAUUCAAAAAGUUAGAAGCAAUACAAGCUAGACAUCAUACGCAACAUGCAACCGCAUAUAAUAGUGCCAAGUUAGAGCAAGCACCUGUGAUGGUGGAGUAGGGAAGAUGUGCUCAUCAUCUACACAGCUACAUUGACUGUCUAGCCUUGCGUUGUCUUGCGAAUCUUGUUGGGAGGAUGGCGGAGUAGAAUUUGUAGAGAACCUCCAUGUCAGUUGCUCAGAAGGACCACUUUCCUUGCCAAUUUCCUUCAACUUUAUUGAUUUUGCAUUGUGAGGUCAUACCGACAAGAAAAAGGAAUAUCAUUCGCUCUUCAGAACUCAUUCAUGCAUGAUACUGACGAACACUACUCUGAUGAAAGGCAAAGUCAUGAUAUGAGGAUCGAAUAUGUAUGAAAAAAUGGACGGCUUGACAUAUGCACACCUAUGAUGUGGUAACUAAGCAGAAGGAACUUCAACAAAUUAGAAACACUGCAAGACACCAUAUGGAAGUUGCAAUCAAUAUCACUCUACCAAGUUAAAAUUGUCUCAUCAUAGGUGGCGUUCAUCAAACUAGAAGCAAUACAUGCUAGAAAUCAUAUUAAAGACGCAAACCAAUAUCACACUGCCAACUUAAAGGUGUCCCAUCAUAAGUGACUGAUGCAGGAUACACAAGAAGAGUAGUUUCAUGUCAGAACAUGGUGUGAUAGACAGAAAUAGUAUGUACCAAAAACAGGAAAGCGUGUCAUAUUCACAUGUAUCAUGUGUAAGCUAAGCAGAUGCAGUUUACACUAAUUAGGAGCAAUACGAGCUAGACACCAUAUGCAACAUGCAACCAGAUAUCACACUGCCAAGUUAGAGCAAGCACCUUGGAUGGUGGAGUAGGGGAGUGGAGACUUGGACCAUGUAAUGCACUAUCAGUACAAGGAGAAUCGGUACAGAUGCUCCAUUUACGUUGCUGCAGAGGACCACCAUCAUCACCUUCCUUACUCUUUUCCUUCCUUUUUCUUGAUUUUGCCUUGUCAAGUCAAACCCACAAGAAAAAGGAAUAAAAUUUGCUCUUCAGAACUUAUUGAUGCAUGAUACUGACGAAUACUUUCAUGUAAGGCAGCCGCAUGAUAGGAGGAUGGAAUAUGUAUGUAAAAUAGGACGGCGUGACAUAUUGACAUGUAUGAUGUAUAAAGUGUAAACUUAGCACAAGGUGCUUGAACUUGUUAGAAUGGAUGCAAGCUAGAAACCAUAUGAAAGAUGAAACCAAUAUCACUCUGCCAAAUUAAAAGGGUGCCGUAACAAAUGUGUUUGACCAAAUUAGAAGCAAUACAUGGCAACAGGCUAGAAAUAAUAUGCAAUAUGCAACGAAUAAAGGUGACUCAUCGUAAGUGAUUGAUGCAGGAUACAGAAGAGAGGUAGUUUCGUGUACCAAAAAUAGGAAGGCAUGUCAUAUUCACAGGUAUAGUGUGUAAACUAAGCAGAUGCAAUUUACCCUAAUUAGAAGCAUUACAAGCUAGACACCAUAUGCAACAUGCAACCACAUAUCACACUGCGAAGUUGGAGCAAGCACCUGUGAUGGUGGUGUAGGGGAAGUGCUGUCUUCAGGUACAAAGCAACGUUCAAUAUCUUCAUUUAGGCUUGCUGUUUCUUGAGAAUCAUGUGGAGAGGAUGAAAUUGCAUUCUUUAUAAGAGUAUUGCGUCUCAUAUUAACCCACACGCGUGACUGUCUCAUCAUAAGCGAUAGACGCAGGAUACACAAGAACAGUAGUUUGAUGUAAUAACAUGGUGUGAUAGGCAGAUGUAGUAUGUACCAAAAACAGGAAGGCGUGUCAUAUUCACAUAUAUAAUGUGUAAGCUAAGGAGAUGCAAUUUAACAAAUUAGGAGCAUUGAUGAGGGAUACACAAGAAAAGUAGUUUGAUGUAAGAACAUGGUUAAUAGAAAGACGUAGUAUGUACCAAAAACAGGAAGGCAUGUCAUAUUCACAGGUAUAAUGUGUUAACUAAGAAGAUGCAAUUUACCCUAAUUAGAAGCAUUACAAGGUAGACACCAUAUGCAACAUGCAACCACAUAUCACACUGCCAAGUAAGAGAAAGCACCUGCGAUGGUGGUGUGGGGGAAUUGCGGUGAUGAACUAGAGAGCUACGUUGACUAUCUUCAUUUAGCCUUGCUGUUUCUUGAGAAUCAUGUGGGGAGGCUGACACUGCACUCUUUAAACGAGUAGGGCAUCUCACAGUAACCCACCCGGGUGACUGUCUCAUCAUAAGUGAUUGAUGAGGGAUACAAAAGAGCAUUAGUUUGAUGUACGAACAUGGUUAAUAGACAUAUGUAGUAUGUAUCAAAAACAGGAAGGCAUGUCAUUAUCAAAGGUAUAAUGUGUAAAGUAAGCAGAUGCAAUUUAACCAAAUUGGAAGCAAUACAAGCUACACACCAUAUGCAACAUGCAACCACAUUUGACAGUGCGAAGUUAAAGCAAGCACCUGGGAUGGUUGUGUGUGGCAAUUGAGAUCAUCAACUGCAGAGCUACGUUUACUGUCUCCAACUGCUAACACUGCACCCAUUAGAGCACUGAAACGCUUAGUGCUUAUCUUCGUAUUACACUGGAGCGACUUCUGUCUUUUCUUUUCUGCAUUCAUCAACACUGCGUCAGAGUCUGAAAUACCCAUGCAUAAAAAAACAAUAGUGUGAGUAUGGGUGAAGUGUGUGCACAAUUAGUACAGUGUAAAGGUAGCAGAUAAUAGGUCGGUGAGAAAUAAAUGACGGGAGACAUAUGAUAGCUCUACAACAUGCAUGGCACACUAAAUUACUAUAGGAUUCUAUGAAAAUAACAGUCGACUGAAAGCAAAUAGGUCAGUCCAUUUUUUCUGCACCGUCUGAUGUACAAAGAACGGGCAGAUCGCCUUCAUCUACCUCCAGCCAGUCAGUGUUGACGAUCUUCCUCGAAACACCAACGACCAUCGACCCAGUAUUCCUCCCCUGCUUGCGCCCUCCCCUUGACCUCACUGCACCACCGUGCUUGGCACACCCCCCCGGCCAUCCAUUCAAGCCCCGCCAACCUCCAGAUUGGGCGCAAGCAGCUCCUGCACCCCACACCCCUAUGAUAGACACCAAUGCGCCGCUUCCUCUGGGAACAGGCGGACUAGGUGCUCCGUGCACCUAAGCGGGUGCUGCUUCUUUUAAUUGCGGUUCGACUGAGCCUGAAUUGAAAUCCAGGCGGGCUACUGACCUCUAGCAAAGGUGAAAUAGUAAAAGGGAGGAAACCUUGUGCAUUUAGUAUCACGAAGAAGAUGUAGUAAGAAGCGCUCAACUAGUUUCUUUCGGGGGAUGAAUACGGUGUGAGCGGAGACGUAAGAUUUGCAUGAAUAAGGGAAGAGGAGUACCUCUUUCUGCUGGCAGUGUUGUGUCCUCCUUCUGUUUUUCUGACGAUCUUGUUGUUCGCCGGAAACCAGAAGUUGUGGAGGACGGUGCACCUUGGACGAACCCAUGGCCAAGUUCUUGAGUGUGGUGCGGUGGCCGUCUAUCAGCGGCGGGGAAGCAGAUCCGAGGCGGCGAACGACGGCAUAGCGGGAAUAGCUCCGGUGCGGUGGACGGUUGCGAUAGUGGAGCCGCAGCAGUGAGGCGCAGGACGACGUGGUCGGAGUGGUUCUGGUACGGCGCACGUCGGCGUCGGCGUCGUGGAGGCAGCUCUGCCUCGGCUUCAGCUGCUAAAUCCCUGAGGGCGUUGUGGUUGCGGUUGCGUUGGACGACGACGUUGGGGUACCGGCUCCGGCGUGAUGGAGGAGGGCAGCGGUGGAUUGGCCGCUAUGGGGUGGAGGACGGAGGAGGCUGGGGUUUCGCGCUGGUGGAGAGGGCAUUUUCACGCCCAUGGAGUAUGAAUGGGGAGACGGAGGGAGGCGGGGAACUAAGGGGGAACAAUGUUUCGGUUUGAGACGCGCUUGUUUGAAAUUUGGGGAAAGUUACAAACUUUGCCCCCAUCUAAAAUUUCGGACAUAUUGCGGGUUGGCGGUAGGAUAGUCAUGUCAGGUGUCCCAAAUGUGGGCGGGAUAGAUUUCGGCCGAGCACAUGGGUGUUUAGGCGCCCACGGCGCAUGAAUGCUUCUCGGAGGCGGUUGAGACUGGCGUCUUGGUGAAGUUACAAACCUACCCCGGUUUAGACCUUUGGACAUUGGGCCGAUAGGCUACACAGGCCAGAGUCAGGACAGUAAUUUCCUACCACCAAAACAUUAGUCUCGCGCGGUUUCGGGUGACCAGAGGCCUAUUUGGCGCUUCGUUCAAUAUUUGGGAGCAGAAGCAUUAACGUUUUCGGUUCUCUUGAAUUGAACUUUUAGGAUUUGGCAAACUUCACAAAUCUUUACUCUUGAAAAUCCUAAAGCUACGACUAUUUUGGAAUGGAGGGGGUACAUUUUAAUAUACAUUGUACACGAGUAUAUAUUAAAAAAUAUGCAACUUACCUCAGUUCAUGCAUGGUUCCAGGUAUAAUCUCCUUGGUUGCAAAAAAAAGUUAGAUAUGCAUAUGAAUAUAUAUAGCAUGUUCAAACUCACAACAAAGAUUGAUGCCCCCUUUUACAUCUGAUUUACAAAUGACAUUAUCUCGGGUUCAAAUAGAUGAAUGCACUUCCUAUGAAUUCGAAUCUUCGAAACCCCCUUUAUGUUGAAUUCGACAUGUAUUUUUUUUCGUAGCUAGCAAUUGGGAAUGUAUCCAUGCAAGUGACAAAUGUAUAAAGUGCUUCACACUAACAACAUGGAGUGCACUAAUUAAUGUUUAUAUAUGAAUUGCAAAAGCAUCCAUUGCAUGUAUUUCAAACCGCUCUCACUCUAUGGAUCGAUAAUAUGAAAUAAACACAUGCACAUGCUAUAAUUCAAUAGAGUAUGGGUGUCUGAUAGACCGAUUUUCGUCCAUACACAAAUUUGCAAAAUUCAUGAUCUCAUCCAAAUAUAAUAAUGCCAUUUAUAUUUUAAUUUAAUGCGUAGAACCGCCUUUUACACGUAGAUGCACUAUGCCUCGGCCCGUUCUCACAAACGCGUUAUAUAUCUCUCUAUCUAACGCAUAAGUGCACACACUUUAUAUGCAUCGGCAUUUCUCUUUCACACAUGCUCAUAAUCUCUCUCAGGGUGUCGGGGUGUCUCACGCACAUGCUCUCUCUAUUUCUCUGUCUCUCUUUCUGACUACUAUGUACCACUCUUUUCACUAAUCUCAGUUGGAAAACACUAUUUCUCUCACAUGCAUAUAUACACAUGCACGGUCUCUACUAGCCCUCUAUACGCACAUAUAUGUGCCUACGUGUCUCCCGCACGCACAUUAUCUUUAGGCCUCUCUCGCACACAUUGCCCCCCCCCCCGACACACCUCUCUAAUAGUAGUUGGCAGAUAUGAUUUCAUCAUAUCAUUCAGUAGGAUAUCCCUGGCCAUUAGGCUGGAUGGUAAUACGAGGAAAAGUUUUACCCAAGUUCGGAUCGGACCCUUGCAGUUGAAGAAAGAGCCUACUCCUGGUACUGUAUAUUAGUGAUAGGGUUGUGUACAAAGUACACGUGAAUACCAGGCAUUGUGCGUGUGUGUAUACUAUCGACGAACUAGCCCCCAAGCUUGUAUAACAUACUAAGGGCCUAGGGUUACAAAUCAUAUAUAGUCGGCUUCUCACCAGUGGGGAUAUAGUCCUCCGCGACUCUGGUAGCUUCAUGUUGUAUGCCGAGUCCUCCACAUGGGUCUCCGUAUAACACGUCUUGGUCCAACCUAUAUUUGGUGCAGGAUGGAACCGACCCAUGAGUCUUCAUGUUGACCCACCACAACUAGAAAUGAUGUGCCCACCACACCACACACGCAAUCGGCCACUAAGAAAAUAAGCAUAUACAAUAGUACAACGGUAUCUAGCUCAUGAUACGUCUCCAUAUUUUGUUGAUGACACUGACGGACUUUGCAUUUGAUGCGUGCUCCGUACUUUGUUGACGACACUUACGGUCAUUGUAUUUGAAGCGAAAGCACGAUAUGGUCACUGUACUUCAGAAUAAGCUCAUCACGGUCACCAACAUACAUUUUGUCGUGCUAACCAACAUGUGGUUGGAUGGUUAGAGGACAAUGGUUUCUCGAGCCCACUAAGGUUAAAGCCCCGGUGCUCGCAUUUAUCUUGUGUUAAUUUCAGUAUUUUCCGGCGAUGUACGUUCAGUGGGAGGAGACGUUCUAGUCGACUACGAGGCACCUAUGGUGACUUCGUAAAAUCUCAAGAUCAUAUAUGCUGGCCCACUCUCUCGAAGGUGCUCAUAGGGGUAGGGUUCGUGUGUGUGCGCUUAUAGCGGUGAGUGCUUGCGCGUAUAUAUGAGCCCUUGCGCCUGUACCGUGUUAAACAAAUACAUGUCAUGAUUAUACUAUCACUGGCUGACCCAUACAACUCCAUAUUUUGUUGAUGACACAAUCAAUUGACCAGUCAUAUGGCACAACUAGUGUUGCACCAUCGGCGCGCGUAACCGUGGGGCCCACCUAUCAGCCCGUAUAUGAAAGAAAGAAAUGGUAGUUUGAGUCUGUACUGUGUUAAUAAAAUAGGAGUACAUUUAGGGUGAUCAUACGGUCACUGGCUCACCAUAUAGCUCCGUAAUUUGUUGAUAACACGAUCAAUUGACCAGUCAAACAGUCCACAUUCAACAGCGCACAUUACCAUAGGGCCCACCCGUCAGCGCGUAUAUGAAGGACAGAAAGGUAAUAAACUAGUGGUCGGUGGGUAUUCGAAGUCGUGAGACCUCUGGUUGGCAGUCACAGGCGGUUGNNNNNNNNNNNNNNNNNNNNNNNNNNNNNNNNNNNNNNNNNNNNNNNNNNNNNNNNNNNNNNNNNNNNNNNNNNNNNNNNNNNNNNNNNNNNNNNNNNNNNNNNNNNNNNNNNNNNNNNNNNNNNNNNNNNNNNNNNNNNNNNNNNNNNNNNNNNNNNNNNNNNNNNNNNNNNNNNNNNNNNNNNNNNNNNNNNNNNNNNNNNNNNNNNNNNNNNNNNNNNNNNNNNNNNNNNNNNNNNNNNNNNNNNNNNNNNNNNNNNNNNNNNNNNNNNNNNNNNNNNNNNNNNNNNNNNNNNNNNNNNNNNNNNNNNNNNNNNNNNNNNNNNNNNNNNNNNNNNNNNNNNNNNNNNNNNNNNNNNNNNNGUGGGGUGGGGAUCCCCGGAGAAAAAGCUCGGUGCGGGGGGGGGAGGGGGGCUAUAGGGAUGGCCGGUGCGGCGGCGGACCGGCGGUGGGGAGUGGUUUCGGGGAGGGCGGGCCGGCCACGGGCGGCGGGGGCGGGCGGUUCGACCGGUGGUGGCUGGCGGCUCAGGGGGUGUGGAGUUUGAUGAUAAACUGGAGGCCCUUGAUUUCGUAUCCAAAGGCUGGAAAAUGUAAUGACCAGAGAUGAAAAAGUCAGUCGACUAAUGUGUAGCCUCACCCCGCACGUACACAUGCACACACGCAAGACACGCACGCAUGUAGGCGUGUAACACUGACACAUACACAUAACGUACACACACACGCAUGCUGGCCUGCAACACUGACACGUACACAUGCACGUAUGCACCCAUGCAUGCAACACUGAAACGCACCCUUGCACGCACGCAACACUCGCACGCCUGCAUGCACACAGCACACGAUGCAAGACACACGCUCAACCUAUACGUGCAUGCCCCCUUUGUUAAGGACAUGGAUUGUUACGGGUAUUAAUCAAUCUUAUCUGUGAUAAGCAGAACAUGGAUGUUUGCAUCGGUCUUUGUGAAUCACAAUAUAUCGAAUGGGCUAUCAACAUAGUAGGCUUAACUACAUGAAAAAGAUGACGUCACACUCAAUGAACAAUCAUCGAUUUAUGAAAUGCCCGCUUCUGACCGCCCUGUCCCACCAAAGGUUCCUCUGCUGUGCGCUGCCUACAUUGGGUCAUUGACAUGCAGGCCAUGCACCCAAAGAGCCCACACGUCAGUGGAAGAACGGCGCGGUGUCCUAGGUCAGAGUCGAGGGCGCCACACGUGGCACGCCCAGCAGAACACGCCUCCGUGCCGCAUUCAAAUGCCUCCAUGAAAACCGCCCGUGUGGAAGCCGAGAAACCCACUCUGGACACACGUCCGUUCAUGAUCAGGUCGGCGUUAAACGCAAUGCCGGCCGAGCUCCUCCCGUCCGCCGUCUAUUUAAUCUCCUAUUUAAACGAGGCCAAACGCCGGCCAAGAAUCGCACACCUUCGCCGUUCCCCUAUCUCCUCCACCAUUUUGUCCACUCUUACAAUGGCUUAUGAAGAGUAGUUAUUCCGCAUCCAAGCCGGUUGGGUAGCCCGCCGGAUACGAGCUAUGCAGCUCGCUGAUCCACCUCCCUCCCCUCGCCCUACGGAGCCAGUUGCCGCCCCAAGCCGACGCGCGGUUCAGCAACUCGCCGCUCCAGGCCAGCUCGACGAGGAGCAGCGCAAAGGCGUCGUGGCUGCCGUCCACGCCGCCGCCUCGUACCGCAUCUCCCGUUUUUGUGGACGAGACUCCCAUGCCGGCGGCCGCGCCACGCAAGCAGCGAGAGAAGACGGGUGCGCGGAGAGCGACGAGUCGGUGGCCAGUGCCUCCGUGUCCGUCGCCAUCAUCGAGGAGAAGUAGAACACUGGAGGCCGCCGUCGCUUGGGUCCCAUGAAGGCCACCGCGGAGGCGACGCCGGUGUACGCAGCAGGUGUCUUGCCGGAUCCUUUUGUUGCGAGGACCUUCGUGGACCCCGCAUGGGCUCCACGGAAGAGGGGAAUGUUAGGAUGAACUCGAGCCGGCACCGGCCAUGGCGAAGUAGUGACCGGUGAUGAACUCGAACCGGUGCCGGCCACCAUCAUCUUCGGCACCAGCCAAUGAUAUCAGUUGGGCAGUGGGGAAGCGAGCCGUCAUUUCCGCUGAAGCAUAUACCUCCGGGGCUCCCGACAGUCCGGUGAUCGUGCUGCCGGACAUGAGGAACACAAAUCGAUCGGCGGACGACCAUUUAGGCCAGGUAUUAUAUACCUGUGCUGUCCAGAACUAGCACCGUGUAGUUCAUUUGAAUGUAAUGAAAUCCGUCAUGUUUGUGUGAAAAUCCGGUAUUUUAUAUGAUUUCCAUCGUUGUUUAUAUGAAAUAUCAGUUUGUCUACGUGUUUGCGUGAAUUUCGUCCGGUUGGUUGAGUUGUUGUCAUAAUGUGUGCGGCUACGGUUGGAUGGCGUAAUUUGCGGGUCGCCGGUCGGUCUGCGGGCGGCUCGGGCGGUGUUGUGGGACAAAAAACAUGGCUCGUGCGAGCUCGUCUCCAACGUGCGCGCUGGAGGAUGCAUGACAGCAUGAGCACCCAAGCCAUUCCUCGUUCAUCGGUGGCAAAGGCACCGGUGGACAAAAGGGUCGCCAAUAUUUUGGCUACCCCGGGCAAGAUCCAAACAUCCCCUCCCAAAACAGAUUCAAAUCCCUCGUUCGCCAUGGAAUUUUGCCAUGUGUUGUUUUCAUGGACUAGCAAGAUGCCCGCACAUUGCACGGAACAUCAAGAUGCAUUUUUUUACAAACUCCCGCAUGCAUGCAAGGGAUAAUUAAUGUCCUCCUUUGCUAGUACCACGAGGCAAACACCAUUAAUAUUGCAUCGAUUAGUGUUAGUGGCCUUGUAUAUCUGCAAAUUGUAAUUUUGAUAGCGGCCCCUUGUAUAUAAAAAUGGAGGGAGAAAUAUGAGAGAUAAGGUGAGGAGGAGUGGGGCGUGGUGGUGACUGGUGGUCGGACUGGGCGGAGGCAUGGGGAUGGACGACACAUUAUGUCUAGGUUUGUAUCUCUCUCACACACACCCACGUAGGUGGGGGACGUGCACGAAGAGAAGAGGUGCACGCACGGUGUCACGCCCAAUAUGCGACCCUAUCCAAAAGGAAGUCGAUGGUCCCACCAGGGAUAGACCCGCAUAUUGAAACGCUUUUGCAAGGUGGAUAUCAUUACAUCAACAUUACAUAAUAGAUGAGGAUACAUACAAAAGGCAUACAAUGCCACACGAAUACAACAUCACAAUACAUAAGAGCAUCAUCCGACUACGGAUGAAACACAAACAGAAACUCAAACGACAUCCACCCUGCUAGCCCAGGCUGCCAACCUGGAACCUAUCCCCUGAUCGAAGAAGAAGCAGAAGAAGAACUCCAAAAACAAGUAACAUCGCUCUCGCAUCAUGAUCAUCGCAUUACCUGUACCUGCAACUGUUGUUGUAGUAAUCUGUGAGCCACGAGGACUCAGCAAUCCCAUUACCAUGGGUAUCAAGACUAGCAAAGCUUAAAGGGAAAGGAAGGGGUAAAGGCGGUGAGGUUGCAGCAGCGACUAAGCAUAUAUGGUGGCUAACAUACGCAAAUAAGAGCGAGAAGAGAGCAAGCGGAACAGUCGUGAAGCUAGCAAUGAUCAAGAAGUGAUCCUGAACUCCUACUUACGUCAGUCAUAACCCAAAACCGUGUUCACUUCCCGGACUCCGUCGAAAAGAGACCAUCACGGCUACACACACGGUUGAUGCAUUUUAAUUCGGAACUGGUGUCAAGUUAUCUACAACCAGACAUUAACAAAUUCCCAUCUGCCCAUAACCGCGGGCACGGCUUUCCAAAGUUUAAACCCUGCAGGGGUGUCCCAACUUAGCCCAUGAUAAGCUCUCGCGAUCAACGAAGGAUAUACUUUCUCCCAGGAAGACCCGAUCAGACUCGGAAUCCCAGUUUACAAGACAUUUCGACAAUGGUAAAACAAGACCAGCAAAGCCACCCGAUGCACCGACAAUCCUGAUAGGAGCUACACAUAUCUCGUUCUCAGGGCAACACCGGAUAAGUUAGCCUACGAGUAAAACCAGCGCUCGAGUUGCCCCGAGGUGGCCCCGCAGUCUGCCCGGUUCGGACCAACACUUAGACAAGCACUGGCCUGGGGAGGCUAGAAUAAAGAUGACCCUCGAGAGAGCGACUCCCAAGGGAAAAGUAGGUGGUGGUGAGGCAAAUGGUAAAACCAAGGUUGGGCCUUGCUGGAGGAGUUUUAUUCAAAGCGAACUGUCAAGGGGGUCCCAUAAAUCACCCAACCGCGUAAGGAACGCAAAAUCCGGGAACAUAACACCGGUAUGACGGAAACUAGGGCGGCAAGAGUGGACCAAAACACCAGGCAUAAGGCCGAGUCUUCCACACUUUACCAAGUAUAUAGAUGCAUUAAUAAUAUAAGAGAUAUUGUGAUAUCCCAACCAAAAUCCUGUUCACCAUGGAGCAAUCUUCAACUUCACCUGCAACUAGCAAUGCUAUAAGAGGGCUUAACAAAGCGGUAACAUAGCCAAGCAACGGUUUGCUAGGAAGGGUGUCAAAGGUUAGAGGUUCAUGGCAAUUUGGGGAGGCUUGAAGAACAGGUGAUAGGUAGCGCAGCAUAGCGAUAUAACGAAACAACUAGCAUAGCAAUGAUAGUAGUGAGAUCCAGGGUAGCGGUCAUCUUGCCUGAAAUCCCGCUAGGAAGAAGAACGAGUCCAUGAAGAAGACGAACGGAUGAAGCCGAAGAAGAGUAGACGAACGAAUCCUCACGAUCGCAACGAAACAGGAACUAUCGAAAAGAAGCACCCAACAAGGUAAACACACCACACAUGAACAAGGCAUGAUGCACAACAAGCAUGAUGCAUGACAAGGCUACAUGAAUCUACUCAUGGCAUGAGAUGAUGCAAACCAGAGCAACACAUCAAGGCAAGUUUAAAUGAGGCUGGAAACAACAUAUAACAAUUCCGGUAAGUCCUCAUAUGCAUACUUCGAAAUUGGUCCAGAUCUGAAUAAAGCUUAUGUUCAAGUUGUUAAACAGCAAGUUAAGAUGCACCAAGAUGAUCUACACGAGAUUCUAAUAAGGUUACAUAUAAAGUUCAUUUAAUUCGGAGCUACGGCCUAGAAGAUAUGAGCAAAACAAGUUAAACAUGGCAUUGAUGCAAAAUGCAAACAAACAUCAAGCAAACACCUCAAAACAAGGAUGCAACAUGAUAAUAUGAAGCUACACACAAAAACAAGCAAGUUUCAUAUAGAGCACACUCAAAAUGGAGCAACGGUGCAACACACACUCUAUACAAGUCGUAACAACAAUCUGUCCAAAACAACUAGGCAUAUUGCAAGCGCCAAAACAACACGCUACAACAUCUUAACAUGAGAAAAAAGGCAUGGACAUGAUGUACAGGUAAAGCAUAACAAAACAUGAACACUGAGCUAUCUCCAGAAAUCACUAGAAUAUGCUCAAACACACAUGGCAAGAUUGCAAAUAAUAACAGUUCAGACUUUGCAGAAAAUAACAUCAGGUUGCAAUGUUUAGAGCUAUCAAACAACAUGCUACAGGAACUUAUCAUGGCAAACAAAGGCAUGGAAUGAAUCUACUAAUUGCAUAGAACAAAAGUCCCUUACUGACCAUGAGCCAAAUAGGAACAGAAAAUAUGAUGGCACACAUGUAAGCAUGGCAAGUUAUAUGACAGAUUCAUACAUGGCAGGAACAACGAUAAGUAGGCAUGUUGGUGAGCUUGUACCACUCACCACAGAGUAAUAAAUGGCAUGACAAGGCAACCAACAGUAAGAAUACAUAUUUAUGAAGCUAAGAAUGGCAAGACCAAGUUCAUAGGGUACAUGGAUCACUAACAACAAUCAUGGCAACAACUGAACUUAAUGUUAAGAGGCUGACAGCAACAUUAUAUAGCAACUUUGGAGAACGAUUACAACAAGCUACAUCAGGCUAUAAAUGCAACCAGGGGCAUGAGUGGAUAGAGCAUAACAUGUAGAACAAAACACCCUUAGUGAACAUCUCCAGAUUAUGCAUAGAAUGACUUGUAGCAGCAGGUUUACAUAGCAUCACGAAAUAACAGAUUCAGCCUAGCAAAACAGUAACAACAAGUACCCUACUUAACAAGCUCGAUUCACUCACCACAAGUCAUUGCAUGACAAGAUAAGCAUAGCAUCAUCAACAAGGCAUGUUUAUGAAGCUAAACAAGGCAAUAACAAGUUCAUAGCAUGCAAGGAUCAACUACAACAACCUUGGCAAAAUUGAAUAACAUGUAAACAAUCUGCCAGGAAACAUUUUGUAGCAAAAGUAGAGCACGAAAAUGACAUGCUAGAGUACUCCAUUAUUGCAACCAGGGGAAGGGAUGGAUAGAGCAUAACCAUAUGUUCAAAACAUCCUUACUGAAGUAUCUCAAAAUAAGCAUGGAUCUCUCUGUAGCAUCAUGUUUACAUGGCAUCAAAAUAACAACAGAACAGGGACUAAAAUCAGCAACAUCACGAAGCCUAGUUUGCAUGCUUUUUCUAGUCACCACAUUGAUCAAAAAAAUACAUGGUAAGAAGCUAUGUAAAGAAGACAUGGCAUAGUUCAAAACACAUGUAGACAUCAACCUCAUAAGAUGCACACAUCAAACAUGGCAAAAAUGACAAAUGAGCAUGUUCUGUUAACAGACAGCAGACAAUAUCAUAUAGCACUCUUGCAACGAUGAUUCAGGCAUCAAGAUGAGCCCAAAUGAACAUGAUGCAAUGGAAUGAAAUGAAGUACUCGUUGAGGCGAACAAUAUGACAUAUUACACGCAUGAAACGGAGCUACGGAUGCAUAGUUAUGAUGCGAUGAACAGGGCUCCAGAAUGCAAAGUAUUUCAGGACUUGGCAGAUUUAGAAAAAAAAACGGAGUGAGCAGAGGAUAGCUAUACUGCGCCUGGGGUGAGGGAUAAGGUUACCGGGGCGCUCACCAGAGAGGGCCGAGGCCCGGUAGGCGUAGCAGGCCGACGGGGCAAGCAAGUGGGCCGGCAGGCGAGGCCGGGGCCCAUGUGGCCGGGUCAAAGCGGGAGGAAGCAAGCGAGGCGACCGGUUCGGGCUCCUCCUGAUCCGCUGUGGCGACGGGCGUGGUGGAGGAGGGAAGGUCACCGGCGGGGACGGACGGUGGGGAAGGCGGCGCGGGGCACGGAUCUGUCCUCCGUCCACCGGAUCUGGCCAGGGCGAGGCCGGACGGAGGCGAACUCACCGGAGGAGCUUGCGGCGGUGAUGGAGACGGCACGCCGGCGGCGGGGACGGGAAGGUGAGGCGGUUUCGGGAGGCAGGGUCUAGCGCCCAGCGGCGAAGCGCCCGGCGGCGGUGGCGCAUGAUCCGGCGCGGGAGGCGCGGGUCCGCGCGGGAGGCGGCGGCUCGGGCCCGGAGGGCCCCGCACGGGCAGCGUGGGAUUCACGGGGAACGGCGGCAGGAUUUCGUCCGGCGGGCGCGGACAUGUCCGACGCGCGGAGGAGCGGGGCUAGGGUUUUGGACUGCGGGAUUCAUCCGCGAAAAAUCCGGGGGGGGGGGCACAUAUCUAUAGUUUCUGGGAGCUAGGAGAGCCCAAAUGAGGAGCGGUUUUCUCCCACACGAUCGUGAUCGAACGACCGAGAGCAUGGAGGAGGUUAGGAUGGGUUUUGGGCCACUUUGGAGGGGUUGCUGGGCCGCAAGAGAAAAGGGGGUUUCGGGCUGUGCGGUUAACCGUUGGAGUAUCAAACGGACUCCAAAUGGCACGAAACUUGACAGGUGGUCUACCGGUGCUAUACCAAGGCCGCUUGGCAAGACUCGGUCCAUUACAAGAACAUUUAACACCUGUUCACAACGAGAGACAAAAGGGGACGCCGGAGGGCAUAGGAGUGCUGGAUUGCAAAACGGACAACGGGGAAAAUGCUCGGAUGCAUGAGACGAACACGUUUGCAAUGCAAUGCACAUGAUGACAUGACAAUAUGCAACACGCAAGAAAAUGACAUGGCAAAGAAGGCGAAUAACUGGCACACACCUAGCGCAUUGAAUCCGGGGUGUUACAACACUCCUCCACUAACAAGAGAUCUCGUCCCGAGAUCUUAGGACCGAGACGGAAGGGAAAACGGAUGAGGUGAAACAAGAACUCAAGAGAAGAGGCAAGGAAUCGAGAGCAUUCGAGAAGAAGAGAGGAACGACGAGAAUGACGAGAAUCGAAAGCUCACUGAAUCAGAUAGACUAUGAAACCACUCCGGUUAGAACGAGAUAAGAAACGAAUAAGACUGAAAGGGUUUAGGCAGCACUCCGGCUCAAAAUGGAAGGAAUAGAACAAGAACUUCACAAGAUGGAAUGACACUUGUCAACAUAAACAACGCAAUGCCUCCGGAAGAAUUGAAAGAAUUUGAAUGAAAGAACUUGGAAGGAAUGAAUGGAGUUGUUGAGGAAAUCAACAACGAAAAGAAUAAGCUUGUUGUGGACUUGUAGGUAACAUCUCAAGAGAUAACCGGCCACAAACGGAAAUGGUUGGAUAACUGAGAAGAACGAAGAAAUGAAAAACUCCACUUCAAAAGAAUACGUAGAAAUAAUUGCACUUCGAGACGUGAGAAGAAAAGAUACUUGAACUCCACCAACAAAAAUCUUGAUGAACUCAUGAAGAAUGAAUUAAAUCAUGAAGAACCACCAUGAAGAACUCCGGUGACAAGGAUGAUGAGAUAGAAUGAAGGAUGAACGACUAAGAUGAGCCUUGCGAUGAUUUUGAUGGAGGUUCCGACAAAAUAUUCGAGGAAAAUUUGAACUCCGGAAAAGAAAAGAUGACAACACUUGGAACUAGAAUUUAUUCAUCAAGAACAAACUCCGAAGGAAGGGAUUAAUCACUUGGGUGAAAUAAGAAUAAGAUUUAUUAUAUGCUUAUCCUUCAUCAAAAUAAAUUGAUGACGAGCAAUGGAUUUUGCAUACUACUUGUUCUUCUUGAAAAGGAUUGAGAAGUGACAUGCCGCAAACUUGAGAAGGUCUUCAUGAACCACCGGUAGGAUUGAAAAGAACGAAUGAAUUAAAAUGAUGAUCAAGGAAAAAGAAUCUUGAACGAACCACCGUUAGAAAUGAAAAUGACUGAUGAAAGGGACUGAAUCACCGGGAAGAAUUAGAAGAACAAAUAUGCUCGAGGGGAUUUAGAUACAAGAGAACUGGAAGAACUCGAGCUGAUUAAAGAACACUUGAACGAAGUCCCGGGAUAAUUUGGAUAAUGGUAGCUGAAAUGUGAGGACGAAGAAUUCUUCUGGAAUGAUGGCCUCCGAUGGAAAGAAACAGAAAUCAACUCCUGAAAAACUCUGGAUGGAUGAAAAGAACUUCUGACAAGCGGGGUAAUUCGCAAGGAUAACAUGAAGCUAGAACCACGAAACUUCUAGAGAACGGGCAAGAUUUAGAGGAAAAACUCUUCUUCGGUCUUCAAAUGACGACAGGAAACACCCCCAAAAUUACUGAGAUACUCCGGGAGAAUGAAAAAGAGGAAGGGUUGAACCUAAAAUGAAAAGAAUUUGCAAGCGAUAUUGGAGAUGGCAUCUGACUGAUGAAAUUCAUUCUUAUGUCAGACUCCAAAAAGAACUAGGAAUGGCUCUGGAAGAAUUAGAAAGAGUCAGGUAAGAUCCUAGGAAAUGACCUGUGGGUUAGGGCCCACUAAAGAGAAAAACACCGUUGGAAAAGGAUGUUGAAGAGGUAGAUGAUGCACCGGAAUGAAUGAAAUAUUUGAAUGAGGUGACAACCUCGAAUUAAUUGGAACAUAGACGAAUCUCCUGAGAUAUCUUGAGCACUCCGGAAGGAUAAACUGACGAGAGGCAAACGAGCAAGGGGAAGCAUUUGAGCCGAGGAAAAGAAUAUGAUCAAACCGAAAAACUUGAAUUGAUGCCACCGGAAAGAGAUGGAGAAUGCCGCACAAAACGAGAAUACACCGGUUGAAAUGAUUGAGGGAAGACUAAAGAGGCUCCACGCGAAUGAAAUUGAUGCUCGAAAGAGACUCAGGCUCCGGGAAGAAGCGGGUGGGAGGGCAGGAAAACAAAGGCAACUUUCAAGAGAGAAACGACGAAUAACUUGAAGAGAAAACACCGGUUGAAAUCAUUGAGGAGAGAGAGCAAAAACUUCGCACGAGUAAGAUGGAUACUCGAUUACGGACUCCGGCUUAGAGAAGAAAAAGUGUGGGAGGGUGGGAAAAGAAAACAAUUGAGGAUUGAACUUGGCAAUGAUGAAGAGGCUCGAGUCGACUUGACGAGAAAAGCACCGGAUGAAAAGAGAAGAGAACCAACGAUCGAAAAACCAACUGCAUGAUCCUAAAGAAAAAUUUGAAGGGGAAGAGAAGUAAUUCAAAACACCUAUGUCAAGAUUCCUUACCAGAGCGACGAAGGGGCUGGGGUGUAAAAGAAUUCCUACUCUCCGAUAUAACUAGACUCCAAAAACAGUUUUCUUCUAGACUCGACAACGGCCAAACUACACGAUAAAUCAAGGGGGCUACUAGGGUCGAUCGAGGCUCUGAUACCAACUUGUCACGCCCAAUAUGCGACCUUAUCCAAAAGGAACUCGACGGUCCCACCAAGGAGAGACCCGCAUAUUGAAACGCUUUUGCAAGGUGGAUAUCAUUACAUCAACAUUGCAAAUAGAUGGGGAUACAUACAAAAGGCAUACAACGCCACACGAAUACAACAUCACGAUACAUAAGAGCAUCAUCCGACUACGGAUGAACACAAACAUAAACUCAAACGACAUCCACCCUGCUAGCCCAGGCUGCCGACCUGGAACCUAUCCCCUGAUCGAAGAAGAAGCAGAAGAAGAACUCCAAAAACAAGUAACAUCGCUCUCGUGUCAUGAUCAUCGCAUAAACUGUACCUGCAACUGUUGUUGUAGUAAUCUGUGAGCCACGGGGACUCAGCAAUCCCAUUACCAUGGGUAUCAAGACUAGCAAAGCUUAAAGGGAAAGGAAGGGGUAAAGGCGGUGAUGUUGCAGCAACGACUAAGUAUAUAUGGUGGCUAACAUACGCAAAUAAGAGCGAGAAGAGAGCAAGCGGAACGGUCGUGAAGCUAGCAAUGAUCAAGAAGUGAUCCUGAACUCCUACUUACGUCAGUCAUAACCCAAAACCGUGUUCACUUCCCGGACUCCGUCGAAAAGAGACCAUCACGGCUACACACGCAGUUGAUGCAUUUUAAUUCGGAUCUGGUGUCAAGUUAUCUACAACCGGACAUUAGCAAAUUCCCAUCUGCCCAUAACCGCGGGCACGGCUUUCGAAAGUUUAAACCCUACAGGGGUGUCCCAACUUAGCCCAUGAUAAGCUCUCGCGAUCAAUGAAGGAUAUACCUUCUCCCAGGAAGACCCGAUCAGACUCGGAAUCCCGGUUUACAAGACAUUUCGACAAUGGAAAAAAAAGACCCGCAAAGCCGCCCGAUGCGCCGACAAUCCCGAUAGGAGCUGCACAUAUCUCGUUCUCAGGGAAACACCAGAUAAGUCAGCCUACAAGUAAAACCAGCCCUCAAGUUGCCCCGAGGUGGCCCCGCAGUCUGCCGGGUUCCGACCAACACUUAGACAAGCAAUGCCCGGGGGGCUAGAAUAAAGAUGACCCUCGAGAGAGCGACUCCCAAGGGAAAAGUAGGUGGUGGUGAGGCAAAUGGUAAAACCAAGGUUGGGCCUUGCCGGAGGAGUUUUAUUCAAAGCGAACUGUCAAGGGGGUCCCAUAAAUCACCCAACCACGUAAGGAACGCAAAAUCCGGGAACAUAACACCGGUAUGACGGAAACUAGGGCGGCAAGAGUGGAACAAAACACCAGGCAUAAGGCCGAGUCUUCCACCCUUUACCAAGUAUAUAGAUGCAUUAAUAAUAUAAGAGAUAUUGUGAUAUCCCAGCCAAAAUCCUGUCCACCAUGGAGCAAUCUUCAACUUCACCUGCAACUAGAAAUGUUAUAAGAGGGCUGAACAAAGCGGUAACAUAGCCAAGCAACGGUUUGGUAGGAAGGGUGUCAAAGGUUAAAGGUUCAUGGCAAUUUGGGGAGGCUUGAAAAACAGGUGAUAGGUAGCGCAACAUAGCGAUAGAACGAAACAACUAGCAUAGCAAUGAUAGUAGUGAGAUCCAGGGUAGCGGUCAUCUUGCCUGAAAUCCCGCUAGGAAGAAGAACGAGUCCAUGAAGAAGACAAACGGAUGAAGCCAAACCAAGCGUAGACGAACGAAUCCUCACAAUCGCAACGAAAUGGGAACUAUCGAAAAGAAGCACACAACAAGGUAAACACACCACACAUGAACAAGGCAUGAUGCACAACAAGGAUGAUGCAUGACAAGGCUACAUGAAUCUACUCAUGGCAAGAGAUGAUGCAAACAAGAGCAACACAUCAAGGCAAGUUAAAAUGAGGCCGGAAACAACAUAUAACAAUUCCGGUAAGUCCUCAUAUGCAUACUUCGAAAUUGGUCCAGAUCUGAAUAAACCUUAUGUUCAAGUUGUUAAACAGCAAGUUAAGAUGCACCAAGAUGAUCUACACGAGAUUCUAAUCAAGUUACAUAUAAAGUUCAUUUAAUUCGGAGCUACGACCUAGAAGAUAUGAGCAAAACAAGUUAAACAUGGCAUUGAUGCAAAAUGCAUACAAACAUCAAGCAAUCACCUCAAAACAAGGGUGCAACAUGAUAAUAUAAAGCUACACACAAAAACAAGCAAGUUUCAUAUAGAGCACACUCAAAACGGAGCAACGGUGCAACACAUACACUCUAUACAAGUCAUAACAACAAUCUGUCCAAAACAGCAACUAGGCAUAUUGCAAGCACCAAAACAACACGCUACAGCAUCUUAACAUGAGAAAAAAAGGCAUGGACAUUAUGUACAGGUAAAGCAUAACAAAACAUGAACACUGAGCUAUCUCCAGAAAUCACUAGAACAUGCUCAAACACACAUGGCAAGAUUGCAAAUAAUAACAGUUCAGACUUUGCAGAAAAUAACAUCAGGUUGCAAUGUUUAGAGAUAUCAAACAACAUGCUACAGGAACUGAUCAUGGCAAACAAAGGCAUGGAAUGAAUCUACUAAUUGCAUAGAACAAAAGUCCCUUACUGACCAUGAGCCAAAAAGGAACAGAAAAUAUGAUGGCACCCAUGUAAACAUGUCAAGUUAUAUGACAGAUUCAUACAUGGCAGGAACAAUGAUAAGUAGGCAUGUUGGUGAGCUUGUACCACUCACCACAGAGCAAUAAAUGGUAUGACAAGGCAACCAACAGUAAGAAUACAUAUUUAUGAAGCUAAGAAUGGCAAGAGCAAGUUCAUAGGGUACAUGGAUCACUAACAACAAUCAUGGCAACAACUGAACUUAAUGUUAACAGGCUGACAGCAACAUUAUAUAGCAACUUUGGAGCAAGAUUACAACAAUCUAUAGCAGGCUAUAAAUGCAACCAGGGGCAUGGAUGGAUAGAUCAUAACAUGUAGAACAAAACACCCUUAGUGAACAUCUCCAGAUUAUGCAUAGAAUGACUUGUAGCAGCAGGUUUACAUAGCAUCACGAAAUAACAAAUUCAGCCUAGCAAAACAGUAACAACAAGUACCCUACUUAACAAGCUCGAUUCACUCACCACAAGUCAUUGCAUGACAAGAUAAGCAUAGCAUCAUCAACAAGGCAUGUUUAUGAAGCUAAACAAGGCAAUAACAAGUUCAUAGCAUGCAAGGAUCAACUACAACAACCUUGGCAUAAUUUAAUAACAUGUAAAUAAUCUGCCAGGAAACAUUUUGUAGCAAAAGUAGAGCACGAAAAUGACAUGCUAGACUACUCCAUAAUUGCAACCAGGGGAAGGGAUGGAUAGAGCAUAACCAUAUGUUCAAAACAUCCUUACUGAAGUAUCUCAAAAUAAGCAUGGAUCCCUCUGUAGCAUCAUGUUUACAUGGAAUCAAAAUAACAGCAGAACAGGGACUAAAAUCAGCAAGAUCACGAAGCCUAGUUUGCAUGCUUUUGCUAGUCACCACAUUGAUCAAAAAAAUAAAUGGUAAGUAGCUAUAUAAAUAAGACAUGGCAUAAUUCAAAACACAUGUAGACAUCAACCUCAUAAGAUGCACACAUCAAACAUGGCAAAAAUGACAAAUGAGCAUGUUCUGUUAACAGACAGCAGACAACAUCAUAUAGCACUCUUGCAACGAUGAUUCAGGCAUCAAGAUGAGCUCAAAUGAACAUGUUGCCAUGGAAUGAAAUGAAGUACUCAUUGAGGCGAACAAUUUGACAUAUUACACGCAUGAAAUGGAGCUACGGAUGCAUAGUUUUGAUGAGAUGAACAGGGCUCCAGAAUGCAAAAUAUUUCAGGACUUAGCAGAUUUCGAAAAAAACGGAGUGAGCAGAGGAUAGCUAUACUGCGCCUGGGGUGAGGGAUAAGGUUACCGGGGCGUUCACGAGAGCGGGCCAAGGCCCGGUAGGCAUAGCAGGCCGGCGGGGCAGGCAAGUGGGCCGGUAGGCGAGGCCGGGGCCCACGUGGCCGGGUCAACGCGGGAGGAAGCAGGCGAGGCGACCGGGUCGGGCUCCUCCCGAUCCGCUGCGGCGACGGGCGCGGUGGAGGAGGGAAGGUCACCGGCGGCGACGGAUGGCGGGGAAGGCGGCGCGGGGCACGGAUCUAGCCUCCCUCCACCGGAUCUAGCCGGGGCGAGGCCGGACGGUGGCGAACUCGCCGGAGGAGCUUGCGGCGGCGAUGGAGACGGCACGCUGGCGGCGGGGACGGGAAGGUGAGGCAUUUUCGGGAGGCAGGGUCUAGCGCCCGGCGGCGGCGNNNNNNNNNNNNNNNNNNNNNNNNNNNNNNNNNNNNNNNNNNNNNNNNNNNNNNNNNNNNNNNNNNNNNNNNNNNNNNNNNNNNNNNNNNNNNNNNNNNNNNNNNNNNNNNNNNNNNNNNNNNNNNNNNNNNNNNNNNNNNNNNNNNNNNNNNNNNNNNNNNNNNNNNNNNNNNNNNNNNNNNNNNNNNNNNNNNNNNNNNNNNNNNNNNNNNNNNNNNNNNNNNNNNNNNNNNNNNNNNNNNNNNNNNNNNNNNNNNNNNNNNNNNNNNNNNNNNNNNCUCGCGUGCCGGCGGCGGCGGGAGACGGUGGCGCCCACGUGGCAGUGCGGGAUUCACGGGGAAUGGCGGCAGGAUUUCGUCUGGCGGGCACGGACAUGUCCGACGCGCGGAGGAGCGGGGCUAGGGUUUUGGAUUGUGGGAUUCAUCCGCGAAAAAUCCGGGGGGGGGGCACAUAUUUAUAGUUUUUGGGAGCUAGGAGAGCCCAAAUGAGGAGCGGUUUUCGCCCACAUGAUCGUGAUCGAACGACCGAGAGCAUGGAGGGGGUUAGGAUGGGUUUUGGGUAACUUUGGAGGGGUUGCUGGGCCGCAAGAGAAAAGGGGGUUUCGGGCUGCGCGGUUAACCGUUGGAGUAUCAAUCGGACUCCAAAUGGCACGAAACUUGACAGGCGGUCUACCGGUGCUAUACCAAGGCCGCUUGGCAAGACUCGGUCCAUUCCGAGAACGUUUAACACCUGCUCACAACGAGAGACAAAAGGGGGACGCCGGAGGGCAUAGGAGUGCCGGAUUGCAAAACGGACAACGGGGAAAAUGCUCGGAUGCAUGAGACGAACACGUAUGCAAUGCAAUGCACAUGAUGACAUGACAAUAUGCAACACGCAAGCAAAUGACAUGGAAAAGAAGGCGAAUAACUGGCAGACACCUAGCGCAUCGAAUCCAGGGCGUUACACACGGCGCACGUACUCCCGUCUCUUUCCCAACCACACCCGCACGGUUACACGGAGGAGCUCAUUUCUGUACGAAAAAGGCAGCCCACGUGGUAAUUUGGUAUGUGUACUGGUUGUCCACUUGGUGGAGGGAGGAUCGUCUACCACGGGUCAACAAAUAAAUUGCGACUUGAUGCGUUAUGUUAAAUUAAAAAAAGAGGCAAACCAUGUGGGGCCUACCUUAGAGGCAAGGCUCUAUACACUGGAGUACUUUUGAUGUGUCCCGUCAACUCGCAAAACAAGGAGAAACUUGAUUAGUACGCCGUCUCCCCCGCCCAUGGGCGCGGUGGCUCACAGGAUGAGGUGAAGCUUACUACUACUGUACGCCUUUACGCCCGCUCCCUCGCCCACGCGCGCGGUGGCUCGCAGCAGAGGAGAAACUUUUACUACUCCCUCCGUUUACUCCUUGUCCCUACUACGUACGUACUUUUGUUAGUACUCCCUCCAUUUACUUAUACAAGGCCACUAUAAAAAAUACAUUUUGCAUCUACACAAGGCCACAAAUAGUAAUCGAGCCUUUCCAGUUUAUGGCUCAAUUUCAAAAUCUCUUCAACCAAGGUAGACGGUGAGUGGUCGAAUUAAUUUCGUAGUUUGCACAGUACACUCGUUUUUCUCAAGAAGUUAUGUUUGCCGAGGCAUUAAUUAGAACGAAUGCAUGAAUGACCACUAAAUUUCCAUGAACUUGUACAUGCAUUGGUUACUUUCCUCUUGACACUACUUGUGUCGGGUGAUCUAACGCAACUCAAAAUCCAACAUGUAAUGGUACUACUACUAGUAUAGUAGAAUUGAGACUUAUCAAAUGGAAAAAAGAAUGUUUUUAAAUGAGCCCUAUAAACCCUAGUGGGUACGUACUCCAUAAAAACAGAUUUUUUUCCAAAACUAAGUCGCCCCCUUUCAUGAAUUCUGUAGUAUACUCCUCCGUCGACGCUCCCUUUCAUGAAUUCUGUACUUCCUGUCGCCGACAUGUGGGGCAUAUAGCAACCAGGUCGACGUGUCAAGCACCAAAUAACAGUGUAGAACAGCAGGGGGGACGCACCCCACUCGUAUCGGCCUAGUAGUAGUAAUGAGCAAUGAGACGUCAAAUCACAAUGCCGCACUUUCCCAGACGGACGAAGCAACCAUUAUUUCACACUUCGGUUCGACAUCAUCUCAAACCACGUACUAGUAUUGCUUCUGCCUCAAGAGGGACAUGCGCAUCGCCUUGGUACAUCAUGACACGUGGGACCGCAUGACAGGCCAUGCUCCCCCGCCAAUUGCUCGGUAAAAUCACCUCAUUUUUACUAUACUUCCUCUGGAUCGGUUUACUACAUGGCAUGCACAUCGUUCUAUGUUGAGGAUUUAACUGGCUAUAUAUAUAUAUAUAUAUAUAUAUAUGUGUGUGUGUGUGUGUGUGUGUGUGUGUGUGUGUGUGUGUGUGUGCGUGUGAUGAACAAUAUGCUAGCCUUUUAAAAAAGUAUACUUGUACAGUAGUACUCCACUAUCGAUGGAUUGCGCCAUGGAGCAAAAAUUGAAAUUAAAAAAAAGGUGGUACAUUUAGAGAGCGCUCGUCGCCAAAUUAUGCAUAUAGUACUAUUAAAAAAGCUAGUACGUGCUUAAUUGGGGUGCUAAAUUCUAUUAAAGAAAUACUAGUACUAGUAUGUACAUACUAAAGAGUUAAAGUAACGAGAAGAAACAUAACAUAGUUCUACUGGCGGCUCAGCACAACACACCCCUCAAAUUAAACUAAGCACGCCUGAAAUUAAACUAUGCAACUAAUCCGGUAGACAUUGCAUUAGAAGUUUAGAACCACGAUGAGCAACGACACUGCCACCUUACUCAGAGUCCUCGUCCACGUCCUCGACUUCGUCCUUGUCCCUCUUCCUCUUGGCCGACACUUCUUUGCUUGAACCGCCAACUUGGCCGUUGCUCUUCAUCCAACCCUUGUAGAUAUUGAAACAAAGGUAGCCAUCCAUUGCAGCAUACUGGAUGUGGUCUAUAUCUAGUACAUUCCGCUGCCAUGCAUGACGACAAAACGUGUAUGGAGGUUUCUCCAGUUUACCGUACGAAGGAUGAACCAUGGCUCUUGCCAGGGUCAGCAUUGAAGGUUGACAAGAGGGCACCAGCCGAUUCUUCUGGAGGUCGAAGGGGUUGCCUACAACGAGGCCUAUCUGACGCAGGACUUCUUUGUCGUUCUUAAAGUCUAUAGUAACGAAUUUGACUGUUUUGUCCUUGAGGAAGUUAUUAAAAUCCUGGCACUCAACGUCGGCAUGGCAUAUGUGGUAGAUCAAGCAAACAUUAUGUACGCAAACCUGGAUUACGGCGGGCAUCUUCCUCUCUUUGUCCUUUAGAUCCUUCUCUCAUCCCACGACUGUGGUGUACUCAACAUCUAGCCCAGCGACCCACUCAUCGUGUGAGUUUUCGAACAUGCGUUUGAAGCGAGAAAGGCAUCCUUUCACCGUCGCGGAAGUACGGGUGUAGAUGACGUCGAACUCAUCACCGGUGAUGGUUCUAACCUUGUACUCACUGCUGAUCGGGGAGAUUUGGGACGCCAUGGAUUUGGGAGGAGGGUUAGGAUUAGUGGAACUAUCGUAAUGUGAAUGGACGAAACAACUAGGAGCGAACCGCCGUAGUAUUAAAGGACGUGGGGGAACGAGUAGGAGCGAACUGCCAGCGUGCGAACAGCAAGGUAGUGGCUUUCCAUUCUCCCAUGAUAUGGGCUUCCGAGAGCCCUUGGAUCUGAGAUCAAACGGUUGCAUAGCGUGAUUGUAGACCUAUGGGUGAAUAUCCUAUCCUGGAGGGUUAUUCUUAAAAAAUUUACCAACUUAGCAUGCGACCGUUUGAUCUCAGAUCCAAGGGCUGCCAGCAGCGCGUAUCAUGGUCGCACCUACCAUGACCGUCGCGUCACUCGCGCGGUUGCGUGCUUGAAGAUUUAAUACGGUGCCUUAGGCUAUCUGAUGUUGGCAUGUCAUAUAUAGUCAUCACUUAGUCACUCAUAAUACAACAAGGUUGGCUAUAAGUGUAUUUUUUACUCCUCUCUUUCUCUUUCUUCGUACUCCCUCCGUCCCAUAAUAUAAGAAUGUUUUUGACACUAGUGUAGUGUCAAAAACGUUCUUAUAUAAUGGGACACAGGGAGUACUAGUAUUUAUUGCAUUUGCCAAGGAGUGACGUCUUCCAAUGAAAUGGUGUUGCUAAGUUUGCUUCAUUUCAUUAGCUAUAGACUCAAAAUUGUAUUUUCACCUAGGUACACGCGCUUAGCACCGUUUCUUCCUUGGGUCACCAAACUAGACUCUCUCUUCUUGAUUAACUUGCCACAUCAGACUUUAUGCCUAUGUGGCAAGCUUAAGCACCUGUAGGAGCAAGUAAGUACAAUAGUGCACUUGACAUGGCAUUUUUGCAUAUGUGGAGGAAAGAGAGGCAAGGAAAAAGUGGAGAAGUGGGCUCUCAUGCAAGAGCCAGCCUCUACUACUACAUGGUGGAGCAUUGGGAGAGGCACCUGUAUGGAGGUGGUCAGGAAUCGGGAGACUCACGCCGGUCGUAGCACCGCAGUUAAAAUGAUAAUGGCAAGUCAAAUCACGGGGCCCCACCUGUCCAGCAGUAACUCGCUGUCAAAUCACACAUCCCUACGUUUGUAGAAGCCUAUGCCCUCGUCUUCUCGCGUCUCUGUCGAACCGACUAGGCGGAACUGCCCCACCUACCGCGCAAGAAAGGCUCCGCCCUCGACUUUUAAAUACAACUACUCCCUCCGUCUAGGUGAGUAAGUCAUCUUACGAAAACCAAAUAAUCCCAAAAUACUAAGGCGCGGUGCAUUAACUUCUACCUCGUUUCUUGUUUCUUCACAUAUCAACCAAUAAGAAUCCAAUGAUAUACUUUUUGUGAAAUAGUAACUCAUAUUUAGUUAGUCAAAUGGAUGACCUAGAACUACGUGCAGGCCCUAUAAACCGAGACGCCUACAAAUAAAAAACCGAGACGGAGAGGGUAGUUCAACACGUAUCUUUUUAGAUCAAUAUAGUUGGGAUUCACCAAGGAGCAAAACCAAGUGGUAGGCUGCUCCUAUCGUGUUGGCGUAGCAACUCAAGCAGGGUCAGUCCGCACACGAAAUGGUGACAAAGUUAACAGGAACCCUUUGGCAGACAUGUGGCUCAUCCACCGUCUUGUUCCACAUGCGAUGCACCAAAUUACAGUUCGGAGCAGAGGUUGGAAUUGGAGGCACCUCGGUCGUAGCACGGCAGUAGUAGAAAAUGAGCGAUGAGGGGUCAAAUCACAAAGCCCCACCUUUCCCGCAUUAAGCUGGACGGUCGAAGCAACCAUCAUUUCACUCUAGCGCGCAAGAGCAUAAAGAAAAGAGAAAACAAUGAUGCGUGCGGCAGCUACCUAGGGCACCCUAGGGUAGGGGUCUCCACUGCAGAUCCUUUUUUUGAAAGCGCCUCCACUACAAAUCGGCUUCUCCCUCGUCCUCUUGAAGAAAACCGAUGAUGAGUGCGGCGGUAGGGUUUGUAGGAGUACUACGGUGUGCGGGGCCAUGUUGUAGUAAACAGGUUCGAGUCGACGCCUUAAAUAUGUGUGGGCCACUUGGUUUUACGGGAAUGAGGCAGCAUUUUGGGUUCGGGGACCAGUGGAGAUAUAACACGUACAAAAAAUUGUGGACGUAGGUUCAACCGAAAGGCAAUGAUGCAUGGGCCCUGCUUUUUGGUAUACCCGGGGCCGCGUGAAAUUUGCUACUCUACUCAAAACUAGUAAGGUACACAUGUAUUGAACGCAUGAGAUUUCAAAACCAAAUUAUGAAUAAAUACACACUAUAGCAUGUAAAUCUUUGAGUCAUAUAUGCAUGAUGUAGAUGUUCGUUUAGUUCUUAUAGUUCAUCUCAUUCAAAAUCAAUUAGUUUUAUAAAAAUGUUAAUAUUCAUGGGGUUGUGCAUUGUAAAUCAUAAAGUAAAAAACAAAUAAUGGCAAUUCAUUUAGAAAAAAAUAAUCAAUUAUGAUACAGAAGAUUCUAGAACAAAGGAGAAGUGCUUGUGUUUUGAGGUUUGUGCAUUAUGCUUAAGUUCAACCAUGGAGUCUUCUAAAUUGUACAUGUGGCAGAUCUGGUGGAAUGUUGAUGAUAUCCAACGGCCAGUAGUUCUCGGAUUUGCCCAUCUCUGUACUGUCGGGUUAGCUUCAUCCAACGACCAUCUUUCAAAGUUAUUGGCACACUAUAUAGUUCUUGUGCCAUAGUUGCAUGUUUUGGAAAAAAGCAACUAGUGGGUUGUACUAUCUAUUUAGGAAUAGAAGAUGUAUACAUGGAAGUUGUAGGGAAAGAGAUGACAUGGAGGAUCUCAAUUCCUAUGAGUAGGGAUUGGAAAAGAGAUGUCAUUUGGUUCACAUCAUAGGAACUUUUCUAUUGAAUCUAGAGAUGACAUGUAUCUCAAUUGCUAUGAGGAGGGAUUAGUAAAGAGAUGUAAUUUGGUUCAUAUCAUAGGAACUUUUCUAUUGAAUAUACGCUAAUGUUUAUUUUCCUUUGAAAUUAAGGGAGUAUAGGAAUCCAUUCAUAUGAACCAAGUGGCUCUAAAGCUAUAGAAAUGAUAUCAUGUUUAUUUCCUUUGAAAUGUAGAGUAUAUGAAUCUAUUCCUAUGAACCAAUUGGCUCUAAAGGAAAAAAAUCCUAUAAAAAUCAUAUCUUAUAGAGUUCCAAUGAUAUUCCUCGACACUAAAGGAUGGUUGAAAUUGCUGCGGGUGAUACGAUGGUCUUUCUUUGUAGACUCCUCACCCAUCUUUAUAGUUACCUCUCAAAGAUGAAUGAAAUGAUAUAUACAGGGUAUUCUACAUGUGCAAUUUGGUACACGAAAACUCAGUAAAAGUUUGCGAGGUUCUAAUUUUCAAUAAAGCUAUAUGCACUGCAUUUUGGAACGGAGGGAGCAAACAACAGUUGCUAACACUCACGUGGAAGAUUUGUGUGUAGGAGGAGUGGUUGUUCUGUUAAAUGACAUGGCAAAACUGACAUUGUCGGAUGCCGAUCUAACGGUUCUUACGGCGUUCAUCAGGAAAAGGCUUGUGGCGAAUGUUUGUCGGAUAAUGAUUUACGGACACAUGCAUUGCAUUGAUACGUGCCCCCUCUCUCUCACGCACACGCACCCUCACGAGUCACAACUCUCCCGAGUCCUCUCGCAGGCUCGCACGUGGCACCCAUCGUCUAUCUACAGGUAGAGGUCACGCACAUAUGUGCUCUUCACACGCUACCCUCAGAACUUAUAAAAAACAAAAGAUGGCGCGCAAUUUUAUUGUAGCUCACACGUCACACACUUAUAUUAUUACUCUUGCAGCGAACAUUCUUUGGGCAUAAUAUAUAUUGUACUCUCACGAAGAGAAGCGGUGCACGCACGCACUAGUUCUCUCACACCCACUCAAAGGUACACGUAGGAGCGCAUUUUUUUAAAGCCGGUACAACAAAAUCACUCCACUAUAUAUAAAAGCAGGAGCCUUAGCGCUUGCUUUACUAGGGUUCCUCUCGUUCACUCUCUCAUGCUCUCCAGAUCUAAGCAAGACAUAGGUGGCCACACUCUCUCUCUCAGCUCACGGCUGGUCACAAAUCCGGCCAGACAACCUCGACAGGGGCAGGGGGUGUAGGUGCAUCGUUCACGCUGUCGUCGGCGGCGAGGGAGGAGACCAACGGCUGCCGAGCGUCCUGAUCGGCGGCCGUGUCGUUCUCUCCGAGAGAGCGCCGGCUCGGGAGGGCCUCCGACCCCUUCUUCCUCCCUGCGGUAUUGUGGCCAAGAUGCAGCCUCCCGACGCCGUCUUUGCCACAUGCCGAUGACCCUCAGGUAUAUAUUCCUUUGAAACAUGCCUUGCUCUACUGCCCCAGCUCUUCCCCCUUCAUGUGGAUCCUUUUCUACUUCCGUCCGCUGUUCCAAAGCCACCAAGACUUCUACUAUUAUUAGAAGUAAAGCUAGUUCAUACAGUCGACUCUAAGCGUUAGUUCAAAUAGGGAAGAAUGUGGGAAAGUUGUAGCAUGAACCUAGGACUUGGUUCUAAGAGGAAACGGGGGAAAGUAGUAAUAUCCGUCACUGUUUAAAUAACUAUAUUUUGUAUUUGCGCAAACAGGGAUGUCUGUCUCCAUAUCGUUUCGGGAUGUCUGUCUCCGUAUCGUUUCUAUCCGUGCAAUCAAAAGCACACAACUCAGUUUUAGUACAACUGCGCAAAAUGAGAUGGCUAUCCCUCGUUGCUGUCGUCUAACCUCCAGUCUUCAAGGUAUUCCUACGUUGGUAGUAACUAAGGUAGAAUGACCAACACAAUCUAAAAGAAGCUGAUUCGUACGUUUUACUUGCUGGUUGCAGUGCAGGGACGAGCAAAAACAACUGCAUCCUAGUCCAGAAUGCACUUUCUGCCAGUUCUUCCACGGACCGAGGACUAGCUGGCACGGCUGCACGGUGGUUUUUUGGAUAGGUGCGCGGAGAAGAGGCAUUGUGGUCUGCUUAUUUCUGCAAAUAACGGUGCUUAAAUUUAGUGGAAUGCACAAGCAUUUCAAGUGGUCAGUACACUGCAUGGUUCAGUUCAGCAUUCCAGCUGAGACCACAAUUAUAAUUGGUUAUUCUGGAAUGAGAGAACCUAAACCUGGAUGGUGGCAACAAGAAAAAACCAGAGUGAACUCCAGGAAAUUUAAGCCUACCGGGAGGCCCUUUGCUCAGAGAAGCCUUGCUUGUUUUUUCCUGAUUUGUAAACCUUCUCACAACUUUGUCUUUUGCUAUGAACUAGUAUAUGUUUGUUAUGUUCUAUGAAUCAUUGAGAUGUAUAAAACUGCUUAACUUAUGCUUUUCAAGAUUUUUAUGAAGACGCGUUUAAUGUGAGUGUUCCACAUGAGCGCUGGACUAGCGUUGAACGUUUCGAAUUUAUUACAUUGUGGCCUCAAUUAACUGCAUGAACCACUGUAACAAGAUACAUAGUUGCUUAUAUGCCAGACAGCAGAUUGUUGAUUGUUAGCUGGUCGAUAGCCUAGUGUUGAAGAAAGCUGAGCCAAUGUGCCGUGUUUUGCACAACUGCUUACAAGUGGGGUAGCACCAACAGUGUUUACAAGUACUUAUGUAUACGUCAGCGCACGGUUCUCGAACGAGUGCUCUAUUACAUCAAAACACACACUGCUCGUAUGAUAAAUCGUGACAACUUAUGUCUUACCAUGCCAUAUUCAUGAAAAAACUAGUGAGGACGCAUUUGUUUCGCAACAAUUACGAUGGUUCUCACAUGAUUCAUGGGCACACAAAAGUACCAGUAGUUCCCAUAGAUGGAUUCAAACAGAGUACUAGCCAAAGAGGGAUCAAUAACAGGUAAGGUUCGGAUAAUUAGACACAAUCCAAAAUACUAUUAAACACUAGCUGGGGCAACUAUUUCAUGCCUCGAUCUAAUUUGGGCUGGACACAAGACGGACCUUGCCAUGAACAUCAUCGAGGACGUCCCGCAGCAGCUCAUUCCUGUGAACCUUCAUGAAGACAACCUUGUGGCCUUGCCACUGAUAAACUUGUUUGUGAAGCAUGCCACAUCAUCUUCCUGCGUAAGCUUGACAAGAAUAGUAUGCCUCACAAACGAAGGAGUAGCUUUGAACUUCUUGUGCUUCAGUACACCCUGGACAACACGCCUGACAAUAGUAAGGCUGGAAUACACCUCUUCAUUGGUAUAACCGCAAAUGGCUUCCAGGAUGCAACAACAUAAGAACUCUGUUUUCCCAGUGCGUAUAUUCAGGUCGUUCGCCUCAUAGCGAGUAACAUGCACAACCACACAAUCCUUGUCUGCAUCAGGGCUCUAAUUGAAACAGAAACAAAUUCUGAAUUACUUUUCAGUAUAAGAAACACAAGUUAUUUAAACCACUAUGUAUAGCAUGGCAUCGAAGCUAAUGAAAUUUUGCAUUAUUAAUCACCACAUACUUCCUUUUCUAAAAAAAAUCAGCACAUACUUAGAUGAAAAACCACAAUCUAGAUCGGCAAAGAGGGNNNNNNNNNNNNNNNNNNNNNNNNNNNNNNNNNNNNNNNNNNNNNNNNNNNNNNNNNNNNNNNNNNNNNNNNNNNNNNNNNNNNNNNNNNNNNNNNNNNNNNNNNNNNNNNNNNNNNNNNNNNNNNNNNNNNNNNNNNNNNNNNNNNNNNNNNNNNNNNNNNNNNNNNNNNNNNNNNNNNNNNNNNNNNNNNNNNNNNNNNNNNNNNNNNNNNNNNNNNNNNNNNNNNNNNNNNNNNNNNNNNNNNNNNNNNNNNNNNNNNNNNNNNNNNNNNNNNNNNNNNNNNNNNNNNNNNNNNNNNNNNNNNNNNNNNNNNNAAAACUGCUCCUGCAGUCCCACGAGGGUUGUAACCUCAAACGGGGCGUUGGCCAUCUCAGUAGUGGCCGUGAGCGUAUCUUGGGUCGGCUCGGUGGUUGCCUCCAUCUUCUUGGAUCUCUCUGUCUCCUGGGGAUCAGCCUCCCGCGUCUGCUCCAAUAUCGGCAGAUCUUUGCCUGGUUCUCCUUGGUCCAUCAUGAAACUGACGAAUACUAGGAGACCACUGAAAGGAAAACACAAUCGCAAUGACAAUGAAACAAAAAAGAGAGUUACAGCUUUGCAAAAGUUCUUUUUCUCUGAACGAAAAUAUACCAACAUCACGGAUCCGCUUACCUUCCCUUCGUUGGGAGAGAAGAACAGUGGCAGAUGCGAGUGUUGCCUUUCCUGAAGAUGGUGAGGGAGAAGGGGGUUCAGUGAAGAGUGAAAUGAUGGUUGCUUCAUCCGUCAAACUUAGACUGCAGGGAGGUGGGGUUUUGUGAUACGACGGCUCGUUAUUGCCGUGCUACAACCGGGUUGACUCUCCGCCUGCAUACUGCCUUCUAAUUUGGUGGAUGGCAUUUGGGCCCGUGCGCUGCAUGGCCCGCAUGUCGGUGAACAAAAGUAUAAUGUCAUUCAGUAGAGGGAGACGUUUCAAUGACCUAGGAGGAGCCAGAAGCGGUAGAGUGUCUCCACUGAACUAGUAGUAAUUGUUUUUCUGGGUAGCUGUAGAGUGUCUCCACUGUACUAGUAGUAAUUGUUUCUCUGGGCCCAAGACAAAACAGCCAAUACACACUAGUAAAUACUAAAAUCAAUUCAAAAGGCGCUACCCACACCCAGCACACCCCCCCAAAAAAAACCUGGGUGCUCUUCUUCCUCCUUGCUCCCACCCACCUCACGUCAGCUCGCUCCACUCGUACCCCCAAAUUCCUCACCUCACUCCUACAGAAACCCCCAGCUCCCCUUCUUCCUCACUCCUACAGAAAACCCCCAGCUCCCCUUCUUCUUCGCUCGCACUACAACUAGGCUCGUCAUUCGUUACUCUGCUCAAAUCCAUGAGCGCGAGCGACGCCCUCGAGGAAAAUGGAGUCGGCUGACCCCAGCGCGAAGAAGAUGAGGCUCCCGCCAGCGGUGACGCCGGUUGUAGAUCCCGCACCCGGCAAGGCGGGGAGAAGCGGCAACCCCGCCCCCACCAGAUCCCAGGAACCCGUAGAAUCUCGAGUGGACCGCAUCAGCGAUCUCCCGGACACCGUCCUUAGGGAGAUCAUAUCGCUUCUCCCCACCAGGGAUUGCUGCCGCACCCAAGUCCUCUCAAUUCGGUGGCGCCCUCUAUGGCGCACCAUGCCCCUUAAUCUCGACUGUCGUCAGCUAUCUCUCUUCAAUGAUUUUGAAAUCCCAGAGCCAUCAUCUCCUCACAACAGGGCUCCGUUCAAAGCCUCUGCAUCCCUUCAUGCUACCUGAGCAAGCAUACCAUGCCCUGCACGGUGGACGCCCGGCUGAAAUCCCCUAAAUUCACAAAACUACAGCUGCUUGAGUUCUACUAUUCCCCUGGAAAUCACACACCACAUACCGAACGCCAUUAACUUGUGCCCUCAGCACCGAUGUCCAUCUCGCGGUUUUCCUUCUCUCUCCACACCGCCACCUUUGCACUGUGCUACCUACCAGACAAUCUAGUACUAAGCCUUUGAAUCCCAUUUCUCAAGAAACUUUCACUUGUGCGGGUUCGUAUAUUGGAGGCCUCAUUGCACAACAUCAUCCACUCCAGUUGCCCUGCGCUGGAGUGCUUGGUGCUUGUUUUCACAGUUAGAAUCGGUUGUCUCCAAAUAAAGUCGCCUAACCUUGUAAGAAUUGGAAUUUCUUUUGACGGAAGGCAACUCAUCAUCCAAGAUGCCCCUUCACUUCAAAGGUUGAUCCUUGAUUCUAGUUAUUCACCGUUGCAAAUAACCGUCCUCUCUGCGCCUAAACUGGAGACCUUGGGUGUAAUACAUGAUCUCUGUGCUCAUUUCAAUAUGGUGUUUGGCUCCACAGUUCUUCACGUACUUUAUAUUAUCAUCUACACUUGUAACCAUAAGGUGCAUUUUAAAUUUCUGCGCAUAAUUUAUAUAUCAUCUUGGAGUACACAUUUUGUACUAAUAUUAUGUUCUAUGUUCAAUGAAGAGUUUCUCCAUGGAUGGCCUAUCAAUGGUGCCGGAUUCUGUCAAGAUCUUAUAUAUCCAAAUGAAUAGUUUGGAUCUGAACAAGAUUAUUGGCUUGCUGCAAUGCUUUCCAUGUCCGGAGAAGUUGUAUAUAAAGGUGAUAACUUCACGCACAUUGGAAGCCCGCAUAUAGUGUACUAGAAUUAACCGUUCAACUAUUGCUCUUUUGACACUCUUCUUUUAGACCUUAACUGUUUUCAAUCUUCAUGUCUAUUUAGGCAACAAGACGAGGUAAGAAAGUUAUAACCAAUCAGUGGAUUCGUAAGCAUCGGGAUUUUCUUGCUUCUCAUGAGAUUCGAUUGAAGACAAUAACGCUAGAACGAUAUGUAGCCAACCGUGCAAACACAAGAUUUUUCACAUUCUUCCCGCUGAAUGCGAGGUUACUAUUGUCCAUCAGGCUUAAGUUUAUCAGCAGCAUGGUUUUGACGAAUGGGUAUGUUGAAGAGCAAAAAAAGGAGUUUCAGGUGGGCAAAAGAGCUUCUGAACGUGUCGGGCUUCUAUUUACAACAUAUUGUGGUCAUAAUCUAGUAAAUUUUACGACCCAAGAUGUUCAUUCUAUGGACCUGACCAAUCCAUUUGACUGUGACUGCCGAAAAUAGUGCUGGAGUUAGAUGUUGUUGCCCUUUUCAAUCUGGGUUUUUUUGUAAACCUGAUGAACAAUCAACCCUUGUGCUUUUGUACAGUUUGUAAGCUAGACUUAGAUGUUCCUGCCCUUUUCAACUCGGCUGUGACUAUCAUAUUUUCUUUGAAACAAGGCAAAUGGCUUGCCAUUGGUUUAAUUUAGAGUGAAAUAUUGUAACAAAUCACAACCAAGGGAAAUAACAUCACUCACGCCGGCUGCUUGAGCUCACUGUGCAUUACAGAAGCCAAGUGAUUAGCCCCCACCAGCACCCACAAACUUAUUUCGAACUAGCACAUCAAAUGGGCUGUAAAUUUUCAUAGGAAAGGCUGCAUGACCAUGAUAGAUUUGGAUUCUGACAUUUGGGACCCGCGAGGAAAUAGCCUAUCCAAGGUGGUGUCGACUUACUAGCCAGUCAACAAAUGAUUCUUCCUACCAGCCAUUGGAUUAACAUCCAACAUCUGUCGUGUAUCUUCUAUCUCUUGUCUUCUUCUUCCUCCAGCCGCCCAAACCAAACCACCCCGUCGGCUCCGCCUGCUCCCGCCUCCCAUAGCUGGCUGCGCCUCCGCCGCCCUACCGUACGUACCCUCCAACAUUGGCCAGUCCCUCCCUCUAUUCCCCCACAUGUCCUGUUAUUCUCCGACGAUGUCAGCCCCAACACGCACCCGUGCCCGAACCAGUCAACCCUUGUACUCCCCUCCGCCUGCGACUGGACCGGCGCAUCUUCAACGGCUCCUGUUCGUUCCGUCCAAGGCCUCGCCGUCGUCCUCCGCCUUGCGGCCUUGGUUCGCUCGUUGUGCGCAGUGCGCCGCCCUCUUGCGUUGUCAACGCCGCCAACAACCGAGAGGAACAAGGAGAUGAUUGUACGUGGAGAGGAUGACAGUAGGGACCCACCAGCGUCAUGGCAGUACGCAAGCAAGUGCCUCUAUAGUACAAGCCCAAAAAUAUGGUUCCUCCUAGUCCUAAUGGUUGGACAUCUGGGGCUCACGCCAUUGUCAACAUAGUCAAUAAACGAGAGAAUUACACUACGAGCGGGUGACACCAGGGACCCAGCAAGUCGCACAGUUUUUUUUUGAGGAACAAGCAGUUGUUAUUUAUACUAGUUUUAGCGACGGAUCGGGGUAACAACGGGGCUGUGCGGGGGCUGUGGCCUGUCUAGCCAGGGUUUUAUUUAUGUUUACCACAUCAUGAGCCCAGUUGUGUUUUUUUCUUGCUGAAAAUGGCUAGCCCGGUUCUAUUUUUUUUAAAGAAAUACCCAAACAAGGCCUAGUUGCUUUAUCGGCCCUGCUGGGCUGCAAAUCUUUCAAGACGAUGAGAGUUUCAUUCGGUUUGCCCAGAAAUGGCCUGUACAUUUUUAAAACACAUCAAACCGGGAAUUAGUUUCAAUUUUUUUUCAUUACAAGAUCUUAAAUUCCAUUGAUUUUUUUGCAUGGACAAUUAUUUGGAUUUUAUAUUUAUAUCAAUUAUUUUUCAAAAUAGUUUGAAUGUGAAUCGAUAUUUCUGGAUUAAAAAUAGUUGACCGCACCGAAAUAUGCAAAAUUUCGUAUACUUUUUAACCGUGGCCACAAUAUGGGGUGUAAUGGUAACAAAAAGAAGAUGGGCUCCAAAAAAAAUCUUAAGAAUUAGAAAAUGGGCUAUACAUUAUUAGAAAUAAUGGCAGAUGGGCUGUAUGCUGUUUUCCACAGAUUUGAGGCUAACUUGUGCGCCUACUACAGGUUGACGUGUAUGCUUUCAUAAAAAAAAGGUUGACGUACACGCAACGCCCUGUCAACUUAGUCAACACAUGAGAGCAGUGACUGUUGGACGUCCAUCCAACGGCUGUCGUGCUUCUUCAAUCUCUGCUCUUCAUGCUCCAACCACUCAAACAAGUGCCGGCGGGACUGCCUGCUCCCUCCUCCCGUGGCCGACUAUGCUGCCGCGCAGGCCUCGCGUCCCCACCGUACUCCCAUCGCUGGCCUAGCCAUCCCUCUACUCACCCACACAUGCUGUUAUUCUCCGGUGACGGCAGACGAACCAGUAAAUCCUCGUACUCCUCCGUGUGGGAAACAACUGCCGAGUAUUCCCUGGCUUCGUGUCGUUCCCUUCCUAGGCCUCGCCGUCGUCCACCGCCCUGGUGCUCUCGGCGCGGCCUGGUCAACGUGGUUAAUGAACGACAUCCAUCGGAAGUGGACUGUACAUGGAGAGGUUGACAGCUGGGUCCAUGGCCGCAUGCAAGGAAAUGCCUCCUUAUUACACGCAAAAUAAUGAUUCCUCCACCUGACAGCUAGGACCCACAGGAAGGGCCUCUGUAUUUCACGAAAAAAACGUUCCCCCCGCUGACAGGUCGGACUCACCAGCUAUAUCUUCGCAUGCAAGAAAGUGCCUCCUUAUUACGCCCAAAAAAAUGAAUACCCCCCUGCUGCUGGGACCCACCAUAUUGUUGGGCUGACUUGUGGGCCUACUAAGUUACGGCGACGGAGGGCUUUGUCAACUUAGUCAAUACUCCAGUGACCGUAUGAUGUCCAUCCAACGGCCAUAGUGCUUCUUCAACCUCUGGUCUUAUUGCUCCAGCCGCCCAAAGCAUCGUCGGUCGUGCCGCCUGCUCCUGCCUCCCUUGGCCGGCUAUAAUACCGCCUGCUCCUGCCUCCCGUGGCCCGGCUCCGCGUCGUCCCCUUCCUAGGCCUCGCCGUCGUCCACCGUCGUGGUGCUCUCGGCGUGGUGUGGUCAAUGUGGUCAACGACUGGCUUCCAUCGGAAGAGUACUGUACGUGGAGAGGCUGACAGCUGGGUCCACGGAAGCCACAAGGAAGUGCCUCCUUAUUACACGGAAAAUAAUUAUUCCUCCACCUGACAGCUGGGACCCACCAGACGGGCCACCAGUAUUUUGUGAAAAAAAUUGUUUCCCCCUGACUGCUGGGACCCACUGGACGGGCCAUCAUAUUUCNNNNNNNNNNNNNNNNNNNNNNNNNNNNNNNNNNNNNNNNNNNNNNNNNNNNNNNNNNNNNNNNNNNNNNNNNNNNNNNNNNNNNNNNNNNNNNNNNNNNNNNNNNNNNNNNNNNNNNNNNNNNNNNNNNNNNNNNNNNNNNNNNNNNNNNNNNNNNNNNNNNNNNNNNNNNNNNNNNNNNNNNNNNNNNNNNNNNNNNNNNNNNNNNNNNNNNNNNNNNNNNNNNNNNNNNNNNNNNNNNNNNNNNNNNNNNNNNNNNNNNNNNNNNNNNNNNNNNNNNNNNNNNNNNNNNNNNNNNNNNNNNNNNNNNNNNNNNNNNNNNNNNNNNNNNNNNNNNNNNNNNNNNNNNNNNNNNNNNNNNNNNNNNNNNNNNNNNNNNNNNNNNNNNNNNNNNNNAAACUCCCUCGGCUAGCUGGGACCCACCUUGGUGGGAGGCUGUCUUGUGGGCCUACUAAGUUGACGGGGACGAAGGGCUUUCUCAACUUAGUCAAUAUGAACGAUUCUAGCUCCAGUGACCAUACGAUGUCCAUCCAACAGCUGUAGUGCUUCUUCAACCUCUGGUCUUCUUGCUCCAGCCGCCCAAAGCAGCGCCGGUCGUGCUGCAUGCUCCUGCCUCCCAUGGUCGGCUGUGCUGCCGCGUAGCCCUCACCGCCCCCUACUAUUCCCACCGCUGGCCAGGCCCUGCGGCGACGGGAGCCUCACACCGCAGCCGAACCAGUGAACCCUCGUACUCCUCUCCGCGCGGGCUUCCACUUCCGCGUCUUCCCCGGCUCCGCGUCGUCCCCUUCCUAGGCCUCGUCGUCGUCCACCGCCGUGGUGCUCUCCGUGCGGCGUGGUCAAUGUGGUCAAGGAACGACUUCCAUCGGAAGAGUAUUGUACGUGGAGAGGCUGAGAGCUGGGUCCACGGCCACAACCCAUUUUUUUGUGAUUUGCCAAGUAAGUCGCUUUGUCAGACCUGUUGGGCUGUAAAUCUUUCAAGACGAGGAGAGCUUUCAUUUGACUGGCCGAGAAAAUGGCCCAUCAGUAAUGAGGAAUGGGCUGUACAUUUUUAAAACACAUCAAACCGGCAAUUAGUUUCAAAUAUAUUUUUUUCAUUUCAAGAUUUUAAAUUACAUUAAUUUUUAUGCAUGGAGAAUUUGUUGGAUUUUAUAUUGAUAUACAUUUAUUUUUAAAAUCAGUUUGAAUGUGAGUCGAAAUUUUGGGAUUAAAAACAGUUCGGACCGCACCGAAAUAUGCAAAAUUUCGUAUAAUUUUUUAACCGUGUCCACAAUAUGGGAUAUAAUGCUAAAAAAAGAAUAUGGGCUCCAAAAAAAACUUAAGAAUUAGCAAAUGGGCUGUAAAUUAUUAGAAAUAAUGGCAGAUGGGUCGUAUGCUGUUUUCCACAGAUUUGAGGCUUUCCUAAAAAAUAGGUUGACGCACAAGCAGUGACGGUUGGAUGUCCAUCCAACGGCCGUCGUGCUUCUUCAAUCUCUGCUCUUCCUGCUCCAGCCGCUCAAACAAGCGCCGGCGGACUGCCUGCUCCCUACUCCCCGCGGCCGGCUGUGCUGCCGUGCAGGCCUCACCGCCCCACGAUACUCCCAUCGCUGGCCUAGCCAUCCCUCUACUCACCCACACCUGCUGUUAUUCUCCGGCGACGGUAGACGAACCAGUAAACCCUCGUACAGUCGUACUCACCUCCGCAUGGGAAACAACUAUCGAGUCUUCCCUGCCUCCGUGUCGUCCCCUUCCUAGGCCUCACCGUCGUCCACUGCCGUGGGGCUCUCGGCGCGGCGUGGUCAAUGUGGUCAAUGACCGACUUCCAUCGGAAGAGUACUGUGCGUGGAGAGGCUGACAGUUGGGUCCACGGCCGCAGCAAGGAAGUGCCUCCUUAUUACACGCAAAAUAAUUAUUCCUCCACCUGACGGCAGGGACCCACCGGACGGGCCACCGUAUUUCACGAAAAAUACAUUUCCCCCUGACUGUUGGGACCCACCAGCUACACCUUCGCACGCAAGGAAGUGAGUCCGGGCAAAAAAAAUGAUUCGCCCCCCUGACUGCUGGGACCCACCAGAUACAUCUUCGCACGCAAGGAAGUGCGUCCGGGCAAAAAAACGAUUUGCCCCCGUGACUGCUCGGACCCACCAGCUACAUAUUCGCAGGCAAGGAAGUGCCUGACAGUCGGGACCCACCUGGUCGAAGCUUACGUAGCGUUGUCAUUCUAGUCGCGAACGUGUACAUACAUAUAUACUGGUGGAUGUAGAGGCGUGCAUGUGUCGUAGUAAAGGCGCGCAUUAGCAUGUACACGUACGUAUAACGGCCAGGGUGCAAGAAAGAAAAUACGGCCACGUAUGUUCUACAUAUGGGCGGGGUCUCGAACGCCUACUCGCGCAUACGUACAGCGAGGGCUCGUGUACAUGGCUGGGUCAGAACGGAGAAACAGCGUCGUCGUCGUGUUCAUGGGGAGGCAACGGAAUGCGUCAUGUUCAUGGGGAGACAACGGAAUGCAUCGUGUUCAUCGGGAGGGAACGAAACGCAUGGGAGCCAACCGGCUGGGUCGGAACGGAAUGCGUGGUCGUGUUCAUCGGGAGGGCUUGGACGGAACAGGCGAUGGAAAUGAGGCCUGGCGUACUACAGGACGGAGGAAACAGACCUCCUACGUUCGGAACGGGGUCCUGUUUAUCGGGAGGGGUGUGGCAUACUGUAAAAUGGAGGAAAUGGACCUCCUACGGUCGAAGCGAGGGUCCUGUUGAUUGGGAGGGGUGUGGCGUACCGCAAAACGGAGGAAACGGACCUCCUACGGUCGAAACGGGGGUCCUGUUGAUUGGGAGGGGUGUGGCGUACCACAAAACGGACAAAACGGACCUCCUACGGUCGAAACAGGGGUCUUAUUCAUCGGGAGGGGUGUGGCAUACCGCAAAACGGGACUCCACGGGAUACUGUUCAUCUCCACCGUCGACCUCCUCCAGCCUCCACGGGCUACCGUCGACCUCCUCCAGCCUCCACCGCGUGCUACUCCACCGGCUACUGUUCAACCACCCCUCCACCGUCUAUUGUUCAUCCAGCCCUCCACUAUCUACUGUUCAUCCAGCCCUCCACACCACGGGGUCCUGUUCAACCACCCCUCAACGGCCACCCACCAUCGUCUACUGUUCAUCCAGCCCUCCACACCACGGGGUCCUGUUCAUCCAGAGGCAACGCCACCGCUCACUAUUCAUCCAACCCCCCCCUCCCCCCGCAACGCUCACUGUUCAUCCAAUCGAUCGGCUUCAGUUAGCAGCAGUAGCAAAGGAAUCGCUCCAUCGGGUUCAGUUAACAGCCAUCGAUCGAUCGCUCGGGUUCAGUAACGCGUAGCCUGCAAUGCAAUCGCUCGGGUUUAGUUAGAUCCUAAUGCCUCGCUCGGGUUCAGUUAGAGCCAACGCCUCACACACACGCGCGUACGUGUAUGAGAGAAACACGCAUCGCUCUACCCCCGACCUCCCACCAUAACCGGCAACUCCCCGAAGUUUUCCUCCCCCUCACUUCUACCAUGGUUUUUUCCGUCAUGGACGGCCCAAAGAAUGUCAUGCAGCUGCGUCUCCGGCCCGCCCAGGACGAAAAGCCCAUUUUCUGUCAUGAUUUUUUGUCAUAGAAGUAGGAGCCCACCACAUCUAUGAUGAUACUGGGUUUUGUCACAAUUAUCAAUUAUCGUCAUAGAAGUGUCAUAUGUAUGACAGAAAAAAAAUUCGUUCGGCCCAAAAUGUCAAGGAUGUGUCUUUUUUUGUUGUGAAUACAAUGGUAAAUUGUAUAGGUGCACUAGUACGGCGAAGAGAUGGUGAUACAAGUGCAAUAUGGAUGGUAGAUAUAGGUUUUUGUAAUCUGAAAUUCUAAAAACAUGAAGGUAACAAAUGGUAAAAGUGGGCGAAAAUGGUAUUGCAAUGCUUAGAAACAAGGCCUAGGGUUCAUACUUUCACUAGUGCAAGUUCUCUCAACAAUAAUAACAUAAUAAGAUCAUAUAACAAUCCCUCAACAUGCAAGAAAGAGUCACUCCAAAGUCACUAAUAGUGGAGAACAAACAAAGAGAUUAUUGUAGGGUACGAAACCACAUCAAAGUUAUUCUUUCCGAUCAAUCCUUUGGGCUAUUCCUAUAAGUGUCACAAACAGCCCUAGAGUUCAUAGUAAAAUAACACCUUAAGACACACAUCAACCAAAACCCUAAUGUCACCUAGAUACUCCAAUGUCACCUCAAGUAUCCGCGGGUAUGAUUAUACGAUAUGCAUCACACAAUCUCAGAUUCAUCUAUUCAACCAACACAAAGAACUUCAAAUAGUUCCCCAAAGUUUCUACCGGAGAGUCAAGACGAAAACAUGUGCCAACCCCUAUGCUUAUAUUCCCAAGGUCACGGAACCCGCAAGUUGAUCACCAAAACAUACAUCAAGUGAAUCAAUAGAAUACCCCAUUAUCACCACGGGUAUCCCACACAAGACAUACAUCAAGUGUUCUCAAAUCCUUAAAUACUCAAUCCGAUAAUAUAAUUUCAAAGGGAAAACUCAAUCCAUUACAAGAGGGUAGAGGGGGAGAAACAUCAUAAGAUCCAAAUAUAAUAGCAAAGCUCGCGAUACAUCAAGAUCGCGCCAAAUCAAGAACACAAGAGAGAGAGAGAGAGAGAUCAAACACAUAGCUACUGGUACAUACCCUCAGCCCCAAGGGUGAACUACUCCCUCCUCGUCAUGGAGAGUGUCGGGAUGUUGAAGAUGGCCAUUGGUGAUGGUUUCCCCCUCCGGCAAGGUGCCGAAACAGGGCCCCGAUUGGGUUUUGGUGGCUACAAAGGCUUGCGGUGGUGGAACUCUCGAUCUAGGUUAUGUUCCGGAGGUUUGGGGAUUUAUAGGAGAGGCUGGCGUCGAGAACAAGUCAGGGGGCCCCAUGGAGAGUCCAUGAGGCAGGGGGCGCGCCUUAGGGGGGCGCGUCCUCCACCCUCAUGGGGCCCAUGGGAUUCCCCUCUGGUAACUCUUUGUUCCAUUAUUUUUUAUAUUUUCCAGAAAAAAUCUCCGUUGAUUUUCAGUGCAUUCCGGGAACUUUUAUUUCUGCACAAAAGCAACUCCAAUGUAGUUCUGCUGAAAACAGCAUCAGUCCGGGUUAGUUCUAACCAAAUCAUACCAAAAUGAUGUAAAAAUAUUAUAAGCAUGGCAUGAAUACAUCAAAAAUUAUAGAUAUAUUGGAGACGUAUCAUGGGCCCCCUUCGGUUGAUUCUUUCGCCAGUAUUUUUUAUUAAUUCCAAAAAGUGUCUCCAUGAAGUUUCAGGUCAUUCUAAGAACUUUUAUUGCUGCACAAAAAUAACACCAUGACAAUUGUGCUGAAAACAGUGUCAGUCCGGGUUAAUUCCAUCCAAAUCAUGCAAAUUAGAGUACAAAACAAGGGCAAAAGAGUUUGGAAAAGUAGAUACGUUGGAGAUGUAUCAAUAUGUCCCCAUUGCUAGACUAUCCAUUUGCAUCUUACUUGCUUAUGCCAAUCACCAUGAUAUCACAUUAUAUCAAAUGGACAUUAAAAGUGCUUUUCUGAAUGCUAAAAUUGAGGAGGAAGUUUAUGUUAAAACAACCUCCCGGCUUUGUUAAUCCCAAGAAAUCUGAUCAUGUUUACAAACUUCACAAAGCUCUUUAUGGUCUUAAACAAGCUCCUAGAGCAUGGUAUAAAUGCUUGACUAAGUUUGUUAUUGAAAAAGGCUUUGAGAUGGGAAAAAUUGAUUCUACACUAUUUACUAAAAUGGUUAAUGGUGAAUUAUUUGUGUGCCAAAUUUAUGUGGAUGAUAUCAUAUUUGGUUCGACUAACCCUCAUUUUAGUGAGAAGUUUGGAAGGCUAAUGUCAGAGAAGUUUGAGAUGUCUAUGAUGAGUGAACUCAAGUUCUUUCUUGGUUUGCAAAUCAAGCAAAUUAAGGAUGACACCUUUUCUUCCCCAAACAAAGUAUACCAAGGACUUAUUCAAGAAGUUCAAUAUUCAAGAAAAAAAGGUAUGAAAACACCCAUGCCUACUAGUGGACAUCUUGACUUGACUAAGGAUGGCGAACUGGUUGACCAAAAGGUUUACCGCUCUAUGAUUAGUGCAUUGUUAUAUCUAUGUGCCUCCCGUCCUGAUAUUAUGCUAAGUGUGUGCAUGUGUGCAUGAUAUCAAGCGGCCCCCAAAGAAUGUCGUCUUAAGGCUGUGAAAAGGAUGGUGAGAUACUUAAUUCAUACACCAAACUUUGGCAUUUGGUACCCUAAGAGGUCUUCUUUUGAUCUUGUUGGCUACUCCGAUUCGGACUAUGCGGGUGUCAAGGUUGAUAGAAAGUCCACUUAAGGAACUUGUCGAUUUCUUGGUAUCUUGUGUCUUGGUCCUCCAAGAAACAAAACUCAGUAUCCCUAUCUACCGCCAAAGCGGAAUACAUUGCCGCCAGUUCAUGUUGUGCUCAAUUACUUUGGAUGACCUAAACUCUUAAAGAUUAUGGGAUACAUGUGAAACAUGUUCCAUUUCUUUGUGACAAUGAGAGUGCUAUUAAGAUUGCUCAUAAUCUAGUGCAACAUUCUCGAACUAAGCAUAUUAAAGUUCGGCAUCAUUUCAUUCGAGAUCAUGUUGCUAAAGGAGACCUCAAUCUUAAGCAUGUUCAUACCGAUAAGCAAUUGGCGGAUAUAUUCACCAAACCUCUUGAUGAGAAAGUAUUUUUCCGUUUGAGAGGUGAAUUGAACAUCAUUGAUGCCUCAAACUUGGAGUAGAAACUCCAUUUGGAUGCAUGCAAGGAAUGAGCCUUUCUAUGACUAAUCCUCGAUAUUUCUCUUAUGAUGAUGAUCAUAUGUCUUGGAUAUACUUGUACCAUUGCAUGUUAUCUAACCCUUGUAGGUACUUGGAUAAGCACAAAUCUGUGAGAUUGCAACUCACUCACAUCCUAAGCAAUCUCUACGUCACCAAGUCUCUACAAUAUGGUGGUUGAAGACAAGGAAGCAUGAAUCCUUUCAAGAUAUCUUUUGACAAUUUCUAUAUAUCAAAUCUCAUUUGAUAUCAAAUUUCAUGAUUGUCAUUUUUGAUACAGAAGUGCUCUUCCUUGCAAAACUAAUCCAUGUAGGUAGAUGAACUCAAACUACAAGUGGUGCUCCUAACUCUUGAUGAACUACAUCAACCUUGAGCAUCCUACACAAGUUCAACUACAUGGUCAAGAUCAACACCACCACCAAGGUAUGUCAUUCCAUCUUAGAGAAGCUUUACCCCAAGUCAUGGGUCAAAGCAACUCAACAAGAUGUGAAUACAUCAAAGUGCUUAAACGAAAAAUGGCAACCCCAUUUUGAGCUUAAACGAUGAGUAUGACCUAUGAUCAAGUGACUUCACUUGACUCCUAAGUCAAUAUACUCUAACAUAGGUGACUUUGUUGCCAACCAAUUCUAAAUGAAGUUCUCUAGUGUUUCUUUGUGUUCUUGCAUUUGUCUCUCGCUUGUUCCCCUUAAAAAACUUCAUCUAGAUUUAUUUUCUUUUCUCUGUUAUUUUCUGCAUUCCCUACAUCUAAUUCAUUGCAAAUCCUUUAGUAAAUUCCUUGAAAAUCUUUGUGAGAUCUUAUUUGCCCAGUGAGCUGAGAUGACAAAAUGUUUACUCAUCAUUGAACUCGGUCUCUCCGAUUCGAACCUAUUGGUCUAACCAAGGUACAAGGAACUCUUGUGCAUAGAUCAUCGGUCAAACCGACACGGUCUAACUCGAUUGCACCGAUCAGGGUUCUCUGUGACCUCGUCAACUCGGUGUCACCGAAGAAAACAAAUCGGCGUUACUGAUUUUAGUGCUGGAGAAAACAUUUUGCCAUUGCAAUUGUCAUUUCUUCUCCAGCUCCACUCGAUGAUUCUUAUCAUCUACCUGCAUCACAAUCUACAUGCUGCUUUGUCAUGUGUAUCAAGGAUCAAACCUAAUUGACUCCUAUUCUAGAAGAACCCUUCUUGGAAAUUGAUGUCAAAGGGGGAGAGAGAGAUCACAUCAAAGCUUAUUUUAUGGUAAAAGAGACCCUAUGGGAUAGAAAGACAUCUUAGCUUUCCCAGAUGCUUGGUGUCCAUAGAGGAGAGAAGUCACAUGUCUUUAAGAGAGGAAAGACAUGUUAGUAGAUGUUUAUUUGUGUCUAUGCUCUGAUUUUCUAUUACCCUAUCUUCUCCAUUAUCCAAUAUCAGAUUCAAGGGGAGAAAGAGUUCAUAUCUAAGGGAAGAAAAUCUCUGGAAUCCUUGGGGACAUGUCUAUAUCCAAAUAGAGUACUAACUGCUCACUCACUACAUGUCAUCCCAAUCUUGGUACUCUUGUGGUUUCUUAUUCUUGCUCUGAUUAGUAGAUGUUCUUGUGUUAUCUAACCCUGUUUUCUCAGGUUCAUCUCUUCCAAAGUCAGCUCAAGACUACAAGGUAAGUAUAUGCAUCACACUCAUGUGCAUGAUGAUCUCUUGCUGAUGUACAUAUUGUUUGCAAGGACUCAUGAACAUGAAGGUACAUCUUCUUUAUUUACAUCAUUUGCUCUGAUGCAUAUAGCCAAGAUACAUGUAGCUCAUUGCUUGCUCUGACAUGCUUAUGCAUUCAGUUGCUUUCAUAGUCUAUGUUCACAUGAUUGCAUACAUGUAAGGGGAGCUAAUGCAUGUUACAUGUCUUUCCAAAGCUUUACUUGUUGCUCUUCAUACUUUAUCUAAAGCUUUGAUGUAUGUUGUCAUCAAUUACCAAAAAGGGGGGAGAUUGAAAGCACAAGUGCUCCCUAGGUGAUUUUGGUAAAUAAUGUCAACAUAUCUCUUGUUGGACUAACAUUUUCAUCUAGUAUAUUUUAGAUGAGUUCAACAAUGGAGUGGCAGGACAAGAGGAUGUGGAACCCCUUCAAGAUAUUAAGGACAAAUAUUGGCAAAAGCUCAAGACUCUUCAUUUUUAUUUUAGUGAUCCAAGAUCACAUUGAGUCCAUAGGAAAAGCCAAUACUAUUAAAAAGGGGAUGAGGUGUUGCUUAAUUGUCUACUUGCUCAAAGUGCUUAGUGAUAUGCUCCAAAGCCCUCAACCACUUUAUCAUAUCCAAAUAUGUCCAAAACCUAAAGUCAAACUCGGCCCCACCGAUUUGAUUCAUCCGGCGCCACCGAGUUCAUUGUCAUAGCCACUGCUAGAAACCCUAAUCAGUUCGAUCUCACCGAUAUGGCCUUGCAAACUCUCUGUUGCCUGUUGCAAUUAUUUCGGUCUCACUGAGAUGUGCAAUCGGUCACACCGAGUUUUCUUGACCAAAUCUCUGUUUGCUUAUUGCUGAAAUCGUUCUCACCGAGUUCAUGCGAUCAGUCUCACCGGGAUGAGGUUUUGCCCUAACCCUAGCACAUCGGUCCCACCGAGUUGAUCAUAUCGGUCCCACCAAAAAUUCUAACGUUCACAUUUUGAACCAGAUCAGUCCCACCGAGUUUCACUAUUCGGUCUCACCGAGUUUGGUAAAUUGUGUGUAACGGCUAGAUUUUGUGUGGAGGCUAUAUAUACCCCUCCACCCCCUUCUCCAUUUGAGAGAGAGCCAUUAGAACGUGCCUACCCUUCCACUACUCAUUUUUUGAGAGACAACAACCUACUCAUGUGUUCAGACCAAGACAUUCCAAUCCUACCACAAGAAUCUUUAUCUCUAGCCUUCCCCAAGAUGCUUUCCACUCAAAUCAUUUUUCCACCUUAUCCAAAUCUGUGAGAGAGAGAGUUGAGUGUUGGGGAGACUACCAUUUGAAGCACAUGAGCAAGGAGUUCAUCAUCAACACACCAUCUAUUACCUUUUGGAGAGUGGUCUCUCCUAGAUUUGUUAGGUGUCACUUAGGAGCCUUCGUCAAGAUUGUGGAGUUGAACCAAGAAGUUUGUAAGGGCAAGGAGAUCACCUACUUCAUGAAGAUCUACCCAAUUGAGGCAUGUCCUUCAUAGGCGAUGGACAUGGUGGGAUAGACAAGGUUGCUUCUUCGUGGACCCUUCGUGGGUUGGAACCCUCCGUGGACUCGCGCAACCAUUACCCUUCGUGGGUUGAAGUCUCCACCAACGUGGAUGUACGAUAGCACCACCUAUCGAAAUCACGCCAAAAAUCUCCGUGUCUCUGAUUGCGUUUGCACACUCCAAUCCCAUCCCUUUACUUUCUUGAAAAUUGCAUGCUUUACUUUUCGCUGCUCAUAUACUCUUGCCAUGCUUGCUUGAAAUGUAUUGUGAAUGUUUAAAAUUGUGCUAUUCUCCAACCUCAACUUGAAGAACUUAAAAACUGCUACAUUUACUUGCUGAGGGUCUAAUCACCCCCUCAAGACACCUCUUCUCGAUCCUUUCAGAUGUCGGUGUUAGUGUUGCAAGUAUGCUUGACAAUUUUCAUGCAAAACGAAUCAACAAUAUUUCAUCGGUAAAGAAACAAAUUUGAGGAGACAUUUAGAGGUAACAUUUGGUGUUCGGUUUAUUUUUUGUUUCUGCACAGGCUAAAAUGCUUGAAGUUUUUGCCUCAAAAUUUACAAGUAGCAUUUGGAUGUGACUAAUUUGACAUUUAAAAAAUUAUUUUUGGUCCUCAGAGCACAUGCUCCCAGGAGCCGUAUUGAAUUUCUGAGGUGUGAUAUUACAAUCUAAAUUAUCACAUAGAUAUGUAUAUCUUGGAUGUAGUUUAUGGACUAUGAUUAAAAUCACAUAGUGUGAUUCUAUCUCAUCAUGUGUACCUUUUAUUUUUCUCAUGCCAUACAAUGGAACUCUAUUUCUUCAAAAUCAAUACGAAGACGUUUAGAAUGAAGGUCUUCAAUAUAGAGUAACAAAGGCCUUAAAAUUGCAAAAAUACUUAGUCAUACAACACACUAUUGGGAAACAUAGCAUGCAAUUUCAAAAAAUUUCCUACGCUCACGCAAUAUCUAUCUAGGAGAUGCAUAGCAACAACAGGGGAGAGUGUGUCCAUGUACCCUCGUAGACCAAAAGCGGAAGCAUUAACUUAACGUGGUUGAUGUAGUCGAACGUCUUCUUGAAUCAACCGAUCAAGUACCGAACGUAUGGCGCCUCCGAGUUCUGCACACGUUCAUCUCGACAAUGUCCCUCGAACUCUUGAUCCAGCAGAGUGUCAAUGGAGUCGAUGAGUUCCGCCAGCACGAUGGCAUGAUGAUGGUGUUGGUGAUGUGAUCUGUGCAGGGCUUUGCCUAAGCACUACACCGAUACUAUUGGAGGAGUAAAUGGUGGAGGGGGCACCGCACACGGCUAAGACAAUAAUUGUUGUGCUUUGGGGUGCCCCCUUCCCCCGUAUAUAAAGGAGGAGGGGAGGAAGCGGCCGACCUAGAGGGGGGCGCCAUGGGGGGAGUCCUACUAGGACUCCCAGUCCGAGUAGGAUUCCCCUUUCCUUUUCCGGAGUGGCAAAGAGGGAAAGGGUGAGGGAGUAGGAGAGGGAAAGGGGGAAUCUGCCCCCUCCCCUAGUCCAAUUCGGACUCCCGUGGGGGGGAGCACCCCUUGUGGGCUAUCCCCUCUCUCUCCCGUGGCCCAUGUAGGCCCAUUACUUCCCCGGGGGGUUCCGGUAACCUCCCGGUGCUCUAGAAACAUUCAAAACUUCCCAAAACCAUUCCAGUGUCCGAAUGUAACCUUCCAAUGUAUCAAUAUUUACCUCUUGACCAUUUCGAGACUCCUCAUCAUGUCCAUGAUCUCAUCCGGGACUCCGAACAACCUUCCGUCACCAAAACACAUAACUCAUAUAAUACUAAUUGUCAUUGACCGUUAAGCGUGCGGACCCUACGGGUUCGAGAACUAUGUAGACAUGAUCGAUACACCUCUCCGGUCAAUAAUCAAUAGCGGAACCUGGAUGCUCAUAUUGUUUCCCACAUAUUCUACGAAGAUCUUUAUCGGUCGAACCGCAAUGUCAACAUAGCUAUUCCCUUUGUCAUCGAUAUGUUACUUGCCCGAGAUUCGAUCGUCGGCAUCUCUAUACCUAGUUCAAUCUUGUUACCGACAAGUCUCUUUACUCGUUCCGUAGUGCAUCAUCCCAUAACUAACUCAUUAGUCAGAUUGCUUGCAAGGCUUUAUAUGAUGUGCAUUACCGAGAGGGCCCAGAGAUACCUCUCCGAUACUCGAAGUGACAAAUCCUAAUCUCGAUCUAUGCCAACCCAAAAAACACCUUCAGAGAUACCUGUAGAGCAUCUUUAUAAUCACCCAGUUACGUUGUGACAUUUCAUAGCACACAAGGCAUUCCUCCGGUGUCCGAGAGUUGCAUAAUCUCAUAGUCGGAGGAAUAUAUAUUUGACACAAAGAAAGUAGUAGCAAUAAAACUGAACGAUCAUUAUGCUAAGCUAACGAAUGGGUCUUGUCCAUCACAUCAUUCCACUAAUGAUGUGAUCUCGUUAUCAAAUGACAACUCAUGUUCAUGGCUAGGAAACUUAACCAUCUUUAAUCAACGAGCUAGUAUAGUAGAGGCAUACUAGGUAAAUGUAGUUUUGUCUAUGUAUUCACACAUGUACCAAGUUUCCGGUUAAUACAAUUCUAGCAUGAAUAAUAAACAUUUAUCAUGAAUAAGGAAAUAUAAAAUAACAACUUUAUUGUUGCCUCUAGGGCAUAUUUACUUCAGUCUCCCACUUGCACUAGAGUCAAUAAUCUAGAUUACAUUUCAAGGAAUCUAACACCCAUGGAGUCUUGGUGCUGAUCAUGUUUUGCUCGUGCAAGAGGCUUAGUCAACAAGUCUGCAACAUUCAGAUUCGUAUGUAUUUUGCAAAUCUCUAUGUCUCCCUCCUUGACCAAAUCUCAGAUGGAGCUGAAGCGUCUCUUGAUGUGUUUGGUCUUUUUGUGAAAUCUGGAUUCCUUCGCUAACGCAAUUGCUCCAGUUUUGUCACAAUUGAUUUUCACUGGACCCGAUGUACUAGGUAUUACACCUAAAUCGGAUAUGAACUCCUUCAUCCAGACUCCUUCAUUUGCUGCUUCCGAAGUAGCUAUGUACUCCGCUUCACAUAUAGAUCCCGCCACGACACUCUUCUUGGAACUACACCAACUAACAACUCCACCAUUAAAUAAAAAUACGUACCCGGAUUGUGACUUAGAGUCAUCUAGAUCAGUGUCAAAGCUAGCAUCGACAUAACCACUAACGACAAGCUCUUUGUCACCUCCAUAAAUGAGAAACAUAUUCCUAGUCCUUUUCAGGUACUUUAGGAUGUUAUUGACCGUUGUCCAGUGAUCAAUUUCUAGAUUACUUUGGUACCUCCCUGCUAAACAUAUAGCAAGGCACACAUCAGGUCUGGUACAUAGCAUAGCAUACAUGAUAGAACCUAUGGCUGAAGCAUAGGGAAUGACUUUCAUUUUCUCUCUAUCUUCUGCAGUGGUCGAGCAUUGAGUCUGACUCAACUUCACACCUUGUAACAUAGACAAGAACCCUUUCUUUGACUGAUCCAUUUUGAACUUCUUCAAAACUUUAUCAAGGUAUGUGCUUUGUGAAAGUCCUAUCAAGCGUCUUGAUCUAUCUCUAUAAAUCUUGAUGCCCAAUAUGUAAGCAGCUUCACCGAGGUCUUUCAUUGAAAAACUCUUGUUCAAGUAUCCUUUUAUGCUAUCCGGAAAUUCUAUAUCAUUUCCAAUCAGCAAUAUGUCAUCCACAUAUAAUAUUAGAAAUGCUAUAGAGCUCCCACUAACUUUCUUGUAAACACAUGCUUCUCCAAAAGUCUAUAUAAAACCAUAUGCUUUGAUCACCUCAUCAAAGCGUAUAUUCCAACUCUGAGAUGCUUGCACCAGUCCAGAAAUGGAUAGCUAGAGCUUGCACACUUUGUUAGCACCUUUAGGAUCGGCAAAACCUUCUAAUUGCAUCAUAUACAACUCUUAUUUAAGAAAUCCAUCAAGGAAUGCAGUUUUGACAUCCAUUUGCUAGAUUUCAUAAUCAUAAAAUGCAACAAUUGCUAACAUGAUUCGGACAGACUUAAGCAUCGCUACAGGUGAGAACGUCUCAUCGUAGUCAACUCCUUGAACUUGUCAAAAACCCUUUGCAGCAAGUCGAGGGAGUCCUGGAUUAGGGUGUCUUCUUCUUGAAGAUCCAUUUAUUCUCUAUGGGUCACUGAGGGAGUCCUGGAUUAGGGGGUCCUCGGACAGCCGAACUAUAUAUGUUGGUCAGACUGUUGGGCUAUGAAGAUACAAGAUAGAAGACUCCGUCCCGUGUUCGGGUGGGACUCUCCUUUGCGUGGAAGGCAAGCUUGGCGAUUUGGAUAUGUAGAUUCCCUUCUCUGUAACUGACCUGAUGUAACCCUAACCCCCUCUGGUGUCUAUAUAAACCGGAGGUUUUAGUCCGUAGGACAACAACAAUCAUAAUCAUAGGCUAGCUUCUAGGGUUAGCCUCUACGAUCUCGUGGUAGAUCAACUCUUGUAAUACUCAUAUCAUCAAGAUCAAUCAAGCAGGAAGUAGGGUAUUACCUCCAUACAGAGGGCCCGAACCUGGGUAAACAUCGUGUCCCCCGUUGUCGGUGUCAAAACCGGUGGAUCUCGGGUAGGGGGUCCCGAACUGUGUGUCUAAGGCUAAUGGUAACAGGAGGCUGGGGACACGAUGUUUACCCAGGUUCAAGCUCUCUCGAUGGAGGUAAUACCCUACUUCCUACUUGAUUGAUCUUGAUGAUAUGAGUAUUAUAAGAGUUGAUCUACCACGAGAUCGUGGAGGAUAAACCCUAGGAGCUAGCCUAUGAUUCUGAUUGUUCUUGUCCUACGGACUAAGCCCUCAGGUUUAUAUAGACACUGUAGGGGGUUAGGAUUACACAAGGUCGGUUACAGAGAAGGAGAUCUACACAUCCGAAUCGCCAAGCUUGCCUUCCACGCAAAGGAGAGUCCCAUCCAGACACGGGAUGAAGUCUUCAAUCUUGUAUCUUCAUAGUCCAAUAGUCCGGCCAAAGUAUAUAGUUCGGCUGUCCGAAGACCCCCUAAUCCAGGACUCCCUCAGUAGCCCUUGAACUAGGCUACAAUGACGAUGUGUCUGGCGCGCAAAUUGUCUUCGACAUUGCAAGGAGGAUUCUCCUCCAAAUCCAGAGUACCUGUUGUAGCGAGUAGUGUCUGACUUCCCAUUAAUGUUGAACUCCUCGGCUUCUGUGCUUCAAUAAUGAUUAUCUCCACGUGUCGAGCGAGUGCGAGAAGUCGGGGCAUUUUUGCAUUUGCCACCCUAACCAUGUAAGUAAAUUGUCUAUUUAAAGAGACGGGGAUCCUCAGAUACAAAUCACACCAUCCUCCCCUCAGCAAGCAUCUCAUCAGAGCGCGCCUGGAAGAAACCAUCCCAUCAUGGUCGGCCGUCGCAGCUCCUCCUCUUGCUCUCGUAGCACUAAGCCAGGUGAUUGGGAGAAGUGUUCUGUUCCCCAUAGCCGAUUAGUAGAGUUGCAGACCAAGGGGUUCCUCCUGCCUGCAUACAUGGUCCCCGUCCGAGCCGGACUAGCCACCUAUAAUGGCGGGGAGCAAGCAGAGAGCUUUUCCAACCCAUCCAAGGGGGAGCGGGUAUGCCUUGUCCCUUAUUUGAUGAGGGGACUCGAGUUUCCAAUCCACCCAUUCCUUCGCGGGCUCCUGGAGUUCUAUGGCCUCCAGGUGCAUAAUUUCACCCCUGCCUCCGUACUGCAUAUUGCAGGCUACGUAGCCCUUUGCGAGCUAUUUCUAGGCUGCGAGGCUCAUUUUGAGCUAUGGAAGAGGCUAGUCUGCCUUGUCCCCCGUAAUCAGGAGGGAUCAAUAUAUAAAGUGGGCGGAGCCGAAAUAUGGCGCGUCGCCGAGACCGGAUACUUGUCCGGCACUCCACAGAAGGCAUCCGAAGACUGGCCCUCGGAGUGGUUUUAUGUAGAGGACGUUCCCCUUACGGACCCAAUUCGGACGGGCCUUCCUGAGUUCAGUAAUGCUCCGCUAAAGAAAUGCCAAAGCUGGCGCCCUGGAGCCCCUAGGAGGAAGAUAAUAGAGAAGUCCUUUACCUGAUGGGCAGGAUAAAAACACUGGCCAAAUCAAGAUUGACAAUAACCGAAGUUAUGUUAAUAUGCAUAAUGCGGGGGGUGCAGCCACUUCAAUAUCGGGGAAAACCCAUGUGGCACUUCAACGGAGAAGACGAUGCUACCCGCUGUGGUCGAAAAGGUCCGGACUCCGCCACCGCUUUGGCGAGAAUACUGUCCAACUUGUACAAAGGAGAAGAAGAGGAGUUCCUCUGUAUUAAGCCACAGGAUGGAUUAUCUAUGUACAACCCCCCAAGCUGGGUGAGCUGCCAUCCUUUACUCAACUCUAUUCAUUCCUACAUCCCUCGUCACAAUUAUUUACCUUGCUAUUUCGUAGCAGGAACUGAAAAAGGCCGUGAGAGAGGUUAACAGCCCACCUCCACAGCCAGAGGACCCUGACCGGGCUCUCGACCCCGGACUUGAAGAAGAUCUGGACACAUCUGUGGAGCUUGUCGAUGGGAUAUUUUACCAGGCAAGCUGUGAUGGCACCUUAGUGGCCAUCAUCGCCGAUUAUCCCGGACUGCUCCCUGUAUCAAACGUAAGUAAAACCGAAGUCCUAACUUCCGAGAAGGAUUCCUUCUUUAUGCCUUACCUAAUGCACAUAUAUUGUACUUUUAUAGAAACGGCUACCGGGACGCCACACCAAGCCCACAAGGGCUCAUCAGCAAAGGGCACCCAGGCCAGGCAGGCUUAAGAGUAAGGCGGUUAGGAUUGAGACGCCGUCAUAGAGGUAUAAUUUAAAAGCUGCCCCAUGAAUAUCGUCUUUGAAAUGUAACAGCAUCCAUUGUGUCCUGUCAGGAAGAGUAGUCACCGAAAUAUAUUCGGAGACCCUGCCGGCCAUUCCUCCGCCAGCCGGAUUCCGGAACCGGCCUCAAUGGUGGAGGCUAAUGUGGGGACAACACCGAACUAUCCUCCUACAGAGGAUGCGGACAGAAUCUCCGCUACGGAUUCCGAAGUGGAGAGCGCCAUGAAUCACCGGCACCGACGGGCCGUACUCCGUGACGCUAGUUUCUCCGAAGAGGCAUUUAAUGCCUUCAACUCAGGAGACUCGUACAUCCGAGCUGCUCAAGACGGACUCGCUAGAGCCACGGACCAAUACAUAAAGGAUGUACGGGUAAGAAAAUUCGAUAAGUAUGUAUAUCAGUACCCCCUGAGACUUGAAACAGUUGGCACAACUGAUUUAAGGAUCAUUGUAUGCAUAGGUUCUUGUAGAGAAGAAUACCCAUUUAUCUCAAGAGCUAGAGGAAUGCAAGGCUCAGCUGAGGGACGCAGUUGCCAAAAUAUAGGAAUCCAAGAAGGCCUCAUCUGGUAAUACUUGUCUCAAUCAAAGAGAAUGUAAGUACGUACACCAGUUAAUAUUCGGCAUAGUUUAUAAAUCUAACAAUAGAUUCCACAGACAAUCUUGGAGAGAAUCCGAAGAUCGUACAAGAGGAUGAGCCGCAAGCUCAAACGCUGCUAAAGGCCGGCGAGUGUGUGCUUACACAGGUUAGGCGGGAGAAAAACAAUCUCCAAGAUGCCAAUAUCCGGCUGGGCGUCAAAUUAGCAUAUGUUCGGGCCCAACUUGUUGACUCCCUGAAGGAGAAUAGGGGGCUUCAACAUGGCAUUUAUGGUAAGUGCUUAAACGAACCGUUGUAUAGUUCGGCGAAGAAACAAGUUGACAGAGUUAUGUUUGUAGGUAUGCUGACAGCCCGUCCUGAAGAGGAAAUGCCUGGAUCCGCAGGUGAUGUUCUAUAAGAGCUUGUGCAACUGCACGAACGAGUUCGGCAGGUGAUGUUCUAUAAGAGCUUGUGCAACUGCACGAACGAGUUCGGCAGGUGAUGCAGGGUAUUGCCUAGGCCUUGUGGCCGUCCGCUUCCCUACCAGGAGGCAUGGGGGAGCUUGUGGAGAUGCUCAAGGGAGCACAGCGGCGCUUCCGAUUAUGGAAGAUAUCAGCUUGCCGACAAGGUGCAAGGGAAGCCUGGGCCAUGGUGAAGACGCGAUACGCCAAGGCUGACCCGAACCAUAUGGCCGAGGUCAGACCUGUAGGGCCAGAUGGGAAAGAGAUCCCCGUAAGUAUGGUAUAUGACCAAGUAGGAUUAGCCACAAAGUAUUCCCAACAGGAUCGUAGGCUAGACAGCAUGUUGGAUGGUAUAGAAGAAUAAUUUAGCCAGUCCAAGUGACUAUGUACUUCGAUGGACGUAUGUAGUCCCUAGCCGGAUUGUAAAUCAUUUGUCUUGGCAGACCUUUUCGCUUUAGCCUCCGGACCCGACAGUCCAAAGUGUAUCUGAAUACCCGCUCAGUUAUGUAAAACCGGGGUACGCAUGGAAACCAGGCGUAGGGGUCAUAAGUGCUUGAACAGACAAGUACCCAACUAGUUAUGUUAUAUUACAUGGAUAGUAAGAAACGUCUUCCAGAGAGAAUAGUUCCGUUAAGGGUUCCUUUACCUGGGUAUGCAUGCAUUAAUGUGCAUGUCCGGACUGCGAACAAAGACACAGGAUACAAAACAUCUGGGGAUUUAUGUUGUAAUAGAUAAAAACAUCUUUUGUUCACCCACCGAAUAUUCCCGUAAGAAUGCUAGCUUUCGGCUUCACCCAGUCUGAGGUACACAUCCGGCUGACCCGGUAGUAACAAUCGCAGAGGUGCUCCCCUUAUGCCCUAGCCGAAUUAACGGGAACGUAGGGCAUAAACACAAGAGCCAGGCAACCCAGCUUGGCCAAAAUUUAAGUCAUAUCGAUGCAUAUAAUGGUGAAAAAAAGGCACAUAUGGAGAAGUUACACAUAUGCACUGGGCAUGAAGCCCAGAAAAUAGUUAUAUUAAGCUUCUGUAUAAGAAGCCCCCAGGUAUAAGUAGCGCGCAUAGGGCGGCAAAAUUGUGUAAACAUGUCACACUUUAAGCCUGCUAGAGCUAUAUAUAAAAAAUAAAGAAUAAAAAAGAGAGAGGAUAUAAUAUAAAAGGGGCAGAGGUAAGGAGACAACCACAGAGUCCGGCGCUUAGGCGUAGAAUCUUUGGAGUCUGACCGCAUUCCAUGGGUUCGGCUCUAAUCGAUUAUCCAAUGCAUCGUGCAUGCGGUACGCUCCUCCGAUGAGAACGUUAUUGAUGAUGAAGGGACCCUCCCACUUGGGCUUGAUCUAGUCCUUUUUCUUCUCCGGUAAGCGUAGAACGAGUUCGCCAAUAUUGUAAGUUUUGGCCCGCACUUCUCUGCUUUGAUACCUUCGAGCCUGCUGCUUAUAGAAUGCGGAACGGGCUUUUGCUACAUCGCGCUCCUCCUCCAGGGCAUCUAGAUUGUCCUUCCGAUCGAGCUCAGCUUCUCUCUCUUCAUACAUGCGCACCCGAGGUGAGUCAUGAAUAAUAUCGCAGGGCAAUACCGCCUCUGCGCCAUACACCAUAAAGAAUGGUGCGUAUCCUGUAGUGCGAUUUGGCGUGGUCUGCAGCCCCCAUAGUACGGAGUCGAGCUCCUCUACCCAGUGCGUAUCUGAUUCCUUCAAGGAUCGCACUAGUUUGGGUUUGAUGCCGCUCAUGAUAAGACCAUUUGCACGUUUGACUUGACCGUUUGUUUGGGGGUAAUAGAAAGAGCCGUAAUCGAGCUUAAUGCCCAUAUUGUCGCACCAAGUUUUCACCUCAUCGGCUGUGAAAUUUGAGCCAUUGUCAGUGAUGAUGCUGUGGGGGACACCGUAACGGUGCACAACCCCUGAUAUGAAGUCUAUCACUGGUCCGGAUUUGGCCGUUUUAACUGGUUUGGCUUCUAUGCAUUUGGUGAACUUGUCCACCAUGACCAGUACAUAUUUUUUUUCUUAUGGCUUCCCCCUUUAAGGGGCCCAACCAUAUCAAGCCCCCAGACCACAAAGGUCCAAGUUAUGGGGAUUGUUUGGAGAGUGGUAGGGGGCAUAUGGCUCUAAUUGGAGAAAAGUUGGCAACCGACACAAUGUUGGACGAGGUCCUGUGCAUUUCCUCGGGCUGUUGGCCAGUAAAAACCUGUACGGAAGGCCUUGCUUACAAGUGCCCGAGCUGCGGCGUGGUGGCCGCCGAGUCCGGCAUGGAUUUCGGCAAAGAGCUGCUGCCCUUCCUCUUCGGAGAUGCAUCUUUGGAGCACUCCGGUGGCGCUUUUCUUAUAAAGCUCUCCCUCGUGGACUUUGUAGGCUUUAGAGCGCCGCACAAUGCAACGUGCUUCAUUUUGGUCCUCAGGGAGUUCUUGCCUAUUUAGGUAGGCUAAGAAGGGUUCUGUCCACGGGGCAAUGACAGCCAUAAUCACGUGGGCAGAAGGUGUUAUUUUGGUGGCAGAGCCUUUGAUUACAUCAGAUGGUUCGGUAUCUAGGGUUAUACUCGGUUCCGGACUGGUAUUGCCGGUCUCCCGUUCCCGUACCAUGGAUGGCUUGAACAACCUUUCCAAGAAGAUAUUACGUGGGACAGGGUCGCGCUUGGCGCCGAUGCGGGCGAGGAUAUCUGCCGCUUGAUUGUUUUCUCAAACCACAUGAUGGAAUUCGAGCCCCUCGAACCAAGCUGACAUUUUGAGGACAGCAUUACGGUAAGCCACCAUUUUCGGAUCCUUGGCAUCAAAGUCUCCAUUUAUCUGAGAUAUUGCGAGAUUCGAAUCCAUGCGCACUUCUAGGCGCUGGAUGCCCAUGGAGACUACCAUCCGAAGACCAUGCAACAGAGCCUCGUAUUCGGCUGCAUUGUUGGAGUCUGUGAAUAGUAUUUGGAGUACAUACUGGAGCGUGUCUUCGGUGGGGGAUGUCAGGACAACACCCGCUCCCAACCCAGCCAGCAUUUUGGAGCCGUUGAAGUGCAUGAUCCAGUUGGAGUAUGCGCCAUACUCUUUAGGGAGUUCAGCCUCUUUCCAUUCGGCGACGAAGUCACCCAGCACUUGCGACUUAAUGGCUCGCCGUGGUUUGUAUGUUAUGUCGAACGGAAGGAGCUCGAUAGCCCAUUUAGCAAUCCGGCCCGUGGCGUCGCGGUUAUUGAUUAUGUCACUGAGUGGUACUUCAGAGGCCACUGUGAUCGAACACUCUUAAAAGUAGUGUCAUAGUUUCCAGGAUGCCAUGAAGACCGUGUAUGCUAUCUUUUGAUAGUGUGGGUACCGGCACUUGCAUGGAGUGAGGACAAUGGACACAUAGUAUACCGGCUUUUGAAGCGGGAACUUAUGUCCGUCCGUUUCUCGUUCGACGACGAGCACUGCGCUUACAACCUGGUGUGUUGCGGCUAUAUAUAAUAGCAUGGGUUCGCCAGUAUUUGGCGCCGUCAGGAUUGGAUUGCUAGCCAAGAGGGCCUUUAUUUCUUCCAGUCCGGUCGUGGCCGCAUCCGUCCACUCGAAGUGUUCCGGGCGUCGAAGAAGGCGAUAAAUAGGUAGUGCCUUUUCUCCCAAUCGGGAGAUAAACCGGCUUAAGGCAGCCACACAUCCAGUUAAUUUCUGGAUUUGCUUGAGGUCUAUUGGGGUAGCCAACAGUGACAGAGCUCGGAUUUUUGCCGGAUUUGCUUCAAUUCCUCUAUUGGAAACAAUGAAGCCUAGCAACUUUCCGGCGGGUACGCCGAAAACACAUUUUUCCGGGUUGAUCUUGAUGUCAUACGUUCGGAGGUUGUCGAACGUGAGCCUCAAGUCAUCUAUUAAAGAUUCGACAUGUCUUGUCGUGAUGACCACGUCGUCCACGUAUGCCUCCACUAUUUUGCCGAUUUGUUUUUCCAGGCAUGUCUGAAUCAUGCGUUGAUAGGUGGCACCGGCGUUUUUGAGCCCAAAAGGCAUGGUGUUGAAACAGAAGGGGCCAUAUGGUGUGAUGAAUGCUGUUGCGGCUUGGUCGGACUCCUCCAUCUUUAUUUGAUGGUAUACGGAGUAUGCAUCGAGGAAACACAAUGAGUCAUGUCUUGCGGUAGCAUCGAUGAUUUGAUCAGUGUGGGGGAGGGGGAAGGGAUCCUUGGGGCAGGCCUUAUUAAGGUCCUUGAAAUCAACACAUAGGCGCCAGGGUUUGUCCUUCUUUGGUACCAUCACCAGGUUUUCUAGCCAAUCCGGAUGUUUUAUAUCCCUGAUGAAUCCAGCCUCGAGUAACUUGGCUAGCUAUUCUCGCAUGGCUUGUCGUUUAGGUUCUGAGAAGCGCCGAAGAGUCUGCUUGACCGGCUUGUAUCCCUUCAGUAUGUUUAGGUUAUGUUCGGCCAGCCUGCGUGGGAUGCCAGGCAAAGAUAUCCCAAUUCUCAUGCAAGAACUCUCGCAGUGCAGCGUCUAUUGUGGGGUUCAGCUGUGUCCCAAUGGAAGCUGUUUUUGUAGGAUCCGUUGGGUGGACCUGGAAUUUGACUAUCUCGUCCGCUGGUUUGAAAGAGGUGGACUUGGGUCGUUUCUCGAGUAUCACGUCAUGCCUGUCCAUUGUGGAGGGCAGCGUGGUUAGUUCUUCAGCCGCCAGGGCUUCGGAUAGUGCCUCAAGGGCCAGUGCGGCGGUUUUAUUUUCAGCACGGAGUGCGACGUCCGGAUCACUACCUAGAGUGAUGAUUCCAUUGGGCCCGGGCAUUUUGAGCUUCAUGUACCCAUAAUGGGGUAUAGCUUGAAAGCUCGUGAAUGCAUCCCGCCCUAAAAGGGUGUGGUAUCCACUGCUGAACGGGGCCACUUGGAAUGUGAUUUCUUCAGACCUGUAAUUCUCCAGUGUGCCGAAUACCACAUCUAGUGUGAUUUUUCCCGCACAUCGUGCCUCCCGACUAGGGAUGAUUCCCCUGAAGGUCGUGUUGCUCCGCUCAAUGCGGCUCUUGUCUAUUUCCAUUUUCUUGAGGGUCUCCUCGUAGAUGAGGUUUAAUCCGCUGCCGCCGUCCAUGAGCACUUUAGUAAGCCGGAAACCGUCCACGAUUGGACUAAGGACCAAAGCGGCUGGUGCCCGAACUGUUCAGAAUUGAGGUUCGUCACUGGCAUUGAAAGUUAUAGCCGUGUCGUUCCAUGGGUUUAUUGCUGCAACAUGGUAGACUUCGGCGAGGCUGCGGAGUGCUUGCUUACGUCUAUUAUUUGAGGCGAAAAUCUCGAAGACUGUCAGUACCGUAUUGUUAUUUUCGGCGGGAUGUUGCUCCAUGGUAUGGUUGAUGAGGAGAUCCUCGCUGCUCUUGGCUACCUUCCGGAGUAUCCUACAUGCUCUAAGGCUGUGUGUUGGUAUGGUAUCCGGUGUGCUGUGAAUUUUGCAUGGCCCAUUGAGCCAUUCCUCCAAUACGGUUCCAUGCCCUGCGGUGGGUCUUGGUUUCUUGGUAAUUGAAUUAGGUGACUUGCGAGAGGUUACCCUUUUAGUUCGGAUGAAGGGUUUAUUGAGAGCCGGAGGAUCCUAGAAUUUUUUUUGGGUUUUCCAGGCGCUUUCCAUCGUGCAGUACUUCUGUACUAUGGCCGCCAAGUCAGCAAAGCAUACUAUGUCGCAACGACUUAUGGCAUUGAGGAUUCCCUUGUCCGUGCAAUUUUUGCGAAAGAAUGAUAUUGUGUCUUCCUCGCGACAGUCCUUAACCUUGUUUAUUACAAGGAGGAAUCUGGCCCAGAAGUGAUGUACUAUCUCUUGGGGCUCUUGUCUGAUGUGGGAAAGAUUGCUUGAAUCUGCGUGGGUGGGUAGAUUUAAGUCCAAACCCUGACCCGAUCUGAUACCCAGGGGCAGAGAAGCUUCCGAGCUUGGCAGCUCAGGCUCCGGGAUGUUGCCCAAUUUUUCUGGCCCGCCGCCCGAUUCUAAGUUCGGGGUUUGGGUCAUGUCCUCCCGCGAAUGGGUAUCUGGCUCGGAGAGCUUGGAAAUCCAGACAUAGUUCGUCCUCAAAAUAGAGGGAGAAUCAAUGUGUUGCUCUUCCACUACCGCUAUCUCAUGGGUGGCCGGCGGAGAGUUAAUCUCCCUUUGGUCGGGUUUAAGCCCAAUCCGAUCAUAGUCCGUAGCGACACCCAAAGCGGCGAUGCGAUCAAAGAGCUCAUUCAUGGAAGAGAGCUCCAUCGGAUCCAUCUGUUCGGCAAGUUCCGAGUUUAUGUGGAGGCUAUUUUUGAUGACGUGAGAAGUCAUCAUCGGCGCGACAGCCGAUCGAGCGGUCAUGACGAAGCCGCCUAGUCGGAGAGUUUGGCCUAGGGCCAGGGCUCCCCCAGAGGUGAUGUUGUCCUUGCCAACGAGGCGAGCCAUCAAACCUUACCGCGACGACUCAGUGGAACUCUCAAUGAAAGAACCAAUGUCGGUGUCAAAACCGGCGGAUCUCGGGUAGGGGGUCCCGAACUGUGCGUCUAAGGCUAAUGGUAACAGGAGGCUGGGGACACGAUGUUUACCCAGGUUCGGGCCCUCUUGAUGGAGGUAAUACCCUACUUCCUGCUUGAUUGAGCUUGAUGAUAUGAGUAUUACAAGAGUUGAUCUACCACGAGAUCAUGGAGGCUAAACCCUAGGGUCUAGCCUAUGAUUCUGAUUGUUCUUGUCCUAUGGACUAAGCCCUCCGGUUUAUAUAGACAUCGGAGGGGGUUAGAGUUCCACAAGGUCGGUUACAGAGAAGGAGAUCUACACAUCUGAAUCACCAAGCUUGCCUUCCAAGCAAAGGAGAGUCCCAUCCGGACAUGGGACGAAGUCUUCAAUCUUGUACCUUCAUAGUCCAACAGUCCGGCCAAAGUACAUAGUCCGGUUGUCCGAAGACCCCCUAAUCCAGGACUCCCUCACCCGCCUCAUGUUACCAUUAGACAUAGACGCACUGUUCGGGACCCCCUACCCGAGAUCCGCCGGUUUUGACACGGAUAUUGGUGCUUUCAUUGAGAGUUCCACUGUGACGUAGAAGAUAGGCUUGAUGGCUCGCCUUGUUAUCAAGGAAACCUUCACCUCCGGGGGAGCCCUAGUCUUAGGCCAAACCCUCCGGCUGGGCGGUUUUGUUAUGACCGCCCAUCUGAUCGUCGGGCCAACGACGACCUCUCGGGUCAUCAAGAAUCGUCUCCAUGUCAGCUCGGAAUACGUCGAGCAGAUGGAUCCGAUGGAGUUAUUGUCUUUGAAUGAACUCUUGGAUCGCAUCGCCGCCUUGGGAGUCGCUAUGGACUAUGAUCGGAUUGGGCUUAAACCUGAUCAGAGAGAGAUUCACUCUCCGCCGGUCACCCAUCAGAUAGCGGUGGUGGAGGAGCAACGCAACAACUCCCCUCCCAUAUUGAGGAUGGACUAUGUGCGGAUUACCGAUCUCACUGAGCCGGAUACCUGUUCGUGGGAAGACAUGCCCUGAAUUCCGGACUUAGAAUCAGACUGUGGGCCAGAAAAAUUGGUUAACAUCCCGGAACCCGAACUAUUAAGUUUGGUAACUCCGCAAGCUCUGGGUCAGGAUUAGGACAUAAAUCCACCCACCCACCCAGAUACAAGCGAUCUUUCCCACAUCAUACAACAGCCCCAAGAGACAGUACAUCACUUUUGGGCCAGAUUCCUACUUGCAAUGAACAAGGUUAAGGACUGUUGCGAUGAAGACACAAGCUCAUCAUUUUGCAAAAAUUGCAUGGACAAGGGGAUCCUUAACGCCAUAAAUCACUGUCACAUAUCACACUUCACUGACUUGGCGGCCAUAGUACAGAAGUACUGCAUGAUGGAAGGCACCUGGAAAACCCAGGCACCCUUUUGGGACCCACUGGCUCUCACUAAACCCCUCGUCCGAACAAAAAGGGUGUACCCCCCAGGUCACCCGAUCCAAUCACGAAGAAACCGAAGCCCACUACAGGGUCGGAACCGUGCUGGAGGGAUGGCUCGAUAGGCCAUGCAAAGUACACACCACACCGGAUACAGUACCAACACAUAGCCUUAGAGCAUGUUGGAUACUUCGGCAGGUGGCCAAGAGUGGCGAGGAUCUCCUCAUCAACAACACCACAGAGCAUCGUCCCGCCGAACAGAACAAUACAGUCUUGACAGUCUUCGAGACUUUCGCCUCGAAUAACAGGCGCAAGAGAGCACUCCACAGCCUUGCCAAAGUUUGCCAAGUUGCAGCAGUAAACCCUUGGAAUGACAUGACUAUAACUUUCAAUGCCAGUGACGAACCGAAAUUCAGAACAAUCUGGGCACCAGCCGCUUUCGUCCUUAGUCCUAUCAUGGACGGCUUCCGGCUUACCAAAGUGCUCAUGGACGGUGGCAGCAGACUAAACCUCGUUUACGAGGAGACUCUUAAUAAAAUGGAAAUAGAUAGGAGCCGCAUUGAGCCAAGCAGCACGACCUUCCGGGGAAUUAUUCCUAGCCAGGAGGCACGAUGUGCAGGAAAAAUCACACUAGAUGUGGUAUUCGGCACGCAGGAGAAUUACAGGUCCGAAGAGAUAACAUUUAAAGUGGCCCCUUUCAAUAGUGGAUACCAUGCCCUGUUAGGGUUGGAUGCAUUCGCAAGCUUCCCAGCUAUACCCCAUUACGGGUACAUGAAGCUCAAGAUGCCCGGGCCCAAUGGAAUCAUCACUCUUGCCAGUGAUCCGGACAUAACACUUCGCGCUGAAAAUAAAACCGCCGCCCUGGCCCUCGAGGCACUAUCUGAAGCCCUUGCGGCCGAAGAAUUAACUUUAUUAUGCUCCACAGCAGACAGGGACGAUGUGAUACUCGAUAAAUGAUCCAAGUCCACCUCCUUUAAACCAGUGGACGAAAUAGUCAAAUUCCAAGUCCACCCAACGGACUCCACAAAGACAACAUCCAUUGGGGCACAGCUAAACCCCACAAUCGACGUUGCACUGCGGGCGUUCUUAUGUGAGAAUUGGGAUAUCUUCGCCUGGCACCCUUCAGACAUGCCAGGAAUCCCAUGCUGGCUGGCCGAGCAUAGCCUCAACAUAUUAAAGGGAUAUAAGCCAGUCAAGCAGACACUACAACGCUUUUCCGAACCCAAACGACAAGCUAUGGGAGAGAAGCUAGCCAAGUUACUCGAAGCCAGAUUCAUCAGAGAAAUAAAACACCCGGAUUGGCAAGCAAACCUGGUGAUUGUAGCAAAGAAGGACAAGCUAUGGGAGACCUUAACAAGGCUUGCCCUAAGGACCCCUUCCCUCUGCCCUGCAUUGAUCAUAUCAUCGAUGCUACCGCAGGACACGAUGCACUGUGUUUCCUCGACGCAUACUCCGGAUACCAUCAAAUCAAGAUGACAGAGUCGGAUCAAGCCGCAACGGCAUUUAUCACCCCAUACGGCCCCUUUUGCUUCAAUACUAUGCCUUUCGGGCAUAGAAACGUCGGGGCUACCUACCAAUGCAUGAUUCAAACAUGCUUGGAGAAACAGAUCGACAAAACAGUUGAAGCAUAUGUGGAGGACGUGGUUAUCAAGACCAGACACGUCGAGUCUUUAAUAGACGAUCUGAGGCUCACAUUCGACAACCUCCGAACAUAUGACAUCAAGCUCAGUCCGAAAAAAUGUGUUUUCGUCGUUCCUGCCGGAAAGCUGCUGGGUUUCAUCAUCUCCAAUAGAGUAAUUGAAGCAAACCCAGCCAAAAUCCGAGCUUUGUCACAGAUGGCUACCCCAACAGAUCUCAAACAAAUCCAGAAACUAAUUGGAUGCAUGGCAGCCUUAAGCUUCUUUAUCUCCAGAUUGGGAGAAAAGGCAUUGCCACUCUAUCGCCUUCUUCGAUGAACCAAACACUUCGAGUGGACGGACGCAGCGACGGUUGGACUGGAAGAAAUAAAGGCUCUUCUAGCAAGCAACCCAAUCCUAGCCGCACCAAACAUUGGCGAACACAUGUUGUUAUACAUAGCCGCGACACACCAAGUUGUGAGCGCAGUGCUCAUCGUCGAACAAGUGGAGGACGGACACAAGUUCCUGCUUCAAAAGCCAGCAUACUACAUAUCCACUGUCCUCACACCAUGCAAAUCUCGGUACCCCCAUUAUCAAAAGAGAGCAUACGCUGUCUUCAUGGCAUCCCGGAAACUACGAAACUACUUUCAAGAGUGAUCAAUCAUGGUGGCCUGUGAAGUGCCACUCAAUGACAUAAUAAACAACCGCGAUGCAACGGGCCAGAUUGCUAAGUGGGCCAUCGAGCUCCUCCCAUUCCACAUCACAUACAAACCACGAUGGGCCAUUAAAUCGCAAGUACUGGCCGACUUCAUCGCCGAAUGGACAUAGGCCAAACUCCCUAAAGAGUACGGCGCAUACUCCAAUUGGAUCAUGCACUUCGACGGCUCUAAAAUGCUGGCAGGUCUGGGAGCAGGCGUUGUCCUAACAUCCCCCACUGGAGAUACUGUCCAAUACGUACUCCAAAUAUUAUAUAUAGACUCCAACAAUGCAACCGAAUACGAGGCUCUGUUGCAUGGUCUUCGGAUGGCAGUCUCCAUGGGCAUUCAGCGCCUGGAAGUGCAUGGGGAUUCAAACCUCACAAUAUCUCAAAUAAAUGGAGAUUUUGAUGCCAAAGAUCCAAAAAUGGCGGUUUAUUGAAAUGUCGUCCUUAAAAUGUCAGCUCGAUUCGAGGGGCUCUUAUUCCAUCAUGUGGUUCGAGAAAACUAUCAAGCGGCGGAUGUUCUUGCCCGCAUCGGCGCCAAGCGCGACCCAGUCCCACCUAAAAUCUUUCUGGAAAGGCUUCAAGCCAUCCGUGGUGUGGCAAGGGGAGACCGGCAAUACCGGUCCGGAUUCGACCACAACCCCAGAUUCCAAAGACAAUGACAUAAUCGGGGGCUCUGCCACCGAAAUAACACCUUCAGCCCAUCUCAUCAUGGCUGUCAUCGCCCCAUGGACCGAACCCUUCUUAUACUACCUUAAUAGGCAAGAACUCGCCGAGGAUAAAAAUGAGGCACGCUGCAUAGUCCGGCGCUCUAAAGCCUACAAAGUCCAUGAGGGAGAGCUUUAUAAGAAAAGUGCUACCGGAGCACUUCAAAGAUGCAUCUCUGAGGAGGAGGGCGGUAUCUCUUGGCUGAAAUUCACGUCGGACUCGACGGUCAUCACUCUGCAGCCCGGGCCCUUUUAAGCAAGGCCUUCCGUACAAGUCUAUUGGCCGACGGCCCGGGCAGACGCACAGGACCUUGUCCAACAUUGCGUCGGAUGCUAGCUUUUCGCCAACCAAAGCCAUAUGCCGCCCACCACUCUCCAAACAAUCCCCAUAACCUAACCUUUUGCGGUCUGGGGGCUCAAUAUGGUUGGACCCCUUAAAGGGGGAAGCCAUAAGAAAAAAUAUCUGUUGAUCAUGGUGGAUAAAUUCACCAAAUGGAUAGAAGCCAAACCGGUUAAAACGGCCGAAUCCGGACCAGUGAUAGACUUCUAUCAAGUGUCGUGCACCGUUAUGGUGUCCCUCACAGCAUCAUCACCGAUAAUGGAACUAAUUUUACAGUCGAUGAGGUGAAAACUUGGUGCGGCAACAUGGGCAUUAAGUUUGAUUACGCCUCCAUCUAUCACCCUCAAACAAACGGUCAAGUCGAACGAGCCAACGAUAUUAUUAUGAGCGGCAUUAAACCUAGACUAGUGAGAUCCUUAAAAGAAUCAGACACGCACUGGGUCGAGGAGAUUAACUCCGUACUCUGGGGGCUGCGAAACAUGCCAAAUCGCACUACCGGAUAUACACCCUUCUUCAUGGUGUAUGGCACAAAGGUUGUAUUGUCCUGCGAUAUUAUUCAUGACUCACCUCGAGUGCGCAUGUAUGAAGAAAGAGAAGCCGAGCUAGAUCGGCAGGACAACUUAGAUGCCCUGGAGGAGGAGCACGAUGUCGCAAAAGCCCGUUCCGCAUUUUAUCGACAACAGGCUCGCAGGUAUCAAAGAAGAGAAGUACGGGCCAAAACAUACAAUAUUGGUGAACUCAUUCAUCGCCUACCGGAGAAGAAAAAGGACAAGCUCAAGCCCAAGUGGGAGGGUCCCUUCAUUAUUGACAAAGUUCUCACUGGAGGAGUGUACUGUUUGCAUGAUGCAUCAGAUAAUCGACUCGAGCCGAACCCAUGGAACGCGGCGAGACUCUGAAGAUUCUACGCCUAGUGCCGAACUCUUUAUGCGUCUCCUUCCCUUCACUCUUUUCUAUUUAUUUUUAGCUCUCUUUUUGCUCUUUCUUCAGUUGGUUUAAAGCUUUAGUGUGGCUGGACCACACACUCGCACCGCAGUAAUCUUCAAGUGCGGGCGAUUAUUAUACCUGGGAGCUUCUUAUACAGAAGCUUAUUGCAAACGCGUUUCGAGCAUAAAACUCGUCGCAUAUGAGUCCCUUUUUUCCCAUAUGUGCCUUUCCUCUGCCAUUAUAUGCAUCGAUAUGACUUAAGUUUUGGCCAAGCUGGGUUGCCUGGCUCCUGUGCUUAUGCCCUACGUUCCCGUUAGUUCGGCUAGGGCAUAAAGGGAGCACCUCUGCGAUUGUUACUGCCAGGUAUUCUGGAUGUGUACCUCAAACUAGGUGAAGCCGAAAGCUAGCGUUCUUAAGGGAAAAUUCGGUCCGUGGUGUCGGUGUUCUGGGAACGGGGGUACCCAGACUUACCUGCCUGCGGCCUGCGGCGUGGCUCAAGGGGUGGCUUAGUGCGGCCCAUCUUCAUCAACACGAGCUCAAGACCCUCAUGAGGGGCCAAGCCUCGCGGGGCGGACAACAUGAAGCUUCCUCAGGCACGGCCUCAUCGGGCUGGCUCAUGAGGAGGCGGAGAGAUCAAGGCGGGGUACCCCACGAGGUGCCCGUGACGCAAGCCAUGACGACCCAAGCCAGGCGGGCGCCGGCCUGCGCAAUGUCCUUGUUUCCUCUUUGGUGCAAAGGGAGCAAGCGCAGGCAAGAGUAUCAAGCAAAUGCAACCAUUUCGGUGCAACAAGACCAAGACCAGCAGAAUGGCAGGAUGGAGGUCAUCGUGGAGCCCAUGUCGGCGUCACCACCAGAGCCUUUGGCAGGCGAGGACCGACUUUAGUCAGGAUAAGUGUACUAGAUGUUCCCCUUCAAAAUGGCCAAUUGUUAGCACCCUUCCCGCUCAAUAUUUGGGAAGAGGCCCAGGGCCUCCGCCUAUAAAUAGGACUAGCCACCCCCAGGGUAGAAGAUGGGACCGGACCACGGGGGCAUCUGGAGAUCGAUCAGAGAGAUCGAGAAGUAGAACCCUAGCGAGAACCACCAACACAAGAACACCCCUCGCGAGGCAGUUCUUCCUUGUAUUGUUCAUCAUCCGCCCCUGAGGCAAUCCACCACACCACAAACUAGAGUAGGGUAUUACACCACAAUGGUGGCCCGAACUAGUAUAAACCUCGUGUCCCUUGUGUUAUUCUUCGUGUAGCUUUAGAUCCUUGUGAGGCGACAAGACGCAGGUAGGUAGGAGGUGCGAUCUCCGUGUGCACCCCAGAGUUCGAACCUAGGGGGUCUGCCGGAACCCGGAAUCGGACAUUUGGCGCGCCAGGUAGGGGUGCACCGGAAUCCGCCUUCCGCCACCCUAUUGUUCGCCGCCCCUCGCGUCCAUGUCAGACGCUCAUCGAGCCCGCGCCGAGCGCCGGACCGCCCUCGCCACUCGCGUCGCCCAGACGGCCCUUGUCGGCGGGUGCCUCCGUCGUUCCCUGUCGCCUGCCGUCAACGCCGCCACCGGCCCGGCGAGGAAUGAGCAGUAGGCGUCGUCCCUGCAUCCUUCGGUGCGGCGACAAGGCCGCACCGCCACCCCGUCGCUGACUCUAGCCGGUUCCUCGUCCCAUGCUCGUUGCGCACCCGCGGACACGCACGCCACGCUACUCCUGGCGCGGGAACUCCUGCAUUACCAUCCCGUCGACGACCUCUACGACGAGUGGCUCGCCCGCAUCACCGAGCUCGUCAGCGCCGCUGGGGGCUCCCCUGCUCCAUCCCUCUCGCUGCACCGCGCCCCGCCCUGCGCGGGCGAGGAAGCUCCAGGGGCGCCCCAGCCGCCUCCCCCUCAAGAAGGCGCCUUGGCCCCAAGGCGCGUGGCCCCUGGACGGAACCCACUCCGUCCGGCACCAGCGCAGCAAGAGAAGAGCUGCCAAGAGAUCCCUCGUCCCCAAGAAGCUGCCCGGGCGCUCCCUGUGCCGGUCCGUCAUGACCGCGCUCCCGCGCCAGCGCGCCAAGACCCCGCGCUGCUCCUAGCGGCAGUGCACAGAGACUUCCAAGAUCAAGCCCUCCGUCACCUGAGGCCUCCCGUGGCCACUGCAGGCUGCCGCGCCUUCACCGCCGAGCUGCACGGCAUGGCCUGGUCGGGCAAGUUAGAGCCAGAUUUGCCCCCACGCUACGACGACACGGCCGACUCUGCGGAGUUCCUCCAGCUCUAUGAGCUGGGCAUCGAAGCCGCCAAUGGGAACGAGAAGGUCAUGGCGAACUGGUUCCCCAUGGCGCUCAAGGACGAUGCCCGCACCUGGCUCCUGAACCUGGCUCCUGGCACGAUUUCCUCCUGGGAUGAGAUGCGCACCCGCUUCAUCGCCAAUUUCCAAGGCACACGCGACCGGCCCCUGGCCAUGAGCGACUUGUGCUGCAUCAAGCAGCAGCCAGGAGAGACCCUGCAGAAGUUCAUCCAGCGUUUCAACAACGCUCGCCUCAAGAUCCCCAGGGUGUCUGAGGAGGCCAUCAUCUCAGCCUUCUCCGACGGUUUGCGUGAUGUCAAGAUGAAAGAAGAGCUUGCGGUCCAUGAAGACCUGUGCACCUCCCUUGAGCUGUUCAACUUGGCAACCAAGUGCGCUAGGGCUGAGGAAGGACGCUUUUCCCUCCUCGAGCUGCCAGCUGCCGACCCAGAAGAGAAGAAGCCCAAGGUCAAGGACGUGAAGCGCAAGGGGGCGGCUGUGCUCGCAGCAGAAUCGGACACCAAGCGGGGAAGGGAUUAGCCUGAGUCGUCCAAGGGCAGCCGAUACUACGUGUACCAUGACCUCCACACCCACAACACCAACAAAUGCCAAGAGCUCCGGGCCGUGCGGGACGUGCGCGUUGGCCGACGCCCCGAGCGCAACGACCGGGGCUAUGGCCGACGAGGAGGAAGAGGUGGAGGACGAUGGGAAGACCAUGGCCCUCGCUAAGGGUGGCGCGACCGACCUUGCGAGGACCGCUGGCAGGACCAGCCUCGCGAGGAAGGCUGGAGGGAUCAGCCUCGCAAGGAUCGUCCGCAAGGCAACACGGGCCUCCCUCCUCUGCCACCACAGCCAAGGAGCAACGAAGACCAUCAUCAGGACGAGGGGGCUGGGGGCUUCUAGGAGCCUCAUGCAAUUGCUUGCAUCUUGGGCGGAGCUCAAGCCCCAGCCUCUCAGCGCAUCUUCAAGCAGUUUGCUCAUGAAGUGAAUGCAGUCCUCCCCAAGCUCGAAGCCACGCGCCCCCUUAGGUGGUCAGCAUGCGCCAUCACUUUCAGCUCAGUGGAUCAGCUCAAGUGCGCAGCCACAGCCGGAGUCCUCCCUAUGCUUUGCUCCCCGAUCAUCAGCAAUGUGCAAGUCACCAGGACCCUCAUCGAUGGCGGGGCAGGUGAGGGAGUUCCGGACUAGGAGGUGUCCGGAUAGCCGAACUAUCAUCAUCAUCCGGACUCCAAGACUAUGAAGAUACAAGAUUGAAGACUUCAUCCCGUGUCCGGAUGGGACUUUCCUUGGCGUGGAAGGGAAGCUUGGCGAUACGGAUAUGUAGAUUUCCUACCAUUGUAACCGACUCUGUGUAACCCUAGCCCUCUCCGGUGUCUAUAUUAAACGGAUGGCUUUAGUCCAUAGGACGAACAACAAUCAUACCAUAGGCUAGCUUCUAGGGUUUAGCCUCCUUGAUCUCGUGGUAGAUCCACUCUUGUAACACACAUCAUCAAUAUUAAUCAAGCAGGACGUAGGGUUUUACCUUCAUCAAGUGGGCCCGAACCUGGGUAAAGCAUCGUGUCCCUUGUCUCCUGUUACCAUCCGCCUAGACGCACAGUUCGGGACCCCCUACCCAAGAUCCGCCGGUUUUGACACCGACAUUGGUGCUUUCAUUGAGAGUUCCACUGUGUCGUCACCGAUAGGCUCGAUGGCUACUUCUACCAUCAUCAAUGAUGCGGUCCAGGGUGAGACCUUUCUCCCCGGACAGAUCUUCGUAUUCGGCAGCUUUGCACUGCGGGCCAAUUCACUUGGCCAUCUGGAGCAGAUCGAAAGCUACGCCCCUGGCCGUCAGGUCAGAUUUGGAAGUUUAAACUUCAUGGCAGACAUCCGCGGGGACUUGAUCCUCGACGGAUUCGAGCCACAGCCGAGCAUGCCGCACUGUCACGGCGAGCAUGAUUUAGCUCUGCAGCCGGACAGUACCCUGGAGGCCGCACUCGAACCCGCUCCGAUCUUCAAACCGGAGCUGGCUGCGCAGAUCGAGGACGGAUGGCUAGACACCACCUCGGGGGCUGCAACCUCUACGGCGAUAGAGCCGAACACUGACCUCGUCCCUCAUAAAGCUCGUGACUCCGAGGUGCCGGACUCCUCGCUGGACUCCGAACCCCCCGCGCCCCCUCCGAUCGAAUCCGAUUGGGCGCCGAUCAUGGAGUUCACCGCAGCGGACAUCUUUCAACACUCACCUUUCGGCGACAUCUUGAGUUCGCUAAAGUAUCUCUCGUUAUCAGGAGAGCCCUGGCCGGACUGCGGUCAGGACGGUUGGGAUGCGGACGACGAAGAAAUUCAAAGCCCACCCACCACCCACUUGGUAGCCGCUGUCGACGAUCUAACCGACAUGCUAGACUACAAUUCCGAAGACAUCGAAGGUAUGGACGAUGAUGCCGGAGAUGACCAAGAACCAGCGCCGACCGGGCACUGGAAAGCCACCUCAUCAUAUGACAUAUACAUGGUGGAUAUCCCAAAGGAUGGGAAUGGCGAAGGAACAGAGGAGGAUGACCCCUCCAAUAAACAGCCCAGGCGCCGGCGUCAGCGGCGCCGCUCUAAAUCCCGCCACAGCAAGAACGAAGAUCCCGGCACCAGAGAUAAUAAUACACCGGACAGUGCCCAAGACAACCCACUCCAGCAAGAUCCAGCACAGGAGGACGGAGACGCCAGCCCUCAUGAGAGAGCGGCAGAAGAAGAAGUAGAGGAUUAUAUGCCUCCCUCCGGAGACGAGGCAAGCCUCGACGACAAUGAAUUUGUCGUGCCUGAGGAUCCCGUCAAACAAGAGCGUUUUAAACGCAGGCUUAUGGCCACGACGAAUAGCCUCAAGAAAAAGCAGCAAAAACUUAGAGCUGAUCAAGAUCUGCUAGCCGAUAGAUGGACUGAAGUCCUCGCGGCGGAAGAGCAUGAGCUCGAACGCCCCUCCAAAAGCUACCCUAAACGCAAGUUGCUCCCCCGAUUAGAGGAGGAAGCAUAUGAACCCGCAUCACCAGGAGACAAUACGGCUGACCGACCACCCCGUGGUCGCGAUAGAGAGGCCUCUAGGCCCUUCACUAGACCCGUACCCCGGCAUCGCUCGAAAAGCACAAGGCCACAGGGGAACACUCCGGACUUGCGAGAUAUAUUGGAGGAUAAGGCAAGACAAUCAAAAUCGAUCUACGGAUCGCGUGGGUGCCCCACGGUACGUGACGACAACCGUCGCGCCGGACACAGUAAGUCCGGCCGGGCCGAACAAAACGGACAAAGCUCUUUUGAGCUCCGUCGUGACAUCGCCCAGUACAGAGGCGUCGCACACCCACUAUGCUUCACAGAUGAAGUAAUGGAUCAUCAAAUCCCCGAAGGGUUUAAACCCGUGAAUAUCGAAUCUUACGAUGGCACAACAGACCCCGCGGUUUGGACCGAAGACUAUCUUCUUCAUAUCCACAUGGCCCGCGGUGACGAUCUUCACGCCAUAAAAUAUCUCCCCCUCAAGCUUAAAGGACCAGCCCGGCAUUGGCUUAACAGCUUGCCAGCAAAGUCAAUUGGGAGUUGGGAAGACCUGGAAGCCGCAUUCCUCGAUAACUUCCAAGGCACGUAUGUGCGACCACCAGAAGCGGAUGACAUAAACCACAUAAUUUAGCAGCCAGAUGAAUCGGCCAGACAAUUCUAGACACGGUUCUUAACCAAGAAAAACCAAAUCGUCAACUGUCCGGAUGCGGAGGCCCUCGCGGCCUUCAAGCACAACAUCCGCGACGAGUGGCUUGCCCGGCACCUGGGAUAGGAAAAGCCGAAAUCCAUGUUAGCCCUCACAUCACUCAUGACCCGCUUCUGCGCGCGUGAGGAUAGCUGGCUAGCACGCAGCAACAACCUCAGCAAAAAUUCUGGCAGUUCGGAUUUCAAGGACCGAAAUGGCAGGUUGCGUCGUAACAAAAACAAGCGCCGCAUCAAUGGCGACAAUAGUGAGGAUACGACAAUCAAUGCCGGAUUCAGAGGCUCUAAACCCGGUCAGCGGAAAAAGCCAUUCAAAAGAACUGCUCCGGGUCCGUCCAAUUUGGACCGAAUACUCGACCGCUUGUGCCAGAUACACGGCACCCCCGAAAGGCCAGCUAACCACACCAAUAGGGACUAUUGGGUAUUCAAGCAGGCAGGCAAGUUAAUUGCUGAAAACAAUGACAAGGGGCUGGAUAGCGAUGACGAGGAAGAGACCCGACCGCUGAACAAUAGAGGACAGAAGGGUUUCCCCCCAUAGGUGCGGAUGGUGAACAUGAUAUACGCAACGCACAUACCCAAAAGGGAGCGGAAGCGUGCACUCAGGGAUGUAUACGCGACGGAGCCAGUCGCCCCGAAGUUCAAUCCAUGGUCCUCCUGCCCGAUCACUUUUGACCGAAGGGACCACCCCACCAGCAUCUGCCACGGCGGAUUCGCCGCAUUGGUCUUAGACCCAAUCGUCGAUGGAUUUCACCUCACCAGAGUCCUGAUGGACGGCGGCAGCAGCCUGAACCUGCUCUAUCAGGAUACAGUGUGCAAAAUGGGCAUAGACCCCUCAAGGAUUAAACCUACCAAGACGACCUUUAAAAGCGUCAUACCAGGUGUAGAAGCCAAUUGUACAGGCUCAGUUACACUGGAAGUGGUCUUCGGAUCCCGGGAUAACUUCCGAAGCGAGGAGUUAUAGUCCCGUUCCGAAGCGGCUAUCAUGCCUUGCUCGGACGUACCGCGUUUGCAAAGUUCAACGCGGUGCCGCACUACGCAUACCUCAAGCUCAAGAUGCCAUGCCCUCGAGGAGUCAUCACGGUCAACGAAAACACUGAACGUUCUCUCCGAACGGAGGAACAUACAGCGGCUCUCGCGGCAGAAGUACAAAGCAGCCUCUUAAGGCAAUUCUCGAGUCCGGCCGUUAAAUGGCCGGACACAGCUAAGCGCGCCCAGAGUAACCUACAACAAGACCACCUGGCACGUUCCGAGCACGCGUAGCAGUGUGGCCCCAACCCCAGCCCCUGCAAAACGUCAAAACAGGUCCUUUGCGUACACCAUUAUGCUCUGAAGAUACCAUGGGCAUGGGGAGAGGGGCACGGCCACGAUAAGCCCAGACGGCGGCUCAACCACACCAGGGGCUCUCAAGUGUGUCAUUCUUUUUUCUUUUUACCUUUUAUUUUUUACCCACAGGACUCCGUUCGUCAGAGGCCUUGUCCGGUAGAAGACCUGCCGAACUCACGAUGCAACAGCUAGGGAAGGAUAAAGGCUACAACGAAUAUAUAGGUGGUCUCCAUUACGAGCAUUUUUAUACACCAAUCCGCAGCCUACCCCUGGAGGGGGACAUGUUUAACAGUCCCAUCCCUUGCUUAUCGCACUAUUUGUAUCGUUCUGCAUUCAUAGCAGCACUUAUUGAAUAAAACAAUGCAGCACCUCUUUGCUUAUCAUUGCAUUUCAUUUUCAUACAUAUGUUCAUUUACGACAUGUUGAAUCCGUACACUUUGGUACGGUUAAAACACACCAGGGGCUUAUGUUUCCCGCAUCAUGGUGUGAUAAGUCCGAACACUUUCACAAGUGCGGCACCCCGAACUUAUAGCAUUAUAUGCAUCGGCUCUGAAUCAUGUCUUGGGUCAAUAGUUGGGUUUGCCCGGCUCCCAUGUUUUGGUACCUUUCAUUCCGUUAUAUCGGCUAAGGUGGCACUAGGAGAACCACUGCGAUUGCGCCCCAGUUGAGCUGGGUUAACGCCUGAGUGGAGAAAGCUAAAACUGACCGUCAUGAUAAGGCGAGAGCCGGUCGCUGUUCGAGAGGUUUUUGUGAGUCCUUAAAGACUUAUGCCGCUUAGAGCGAGGAGCCGGAUCUUGUCCGGCCCAGGCGUGGAUAGCGCCCCAAAUUCGGCCUUCCGAAGACUAGGGGCUUCGCUGAAAUUUAAAAUUAUAUAAUUCUAUGGCUAAGUGAGAGUGUUCAAGCAUUAUAAGUCUGGUUUCCUUGUUCGCUGUGUUGAGAGCCUCCCUAGAUGGACCCAAAAAUGGGAACAAGAGUGCUCAAGUUUAUCCCGAACACCCCAGCAGUUGUGGCAUGGGGGCUGAAGCCGACGACUUGCCAUCUCUCAGGUUUGAUAAACAGCCGCACAGAAGGUAAUAUUUUAAAUUAACAAGCGUUUCUUAGCGCAUAUGAACUAAGUUUUCAGCGCACAGGAUAACAAAAUGCGAGUCUACUCAAAAAUUACAUCUUUGGAGCACUCCCCCGCAAUAGUGCGGGCGCCCUUCAGCACACUCUUAUAAUACAUCUCGGGCGUGCGAUGCUCCUUGCUCUCUGGUGGUGGGUCCGUCACAAGCUUCUGGGCAUCCAUCUUGCCACAGUGCACCUUUGCGCGGGCAAGGGCCCGACGGGCACCCUCAAUAUAGGCGGAGUGCUUGAUGACUUCAACCCACAGGCACGCAUCCACCAGCCGCCGCACCAGGCCGAAGUAGCUCCCAGGCAUGGCCUCCUUAGGCCAUAGCCGAACUAUGAGGCCCUUCAUGGCCUGUUCGGCCGCCUUGUGGAGCUCGACCAGCUGCUUCAGCUGGUCGCUAAGGGGCACCGGAUGUUCGGCCUCAGCAUACUGAGACCAGAAGACUUUCUCCGUCGAGCUCCCCUCCUCGGCUCGGUAGAAUGCGGCAGCAUCGGACACGCUGCGAGGAAGAUCUGUGAAUGCUCCUGGAGAGCUCCGAAUUCGGGUAAGCAACAGGUAAUUAACACUCACAUGCUUACUUUGCAUGAAAAAUGCCUUACCCGCUGCUAUUUUCUUCACCGCUUCAAUCUCCUGGAGGGCCUUGUAGGCUUCGGCCUUAGAGGCUUUGGCACUCUCAAGAGCCGUUGCAAGCUCAGACUCUCGAGUCUUUGAGUCACGCUCCAGGCUCUCAUGUUUUUUCAUGAGAUCCUGGAGCUCUUGCUGUACUUCUGCCACCCGAGCCUCCUGCUUCUCUCGCUCGGUGCGCUCCGCGGCCGCAUUGCGUUCAGCCGCGGCCACCGCCUCUUUGAGGGUCGCCACCUCGUUAGUGGCCCCUGCAAUACCCACGUUAUCCUUGUCAUUCUUUUGCAACCAAAAUCCUUUUCUGUAAGGUACAAUUUUAAUAAGGUAUUACUCACCUUCCUUGUCCUCGAGCUGCUUCUUGGCACGGCCGAGCUCGUUCUCGGACCACUCGAGGCUCUCCUUCAAAGCAUUGACCUCUGCAGUCAGUGCGGCAGAGGUCAGCAGCGCAUCCUGCAAUCCCAUAUUGACAUAUUUAUUAUGACUCCUGCAUAUAUCUUUUUAGAUCCGCAGUCCGGCUUUUCUUUCCGAACACCAAACCGAGCAUCAGGGGCUACUGUCUAUGCGGUACCAUUUUAUACAUAUUAAAAUUCUUACCUCAAAGCCUGUUAGAAGGCUGUUGCAGGCUACGGUCAGCCAGCUCUUGGCGAGCUGCACCUUCUGGAUCACCGCACUCAUAACAGUGUGGUGUUCCUCUUCGAUGGAGGCGCCAUUGAGCGCCUCCAGCAAGCUAUCCGGCGCCUCCGGUUGGACGGAGGCUGCCGGCGUCACGGUCUUGCCCUUCUUGCGAAGGGGUCGCCCGCCGGACUCCGGAGCCACUGUGGGUUCCGGGGCUGAGUCCGGUGCAAUGUCCGGGAGGUUGUCCUGCGACACCUCUGGGGCCCUCUCCUCCUGGUGGAUCCCUUCCUGGGAUCCCACCUCGGCAUCGUCUGCGUCAUGGGGGUGGAGGCAGUCGUAAGAGAAUCCAUAUCCGAUGCACCUAAGGUCCCGCUCGAUGAAGCGGGAAGAUCAUCCUUAGGCGGACUGCAGGGUUGUAUGAGGCAUUAGAAAGACAUUAGGUGGCAAAAAAUAUAAACCUUGAAGUUAUUCGGGAGUCCGGAUACUUACAAUCUCGCCAGGGGCUUGGCCCUUGGAGGCCAGUCCUCGUCGUCAUCACUGGCGUUGGCGGAGCAGUCUGGGGGAAGAGUUUUUCCCUUCUUGGACCCUUCGGCCUCCCUUGUUGGAGAGGCCUUCCUUUUCUUCCCUCACCCCACUUGGGGAGAGGCUUUCUUCUCCUCCUCGCCUUGGUUGGAGGAGUCACCCUCGGAUUCAUCAUCCGAUAGCACCUAAAAACGGGAACUCUUCAGAGUCCCCGUGGCCUUCCUCUUGGCCUUCUUCUCCAGCACCACGUGGGGUGCCGGAGCCAGCAGCCCCGUUAGGCGGCCGUCCGCUGGGUCCUCUGGCAAUGGGGCCAGACAGAUAGUCCGUUCGGCCUUCGCCAGCCAGUCCUGUCAAAGGUAAAGGGAGUUUAGAUCCCGCAUAGAGUCAAACUAUGGAAAACAAGUGGCAAAAUCACUUACCUCGUCAGUUGGACGCUGCGAGCGAAAUCCACGAUCUUCGGUAGCAGAUGCGGGAGCCUCGGCGCCUUUGAACAGCACCUUCCAGACAUCUUCGUACGUAGUGUCGAAGAGCCCGCUCAGAGUCUGGUGCUGCACCGGAUAGAACUCCCACAUGUUGAAACCCCGUCAUUGGCACGGGAGAAUCCGGCGGAUGAGCAUGACCUGGACUACGUUGACAAGCUUGAGUUUCUUGUCCACCAGCUCCUGGAUACAGACUUGGAGUCCGGUCAGCUCCUCCGAAUCCCCCCAGAUCUGGCCACUCUCUUUCCAGGAGGUGAGCCGUGUAGGGAUACCGGAUCUGAAUUCGGGGGCCGCUUAAUGGUUUCCACGAAAGUGCCCUCCAGCCACGUAACGUGGGACAUCCUGCCCACCAUGGUGCCUCCGCACUCCGCUUGGCUGCCCUUCACGACCUUCGGCUUGACACUGAAGGUCUUGAGCCACAAGCCGAAGUGGGGCUGGAUGCAGAGGAAGACCUUGCACACGACGAUAAACGCCGAGAUGUUGAGGAUGAAAUUCGGGGCCAGAUCAUGGAAAUCUAGGCUGUAGUUGAACAUGAUCCCCCGGACAAAGGGAUGAAGUGGGAAGCCCAGUCCACGGAGGAAAUGGGGAAGAAACACUACCCUCUCAUGGGGCCUGGGGUGGGGAUGAGCUCUCCCUCGUCGGGGAGCCGGUGCGCGAUGUCGCUGGACAAGUAUCCAGCGUCGCGCAGCUUCUGGAUCUGCCCCUCCAUGAUGUAGGAGGCCAUCCACUUGCCUCCCGCUCCAGACAUAGUCGGAGAAGGUUGAGGUGAGAAGUGCGGACUUGGGCGCUGGAGCUCGAGUUCGCAGGAGAUGGAUAAGCCAAGGAGGAAGAAGGCGCAGGUAAAAGGGUUGGAUCUUUAUUCCCUUAUAUGGGCGGACAAAAACAUGUGUCCCACCGGCCUGGUAAAACUCGCUUAUCUCCCAAGCGUCACAAUCAAUGGCGCGGUUGGGCUACCCACGUCCGCAUUGAUGGGAAUCCCGGAAUAGGGGGAACACGAUCUCUGCUUCGACAAGACGUGCCAAGGAAACCAUUUCGCUAAAUGCGCGGAGGUGAAACAAUAAAAACAAUUUGAGUAAAGGCUUGGUAACGGCGUGACGCCACGCCACAGGAUAUGUCAGCAGAUUGAACUUGUGUAAUAUUAUUCUCUCUAUGGUGGUACGUGGAAUUUAUUUUGCAGAGCCGGACACUAUCCUGGUGUUCACAAUCUUCUAUAAAUUAUUCGGAGGAAGAACCUGCCUUGCAAUGCCGAAGACAACAUGCACGCCGGACUCGUCGUCACUGAAGCCUGGUUCAGGGGCUACUGAGGAAGUUCCGAACUAGGAGGUGUCCGGAUAGCCGAACUAUCAUCAUCGGCCGGACUCCAAGACUAUGAAGAUACAAGAUUGAAGACUUCGUCCUGUGUCCGGAUGGGACUUUCCUUGGCAUGGAAGGCAAGCUUGGCGAUACGGAUAUGUAGAUUUCCUACCAUUGUAACCGACACUAUGUAACCCUAGCCCUCUCCGGUGUCUAUAUAAACCGGAUGGCUUUAGUUCAUAGGACGAACAACAAUCAUACCAUAGGCUAGCUUCUAGGGUUUAGCCUCCUUGAUCUCGUGGUAGAUCCACUCUUGUAACACACAUCAUCAAUAUUAAUCAAGCAGGACAUAGGGUUUUACCUCCAUCAAGAGGGCCUGAACCUGGGUAAAACAUCGUGUCCCUUGUCUCCUGUUACCAUCCGCCUAGACGCAUAGUUCGGGACCCCCUACCCGAGAUCCGCCGGUUUUGACACCGACAGCAGGGCUCUAUGUCCUGCCCGCCGAGACAUUCAAAAAUCUCCAAGUGCCAUACAACCAGCUUCAGCCAACCAAGCCUUUCUCAGGAGUCACAGAUGGUUCCACCGUCCCGAUGGGGCAGGUCCUCCUUCCUGUCACCUUCGGGAAGCGCGACAACUACCGCACUGAGCUCAUUGACUUCGACAUCGCGCACAUCCGCCUGUCGUACAAUGCCAUCCUCGGGUACCCAGCUCUGGCCAAGUUCAUGGCCGUGACUCAUCAUGGUUACAAUGUCCUCAAGAUGCCAGGAAGCGGUGGAGUCAUCACAGUGCCUUGUGAAGAGAGAGACACAGUGUGUUCUCUGGAGCGUGCCUUUCAAGCCACAUCAAUUGAAGACCCAGAUCACAGGAGCGGAGGGCUUCCCGAGGCAGUCCCUAAGAGGAAGAAGGCGUCGCCUGGUCAGAAUCCUCGGGAGGCAAGCCCCUUAGAGUCUGCGCCCGUUCCAAGGGCGCCUCCUUCUGUCGCAUAGGAAGGCACGCCCGACGCCCUCCUCAAGCAAGGCUCGGGGGCUCUCUCCUGGAGGGCCAUCAACUUUGCUAAGAUCACGAGGGAGGCACUCGGGCACCACUUGGAGGCGUGUUUCAAAGCACGUUUCCCUCAGGCAGGAGCAAGGCAAGGAGGGCCAAACCCUCAAGAGUUCGUCAGCGAAAUCAUUCAAGAGCUGCUGGAAUCAAGAGUCAUCAGUGGCAGCCGCCGCUUACCCGUCGUAGCUCCCCAUCCGGGCGAGGAUGGUGGGCUGUGCGUUUGCAUCGACAUACCAUGGCUCAAGCGAGCUGCCUCUCAGGAGCGCCGCUGGCCCUCGCACGUGGGACGCUGCGAGGGUCCACCCCACAGCUAUGUCCGCAUGCCUUACGGCUCGACGAAUGCAGCUACUGUGCGCCAGUGCCUCAUGAGGAGCAUCCUGGAGGCCCGGGCGGCCAGGCGUUCUGUAGUCCUCGCGGAGAUGGAGAUGGUCCGCGAGGAGCCACCAGCGCCUCCGGAGCAUCCCGAGGCUCCUGGGCCUGGGGGCUCGUGAAGAUUGGCUUCCGCAGCACACGACGUCGCUACUUCAGCAUCCCUUCGUCUUCAACACCAUUAGGUGACAUCUUUCGAGUCUCAUUUCUUCAGCUGGGAGCGCCCUCAGGGCUGCAUCAUUCCCAGGCCGCGUGGGUCCGUCCCUGCUGCAUGUAUCCCUUUUCGUUCAUGUUUUUAGCUUGCUUUGUUGGGGGCGCCCCUCGGGCUGCAUUAUCCCCAAGUCGCUCGGGCCCGACCCAGCAAUAUUCGCCUUUCUCUGCGCCUAUCUAAAUGGAUUUGCUCCCUCGUGCUUAGUAUGCUUGACCUGAUUGCCCGCUCGAUUGACACCAACUUAUGGAGUUGCUCCUUAACGGCACGACGCCUGCGCAUGGGUCCGUCCCUGCAACGUCGAUAAACCUGAGCGGAUGAGCUCUGGCCGCGGCAGCCCCGCAAGGCGCCACCUCACCAGGCCCUCAGUGCCCUCAUCACCCUUCCAGAGCAACCAAUAGCUGGCUGGAAAUUGUAACAGCGGCGCUCGUUUUCCUUGUGGUGGGCCCGCAGGAUAUCUCUAAGGGGCAACGUUGGGGGAGGCCUUCGCGGUGUCUCCUUCCCUCUUGACCGCGCGAACCACUUGCACGUUAAAGGGGGGUACCUGAGCAUCACGACUCAUGGACUCUUACUGGCUCUCCAGCCCUCACCUCCUGGCCUUGUCCACGGCAUCGCGACCUGGCAUACCAGCGAUGGUUGAGCUUGCUCGAGGGCCGGGACCCGAGGACGUAGAGCAAGAAGGGGAGUAAAGGCAAGAGGGAGGAGGCUCGCGAGGACCUCGCCAGGCAACUCCUCAGCUGCCGACGCACGAACAUGGCGCCGCGCCAAGAAGAUGCUUCAGGCUCUCGACAUAAGUCAUCCUCCGGAGCUACUAACCAUCGCAACACCGACCUUGCACCUAAUGCAGCUCCGUGUUGGCAACGUUGCGCUCCUUUCUCGCCGAACGAUGGAUGCUUGAGCGCUAAAGGGGACCUCCUGAGCAUCGCGACUCAGGGGCUCUUACUGGACCUCGGGCCACUCACCUCCUGGCCUUGACCAUGGCAUCGCGACCUGGCAUACCAGCGACGGCUGAAGCUUACCUUGGGAUCGGGAUCUGUCGGCGCAGAGCAUCGAGCCCUCGCGAGGUUCAAAAUGAGGAACUAAGCUAAGGCGGGACAAGCAUCUCACUCUGCUUCACGAUAAGGAUCAUAUUAACAAGAGGAACUAUAGGCACCUUACAAGCCCCCACGGGGUGUGUUCUUGGCUCCUCGCAGUGACAAAAGAUGUGUAUCCUAAGGAGUCCUAACUACAGGGACCAUGACGGUGGACGCCAUCAUCAACAGUGGGCCGCGCAAGGCCAGCGCCAACCUCAUCUGGAUCAACCGGGUCGACCGCCGGGCGCGCCGGCCCUGCUUCGGGCAUGGCGCGAGCUCUGGGGCUCGUAGCUGUCGUCGCUUGUCGCCGGGGUCAGGAAGAAUCCGGAAGAGUCGCUGGACCCUCUAGUGCGCCCGCUACCAUCUGAGGAGCUGCUGGAAGGGCGGGCGGUAGGCUUGGUCCUCGCCGCUCCAGAGCUUCGGCCGCUGCCUCUGGGGCAGCAUUCCAACCGACGGCCAUCUCCGUCGAAGACCUUGAAGAGCACCAAGGAGGCGCCAUCGUAAUCCAGGUGGAUCACGAGGGCCCCCUCCGAUUGGCAGACCCGGGCGAUCUCGCCCCAGCCCCGGGUCAUGAAGACCUUGCCUGGAGCGACGACCUCGACGUCCGCUUCGGUCGCAGGAGUCCGGUAGUCGGCGUGCUGCAGCCAGAGCCUGAAAGGCCCCCUGGGCGGAAUCUCGAAGGCGAAGGAAGGAGGAAGACGAAUCCAAGAUCGAGGAUGCAUGGCGGUGUGAAGCACGAGCUCACGGGAGGAGGCCUCGACGUGAACCCCGGGAGGAACGACGCGCACCACCGUGAUCCGCCGACGGUGACGGCGCCUCUGGCGGUGCAGCUCGGCGCCUGUGCCUUCGGGAUCCUCGAUCCGGGUGUACAAGGGCAAUGGGAAUCCAUGAGGUGGCCGCUCGAACCAUGGCCUCGACACCUCCUGCCGGUCAUCCCCCUCUCUGCGACGAGGGACGAGCCAUUUCUUCGGCGGAAGCGUGGAAGGACCCUCUUGGGGGGUUUUCCCCCUCUCCUUGGCAGAAAACCGUCGGAUCGGUGCCAUUGGCGUAUGGAGGAGAAAGGGCGGAGAAGAAGGCGGAGAACAGCAGAAGAGGGUGGACUGGAGAGGCUGUCGCUGUUCCGUACAUAUAGUCGGAGGAGGCCAACCGUCGGCCUCCAUGAUCACAGGUAAUCACGACCCGUUUUUGCAUGCAGGGACUUGUCAAUUCGUGCAGUUGCCGAGGCAUCGUGGGGAAGCGGGGACGCCCACGUCCAAUCAACCGCCACACGGCGCCCAAGGCUGCAGGCUGUUGGGGGCCGUGGCGCUUCGCACUUGCCCCCUCGCUUCUCAGCUAAGCCAAGUCCAGGCGCACCUUGGGCCCGGGGGCUACUGUCGGCGUUCUGGGAAUGGGGGUACCCAGACUUGCCUGCCUGCGGCCUACGGCGUGGCUCAAGGGGUGGCCCAGUGCGGCCCAUCUUCGUCAACACGAGCUCAAGACCCUCGCGAGGGGCCAAGCCUCGCGGGGCGGACGACAGGAAGCUUCCUCAGGCACGGCCUCGUCGGGCUGGCUCGCGAGGAGGCAGAGAGAUCAAGGCGGGGUACCUCACGAGGUGCCCGUGACGCAAUCCAUGACGACCCAAGCCAGGCGGGCGCCAGACGGGCGCCGGCCUGCGCAGAGUCCUUGUUUCCUCUUUGGUGCAAAGGCAAGAGUAUCAAGCAAAGGCAACCAUUUUGAUGCAACAAGACCAAGACCAGUAGAACGGCAGGAUGGAGGUCAUCGUGGAGCCCAAGCCGGCGUCACCACCAGAGCCUUUGGCAGGCGAGGACCGACUUUAGUCAGGAUAAGUGUACUAGAUGUUCCCCUUCAAAAUGGUCAAUGUUUGGCGCCCUUCCCGCUCAAUAUUUGGGCAGAGGCCCAGGGCCUCCGCCUAUAAAUAGGACUAGCCACCCCCAGGGUAGAAGACGAGACCGGACAGCGGGGGCAUCUGGAGAUCGAUCAGAGAGAUCGAGCAGUAGAACCCUAGCCAGAACCACCAACACAAAAACACCCCUCGCGAGGCAGUUCUUCCUUGUAUUGUUCAUCAUCCGCCCCUAAGGCAAUCCACCACACCACAAACUAGAGUAGGGUAUUACACCACAAUGGUGGCCCGAACUAGUAUAAACCUCGUGUCCGUUGUGUUGUUCUUCGUGUAGCUUUAGAUCCUUGCAAGGCGACGAGACGCAGGUAGGUAGGAGGUGCAAUCUCCGCGUGCACCCCAGAGUUCGAACCUAGGGGGUCUUCCGGAACCCGAAAUCCGACAGGUGGACUAAAGACGUGUCUUAUUUAUAACACUAUGAACCCCCAUAUGUCAAUACGCUGCGAUUUUUCAAUCACAGAUCGAACAUGCACGUUAAUGCAUGCGCACCCAGCAAAAUGAACCAUUAACGAAACUAUUCUCUUUGGAAGAUGUUUCUUACUAUCGAUGUAAUAUAACAUAGCUAGUCGGGUACUUGUCUGUUCAAGCAACUAUGACCCCUACGCCUGAAAUCCAUGCAUACUCCAGUUUUACAUUACCGAGCGGGUCUUCAGAAACACUCCGGACUGUCGGGUCCGGAGGCUGAAGCGAAAAGGUCUGCCAUGACAAAUGAUUUACAAUCUGGCUAGGGACAAUACUUGUCCUUUGAAGUACAUAGUCAUUUUGACUUAAACACUUCCUCUUCUAUGCCAUCCAAUAGGUUGUCUAGCUUACAAUUCUGUUGGGAAUACUUGCCCACUAACUCUACCUGGUCAUAUACUAGACUAACUGGAAUUUAUUUUCCAUCAGACCCUACAUGUCUGACCCGGGCCAUAUGGUUCGGAUCGAGCUUGGUGUACCGUGUCUUCACCAUGGCCCAAGCCUCCCUUGCACCUUCUCGACAGACUGAUAUUUUCCAUAGUCGGAACCACCGCCGCGCUCCCUUGCAUAGCUAUACAAGCUCCUCCAUAUUUGCUAGUAGGGAGGCGGAUGGCCACAAGGCCUUGGCCACACUCCGCAUCACCUGUCGAACUUGCUCGUGCAGUUGCGAAAGCUCUUGUAGAAAAUCGCUUGAGGAUCCGGGCAUCUCCUCUCCAGGACGGCCAGUCAGCAUACCUACACACAUAACUCUGUUAGUCCAUUUCUUCGCCGAACUUUAUAAAAGUUUGUUCGAGCACAUACUAAAAAUGCCGCGUCGAAGCCUUUUAUUUUCCUUCACGGAGUUAGCUAGCUGGGCCCGAACAUCUUUCAAUUCUACGCCCAGCUGGGUAUUGGCAGCUAGGAGAUCGUUUUUCUACUGCCUGACCCAUGUAAGUAUACGCUCACCAGCGUCUUGAUGCUUUUGAGCUCUCUGUUCAUCCUCUUGUAGGAUCUCCAGAUUCACUCCGGGAUUAUCUGCGGAAUCUGUUAUCAGAUCUGCAACAUGUAAACACUGCUGGUAUAUGUGAUUACGUUUUUUCUCGAUAGAGAGAAACAUUACCAGUUGAGGCCUUUUUGGAUUCCUCUAGUUUGGCAGUUGUGGCCCUUAGCUGGGUUUGACACUUCCCUAGCUCUUGAGACAGCAGGUUCUUCUUCUCUGUGAGAACCUAUUCGGACAAUGAUCAUUAAAUCAGUUGUACCAACUGUUUCAAGUCUCAGGGGCUACUGAUAUACAUAAUUAUCAAAUUUUACUUACCCGUAUAUCUUUCAAAUACUGGUCGGUGGCUCUAGCAAGCCCAUCUCGAGAAGCUCAGAUGUACGCAUCACCCGAGUUGAAGGCAUUGAAAGCCUCUUCAGAAAAACCAGGGUCGUGGAGCGCGGCCUGCCGACGCUGAUGAUUCAUGGCGCUCUCCAUUUCAGAAUUUGUAGCGGAUAUUCUAUACAAAUCCUCUAUAUGAGGACUAUCCGGUGUCGCCCCCGUGUUAACCUCCGCCCUCAAGACCGGUUCUGGAAUCUAGCUAGUGGAGGCAUGACGGGCAGGAUCCCCGGACAUAGUCCGGCGGAUGUUCUUUCUGUCAAGACACAAUGGAUAGUGUCAUACUUUAAGAUGACAGCCACGGAGCACGUUUAAAACCAUACCUCUUUGAUGACGGCUCAGCCGCGUUUCUAUUCGCCUUCCUUUUUGGAAGCCUACCUGGCUUAGGCACUCCUUGUUGGUGAGUUGCCUCGGGUUCGGUGUGGCACACCAACCGUCUUCCCACUAAAAGCAUAAGAAUUUGCGGUGGGUAAGGCGGAAAGAGUGAAUCCUUUUCGGAAGAUAGGUCUCCUGUUUACUUACAUGUGAUACAGGGAGGACGCCAGGAUAGUCGGUGAUGAUGGCCACUUCGGUGCCAUCAUAGCUCGCCUGGUAAAACACCCCUUCGACAAGCUCCACGAAUAUAUCCGGAUCCUCUUCGAAUCCGGGGUCAAGGGCCAUGUUGUGGUCCUCCGGGUGUGGAGUCGGGCUGUGGAUCUCCCUGGUAAAUUUCCGCCAUUCCUAUUAUAGAUGGACGGAGUAAAUAUUUAUGAUAAAGGACUGGGGAAUGAAUAGAGUGGAGUAAGGGAUAGCAGCUCACCCAGCUGGGAGGGUUGUACAUGGAAAAUCCGUCCCGUGGCUUAAUGCGGAUGAACUCCUCUUCUCCUCCUUUGUAUAAAUCGGACAGUAUUUUCACUAGCGCGGUGGUGGAGUCCGGACCUUUCUGACUGCAGCGGGUGGCAUCGUCUUCUCCCUUGAAGUGCCACAUGGUACGCCCUCGGUAUNNNNNNNNNNNNNNNNNNNNNNNNNNNNNNNNNNNNNNNNNNNNNNNNNNNNNNNNNNNNNNNNNNNNNNNNNNNNNNNNNNNNNNNNNNNNNNNNNNNNNNNNNNNNNNNNNNNNNNNNNNNNNNNNNNNNNNNNNNNNNNNNNNNNNNNNNNNNNNNNNNNNNNNNNNNNNNNNNNNNNNNNNNNNNNNNNNNNNNNNNNNNNNNNNNNNNNNNUUCAAUUUGGAUUGAGCAAGCGUCUGUAUCUUGCUCAUCAAUCGAAGGACCUCUCUGCUAUCUUCCUCCUUGGGGCUCCGGGGACGCCAGCUGCGGAGCUUCUUCAACGGAGCAUUUGUAAACUCAGGAAGACCCAUUCAAACUGGGUCGGGAAGGGAGACGCCCUCUAUAUAAAACCACUCGGAAGGCCAUUCUUCGGAUGCCUUCUUCGGUGUACCGGAUAGGUAUCCGGUCCCAGCGAUGCGCCAUAUCUCGGCUCCGUCCACUUGGAAUAUUGAUCCCUCUUGAUUACGAGGGACAAGGCAGAACAACUUCUUCCAUAGCUCAAAAUGGGCUUCACAACCCAAAAAUAGCUCGCAAAGAGCGACGUAACCUGCGAUAUGCAGGAUGGAGGCUGGGGUGAAAUUGUGCAGCUGGUGGCCAUAGUACUCCAGGAGCCCGCAGAGGAACGGAUGAAUUGGAAAUCUAACACCCCUCAGCAAGUCAGGGACAAGGCACACAUGCUCCCCCCUGGAUGGAUUGGGAACAUUCUCCGCUUGCUCCCCGCCAUCAUAAGAAGCCAAUCCGGCUCGGACGGGGACUAGGUAUGCAGGAGGGAGAAACCCCUGGGUCUCCAACUUCACCAAUUGACCAUGGGAUACGGUACACUUCUCCCAAUUGCCUGGCUUGACGCUAUGGGGGCAGGAGGAGGAGCUGCGAGCACUGGCCAUGAUGGAGUGGUUUUUUGCGGGUGCGCUCUGAUGAUUCCUCGCUGAGGGAAUAUGGUGUGGAUUCGAUCUGAAGAUCCCCAUCUCUUUAAAUAGACGAUUUACUUACAUGGUUAGGGUGGCAAGUGUAAAAACGCCUCGACUUCUCACAUUCGCUCGACAUGUGGAAGAUGGAAUUAUUGGAGUACAGAAGCCGAUGAUGUGUAACAUUAAAUGAGGAGCCGAACACUGCUCUUUACAACAGGUUCUUGGAGAAUUCGGAGAAGGAAACCGCCUUGCAAUGCCGAAGACAAUCUGCGCGUCGGACUCAUCGUCAUUGAAGCCUGGUUUGGGAGCUACUAAGGAAGUCCUCGAUUAGGGGGUUCUCGGACAGCCGGACUAUAUAUGUUGUCCGUACUAUUGGGCUAUGAACGUACAAGAUAGAAGACUUCGUCCCGUGUCCGGGUGGGACUCUCCUUUGCGUGGAAGGCAAGCUUGGCGAUUCGUAUGUGUAGAUUCCCUUCUCUGUAACCAACCUGAUAUAACCCUAACCCCCUCCAGUGUCUAUAUAAACCGGAGGGUUUAGUCCGUAGGAAAACAACAAUCAUAAUCAUAGGCUAGCUUCUAGGGUUAGCCUCUACGAUCUCGUGGUAGAUCAACUCUUGUAAUAGUCAUAUCAUCAAGAUGAAUCAAGCAGGAAGUAGGGUAUUACCUCCAUAGAGAGGGCCCGAACCUGGUAAACAUUGUGUCCCCCCCUCCUGUUACCAUUAGCCUUAGACGCACAGUUCGGGACCCCCUACCCGAGAUCCGCCGGUUUUGACACCGACAGUCGUCGAUCAUCGGGAAGAUCCACCAAAGUCCACACUUUGUUCUCAUACAUGGAUCCUAUCUCAGAUUUCAUGGCCUCAAGCCAUUUAUCUGAAUCUAGGCUCAUCAUAGCUUCUUCAUAGUUCGUCGGUUCAUCAUGGUCAAGUAACAUGACCUCCAGAACAGGAUGAUCGUGCUCUGCCAGACCUACAAGGUUCUGUAGCAACUUGAUAUGUAGUUUCAUGAUCUUUAUCAUUAGCUUCUUCUCCAGUUGGUGUAGGCAUCACGGGAACUGAUUUCUUGGAUGAGCUACUUUCAAAAUUGAGUACAGGUACAAUUACCUCAUCAAGUUCUACUUUCCUCCCACUCACUUCUUUCGAGAGAAACUCCUUCUCUAGAAAGGUUCCGUUCGUAGCCACAAAAAUCUUGCCUUCGGACUUGUGGUAGAAGGUGUACCCAAUUGUUUCUUUAGGGUAACCUAUGAAGACACAUUUCUCUGAUUUGGGUUCGAGCUUAUCAGGCUGAAGCUUUUUCACAUAAGCAUCGCAUCCCCAAACUUUCAGAAAGACAUCUUAGGUUUGUUGCCAAACCACAGUUCAUACGGUGUCGUCUCAAUGGAUUUUGACAGGGCCCUGUUUAAAGUGAACGCAGUUGUCUCUAAUGCAUAACCCCAAAACCAUAGUGGUAAAUCGGUAAGAGACAUCAUAGAUCGCACCAUAUCCAAUAAAGCGCAGUUACGAUGUUCAGACACACCAUUACGCUAUGGUGUUCCAGGUGGCGUGAGUUGUGAAACUAUUCCACAUUGUUUUAAAUGAAGGCCAAACUCGUAACUUAAAUAUUCUCCUCCACGAUCAGAUCGUAGAAACUUUAUUAUCUUGUUACGAUGAUUUUCCACUUCACUCUGAAAUUCUUUGAACUUUUCAAAUGUUUCAGACUUGUGUUACAUUAAGUGGAUAUACCCAUAUCUGCUCAAAUCAUCUGUGAAGGUCAGAAAAUAACGAUACCCGCCAUGAACAUCAACACUCAUUGGACCGCAUACAUCGGUACGUAUUAUUUUCAGUAAGUCACUAGCUCGUUCCAUUAUUCCGGAGAAUGGAGUUUUAGUCAUCUUGCCCAUAAGGCACGGUUCGCAAGUAUCAAAUGAUUCAUAAUCAAGUGAUUCCAAAAGUCUAACUUUAUGGAGUUUCUUCAUGCGCUUUACACCAAUAUGACCCAAAUGGCAAUGCCACAAAUAAAUUGCACUAUCAUUAUCAACUUUGCAUCUUUUGGCAUCAAUAUUAUGAAUAUGUGUAUCAUCACGAUCAAGAUUUAACAGAAAUAGACCACUCUUUAAGGGUGCAUGACCAUAAAAGAUAUUACUCAUAUAAAUAGAACAACAAUUAUUUUCCGAUUUAAAUGAAUAACCGUCUCCCACUAAACAAGAUCCAGAUAUAAUGUUCAUGCUCAACGCUAGCACCAAAUAACAUUUAUUCAGGUCUAAAACUAAUCCUGAAGGUAGAUGUAGAGGUAGCGUGCCGACGGCAAUCACAUCAACCUUGGAACCAUUUCCGAUGCGCAUCGUCACCUCGUCCUUAGCCAAUCUUCGUUUAAUCCGUAGUCCCUGCUUCGAGUUACAAAUAUGAGCAACCGAACCGGUAACAAAUACCCAUGCACUACUACGAGAAUUAGUAAGGUGCACAUCAAUAACAUGUAUAUCAAAUAUACCUUUGUUCACCUUGCCAUCCUUCUUAUCCGCCAAAUACUUGGGGCAGUUCCGCUUCCAGUGACCAGUUCCUUUGUAGUAGAAGCACUCAGUUUCAGGCUUGGGUCCAAAUUUGGGUUUCUUCCUGGGAGUGAAAACUUUCUUGUCAGUCUUUAUGAAGUUCCCCUUCUUUUUACCCUUGCCUUUCUUCUUGAAACUAGUGGUCUUGUUAACCAUCAACACUUGAUGCUCCUUCUUGAUUUCUACCUCUGCGGCUUUUAGCAUCGCGAGAGCUCGGGAAUAGUCUUUUCCAUCCCUUGCAUAUUGUAGUUCAUCACCAAGCCUUUGUAGCUUGGUGGCAGUGAUUGAAGAACUCUGUCAAUGACACAAUCAUCUGGAAGAUUAACUCCCAGCUGAGUCAAGUGAUUAUGGUACCCAGACAUUCUGAGUAUGUACUCACUGACAAAACUGUUCUCCUCCAUCUUGGAACUAUAGAACUUGUUGGAGACUUCAUAUCUCUCAACUCGGGCAUUUGCUUGAAAUAUUAACUUCAAUUCCUGGAACAUCUCAUAUGGUCCAUGACGUUCAAAACGUCUUUGAAGUCCCGAUUUUAAGCCGUAAAUCAUGGCACACUAAACUAUCGAGUAGUCAUCAGCUUUGCUCUGCCAGACAUUCUUAACGUCAUCAGUAGCAUCUGCUGUAGGCCUGGCACCCAGCGGUGCUUCCAGGACGUAAUUCUUCUAUGCAGCAAUGAGGAUAAUCCUCAAGUUAUGGACCCAGUCCAUGUAGUUGCUGCCAUCAUCUUUAAACUUAGCUUUCUCAAGAACACAUUAAAAUUCAAAGGAACGGUAGCACGGGCCAUUGAUCUACAACAUAGAUAUGCAAAAACAAUCAGGACUAAGUUCAUGAUAAGUUAAGUUCAAUUAAUCAAAUUACUUAAGAAAUCCCACUUAGAUAGACAUCCCUCUAGUCUUCUAAAUGAUACGUGAUCCAAAUCAACUAAACCAUGUCCGAUCAUCAUGUGAGAUGGAGUAGUAUUCAAUGGUGAACAUCACUAUGUUGAUCAUAUCUACUGUAUGAUUCGCGUUCGACCUUCCGGUCUCCAGUGUUCUGAGGCCAUAUCUGUAUAUGCUAGGCUCGUCAUGUUUAACCUAAGUAUUCCGCGUGUGCAAAUCUGGCUUGCACCCGUUGUAUUUGAACGUAGAGCCUAUCACACCCGAUCAUCACGUGGUGUCUCAGCACGAAGAACUUUCGCAACGGUGCAUACUCGGGGAGAACACUUAUACCUUGAAAUUUAGUAAGGGAUCAUCUUAUAAUGCUACCGCCAUACUUAACGCGGUUGAUGUAGUCGAACAUCUUCUCGAAUCAACCGAUCAAGUACCGAACGUACGACACCUCCGAGUUCUGCACACGUUCAGCUCGAUGACGUCCCUCGAACUCUUUAUCCAGCAGAGUGUCGAUGGAGUCGUUGAGUUCCGUCAGCACAAUGGCGUGAUGACGGUGUUGGUGAUGUGAUCCGCGCAGGGCUUCGCCUAAGAACUAUGAUGAUACUAUCGGAGUAGUAAAUGACGGAGGGGGGGCACCGCACAUGGCUAAGAUAAUAAUUGUUGUGCUUUGGGGUGCCCUACCCCCGUAUAUAAAGGAGGAGGGGAGGAGGAGGCCGUCCUAGAGGGACGUGCCAUGGGGGGGGGGCUACUACUCCCAGUCCUAGUAGGAUUCCCCUUACCUUUUCCGAAGUGGCAAAGAGGGAAAGGGAGGGGGAGUAGGAGAGGGAAAUGGGGGCGCCGCCUCCUCCCCUAGUCCAAUUCGAACUCCCAUGGGGGGGCACCCCUUAUGGGCUGUACCCUCUCUCUCCCGUGGCCCAUGUAGGCCCAUUACUUCCCCGGGGGGUUCCGGUAACCUCCCGGUACUCCAGAAAACAUCCGAAAUUUCCUGAAACUAUUUUGGUGUCCGAAUGUAACCUUUCAAUAUAUCAAUCUUUACCUCUCGACCAUUUUGAGACUCCUCGUCAUGCCCAUGAUCUCAUCCAGGACCCUGAACAACCAUCGGUCACCAAAACACAUAACUCAUAUAAUACCAAUCGUCAUCGAACGUUAAGCAUGCGGACCCUACGGGUUCGAGAACUAUAUAGACAUGACCGAGACACCUCUCCUGUCAAUAACCAAUAGCGGAACCUAGAUGCUCAUAUUGGUUCCCACAUAUUCUAUGAAGAUCUUUAUUGGUCGAACCGCAAUGUCAACAUAGCUAUUCCCUUUUUCAUCGUUAUGUUACUUGCUUGAGAUUCGAUCGUCGGUAUCUCUAUACCUAGUUCAAUAUCGUUACCGGCAAGUCUAUUUACUCGUUGCGUAGUGCAUCAUCUCGUAACUAACUCAUUAAUCACAUUGCUUACAAGGCUUUAUAUGAUGUGCAUUACCGAGAGGGCCCAGAGAUACCUCUCCGAUACUCGGAGUGACAAAUCCUAAUCUCGAUCUAUGCCAACCCAUCAAACACCUUUAGAGAUACAUGUAGGGUAUCUUUAUAAUCACCCAGCUACGUUGUGACGUUUCAUAGCACACAAGGCAUUCCUCCGGUGUCCGGGAGUUGCAUAAUCUCAUAGUCGGAUGAAUAUAUAUUUGACACGAAGAAAGCAGUAGCAAUAAAACUGAACGAUUAUUAUGCUAAGCUAAUGGAUUGGUCUUGUCCAUCACAUCAUUCCACUAAUGAUAGAUCCCUUUAUCAAAUGACAACUCAUGUUCAUGGCUAGGAAAUUUAACCAUCUUUGAGCAACGAGCUAGUCUAGUAGAGGCACACUAGGGACAUGUAUUUUUGUCUAUGUAUUCAUACAUGUAUCAAGGUUCCGAUUAAUAUAAUUCUAGCAUGAAUAAUAAAUAUUUAUCAUGAAUAAGGGAAUAUAAAAUAAUAACUUUAUUAUUGCCUCUAGGGCAUAUUUCCUUCACACACAUGGAAUUCUCUACAAAACCGUGCCAAGUUUCUAUGGUUACAAUUGAGAGCGACUACUUCUGGCUCGAAAAGAUUUCUCUUUAGUCGGUUUUCCCUCCACCAUUUGAUGUGCAUCCAACGGGCCCAUAACCUUCUUCUUCCUCCAGGCCCAAUGCGAUCACACACUGCAACCUUGCCGCCACCACCAUCACCGGUCAUUCCUCUAACACACCUCCACUUGAACCCUAUAACCCGCCGCAUCCUACGUGUACUCCGUCGACGAUGCCAUGACAAUUUCCGUCGUCCCUGCCUCCGUCUAGGUCCUAGCUCUACAUCUUGGAGACAGUCGCGACAGGCAGUACCACCUCCAUCUCGGCCUUACCGUCGUCUCACCUACUUCUUAGUCACAUGUUGAGUAACAUGGCUGAAAAUUCCAGUCAGCUAAUAAAUAGCAAACACAGUUAUAGUUAUAAGAAAUUAUUUCACUUAUAAGGUGAAGGGUCUCAAAAGAAUUUAAUUACACCCUCGCUGUAAAAUUUGUCGAUCAGGUUGUUGACUCUUCCAAGGGUUGAUUAUGAACCAAAAGUUUCAUAUAGAAAUAGGAGAUUCAACCAAGAACCAAGAAAAAAGAGCAUAUAAGGAAGCUAUCACACCGUACCUCUCCAGCUGAAUUUUGGUUUUUGCACAAAUUGUACAACUUCGGCCCUUUUGGGGAGAUGUCAAAUUACCAAGUCCCUCAUUAUAUCCUUCGGCUUAGGACGCAUACAAAACUAUAGAGUUAUAUAUGUUAUGCAAAAAGGGAAUAAAUCAAAUAAAGCCACUCGGGAAAAGGGCCAUGAAAAGAUUUCACGUCCACUAAGAAAAGGUAAAUGAAUUGAAACAAUUUUCUGAAGGUACAACUUGCUAUUAAUAAGACCAUUCUUGUUUCUAUUAGCAGAGAAAAAAAGGUGACGUAGUUUGAGACUAAGCUCCAAUUACAAAAGGCUUUGCUUUUUGUGGGAAGAGAUGAAAAACCCAUCAGUGGCCAUCAUAUUGGACUACCCUAGCAAAAGCUAGGUCAGACAUGCAUAAGCUCCUUAAUUCUGUAAAUAUCAUUUUCAGUCCGGAGAAAUACGUUUUGGCUCUCUGGUGUAGUGUAGGUGCAACUUAUACGGGAAAAUAGUAAUUCCAAGAAAGAUGAAGAAGUUCUGAAACAUUUUCAGAAACAAACUUGACCUUCAAUUGUAUUCGUGUAAAAAGUUUUGUUAAGAAAAAACUCCCAUAGCCUUUAGUGCAAAAAAAAUCAAGGACUAAAAGCAUGAAUAUUACCUUGUAUAUAGUGCUAAUUUUUGUUCCACCUAGAAUAGCAUGAAAGUCAUUCAUUGAAAAAAACAUAAUUUUAUAACUUUUUUCAGAAUUGCUAUUUUUCUUCCCAUAUAGGGUGCUCCUACACCCGAGAGCCAAAGGUGCUUGUCCCUGCUCUGGGGUGCAAGUGCACCUGAUAUGAUGUUUUUAGUAAUUCCAAAAAGAGUCAAAAAAACGAUGAAACAUUUUGGUAAACAAAGUUGACCUUCUAUUGUAUGAAAAUAUCAAAUGAAGGCCCAGCUCCAUGGGCCUUAAUUGAAAACUAUGAAAUUCAGACUUUCUAGUUUUAAAAAAUUAUGAAAAAAAUACACAUAUACCUAGAGACAAAGUGUACAUGUGUGUAAUUUUUCAUGUCAAAAUACGAGGGCUUCAGAAAGACAAUUUUGUGCAUUUUUAGCAUAUGUACUGUUGAUCCUCAAAGUCUACAAUUUUGUGCAGCUCGAAUUUUAAGGCAUUUCAUCCUAUAAUUUUACACAGAUACACAUUAUAUCCUUGUAAACAUGUAUAUUGAGUUUUAUAUUUUUUUUACUUUAAAAAUUGAUUUUUUUUAAAAUUAAGCCCUCUAUGGAAUUCAGUCUGCAAAAUGCCAUACUCUGUUGUAUUUGUGUAAAAACUUUGGCCAAGAAAUGACUUUCAUGAGAAAUGACAUUCACGGUAUUUUUUUAGAAAAAAAUCAACAAUAUAUACAAGUCAUCAUUCACGUUUUUCAUCGUCGGAUUUAUAUUUUCCGAAGUUGAUGGGACAUUUUUUUCUUGGCAUCACAGAAGGUCAAAUUUGUUUUCAAAAAUGUUUCAGAACUUUUUAUGUUUUUUUGGAAUUACUUCCAACAUAUGUGCUCACACCCGAGUACCAUGGCAUUUCCCAAGUUCUGUCGAGAUAAAAGAGGUUUGUGCAUAAAACACAUCACUCUUUUAACCCCCACGCAAUCAUGGCUGCUUUAUUUUUCGUUGUGUCAAAAUAAAUGUAUUAGAAAAUCAGUUCAUAAUACACUGAAUCGGUUAUCUCAAAUAUCCUCAUACCUCGAUCAAUCGAAUUUGGAGAUUCUCACAUGUUUCAUUCAGGCAAAGCAGAAUAACAUUUCUGAAUUCUCAAUUCUAACUGGAAUUUCCUUUUUCUAUCCUCCCAAAAGGCAGAUAUUUGUUAAGAUGAAAAUGCCUAGACAUCCAGGAUUUUUCUCCCCGGUGAGAGAAGCACUUCAGAACUAGUUCGUUUUCCACCUAAUCUGCUAUUCCACAUGUUCUGCUCUUAUCCAGUUUUCCGUUAAGUUACAAACACAGCUUUCUGAAUUUUCAGAACACUGAGAAGAAACGAACAUCUUGGAUUUUUCAAUAGAAAAUGUGGCCAAGAGAAUCGCAUGUUUUAUUCAGGCGAAGCCGGAGAUCAUCCCCAUUUCCAUUAACGAAACAUCAAACCAUCACCAGUGCGCACGAAUCGAUACGACACACACUCUCUCUAGCAGACGAGAUCAAAAGACAGAGAAACCAUCACUCAUCAUCACAGGAAACUCAGUACCCACUCAGCCACUCAAACUCUGCUUCGAUUCGACGCGCACACAAUGCAUACCAGCUCAGGCAACCUGGACCUGGAUGGUCUUGGGCUUCUUGGGCUCGGGCGGCGGCAGCUUCUCGACGGUGACGGUCAGCACGCCGUCGCGGCACGCGGCGGAGAUCUUCUCCAUGUCGGCGUUCUCGGGGAGCACGAACUUGCGCAUCAGCUUGCCCAUGCGGCGCUCCAUCCGCAGGUACUUGGCGUCCUCCUCCUCCUCCCUGCUCCGCUCGCCGCUGAUCACCAGCACCCGCUCGUCCUCCACCUGCACCUUGAUGUCGCCGGAACCCAGCCCCGGCAUGUCCACCACGAACGCGUACG